rnacentral:lncRNA from 1 species
CCAACAAUCACCACUAUUGAGUUUUGAGCAUCAAUCUUUCAGAAUUUCACAUUGCAUUAUGCCGAAUACUUGGAGUAGGGAGUGAAGCCAUCCUCUGGCAAGUACCAAUAAAACCUACCAAAGAUAGCUAUUUGAGAGAGGAGAGGUAGACCACUUGUUAAUUUUUCCAUGUUCCUCACGUUUCUCAUCCAAGGAGAAAUUAGAGACAAGGGAAACAGAAUGGUCCAUGCUUCUUACAUCCUCCACCAUUGACAAUCUUUCCACAGUCCUCACAUUUCUCAUCCAAAAGUCUGAAACAGGACGAGCAAUUAGUCCUGAAUAAAAAUUGUCUUUCAUGCACAGUGAACAACUACAAGAGUGAUCAGAACAAAAUUAUAUACACACCUAAUUGACUGCAACAAAAAGUGUACUGGGAUACCCUGCCGAUAUAUAUUUUGAUUGCUGGAAAACUAUUAUGAUUAUGUUAACAAACAAGUAUGGGAGACCACUAAUCACUGGUGAUAGAGACUUAUUCGUACGGGCUGAUAUUUUACAAAUGUGAGGUCAGGAGAUUGAAUAACUUGGUACGAGCUGAUAACUCUUAAGAAUGAUAGCCUACGCCUGUUGGUAUAUCUGGAACGCUCGAAAUGCAAUAAACAUUAAACAUAAAUCACUUGAUCCUGGAACUGCCCCUACAUAAAUCACUGUCAUGAUUGGGUGGACGAAAGGCAGGGUCUGUAGAGUAACCUGAAAUAGGUUUUGUGAAGAUUAACUGGAGCUCUGGCAGCUUAGUAGGAUAAUGAUGAGACUUGCCUACCCAAGAUAACUGGGUUGCGAGUGGUAUUGAAUGACGACCUUCUUGCAAUUUUAAAUCACAAUACUUCGUGGCAGACGUGAGACUUUUAGGAUUACUCAACAAAGCAACAAAGUAUAGUCUCCCUGAUUACUCCUACCCACCUUUCCUUUACAACAAAGAAAAUUAAAAUGUUCUCUGAGAUGGUAUAAGAUUUAAAUAGAAGAAAGAUGAAUUGUGAACUUUAAUGAGAAAGUCAGAUUUAAAUAGAUUAUAAUCUGCAGGUUCAUUGAAAUUUAGUUGUCAUAUUUGCCAAGUUGAGAACCCGUUUUAGAUCCCAUUUUUGCAUCUUUACAAUAGCUGUUAUUCAAAGUAAUAAAGCUUCUUAAUUUGACUUUGAAUAUAGACCUUGAUAAUCAACAUCAUGAUAAAGAUUAAUCUUAUUUAGACCUUGUCACAAAAAGAAAAAAAAUUAAAGCAUAUCGAUGCACCUACCAAAAUUAAUAGCUUUUUUUUUAUCUUUUGUCAGGUUGCAAAAGAUGAACAUAAGUACAUCAGUUGCCUACCUCAACAGUAUAUGCAUUUGAUCAACCCAAGAGAUUUUGCCAGAUAGAUGACAGUGGGAUAUUCUGCAAGACAAGCACAGUCAAGAGAAUUCGGGUCAGUGAGUUAGGGCAUAAGAAACAGAUAUUUGGAAGAGAAAAUACAGCAAAUGCUGAAAUUGCAGAACAAUAUCGAUAUGAGAGCGAAAUUUUUUCAUAAUUCUCAUGCAAUGCAUGGUGCAUUUCCAUUUGCAAAUUCUUUAUGUGUCAUCCAAGUGCAGAGAUAAGCAAUUUUUGGCCAUCACACAAAAUUCUAGAUAUAUAAUCAAUAUAGACAGGCACAUUUGAUGCAUCAUAAUUCCAGCACCAUGAGCAAGUCCAUGUAGGUUUUAUUUAUUCGAGGAAUUUUCAUUGGCUGUACCACGUUAGCAUUAUAACCAUUUCCUCGUGUACUUCCUCAGUAAACAAAACAGGGGAACCCAAAUGUCAACGUUGGACAUUCAGCAGCUGGUUUGUGGAAAUUUAUGUGAAGCACGUCCAUGGAAAAACAUGAACAUUUUAGCAUUGAGUUGAGGAAGCAGAAUGAAAAUGAAUCCUGGAGCAGCAGUAGCUAAAUGACAAGUGUGAAAGAAAGAAGUCCGAAUCAUUACCUGAAGAGCAAAACUUUAAGACAGUGGAGAGAAAUCUUCCUGUUGGAUCCGAACUAGAUUAAUCACAAUGAGUGGGAUUUCUUGAAUGAGGUGCCAGUAGUUGCCCGCAAAAGAGGAUCCAUCCUUCAAAAUCUCACAUUGAAUUAUGUGGAAUACGUUGAGGGAGGGAGGGAGGGAAGCCAUCCUCUGGCAAGUACCCAAACUUCGAGCAACAUAGAAAAUAUAACUGUUUGAGGGAGGAGAGAUGACCGUGAACACCACUUGAUAGUCUUUCCACUCCUCAUAUUUCUCAUCCAAAGAGAGGUUAGAGAGGAAGGAAACAGAAGACUCCAUGCAUCAUACAUCCUCCACUGCUGAUGGUCUUUCCACAUUCCCCAUAUUUCUCAUCCAAAAAUCUGGAAUGGGAUGAUCAAUUAGUCCUGAAUAACAGUUGCCUUUCAUGCUUAAUGAACAACUAUAAGAGUGAUCCGGCAAACAAAAUUAUAUGCAUACCUACCCAAAAGCAACCAAAAAUGAGCAAACAAGACAAGAACCGGGAUACUUUGCUUUAUUAUUGUCAAGAAUCAGUGACCCUUUUGAAUGGUUUUUCCUUUUGCUAAAAAACCCUUAUGGCUAUGUUAACUAACGAGUAUGGGAGACUGCUAAUCACUGGCGAUGGUGACUUAUUGGUAUGGGUCGAUAUUCUACAAAUGUGAGGCUAGAAGAUUCGAAUGACUUGGUACAGGCUGAUAACGCUUAAGAAUGAUUGCCUACACCAGUUGGUAUAUCCGGAAUGCUAGAAAUGCAGUAAUCUUCGACCAUAAAUCACUUGAUCUUGAAACUGUCACUCAUACAGAUUAGAAAAGCACUUUCAUACUGCGUUUCCUGUAAAAAUGUAGGAGAGCUGGGUCAUGAUUGGGUGGACGAAAGGCAAGGUGUGUAGAGUAAACCUGAGCUAGGUUUUGUGAAUAUUAACUGUGAAUUAUUUUUCUUGCAUUGAACUAUCAUCGAUUUCUGCACGAUGAAAAUUAGUUGUCCACACAAAACACCCUUGGGGCUUCGGCAGAAACUACUUCACGUGAAGUUCAAAUUGCAACCGUAUUAACUUUACUUGAUUGAUUACACUGGCACACCUCGAAAGAAUACUAAAUCUCAAAUACCUUAUUAAUUCAUCUUACCCAUUGCGGUUGAUGGUAAAUUCACUAAAUCUAUACAAUAACGACUUUUUGUUGUGAGAGUAAAUAUGUGAAAAGACACACAAAAGUUAUUUUAUUUUGUUUGGCACCCGAAAUUAUGACAAACGUGACUUUCCCAUUAAUCUCUACUGAAGAGGAAUGAAGCUAUCCUCUUAUGAUAUUGAUUCUUGCUUACCCAAUUUCAUGGACUAAAAUUCCAAAACAUUAAUGCCGUAAAAUAAUUACUUUGCGAGCAGGAUAAAAGUUCCAAUUCAAUUAUAAAUGAAUACUUUGAUCUCAAUGCUGCUAAUCGUGUAAAAUCAUUUCACAUCAAUGUGUGUUCAGUAAAAAGAACAGUAAUAGAGAGAUAAAAAAAUUAAUCUUAAUGUCCUAAUCUUACUUUUUAACAAAAAUUAUAAUGACAUUUCUUUUGUUAAUGAACUCGACAUCAACUUUAAUCAGGAUAAUAGAUAGGCAGGAAAUCGGUUUAAGAACCAAAAUAUUGCUGCUGCUGCUGCUCUUCUUUUGCUCAAAAUAAUGCUUUUGCCUCCAUUAAUAAAACGAUUUUGGAAAGAAUAGAUGGUUGCUCGUGUACUAAAUGCCCCCUAGAUGCUUUCGGUAGUGAAGUUCCGGGUGCAUCAGUCCGAGGGAAAAAUAGAGCAAGUAGAUAGAUGUGUCUUACCUGUUUCGAGCAGACUUCCUGGAGCAGAUCGAUGAAUGGGAUUAGCUCAAUGACAGCAAUCCAACAAGCACGAGCGCUAGGUUUAGACGAGCAGGAGGAGAAUACUAUUUAAGCAGGGGGACUAAUGGUGAAGCCGAGUGAUGAUGAUCUAAUGGAGAGAGAACUAUAAAGUCCAAGAAGACCAAGACUUUCACCUACCAAAAAGUGUAAGCAAAGACCAAGACUUUCAAGAAUACUUUCUGUCCACAAGUGCUCUUAUCAUGUGAAUAAACCAUAAACUCAGGAAGACCAAAACUUUCAAGAAUCCUUUCUGUCCACAAGUGCUCUUAUCAUGUGAAUAAACCAUAAACUCAGGAAGACCAAGACUUUACUGAACUUCAUGUACUUUUUGUCUAGAAAGUGAAGCAGAGGCGAAAGAGAGCAAAUGGAAAAGAUAGAGACUUCGCAUGAUGCAAAUUGGCAUUGCUGCUUCACUUCUCACAUCCCUCCUCUUCCAUCUCUAUGUGAAUGCCUAUGUUUUUUCAUUACUAGUAGAAUUUCCCCACGCGUUACAUGCCAUGCUUAAAAUUGAAUAUUACUAUAAUUUUCGUCCACCUCUUUUCAUGCUCAAUUGUACUGUGAUUUUUCAUUCAAUAAUCUCUCUUGCACUUGUCUAUUAGAAUUAUGUCUAGGAUUUCAUGUAUCUCUUCAAAUUUAAGUUCAAAAAAAGGAAAAAAAAAAAAGCAAAGAAAAAACAGCCAGAACUAAAAAAAGAAGAAGAAGAAGAAGAAGAAGAAGAAGAAGAAGAAGAAGAAGAAGAAGAAGAAGAAGAAGAAGAAGAAGCAAGAACGGGGCCAGAGAGAGCACCAUUGUCCUAUGGCCACAGACAUGCCAUUGCCAUCAGCACUGCUGCUUAUAGUCAUCUUCAUAGACAACAUUUCCUUGAGAUUUUAUUCUUAGAUCGGUUUAAGAGUUAAGAAUAAUGACAUUGCAAGCACCUAAGCUUUUGUUCAAUUUACAAUCAAGGGCCUAAACUUUUCUUUUUCAAUCAAGAAUCUCAAUUUGAGGCAUCGGCUAAAUAACUUGUCAUGUUAUGUGAUUUUACUGAUGUGACUCGUUUACUUAGCAAAAGUUAAACAACAUAGUAGCUGAUGUCACUCCUUAUCACACAUAUUGAGUGAUGAGGAGAGAAAAGGUAUGCUGACUUAGAUGGUCCUAGCAUCUAAUAAAUCUCAGCUGACCUAGCAGCAUCUCAAGGUACCGUAUUAGACGCUCAUAUGGACAGUUAACGACUAUUUGACAGUGUUCGCAUCAUAUCAACAUUUUUGGACCACGGUUUAAAUGGAAGCCUUGACCUGUAUUUGAAUUGUUGAGGUAAUUGACUGAAAGCAAAAAAAAGUAAAAAAUGAGGAUACUUGAUUAAAAAAGGUAAUAAUUCAAAUACUUGUGCAUCGUUGUCGUUAUCCAAAAAUUUAUCAUGCGAUGAUUGGUCUAGAUUCAAAUCUCAAACGUACUUUUUUUUAUACGUUAUUUAAUCAAUAAACUCAUCCUCUCGUUUCGUUGCUUGGUCUCACUUUAAUAAUUUCUUUUUUAAGAUUUUUAUUUCAAGUGAAAAAAAAUAUUAAAUAGUUUGUUAAUUUCAAGCUGUUGCAAAAAGAUUUCAGUGGCCAUAUAUCAAGCACAUUCGAUCAAAAAGUAUUGCUCUACCCCUACUUUUUGGCCAAUUCCAUUGCUUUUCCUUUGAUCUUCUCACCCAAAACUGAAAAAAUUAUGUGCAAUCAAGAAAACAUCUUCUAUCUAUAAUCAUUUUCUCAUGACAUCAUCACCGGUUCACAGCGGUCCAACUACUUGGACCACAAACUGACAACCUGACCGGUUCUCUGAUCGGCCCAAGUUUGAAAACAUUGGUGCAAAGCUCCAAUCCCUAUUUAAAACAAGUAGAUAUGGCUAUCUUAUACGAAUUGAGUUGUAAUGCACACAAUACUUUUACCACGUGAUCGAAUUUGAUAGCAAGUGGUUACACCUGAUAGAGGUUCGGGUAUUAGUAUUACCGUCGUGGGUGCUCCUCUCUCUAUCCUUGAGCAUAUGAGAUGCGGUAAAACCUUCGUAAUGCUCCAAAUGAGGAUGAUGCUCAACUCCAUGUCCAUGGUAUACUACUCCCGUCGCAUUGCUCUAGUUGGAGCUCCAAGUGCUUCAAUCUCCCCACGUCAGAGAUGUAAAUUUUUGGUCGCGAAUUAGAACUUAGAAGGGGGAGUCAACGAAUACGAGAGAGUUGACUCACUUUUAGGUGCGACCCAAGUGUCCUUUUUUUUUUUUUUGUGAAAAAGAAUCUAAAUCAUACAUUGGUUGACCUGGAAUUAUGAACUUAGGAGGCUAUUGAGGAGACAUAUAAAAAUUUAAUUCAAUUUCUUACUUUAAAGGGUUAAUCCAUUGAAGAACCCAAAACUAGUACAUGUAUAACAAAUUUACCCAAAACUAUUUUUUUUACCAUAAAAAACUCUAAAUUGAUAUACAUGUGACAAAUUUAUCCUGAUCAAUCAUAAAAAAAACCCUAAAUUAGUAUAUUUAUGACAAAUUUACCAUAAAUUAAUUUAUUCGACCGCCAAAAUCCAAAACUCAUACAUUUGUAACAAAUAUACCCCAUGUUAAACUAGAGUAAUACCACAAAAAAAAAUUACAAAAAUUGUAAACUACGACAACGAUGAGUAAAAUCCUAAAUUGGUAUACUAGUCAACUGUCACGUGUCAUUUAACUUAAUAAUUUGAUAGUAAAUUUAACGGAAACUAAUAGAGAGUAAAUUUGUCACAAGUGUACCAGUUUGGGGUAAAUUUGUCAAAAGUAUACUAGUUUAGGGUUUUUGAUUGUUAAAAAAAUUAAUUUGAGGUAAAUUUGUGACAGUUGUAUCGGUUUGGAGUUUUUCGGAGUAUUAACUCUACUUUAAAUAAUAAGUUAACACUACCCUCUCGGUUCACAAUGCAUGUGUACUUUAUUGUAUAUCCACAAAAUCAAUAUAAUCAUUUGGACAUCAUGUGAACGAGCGUUUGUUCAAUUUUGCUACUGUAGAUAGUCUUUUGGUAAAUUUCUAUGAAUAGGCUCGCGUACUCCUCAUCAUAAAAUACAUAGAAAUUACACUGUUCUCUUUCCUGCAUAUUUCUUACCCGAUUUAAAUAUCUUGAUAAAAAAGAAUCGCAUUCUAUAUUGUUUCUCGGUAUUGUAAUUAUUUUUCUAAUGUUAAAAUGUGUCAUUGGGUUGGAAGCUGCCUCGCUGUAAAAGCUGCCCAGCAUGCUCUCUCUCUUUCACUUAUGUUCUCAAAGGCUGAGUUAUCCGGUAGGCCUCAGGUCCACGCUACUAGCCAAAGAUCCGCGCUGUGAUGGGCUAUCCACCGUUGAAAAGCAGCAACUGGCGCAUGAUCGAUGAUGGGCGGUGCAUGAUUAGGCUAUGGACCUCAGGCCUAUGGAAUAAUCGUUAACUGCUCCCUUUGACCGCUUCCUCAGGAUUUCGAUUUGAUUAGUACCGUUGUUCCCUAAGAAUCAGGGGCCAAGAAAACUUGCCCACCCAACGCUAGAAGACAUGAUAGGGUUCGUUUUUCUUUUUCAUUUCAAAGUACUAUAGUUCUUGAGACCUAACCUAUCUUCUCUUAUUCAUGGGUCUAGUGAUACGUGUCAUGAAGUUUGAUGUAUAAAUUUUAGGUUUGGGGCAAGCAUAAAUGGAUGUGCUUGAUAUUUACUUAAAUAAUUAGGAUUUCAUUAACAUGUCCCAGGACACUAUUUAAAUAUUUAAAUAAAAACAUAUUUGUAAUGUAUUGUCUCCUUGGUAUUGCAUACAGAUAAUGUAUUGAAAAUGGCAAUUGGUUUUUUGCUCGAAGCUCUAAUUAACAAGACCCAAAAGAUUACACCAUGAUUUGCAAUUUACAAAUUAGGCUCUAAAUAAAAGAUUUUAACUUUUCCCAGCACAAUAAUAUCCGUGAACAGUCAUGUUGCUUGUUUUUCUUGUCAUAUGGUGAUCGAUUGUGUAAAAUGAUGACCUAAAAUUUUUUUAGGUCGUUACUGACCUAACGUUUUAAGUGGACAUAAAAAUCUCUCCUUUUAGACAUGUAAGAUUUAUUGGUCAUACAAAAAGUAGUUGAGUGUAUUUCAAUGUGGCACCACAUAUAUGGCUCAUGUGGAAUUUGGGCACUUAAUCAAUUUUGAUGGUGCUUGUAAUGGUAGGUGUGGAAGAGGAUUGUAUUGUACAAACUCACAAAGUUAUAACAUUACAUUGCUGAAAAUGGGAAUAGUUAAAAAUCUGGAAUACGAAAAUCAGAGAGCCCCAGUAAGAUUAUUACGGAGAGUAAUUAGACAAACAAAUUCUGUUCAUGCUCACCCUACUGCAACAAAAACCGAACAAGACAUAUCAGGGUACUUUCCAUUCCAAACCUAAAAAGGGAUAGACUUAAUGAUUUUUUAAUGUAGGAGAAUGGCGUACCAUUGAUCACAGGUGAUGGUGGCCUGAUGGUACAAACUGAUAUUCCACAAACGGGAGGUCACAAUGAUAAUCCAUUAGCGAUGGAAGUGCCUGUAUCUUACCUUGCUUAUGACGGGAGUUUUGGCAACUUGGAGGGGUUAGGGUGAGGAGACUUGCCUACCCGAGAUAAUUGGGUCGCGAGUGGUCUUGGAUAACGUUCUCGCAAUCUCAUGUCGAAAUUCAUGGCAGACGUGGAACUUCUGCAAUCACUCAAUAGAGUAACAGAGCAUAGUCUCCUUGAUUGCUCAUCUCCACCUUCCCUUUACAACAAAGAAAUAGAAAAUGUUACAUGAGAUGGCGUGGGAUUCUUUUUUUUUCUUUUUCUUUUUUUGUGGGUGUAAGAUGUUGUGGAAAUUUAAAUAGAAGAAAGAUGAACUGUGAACUCUGACAUGGAAGUCACAUUUAAAUGGAUGUAAAUUGAAGGGUUGAUUCAAAGUUAGUUGUCAUAUUCUCCAACUCGAAAACCACUGUUUAAAUCCUAUUUUUGCGUCUUUAAAGUAGCUUCUAUUGUUAGAAGUAAGAAAGCUUCUUAAUUUGACUUUGAAUGUAGACCUCGUGAUACAAAUUAAUCUUUAGAGCAUGUCGCAAAAAAAGUACGAGCAUAUUAGUACUCCUACCUAAAUUUAUAGCUUUUUGUUUUUCUUUUGCCCAGUGGCAAAAGAUGAACAUAAGCACAUGUCGCCUACCUCAACAGUAUUUGCAUUUGCUCCUCCCGAGAGACUUUGCCAAAUACAGAUGUUAGUGGGAUACUCUGCAAAACAAGAACAGUUGAGCAUGCAGGUCACUCAUCUGGGGCAUAAGAAAAAGAUGUUAGGAAGAGAACGUAAAAGAAGCACUGAAAUUGCAGAAAAAAAUCAAUAUAAGAGCAACCACUCUUCACGAUCCUCAUAAAGCAUAGUGCAUUUCCAUAAGAGGAAAGAUGAGCAACUUUUGGGCAUCAAACAAAGUUCAAGAUAUAUCAUCAAUAAAGACAGGCACAUCCAUGCAUCAUAAUUCCAGCACUGUGAGCAAGUCCAUGUAAGCAUUAUUUGUUUUGAGGAAUAGUCACUUUUAUGAAACAAUGGUUGACUUGCUGUACCACUUUAGCAUUUUAACCAUUUUAUUGCGUACUUCCUUUCAAACAAAACAUAGCAACUCAAUUGUCAACGUUGGACAUUCAGGAGUUGGUCUGUGGAAGUUUUGGUGAAGCUUGUCCAUGGAAAAACAUGAACUUUUUACCAUCGGAUUGAGAAUUCGGAAUAGAAAUGGAUCCUGGAGCAGCAGCAAUAGCUAAACAACAAGUGUGCAAGAAAGAAAGAGGUCUGAAAGAAAUCUGAAUCCUUACCUGAAGAACAAAAAUUAGACAUUGGAGAGAAAUCUUCUUAUUGAAUCCGAACUCAAUCAAUUACUAGGAGUGGGAUUGCUUGGAUGAGGUGCCAAUAGUCACUACGGAGUUUUGAUCACCGAUCUUAUCAGAAUCUCACAUCAAGUUAUGCUGAAUACAUGGAGGGAGGGAGGGAAGCCAUCCUUUGUCAAGUCCCUCAACUUCUGGCAAUGUAUAGAAUAUAACGGUUUAAAUGACGAGAGAUGCCUACGAAGAUUACUUGAUUGUCUUUCCACCUUCUUUAUAUUUCUCAUCUAAAGAAAGAUUAGAGAGGAAGAAAACAGGAGACUCCAUGCAUCUUAUGUCCUCCACCGUUGAUGGUCCUUCCACAUGUUUCAUAUGUCUUAUCCAAAAUCCUGGAACAGGACGAUUAAUUAGUCCUGAACAAAAAUUACUUUCUUGCAUAAGGAACAAACAAUGAGAGUGAUUAGACAAAAAGAAUUAUAUGCAUACAGAAUAAAAAAAAUGAAUAAACAAGACAAGAAACUGGACCCUUCACUUUCCUAUUCUCAGAAAUAAGUGACCCUCUGGAUGAAUUUGUUUUCGCCGAAUAAUUCUUAUGAUUAUGUUAGCCCACACGUAUGGGAGACCACUAAUCACUGGCGAUGGUGGCUUAUUGGUUCCGGCUUGAUAUUCUACAAAUGUGAGGUCAUGAGAUCAAAUGAUUGGUACAGGCUGAUAACUCUUAAGAAUGAAUGCCUACAUCUGUCGGUAUAUCUGGAAAGCUCAAAAUGCGGUAACUUUUAACUGUAAAUCACCAGAUAAGACUGUCACUCAUACAUAUUAGAAAAGCUCUUUGGAGUGUGUUGCCUGUAAAAAUGUAAGAGGGCUAUGUCAUAAUCGGGUGGAUGAAAGGCAGGAUGUGUGGAGUAAACCUGAGCUAGGUUCUGUGAAGAUUAACUAUGAUGAGUCUAACAUCGAAAAAAUGCUGUUGUUGGGAUUGUGGCCAGAAAUUAGACAGGGGAGAUGGUUGUCUGCAGGGGUUUGGUGGUGCAACCUAGAUCCGCUGAGGCUGAUCGAAAGCUGGCCCAAGGUACCAGUGGAGAUGGAUGCAACUGGAGUAUACAAGGAUAUCAUCAAGCUUGCCGAGUAGUGCAAUUAAAGACUAAAGGAAGGUCUUGCUGCGAUUCAAGCAGCUAAUGAUAAUUUUUCAUCUCUGAAUUUUAGUAGUAUUUCACGAAGAGCAAAUUUUUGUGCCCACUGGGUAGCUUUGCAUGCUAGGAAGAGGACGUAUUGUCAAACUUGGGAUCUACAUCCCCAUCCUUCCUACUACUUGGUUUGCUGGCCAAAAGAAAAGGAAAAAGCCGACGUGAGCACACACCCAAAUGUCAGUGGCUGGUUUCUGGAAAUUCAAUGUGAAACAUCACCGUGGGAAAAAAUUCAAUCCGUAUUAAGAAUCGAAUUGAAGAACGCAAUGAAAUAUGAUUUCUUCAAACCCAAAAAACUUACCCGAAUCCUAGAAAACUGACUUUAGAUGGAACAAAUUGCGGCAGUUGCAAAUGAAAGCGAAAGAAUAGAAGAAGUUGGAAGACUUGCCUGAAGAAGAAAAAGUAGUCAACGGAGAUAGAUCUUUUAUAACGGCUCGGGUGAGAUCAAUUUCAAUUUAUUGGAUCCGAACGUUGCCGAUGUAGAUGAGAGGGAUCUCUUGGAUGAGGGGCCAAUGGUCACCAUUGAGUUUUGAGCAUCGAUUUGUCAGAAUCUUGCAUUCUUUGACAAAAUCUUGCAUUCUUUGAUCCACAAUGAUUGGAGGGAGGGAGGGAAGCCAUCUUCUGGUAAGUACCUCAACUUUGGGCAAUCUACAAUCCCAAAAUCUUGGAGAGAGGAGAGAUGGUUGCGAAGACCGUUCGAUAGUCUUUCCACGUUCCUCAUUUCUAUUAUCUGAAGAGUAAUUAAAGAGGAAGGAAAGAGUAGACUCCAUGCAUCCUCGUCCUCCGAAGGAAACCACCCCUUCUCUCCCUCCUUUCCCCUACUGCCAUCAAUUUCUAGAGACAUGAAAGCCGUGAGCAGGCGUAAGCCCCAUUUUCUCACAGUUGCUUUAGAUUCCCGCACCCUACAAUUGUAAGCCGCAGCAAAUUGGAAGGGGAACCUCCUUUGGGGUAGCAUUUGAUAUUUUGGCAAUCAAUAAUAUAUAGCUCCCGGAGGGAUGUAAGAUGAUGCCAUUGAUUUGGUAGGAACUUUAUCUUCGGACAAUUAUAAACAUCGAAAUAUGAUAGGGUGAGGGAAGGAGAGGGAAGUUCUCUAUCUCCAAUGCCAAAUAGUCAUAUAUUCCCAAACGAGUGAGAUGGGAAAGCAUGUGAAGGCACUGUGGUAAGCUUAUGAGAUUCUUACAUCAAUCAAUAGUCAGAGAACUUAGUGAUUCUAGGGUGAUCUCUUCCAGCGACUCCACUCCAUUGCACUCGUAAAUAUAAAAUGUCUUGAGAGCAGCAAGUCUACCCUUGGCAAAGGGAAAUGAUGUUAGAGAAUCACAUUUACCUAUCUCAAGAGAUUCAAGUUGAGACAUCAAGUUUUCAGAGGAAUGGUUUGUCCCAUGAUUUUUGGACAAUUCUGAAUCUGCAAAUCUUUGAGGUUUUGCAUCUUGCUUGGAAGCUUUUCUAAACUUGUGUAAUCCCUCAAUUCCAUCCUUUCAAGAUUGCAGGACAUCUUUAUUUCUCCUUCUCUUGCCACAAAAAAAUGAGAAUUGAGGACAAAUUUUGAUUACUAUUCUUUUAAGGCAAGUAUGAUUUCACAUUUCAUUUCCAUCUUGCCACCAAUAUGUUAGCUUGUCACACUAUCCUAUAUGAAGCUCCUUUAACUUGACCAAACAACUCAUGAACCCAUGAUCAAAACAAACAAGCUCCGCCAAAAUUUUUAUUUUGAGAAUGGUCAAAGAAGUUAGUUUGACCAAGUUCUUUAAGAUCUCCUUGUUACAAUUCUCAAGGAAUAACUCAGAGAGAGAUGGAAGAAAAACCACACUAGUUGAGUUAUUUGAAUGCGGGUAUGAAUGAAUUUCAAGCUUUAUGAGGCGAUCAAGUUGACAAGUGAAAGUCCUAACCAAUGAAGGGCAGCUUCGAACAACAAGAUGCUGAAGACAGUAGAAUGUGACUUCUUCUUGGCCCCCGGGUCCUUCCAUGCCAAUGUCUCCUCGAACUUCAAAGUGGUUAAGGAUGAACCCAUGGUUGAAGAAAUGAUAUCGAUACUAACUCAUCGAAGUGAUCCCAUCCUAGUCUCAAGAUAUUCUCCUUUGCUUUUUGCCCAUCUAAAAAGCCCUCUGCUAUCCAUAAGAGUACCAAGUCAUCCCUCUCAAUUUCAUAAUCCUUGGAAAAUACUUCACAAUAAGCAAAACAUCUCUUCAAAUAAGAGGGAAGAUGGGCAUAGCUCAAUUUCAAAACUGGGAGAACCUCAUCUUUUUUUCCCUUCGGAGGAUCCAUUUUUUGUUAUUUAAGAUGGCUUCCCAUUUAUUUAGAUUCCUUUCAUUACAUAGGGCACUGCCCAACAUCUUCACUGCCAAAGGCAAGCCUUUACAUUUUUCAGCUAAUUGCUUGCCUAUUGUUUCAAGAUCUGAGUGGCUUUCAAAAUUUGUUGCUCCAAGAGCAUGAAAGGCUAAUAAGCUCGUACAAUUAUCAAGGGAUAGCUCCUCCAAAGGAUACAGCAAAGCUCCUCUUAUAGAAACAACAGGAAGGUUGUGAGUCAUAACAAUGAUCUUGCUUCCCUUGGCACCUACUUCAAAUGGCUUUAAGAGGUUAGUCCAUUUUUCGUAGUUCCCAUUCCAAACAUCGUCUAAAACCACAAGAAACUUCUCUCCAGAUAGAUUGUCUUUCAACUUAACUUGAAGCCCGUUAAGGUCUUCGCCCUCAUAGGAUAAGCUAGUGAUCAACUACAAAAUAGUCUUUGUUAUGUCAAGAACAUAAAAAUUAUUUGAAACACAAACCCAUGCUCUCCUCCCGAAAUAUCCAUUCACUAUGGCAUCAUUAUAUAGCCGUUGAGCCAAGGCCGUCUUUCCAAUACCGCCCAUCCCAACUAUAGGGACCAUGCUCAGUGUGGGAUCAGAAUUUUCAACUUCACCAAUCAACAGUUCAAGUAUAUGUGCUUCUUCCUUUUCCCUGCCAAAAAAUCGAGGUUUCGGUAGAGAUGGGGUGGGAUCCCUUUUGCUUGUGUAGUUGAGUUUGUCUGCAAUAUUCUCUCUCAAGCUAAGUUGAGCCUUUCCAGUGAUAAUCGUUUUCAACCUGCCAUUGAUUUCUUGUACCUUGUUUUUAGACAUGAGCGAGCGCAAUUGGCCAAAGAAAGAAAACUUCCAUUUCUCCAGACCUCUAAUUGUGUUGGAUUCUGCCUCUGACUCAACUUGAGCGGCUUUAAUUGCAAACUCAUCGAGCAAGUCUUCCAUGUCAUAGGCCAAGUCCCAAACAUCGUCCAGCCACAACUUCACUUGAGGGUUAUCGCCGAGUUGCUUGUCCUUUGCAUCAGCCAACACUCCAUUAAUUGUGACCAGCAUUGCCUUCCACUUCUCGAGCAGGGUAGUGCUGAUUCCUUCCCAUUACACAUGGCACAAUGCAAGAGAAGUCAACUUGUUGAACAGGAUUUGAAAGAAGGAAGCCAAGAAGGAACCUAAAACGACCUCUCCAAUGGCCAUGGUUGAAUCAAUCACCUUAGAGAACAACAAAGGUGUUAAGUGAAGCAAAGUGAAAAUGAGCUGAUGGAGGGGAAUUCACAACAUGAAGAAUGAAUUCUAGGAUUCACGAUUUCUCACUUAAGUGCAAUAACUGCGCCAAGUGCUAUUUUUACCCAAGGCUUGGUUUCAUGUGGAGUCCACCUCAUCCAAUAGUGGAUAAACCUAUUCUUCAAGGCUCAACUACCUAAUUGAAACUUGUAAGUUUUUAGCAUUUUUUUUUAAAUUUAAAUUUUUAAGAUUUUUAAAAUUUGUAUUUGUAUUUUUAUGUUAUCUUUUAAGGAUGAACGAUCAACUACACCACCAAUAUACGAGGGCUGAUAUUUUUACAAUCUCAAAGCAUGAAGGGCAAGCUGAGAAGAUGCCAACAUGUUGCACUGAAGAUUUAGCUCAGAAUACUCAACUUCUUCACCUCAAAGAAAGCAACAUUCAUCCAUGCACUAUUGUCCUAUAUGAGAAAAAAUUAACAGCGACACCCACAUUGACCCAACAGAAAGUGCCAAUAACCACUUCAACAAAGCCAAGACCCCACCAGCCACAAAUACAAGUACAUCAUUCACUGCACAAAUACAUACGGACAGCAAGCUACUAGGACAAAUUAAGCACGCCUCAAGCAUAAGAAUGUGAUAAUCCAAUAUAAAAUAAUAAUGAAUCCAAAGCGUCACCUACAUGGAGGAUAUACAUGCUGAGGAGGUCCAAGAACGCUUAAGUAACACCAGACAACUAAUGGCUUUACUUGACUCGAAUCUGCGCAAUAUGAAAUACUAUCAAUUUUAUGUGUUUCAAGCCUUGAAUCGCCCCCAUCAAAUUGAUGGAAAAAGAUGUAACAUCCAUGCGGCAUCUUUCUAUAUGUUCACAUGACGAAAACACUACCGAAAUGAGAUUGAAAUCCUCACGUUCCCCAUGUGAACAAAAGCGACCAGAAAACACCCUUAUUAUGUUCAAGGCUGGAAACGAUGGCAAUUUGAUGAGAAAUCAAUAUCCAUAAAACACUGUACAUGGCCACCUCACUGUGCUUAUUUUUGCUUCUCAAGAACUUGUACAUAACAUCAUACUUACGUCAUCCGUACCAGAAACCGUGUAUAUCUUCAACGUCAGUUGACACAGCAAAUGCAAGCAUAAACAGCGAACAUCAAAUGCACGUGACCAGCAUUUGACAUACUAAAAGCACAUACAAUCGCAUUCAAUCAACUUUACACGGGAAAUGCACUAAGACACGAGCAGUGCAACUUCAAUGGGACAUCAAAACGUUGGUAAACGGAAUGCAAUAGGAAUUAACUAUCUAUGACUGAGUCAAGCAUUCUGUCGAACUGGUAGAACGCCUACCCGUCAAAGAACUAAUAUACGCCAUCUUCAAGCAGCGAUUCACUUACAGUCAUUACUAUCAGCAACAACCGCGGUCCAGAACAUCGAGAGAAACUGAGAAGGAGGAAAGUCCACGAAGAAGCCUCUCCUCUGGAAAUUCAAGAAAAAACAGAGAGCUCAGCUCGAUUCAUUGAACCCAAAGCCGAAAACUAGAGAGAGAGAGAGGACUUGGCUUUAGCGAUCGAACGGCGAGGAGCCGUUGUAGUCGGAGCAAAGGCUGAGAGACGUCAGAAACUGAGCCGGAGCUCUGCCGAACUCAGCGCUCUCCCUCGCUACAAUUCUUCUUCCAUCAUCUUCUAGCGGCUUUUGUUUUGCACUGAAUCCUUUGACAAAAGUUGUCUUUUAAGGGUUUCCAUGGAUGCUAAUAUUCUUUUGGUCGACUCACCCUACGGUCCCAUAAAUUGUUGUCAGGUGACGAUGACGACUCAUCUUUAUCACUCUAAAAUUAGGAAGGAGAGGGAAUUAUAAAGAUUACGAAGCCUGUCAUUAACUAAAGCCAAAGAGAGCCAUUGUAAUAAAUAGGGAUAGCGGUUUCCCAGUUCGAUAAUGAGAAUAGAAACACAUGAUUUUGGUUAAACAAGGAAAAUAGCUGGGUACACCAAUGAAUCCAUGAAGCAAUUUGCUUAAUUUUACUCUGGAAAUAGUAAACAAUUCAUAUAUCACCAACUAAUCAUCAAGCAAAUGCUUUGGUUAACUUUUUCUUUUCAAAGAACCACAAUUCUCCUAUCAAGCACUUCAUGAUCAUCAACAAUUGCUUCAACACCCUUCAACAGAUCAUUGCCGCCCAUUUUGUUGCAAAUUUUUAGCACUAUGGAUACCACGUGAAAGACUAUACUCAAAAAAAGAAAAAGAAAAAACCAACAAAACAUUCGUAAGAUAAAUUUUUUAUGAAGAUAUGCCUGCCCUCUAAGAGUGAAUCAAUAACCGUAGAGUCAACCAAGGGUUAUGUUGAAGCAAAGUGGUAAUGAGUUGAUGGAGAUAGACAACUUUAAAGUCCCGGAAGACCAAGACUUUCACCUACCAAAGAGUUUAAACAGAGACCAAGACUUUCAAGGAUGCUUUCUGUCCACAAGUACUUUGUUCAUGCAGAUAAACCAUAAACUCAAGAAGGCCAAGACUUUAUUGGACAUCAUGUAUUUGUUUGUCUAUAAAGUGAAGCAGAAGCGAAAGAGAGCAAAUGAAAAAGAUAGAGUUUGCAGGAUGCAAAUUGGCAUUGUUACAUCACUUCUCACAUCCCUCCUCUCUCAUCCCUAUGUGAAUGCCUUUGUUUUUCCAUUACUAGUAGAAUUUCCCCAUGCAUUACAUGCCACGCUUAAAAAUUUAUUGUUACUAUCAUUUUUGUCCUACUCUUUUCUUGCUUAAUCGUACCGUGAUUUUUCAUUCUAUAAUCUCUCUUCUACUUGUCUAAUGAAUAGUGUCUAGAUUUCAUGUAUCUUUUCAAAUUUAAAUUCAAUAAAAGAAAAGAAAAAGCAAAGAGAAAAAUAAAAAGAAAAAACAGCAAGAACUUGAAAAAGGUAAAAAAGAAGAAGAAGCGAGAAUGGGGCGGGAGAGCGCACCACCGUCCCACGGCCACUGCCAAGCCGUUGCCAUCAGCACCGCUCCUUAUAGUCACCUUCAUAGGCAACAUUUCCUUUAGAUGUUUUUCUUAGAGCGGUUUAUUGGUAAGAGGCAUUUAGGUAUUCUCGAAACAUGCAUGUUCAAGUUAAUUAUUGCAUGUAAAAAUGAAAUUGUUUUGAUGAUUUUGCUAAUCCUAAAUAGACUUCAUGAUUUUGUUAACGUAGAACUAUAGGGGACCACUGAACACCAGCGACGGUGGCCUGACGGUACAAAUUGAUAUUCCACAAAUGCGAGGUCACGAUGAUAAUCCAUUAGUGAUGGUAGUGCCUAUAUCUUGCCUUGCCUAUGAUGGGAACUCUGGCAGCUUGGUAUUGGUUGAUGAGACUUGGCUACCCGAGAUAACUAGGUUGCGAGUUGUCACGCCCCGAUCCUUGGGCACGCACACAUCCUUCUGACUUGGUCGAUUUUAUAUUGCGAUAUCCCAGGACAAUGUAUCGUCGACCAUUUCAUUUAUUAAGCACAUGCGGAAGCAGUUAAAAUCCCCAGACAAUAGAACGAUGGGAUAGAAAAACAGGGCCAUAUUUUUCAUAUUGAAAUUUAUAACCAAACUUUUAUACAAAACACAAACCGCUUCAUAACUAUUCACUUCAAAAGGAAUUCUCAAAAGAAGAUAGACUCUUAGUCCAUCCAGGCUGCACUCAAGACCCCUAUCGGGAUUAUCUUCUUCUUCCAAAAUCAUUCUCCUCAGGUUUUACCUCCGAGUCCUCCUUUCCAGACUUCUCCUCCUCAACUUCUCAUCGGGCUCCUGAAAUGUUUUCCCAAAACUAGGAUGAGACUACGUCUCAGCGAGUUCUACCCCCACUAAGCCUGAUUAGUAAACCAUUAUACUAUAGGCUGCCUAAACACACACAGGGCAAAGGACGUACCUUGGUCUUAAAUCUCACCUGCAAGUCAGUACAAUCCACAAUAGGCACCCAAGUAAUCAUAUCACAGAUUGAAGCAUCGAUCAAUUCGACCUAGUCGAUUAUAUACCAACAAUACCACUCACGGUCAUUUCCAUCCAGUCAAUCAAUUCACAACAUCAAAUCAAAGCAAUGAUCAAUCGACCUAGUCGAUUACAUGUCAGACGGACCAUUCUAGGUCAAUUCGAUUAUUCCAUCUCAAUCAUCAAUUACGAACUACGAUCCUCAGAUCACAUCUUAAGCAAAGGUGGAAGACACAGUCCACCACUCGACAACAUUCAAUAUUUAAUGGCUUUACGGUCCCACUCGACCACUUUCGAUAUUCAAUGGCUUUACGGUCCCACUCGACCACUUUCGAUAUUCAAUGGCUUUACGGUCCCACACGAUCACUUUCGAUAUUCAAUGGCUUUACGGUCCCACUCGACCACUUUCGAUAUUCAAUGGCUUUACGGUCUCACUCGACCACUUUCGAUAUUCAAUGGCUUUACGGUCCCACUCGAUCACUUUCGAUAUUCAAUGGCUUUACGGUCUCACUCGACCACUUUCGAUAUUCAAUGGCUUUACGGUCCCACUCGACCACUUUCGAUGUCCAAUGGCUUUACGGUCCCACUCGACCACUUUCGAUAUUGAUAAUCAAUACCCAACAAUUUUUCAAUGAAAUAAUUAACAACAACCAUUUAGGAAUAUAUCCUAAAAUUCCACAUUCCAUUCAAUUUGACACAAUUCAAAGCUCAAAUAAAUAAAUGGACUAUGCCACGAUAGUCAGCAUGAGAUUUCGAUCGUCGGCCAUCUCAAUCUUAAUUUCCAAAAAAUAAUUAAUUAAUUAAUUAAUUUCGAAAAUUAAUUAAUAAAUAUUAAAAAUUCAAUUUAGCUCAAAAUAAGGCCCAAUUAAAUAAACGAACUCCACCAUGAUUAUCAGCAUAAUAUUCUGGUCACAAGCCAUCCCAGUUGAAUUUUUGGAAAAUAAUUAAUUAAUUUCGAAAAUUAAAUAAUUAAUAUUAAAAAUUCGAUUUAGCUCAAAAUAAAGCCCGAUUAAAUAAACGGACUCCACCACGGUCAUCAGCAUAAGUUUCCGGUUCCGGACCAUCUCAGUUGAAUUUUCGGAAAAUAAAUAAUUAUUUAAUUUAAUUCCGAAAAUUAAUAUUUAAAUACCAAAAAUUCCACUUAGGCCCGAAUUGUCAAAUUGAAGCCCGAUUAGGGGUCGGAAAAUUCCCGAGACACUUCCAAUAAUUAGUAGACCACGUCUACUUGCUAAUUGCGCAAUCAAUUUAUCUAAUUCACAUCACAUUUGACUAAUAAUUGCUAAUUUAUUCUAAUCUAACAACCUAAACAUAAUUAAUUAAAAUUAAACCAACCUUAAAGCAUAAUUAGCCAACAAAUCCGGGAUUAGUGAGAUUACUCACCAAAUCGUGCGCAAAUCAGAUCAAUCCGACGGGGGCGAGGCGAGGAACGAUUCUUCCUAAAGCACGGCUCGGGUUUGGGGCCCGGAAACGGCCCAAAACGGCCCACGAACAGGUUGGAUACCCACUCGGCAACUUGCUGAGUUGGGCUAGCCGGAGCUGCUCCGGUGGCCAAGACGGCGAGGAGAGGCCGAUGGAGGGUGAGGGGACGUCGAGGAGGCCAGGUGAUGACCGGACGGGGCUGGGCGGUGGCCGAAGGCGCCAGACCGAGCUGGGCAGCGAUUAGAAUCGCGCGGGGGAGGACUGGGUGUGAGGGGACGGACGCGGGGGCGCGUGGAUGGCGGAACGGCGGCGAGCGGUGGGCGUCCGGGCGACGGUGUGGGCGGCGACGAGCGGUUUCGGCGAGCUGCGAUUGUGCGGCUUCUUCUUCUGCUCCUGGUUCGGUUCGUUCGAAGAAGAAAGAAGAAGAAGAAGAGAGUGAAGAGAGAGAGAGAGAGAGAGAGAGAGAGAGAGAGGAGGGUUUGACUAGUCAAAGAAAUAAGAAAAAAGAAAGAGGAAGACAGCAGGCAUCCGACUGGGGGGAAUUGCACGAGAGAAAAGAAAAGAGAGAGAAGAGAGAGAAAAGGGAGAGAGAGAAAAAGAAAGAAAUAAGAUAACCUAAUACUAUUAGUCUUAUUUUAUUCUUUUCUUUUCUCUUUCCCUUUCUAUUUUCUUUCGAUCUUCGAUUUUUCCUCUGAAAUUUCUUUCUUGAAAUUUCAGGCUCGUCAAUAAUUUGACGGACGAUGAGACGAGGUCCAAAAAUUUGAAUUGCGACACGCUCGAAUAUUCGAUUCCCGAAACCAAAUCAAAUUCCAUGAUUAAAAUCGACCGGACGUGAUUUAGUCCAAUCCAACCAAUUAGGUAGCUUUUAGGGAUUUUACCGCGGAUAUAUCCCUUAACGGCUUCACCCAAUAGGUUAGUUAACUCGUGAGUGAUCAGCUCAGAGAAAAAGUACCAUAGGCGCGUCAACGAAAUGCACAUUUCAUUUUAUCGAAAUGGGGUCGAAUUUCAGGAUGUCACAACUCUUCCCCUCUUAUAAAAAUUUCGUCAUCGAAAUUUAAACCAUUAUACACUUUGCUCAAAAAGGCGGGGGUACAAUAGUCUCAUCGACUCUUCAGUCUCCCAAGUCGCUCCUUCAGUACCGUGGUGCUGCCAGACCACUUUGACAAACGGAAUGGUCUUUGUACGCAGAACUUGCUCUUUACGGUCGACAAUCUGAACCAGGCUUUCAACGUAUGAUACACGGUCAUCCACGUCCAAUUUCUCGAAAUUGAGCACGUGAGUCGGAUUAGGCUCGUACUUCCUUAACAUCAACACGUGAAAGACGUCAUGCACUUGCGCCAGUCUUGGCGGCAACGCAAGACGAUACGCUAGGGUCCCAAUUCUCUCAAGAAUCUCGAAUGGACCUACGUACCUCGGACUCAGCUUGCCUUUCUUACUAAAGCGCGAAGUUCCCCUCAUUGGUGACACUUUCAGAAAAACGUGAUCACCAACUUGGAAUUCCAAAGACCUUCGACGCUUAUCUGCAUAACUUUUAUGCUUGCUCUGCGCGGUCUUUAAUCUGUCUCCAAUUACUGCCACGGCAUCUACUGAUUGCUGAAGCAACUCUGGACCUGUUAUCUUCCUUUCUCCGACUUCAUCCCAACAUACUGGAGUUCUGCAUACUCUGCCAUACAACGCUUCAAAUGGAGCCAUCUUGAUGCUCUGCUGAUAACUGUUGUUGUAGGCGAAUUCCACCAGAUGAAGCUGAUCCUCCCAACUUCCUUUGAAGUCUAUUACACACGCUCUCAGCAUGUCUUCAAGAGUCUGAAUUGUCCUUUUAGACUGGCCAUCCGUCUGAGGAUGAUAUGCCGUACUGUACUGAAGCUUUGUACCUAAAGCACUCUACAAGCUCUUCAAAAAGCGGCAGUAAACCUCGGGUCUCUAUCGGAUGUUAUCGUAACCGGCACUCCAUGCAUUCGAACCACUCGAUGCACAUACAGGUCUGCGUGCCUAUCAAGACUAAGGUCCUUUCGAACUGCAAUGAAGUGAGCCGACUUUGUCAACUUAUCGACUAUUACCCAAAUCGAAUCAUUCCCCUUCUGACUCCUUGGUAGUCCAGUCACGAAAUCCAUCGUGAUAUGCUCCCAUUUCCAUUCUGGGAUCGCGAGAGGUUGUAGAAAUCCUCCCGGCUUGUAAUGCUGGGCUUUUACUUGCUGACAAGUCAAACACUUGGCCACAUGCUUGGCGAUGUUCACCUUCAUACCUGACCACCAGUAGUGUUGACGCAAGUUCUGAUACACCUUAGUGCUUCCAGGAUGAAUGCUAUAGCUGCUACGAUGUGCUUCUGAUAAAAUUUCUUCUCUAAGCUCGACAUCAUCAGGUACAACCAAACGUCCUUGAAACCUUAGAGUUCCGUCAUCAGCAAUCUGAAAAUCAACCUUCCUUUUAUUUGCGUCUUCCUAAAGAAUUCUCUGUACAUCUGGUUUUGUCGGUUGGAGUUGCUUGAUUCUGACUUGAAUAUCCGGCUCAAUUCUGAGGGUGGCCAUAAGACUCGAGAGGUGGCCUACCUCAAAUUUGAAUUCUGAAUCCCGAGCUCUCUCGAUUAAGUUCCACUCCUUAAUCAAGAUUUGCGCUAUUGAAGACUUCCGACUCAAUGCGUUAGCAACCUUGUUCGCCUUUCCCGGGUGAUAUAGAAUAUCACAGUCAUAGUCUUUCAGUAAUUCCAUCCAUCGGCGCUGUCUCAUGUUCAACUCCUUCUGAGAGAACAGAUACUUGAGACUUUGAUGGUCCGUGAAAAUCUGAAACUUUUCUCCGCAUAAGUAGUGCCUCCAAAUCUUUAACGCAAAUAUGAUGGCUGCAAGUUCUAAGUCAUGCGUCGAAUAGUUCAAUUCAUGAGGUCUCAACUGCCGGGAAGCGUAUGCAACAACUCUGCCAUGUUACAUCAGCACGCAACCCAAUCCUCUGAAUGACGCAUCACUAUAGAUCUCGAAUCCUCUAGGACCAGAUGGAAUUGUCAGUACAAAUGCAGUAGUAAGCUUUUCCUUCAGCUCUUGGAAACUACGCUCACACUUGUCUGUCCAUAUGAACUUCUCGUUUUCCUUCGUAAACUUUGUUAGAGGUGAUGCUAACGCUGAGAAACCUUCUACAAACCGUCUGUAAUAACCUGCUAACCCCAGAAAACUUCUGAUCUUUGUCACUGUCGUCGGUCUCGGUCCACUGAUAACUGAUUCGGUCUUGACCGGGUUCAUGGAAAUUCCUUCACCAUUCUCAAACAUCUCUUGUGCUCUUUAGAAUUCCUCGAAUACACCGGAAUAUCAUUACACGACACGAUCACAACUAACCCAGAUAUUUCUUGCACACUCGGUUUGCCAAAUCCAUGACAAUAGCUGGAGUGUUUAUCAGACCAAACGAUCUUACGAUACUCUCGUAAAGAUCUUAUCAAGUACGAACAACUGUCUUUCGUAUAACCUCCUUCCUGGCUCGUAAUUGACGACAUCUUGUUCUCAAGUUAAUCCUUGAAGACAUCAACACUCUUGAUGUUUGGUCACCCAAUUCGCCGAUCUUGUACAAUGGACGUUUAUCCUUGAUCGUCACCUAAUUGAGUUGACGAUGGUUGAUGCAUACUCGCAACAAACCAUCUUUCUUUUCUCACAAACAAAAUUGAUGUUUCCCAAAAGUGAUGCACUAAUAUACAUGAAUUCCUCAUUCAUCAAUCUUCACAUCUGCAUCUUUAAUUCUACCAAUUCAGACAACAACAGCUGAUAAGAAGCCUUCAAGAAUGACUCUAUCCUGAUGCUAGUUCGAUCGCAAUUUCUAUCUCUUUCUGGCGGUAACCCAAUCAAUUCCUUUAAAACCAUCUUAGAAAUUUUUCUGUAUCACGACCACCUUCUUCACAUUCUAUUUCUCAACUGAUACAUCCACUACAGUUGUCAAAUCAAUCUUGGCAACCUCCGUCUAACAAACGGAUUAUCUUCAGCCAACGAGAUUAUUGAAAUCGAAGAUUCUUUUCGACUCCCAAUAACCUCGACACUUGCACAUGUUACUAGACUAAACUGGAUUACUCAAUGACCAUGAUUCAUUAUCACAAGAUGCUCCAUAAGCCCACACUAUUCAUGUGGCAUCAAAUUCACACUUCAGCAACUAAUCAAGCACAACUAUUGCUAAUGAUUUCCCAUCUGUCACUUUUACUUCAACAAUUUACGUUCUACCAACUCAGCACAAAACUUUGCUAUGUUACUCUGAUAAGAUCAUCUCCAACACAUUCUUUCUCUGAUCGGUGCAAGAUCAAUUCUACUCUCAUUCCUUUCGCCAUCCUAGUGGUGUUUUGGCCGCAGUAGCGAUGUCUAUGCUACCUUAGACUUCCACUGACAGUCCUUCACCUGAUGGCCACGCUGGUUAUCAUCACAACAGGUUCUAGUCAUAUUUGGACACUGGAUUCAUCCAUGCUUCCUUCUACAAUUCUGACAUUUAUCAGGUGAGUCUUCUAUCUCCUGCCAAGUGACAGCACACACUCUUUCUGGUUGCCCCAUUAGUCUGCUAGGACCACUCUCGACCAGAUAUCCUUGUUGGCUAUACUCCAAACAAUUUCGCGUCCUAGGAAGGACAUAAGACCGAUCUCCAUCAUCACGUCCGGAAACAAUCUGAUCUAUUUGACUCGGUGCUGACUUGACUACCCCACUCUUUCUCGUGAGUGGAAUAAAAUACUUUUCUCUCGACCUCGGUCUUUUCCCUGACCGAUUUCCAUUUCUGCCUAAACUAGAUCUAUACCUCGGCUCGAAUGCAAUGACUCGCUCCCGGAUCACAUCUCCACUCUGGAUCUCAGUAGGUGAGGCGACAAUAGCAGUUGCAACAAUGACGGCAGUUCGAUCCUAAGCCUCCUAGCUCAUCCAAUUCCCAAUGAACACUAGCAUCAAAACGAUCCUAUCAAACUUAUGAUCAUUCGACACUACCACACUAGUACCAACCUGCGGUGGUACUCUUACACUCGAGCUAGCUAGAGCCAACACUCUGCCUCAACCACCUCGGGUACCAACCUUUGUCGGUGCUUCAUCCCGAGUCACAGACGACAUUGUCCUCUUACUAGGAGUUCUCAGCUCCUGCUCGCUCAUGGUUCAGUCUUUACACUGCAACCCGUCUUCCAACCCACACUAGAUUAGAAGGUGAGCGAUCCACACACAACAAAUAAUUCUAGCAUUCAGCUAACACAGACAUGCACCAGCAUGAUUUUAAAGGUCUUUCCUACUAACUAUCCCGUGGUCAACGCUCCUUAUCACUCAAAUCUUGAAUUUCGCUCUGAUACCACAAAAAGGGGAUGUCACGCCCCGAUCCUCGGGCACGCACACAUCCUUCUGACUUGGUCGAUUUUAUAAUGCGAUAUCCCAAGACAAUGUAUCGCCGACCCUUUCAUUUAUUAAGCACAUGCGGAAGCAGUUAGAAUCCCCAGACAAUAGAACGAUGGGAUAGAAAAGCAGGGCCAUGUUUUUCAUAUUGAAAUUUCUAACCAAACUUUUUUACAAAACACAAACCGCUUCAUAACUAUUUACUUUAAAAGGAAUUCUCAAAAGAAGAUAGACUCUCAGUCCAUCCAGGCUGCACUCAAGACCCCUAUCGGGAUUAUCUUCUUCUUCCAAAAUCCUUCUCCUCAGGUUUUACCUCUGAGUCCUCCUUUCCAGACUUCUCCUCCUCAACUUCUCAUCGGGGUCCUGAAAUGUUUUCCCCAAACUGGGAUGAGACUACGUCUCAGCGAGUUCUACCCCCACUAAGCCUAAUUAGUAAACCAUUAUACUAUAGGCUGCCUAAACACGCACAGGGCAAAGGACGUACCUUGGUCUUAGAUCCCACCUGCAAGUCAGUACAAUCCACAAUAGGCACCUAAGUAAUCAUAUCACAGAUCGAAGCAUCAAUCAAUUCGACCUAGUCGAUUAUAUAACAACAAGACCACUCGCGGUCAUUUCCAUUCAGUCAAUCAAUUCACAACAUCAAAUCAAAGCAAUGAUCAAUCGACCUAAUCGAUUAUAUGUCAGACGGACCAUUCUAGGUCAAUUCGAUUAUUCCAUCUCAAUCAUCAAUUACGAACUACGAUCCUCAGAUCACAUCUUAAGCAAAGGUGGAAGACACAGUCCACCACUCGACAACAUUCAAUAUUUAAUGACUUUACGGUCCCACUCGACCACUUUUGAUAUUCAAUGGCUUUACGGUCCCACUCGACCACUUUCGAUGUUCAAUAGCUUUACGGUCCCACUCGACCACUUUCGAUAUUGAUAAUCAAUACCCAACAAUUUUUCAAUGAAAUAAUUAACAACAACCAUUUAGGAAUAUAUCCUAAAAUUCCACAUUCCAUUCAAUUUGACACAAUUCAAAACUCAAAUAAAUAAAUGGACUACGCCACGACAGUCAGCACGAGAUUUCGAUCGUCGGCCAUCUCAAUCUUAAUUUCCGAAAAAUAAUUAAUUAAUUAAUUAAUUUCGAAAAUUAAUUAAUAAAUAUUAAAAAUUCAAUUUAGCUCAAAAUAAGGCCCAAUUAAAUAAACGGACUCCACCACAAUUAUCAGCAUAAUAUUCUGGUCACAGGCCAUCCCGGUUGAAUUUUCGGAAAAUAAUUAAUUAAUUAAUUAAUUUCGAAAAUUAAAUAAUUAAUAUUAAAAAUUCGAUUUAGCUCAAAAUAAAGCCCGAUUAAAUAAACAGACUCUACCACGGUCAUUAGCAUAAUUUUCCGGUUCCGGACCAUCUCAGCUGAAUUUUCGAAAAUAAAUAAUUAUUUAAUUUAAUUCCGAAAAUUAAUAUUUAAAUACCAAAAAUUCCACUUAGGCCCGAAUUGUCAAAUUGAAGCCCGAUUAGGGGUCGGAAAAUUCCCGAGACACUUCCAAUAAUUAGUAGACCACGUCUACUUGCUAAUAGCGCAAUCAAUUUAUCUAAUUCACAUCACAUUUGACUAAUAAUUGCUAAUUUAUUCUAAUCUAAGAACCUAAACAUAAUUAAUUAAAAUUAAACCAACCCUAAAGCAUAAUUAGCCAACAAAUCCGGGAUUAGUGAGAUUACUCACCAAAUCGCGCACAAAUCAGAGCAAUCCGACGGGGGCGAUGCAAGGAACGAUUCUUCCCAAAGCACGGCUCGGGUUCGGGGCCCGGAAACUGCCCAAAAUGGCCCACGAACAGGCUAGAUACCCACUCGGCAACUUGCUGAGUUGGGCUGGCCGGAGCUGCUCCGGUGGCCAAGACGGCGAGGAGAGGCCGAUGGAGGGUGAGGGGACGCCGGGGAGGCCAGGUGAUGACCGGACGGGGCUGGGCGGUGGCCGAAGGCGCCGGACUGAGUUGGGCAGUGGCUGGAAUCGCGCGGGGGAGGACUGGGUAUGAGGGGACGGAUGCGGGGGCGCGUGGACGGCGGAACGGCGGCGAGCGGUGGGCGUCUAGGCGGCGGUGUGGCCGGCGACGAGCGGUUUCGGCGAGCUGCGAUUGUGCGGCUUCUUCUUCUGCUCCUGGUUCGGUUCAUUCGAAGAAGAAAGAAGAAGAAGAAGAGAGUGAAGAGAGAGAGAGAGAGAGAGAGGAGGGUUUGACUAGUCAAAGAAAUAAGAAAAAUGAAAGAGGAAGACAGCAGGCAUCUGACUGGGGGGAAUUGCAUGAGAGAAAAGAAAAGAGAGAGAGAAGAGAGAGAAAAGGGAGAGAGAGAGAAAAAGAAAGAAAUAAAAUAACCUAAUACUAUUAGUCUUAUUUUAUUCUUUUCUUUUCUCUUUCCCUUUCUAUUUUCUUUCGAUCUUCGAUUUUUCCUCUGAAAUUUCUUUCUUGAAAUUUCAGGCUCGUCAAUAAUUUGACGGACGAUGAGACGAGAUCCAAAAAUUUGAAUUGCGACACGCUCGAAUAUUCGAUUCCCGAAACCAAAUCAAAUUCCAUGAUUAAAAUCGACCGGACGUGAUUUAGUCCAAUCCAACCAAUUAGGUAGCUUUUAGGGAUUUUACCGCGGAUAUAUCCCUUAUUGGCUUCACCCAAUAGGUUAGUUAACUCGUGAGUGAUCAGCUCAGAGAAAAAGGACUAUAGGCGCGUCGACGAAAUGCAAAUUUCAUUUUAUCGAAACGGGGUCAAAUUUCAGGAUGUCAAACAAGUGGUAUUGGACGAUGACCUUCUCGCGAUUUGAAAUAUUUCAAGGCAGACGUGAAACUUUUACAAUUACUCAAAAUGGUAACAGAGCAUAGUCUCCUUGAUUGCUCCUCUCGGUCUUUCCUUUGUGACAAAGAAAAAGAAAAUGUUCUCUGAGAUGGCGUGGGAAGUUAAAUAGAAUAAAGAUGAACUGUUAACUUCGACAAGGAAGUCAGAUUGAAAUGGAUUGUAAUCUGCCAACUCGAAAACCCCAAUUUUUGCAUCUCUUCAGUCGCUGUUGCUGUUGGAGGUACGAAAGUUGCUUCGUUUGACUUUGAAUGUAGACCUCGAUAGUUGACAUCGUGAUACAGAUAAAUCUUUUAGAGCAUGUCACCAAAAAAAAAAGUAUAGAGCAUAUUAGUACAACUACCAAAAUUAGUAGCUUUUUGUUUUUCUUUUGUCAAGUUGCAAAAGAUGAACGUAAGCACAUCAGUUGCCUACCUCAACAAUGUUUGCAUUUGAUCACCGGGAGAGAUUUUGCCAAAUGCAGAAGACAGUGGGAUAUUUUGCAAAGCAAGCACAGUUGAGAGACAUCAGGUCAAUGAGCUAGGGCCUAAGAAAAAGAUAUUUGGAAGAGAAAAUACAACAAACGCUCAUAUUGCAGAAAAAUAUCAAUACAAGAGCAACAAUUCUUCAUGAUUCUCACGCAAAGCAUAGUGCAUUUCCAUAAGUGGAAAGAUAAGCAAUUUUUGGGCAUGAAACAAAGUUCAAGAUAUAUCAUCAAUAAAGACAGGCACAUCCAUGCAUCAUAAUUCCUACACUAAGAGCAAGUCCAUGUACGCAUUAUUUGUUUUGAGAACAAAGAUUAGACAUUGGAGAGAUAUCUUCUUAUUGAAUCCGAACUCGAUCAAUUACGAUGAGUGGGAUUUCUUGGAUGAGGUGCCAACAGUCGCCGCAGAGUUUUGAGCACUGAUCUUUCAGAAUCUCUCAUUGAAUUAUGCGGAAUACAUGGAGGGAGGGAUGGAAGCUGUCUUCUGUCAAGUACCUCAACAUCCAGCAACUGUAAAAUAUAUGACUGUUUGAGAGAGGAGAGAUGCCUGCGAAGCCCACUUGACAGUUUUUUCACGUUCCUCAUAUUUUUCAUCCAAGGAGAGGUUAGAGAGGAAGAAAAUAGAAGGCUCCACGCAUCUUAUGUCCUCCGCUGUUGAUGGUUCUUUCACAUUUUUCAUAUUUCUUAUCCAAAAUACUGGAAGAGGACGAUUAAUUAGUCCUGAAUAGAAAUUACUUCCAUGCAUAAUGAACAACUAUGAGAAUGAUCAGACAAAAAGAAUUAUAUGCAUACCGACCCAACAGCAACAAAAAAUGAACAGACAAGACAAGAACCAGGAUCCUUCGCUUUCCUUUUCUUAGCAAUUAGUGACCCUUUGGAUGAUUUUGUUUUCACUGAAUAAUUCUUAUGAUUAUGUUAGCACACACGUAUGGGAGACCACUAAUCACUAGUGAUGGCGACUUAUCGGUUCAGGCUUGAUAUUCUACGAAUGUGAGGUCAUGAGAUCAAAUGAUUAGUGCAGGUUGAUAACUCUUAAGAAUGAUUGCCGUCACCUGGUGUAACUGGAAAGCUCCGAAUGCAGCAACUAUUAACCAUAAAUCACCAAAUCCUGAGACCAUCAGUAAUACAUAUAAGAAAAACUCUUUUGCAGUGUGUUGCCUGCAAGAAUAUAAGAGAGCUAUGUCAUCAUUGGGUGGACGAAAGGCAGGGCGUGUAGUAAAACCUAAGCUAGGUUCUGUGAAUAUCAACUGCAAUGGGUUUGACAUUAAAGAAACGAAACAUGCUGUUGUUGGGAUUGUUGGGAAGAUGGAAUUGGACUUUGAGGCAUGAAUACACUGUCUUUAAGAAACAAACUAUUUAGUAAAGCACUUUUUCUAUGUUUUACAAACAAACUAACAACAGGCAUUGUGGCCACAAAUUAGGCAGGGGACAUGGUUACCCGCCGGGGUGUGGUGGUGCAAGUUAGAUUUGCAGAGGAGGCUGAAUUACUUUUUGUUGGAAAGAGCAUUGCAGUGGCAAAAGAGAAGCUGGCCCAAGGUUGUAGUGGAGAUAGAUGCAGCUAUGGUAUCCAAGGAUAUUAUCAACUUUUGCAAGCAGUACAACUAAAGACUAAAGGAAGCUCCUACUGGGAUUCAAGCAGCUAAAGAUCAAUUUUCAGCUCUGAAUUGUAGUCAUAUUUCGUGAAAAGCAAAUUUUUAUGCCCAUUGGGUAGCUUUGCAUACUAGGAAGAGGACGUGUUGUCAAAAUUGGAAGUAAUGGAUGAGUACUGAGUUUGUUUGCUGGACAAAAAACACCCCAACGAAUUGUCAUUUGUUGACCUUAGUGGGUUGUUUUUGGAAAUUCAUGGAAAUAUCUCCAUGACAAAAUAUCAAUUUGUAUUACGCAUCGAAUAGAGGAGGCAGAAUCAAAAUUGAUGCCUUCAAAACCAAAAACUUACCCUUAAUCAAAGAAAACUGGCGGUUCACGGAAGAAUCAAUUCAUUGGAUCCGUACCCCAAUCUAUCUCGAUGAGAGGGAUCUCUUGGGUUAGGGGCCAAUAGUCGCCAGUGAGUUUUGAGCAUCUAUCUUUCAGAAUCUCACAUUUCUCUAUGUACAAUUCUUGGAGGGAGGGAGGGAGGCCAUCCUCUAGCAAGUACCUCAGCUUCGGGCAAGAGUCGAUCCAUAAAUGUUUGAGAGAGGAGAGAUGGUUGAGAAAACCGGUUGAAAGUCCUUCAACAUUCCACAUAUUGCAAAUGCGAAGAUACAUUAGAGAGGAAGGAAAGAGAAGACUCCACGCAUCCCUGUCCUCCGAAGGAAACCAUACAUUCUCUCCCUCCCCUCCCAUGCAAAAGUCAAUUAACAUACACCGGAGGGAUGUGAGUAGGUGUAAGCCCCAUUCUCUCACUGGCUACUUCAGAUUCUCGCACCCUCUCAUUAAAAGAAGAUGCAAAUUGGGAGGCAAACCUCCUUUGGGGAAGAAUUUGAUAUUUUGGCAAUCCUCAAUGAAUAGCGUCUCAAGGGAUGUAAGAUGAUGCCACUGAUUUUGUAGAGACUUUAUCUUCGGACAAUUACUAAUUAAGACAUGAUAGGGUGCUGGGAAGGGAAGGGAAUUUCUCUAUCUCCAAUGCUGGACAAUUACUUAUAUCCAAAUGAGCGAGAUGGGAGAGCGUGUGAAGGCACUGUGGUAGGCUUCCUAGAUUUGGACAGCCAUCAAUUGUCAUUUCUUUGAGUGAUUCUAUAGUGAUCUUUUCCACCGACUCCACUCCCUUGCACUCAUAAAUACAAAGUUUCUUCAAAGCAGUAAAUUUAUCAUUGGAAAACAAAAAAGAUAUGAGAGAAUCGCAAUUUACAAUCCGCAGAUACUCAAGUUUCGAGUUAUUGUUGUUAGGGUCAUCUAGAGGAAUGGUUGGUCCCAAGAUUUUUGGACACCUCCUAAUGAUCAAAUGUUUGAAUGUGUGCAUCUUGCUUGGAAGCUUUUAUAAAUUUAUGCAAUUACUCAAUUCCAUCCUUUCAAAGUUGCACGGCAGCUCUAUUUCUCCUUCACCCGCCACAAAAGAUGUGAAUCGAGGGCAGCUUUCAAUGGCUAAUUCUUGAAGGCAAGUAAGAUUUAGCAUUAUAUUUUCAUCUUGCCACAAGUAUGUAAGCUUGUCACACCGUCCUAUAUGAAGCUCUUUUAGCUUGACCAAGCACCUCAUGAACACAUGAUCAAAGCAAACAAGCUCGGCAAGAUUUUCAAUUUUGAGAAUGGUCAAAGAAGUUAGGUUGACCAAGCUCUUUAAGAUUUCCUUGUUACAAUCCUCAAGGUAUAACUCAUGGAGAGAUGGAAAACAAACCUCAUCCACUGAAUUAUGCAAUUGUGGACAUGAAUGGAUUUCAAGUUUUAUGAGACAAUCAAGUUGACGAGGUAAUGUCUUGAUUAAUGAAGGACAGCUCUAGACAACAAGAUGUUGAAGACAGGAGAAUGAGACUUCUUCUUUUGGGCCCCCAACAUAAGGAGACCAAUUCUUCCAUGCCAACAUCUCUUUCAACUUCAAAGUUGUUAAGAAUGAGAAAGGCUUUUUAUCUCCAUAAAAUUCAGAGCCUAUCAUUCUUAUUGCGUGUAGACCUUCAAGAGAUAAUUCCUUCAGUGAAGGUAGUUGUCCAAGUGGGGGAAGUGAUAUAACAUUAGGAUAGCCCUGCAAGCACAAAGACACUAUCUUAGAAUAGGAUGGACCACUUAACCAUGACGGGAAUUUUGCACCACCAUAAUUCAAAAUAUUAAGAUUUUCAAGAUCAAUGUGAGGUCGUAGAAAGUCCAGCACUUGUGCUUCCCGCUCAUGAUUACGGAGAUUUUUUAAAUUUUCAUCCCGAUGCAAGGAAAAGUUGGUAAGGCAUUGCUUUUGAUGCAAAUUAGCAUCAAUUGCAUCUCCAACUUUUUCCACCUUUUGCAAUUCUGAUAUGAAUAAUUCUCCUUGAAGAUGUGGCAAAUUCUUUAACUCCUCUAACCGUGACCCUUUCUCUGGUUGUACCAUAAACUUGGACAAGAUAAUAAGAUUUUUUAAAUUACCGAUACCCAAUGGCAUCUCUUUAAGACUCCUCGUAUUUCUAACAUCAAGAAACUGUAAACUAACCAAUUUUGUGAUGCCUUAAGGCAACUUUGAAAGUUUUUGACAACCUCUUAAGAUCAAAACUUGUAAUUUGCACAAGCUGACAAUUGAUUUAGGUAGCCUUUUGAUAUCAGUGUACGAGAAAUUGAGAUAUCUAAGAUGUUUUAGAUCACCAAUGCAAUUCGGUACCUCUACGAUGUCACAAUGACAUAUUGAGAGCAUCCUCAAGUACUUCAAUUCCGUUAGCAAGUCAUGUAGCACCUUGUUGGAAAUAGAGAAAGUGUCCCCUCUAAAUCCAUUAUGCAGUAGCAUUAAAGUUCUUAGUACCUUCAUUCGGUGAUAUUCUCUUAAGCAUUUUGAUGUAGCAAAAUGCGAUGAGAUGAAUGAUGCAUAACGAAUUUUCCCAAGAGAUGUGUCUUCUUCAUUAGCUGCCAAGUGAGACUCCCCAAAACUAAAGUAUGCACUUCCUGCAAUUGACUUUGCUAGAUCAUUCAAAAGAUCAUGCAUUGAAAACUUAGAUGCGUCAACACUUGAUUGUUGAAGAAAUGAUCUGGAUACUAACUCAUCAAAGUAAUUUCAUCCUAAUCUGAAAUUAUUCCCCUUUACUUUUUGUCUAUCUAAAAAGCCCUCGGCUAUCCAUAAGAGUACUAGCUCAUCUCUCUCAAUUUCGUAAUCCUUGGGAAAUAUUGCACUAUAAACAAAACAUCUCUUCAAAUGGCAAGGAAGAUGGACAUAACUCAAGUUUAAGAUAGAGAGAACCUCAUCAUUCUCUGCCAUCGGAAGAUCCCAUAUUCUAUUAUUUAAGGUAUCUUCCCAUUCAUUGGGAUUCCUUUUAUUACAUAGGGCACCGCCUAGCAUCUUCGCUACCAAAGGUAAACCUUUACAUCUUUCAGCUAUUUUCUUACCUAUUGUUUUAAAAUCCGGAUGGCUCUCAAAAUUUGUUGCUCCAAGAGCAUGAAAGGCUAAUAAGCUUGUACAAUUAUCAAGGGACAAUUCCUUCAAAUGAUAGGGUGAUGCUCUAGUUAUGGAAACAAUAGCAAGGUUGCGAGUCGUGAUGAUGAUCUUACUCCCCUUAGCCCCCGCUUCAAAUGGCUUUAAAAGGGCAGUCCAUUUUUCAUAUUUCUCAUUCCGUAUAUCAUCUAAAACCACAAGAAACUUCUUCCCAGAUAGAUUGCCCUUCAACUUAACUUGAAGUUUGUUAAGAUCUUCACCCUGGCAUGACAACCUAGUGAUUGACCGCAAAAUAGUCUUUGUUAUGUGAAGAACAUCAAAAACAUCUGACACACAAACCCACGCUCUCUUCUCAAAACAGCUAUAUACUCUGACAUCAUUAUACAACCGUUGAGCCAAGGCCAUUUUUCCAACACCACCCAUCCCAACUAUGGGGAUAAUGCUCAACAUGGCAUCGGAAUUUUUGACUUCACUGAUCAAUAGUUUGAGUAUUUGUGCUUCUUCCUUCUCUCUACCAUAAAACUGAGGCUCUGGCAAAGAAGUGGUUAGAUCUUUUUUGUUUGUGUAGUUGGAUCUGUCCACAACAUUCUCUCUUAAGCUUAGACAAGCCUUCCUAGUGACAAUCACUUUCAACCUGCCACUAAUCUCUUGUACCUUGGUUUCAGACAUGAGCGAGCCCCGGUUUGGAUUCGAUCCGAAGGAUUUAUCUCGGCCAAAGAAAGAGAACUUCCAUUUUUCCAGACAUUUGCUUGUGUUGGAUUCAGCCUCCAACUUAACCUGAGCGACUUUGAUUGCUAACUCAUCAAUCAAGUCUUCUAUAUCAUAGGCCAAGUCUCUAACAUCAUCUAGCCAUAGCUUCACUAGAGGGUUACUGCUGUGUUGCUUGUCUUAUGCAUCAGUCAGCACCGCAUUGAUUGUGUCCAGCAUCUCAUUCCACUCCUUGAGGAGAGCAGUGCUAAUUCCUUCAUGUUGUGCAUAGACUAAUGUGAGAGAAGUCAACUUGCCGAAUAGGACCUGAAAGAAGGAACCCAUAAAGGAACCCAAAACAAUCUCUCCAAUUGUCAUGGUUGAAUCAGUCACUGUAGAGAAUAACAAAGGUGUUAUGUUGAAAUGAGGUAAAAAUGAGUAAAUGGAGAGAGAAAACUAUGAAGUCUAGGAAGAUCAACACGUUCAUUUACCAAAAAGAACAUAAAAAAGACCAAGACUUUCGAGGAAUGCACACCAAGGUUAGACAAAUCAAAAUAAAAUAGCUUUUGUCCAUGGAUACUUGUUUCGUCAAUUGUUUGCCAAUUGUUCUCCUUUUUCUUCAUAUCGAGACUUUUCUUGUGGGCAUCCAAAACAGAGGAUAAAAUUUGAAUUUUCUAUAUACGACCAACUUAGAGCACACGCCUAUGUUUGUCAAAAACUUCAAUGCCUAUUAGUGUUCUGUUGACAAUUUUUGCAUACAUAUGUUGUUAGUAUCCUUGUGAUUUCAAUGCUUUUUAAUUUUAUAAUUUUUAUAAUUUUUUUUUGCUUUAUUGGUGAGUAUGCAAUCAAUAUAGGCUUUUACAUAAGAUAUAAGAAGAUUACCAAUUCCUCCUUCAAUGAGGAUGACCAUGUGGAGACAUCAAAGACAUUUAUUUUUUAUUUUUUUUGGGGGGGGUCAAAUCACCAUAUGCUUUCGGUUGCGAAGUUCUAGAUGCAUCAGUUUGGGGAUGAAAAAGAGAGCAAAUAGAUAGAUAUUACUUACCUAUUCCGAGUAGACUUCCUGGAGUAGACCAGUGAAUGUGAUUAGAUCAAUUAUAGCGAUCCAGCAAGCAUGAGCUCCCGAACGAGCAGGAGGAGAACACUGUUGAGCCAAGGGAUGAGCAUAGGUCGUGGUGAAGCCAAGCCAAGUGAUAAUGAACUAAUGGAGAGAGAAAACUAUAAAGGCAUGAAAGACCAAGAGAAUCACCUACCAAAAAGUUCAAUAAAGGGUAAGACUUUCACGGAUGCUUUCUAUCCACAAGUGCUUUGUUCAUGUAAAUAAACCAUAAAACUCAAGAAGACCAUGACUUGACUGGACUGUACGUUAUGUCUAGAUAGUGAAGCAAAAGCGAAAGAGAUUAAAUGAAAAGAACAGAGCAUUUGCAGGACAAAUCGAUUCUUUUUCACUUCUCACUCCCCCUUGGUACAAGCUGAUAUUCCCCCGAUGCAAGGUCACUAGGAUAACCCACUAGCGAUGAUAGUGCCUACCACUUACCUUGUCCAUGAUAGGAGCUCUCGCAGCUUGGCGAGGUUAUAGUGAUAGGACUUGCCUACCCAAGAUAAAUGGUUUCAAGUGGUACUAGAUGAAUGGCCUUCUCUCAAUCUUAAAUCGAAAUUCAUUGCGGCAAAAGUGAGUCUUUCAUGAUGACUUAACAGACCGACAGAGCAGAGUCUACCUGAUUGCACAUCUCUGUCUUUCCUUGAUAACAUAGAAAAAGAAAAUGCGCUUUGAGAUGGUGUGGCAAUUUAAAUAGAAGAAGAACAUAAACUAUGAACUUUGACAAGGAAGUCAGGUUUAAAUAAAUUAUAGUCUGCAGGGUUCAUUCAAAUUUAGUUGUCACAUUCACCAACUUGAAAACACUUGUUUUAAAUCCUAUUUUGUGCAUCUUUACAGUAGCUGUUGUUGUUGGAAGUAAGAAAGAUUCUCCUCCGACCAAAAAAAAAAAAAAAAGUAAGAAAGAUUCUCCAUUUGACUUUGAAUAUAGACCUUGAUGAUUGAUAUCAUGAUAUAGAUGAAUCUUUUGAAGUGUGUCACCAAAGAAAAGAAAAAAAAAAGAAAUAGUUUUGAGCAUAUCGAUACAUCUACCAAAAUAAAUAGCCUUUUGUCUUCUUUUGUCAAGUUGUAGAAGAUAAACAUAAGCACGUCCUUUGCCUACCUCAACAGCAUUUGCAUUUGAUCAUGCUUAGAGAUUUUGCCAAAUAAAGAUGACAGUGGGAUACUCUACAAAACAAACAUAGUUGAGAGAAUUCAAGUCACAAGGCUAGGGAAAAAAAAUCUUUGAAAGAUAAAACAUAACAAGCGCUGAAAUUUCAGAAAAGAUCUUUGACAGUGGGAUAUUCUGCAAAACAAGCACAGUUGAGAGAAUUCAUGUCACGCCCCAUUGCAAAGAGGCCAGAAAAUUCUGGAAAGCUCAUUGUGGUCAGUAAAUUUGCUUUUAUUGGACGUCGUUAGCAGAAUAUCAUGUAUUUUACAAGUGACUUGGCAAUAACAUAGCCGUGUAAGCAAGCGCAUAUCUUCUUGUUCGGUGAGUUCGGCUUACUUAAUUUUUCUUCAGCUUGAUGUCAAGCUUCAAUUGAAUGAAACAACUCCUAUUUUCCUUCUCAAAAUGAUGAAAAACCAUUUCUAGCUUGUUCACACUCUUCUUCAACAGCAAGCAGCCAUUCGAUCAUACUCAUGCAAAAAUAUUAUGGUCAAUUCCAUAAAAAAGCACGAACUUUAGGUAUUAUCCCAAAUUUGGCCCGAACUUUAUUUUGUUUUUUAAAAAAAAAAACACCAACUUUCACUUGUGAUCCAAAUCUAGCCCUCUGUUACCCCUCCUUCCACAGACAUCCGACAUGGCAUUUCCACUCAAAGUUUAUUUGAAGAUGAAUGAAGUAAGUCUAUUACAAAUAAGUUUCACAUCUCUAUUUAACUACAAGAUGCACACGUUUUUAUAUCUCGCUUUAAGGCAAUGUAAUAUUCUACUUCCAACCCAGCUUCUGACAUUGAAAACAACUUGCCAAUUGUUAAUUGAUCUAAUGGCCCUAGCUAUGUACCUCGUCCCUUGGAACUGAAGCUAUUGAAUUAUUUUUCCCAUGAGAAUCAUCUGUAAAGUUCACCUCAUUGGAAGGUAGACUUAAAUUUAACACUUCCUCCAAACACUCAAAUGCAGCAUCGUUUUGCACCUCAACAAAUUUGGACCUCUUCACAGUCGACCCAUAGGGCAGAUAGGAGGAGCGCGUUUAUGGCAACACCUAGAUCCCAAAAGUUUAUGCAUCUUCUCAACAUCAAGUCCAAAAGCAUCUCCAUGGUACCAUUAUGUAUCAAAAGAGUAGAUAUCAAAGUUAUUUACGACAUUCAAAAAUCAAUUAGAGUCGAUGCACAUUAACUUCACAACUUUCACGGCCCCAAAAUUUCCGACGGAAACAACAUCUCAAAGUGAUCGAGCUUAUGUAUGUGCAAGAGCGAGUGUCUCCGUGUAAGAGAAUGAGCGAGCAAGCCAGUGCGUGAGAACUUCCAAUGAAUUGAAGACUCCCGUGCGCGAACUCACUAAGGAAAGGAAACCCUAGAAAGAAUUCUCCCCAAUCACAUGAGUCGUCCGUUAGAGAAGAAGAGAAAGCCCAGGAACAAUUUUGCCUUUAUAUCCAUGUCAGCUUGCUGUGUUGGAUAUUAUUAUAUUUUUUUUAUGACCCGGGAACCCCCGUACAGCCGGCAGCCAACGAGAUAAACCCGGGGUGACGCUAGCGGAGGACCCACCACCCCGACGUCACACUUAAGAUCCCAUGCGACUAACAGGAUUUGAACUCCUCUCCUCCUCGCAAAGGAUCAUGGGAGUUUUAUCCAACUGGGCAACCGCAGGCAGUGCUGUGUUGGAUAUUAUUGCUGACAUGGAAAUGCUAUGUUGGAUGCCUGUGGAAUGAGGGUCAAUGGAGGCUAGAUUUGCGACACGAGUGAAAGUUUGUGCUUUUUUUUUUAAGACAAUAAAGUUCAAGUCAAAUUUGGGAUAACACCUAAAGUUCGUGUUUUUUUCUGAGACAAAAUAAAGUUCGGCCAAAUUUGAGACAACACCUAAAGUUGAUGUUUUUUUAUGAAUUUGGCCCUAAAAUAUUAACCCUGCUCAGGUGGUCUUCCCGAGCUCUGGAGUCUUCUGAGCUGUUCCAAUCAGUGAAGUAGGAGGCAGAGAAUAUGCUUUAUGAACCUUGACUAAUUUCCUCAACGUGUUGACAUAAUUUGAUUUGGUUUAAUAGACUCAUGAAGAAGAAAUUCCAGCGGGCCCAUUCUGAUGAAGAAAGUAUUUAAUAAUGCGCUGCGGGGACAUGACAUGUAUGUUUCUUUUCGUUUCCCCCUUUAAUAGUUUUUCUUUUCCUUGCUUCCAACCAUGUAAACUUUCGUGUUAGCUUUCAUAAUCAUCUUGUAAGUAUAACCUUCUGCAUUCGGUGAAGGGGAAAGGUGACAAUUAACACUUCGGAUUUACUCUUUUUACUUCCUCCACUUGCCAUGUGUUCUGUAAUCAAAUUAGCCAUAUGCAUAAAGCUGAUAGCAGUUCCCUUUCAUACUUACACGAAGAAGUAACAUUUAGAUCACGAUGAACAUGACUAUAGGAGAGCUAAUUCUCACACAUGACAACUUAGUGAGUUGGAAAAUAUAGAUCAGCGUGUUAGCUUUUGGCAGCAAGGUGAAAAUUUUCGGACUGCAAUAUGCCUUCGAAGGCUCCACGAGAAAGGCCAAAGGAUUUGUGCUUAUCACCCUGCGGGGACAACGUAGGUGGACAAGAAACCGUACAAGUGCAAAUCCUGCAAAGGCUCCUUCAAAUAGGCAUACUUUCUCAGCAACCCAUCUCUAACGUGCCCGGCCUUCUCCUACACUCUCUGGCCAGUCCUAUCGUCCACUCCAACGAAGGCUUGAACCCUCAAGACAUCAGGGAAAUCCCCAAACACCUGGUACAACGCCAUUUUCACCGCUCAGGUCACCUCCACAGGAAUGCCAUACUACGGAAAUAGGCUAUGUUUAGACUAAGGAAUUGGGUAGGGGCCGCGCGAACGCAAGACCCCACUGCCACAAAUUAUGAAGUAGGCUCGGCCACUUGGACUGACCUUGGGCUAGCACCCCUCCCGAAGUGCAAUGGAGGUCACUAGGCCCAGGCCAUGAGCCUUCUUGAUAGCCCAUUGACCCCGUCCAGGUAAGUGAUUUGCUUAUGGCCCAGGCCUUUGCUUUUACAUUGGUCAAACUCACUCGCCGAUUCAGUAGCCACUCUGCGUGGGACAAACGGAGAGAGAUAGAGAUAUGAAGAUGGAGAUGGAGAUGGAGGAGUCGGUCAGAAUUUGGGUGAAGAAUCAAAAGGGGGUUUCUUGCGAACAGGGGACUUGCGAAGAACAUAUGGUGAUGACCACGUAGAAGCAUCUAUCUGCAAGCACAAACCAAACAUCCCCCGACGUCUCGCCUAAAAUCAUAAGGCAUCCCAAAGCACUAUAUCUAUGAGAAGCCAAUCUCUCCUGCUAUACUCCUCAAAUAAACUCGCACUCGCACACCAAGCUCACGUAUAUGCGGAAGACUAACCGAAUUAAACAUUACCCACAGCACAAAAACACAAAUUUCCCACAUUCACCUCCUACCCUCUUCCAAUAUUGAUGAUUUUAAUUGGUGAUGGGCUUAAGGCCCGUCCGCCCAUGCUGGGCCCAAAAGGCCCGGCCCACGGGAAUAGGGCCCGUGGAUGGGGGAAGGUAUAAAAGGGAGGAGAGAGAGAGAAAAUACCUUUUGGUAGAAUUGACGUACGUCUUCUCCUCUCCCGCGCAUUCUCUCUCAAAAAGAAAAAGAAGAAACAGUAAAGCAAAAAGGCACGUUUCUUCUUCCCUUCAAGGCAUCAUCGGAUCGAACAGGGCCGAAUCUCUUCCUCUUAUCGGUGUCGUGUCUAAUCUGUGGCUAACAAGGUAUGCUCGAAUCCGUGGUGUGCUUUAUGAUCGGUGAUACGUGUUAUUUCCUGGGCUUCGUAUUCCGCAUUGAUUUAGGGGUUCGAUUUAGUGUCGAAUCCGGUUUUCGGGGAUCCAUUAUUCCCAACAUUGGUAUCAGAGCCCUAGUUCAUGUUUUCCUGACCUGUUUGAUGUAUUUUUGAUUGAUUUUUCGUGAAAACUUUCGGCCGUACGGAUCGGGGCGAGAAAUCCCGACACCCGAGCGCUAUUCGGCCAUUUUUCCGAGUUUUCGUAAGUCGAAAUCAAAUUAUAAUGGCAUAGGGAGAAAGGCGACGUCGAGACGAGUCUGGCGACAGGUCGUGCGCCGCCGGGAGACGCUGCGCGCGCCCACAGGUGCAGCCAGAAGCCGCUGCGCGUGGGCGCGAUGCGCCAGGAAGCGCUGGCUCGCCCAGCGCGUGUGGCACACGCGCCGGUCCGCGGACCGACGCGUGCUAACGUCAACAUGACGUCACCCAACGGUCAGUAACCGCUAGGGUGAUGUCAUCGAUGACGUCAGCACGAUGACGUUUCGCCGACCGGCAACCCGACCGGCGACCCAACCCGACCCGAACCGCGGACGCCGGCACGCGUGCGGCACAUGCCUGCUGACGUCUGCGUGACGUCAGCCUGUCCACGCGCGCGGCACGUGCCGUCCGUUUGCCCGAACCGGCCGAUCGGUCCGACGGCCCGACCGGUCCGACGACUUUGACCGUUGACCGUUGACCGUUGACUUUGACCGUUGACCCGAAAAAAGAAAAAAAAAAGAAAAAAAAGAAAAAAAAAGAGGAAUUUGUUUCUUUUUCAAUUAUGUCUGUGUGGGUUAGAGGUAAUCCAUUUUUUAUUCUGCAUUUGUUGCAUGAAUCAUGGAAAAUUAUGUAUUUUCCAUUUUCUUUAUUGUGGAUUAAAAGUGAUCCAUUUUAGUUCUGCAUUUGUUGCAGGAACUAUGAUGCGUUAUGCACGGAUACCUGUAAUCCCGAGAACAGACGAAGGAAAAGCUAGACUGAAAAUGCUGAUGAAAGAGUUAGCUGAUUAUCGGUGGCUUGAUGGUGAUUUAGUAUCACAUAUGGUCAAGGUCAAUCAGAUGAUACAUGAAAUCAUCUGGAAUGGUUAUCUUAUGCCGGAUUUUGAGAAGGUGUCGGCUUUGAUGAACACUCUUCCACCUGAAUGGCAAGCAAUGUUAGAUCAGUUAUGGGAGGUCAACGUGGUCCCGGGUUAUAGGAGGCUAGUGGAAGCUUUUGUAAGAGAGCAUUAUAGGAUUGAGUUGGCUAAAACUUCAACCCUUAGAUUGAGUGCCACAUGGCGCAGAGUGAAUGCGCCUUGGAGGCGACAUGAAAGCUCUCCAAAAGUUUUUCCAUGGUUGGCAAAUGUGCCUUCAAAAAUCUAAGAUAUUUUGACUGAUAGAUUAGAAGGAACAUUCCAUAAUUAUUUCUUAGAUUAGUUUGAGAUGUUAUUGAGUGUGAAUAUCUUUUUCUAUGAUGAUAUUUUCUUCUGUGUAUAUUACUUAGUGUAAUGGAUUGUUGUAUUAUGUUGAAAGCAUUAUUGUUUCAUUGGAUAUCAAUUAUCUGUUGCUUUCUGUUAUUGCUGGUUGCUGUGGGUAAUUAGCUGUGCUGUGGGUAGUUUAGAAGUUUUUUUAGCUUCAUAGAAUUGAUUUUGCAUAUGACAAUCAUAUUAAUGAUAGUUUUAAGUUAGGAUUUUUGGAGGAUGAUUGUAAACGUAGUGACCUUUUGAUUCUAAAACCUUACUUGAAAUUGUUCAUUAAUAUGAUGGGUCUGUGCAAAAGGGAUGCAUAAAUUAUAGGCAUUAAUUAUUCGUACAUAUAAGUCUGAUGUGUUCAGAUCGAUGGUUUUAGCAACUAAGAACGUAAUUGCUAAUAUGAACGGCAACAAUUGUGGAAUAUUGAAUAUGAAGAUUCAAUAUGUGCUGGAAAAGCUAGAAGUACUAGAAGCUCUUGACCAUAUUAUGGAAGAUCUAGAGGAUGCUGUGCGCCACCUUGAGCUAGUAGAGGACUGCCUAUCGGCAUUUGAGCCGAAAAUAUACAUUGGCUAUGCUGGUCCUAGCUCAGAAAGGGCUUUGAGCUCUAAGCGCAAGCGUAUUGAUUCAUUCAAUAUGUGGGAAUGCAAAGGAUCAAGUCCUUGUUGUAAGAAAUCAAGAGUUAACCAACACAAAAGAGGAAAACGUCCUCAAGUGAAGAAAAAGUCAAGUGUGAGGUGUUACAAUUGUGACAAGAAAAGGUCACUAUGCUCGUAACUGUUGUGAGCCGAAAAAGGUAAACACCUUUUGUACAUUUGAGAACUUUGAUUAUGUGUCAAGUUCUGAAUUAUUGGCUGAAUCCAAUCCUUUGUGGACUGUAGAUUCAGGAAAGACAGACCAUGUAGCGAAGGAUAGAGAAUCCUUCGUGGAAUUCCGACGAUACCGACUGGAACUAAGUAGAUCUAUGUGGGAUAUAACUCCAGAAAUGAAGUUAAAGGGAUUGACACCUGCCAAUUGAACAUGCGUUGUGGACGCAUCUUGUUCCUACAUGACGUUCCAUAUGCUCUAGAGAUUCGUCAAAAUUUAACGUCUGUUUUGGUGUUGGUUAAACUUGUUUUUUUAUAUGAACUUCCAUAAUAGAGAUGUAGAUUUGUAUUUGGAUACAAAUUACUAUGGUUGUGGUCACUUUCUGGAUGGUUUCAUUGUACUAUAUGUUGACUGUGGUGAUGUCAAUAUUUGUUAUUCUCUUGUUUCACGUCUCCUAAUUCAUAUGAUAAUGAUGUGAUUAUGUGGCAUGCUAGACUUGGUCAUAUUUGCCAACAACGUAUGAAUAGACUAGCCAAAAAUGGUUUGUUGGGCAACAUUGAAAAAGUCGAUUUGCCCAGAUGUGAGUAUUGCCUAGUAGGGAAAACGACAAGGAAACCAUUUGGAAAAGAUAAAGAGCUGAAUUUCCUCUGCAUUUAAUCCAUUAUGAUGUAUGUGGUUUAAUAAAUGUGAGAAGAAGGCAUGGGGCUGUUUAUUUCAUCACUUUUAUAGAUGAUUAUACUCGAUUCGGAUAUGUCUAUUUGAUUUCUCAUAAAUCUGAAGCAUUAUGUUGUUUCAAAAGGUUUAUGAACUUGGUUGAAAAUCAAUUAGAUAAUAAAAUAAAAGCAUUGAGAUCUGAUCGAGGUCGAGAAUAUUUAUUUGAUGAGUUCGGAAAAUUAUGUGAUGAAAAGGGAAUAGAAAGACAGUUGUCUAUUCCAUAUACUCCUCAACAAAAUGGUGUUGCAGAGAGAAGAAACAAAACCCUACUGGAAAUGGUUAGGUCCAUGAUGGCGCAUGCUAACUUACAUAUCACUUUUUAGAGUGAUGCGUUGUUAACUGCUGCCUAUAUACUUAACUAGGUGUCUUCCAAAUCAGUUAGUUCCACUCCAUAUGAGUUAUGGACAGGUAGAAAACUGGACUUAAGUUUUCUUAAGCCAUGGGGUUGUACUGUCUAUACUCAUGAGUCCUCUCACAAGUUGGGGAAAUUGGGUCCUAAAGGAAAGAAGAGUAUUUUAAUGAGAUACUCCGAACACUCGAAAGGGUAUGUGUUCGUAGGUGAGCAAGAAAGUGGGAGUAUAACUGAAUUUGAAUCAUGGGACGUCACAUUCUUAGUGGAUGAAUUUCCUAAGAAGGGCGAAAUAUGGGAAGAUUGUUCCCUAUUUGAGACCUCGGAUCAGGAUAAUGAUGUUAGUGGAGUUCGUCCAAGUGGAAAUAAUAUGAGAAGUGAUGAAUUGAAUUCAACUCAUUCUCAAUUACAACCACAUGAUGCGAUGACAUCAUCAUUGCCUAAUCCAAGUGGGAGCAUAAUGGGGAAUGAUGUGCGAAGUAUACAAUCUCCCAUAUAGCGAACAAGUCACCAAAGUAUUCCCGUCGACGUUUUAACAUUGAAGGGGAAACUUUUAUAAUUGCUCUGCGAGAUAAGGAUGAGCCAAGAAAUAUUAAUGAGGCUCUAAAAUGCCAUAGUAAGGAAAAAUGGAUUUAUGCAAUGAAAGAGGAGAUGGAGUUAAUGAAGUCAAACCAAGUCUGGGAACUGGUUGAUCUUCCAAAAGGACACAAAGCUAUUGGGAACAAGUGGGUUCUCAAAAUAAAGCGAAAGGCUGAUGGCUCGAUAGAAAGGCAUAAGGCUUGCCUUGUGGCGAAGGGGUAUAAUCAACAGGAAAGAAUUGAUUAUGAAGAUACAUUUUCUCCUGUAGUGAGAUUUACCUUGAUUCGCAUAAUUCUGGCAAUAGUGUUUAGUAUGGAUCUUGAGUUACAUCAAAUGGAUGUAAAGACUGCUCCCCUCAAUGAAGAAUUAGAGGAAGGAACAUAUAUGGAACAACCUGCUGGUUUCAUAGUGAAAGGCCAAGAAGAAAGGUAUGUCGACUUUGGGGGUCGAUAUAUGGCCUUAAGCAGUCGUCAAGACAAUGGUAUAUACGAUUUCAUAAUACUAUAAUGGCAUAUGAUUUUACAAUGAUAGAUGAGGAUCAUUGUAUAUAUAUCAAAAGAACCAUAGAUCUAUUUGUGAUCAUAUCAUUAUAUGUUGAUGAUAUACUAAUUGCCGGAAGAAAUAUGGAGCUUGUCAAUACUGUCAAAAGUUGGUUGUCUUCCAAUUUUGAAUUGAAGGAUAUGAGAUUGUAAACCCAUAGACACUCCUAUUGCAAAAGGUGAAGGAUUGAGCCAUAGACUGUGUCCAAGGACUCCACAAGAGAAGGAACAAAUGAAACAUGUUCCUUAUGCUAGUGUUGUUGGGAGCUUGAUGUACGCUAUGAUGUGUACAAGACCUGACAUAUGUUAUGCAGUUAGAAUGGUGAGCAGAUACCAAUCCAAUCCAGGUCAAGCACGUUGGAAAGCCGUUAAAUGAAUACUAAAGUAUCUAAAGGGGACUGCUGAUUAUACGUUGAGUUAUUAUGGAAAGGAUCUGCAACUCAAAGGCUAAUUUGAUGCUGAUUGGAGAGGAGAUUUAGAUGAAAUAAAAUCUACCUCUAGGUUUGUUUUCUUACCGAAUAAAGGCACCAUAUGUUGGAACAAUAAGAAACAAAAGUGUAUAGCCUUGUCCACGAUAGAAGUUGAGUUCGUGGCAUUAUCAGCAGCAGUAUAAGAAGAUGUUUGGCUUAAGAGAUUAUUGGAUCAUUUAGGUGUUAUUGGAAGUGCUGCAGAUUCAUUGUUGGUUAACUAUGAUAGCCAAGCAGCAAAAGUGUACACCAAAUAUCCAAAAAUAUCAUGGCAAGACCAAACAUAUAGAUACCAAGUAUAAUUUUGUCAAAAAUAUGAUUGCACGAAAAGAUGUGAAUUUACAGUAUAUACUACGCAUAGAAUGGUAGCAGUUCCUAUGACAAAGCCAAUACCUAGAGAUGUGUUUUGUGGCCAUAUGAAAUCUCUAGGAUUGCGUAGAGUCUGAUGUACUGGAUUGUAAUUUCCCUGAAGUGUUCACAUUUGAUGAAUUUGUGUUUUUCAUCAUUAAUGCCUAUGUAUCUUUGUUUGAUCUUUAUGCAUCUUAAUACUUAGUGUAUUACUUUAAGUUAUGAAAGUAUGUCGGACAGAUAUAAGAUUAGCCCACUCACACGGGUAAUCGCCUUUAUUUACAGUGUGAUAAAUAGAGAUGAGAUUGUUUUUUUUAAGCUUACUAUCUAGGUGAUAAUCGAGAGCUCAAGCUUAAAACAUGUAUGUCGCCUUAACUGAGUGUUAAGAUGAGGACAUAAUACUUACUAUGUCCGAAAGUAAAAUACCCCACAUAUUUUACUUUAUCUGUCUAUGAUACCAGAUGUGAGUUCUGAUGAAUUUUGUGAAUGAGUAGAUACGUGAACUCAAGUUAGACAUUAGGUAUGUCUGAACUAUCAUCUGUACGGUAUUGAAAGGAAUAGACAUACGCUCCAUGGGAAAGGAGUUAAUACCGUAAUACGUAUUUCAUACUACGUAUGCAUGAGACGACCAAUAAGAGUGGCAAAAGUUUGAUCUCAACUUUUUAUGUCGUGUGAGACUCUUGAGAAAAAGAGUUUCUCAAGUCAUUAGUCCCCUUAUGACUCUUACUUAUUCUCAAGAUUUCUAUUUAGUGUUUGCUAUCCUAGGAUGUUGCCAAUGGUCAUGAGUUGAUUCGAUCUAAUAGGGCAUUUCUAGAAAAGCAAAUUGAACUGAAAUUGAGAGUUUGAAGGAAAGAGGAAGAUCGAUUUUGAAUAAUCACAUUGUAGUUUUGUAUUCACCGGUUAACCAAUUAUGACUGUCUUUGGGAUAAUCAUAAUUGUGAAUAGAAUAUAUAUAUAUAUAUAUAUCAUUGUUUGAAAGAGAUCAAGAGAGAUAUAAAUGUGAUCGAUCGAUCUAGGGUACUGCAUACUGAAUCUACUCGGAGUGUGAUGCCCAUUAUGAGCUGCUAUAUAUUCCUAACAGAUGUACAGCAACGAGCUCUCAAAGUAUGCUGGUCGCACGGAUUAUUCACCGGUAUGAAUGUUGAAGAGAGGUAAAGAGAAUCCUGUUCAGCCAACCAUGUGCGAGUGGGAGAUGAUGAUUUUAAUUGGUGAUGGGCUUAAGGCCCGUCAGCCUAUGCUAGGCCCAAAAGGCCCGGCCCACGGGAAUAGGGCCCAUGGAUGGGGGAAGGUAUAAAAGGGAGGAGAGAGAGAGAGAGAAGAUACCUUUUGGCAGAAUUGACGUACGUCUUCUCCUCUCCCGCGCAUUCUCUCUCAAAAAGAAAAAUAAGAAACAGUAAAGCAAAAAGGCACGUUUCUUCUUCCCUUCAAGGCGUCAUCAGAUCGAACAGGGCCGAAUCUCUUCCUCUUAUCGGCGUCGGUGUCUAAUCUGUGGCUAACAAGGUACGCUCGAAUCCGUGGUGUGCUUUAUGAUCGGUGAUACGUGUUAUUUCCCGGGCUUCGUCUUCCGCAUUGAUUUAGGGGUUCAAUUUAGUGUCGAAUCCGGUUUUCGGGGAUCUAUUAUUCCCAACAAAUAUCAACCAAACUAUUCAUAGCCGCCCCCUCAAAGACAAAAACCUCUCACAAUUCCAGCUCGAGACCAUUGAAAUUCAAUAGAAACCGAGCGAACACACAAGCACGCCGAAGACCGGCUCGUCCUCAACGAUGUCGGCAAUCGAGCUCGGGCACCGAUCGGCGAGCCAUCAGUAGAAGGCGGGGACUCCCAUGGCAUGCGCGAGCCUUCGGAUCAGGACGGGAGGCUGUGCUCCGGCGAGCCAACUCAGAGAUGUAGAGAGAGAAAGGGGGGAGAGAGAGAGAGAGAGAGAGAGGAUUUGAGAGGGUUCGAAAUCUGCGCGUUGGGCGGCAGUGGCGUGAGGGCUCGUCCCGAGGGAGAGGACUAUCCACGUGGCUUCCCCGUGGGGACGGUGAUUCGGCCCGUGUGGCUGCGGGGGCCUGGAUAAUCUUGGAUAAGAGACCUUGGGGUGCUUUGCUUCCGUCUUAAUUAACUGAGCUAAAAAUUUUUUAAAAAAAAAUUAACUGAGUUCAGAAACGUUGUCGGUUUCAACCCAUCUCGACCUCGCCAUUUUAUCCUUUGCUGUACAUAUUAGCUCUCACCUCCCAUCGGGUGAAAUACGUAUUGUGCAUCAAUUCUCCAAUCAUUUUACAAAUGAUUAGCUGAUAGGUAUUUUCGAAAAACCUUGAUUAGGUAAUUUCAAAUGACCCGAAAAGAUACUUAAUGUCCAAUUCAGUUUUAUGCACUGAAUAUAUUCUAAACAUGACUUUCUCUUUCCGAUAAAUAUCACAAAACUACCUUAACUAAUACUCGACUAAACCAAGCUUAUUUGGUAGAAACAACUUCGACAUGACUAUGCAGUGACAUGCUGCACCACGAAACUAAAAUGGCUUUUUAUAUAUUCUUGUGAUGCUUGUUUUCAAGCUGGUUUGAAGUCAUUUGGGAGACAUCUAAUAAAAUUAGGUGAGAUCGUAUACUUCUUUUUCAAUCUAUUGUAGCAACUUGAUAUGACGAGGGCUGGAGUAUCACUAGGGCAAGAGGGCAUAAACAAGGAAUUGAUCUCGGCAGGCUCCUCGAUAGCAAAGGGGAGAACAAAAUAAAUUGCACAUCGAUCACUAGGAGAUCGUUCCUAAAUUAUUUUUAUUUCAAACAUAUUUCUAGACUAAAAAUUUGUUCUAAAAAUAGAAAAUUGAAAUUGUGUUAUCAAAUAGAUUUUUGUUCAAACCUAUUCUUGGGAACCAAAAAAGAUAAUUCUAGUUAGGCACAAAAUGGUUAUCAUGUGUACCUUUAGUUGCUGGAAAUCGUUGCUGUGGAGGAGUGUCACAUCAAACGACCAAACAUGAUUGAAGUGGCACAUCAAUGAUUUCUAUCGACAAUUGAUCAUAAUGAUUAUAUUAAAAGUUUACAUAAAGAAAAUGACUUAAUUUUCUAAAUUGAAAAGUUUAAGAUUGAAUUAGCAUUCAUAUAAUAAGUUUAGGACUGAUUAGAUAAAUUUCCCAUUUGAUGUUGCUAAGUAAAAUGGAAAAAAAAAAUUGCCAAAACUCUAGAAUUGCUCAAGUUGCAAUUACUUUCGUUUCGUAGAUUUCUUGGUAACCUCUUUAAGAAAUUUCCAUAACGGCAAUCAAGCACAUAUGACAAGACAACUACAUUCCACCCUUGAAGAUUGUUUUCCUUUCAAGAGAUAUUAAUUUGUAUAUAUAUCAUUAGACAAACCCAAGGGUAGCGAAGAUACGUCCAGGUUAGAGAGGAGAGAACACACAAUGGAUAGUGGUAGCAGAAAAUGCUUAUGGAUGAUUUUGUUCAUGGCAUUAGCUUUGGGCUUAACUUUCUCUCCUCCUAUUGAGGCGAGGAAUCUCGCCACGAGAAAUCUUGUGAGUCCCGCAAAAAUUAGAGGAGCACCUUUUCAUUUCAGGUUAUUGCUCAAAGGGUCAAUUGUUCCACCUUCUGGACCCAGUGCUCCGCCAUUUCAUUUUAGGUUAUUGUCCAAAGGGUCAAUUGUUCCACCUUCUGGACCUAGUGGUCGUGGUAACUCGUUGCCACCACCACCACCAGUACUCCGGGGUUGAGAUUCAACAUCGAUGCGUCAUGCGUGCUGAAGCAACAAGCGAUGCAUUUCUAUGUUUCUUUGCUCUUGGACAAUGUCGCUUGCUGGAAUAAAUAGUUCCAUGUUGUGUUGCAAUCUUGUUUGGUGUGUAGUUUGAUAAUUUUUUAGGCAAUAAGGGCAUGCAUGGUAACGUUUCUAUUUCUCUCAAUUUUUAUUAUUUUGUUCCCCGGAAAAAAAAAGAACAAAAAUCCAUGGGGUAAAACUUUUGUUCCAGGAACAAAAAGUCUAUUUUUUUGUUCGCGGGAAUAGAUUUGGAAUGUAUUAUAAAACCCCUAACAAUGAAAUCCAAGAAAGAGAAAAGCAGGCAAUCAAUCACAACCAAACAAGCUUUCUUAUAAACACACAUGUUUAUAUACAACACAAGGUUGUCUACAAAAUAGACCGGCUCAACAAAAAGGGAACCGUCCUACGACCAACUAGUCAAACAUGUUCGCCAAUUCUUUGGCUUCGAGUCCUCCACGACCGCCAUCUAAGGACCCUAAACCCCUAUUAGAAAGAAAAUACACUCGAGGAUGGCCUAGCCACUCCAUCACAAACAAUGAGACUUACCUUUGCCUCAGUUCUUUCCUGCAGGUUAGCACGGUUCAUAUUACUCAAGCAUAAAUAAUAAUAAAAUUCAAACAAUUCAAUUACUUGGAUCGACUCAGAGAUCGAUCGAUUCAGUCGAUUACAUGUCAUCGAGGUUAUCACAUGGUAGUGGAAUCACGGACCCACUCGGCACGACCUUUAAUAGGUGGUAGAUCACAGCCCGACUCGGCAAGUUUAGAUUUAGUGGCAUCACGGCCCCACUCGACACGACCUUUAAUAGGUGGUAGAUAAUGGCCCGAUGGGCACGACCGAUUCCAAAUUCGGUGGUAAAUUUCGGCCCUAUUGGCACAACCAUACUUCGGUGGUUUUUUAAGUCCACUCACAACCUUUCAUAGUUAUUUUCCCAUAAAACACCGACAUUCUCAAAUUUUAGGAUAAUUCUCUCAUAACCACUAAUUUACUCAAUUCUCAUAAACUGGCACUCAAAUAAAUAAAUGGAAAGCACCACUACAAAUCAGCACAAAAUUUUGACGAUUUAAGGUCCCAAAAUAAUUUUUGAAAUUUAUUAAUAAUAUUUUAAUAAUUUCGAAUAAUAAUAUAUUAUUCGAUAAUUAAAUAAUUUCGAAAUAUUUAUUUAAUCCAAAAAUACUUCAUUAAAGUCAAAUCAAGGCUUAUUCUAAUAAUAAACCUACUUAGCCUUAAUUAAACAUACUUUAAACUAAAUAUCACAUUAAUCUAAUAUACUCCUAAAUAAAUUAAACUAACUACCUAAUAACACUUAACAUAAACUAAGCACACAUAAAGCAUCAUUAACCAUCUAAUCAAGGUUUAGGAGCUAAACUCACCAGAAUCGCUUUCUGAUGAGUCUCCAGUGAAGACAACGGCGAGGCAGUCCGAAAACCUCCUCGAGCCAGCACCAAAAGAAGACCGAAAGGUGCCUAAAAUGGGCCUUGAAGAUUUGGAUCUUCACUGGAACUUCCAGCUGCUGGUCAUGGGCGGAGGAGGGCCAAACAACGGCUAGUUGGGCACGAAACCGGCGGAGAAGGGCGGCGGCAGCUCGAGCGGUGCAGACGGCAGCUCCGGCGGGUUUUCCGGCGACCCAAGGUGACGGCAAGCUGCUGUUGGGUGACAGAUGACGAUGCUGGACGGCGAACGAAGGUGGAGCAAUAGCUAGUGAGUGGCGAGUUGGCCGGCGAGCGAGCGAAGGAGAAGCAGCAUCGACAGCGAGCGACGGCAACCUCAGCUGCUCUGAGAACCAAACGGUGGUUACUGGUGACGAGGAGUAGCGGCCAGAUGGAGGAGAGACAGCGGCUGGAGCUCGAGCGAAGACGACGCGACGGCUGGCCGGUGAGGCGCGCACGCGGACGAACGGCGACCGUGGUGGCGACGAACGGCGAGCGGCAAAGGAGGCGCACGAAGGGGGCAUCAAGGCUGGCUUCCAGUCAGAUCCUCUCUCUCUCUCUCCUCUUUCCAAAUUCCAAGAAGCCAAGCUUGAAGAUGAUAGAGAUGGGUUGAAGAGAAAUCUCACCUUUUUGGGGGCAAUUGUACACCCUUCACUUGUCAAAAUCCUAGACACUCAAGCCCCACCAUGACAUCACUUGAUGAUGUCACACUCCGCAAUCUCCAACUUCCCACAAUCUUAUUCCAAUUGGUGCAAUUUCUUUUUCUGCCGUGGCAUGAAUUCUCCAAAAUCUUGUACAACACAUUUCAUUCAAUCCACUUUCAAUUAAGCCAAAUUGAAGUCCAUAAAAUUAAUCCAAUGUUACCACACUUCAAUUCACAAUUUUACUUAACCAUAGAAUCAUCUUGAGUCCCCAAAGCAUGAUCAAAAGCGGGCCUACCAAUUUCUCGAACCAAAUUAACCACAUGCUGAUUCUUCGCUGAAAAUUUAGCUUGCAUGAAAAAUCUUCCGAAGACGAGUCAAUGUUCUUAAAAUGAUUCGUGACACACUAGGACUUCUCAAUUUUUGAAUUCGAUUUCAAUUUCACGGUUAAUUUCACUCUGGCACGAUACUAGCACGUCAUGAUCUACUUGGUAGCUUUUAGAAAUUUUCAUGCAUUUGACCGGUGGUUGAUCAAGUCAAGCCACAAUGUACAUCUUUGACACAUUGGCGACUCUCGAUUGUCGGGGUAAUCUCAAGGUUUCAAAUAUAGACACAAGGUACCUAAUCAACAGAAAAGCCAAUCUAGUGCCGAUCGACAAGAAUUGUGUGAUCUGGUGGAAUCACCCACACUUGAUCACAUGCCUCUAUCAAGUCAACAUAUCUCUGAUCUCUAAUCGAUUUUUAAUUAUGUCGUAAUCACCCUUGCAGAUUAGCUCGAUCGAAAGGUUGCUUCCUGGUCAAAUUCUCGAGUUCGAUGCAUUAGAAUCUCUUAACAACUUUACCCGAUAGACUAGUUUUCACAUGAGUGGCCAACUCAAGGAAAAGAACUAUAUGUGUGCCAACGAAAUGCCUGUCUAAAUUUAUUGAAAAUAGAAUUGGAAAAUCGGGAUAUCACAGAUAACCUCCAUUUUUAGAGCAAAAUCUGGGAAGUUGUUAGGGUUUAUGGUUAGUAGUAAGGGUAUAGAGAUUCAUCCGUCCGCCGUAUGAUUGUUGUCGCUACCGCCCAUAGCUCACCGGCCACCCCUGACCUCCAAUAACCGCCACCGACCGCCACUGUCACCGGCCGCCGCCAUGGGAUCACCGCUCGCUCAUCGUCAUUGCCCCCUGACCGCCGUUGCGGCUGACAACCGGUGAGCAGCGGUCAGCAGUCCAUGAGCAAGAAUAAAAUACAAAUAAAUACCAAAAAUAAAAAAUAACACAUUUCUAUUCUUUUCAAUUGCAAGAAUAGAAAUUUUGUGUAGUUAUUAAACACCUUAUUUUACUCAAAAAUCGUUCCCUCGAAUAAAAAUAGAAAAAGACUAUUUCUAAAAAUAAAAAAAACUGUUCCUUGGCCAAGAAGCGUUACCAUGUGCACCCUAAGUAAUCUGAUUUUGAAAGAUUUGCUGCUUUUGAUCUACACGUGGUCUUUCGAUAUAACGAUGACUUGUGGUAUUUGGGGGGGGGGGGGGGGGGGGACCAUGAAGCAAGUAUUUCUUUAUGUUUUGUAUUAGAAUAUGGCAUGUACGGGUUCUCAUUUUUAUAACAAGAAACCCGCUUGAAAUAGGCAAAUUUGUUGGAUCCAUUAUAUACUCAACUAAUCUCAUGUAUUAGACAAGAUUCGAGCCAAAGUCGAAUGGAGAGUCAAAAUAUGGAUUCUUUACAAUUACUGGAGUUAGGAUUGCUUCUAAUAAGAACAUAUAAGAUGCACUUCAUUCUCUUAAGAGGAAGUGAAUCUUCCUGUGCAUAUUACUAUUUACCAAUAAUUAGGUCAAAAGAAACCUCGACUAAAUCUAAAAGUUAUAAAAAUUAUGUGAAUAUUAACCACUUUAAAUUUUGAAAAAUUUCAAGGUGUCCCGAUUUUUUAAAAGAUAACUAAAAGUGGAACUUGUCUCAAAUUAUAACCUCGAAGUAGCCAUAAAAAAAUUCGAUUUUAAAAAUAAUAAUAAUAAUUAAAAAUUCAUUUUAAAAAUAUAUACAAAUUUAAAUCAAAUUUUUAGUCAAUUAAAAAUAUUAAAAUUCAAUUUUUUAGUAUUUUUCCCAAAAAAUAAAUCAGAUAACAAACAGUGGAAUUUCAAGUUUUAGUUGAAUAUCAAAAAAUAUAGUCAUUUUCUUGGAAAAUGGCUUCUCAGAAAACAUUUUCUUGAAGUAUGAUAUUUUCCGUGAAACGAAUAGAUCGUCAGAUAAAGAAAAGAGGGGAAAGAAGAUGUGUGAUUAGUAGAUAUUGCUGUGAUAUGAGAGAAUAUGUUGUUGUGAUAUGAGAGAAUAUCUGUAAUGUUGGGGAAAUUAUCCAAUUAGUUCCAAAGAUAUUAUAUGGAUCAAAAUUUGUUCCUAAACUUUUUAAUUUCUCCAUUUAAUCCUAAAUAUUUGCGGGAAAUUCAAAUGUAGUCCUUCUGACAAAUUAGUUGUUAAAAAUCACUGACGUGGGGUGUGAUUAGAUGUCACGUUGGCGAUUUUCAUCAAAAAUUGAUCAAAAUAACUAUAUUGGAGAAAAAAGGGUGGCAUUAUUUCCACUCUCUAUAUAACUAAAUCCACCCCAUUUUCACUAAAAAGACAAUAUUGCCCUCAAGUUUAAUUACAAUUUAAAGUGGUGGCUUCAAAGUUAUUUACUUUCUUUAUAAUUUUUUUUUCAUUUCUAAGUAGAAUCUAAUUGUCAUAACUAAGAACUUCACAUGCUUGUUUUUGUUUAUGGUUUUUUCACCAUAUUUGAACUUUUUGCUAUUUAGAAAAUAAAACUAGUCACUUUUGCUCUUAUAACAACCUACCUAUGUUUCAUCCAUAAUAUAUCAAAAAAUUUCUCGGAGAAUAUUUUUAAUUUUUAUUUUGUUAGUCUAGAAUAUAGAUCAAGUCUCUAAAUUCACUAUAUCAAAGCAUUUUUUCAUUAACACCGGCAAGAUGAUUAUAACACGAAGGAUGUAAGAUAUUAUAGGAGUGUUUAGAAAACACUUAAAAUAUUGACAUGAAAAAGUUAUGUCAUAUUUUGAUAUUGUUUGCAAACACUCGGGGAAUGAUAUUAAUUUUUGUCAAUUCAUAAUAAUGAAAUUCUUGUUUUAUGCAAAGCUUUAAAAUUCCAUCUUUUGAAGUUUCGUGAAUGGUAAUGUAACUGUAAUUUUGUCUUCGAAAAGCCUUAAUUUUUUUUUUUUGGUGGUUUCAUCCUAUCUUUCCAUAAUAUGUUUAUGUAUAUAGAAGAUAAUUGAUUAAAAAAAAAGAUUUGUUGGUGUAUGCACAAUAAAUAUGUAAAAAAAAAAAUAACAAACCCAUGACUGUUUUAAAAGUUUUUUUUUGUGCUGGAGGAAUCGUCUUGCAGCCGACAGCCACGCCGUAAACCCCCAAGUGACACUUAAGCAGGAAGACCCACUACCCCUGAGUCACACUUAAUACACCUAGCGCCUCCCUUGAGUUUUGAACCCUUCACCUCUUCGUUGAGGAUCAGUAGAGCCUUAUCCAGUGGAGCCACCGCGGCUGGUGGUAUGACUGUUUUAAAGGUUCUAUGUUACAUUUUUCUAGAUUUUAUUGGACAAUUAAUCCAUACAUUUGCUUGACAAUGUAGAAAAUAAUUAAAUUUCACUGAAAUUUAUUGAAAUUUCUCUUGUGGACAAAUAUAAUUUUUAUAGAAGCAAAAUUUAAAAAUAAAGAGAAAACAUAAUGCAUUNNNNNNNNNNNNNNNNNNNNNNNNNNNNNNNNNNNNNNNNNNNNNNNNNNNNNNNNNNNNNNNNNNNNNNNNNNNNNNNNNNNNNNNNNNNNNNNNNNNNNNNNNNNNGAAUAAGUAAGGGCACUUUGUUUUUUUAAUAAAAGAAUAGGGUGGAUUAGUAUGUAAGGGGUAGAAAUAGCACCACCACAAAAAAAAGACAAAACAGAGUUGCAAAACUCUAGAAUUGCUCAAUUUGCAAUUACUUUUUUUGGCGAUUUCUUGUUAUACUCUAGAAAAAAUUGCCAUAACGACAAUAGUGCGCAUAUAUAGAAACAAAAUCGAUUUUGUUUCUAUAUGGCAACUACCCCCAUGAAGAUUGUUUUCCUUUCAAGAGAUAUUAAUUCGUAUAUAAAUCAAUAGACAAACCCAAGGGUAGCUAAUAUAUGUCCGAGUUAGAGAGGAGAGAAUAAACAAUGGAUAGUGGUAGCAGAAAAUGCUUAUGGAUGAUUUUGUUCAUGGCAUUAGCUUUGGGCUUAACUUUCUCUCCUCCUAUUGAGGCGAGGAAUCUCGCCACAAGAAAUCUCGUGAGUCGCAAAAAAAUCAGAGGAGCGCCUUUUCAUUUCAGGUUAUUGUCCAAAGGGUCAAUUGUUCCACCUUCUGGACCCAGUGCUCCGCCUUUUCAUUUCAGGUUAUUGCCCAAAGGGUCACCUGUUCCACCUUCUGGACCCAGUGGUCGCGGUAACACGCCGCCACUGCCACCAUCAGUACUCUGGGGUUGAGAUUCAACAUCGAUGCGUAAUGCGUGCCGAAGCAACAAGCGCUGCAUUUCUAUGUUUCUUUGCUCUUGGACGAUGUCGCCUGCUGGAAUAAAUCGCUCCAUGUUGUGUUGCAAUCUCAUUUGGUGUGUAGUUUGAUAUUUUUUUAGGCAAUAAAGGCAUGCAUGGUAACAUAUCUGUUUCUCCUAAUUUUUGUUUUUCUGUUCCUUGGAAAAAAAAAAAGAAUAGAAAUCUGUUUAGUAAAAGUUUGUUCCGAGAACAAAAAAAUCUUUUUUUUUGGCUCCGGAAACAAAAACAUCUUUUUUUUUUGUUCCGGGAACAAAAACAUCUUUUUUUUUUGUUCAGCGAACAAAACAUCUCCUUUUUUUUAUUUGUUCCGGGAACAAAAAAUCUAUCUUUUUUUGUUCUUGGGAACAGAUUUGGAAUAGAAACAAGCAAAAAAAAAGGUAGUUUAUUGUUCUCAGGAACAAUUUCUAGAAAUAAGCCAAUUUUUUCUUCUUUUUUCUUUUAUUUUUCUUGCUUGAUGUGGCCUGGGGUGGCCGCUUGCCAACCGCCAACACCCUCCGACCAACUGCGGCCACAGUUGGCUGACUGCCGGCCAUCACCGACGGAGGAGGUGAGGGCUAUGCAUGGUUACAUCCAAAAUGUCACAAAGGCGCUAAGCAAAAGUGGGUCUUGGCAGAAGUGGUUGCCGACCCUUUUCAUUUUAUUGCACAUGCGGAAGCGAAUUAACUAAUCCCCUAGCAACAACAAAUAUGAGAUAGAAAAGUGGGACAACCAGUUUCAAAUCAAAUACACUUUCAUAAACACCUCAAGCUUAUACAUAAUGUCUAUCUCACAAAGGACUACUAAGCCACUUAUGUUCUUGACCCUUCCACUUCAAACUCCGGGUUCUUCACACUGGGGACCUGAAUUCAAUAACCAGUGAGAUGUAAAUCUCAGUGAGUUCUUCCCCUAGUCCCCCGAUUAGUACACCAACUCAACUCAGGGUAUCUCUUUAGAACCAUCUCACAAACAAACCAAAGAUUGACAAUCAACAAUCAAUAGUCGGUUCAUAUGCAACCUUACUUGAUAUGCCAUACCCUGCACAUCAUAACUCAUCACGAUACACGCAAUGCACAUGGCCAUUAGAUGAUGUGGUUCAUCAAUCACAUACGAAUCACAUUACAAGCGAUCUCACGUGGCCAUUGCCACACGAAAGCAUUGUCUGGGGUAAAGGCGCGGACGCACUGCCAUUCCUCAUCCCAACCAAAUAUUGCCUCCUUGGGCCCCGCACUAGCGUGGACGAAUCGCCAUCUCAGUCAGGCCACCCCUCAAGGCUUUGUUCUCAGCACAACGGAAGCAUAUGUGAAACACGUUAUCGAUUCAUGCGUGCGUGCCAUAAACAGUGUGCUCAACUCCAGCAUGACUAGAAUUAAAGAUGCUAUGAUUCUCAUGCGUUCUUGCACAUUAGUGCGUCACACAUCAGACAUCGAUCAAUCACAUGGAUCCCAGUCAGAUCGAAACCAAAAAUUUUGUCAUCUCUUUUAAAAUCUCAUAGUUUGAUAUAGUAUUUAAAAACACUUUCAGCGUCCAAAACCUGACACCCGGUAUUUUCUUAUUAAAUGCCAAUAGUUCCCAAUCAUCCUACAAUUACACAAAACAUCACCCAAUUCAUGUGGAUGCCCAUGCAUUUACACAUUCAUUCACUUCAUAGAAUCAAUACACAUGAAAUUAAACCACUUUUCAUUCCCGGGUGAACAGUGCACGUGAACAGUAACUUGUGAACAGUGCGUCAUGAACAGUGAAAUUACAGAAUUAACUAACUAAUUAAUUAAAUCCACAAGUCAUUAAAAACAUUAAUUAAAUGAAUCAAAGCAUCAAGAACCAUCAUUAAACUAAAAUAGGUCGUAAUUGGCAGAAAUUGUGCCUUCGCGCGUCUCCAAAUUUAAAUCCAAAAACCUAACCAAUUGAGUUCGGAAAAUUCCCAAGUUUGAAUAUGUGACAAAAGGCACGUAAAAAAACAUUUUUCAUGAGACACCGAGACCCAGAUCCCUCUGGAUUCAGCCCAGUAAUUCACUCAAUCCAGCACCAAAAUUUGGUCGGUUCUCAAAAAGUCAGUUUUCCAAAAUCAGUUUGUUUCGAGCUCUUAAACACAUCCGUUUGAUUUGAAAUUUUAGUACGUUAAAAUAUAAGAGGUGAAAUGAAAAUUUUAUGAAGAACCCAUUUUAAAAUUCAAACUCCAAGAGUUGAUAAAAACCCCUAGAAUCCUAAAAGGUCACUAGUUCCAGCGAAAAUUGCAGUUCUGUUCGAAAAUGGCGGAGCUAAUAUCUCCUAUUUCUGAGUCCCUAAAAAUCUUGAGAAAAAUAUAUGUUGUAUCUUAGGAUGUGUAAAACAUUUCUCUAAAAGACAUUAGCUUCAGAUUCACAACCGAUUUCAUUAUAUAAAAAUUACAAACCGCAAGUGUCCAGAAACCAGUUCUGAAGAACAGCCACUGUUUUCAACCAAAUCAUCCUCAACGGAGCAAAUCUCCCUAAUUAGACUAACAUUAAUCCAUUCUAAUACUAAUAUAACUAUUAUAGACUAUCAAGAAUCCCUAUUUAAGCUAACCUAAACCAUCUUUUAGUCUAAAUCAACCUCUUAAGCAAGUUUAGGUACCAAUCAAAGGAUUAGGAGCUAAACUCACCCGACGACAAUUCCGACAACAUGAGUGCGACGGCGGUGGCGAGGGCUAUGCAUGGUUACAUCCAAAAUGUCACGAAGGCGCUAAGCAAAAGUGGGUCUUGGCAGAAGUGGUUUCUGAUUUGGCAAGAACGGCGGGCCGAUGGCUCGCAGAUGGGUGGUGCGGCUCUUUGGCAGUGGAUGGCGGCUUGUGGAUAGUGAUGGCCCACGGCUAUGGCGCAAGAUGGUGGCUGGCUUGGGGCAAAAACAGCAGCACACGGUGCUGUUUUGGAAGCAAAAGCAGAAAAGAAACUUAGAGAGAAAGAGGAAAGGAAGAGGGGAGGGGGCUUGUUGAGAGGGAGGAAAGGGGGAAGAGGAGAGAGAAACAAUAAAGUAAAUGGGGGAAGUUGAGGGGAAAUUGCUGCAAAGGGGUUGGCAUGAGUGAGGGGGUGGAAAAGUGGGGGAGAGAGAAGAAAAGAGAGGGGGAGGAAAUUGCGUGCGAAGGAGGGGAAAAGAAAAUGUGAGAGAGAGAUACGUCGGGAGUGGGGUGGAUGUUGGGGGAAGGAAAGGAAUGAGGAGAGAGAGAGAAAAAUAAUAAUAAUAUUGUUAUCAUUUUUUUUUCUUCCAAUCUCUGAUUUUUCAUCCGAUAAUUUCUUUUUCCAAAAUUUCGAGAUGUCACAGUCGCCGCCACCGUAUGAUCGUCGUUGUUGCCGCCCAAAGCCCACCAGCCACCCCCAAUCUCCGAUGACUGCCACCGACCGCCAUUGCUGCCCACCGCUAGCUGUCGCCCACUGCUGCUUGUCGCCCGUUGCCACCGCUUGUCACGAUUGCCUGCCAUCGCAAGAUUGCCGGCCAUCUUGCAACAACAGGCGGUGACGAGUAGCAGGCAGCGAUGAUGGGCGGUGGCAGGAGCGGUUGGUGGUCCAUGAGCAAAAAUAAAAAAAUAAAAAAAUACAAAAAAUAAAAGAUAAACGCAUUUCUGUUAUUUUUCUAUUUCAAGAAUAGAAAUUUUGUGUAGUUACUAAACACUUUAUUUUACUCAAAAAUUGUUCCCCUGAGUAAAAAUAGAAAAGAACUAUUUCUGAAAAGAAACUGUUCUCCGGCCAAGAAACAUUACCAUGCGCACCCUAAGUAAUCUGAUUUUGAAAGAUUUGCUGCUUUUGAUCUUUACAUAGUCUUUCGAUAUAAUGAUGACUUGUGGUUCUAGUUGGGUGGGGUGGACCAUGAAGCAAGUAUCUCUUUAUGUUUUGUAUUAGAAUAUGGCAUGUACAGGUUCUCAUUUUUAUAACAAGAAAUCCGCUUGAAAUAGGCAAAUUCGUUGGAUCCAUUAUAUACUCAACUAAUCUUAUAUAUUAAACAAAAAUUAAUAUCAUUUAUGAAUUGUUUACAAAAAAAAAUAUCAACAUUCCUCAUUGUGUAUAAUAUUUUAAGUUAUUUUUUCUAUACAUUCAUCUAACAUCUUACAUGCUUUGUAUAAAAGUAUUUUGACAAUAUAAUAAGGAAAAAAAGGAUAAAUCCUUUGAUAUUGUAAAGGAAGAGAUUUGAUAUAUAUAGUAGACUAAUGAAAUUAAAAAAAAAUGUGGGAAAAUUCCAAAUAAUGACACAAAGUGAAGGUGUUUUCUCAAAAAGAAAAAGACCCAGAGUGGCUCUUAUCUCGAAUAAGGGCCUGAAGUGGCUAAUUUGGUUUCAAAUAAGAACCUAGCUUUCCGAUUAGCCAAAUAUUUGCCAGUCGGUGAGCACAUGCAUCUCACAUUCCAUUUUUUAAGUCAACCUUAGGGGCAUUUUCGUCCAAAAGACUUUUAUUUUUCUUUUGUAUUCUUUUUUCUUUCCUUCCACUAUUCAUCCUUUUCUUUGAUGGUAAUUUUUACAAAUAGAGGGUAUUGGCAACGAAACUGGCAACAAUGAACAAAUGUAGCCGAAUCCUCUCCAUUAACAAAGUUAUUCCACUUCCAUAUUGCCCCAUUUAUUAAUCCAAAGUAUAAUCCAACAACUUUAAGAAAAUUUACCCAAGCACAAUCUAGCUGGCCGACCACCAUCCUCCCUUGCCGUCGCUGCAUCCCCAUACUUCCGAAAACCGUCAGUCUCUCUCUACGUACUUGCCCUAGCAAUAUACAGAACUCGCAAUGCAAAGAGUUUUCCAAUGGUUGAUGUUUCAUCAGUGACGAAUUCACUGGAAUCUACCCGGUGGCUUUAAUCACCUGAAAGAGGCCCGAAUUGCACCCUAUGCACACCAAAAGAAAGCCAAUCUAUUCCUUGACUUGCCUCAGUUUAGAUCACUGCCACCUUGAAUCGAAGCAAAUGUCAGGACUCCAUGUCGUGGCCUCGAAUCUUCGUCUCAGUCCCAACAAGUCCCAAACAACAUAUACCAAUUCAGAAACUCACUAUUCAUGCACCUAAGGCCAAAAUCGUCCACAAUCACCACACACAAGUAGUAUAUUUAUCAAUGAGUCACGCUCAUCAAAUUUCACCAAGACGCCACAAGGAAAUCACCACUAGAAUUGAGCCCUAGGACAUGAUUUGAGCUGCACAAUGCUGAGAAUAGCCACUCAGGCCAUUAUCAUCAAUCGCGGAUUGUCAUUACCAUUGUUGGACGGCUUGUCACCACCCGGUUUUCAACCACCCUAAAAUCAAGCCCUAGGACUUGGUUUUGGGGUUGCCAUUGUCCCCAUGUCCUCUAGCCAUUGUUGGCAAUUGUUGCCAACUUCGUGCAAUUGAUGAAGAGUCGUCCACGUUCUGAAAAAAAGAAGAUGAACUCCAAAGAGCAAAGAAGAUGAACAAAGAAGAAGAAAGAAGAAUAAAAGUCUUUUGGACAAAAAUGCCCCUAAGGAUGACUUAAAAAAUAGCAUGUGAGAUCAAUGUGCUCACCGGCCAAUGAAUAUUUGGCAACUAGAAAGCUAGGUCAUUAUUUGAAACUGAAUUAGUCAUUUCAGGCUUUUAUUUUAGACAAGAGCCACUCUGGGUCCUCUUUUGAGAAAACACCCUCACUUUGGGUCCAUAUUUGGAAUUUUCCCAAAAAAUGUUAACCAAGAAAGGGAGAUUUUGAUAUAAGAGGGACAAAAAAAUAGAUAAAUUGUUUUAGGAAAAAUUACCAAAAUAAUCCUAAACUUAUUACAAUUUUUCCAAUUCAGUCAUAAAUCUUUUUUUUUUUGUCAAUUCAAUUAUAAACCUUUUAUGAUUGUGCCAAUUUAGUUCAUCCAAUCAUGUUUGGCCGGCCGGCACUAACGUGGACAUCAACCGAUAUUGAUGUAGACGAUUCUUAAAUAAUAUUUUACUUUUUCAAUUUUUUUAAAUUUUUUCUUUUUCUUUUUUUCUCCACUUCCUUCUUCUUUCUAUAUCUGGUCAUUGGCAGCAUAUGGUCAGAGGCAAGGUUGACGGGGUCCCCUCGUCGGCCUCAAGGAAGCCAACCCAUGGCCGGGUGACCUCACCAAGGCUACUUGCUAGGCUGGUGAGGCCUAACCGGGCCAAUUCCAUAAAAAAGCACGAACUUUAGGGUUUGGGACAAAUUUGGCCCGAACUUUAUUUUGUCUUGAAAAAAAGCACCAACUUUCACUCCUGUCCCAAAUCUGGCCUGCCGUUAACUCUCCUUCACGAUCAUCCGACCUGGCAUUUCCAAGUGGCGGAUCUGGCCGGCCGAAACCCUAACGGAGCCGACUUCCGCCCCAACCCAAAGCGAAGCGAUGAAGAGGAUUUCGCGAAGGAGCUGCUCUAUCGCCUCCCUCUUAUCUGCGCCUCUGCCCUCUGCCAAAACCAGCAAUCUCUUCUCUUUUUUCCUUUUCCAGCUAACUUCCCUUUAGCAGAAGCAACAACCCCUUCUAACUCCUCGGUAAAAUUCUCCGACGAGACCGUCACCUCUUCUUCGUCCCGAUCGUGCGCCUGCUUGCUCACUUCCUCCCACUCGAGCUCCGCCGCCAGAUUCCUCUGCGAUUCCAAGUCGAACGAGCACACGUUCUCGGAUUCCAGAUACUCCGAAUCCGAAUCCGAAUCGAUGCUCACCACUCGCAAUCCCGCGCGCAGCGGAUCCGCCUCGUCAUCCACGGCGCGUCGGGCGGAUUCGGAGACCGAUUCCCACAGAUCCGAAUCGAUCCUCGGCCCCGAUUCCGCACCACCACCAGCGGCGGCUCCGGGUCCGACCCCGAUGGCGUCUUCAGCACCGCGGGCCGAGCCGAAACCGUCGGAUCCCGAAUCGGAAUCGGAAUCGGAAUCGCAGGCCGGCGAGCGCGUGGCCGCGGCGGGGGCGACGCCGGAGCCUCUGGCGACGUAGAAGGGCGAGGGGAAGGUGGGGUUGAUGUACCACUCAAAGAGGAAGCCGGGUUCUAAGGUUUCGGGAUCUUCAGGCGGGCGCGCCAUCGGGCGGGGGGCAAAUCGGCUGAUCGGAAUCCGCUCCCCGGAAUUCCCUCUGGACGGAGGAUGGCCACGAGAAGAUCACGAGGCGGCGGCCAUUGACGGACUCCUCUCGUUCGUCAGUGAUCCAGCCAUUGAUGUUCUUCUGGUUCAGGAGGCGUUCUCGUGUGGAGGGAGGGAGGAUAGGCAGGGGAGGGGCAGGAGACGUUUUCGGAUCCGCCCGCGAAUCUGGCCGGCCGAAACCCUAACGGAGCACCAACCCUAACGAAUGACCGUGAAGGAGAGUUAACGGCAGGCCAGAUUUGGGACAGGAGUGAAAGUUGGUGCUUUUUUUCGAGACAAAAUAAAGUUCGGGCCAGAUUUGUCCCAAACCCUAAAGUUCGUGCUUUUUUAUGGAAUUGGCCCGGCCUAACCUCAUUGGAAGCCACGAGGUUCAAGGUCGUUACCUCGCAUAGCCUUUGGUGAUGGCUGUGUUGGGCGAGGCUUGCACUUGCUAUCCAUGGCGAUGCUUAACCUUGCAAGAUUUGGCGAGGUCAUGCCUCGCUAAAGGUUGUAAGUCAAGGGCUCAAUCUCGCGCAGCCUUUGGCUUGUGCAAGCCUCACCAACCACAAGUAGUUUGUGGCUUCUCCAUGGCUACGCAAGGCCUCACCCAGCCAUGGCGAGGGUAGCCUUGCCAUCGUUAGGUGAGGCUUGCCCUCGCUAGUAGCGGUCAAGGCUAAACUUGCCAAUGCUCGUCUCUAGCCGGCUGCUAGCUAGAGGAAGAAAAAAAGAAGGGGAGAGAGAGAGGGAGGGAAAAGGAAAAAAAAAAUAUUGUUAAAAAAUUGGCCACAUUAGCAUUAGCUUAAGACCGGUGCCAAACCUUCCAAAAUUAGUCAAAUAGAUUGAAUUGGCAUAAUUAUAAAAGGUUUAUGACUUAAUUAGCCAAAAAAAAAAAGUUUAAAACUGAACUAUGAAAUUUGCAAAAGAUUUAAGUCUAUUUUGGUAAUUUUCCCAUUGUUAUAAGAUUUUAGUGAUGAAAAAGAAACUUUUCAAUUUUAUACCAUAUAACAUAAUGUCUUUUUUUACUAUUAGUGAAAUGAUAUUACAUAUAAUAUGUAAAAUGUUAUUGAAUAUUCCCUUUUGCAAAGUGAUUAAAUUUUCACUAAAUUAGCUUUGAUCAAUUCUACUAAGCUAUUCCCCCUUCGUAGGCUCCAAAAUUCAAGUCAGUUUUUGAAUGAAUUGAUUCUAUAGGAACCCAUAUUCCCCCUAUUCCCUUCAUAGAUAAUGUCACUUUAAUCAUCCUGUUUUUUCUUUGUAGUAAUGUUUUCCGUCCAGGAAUUGGCCCCCGUUGACUAUUGCUUUUGCCAAUUCUACACAAAUUAAUUUGAGCUCGAGUUCAUUUAAAGCUGGAACAAAUGCAAUCUCUUUCUCUUUCAGGGGUCAGUUAUUUUCAUCUGCCAUUUGGAACUUUUCAUCCAAUUCCUUCAUCAAGUCACAACUCAGAAUGUAACUUGAUGCAAAAGAAAAAACACUAACCAUUUUAGAUUAUGGAUGAAUCAUUUGGAGUUGGAACUGUUUGUUGUAACCAAAACAAUUAAUAAAUUCGAGAAACCCAUAACAAAAGAAAUGGUAAUUGGAUGUGAGAUACGGCUAACCAAAUCUCCUUAAGGCAAUUAGUUCCAGUGAACGGUGUUAAGUAGCUUUAUGAACUAUGCCUCCCAACUUACAACACCUUGAACUUGUUUGUAUUAGUACUAUACAAAUAGGACUCUAUCAAACACUUCUUAAAACUAACACACUUAGAGAAACUUGAAAAGAGGAGAUGUAGGUCACUUCUCAUUGGAGAUGUAGGCAACUUUGUUUUUUUAAUGAAGAUAAGGUGGAUUUAGAUUUAGUUAUGUAAGGUGUAGAAACAGCACCACCAAAAAAAAAAAAAAGUUGCAAAACUCUAGAAUCGCACAAUUUGCAAUUACUUUUUUGGCAAUUUCUUGUUAUACUCCAGAAAAAAUUGCCAUAACGGCAAUAGUGCGCAUAUAUAGGAACAAAUUCGAUUUUGUUUCUAUAUGGCAACUACAAUCCACCCUUGAAGAUUGUUUCCCUUUCAAGAGAUAUUAAUUUGUAUAUAUAUCAAUAGACAAACCCAAGGGUAGCUAAUAUACGUCCGAGUUAGAAGGAGAGAAUAAACAAUGGAUAGUGGUAGCAGAAAAUGCUUAUGGAUGAUUUUGUUCAUGGCAUUAGCUUUAGGCUUAACUUUCUCUCCUCCUAUUGAGGCGAAGGAAUCUCGCCACAAGAAAUAUCGCGAGUGCCGCAAAAAUCAGAGGAGCGCCUUUUCAUUUCAGGUUAUUGCCCAAAGGGUCAAUUGUUCCACCUUCUGGACCCAGUGAUCGCAGUAGCUCGUCGCCACUGCCACCACCAGUACUCCAGGGUUGAGAUUCAACAUCGAUGCGUCAUGCGUGCCGAAGCAACAAGCGCUGCAUUUAUAUGUUUCUUUGCUCUUGGAUGAUGCCGCCUGCUGGAAUAAAUAGUUCCAUGUUGUGUUGCAAUCUCGUUUGGUGUGUAGUUUGAUAUUUGAUAUAUUUUGAGGCAAUAAGUAAACUGAUUUUGAAAGAUUUGCUGCUUUUGAUCUUCACGUGGUCUUUCAAUAUCACAAAACUACCUUAACUAAUACUUGCCUAAACCAAGCUUAUUUGGUAGAAACAACUUCGACAUGACUAUGCAGUGACAUGCUGCACCACGACACUAAAAUGGCUUUUUUUAGACUCUUGUGAUGCUUGUUUUAAGUUGGUUUCAAGUCAUUUGGGAGACAUCUAAUGAAAUUAGGUGAGAUCGUAUACUUCUUUUUCAAUCUAUUGUAGCAACCCGAUAUGACGAGGGCUGGAGUAUCACUAGGGCAAGCGGGCAUAAACAAGGAAUUGAUCUCGACAGGCAACUCGAUAGCAAAGGGGAGAACAAAAUAAAUUGCACAUCGAUCACUAGGAGAUCAUUCCUGAAUUAUAUAUGUGGGAAGUUGGAAUUAACUCAUAAGAGGCAUAUUUUGCUUAAUGACAAUGUCUACCAUUGGAAAUUUGAUAUUUAGCAUGCUCAAGUGAUGGUACAAAUAAGAUAAGUGAUCUUUUUUAUGAGAAAGUGCCUACCUUACAUCCAAUAAAAAAACUGCAAUCGUUGGAAAUUUUGAUAUUUAGCAUGCUCAAGUGAUGGUACAAAUAAGAUAAGUGAUCUUAUGAGAAAGUGCCUACUUAUACAUCCAAUCAAAAAACUGUGAUCAUCGGAAGUUCCAUAUUUAACAUGCUUAAGUGAUGGUACUAAUGAGAUAGGUGACUUUUAUGAAAAAGUGCCUACCUGUACGUCCAAUGAUAAAACCACGAAGCUUAAUAUGAAACUGGUCAAAACAAACAAUAUUUGAAGUGAAUGGGGGUUAUGUUACGAAUAUCUUACAUUUAAGAAGUAAUCUUCUUGCAUAACUCCUGAAAAAAGGCCACCAAAAUAAUGAGAGCCGAUAUGAGUUUGACAUCUCCAAUAAAAUCUUGAGCAUAUACUAGAUUAUGCCAAUGUGAGCACCUGCCUAAUUUGUCCUCUAGUCCAACAACCAAGUCUAAGAUUUUAUUCCAUAUGAUGUGUUUGUCAUUAUAUAACUUGUGCACGCAAGAUGGCCUCUACCAGUUAUGAUUCCGUCUCUAACAUAUGUGGGAGGGUUCAAUGCAUUAGAUCCACCCUACCGAGCAAUCAACAUUUGGAGGUUCUAUACAUGACACAAGAAAGGCAAAAAUUUUCUUGGACAUGAGAACGUGGUGGACUUCAACAUACAAGAUGUUCAAUUAGACAUUUGAGGAGAUGGGUAUGUUAGUGCUCUACUCUACCACUCAUAUCAGAAGUGCCGGUCUCUAGCCAUUGCCUAACAAGAUUGGAGGGUUGCAAGAUUUUUUUUCAAAUGGCUUUUUAAAUUAUUUUUUAUUCAAUUUUUUAAAAAUAGAUUUAAAAACUUAAAAAAAAGUUUAAAUUUAUUAUAAAAAAUUGUUUAAAAAAUAAAAUAAAAUUAGCGGCUCCUCCCCCGCCGUUGCCCAUUGCCAAAGGGCUAGCGAGGGUGGCCAACCCUCUCCGACCCCAGGCAAGGGCCGACGACCCUCGCCAAGCUCGGGCAAGGGAGCGCAGAGCACGCCGGCUCUUGCGAGGGGCCGAUGGCUGUUGCCUUCCCUGGGCGAGUCGUCGCCGGCCCCUCGUGCUCGCCCACAUCUAGCGAGCCUCGCUGGCCCCGAGCGAGGGUUGGCGAGGCCUUAUCUAGGGCGAGCAAUGGUCCCCGCCCCUCGUGAGGGCCGGUGAUCACUCACCCAGGGUAGGCAACAACCGCCGGCCCCUGGUGACGGUUGGUGUGCCCUGGGCUCCCUUGCCGGAGCUUGGCGAGGGCCGGCCACCAACACCCAAGGCCGGCGACCGUUGUUGGCCCCUCUAGCAAUCGGCGGCGGCGGCAAUAGGGGAGGAGUUGCUUUAUCUUCUUCUUUUUUUAACAAAUUUUUAAAAAUAAAUUUUAAGUUUCUUUUUAGUUUGUAAAUCUAUUUUUUUUAAAUUGAAUAAAAAUAAUUAAAAAAAACCACAUGGAAAAUAAAAAAUUAUUUAAAAUGCCACGUUAGCAAUUUUUGUUAAAAAGGCUGAUGGUGUUAACUUUAGGACUUGAUUGUAACAAUAUGACAAGUUUUAGGACUUGAUUGCACUUUUUGCAAGUUUUAGGAUUUAAUUGCAUUUUUGUGAUAAGUUUUAAGACUUGUGCAGCACUUAUCCCAAAAACUAUCAAUUUUAGCUUCAGUGCCAAUUCUACCUUAUCUUAUAAAAAAAAGUCAUCAACUUUUGGUUUAGUCUCAUUCUUACCCUGAACUUUUGUUUUGUCUCAUAAUAAACUACCAACUUUAGGUACAAUUCCAGAUCUAUCCUAUUUUUAUUUUUUAUCUUCUAAAAAAUGACCAACUUUUACUGAAUCACAUAUGUACCCUUGUUAACACUCCAAAAUUGCCCUUAGUGAUGUGGCAUUUCCAUGUCAUUACUCUAGUUUUUCCCUAAAUUUUCGAUAAAAAAAAGACAUCAAUUGGAGAUAAAUAAUGUCCGCCCAAAUGAUGUCUUCUUGGAUGUUACAUUUGAGUAAAAAGUAGAGCAAAUAGGGGUUGGCCAUCUUCAAUUGCUUUUACUAUUAGGAAAGUCUUCCUUUCAUCUUGCUCGGGAGUCUUCAAUUUUGUGCUCAAUAUUCAAUCUCUCGUGCUCGGGAGUCUUUUAUGUCUUAUGGUUGGAGAGCUCACACUCAGGAUGCUCGAAUACUCAUGCUUGAGAGUUUUUCAUCUUUCAAUUGUCAAAAGAAAUUUUGGAUGGAAAGUUAACGAGUGCAAAUUUGAGACUCAAGUAAAAGUUUGUGAUUUUUUUAUGAGACAAAAAGAAAAGUUUAAUGCAGAUUCAUACUAGAUUUAAAGUUUUUUUUUCAUGGGACAAAAGAAAAUUUAAGGUAGAAUUGAGAGAGAAUUUCAAGUUAGAGAUUUUUUAAGGGGACAAAGGAUAUUAUGAUAAAAUUGGGAUUGAACCUAAAGUUGGAUUUUUUUAUUUAUUUAUGGUAUUAGGCCAAAGUUUUUAGGGAUUUCUUGCAGGUUUUUCAGUGAUAUGAUGGAUAUUUUGAGUGUCAACGAUUAUCUAUCAAGUAAUUGUGUCCUUCCAUUUCUACACCUCAUUUCAGCUGAAUUGGCAAACAAGGAGGCAGUCCCUUCUUCAAUUAGCAGCCAUAACUGUGAAAUUCCUCAAAUGUUACAAGGACAUUGUGCUUAUUCUUUUUGUAGCCACUGUCUUGAAUUCAAGGUUCAAGUUGGAGAGCCUCAAAACUCUCAUUGAUCCAUAAAAUGAAAAUUUGGUAGUGGGUGAGGAGGUCUAAGGGCAAAAUAUAAUUAUAGAGGUAAUGAAUUGGCUCUUCUAUGCAUGCUGCAUAAGCCUGUCAAUUUGAUGCAAUGAAUUUCAAACCACGAACGAAGAACUUGCCCUCCUGGUGCGGUCUCUACUGGGCAAGAAAAACACCCCAAAGCAUUCACUAGGCCUUUGGCUUCAUCUACUAACAUGUUGAAGACCUACUAGGGAAUGGAACAGCUCCCAAUACAUCGAUAGAGUUCGUGAAAACAGCAUAAUGUUUGGCAACAAUGGUUUGAAAUAGUGGAAGAGGUGACCCGUCACUUUUCAAAUUCUCUACACCAUGGGUCAAAGCUUACUUAGCCCACCGGUAUCUACAGUACCUUCGGAGUUCGUGUCCAGUACUAGCCAAUAAUAUAAGAAAGAUAAUACGUCUAAUUCAUCUAUAUAAAAAUUAACAAUGAUUGUACACGGCGUGAUAGGUUUUCGCAAUAAUUUACUCCAUAAGAAUGUGCCUAACAUGAAAAAGAGACAGCGACGACAUUGUCUUGUCCGAAUCAUGCCAAAGAUUAAGUUCUAGCGCACUUCAACUUUUACAGUUGAAGAAGCCUGCGUGCCGUCUUGACCCGUUGAAGAACCAAGGAUUGACAGCGGUGCAAGGCAUCUGCUGCUUGGAAUCUUGGCUCGAUUCUCUCUCUUUUGUUGAGGGUUCUUUCUCGGUCUUUCGCUUACGUCAUUUAUAUUUCGCUUAAUUUUUUUGUAGAGCGUUUCUUCUUCUUCUCAUGGCCCCAUUGCGCCUCCUAUUUUAAUUAAUGUUCACUUUGAUACCGUGAUAAAGAUGUCUGAAACUUUUCGAACUUUUAUUGGGCAUUGCUUGUGAGCGAGGACAAUAGUCAUUCGUUGCAUGCAUGAUCUGUGAACUCUGGACCGCUAGAGCCUGAACUAGGUGGGGUUUAAGAGAUGUGAUUGUAGAGUGCGUUUAUUUCGCAAAAAAUGUGUAAUACUUCUGUAAAUGACUGUUUGUAUUCCUCACAAAAGUAAAUGAAUGUAAAAUGUUUUCAUUGUCCAUGAAAAUAGUAUGAAUUGUUUAUGAUAAUGCAAAUAUUUUCCAUUAACGAAUUAUUUCGAGUGAUAUAGGUGAUUAUUUUUACAAUAACAUAUUUUCUAAGCCAUUCAUUUCUAUUGAAAUAGACAAGAUCUGAAUCUUUAUGUUAAAUUUUAAGUCUAGAUUUGCAAUUAUUUAUCUUGCCAAUCUCAAUUCCGGAAAUUAAAUUACAAGACCAUCUCCCAUAGUCCCAUGACACCAAGAUAAAUGUAGACAUCAAACCGGCCACCCUCCCCGGAGUCUCCUUGCCCGGUCCGCAAGUAAUGCAAUGCUCUCUGUUUCUUUUUUUCGUCGUGGCUAUUAAUGAAACAAAAUAGAGAGAUUACAGCGAAAUCCCUCUGCAUUUCCGUGAAAAUACUAACAUCUCAAAAUUUUCUUGACUAAAUAUAAAAUAUUAAAAUACAACGAUUCUACGUAAUCAAUUUGUCCCGACUAAAUUGCUGGGACAAAUAAUUUGCAAUUAGAGUUCAGCAAAUCUUUCGUAACUAUCUUCAUUCGAAGACGGCCUUUGUCCGACUUGUGACUUUCGUCGAUGCCGAUACGCCGGUCCGGUCAGUAUUGUCGUCGACCGGGGCACUUAAUUGAAAAAUUUAUAAUAUUGGAGGACUCGUUUGCCCAAACUGGAAAAGAUGAUAGUAAUACAAUGACUAAAAAAGUCAACGUGUUCAUGUCGUCACCUUCGCGCGUGCUACUUUACCCAGAAGCCGAAUGAAAACGGUCCGGCUUUUCAUACAUACAAAAACCAGACAGAUGGCAGUUCGCAAGCAAGAUCAUCUGGAGCUCGCGUUCCAAGCUUCUCUCUCUCUUCGUCGUUUCUUCUCGGAGAAGGUAAGAGCUCGCAUGUCUUUCUUCUUCUUUUGUUUCGGAACUGGAGUGCACGCGAUGAGUCCGUUCUCGUCUUCGAGCUUGCUCCUGUUCUCUUCUGCUGCUGAAGAAAAGCUUCGCAUGCAUAUUCUUUUCUCUCUGUACUCUGCUCUUGCUUAUGAUACUGUGCGCGCACUGAGUUUUGUGAGGGACCCAGUACCGCGCUCUGUAUGCGUGCUCUUUACUCGCGCGCAUUCCACGCAAGCCCGAGUCCAGGUUCUCACCGGUGUCAAAUCACUUCGUACUGUGUUCGCUCGAGAUGCUGAUUUCGCCCGAGGCGCAAUUCUGAUGCAAUUCCUGCCAAAUGGCUUGGAGCUACUUUGCUUCCUUCUAGAAAUUAUAGCCCACCAACUUGUUUAAAAGAAUAUGCUUUGUGUGCUGAGAGAAGCGGCUGUUUCAGAUUGUGCGGCGACGAAACAUGGUGGAAGGGGAGUCCCUUAUUGCGAAAGAUGUCACUGAGGCAAGCAGUGUUGCAUCUCCUUCAGCACCAUUUGCGUAGAUAUAGUUGCCAAGGCGCUGUACUCUGAUCGAGUGCUGUUUCGGUGCAGAUAAUUGGCAAGACGCCCCUGGUGCACCUCAACCGUGUGGUGGAGGGUUGUGUUGCCCGAAUUGCUGCGAAGCUUGAAAUGAUGGAGCCCUGCUAAGGUGUCAAAGACAGGUUUGUAAUUGGAAUUUGAAUACUGUGGUGUCCAUUUCCAGUCAAAUUACAGAUUCCUCACGAUGCCAGGAGGUUGGCACUUGUCAAAAGAAGCAUAAAUUUAAUUGCCACCUCUGGUCUAUAUAUUAUCGCAUAAAUGAAACAUUUUCUUUAGCGAUGUGAUUUGUUCUGAUGAAUUGCAGUCACAGCGAAUCCUUUUGUCCUUGAUUGUAGGAUUGCGUAUAGAAUGAUUGCAGAUGCUGAGGAAAAGGGUCUGAUUAAGCCGGGAGAGGUUAGUUUUGGUUGGUCAAGUUUCUUCAUGUAGACUAUCCAUCUGUAAAAGCUGUUCAAAAUGGCAAGUCUAUUCCAUUCAUGUUGGAAAGCCUCUGAUUCUCUAUAUCGCUUGGUGCCUCUUGGGCGAUGUAACUUUUGGUGUAAUCCAAGUUGGUUGAAUAAAUUGAUCAUGGAUUUGACAAUCAAAUAAGGCAUGAAUGUGCUUUAAAUCCUCAUUUGUCUAGUACAUCAACUCCACUGAAAAACUGCAAAGGUUUGAGUCUGUGCCUGAUAAACUCAGUGUAACAAGAAAAAGUUUAUAUAUGUGCCAAGUGAAACUAUGGAACUGACGAAACUUCUUCUGUUGUGAUGUGUUCAAGAGUGUUAUGACUGAGCCUACUAGUGGUAGCACCGGAAUAGGGCUGGCAUUUAUGGCUGCUGCCAAGGGUUAUAAACUUAUAAUUACCAUGCCCGCUUCAAUGAGUCUUGAAACAAGAACCAUUCGCCGUGCUUUUGGAGCUGAUCUUGUCCUCACGGAUCCAGCCAGGGGCAUGAAAGGCUCUGUUAAAAAGGCUGAAGAGAUAGUGGAAAGAAUACCCAAUGCAUACAUGCUUCAUCAAUUUGAGAACCCUGCCAAUCCCAAGGUAUACAGUUCACACACUUAGUAAUCCUUCUAUAGCUAGCUGGUUGGAGAAGCUUAAGUUCUUCCUGCUUUCAUAGAUCCAUUAUGAAACGACUGGACCAGAGAUAUGGAAAGGUUCAGGAGGCAAAGUUGAUGCCCUCGUUUCUGGGAUAGGAACUGGAGGUACAAUAACAGGAGCAGGAAAAUAUCUCAAGGAGCAGAACCCUAAGAUCAAGGUGUGCAUUUCUAUCGCCUAGUUAUAUUUCUAGGCAACUUUACCGCUUCUCAUGUUUUUCAUUUAAUACUUCUGUGUAUUUAGCUCUAUGCUGUAGAACCUGCGGAAUGUGCAGUAUUAUCCGGUGGCAAACCUGGUAAGUCAUGAUCUUCAACACACUGUUGGAUCCCUUUGUAACUGGUAGUGAUAUUACACUGGCUUAACUUUUCAUUGUGUACUUUUCCUUUUCCUUCUGCACCAAUUGAAGGACUUGGAUGAGGAAACAUACUUUGUGUUUGGGUUUUGGCUGUGCCUUCUCUUGUUUAUCUCCCUCUCUGAUGCAUGAUUAAUAUACUGAGUGAAGAACUUAGGAAUGGCUGUCCUGAUUUUUCAAGGAUAUGGCUAGAGUAGUAACUACUUGCCUGGAAAUUAACUUCAUUGUAUGAUUGAUAUGAUCAAUGAACCGCAGAAUUGGGUCAUCCAUUUCCUUUUCCUCUCAUGACGGUUCAGCUACUACAUACCCUGGUUCUGCCCAGACAGCCUUUUGUUUAGUCACUAGAACUUAUGAAUUUGCUACAUUUGUGUGGGGAAAAAAUAUUUGCUUAAACUUUCUGCGCUUUCAUAUGUUUUGGUGAUGUUCAGCAUGGUUCUAUGAUAAUUUCAUAUACACUACAAAAUGAAUUGCCGAAGGUCCGCAUAAAAUACAAGGCAUUGGUGCUGGCUUCAUCCCUGGAGUGCUAGAUGUGAAUUUAUUUGAUGAAGUUAUUCAAGUAAGUUUUUAUCCAUACAAGGGGACAAAUUUGUGCUAUAUUUUUGCUUUUACAUCUCGGCAUCCGUCCACUUAUUAUGUCUUCUCAUCUUGAGAAUAUGUUUUCGAUGCCGUGAUUUUUUGUACAUUUGGCCUUUCCUGUUUAUAUUUAUUACCAUUUACCAAAAAAAAAUUUGUGCUAUUUUCUUUCUGUUUUCUGGUCCUGCCAUCAUGUUCAAUUAUCCUCAUUCCUAAAUUUCAUAACAUCCAUGCUGUUGCACAAGGGAAAAAGGACUAAACAUGCAAACAGAAAGUCUGCUCUCUUGCUGAUAUCCAUCCUACUACCUGAUAGAUCAUCAUUUGUAUUCAACAAAAUGACAACAACUCUUCAAUUGCACAUGCUUUUUACGAUUUGCAUACCGUUAGCCAAUGAUCUUUGCAUUGUAAAUGUGGUUCCUAUCAAGUAAUUCACAUUGGCUAGUAUAGGAUUCUCUUUCUGAUUUUGCAGGUAUCAAGUGAAGAAGCUAUUGAAACUGCCAAGCUGCUUGCAGUGAAGGAGGCUUUGCUGGUAAAGAGACUUGUCUAUCAUUAGGCAUUGAGACUUCAGAACCCCACCCCAGGAAACGAUGCACACACUGGCUAAUAUCCAUUUUUAACUUAUUUCUAGAAACAUGACAUGAUUGUGGCACUUCAGAGUUCUCUGCUGCGUGCUUUUUAAGUGGGUUCUUUGUGAUUUUAUCUUUUUCACUUGCAGGUCGGAAUAUCGUCGGGUGCAGCUGGUGCAGCCGCAAUUAAUAUUGCAAAGAGGCCAGAAAAUUCUGGAAAGCUCAUUGUGGUCAGUAAAUUUGCUUUUAUUGGACGUCGUUAGCAGAAUAUCAUGUAUUUUACAAGUGACUUCGCAAUAACAUAGCCGUGUAAGCAAGCGCAUAUCUUCUUGUUCGGUGAGUUCGGCUUACUUAAGUUUUCUUCAGCUUGAUGUCAAGCUUCAGUUGAAUGAAACUACUCCUAUUUUCCUUCUCAAAAUGAUGAAAAACCAUUUCUAGCUUGUUCACACUCUUCUUCAACAGCAAGCAGCCAUUCGAUCAUACUCAUGCAAAAAUAUUAGGGUCAAUUCCAUAAAAAAGCACGAACUUUAGGUGUUGUCCCAAAUCUGGCCCGAACUUUAUAUUGUUUAAAAAAAACAAACACCAACUUUCACUUGUGAUCCAAAUCUAGCCCUCCGUUAACCCUCCUUCCACAGACAUCCGACAUGGCAUUUCCUCUCUAAGUCUAUUUGAAGAUGAAUGAAGUAAGUCUAUUACAAAUAAGCUUCAUAUCUCUAUUUAACUACAAGAUGCACACGUUUUUAUAUCUCGCUUUAAGGCAAUGUAAUAUUCUACUUCCAACCCAGCUUUUGACAUUGAAAAUAACUUGCCAAUUGUUAAUUGAUCUAAUGGCCCUAGCUAUGUACCUCGUCCCCUGGAACUGAAGCUAUUGAAUUAUUUUUCCCAUGAGAAUCAUCUGUAAAGUUCACCUCAUUGGAAGGUAGACUUAAAUUUAACACUUCCUCCAAACACUCAAAUGCAGCAUCGUUUUGCACCUCAACAAAUUUGGACCUCUUCACAGUCGACCCAUAGGGCAUAUAGGAGGAGCGCGUUUAUGGCAACACCUAGAUCCCAUAAGUUUAUGCAUCUUCUCAACAUCAAGUCCAAAAGCAUCUCCAUGGUACCAUUCUGUAUCAAAAGAGUAGAUAUCAAAGUUAUUUACGACAUUCAAAAAUCAAUUAGACUCGAUGCACAUUAACUUCACAACUUUCAUGGCGCCAAAAUUUCCGACGGAAACGACAUCUCAAAGUGAUCGAGCUUGUGUAUGUGCAAGAGCAAGCGUCUCCAUGUAAGAGAAUGAGCGAGCAAGCCAGUGCGUGAGAACUUCCAAUGAAUUGAAGACUCCCGUGCGCGAACUCGCUAAGGAAAGGAAACCCUAGAAAGAAUUCUCCCCAAUCACAUGAGUCGUGCGUUAGAGAAGAAGAGAAAGCCCAGGAACAAUUUUGCCUUUAUAUCCAUGUCAGCUUGCUGUGUUGGAUAUUAUUAUUUUUUUUUUUUAUGACCCGGGAACCCCCGUACAGCCGGCAGCCGACGAGAUAAACCCGGGGUGACGCUAGCGGAGGACCCACCACCCCGACGUCACACUUAAGAUCCCGUGCGACCAAUGGGAUUUGAACUCCUCUCCUCCUCGCAAAGGAUCAUGGGAGCCUUAUCCAACUGGGCCACUGCAGGCAGUGGUGCUGUGUUGGAUAUUAUUGUUGACAUGGAAAUGUUAUGUUGGAUGCCUGUGCAAUGAGGGUCAAUGGAGGGCCAGAUUUGCGACAUGAGUGAAAGUUUGUGCUUUUUUUUAAGACAGUAAAGUUCAAGUCAAAUUUGGGACAACACCUAAAGUUUGUGUUUUUUUUCUGAGACAAAAUAAAGUUCGGCCAAAUUUGAGACAACACCUAAAGUUGAUGUUUUUUUAUGAAUUUGGUCCUAAAAUAUUAACCCUGCUCAGGUGGUCUUCCUGAGCUCUGGAGUCUUCUAAGCUGUUCCAAUCAGUGAAGCAGGAGGUAGAGAAUAUGCUUUAUGAACCUUGACUAAUUUCCUCAACGUGUUGACAUAAUUUGAUUUGGUUUAAUAGACUCAUGAAGAAGAAAUUCCAGUCGGCCCAUUCUGAUGAAGAAUUGUCCGCCGUGACAGGUAUUUAAUAAUGCGCUGCGGGGACAUGACAUGUAUGUUUCUUUUUGUUUCCCCCCUUAACAGUUUUUCUUUUGCUUGCUUCCAACCAUGUAAACUUUCGUGUUAGCUUUCAUAAUCAUCUUGUAAGUAUAACCUUCUGCAUUCGGUGAAGGGGAAAGGUGACAAUUAACACUUCGGAUUUACUCUUUUUACUUCCUCCACUUGCCAUGUGUUCUGUAAUCAAAUUAGCCAUAUACAUAAAGCUGAUAGCAGUUCCCUUUCAUACUUACACGAAGAAGUAACAUUUAGAUCACGAUGAACAUGACUAUAGGAGAGCUAAUUCUCGCACAUGACAACUUAGUGAGUUGGAAAAUAUAGAUCAGCGUGUUAGCAUUUGGCAGCAAGGUGAAAAUUUUCGGACUGCGAUAUGCCUUCGAAGGCUCCACGAGAAAGGCCAGAGGAUUGGUGCUUAUCACCCUGCGGGGACAACGUAGGUGGACAAGAAACCGUACAAGUGCAAAUCCUGCAAAGGCUCCUUCAAAUAGGCAUACUUUCUCAGCAACCCAUCUCUAACGUACCCGGCCUUCUCCUACACUCUCUGGCCAGUCCUAUCGUCCACUCCAAUGAAGGCUUGAACCCUUAAGACAUCAGGGAAAUCCCCAAACACCUGGUACAGCGCCAUUUUCACCGCUCAGGUCACCUCCACAGGAAUGCCAUACUACGGAAAUAGGCUAUGUUUAGACUAAGGAAUUGGGUAGGGGCCGCGCGAACGCAAGCCCCCACCUCCCAUCGGGUGAAAUACAUAUUGUGCAUCAAUUCUCCAAUCAUUUUACAAAUGAUUAGCUGAUAGGUAUUUUCGAAAAACCUUGAUGAGGUAAUUUCAAAUGACCCGAAAAGAUACUUAAUGUCCCAUUCAGUUUUAUGCACUGAAUAUACUCUAAACAUGACUUUCUCUUUCUGAUAAAUAUCACAAAACUACCUUAACUAAUACUCGACUAAACCAAGCUUAUUUGGUAGAAACAACUUAGACAUGACUAUGCAGUGACAUGCUGCACCACGAAACUAAAAUGGCUUUUUAUAUAUUCUUGUGAUGCUUGUUUUCAAGUUGGUUUGAAGUCAUUUGGGAGACAUCUAAUAAAAUUAGGUGAGAUUGUAUACUUCUUUUUCAAUCUAUUGUAGCAACCCGAUAUGACGAGGGCUGGAGUAUCACUAGGGCAAGAGGGCAUAAACAAGGAAUUGAUCUUGGCAGGCUCCUCGAUAGCAAAGGGGAGAACAAAAUAAAUUGCACAUCGAUCACUAGGAGAUCGUUCCUAAAUUAUUUUUAUUUCAAACAUAUUUCUAGACUAAUUUUUUUUCUAAAAAUAGAAAAUUGAAAUUGUGUUAUCAAAUAGAUUUUUGUUCAAACCUAUUCUUGGGAACAUAAAAGAUAAUUCUAGUUAGGCACAAAAUGGUUAUCAUGUGUACCUUUAGUUGCCGGAAAUCGUUGCUGUGGAGGAGUGUCACAUCAAUGAUUUCUAUCGACAAUUGAUCAUAAUGAUUAUAUUAAAAGUUUACGUAAAGAAAAUGACUUAAUUUUCUAAAUUGAAAAGUUUAAGAUUGAAUUAGCAUUCAUAUAAUAAGUUUAGGAUUGAUUAGAUAAAUUUCCCAUUUGAUGUUGCUAAGUAAAAUGGAAAAAAAAAAUUGCCAAAACUCUAGAAUUGCUCAAGUUGCAAUUACUUUCGUUUCGUAGAUUUCUUGGUAACCUCUUUAAGAAAUUUCCAUAACGGCAAUCAAGCACAUAUGACAAGACAACUACAUUCCACCCUUGAAGAUGGUUUUCCUUUCAAGAGAUAUUAAUUUGUAUAUAUAUCAUUAGACAAACCCAAGGGUAGCGAAGAUACAUCCAGGUUAGAGAGGAGAGAACAAACGAUGGAUAGUGGUAGCAGAAAAUGCUUAUGGAUGAUUUUGUUCACGGCAUUAGCUUAGGGCUUAACUUUCUCUCCUCCUAUUGAGGCGAGGAACUCGUUGCCACCGCCACCACCAGUACUCCGGGGUUGAGAUUCAACAUCGAUGCAUCAUGCGUGCUGAAGCAACAAGCGAUGCAUUUCUAUGUUUCUUUGCUCUUGGACAAUGUCGCUUGCUGGAAUAAAUAGUUCCAUGUUGUGUUGCAAUCUCGUUUGGUGUGUAGUUUGAUAAUUUUUUAGGCAAUAAGGGCAUGCAUGGUAACGUUUCUAUUUCUCUCAAUUUUUAUUAUUUUGUUCCCGGAACAAAAAAAGAACAAAAAUCCAUGGGGUAAAACUUUUGUUCCAGGAACAAAAAGUCUAUUUUUUUGUUCGAGGGAAUAGAUUUGGAACGUAUUAUAAAACCCCUAACAAUGAAAUACGAGAAAGAGAAAAGCAGGCAAUCGAUCACAACCAAACAAGCUUUCUUAUAAACACACAUGUUUAUAUACAACACAAGGUUGUCUACAAAAUAGACCGGCUCAACAAAAAGGGAACCGUCCUACGACCAACUAGUCAGACAUGUUCGCCAAUUCUUUGGCUUCGAGUCCUCCACGACCGCCAUCUAAGGACCCUAAACCCCUAUUAGAAAGAAAAUCCACUCGAGGAUGGCCUAGCCACUCCAUCACAAACAAUGAGACUUACCUUUGCCUCAGUUCUUUCCUGCAGGUUAGCACAGUUCAUAUUACUCAAGCAUAAAUAGUAAUAAAAUUCAAACAAUUCAAUUACUCGGAUCGACUCAGAGAUCGAUCGACUCAGUCGAUGACAUGUCAUCGAGGUCAUCACAUGGUAGUGGAAUCACGGACCCACUCGGCACGACCUUUAAUAGGUGGUAAAUCACGGCCCGACUCGGCAAGUUUAGAUUUAGUGGCAUCACGGCCCCACUCGUCACGACCUUUAAUAGGUGGUAGAUAACGGCCCGAUGGGCACGACCGAUUCCAAAUUCGGUGGUAAAUUUUGGCCCUAUUGGCACAACCAUACUUCGGUGGUUUUUUAAGUCCACUCACAACCUUUCAUAGUUAUUUUCCCAUAAAACACUGACAUUCUCAAAUUUUAGGAUAAUUCUCUCAUAACCACUAAUUUACUCAAUUCUCAUAAACCAGCACUCAAAUAAAUAAACGGAAAGCACCACCGCAAAUCAGCACAAAAUUUUGACAAUUUAAGGUCCCAAAAUAAUUUUUGAAAUUUAUUAAAUAAUUAAAUUUAUUCCGAAAAUUAAUUAAAUAAUAAUAUUUUAAUAAUUUCGAAUAAUAAUAUAUUAUUAAAUAAUUAAAUAAUUUCGAAAUAUUUAUUUAAUCCAAAAAUACUUCAUUAAAGUCAAAUCAAGGCUUAUUCUAAUAAUAAACCUACUUAGCCUUAAUUAAACAUACUUUAAACUAAAUAUCACCUUAAUCUAAUCUACUCCUAAAUAAAUUAAACUAACUAUCUAAUAACACUUAACAUAAACUAAGCACACAUAAAGCAUCAUUAACCAUCUAAUCAAGGUUUAGGAGCUAAACUGACCGGAAUCGCUUUCUGAUGUGUCUCCGGUGAAGACAACGGCAAGGCAGUCCAAAAACCUCCUCGAGCCAGCACCAAAAGAAGACCGGAAAGUGCCUAAAAUGGGCCUUGAAGAUCCGGAUCUUCACUGGAACUUCCAGCUGCUGGUCAUGGGCAGAGGAGGGCCAAACGGCAGCUAGUUGGGCACGAAACCGGCGGAGAAGGGCGGCGGCAGCUCGGGCGGUGCAGACGGUGGCUUCGGCGGGUAUUCUGGCAACGCAAGGCGACGACAAGCUGCUGUUGGGUGACAAAUGACGAUGCUGGACGGCGAACGAAGGUGGAGCAAUAGCUAGCGAGCGGCGAGCUGGCCAGCGAGUGGGCGAAGGAGAAGCAGCACCGGCAGCGAGCGACAGCAACCUCGGCUGCUCCGGGAACCAAACAGUGGUUGCUGGUGACGAGGAGCAACGGCCAGAUGGAGGAGAGACAGCGGCUGGAGCUCGAGCGGAGACGACGCAACGGCUGGCCGGCAAGGCGCGCACGAGGACGAACGGCGACCGCGGUGGCGACGAACGGCGAGCGGCAAAGGAGGCGCACGAAGGGUGCGUCAGGGCUGGCUUCCAGUCAGAUCCUCUCUCUCUCUCUCUCCUCUUUCCAAAUUCCAAGAAGCCAAGCUUGAAGAUGAUAGAGUUGGGUUGAAGAGAAAUCUCACCUUUUUGGGGGCAAUUGUACACCCUUCACUUGUCAAAAUCCUAGACACUCAAGCCCCACCAUGACAUCACUUGAUGAUGUCACACUCCGCAAUCUCCAACUUCCCACAAUCUUAUUCCAAUUGGUGCAAUAUAUUUUUCCGCCGUGGUAUGAAUUCUCCAAAAUCUUGUACAACACAUUUCAUUCAAUCCACUUUCAAUUAAGCCAAAUUAAAGUCCAUAAAAUUAAUCCAAUGUUACCACACUUCAAUUCACAAUUUUACUUAACCAUAGAAUCAUCUUGAGUCCCGAAAGCAUGAUCAAAAGCGGGCCUACCAAUUUCUCGAACCAAAUUAACCACAUGCUGAUUCUUCGCUGAAAAUUUAGCUUGCAUGAAAAAUCUUCCGAAGACGAGUCAAUGUUCUUAAAAUGAUUCGUGACACACUAGGACUUCUCAAUUUUUGAAUUCGAUUUCAAUUUCACAGUUAAUUUCACUCUGGCACGAUACUAGCACGUCAUGAUCUACUUGGUAGCUUUUAGAAAUUUUCAUGCAUUUGACUGGUGGUUGAUCAAGUCAAGCCACAAUGUACAUCUUUGACACAUUGGUGACUCUCGGUUGUCGGGGUAAUCUCAAGGUUUCAAAUAUGGACACAAGGUACCCAAUCAACAGAAAAGCCAAUCUAGUGCCGAUCGAUAAGAAUUGUGCGAUCUGGUGGAAUCACCCACACUUGAUCACAUGCCUCUAUCAAGUCAACAUAUCUCUGAUCUCUAAUCGAUUUUUAAUUAUGCGGUAAUCACCCUUGCAGAUUAGCUUGGUCGAAAGGUUGCUUCCUGGUCAAAUUCUCGAGUUCGAUGCAUUAGAAUCUCUUAACAACUUCACCUGAUAGACUAGUUUUCACAUGAGUGACCAACUCAAGGAAAAGAACUAUAUGUGUGCCAAUGAAAUGCCUGUCUAAAUUUAUUGAAAAUAGAAUUGGAAAAUCGGGAUAUCACAGAUAACCUCCAUUUUUAGAGCAAAAUCUAGGAAGUUGUUAGGGUUUAUGGUUAGUAGUAAGGGUAUAGAGAUUGAUCCGUCUGCUGUCUGAUUGUUGUCGCUACCGCCCAUAGCUCACCGGCCACCCCCGACCUUCGAUAACCGCCACCGACUGCCAUUGUCACCGGCCGCUGCCAUAGGAUCACCGCUCGCUCAUCGUCGCUGCCCCCCGACCGCCGUUGCGGCUGAUGAGCGGUGAGUAGCGGUCAGCAGUCCAUGAGCAAGAAUAAAAAAACAAAUAAAUACCAAAAAUAAAAAAUAAACACAUUUCUAUUAUUUUCAAUUUCAAGAAUAGAAAUUUUGUGUAGUUAUUAAACACCUUAUUUUACUCAAAAAUCGUUCCCUGGAAUAAAAAUAGAAAAAGACUAUUUCUAAAAAAAAAAAACUGUUCCUUGGCCAAGAAGCGUUACCAUGUGCACCCUAAGUAAUCUGAUUUUGAAAGAUUUGCUGCUUUUGAUCUUCACGUGGUCUUAUGAUAUAACAAUGACUUGUGAUUCUAGUUGGGUGGAGGUGGACCAUGAAGCAAGUAUUUCUUUAUGUUUUGUAUUAGAAUAUGGCAUGUACGGGUUCUCAUUUUUCUAACAAGAAACCCGCUUGAAAUAGGCAAAUUUGUUGGAUCCAUUAUAUACUCAACUAAUCUCAUGUAUUAGACAAGAUUCGAGCCAAAGUCGAAUGGAGAGUCAAAAUAUGGAUUCUUUACAAUUACUGGAGUUAGGAUUGCUUCUAAUAAGAACAUAUAAGAUGCACUUCAUUGUCUUAAGAGGAAGUGAAUCUUCCUAUGCAUAUUACUAUUUACCAAUAAUUAGUUCAAAAGAAACCUCGACUAAAUCUAAAAGUUAUAAAAAUUAUGUGAAUAUUAACCACUUUAAAUUUUGAAAAAUUUCAAGGUGUCCCGAUUUUUUAAAAGAUAACUAAAAGUGGAACUUGUCUCAAAUUAUAACCUCGAAGUAGCCAACUUAAUUUCAAAUGAGGCCAUGAACUCACUCAUCAACUAAAUCUUUGCAGGCAAGCACUUACGACUUUUCGUGGCAUUGCAGGGGUAUUUUGAUCUAGAGCCUUUUUUUUUAUUUCUUCUUCCUGUGCACAUUGGCUGACUACCAGCCUCUAACCAACUUCCUCCAUGUCCCCUGACACAUCUUCAUCGGAGUCCGCAUCGACAAAGAAAUCGAGAGCAAUGAAUUGAGAAAUACAGGCAAGCUUAAUUACAAUUCCAAGAUGCUGAAUUGGUUCUCGAGGAUCGACUUGCUUCAUUGGCUUCCAAAACGUGGUGGACUUAGUCGGUGAUUGUUGUGCUUGGAGAUGACGUGAAAGCUUACUUAGAUUGCUCCUUGUAAUUUGCCUAUUGUUGAUGGCCAUUGACAAUGAAAAAUUUGGAAAUUACUUUCACCGCGAAUUGCUUGCAAAAUAUUAUGAAGAGGCAGUUUUGAUAAGGAGAUUGAGAUAUUCGAAUAAGAGAAUGCUGUCCUAUUUGGACAUUGGUGGAGAGCAGAGGCCCACUCUGGAAGUUGUUUUACCAGAAAGAAAGGGAUGAGAGAUGGAAGAAGAGUAUAUUUAAUAGACACUUCAGAAAUUCUGCACAAGUUGUGAGUAUGUAAUGGAAAAAGAAAAAAGGCAGUGUCAUUUCUAACUCCCAUACAACUAAAUACAUUCAAUUUCUACCAAAAAGACAAAAUUAAUGUCUAUCAUUUAAUUGCAAUUUAAAUUGGUAGUCCCAGAUAUAUUUACUUUCCUUUUUUUUAGUUUUUCUAUAAUAUAUAGGAUCUACUUACCAUAAUUAAAAAAUUAAUAUGUUUAGGGUUUGUUUGUCGUGGAUUUUCCAUGUAUAGUGAAGGCACCAUGUUUUUUUUUUCAUUGUUAGAUAUUACUUCCAUAAAAAAUUAUUUUGUCGAAAGGAGAAAUUUCCCAAAAUUCUAGUUCCAUUUCACUUUGUCGAUUAUAUUUAUAAAUAAAUUGUUAAGCCGAUGAAAUUUAAUUUAAUUAAAACACUACACAAAGUAAGAACAUUUUUUUUAUCGUUAUUUUGGAUAGACAAAAAUUAAUAUCAUUCAUGAAUUGUUUACAAACAAAAUAUCAAGAUUCCUCAUUGUGUAUAAUAUUUUAAUUUUUUUUCUAUAAAUUCAUCUAACAUCUUACAUGCUUCGUAUAAAAGUAUUUUGACAAUAUAAUAAGGAAAAAGGAUAAAUUCUUUGAUAUUGUAAAGGAAGAGAUUUGAUAUAUAUAGUAGACUAAUAAAAUUAAUAAAAUGUUAACCAAGAAAGGGAGAUUUUGAGAUAAGAGGGACAAAAAAAUAGAUAAAUUGUUAUAGGAAAAAUUGCUGAAAUAAUCCUAAAUUUAUUACAAUUUUUCUGAUUCAGUCAUAAAUCUUUUUUUGUUUUUUGUCAAUUCAAUUAUAAACCUUUAACAAUUGUGCCAAUUUUGUUCAUCCAAUCAUGUUUGGCCGGGCGGCACUAACGUGGACAUCAACCGAUAUUGAGGUAGACAAUUCUUAAAUAAUAUUUUACUUUUUCAAAUUUUUUAAAUUUUCUCUCUCUUUUUUUCUCUUUCUUUUUUUCUCCACUUCCUUCUUCUUUCUCUAUCUAGUUGUUGGCAGCAUAUGGCCAGAGGCAAGGUCGACGAGGUCCCCUCGUCGGCCUCAAGGAAGCCUACCCAUGGUCGGGUGACCUCACCUAGGCUACUUACUAGGCUGGUGAGGUCUAACCUCAUUGGAAGCCACGAGGUUGAAGGUUGUGACCUCGCACGGCCUUUAGCAAUGGCUGUGUUUGGUAAGGCUUGCACGUGCUAUCCAUGGUGAUGCUUGACCUUGCUAGAUUCGGUGAGGUAAUGCCUUGCUAAAGGUUGUGAAGUCGAAGGGCUCGAUCUCGUGCGACUUUUGGCUUGGGCUAGCCUCACCAACCACAAGUAGUUUGUGGCCUCUCCAUGGCUAGGCAAGGCCUCACCCAGCCAUGGUGAGGGCAGUCUUGCCAUCGUUAGGUGAGGCUUGCCCUCAUCAGUAGCGGUCAAGGCUAAACUUGCCAAUGCUCAUUGCCGGCUGCUAGCUAGAGGAAGAAAAAAAGAAGGGGAGAGAGAGAGGGAGGGAGGGAGGGAAAAGGAAAAAAAAUAAUAUUGUUAACAAAAUUGGCCACAUUAGCAUUAGCUUAAGGCCGGCACCAAACCUUCCAAAAUUAGUCAAAUAGAUUGAAUUGGCAUAAUUAUAAAAUGUUUAUUACAUAAUUAGCCAAAAAAAGUUUAAAACUAAACUAUGAAAUUUGCAAAAGAUUUAAGACUAUUUUGGUAAUUUUCCCAUUGUUAUAAGAUUUUAGUGAUGAAAAAGAAACUUUUCAAUUUUAUACCAUAUAACAUAAUGUCUUUUUUCUUUUUCUUUUUUUACUAUUAGUGAAAUGAUAUUACAUAGAAUAUGUAAAAUGUUAUUGAAUAUUCCCCUUUGCAAAGUGAUUAAAUUUUCACUAAAUUGGCUUUGAUCCAUUCUACUAAGCUAUUCCCCCUUCGUAGGCUCCAAAAUCCAAGUCGGUUUUUGAAUGAAUUGAUUCUAUACGCACCCAUAUUCCCCCUCUUCCCUUCAUAGAUAAUGUCACUUAAAUCAUCCUGUUUUUUCUUUGUAGUAAUGUUUUCUGUCCAGGAAUUGGCCCCCGUUGACUAUUGCUUUUGCCAAUUCUACACAAAUUAAUUUGAGCUCGAGUUCAUUUAAAGUUGGAACAAAUGCAAUCUCUUUCUCUUUCAGGGGUCCGUUAUUUUCAUCUGCCUUUUGGAACUUUUCAUCCAAUUCCUUCAUCAGGUCACAACUCAGAACGUAACUUGAUGCAAUAGAAAAGACACAAUAACCAUUUUAGAUUAUGGAUGAAUAAUUUGUAGUUGGAACUGUUUGUUGUAACCAAAAGAUUAAUAAAUUCGAGAAACCGAUAACAAAAGAAAUGGUGAUUGGAUGCGAGAUACAGCUAACCGAAUCUUUUUAAGGCGAUUAGUUCCAGUCAACGGUGUUAAGUAGCUUUAUGAACUAUGCCUCCCAAGUUACAACACCCUAAACUUGUUUGUAUUAGUACUAUACAAAUAGGACUCUAUCGAACACUUCUUAAAACUGACACGCUUAGAGAAACUUGAAAAGAGGAGAUGUAGGUCAGUUCCCAUUGGAAUGAAGAAUUUUAAAUUUAUUUAUAGAGUUUUAGAAUUCAUGUGCAUAAGCAGUAGAUGAACCAUGAAUUAAAUAGAUACAAGAAUUUAUGAGAUACAUGAAUUAAAUAGAUGCAUGAACUCAAGAAAUACAAGAAUUAAUGAGAUACAUAAACGGAAACAACGUAUUUCGUUUUACUUACUUUUGUUGAUCAUUAACCUACCACCUUCUCAGAGAGGGUUGGGGUGGGGACGAUUUAGUUUUCGGAGUGGGUUUCGACUCUCAUGCCCUGUAAGGAGGUAGGGCAAAAGUCUGAAAGUGAGUAUUAGAAUAGGAAUAGAGUAGGACCGACCAAAAAAAGAAAAAGAAAAGAAAAACCUACCAUAAUUACAACAGGAACAUGUACUGCCUUUUUUCCUCUCCAACGUGUGUUUUUAAUCCUUAUCAUUCCACAUCUUGAAUUUCAAAAUGUCAAUUUGGCUUUGCCCCAUGUUCCGACUGUCCCAACAUGUGUUUCAGAAUCAGAAGGAUUCUACCAAUUUUGCAGUCUACAAGAAAAAGAGAAUCUUCUGGUUUCAUUUCAAUUCGAUCAAAUUGGAAUGGUUAUUUCCCUUUUCUCUCAACCGAAAGGGUGGCUGCUGGACAAUAUAUCGUUUAGUACAAAUUCAGGUUGGGCUGGAGGUGACUUGGUCCUCCAUGAUCUUCAGGCAUUGAUCAUCAUAUUGGUGAACUGGUGCAAAAUGGAGAUCUAUGGGACUUUACCGUGAUAGAGUUCUUGAAAUUACACUAGAAAAAGGGUUCAAACAACAAAGAAAACCUUCCGCGAGAUUUUCUUUAUACGAAAAUCAAAGCAAUGCAUAUUCACUUGCCCUCAGGAUCCUUGGUACAUCGCUUUCACAUAAACAUUGCUCUUCUAACACCCGUCAGGACCUAGAAGUUGGAUUCAUCUUUGGCCAAAGUUUCGAUAUAAAAAAUCAGCACGGAAGGUUUGGUAACCAUGCAAAGUCAUUUGACUGCUCAAAUACACCCAGAUGCCAAGUCAUUUGACUGCUAAAAUAUACCCAGAUGCAGUAAACUGUGAGACUCGCCCAUCAUCAGAGGCGUAAAGGUCCUAUUUUAUUCUAUCUUUCAUAUAUUUCACUUUAGAAACUUGAAUCUUUUGUGUUUUAUGAACAUCCUCACCAAAAUAACUUGAAAUCUAGAAAUAAAAUAACUUUCAUAUAAGUAUUUACAAUUUCUUCAUAUUAUGUCAAGAAAUUUUUUGAUGGAGAUUUUUUCGCCCCUUUUUGGCUAAAACAAACCAAUUUUAAAGUUGAUUGACCAAAUUAUUCACCCUCUGAGUACUAAAUAAAUCAUAAACUAAAAAAAAAAAAAAUGAUAAAUCAAGCAUUCGCCACCUUCUAUCUCUCUCGCAUUCAAAUAUCUCACUUUGCCUACAUGUCACGAAAUCCAUCACUGAAUAACCAUUUCCAAGGGACUUGAACUCUCUCGAAAUUGGAUCACCCAUGUAUCUCCCGUUAUUAGAACUCCGGUUUUUGGCGCUAUUUCUUGUGCACCUAAAUUCAACUUAAUCAAACUCGAGAUAAGAGAAAACACUCUUCAUAAAGAAAGAUAAAGAAACUAUGGAGCAUUUGCUUAUUAUCUUUCCAAGUAUAAUAACAUUAUCUACAGUUAAUUUCAUUAUUUGAUCAUUCAAAUAUUUCACAACAUAGUGAGUUUACUUUAUCUUUCGAAUAUCAAUUUCUUGUAUACACGAAACCAAUAUGGGUCUACACAUUUGCUACCAUCUUUAAAGAAAAUGUAAACAUGCUAUCCAUUCGUUUCAUAGAAAAUAACUUCCAAGAAAACGUUUUCCGGUUUACUGAAAAUGAACUUGUUAAUAAAAAUGUUUUCCACUAUUAUAAAAAACACAGUCAAAAGUGAGGAAAAUGUUUUCUACUUUCAAAACUGGAAAACAUUUUCCAUAACUCCUUCCACCUUACCUUCUUUCACCAAAUAGAUUUUCAUUUUAUUUUUAUGUUUUUUUAUUCUUUAUUCUUUUUUAUUUAAAAAAAAAAAGUUUUUUACCUUUUUUCCUUUUCUUUCUUUCCUUUUCAUCUUCUUCCUUGGCUUUGGCUAGUUGUUGGCCACGAGCCACGAGCUAGCUUGAGCCUUGCCCUAGGCCGACAAGGCUUGAGCCUCAAGAUUUCAAGAAGGUCAAGCCUCGUCAGCCUAUGGCAAGGUGGCGAAGCCGAGCUAGCCCAAGCCCGACAAGCUCAAGCCUCACUGAAUCUGACGAGCUAGGCAGGUCUCAGGCCUUGCUCGAGCUUGCCAAAGGUUUGCCAAGCUCUGGCGAGUUGCAAGCCUCACCAACCUCAGCGGAGCUCGAUUGAGCUUGAAUCAGGUGAGCUGCAGCUCAAUCCAAGCUCACCUGAGCUCCACCAAGGUCGGCAAGGCUCGCGGCUCGCCUGGAUCAGCUAAGCUUCAAGCUUCCUGAUCUUGCCGGAGUUCGAGCUCCCCAGAUCUAGUAAUCUGCGUCUUGGUCGACCACCAGGCAGUCGACCAUCAUCAGGCAUGCGGCGGGAGAGGAAGGAGAAGGAAGAAGAAGGAAGGAAAACAAAAAUGAAAAAAAAAAGGAAAAAAAUUUAAAGUAAUAAAAAUUCGAAUUUAAAAAUAAUAAUAAUAAUUUAAAAAUUCAUUUUAAAAAUAUUAAAAUUCAAUUUUUAGUAUUUUUCCCAAAAAAUAAAUCAGAUAACAAACAGUGGAAUUUCAAGUUUUAGUUGAAUAUAAAAAAAUAUAGUCAUUUUCUUGGAAAAUAGCUUCUCAGAAAACAUUUUCUUGAAGUAUGAUAUUUUCCGUGAAACGAAUAGAUCCUUAGAUAAAGAAAAGAGGGGAAAGAAGAUGUGUGAUUAGUAGAUAUUGCUGUGAUAUGAGAGAAUAUAUUGUUGUGAUAUGAGAGAAUAUCUUUAAUGUUGGGGAAAUUAUCCAAUUAGUUCCAAAGAUAUUAUAUGGAUCAAAAUUUGGUCCUAAACUUUUUAAUUUCUCCAUUUAAUCCUAAAUAUUUGCGGGAAAUUCAAAUGUAGUCCUUCUGACAAAAUUAGUUGUUAAAAAUCACUGACAUGGGCUGUGAUUAGAUGUCACGUUGGCGAUUUUCAUCAAAAAUUGAUCAAAAUAACUACGCUGGAGAAAAAAGGGCGGCGUUAUUUCCACUCUAUAUAACUAAAUCCAUCCCCAUUUUCACUAAAAAGACAAUAUUGCCCUCAAGUUUAAUUACAAUCUAAAGUGGUGGCUUCAAAGUUAUUUACUUUCUUUAUAAUUUUUUUUUUUCAUUUCUAAGUAGAAUCUAAUUGUCAUAACUAAGAACUUCACAUGCUUGUUUUUGUUUAUGGUUUUUUCACCAUAUUUGAACUUUUUGCUAUUUAGAAAAUAAAACUAGUCACUUUUGCUCUUAUAACAACCUACCUAUGUUUCAUCCAUAUUAUCAAAAAAUUUCUCGGAGAAUAUUUUUAAUUUUUAUUUUGUUAGUCUAGAAUAUAGAUCAAGUCUCUAAAUUCACUAUAUCAAAGCAUUUUUUCAUUAACACUGGCAAGAUGAUUAUAACACGAAGGAUGUAAGAUAUUAUAGGAGUGUUUAGAAACACUUAAAAUAUUGACAUGAAAAAAGUUAUGUCAUAUUUUGAUAUUGUUUGCAAACACCCGGGGAAUGAUAUUAAUUUUUGUCAAUUCAUAAUAAUGAAAUUUCAAUCACACUUUACUAAAAAAAAUUCUUGUUUUAUGCAAAGCUUUAAAAUUCCAUCUUUUGAAGUUUCGUGAAUGGUAACGUAACUGUGAUUUUGUCUUCGAAAAGCCUUAAUUUUUUUUUUUUUUGGUGGUUUCAUCCUAUCUUUCCAUAAUAUGUUUAUGUAUAUAGAAGAUAAUUGAUUAAAAAAAAAAGAUUUGCUGGUGUAUGCACAAUAAAUCUGUAAAAAAAAUAACAAACCCAUGACUGUUUUAAAAGUUUUCUUUUUUUUUUUUGUGCUGGAGGAAUCGGCUUGCAGCCGACAGCCGGCGGUAAACCCCUAGGUGACACUUAAGCAGGAGGACCCACCACCCCUGAGUCACACUGAAUACACCUAGCGCCUCUCCUGAGUUUUGAACCAUUCACCUCUUCGUUGAGGAUCAGUAGAGCCUUAUCCAGUGGAGCCACCGCGGCCGGUGGUAUGACUGUUUUAAAAGUUCUAUGUUACAUUUUUCUAGAUUUUAUUGGACAAUUAAUCCAUACAUUUGGUUGACAAUGUAGAAAAUAAUUAGAUUUCACUGAAAUUUAUUGAAAUUUCUCCUGUGGACAAAUAUAAUUUUUAUAGAAGCAAAAUUUAAAAAUAAAGAGAAAACACAAUGCAUUUAAUAGACAUGGGAAAUUUUUAGUUAUGGCAACUAGAUCCCACAUAGGAAUAGAAAAAAAUCAAAAAGGAAAGUAAAUAAAUUGGGAGCUCCACUUUAAAUUGUAAUUGAAUAAGCAAGGGCAACUUUGUUUUUUUAAUGAAGAUAGGGUGGAUUUAGUUAUGUAAGGGCUAGAAAUAGCACCACCAAAAAAAAAAAAAAAAAAAACAGAGUUGCAAAACUCUAGAAUUGCUCAAUUUGCAAUUACUUUUUUGGCGAUUUCUUGUUAUACUCUAGAAAAAAUUGCCAUAACGACAAUAGUGCGCAUAUAUAGAAACAAAAUCGAUUUUGUUUCUAUAUGGCAACUACCCCCAUGAAGAUUGUUUUCCUUCGAUUUUGUCUCUAUAUGGCAACUACCCCCAUGAAGAUUGUUUUCCUUUCAAGAGAUAUUAAUUCGUAUAUAAAUCAAUAGACAAACCCAAGGGUAGCUAAUAUAUGUCCGAGUUAGAGAGGAGAGAAUAAACAAUGGAUAGUGGUAGCAGAAAAUGCUUAUGGAUGAUUUUGUUCAUGGCAUUAGCUUUGGGCUUAACUUUCUCUCCUCCUAUUGAGGCGAGGAAUCUCGCCACAAGAAAUCUCGUGAGUCGCAAAAAAAUCAGAGGAGCGCCUUUUCAUUUCAGGUUAUUGUCCAAAGGGUCAAUUGUUCCACCUUCUGGACCCAGUGCUCCGCCUUUUCAUUUCAGGUUAUUGCCCAAAGGGUCACCUGUUCCACCUUCUGGACCCAGUGGUCGCGGUAACACGCCGCCACUGCCACCAUCAGUACUCUGGGGUUGAGAUUCAACAUCGAUGCGUAAUGCGUGCCGAAGCAACAAGCGCUGCAUUUCUAUGUUUCUUUGCUCUUGGACGAUGUCGCCUGCUGGAAUAGAUAGCUCCAUGUUGUGUUGCAAUCUCAUUUGGUGUGUAGUUUGAUAUUUUUUUAGGCAAUAAAGGCAUGCAUGGUAACAUAUCUGUUUCUCCUAAUUUUUGUUUUUCUGUUCCUUGGAAAAAAAAAAGAAUAGAAAUCUGUUUAGUAAAACUUUGUUCCGAGAACAAAAAAAUCUUUUUUUUUUGCUCCGGGGACAAACACAUCUUCUUCUUUUUGUUCCGGGAACAAAAACAUCUUCUUCUUUUUUUUUGUUCCGGGAACAAAAAAUCUAUCUUUUUUUGUUCUUGGGAACAGAUUUGGAAUAGAAACAAGCAAAAAAAAAGGUAUUUUAUUGUUCUCGGGAACAAUUUCUAGAAAUAAGCCAAUUUUUUCUUCUUUUUUCUUUUGUUUUUCUUGCUUGAUGUGGCCUCGGGUGGCCGCUUGCCAACUGCCAACACCCUCCGACCAACCGCAGCGACCGUUGGCCGACUGUUGGCCAUCACCGACCGUCGCUAUCACGCCCCAAACCUAAAACGCGCGCACAUCCCUUGGUGGUCGAUAGAAUUUUGCGACAUUCCCAAGACUCAUCGCCGACCCUUUUCAUUUUAUUGCACAUGCGGAAGCGAAUUAACUAAUCCCCUAGCAACAACAAAUAUGAGAUAGAAAAGUGGGACAAUCAGUUUCAAAUCAAAUACACUUUCAUAAACACCUCAAGCUUAUACAUAAUGUCUAUCUCACAAAGGACUACUAAACCACUUAUGCUCUCGACCCUUCCACUUCAAGCUUCGGGUUCUUCACACUGGGGACCUGAAUUCAAUAACGUGUGAGAUGUAAAUCUCAGCGAGUUCUUCCCCUAGUCCCCCGAUUAGUACACCAACUCAACUUAGGGUAUCUCUUUAGAACCAUCUCACAAACAAACCAAAGAUUGACAAUCAACAAUCAAUAGUCGGUUCAUAUGCAACCUUACUUGAUAUGCCAUACCCUGCACAUCAUAACUCAUCACGAUACACACAAUGCACAUGGCCAUUAGAUGAUGUGGUUCAUCAAUCACAUACGAAUCACAUUACAAGCGAUCUCACGUGGCCAUUGCCACACGAAAGCAUUGUCUGGGGUAAAGGCGCGGACGCACAACCAUUCCUCAUCCCAGCCAAAUAUUGCCUCCUUGGGCCCCGCACUAGCGUGGACGAAUCGCCAUCCCAGUCAGGCCACCCCUCAAGGCUUUGUUCUCAGCACAACGAAAGCAUAUGUGAAACACGUUAUCGAUUCAUGCGUGCGUGCCAUAAACAGUGUGCUCAACUCAAGCAUGACUAGAAUUAAAGAUGCUAUGAUUCUCAUGCGUUCUUGCACAUUAGUGCGUCACACAGCAGACAUCGAUCAAUCACAUGGAUCCCGGUCAGAUCGAAACCAAAAAUUUUGUCAUCUCUUUUAAAAUCUCACGGUUUGAUAUAGUAUUUAAAAACACUUUCAGCGUCCAAAACCUGACACUCGGUAUUUUCUUAUUAAAUGCCAAUAGUUCCCAAUCAUCAUACAAUUACACAAAACAUCACCCAAUUCAUGUGGAUACCCAUGCAUUUACACAUUCAUUCACUUCAUAGAAUCAAUACACAUGAAAUUAAACCACUUUUCAUUGUCGGGUGAACAAUGCACGUGAACAGUAACUUGUGAACAGUGCGUCAUGAACAGUGAAAUUCCAGAAUUAACUAACUAAUUAAUUAAAUCCACAAGUCAUUAAAAACACUAAUUAAAGGAAGCAAAGCAUCAAGAACCAUCAUUAAACUAAAAUCGGUCGUAAUUGGCAGAAAUUGUGCCUUCGCACGUCUCCAAAUUUAAAUCCAAAAACCUAACCAAUCGAGUUCGGAAAAUUCCCAAGUUUGAAUAUGUGACAAAAGGCACGUAAAAAAACAUUUUUCAUGAGAUACCGAGACCCAGAUCCCUCUGGAUUCAGCCCAGUAAUUCACUCAAUCCAGCACCAAAAUUUGGUCGGUUCUCAAAAAGUCAGUUUUCCAAAAUCAGUUUGUUUCGAGCUCUUAAACACGUCCGUUUGAUUUGAAAUUUUAGUACAUUAAAAUAUAAGAGGUGAAAUAAAAAUUUUGUGAAGAAACCAUUUUAAAAUUCGAACUCCAAGAGUUGAUAAAAACCCCUAGAAUCCUAAAAGGUCACUAGUUCCAGCGAAAAUUGCAGUUCUGUUCGAAAAUGGCGGAGCUAAUAUCUCCUGUUUCUGAGUCCCUAAAACUCUUGAGAAAAAUAUAUGUUGUAUCUUAGGAUGUGUAAAACAUUUCUCUAAAAGACAUCGGCUUCAGAUUCACGACCGAUUUCAAUAUAUAAAAAUUACAAACCGCAAGUGUCCAGAAACCAGUUCUGAAGAACAGCCACUGUUUUCAACCAAAUCAUCCUCAACGGAGCAAAUCUCCCUAAUUAGACUAACAUUAAUCCAUUCUAAUACUAAUAUAACUAUUAUAGACUAUCAAGAAUCCCUAUUUAAGCUAACCUAAACCAUCUUUUAGUCUAAAUCAACCUCUUAAGCAAGUUUAGGUACUAAUCAAAGGAUUAGGAGCUAAACUCAUCCGACGACAAUUCCGACGACAUGAGUGCGACGGAGGAGGUGAGGGCUAUGCAUGGUUACAUCCAAAAUGUCACAAAGGCGCUAAGCAAAAGUGGGUCUUGGCAGAAGUGGUUUCUGAUUUGGCAAGAACGGCGGGCCGAUGGCUCGCAGAUGGGUGGUGCGGCUCUUUGGCAGUGGAUGGCGGCUUGUGGAUAGUGAUGGCCCACGGCCAUGGCGCAAGAUGGUGGCUGGCUUGGGGAAAAAAACAGCAGCACACGGUGCUGUUUUGGAAGCAAAAGCAGAAAAGAAACUCAAGAGAGAAAGAGGAAAGGAAGAGGGGAGGGGGCUUGUCGAGAGGGAGGAAAGGGGGAAGAGGAGAGAGAAACAAUAAAGUAAAUGGGGGAAGUUGAGGGGAAAUUGCUGCAGAGGGGUUGGCAUGAGUGAGGGGGUGGAAAAGUGGGGGAGAGAGAAGAAAAGAGAGGGGGAGGAAAUUGCGUGCGAAGGAGGGGGAAAGAAAAUGUGAGAGAGAGAUACGUGGGGAACGGGGUGGAUGUUGGGGGAAGGAAAGGAAUGAGGAGAGAAAGAGAAAAAUAAUAAUAAUAUUGUUAUCAUUUUUCUUUUUCUUCCAAUUUCUGAUUUUUCAUCCGAUAAUUUCUUUUUCUAAAAUUUCGAGAUGUCACAGUCGCCGCCACCGUAUGAUCGUUGUCGUUGCCGCCCACAGCCCACCAGCCACCCCCAAUCUCCGAUGACUGCCACCGACCGCCAUUGCUGCCCACCGCUAGCUGUCGCCCACUGCUGCUCGUCACCCGUUGCCACUGCUUGUCACCAUCACCCGCCACCGCAAGACUGCCGGCCAUCUUGCAACAACAAGCGGCGACGAGUAGCAGGCGGCGAUAAUGGGUGGUGGCAGGAGCGGUCGGUGGUCCAUGAGCAAGAAUAAAAAAAUAAAUAACACGGAGGAUGUAAGAUAUUAUAGGAGUGUUUAGAAACACUUAAAAUAUUGACAUGAAAAAAGUUAUGUCAUAUUUUGAUAUUGUUUGCAAACACCCAGGGAAUGAUAUUAAUUUUUGUCAAUUCAUAAUAAUGAAAUUUCAAUUACACUUUACUAAAAAGAAUUCUUGUUUUAUGCAAAGCUUUAAAAUUCCAUCUUUUGAAGUUUCGUGAAUGGUAACGUAACUGUGAUUUUGUCUUUGAAAAGCCUUAAUUUUUUUUUUUUGGUGGUUUCAUCCUAUCUUUCCAUAAUAUGUUUAUGUAUAUAGAAGAUAAUUGAUUAAAAAAAAAAGAUUUGCUGGUGUAUGCACAAUAAAUAUGUAAAAAAAAUAACAAACCCAUGACUGUUUUAAAAGUUUUUUUUUUUUUUGUGCUGGAGGAAUCGGCUUGCAGCCGACAGCCACGUAAACCCUCAGGUGACACUUAAGCAGGAGGACCCACCACCCCUGAGUCACACUUAAUACACCUAGCGCCUCUCCUGAGUUUUGAACCCUUCACCUCUUCGUUGAGGAUCAGUAGAGCCUUAUCCAGUGGAGCCACCGCGGCCGGUGGUAUGACUGUUUUAAAAGUUCUAUGUUACAUUUUUCUAGAUUUUAUUGGACAAUUAAUCCAUACAUUUGGUUGACAAUGUAGAAAAUAAUUAGAUUUCACUGAAAUUUAUUGAAAUUUCUCCUGUGGACAAAUAUAAUUUUUAUAGAAGCAAAAUUUAAAAAUAAAGAGAAAACACAAUGCAUUUAAUAGACAUGGGAAAUUUUUAGUUAUGGCAACUAGAUCCCACAUAGGAAUAGAAAAAAAUCAAAAAGGAAAGUAAAUAAAUUGGGAGCUCCACUUUAAAUUGUAAUUGAAUAAGUAAGGGCAACUUUGUUUUUUUAAUGAAGAUAGGGUGGAUUUAGUUAUGUAAGGGGUAGAAAUAGCACCACCAAAAAAAAAAAAAAAAACAGAGUUGCAAAACUCUAGAAUUGCUCAAUUUGCAAUUACUUUUUUGGCGAUUUCUUGUUAUACUCUAGAAAAAAUUGCCAUAACGACAAUAGUGCGCAUAUAUAGAAACAAAAUCGAUUUUGUUUCUAUAUGGCAACUACCCCCAUGAAGAUUGUUUUCCUUCGAUUUUGUCUCUAUAUGGCAACUACCCCCAUGAAGAUUGUUUUCCUUUCAAGAGAUAUUAAUUCGUAUAUAAAUCAAUAGACAAACCCAAGGGUAGCUAAUAUAUGUCCGAGUUAGAGAGGAGAGAAUAAACAAUGGAUAGUGGUAGCAGAAAAUGCUUAUGGAUGAUUUUGUUCAUGGCAUUAGCUUUGGGCUUAACUUUCUCUCCUCCUAUUGAGGCGAGGAAUCUCGCCACAAGAAAUCUCGUGAGUCGCAAAAAAAUCAGAGGAGCGCCUUUUCAUUUCAGGUUAUUGUCCAAAGGGUCAAUUGUUCCACCUUCUGGACCCAGUGCUCCGCCUUUUCAUUUCAGGUUAUUGCCCAAAGGGUCACCUGUUCCACCUUCUGGACCCAGUGGUCGCGGUAACACGCCGCCACUGCCACCAUCAGUACUCUGGGGUUGAGAUUCAACAUCGAUGCGUAAUGCGUGCCGAAGCAACAAGCGCUGCAUUUCUAUGUUUCUUUGCUCUUGGACGAUGUCGCCUGCUGGAAUAAAUAGCUCCAUGUUGUGUUGCAAUCUCAUUUGGUGUGUAGUUUGAUAUUUUUUUAGGCAAUAAAGGCAUGCAUGGUAACAUAUCCGUUUCUCCUAAUUUUGGUUUUUCUGUUCCUUGGAAAAAAAAAAGAAUAGAAAUCUGUUUAGUAAAACUUUGUUCCGAGAACAAAAAAAUCUUUUUUUUUUGCUCCGGGGACAAAAACAUCUUUUUUUUGUUCCGGGAACAAAACAUCUUCUUUUUUUUUUGUUCCGGGAACAAAACAUCUCCUUUUUUUUUUGUUCCGGGAACAAAAAAUCUAUCUUUUUUUGUUCUUGGGAACAUAUUUGGAAUAGAAACAAGCAAAAAAAAAGGUAUUUUAUUAUUCUCGGGAACAAUUUCUAGAAAUAAGCCAAUUUUUUCUUCUUUUUUCUUUUGUUUUUCUUGCUUGAUGUGGCCUCGGGUGGCCGCUUGCCAACCGCCAACACCCUCCGACCAACUAGUCAAACAUGUUCGCCAAUUCUUUGGCUUCGAGUCCUCCACGAUCGCCAUCUAAGGACCCUAAACCUCUAUUAGAAAGAAAAUACACUCGAGGAUGGCCUAGCCACUCCAUCACAAACAAUGAGACUUACCUUUGCCUCAGUUCUUUCCUGCAGGUUAGCACAGUUCAUAUUACUCAAGCAUAUAUAGUAAUAAAAUUCAAACAAUUCAAUUGCUCGGAUUGACUCAAAAAUCGAUCGACUCAAUCGAUUACAUGUCAUCGAGGUCAUCACAUGGUAGUGGAAUCACGGACCCACUCAGCAUGACUUUUAAUAGGUGGUAGAUCAUGGCCCGACUCGGCAAGUUUAGAUUUAGUGGCAUCACGGCCCCACUUGGCACGGCCUUUAAUAGGUGGUAGAUAACGGCCCGAUGGGCACAACCGAUUCCAAAUUCGGUGGUAAAUUUCGGCCCUAUUGGCACAACCAUACUUCAGUGGUUUUCUAAGUCCACUCACAACCUUUCACAAUUAUUUUCCCAUAAAACACUGACAUUCUCAAAUUUUAGGAAAAUUCUCUCAUAACCACUAAUUUACUCAAUUCUCAUAAACCGGCACUCAAAUAAAUAAACAGAAAGCACCACUGCAAAUCAGCACAAAAUUUUGACAAUUUAAGGUCCCAAAAUAAUUUUUGAAAUUUAUUAAAUAAUUAAGCACACACACAUCCUUCUCAUCUGGUCAAUUUUAUAAUGCGAUACCCCAGGACUAUGUAUCGCCGACCCUUUCAUUUAUUAAGCACAUGCGGAAGCAGUUAUAAAUCCCUAGGCAGUAAAUCAAUGGGAUAGAAAAGUAAGGCCAUAUUUUUCAUAUUGAAAUUUAUAACCAAACUUUUAUACAAGACACAAACUAGAGUACUUCAUAACUAUUCACAUCAAAAUAGAGUUCUCAAAAGAAGAUGGAAUCUCAGUCCAUCUGGGUCAUACUCAAGAUCCAUCUUGGUAUUAUCUUCUUCUUACAAAAAUCAUUCUCCUCAAGUUUCACCUCAGAGUUCUCCUUCUCAAAUUCCUCCUCCUCAGCUCCUCAGUGGGGUCCUGAAAUGUUUUCCCCAAACCGGGAUGAGACAACGUCUCAGCAAAUUCUACCCCACUAAGGCCCGAUUAGUAAACCAUUAUACUAUAGGCUGCCUAAACAUGCACAGGUCAAAAGACGUACAUUGACAUUAGUCUCAACCUGCAAUUCAAGGUUAUAUACAGAUACUUCAUAUAUCUCAAUGAACAAUCAGUCAAAUCACAGUUCAAUCGACUUAGUUGAUUACAUGUCAUUCGGACCAUUUCUAGGUCUAUUCGAUUAUUCAUCUCAAUCCCCAAUUACGAAUCACAAUCCUCAUAUUACAUCUUAAGCAUAGGUGGAAGACACAGUCACACUCGACAACUUUCAAUAUUUAAUGGCUUUACAGUCCCACUCGAUCACUUUCAAUAUUUAAUGACUUUACGGUCCCACUCAACCAUUUUCAAAAUUCAAUGGCUUUUUGGUCCCACUCGACCACUUUUGAUAUUCAAUAGCUUUACGGUCCCACUCAACCACUUUCAUUAUUCAAUGGCUUUAUGCUCCCACUCGACCACUUUCGAUAUUCGAUGGGUUUAUGGUCUCACUCGACCACUUUCGAUAUUUAAUGGCUUUAUGGUCCCACUCGACCACUUUCGAUAUCGACAAUCAAUACCCAACGAUUUCUCAAUGAAAUAAUUAACAACAAUCAUUUAGGAAUAUAACAUAAAAUUCCAUAUUUAAUUCAAUUUGGCACAAUUCAAAGCUCAAAUAAAUAAAUGGACUGCACCACGACAAUCAGCACGAGAUUUCGGUCGUCGGCCAUCUCAACCUUAAUUUCCGAAAAAUAAAUAAAUAGUUAAUUAAUUUCAAAAAUUAAAUAAUUAAUAUUAAAAAUUCAAUUUAGCUCAAAAUAAAGCCCGAUUAAAUAAAUGGACUCCACCACGGUCAUCAGCAUAAUAUUUCGGUCACUGGUCAUCCCAGUUGAAUUUUCAGAAAAUAAAUAAAUAAAUAAUUUAAUUUCGAAAAAUAUUAUUUAAAUACCAAAAAUUCCACUUAGGCUCGAAUUGUCAAAUUGAAGCCUGAUAAAUGGUUGGAAAAAUCCCGAGCUACCCUCAAUAAAUAGUAGAACAUGUCUACUUGCUAAAUACAUAUUCAAUUUGUCUAAUUUGCAUCACAAUUAUCUAAUAAUCACUAAUCUAUUCUAAUAUAACCACUUAAUUGCAUCUAAUUAAACAUAACCAAUCCCUAAGCAUAAUUAGUAAACUAAGUAGGGAUUAGUGAGAUUACUCACCGGAAUUGCGUGCAAAUCGGAUCAAUCCGACGAGGGUGACGUGAGGAACAAUACUUCCCAAAGCACGGCUCGGGUUCGAGGCCUGGAAACGGCCCAAAAGCAGGCCUGUAGUCACUGGAAACCCAUUCGGCAACUUGUUGAUCAGGGCUGGCCGAGGCUGGUCUGACGGCUAAAGCGGUGAAGCAAGGUCAGGGGAGGACGAAGGAAGCUCCGGCGGGUCUGAACAGUGGCCGAACGGAGCUGGGCGGUGACCGGAGGUGGCUGGAUGAGCUGGGCAGAGGCGGAGCAGGGGCUGGAGUCGCACGGCAGGGAGAACGCCUGGGCGCAAGGGAUGGCAACUAAACGCGCAGCGUCUUGCGGGUAGUGCGAAUGGCGGCUCGGCGGCGUGCAGCAGCGACGGCGAGUUGUAGCUUCUGCUCCGGCGUCCUUCCAGAUCUGCUAGGACAUCGAGCAGCAAGUUGAGUGGGAGAAAGAAGGCGUCGGCGACAGCUGAGGAGGGUGAGGGAGAGGUGAAGGCGGGCGGUGAACAGCAGAGCAUAUAGGCGACAACGGCGAGUGGCUGCUGUCUCGGCUUUUUCCGCUUCUGGUUCCGCUCGCUGGUUUGCACGAAGAAGAAGGGAAGAAGGGAGUUCGGUCACAUGGGGGAGUGGAGGAGAAGAGAGAGGAGAGAGAAGAGGAGAUAAGAGAGAGAAGAGAUAGGUUUGAAUGGUCAAAGAGAGAGGAAGAAGCCAAAUUGAAAUUGGCCAAGGGGUAGGCGGUCGGUGGAGAAAAACGCACGAGGGGGAGGGGAGAGAAGAGAGAGAGAAAAAGAGAGAAAAGGGAGAGAGAGAGAAAAAGAAAUAAAAUAAUAGUCUUAUUCUUUUUUUUUUCUUUUCUUUUUCCCUUUCCCUUUCUAUUUUCUUUUGGUCUUCAAUUAUUUUCCUCCAAUAAUUUCUUUAUUGAAAUUUCGGACUCGUCAAUAAAUUGAUAGACGAUGAGACGGUCCUAAAAAUGAAUUGUGACACGCUCAAAUAUUCGAUUCCCGAGACCAAUUUAAAUUUCAUGGUUAGAAUCAAUCAAACGCGAUUUUAGUCAAAUCCAACAAAUUGAGUAGCUUUUAGGGAUUUUACUGCAAAUACAUCCCUUAACGGCUUCACCCAAUAGGUUAGUUAACUCGUAAGUGAUCAGCUCAGAGAAAAAAAGACCAUAGGCACGUUGACGACAUGCCCAUUUCACUUUAUCGAAAUGGGGUCGAAUUUCAGGAUGUCACAAUUCAAGUCAAUGGGCUAGGGCACUAAAAAAAGAUCUUUUGAAGAGAAAACACGACAAAAGCUAAAACUUCAGGAAAAAAAAAAUAUUAAUAUAAGAGCAACAAUUCUUCAUAAUUCUUGUCGUGACCCGAUCUCACCACUCUCGAAUUCCUCAUCAUCAUAAGGAGGGAAAAGGGGGAAAAGUCUGGUUUAGGGGUACUUGAUCACGAGAGUUCCCUCACAGCUCGCGUUCCAAAAGACUUCAUCUCCUCGCCUUUUGGAUCAAGCCUCUUGUGAGUUCCUUCCACAAGAUCACGAGCUUUCCUAAGCUUAUACCCCAUGUGACAGUGGAGCGUCGCAAUCCAUACCUACACGGGUGACACACUUUAAAAGAAUGGGUCGGGUGUGGAAAUUGGAUUUAAGGGUACCUUUACCAUAGUAGCCCUCUCGACAAUACACCUCACCCAUAAGAAUGACAUCACUUCAUCCUUUAGGGUACUCCCAUAUCAAGUAUGCUAAACCAUGGUGAGUUUCAUUGAAACUUGUACCCUGCGCGACGGAUUUAUUUAUAUGGUCUAAUUGUUUAUGACAAUCUAAAAAUAAGACGAGAGUCGCCACUAGCCUCAUUUUUGGGGUUGGCUAGAAAGUCCAAUCGAGAGUCGGGAGUGUUACCUUGAUUCCUAUGCAACCAAAUAUCUAGGUUUGGGGACUUGGGUUAUGUUAAUAUUUCUAUUAGCGACAUUUAGGUACUUAAAUAGUAUGUUGUGUUUUCCUAACAUGUCCAUGUGUUUUUUUUAAAACAUUUUCAAGAUCAUUAAUCCUAAACUAAGUGAUCAUGCGUGGUUGGUCAUUUUCAUUUUAUUCUAUUUCUAGAAAAAACAAGAAAAGAAAGCAAUCAAUGUAAUUAAAAUUACGAGACAGUAAGUAAACAAUCAAGAAAAGCAGUAAAUCUAUCAUGCAAUCCUAGAAAAUAUAAAAGAGAAAUAAAUUGAAAAAGAUGAGAGAAAGAGAGAAAACCCGUAACUCAUCGGGCUUUAUACAACAAAUGAAACUCGAGAUAUAUAUCGGGGAAAUGAAUAGUACAUGAUAAUGGUUGGAAUGGACAUUGACCUCUACUGUCUUCGUGCUUUCUCCAUCUUCGGGGUCUUAAUCUAAACCUAAUAUAAGAAACUUAUAACUAGGUGCAUACAAUGGAAAUAAACAAGCAUAUACAUAUAAAAAAUAAAAAAUAAAAAAUAAAAACAUCAUGUCGAGAUUAAUCAUUUAAAGAAAGUGCAAUACGAAAGUCAAAUUUUGGGGCCUUGGGGUCGGCCUUUGUCUUUCAUGCGAGGGUCCCACUAAGACACCUACCCAAUCCAUUUUUUUUUGUUGACUUAUGGCAAUUGUUGAUCCAUUGUAUUCUCGCAAAACCAAUAAUGCUUAUAAGUCUCCUAAUCAAACGAUCUAUGUGAUCCUAGGGUUUUCUCUAGAUAUCAUGCAUCGACCCUAUCAUUCAUCUAAAAGUCACUCGCAUUGCAAAAAUUUAAAUAUACAUGCAGGUUUUUUGAACCUUGUUUCUCAAACAAUCAAGUAAAAAAGUGAACCGUCGGCGAUCACGUAUUACCAAGGGCAUGCGCUAAUCAUAAACACAAGUAAUUUCUAAUGCACGAUGGGAUUAUAUGUAUGAGGGGUACAUGUGAUAUUUCAAAAAAAAUAUUUCGAAAUCAUUCAUAAGAAAUUUUGAGACAAAGUGAUGUAUCGGCUAUAAAAGACAUUCAAUUGCUAAGGCUAGCCCGAGACUCGCAUAAAUGCACUCACAAGCAUCACAUGCAUUUUGAAUAAAAUUCAAACCGUGACUUUCAUGAUGUCAUAUCAAGAUUUUAAAAAGGUUUAAAAAUAUUUAGAAUUAAGGAAUAUCUAGGCUAUGGAAUACAUUCAAUUCCCAAGGCUAGCACGAGCUCGCAUGAAUGCACUCACAAGUGUUGUAGGUAUUUUAAAUAUGGUCCAAACCAGGAUUUUUCCUUAUGCCAAAUCGAGUUUUGGAGAAUAACUUUUUUAGAAAUCGUUUUUUGAGAAACAUCACAUGUAUCAAAGCAUUUUUUGAAAUUCAAAAAGGCCGAUUGUUUAACAACAAAGAUCAAAACAUUUAGAACAAUUUUCAUGAAGUUGGUAUGUCCUAAUUUCAUGCACAAACUAACCUAAAAGGUAGAGCUAAAUAAUUACAAUCAUGUUUAUAUCAAGAAAUUUCAGAACAAACGUGUAAUGACAACAAAAUUGGGUGAUACCUAAUGAUAAUUUGGCAAUUAAUUUUUUUUAACAUGCAUGGCAUGAUGAUGAACAACUUUUAUGAAGAAAGUUUUCUUAAACAAUCUAUACAUGAUUUUACAAAAAUCAAACAACAAGCAACAACUCAUCAAAAAUUUGUCAAAACAACAAGACAUUCAGCUAAUGUCACAAGGAUUUUUCCUAUCAAAACAUGUCUAAAAAUCAUCAAAUUUACACACAACAUACCAACAUGAUGAUAAGCAAGUUUUAUUAAGAGGCCAAGUUCAUAUUACAAAUAGAAAAAAUGAAACAAAAAUAUCAAAAGUCUAUCCAAAUAGGGGUUAGAACAUAAGUCCGAAUUUGAUCCCUUGUCCAGAUUGUAAUCUAGAUUUGAAAAAAUGGAAAAUAGUCCAAACAAUGAGCGAUUGGCAUGAAAUCAGCAGUAUUACAAAUUUCUAAGUGUGCCCUAUGUUUUCGUAAAAGAGCUCGAGUCCAAACUAGAUCAAUUUUGUAUCCUAAAAUCGAGAUCUCUAAAAGUGUGCAUUAGUGACUAAGAAAAUAGAACAUAAAUAUUCAUUAGAAAACCUCAAAAUCACUCAAAGAAUAUACAAACGGCAUGAAGAAAUCAUACGGGACUUAGGAUUGGAUGUGAGGGAAAGUUUGGAUAGUCAUCUAAUCUUAAGUCAGCAUGCAAAAUUUCAUACAAUUUAAAUGACAUUAUGAGAUGAGUUAUGAUUCCUAAUGAUAUGUUCUGGAAUCUUAAAUGUGAUGAACAUUUUUUGUGAGACAAAUUUCAUGUGCAAGAUGAAACUUAAAUGACAUGACCUAAACAUGUAUGCAAGCCUUGCAACAUAUGGUUCAAUCAUCAAGAAGGCAUGAUCAUAAGAUUUGAUCCCUAGAUGACUUAAACAAGCAUGGAAAGGUGCACAUACGAUAAGGUUUCAUUUCAUCAUUAAGUUUACAUAACAAGCAUGAUUUUAGCCAUUCUCAAGACAUGCAUAAAUCUUGCCAAAAAUCUCAGAUACAGAGCAUACGAUGAUGAAGAUUUCUCCUUAAGAGGUUGAAACUCAAUCAAGAUCAUAUGAGUCAUGGAAAAAAUGGCAAAAUAGACAAACUAUAUGUCCAGCACACGUUGUUGCAAUACCUUUUAUUCUAAUACAUGCAAUUGACUUACUUUGCCAAUGUAAAAACCUUGCAAAGCAUUCAUCAAUUGAAUAUAUAUAUAUAUAUAUAUAUAUAUAUAUUUCAACUCUCAUGAACGAUUUGAGACCAUAUAGGUGCAUUUAUUGACUCAAUUUCAUCAAAACAAAUCUCGGACUAAUGCAAAACAAACUGACCUAUGUUCAGAUCUAAGUGAUUUUGACCUAGCUAAACAUAUCUAAAAAUUUUGAAAAAAAAUACGGACAUGCACAACAUCUGUACAAGAAAAUUUUAUGAGGAAAGUUGUCCCAGAACUCAACAAAAAAAUCAGUACAAAAAUGGCAAAAUCAGAGAUCGAUAUGGAACAGAUUGACCUAGGCUUAGAUCUGAGUAAAUCCGACCUAGUUGAACACAUCGAAAAAUCAUGAAAACAUUACAAAAGAUGUAUGAGACAAUUUGGAACAAAACUUAUGAAGACAAUUUUGUCAAAAAAUGAUCACAAAAGUCAGCACAAAAAUAAAAAAGUCAAAAGACGGAAUAGAAUCAUAACUGAAAAAGACCUAAACUGUUGCAGAAUCGUUAAUCAUUGGAGGUGUUUUCUGAGCGUCAAAUGAUGCUCAAUUGGGGCGUGCAACUACCAUUUUGAAGCUCGUGUUAAGAGUUCAAAACCGACCUAACAAAAACAUGUUCAUCCAAAUUCGAAAAUCACAGAUCCACAAUAUCUAAAUAUAAUCAACUCCAAAUUAUUCAAGCAUUGACUCUAAUCAGAUUUGCAAUGCAUCCUGGCCCCAAAUCUUCGUUGUUGACCAUGCAUUUCAACAUGAGAUGCUCUCGCCUCAUCGGACACUAUUAAAAGGAGUUUUAUCACUCUUACCUCAAUUGCACCAGCAAAAAAUUGACGUUCGAAGAUGUUCGCCUUUCAACAACAAUGAAGCUGCUAGCUUCAAUCUCACUUCAGGAAUCACCAAACGUGAAGAAUGUCGAGUUCAUCUCCAGUACAAGAGCUGUUUAAAGCCGAUCUUUAGAUUCUGAUUUACUGUUUUUGCAAAUCACGAUCACCUUUCUCGAGUCCUUCAUCUAGGCAUGCACUUGGAGGUGAUUGAAUCGGUGAGCCAUAGUUGUUGGACUUGUUGAAGAGAAAAUGUAAUAUUUGACUUAGUCUAAAGAGUAGGGCCCACAAGUAGAAAAGAAAAGAAGAGAAGGAAAAAGGAGGAGGAGAGAUCGAGAGUCUUCGGGAGAGAGGAAGAAAAAGAAGAGAGAGAGAGAGAGAGGAAAGAAAAGGAAAAAAAAAGGAAAAAGAAGACGAGAUAAAAGGAAAAGAAUGAGGCACGUUUGGGCAGAAGGAAAAGAAAAGGGAGAGAAAAAUGAAUGGAAAGAAGGAGGAGGAGGAGGAGGAGGAAAUGGAGGGGAUUCUCAUCACAGACGCCUCGCCAAGCCGAUCCAACUAUGUAACGUGAUGCCCGAUAAGUGAUCGCGCCCCUCCUUCAUCCAAUCGAAGUAUUUUUUGGGUUUAGUGCUCAAAUUCAGAAUUUUAGGAAAAUCAAGCAGCAAAUGAUGAUUUUGAGUCAUUGAGCCACGUAUCUUUAUAGAAAUUAUAGUUUUGGGUUGUUAACGCCUAAAUUUUGGCGAUUUGUUUAAGUGUUUAUUAAUUACAUUGGAAAAUUAGGGAUUAAUUUAUAACCCCUUAACAAAAAAUUUUCAUUAAAAUUGCAUCACAUAUAGACAUUAGGAGCAUUUGCAUCACUAGUUUAAAAUUUAUCAAAAAAUCACAUAUAGACAUUAGGAGCAUUUGCAUCACUAGUUUAAUUUAUAACCCCUUUACUAAAUUGCAUUGCGUUUUAGCAUUAGGAAUAUUUGCAUCACUAAUGAUAUUUUUUAUUUUAUUUUAUUUUAUUUUUCAAAAAGAAAAGAAAGAAAAAAAAAGGAGGAGAAAAUUGAAUGAGGCCGAGUAGAGGGCUUUUCUUCAUUCGUGGGCUCGCGACCUAUCUCUUUUCCUUUUCUCUCUUUUGCACUUGGCUAGCCCAUCUCCUUUCAUUUUAGCCUAGCUCAUAUGUGAGUCUUCUUCCUCCCCUCACACCAACCACGCUCUUGCAAAAGAAGGGAAAAGGAGAAACGUACAAGCCAAGGGUGAGGUAGAGGAUUGCAAGGUCAGAGGAUCACAAAGGCAGACAACGGUGAGAUCCCAGGGUCGGAGAUCAAGCGGCCGCGACAAUUUGGUGGUGACAAAAGCCAUGCACGCCUAUCGUUGGCUGAGCUUAAAAGGAAGAGAGCAAAGAGAAGAGAAGGGAGGGCUCGGCUGAUUUUUAUUUUUAUUUUUGGUCGAGAGAGAACAGAGAGCACUAGAGAGAGCUCAAGAGAGUAGAGGGCGAGCCAAAGGGUGAGAGUGAGACUGAAGGACAGCUUCGCCAUCACUAGUUGUCUGCUCGAGAGCCAUCGUCCACCGCAAUGCUCCCCUUUGAAAUAGGUAGGUCAUUCCUGAGUACAUCUGCCCUGUUUUUUGUGGGGUGUCGGGUUGGAGCUCAUGGUCAACCAGUUCGCACGAGCUUUAGUCUCGAUCCUCACCCGAAAUUCCGUUGUGCUUGUGUUCAUUCCUCACAUAGUAUAUGUGUGCUCAUUAUAGUGCUUUAUGCAAAUAUUUGUUUGUGUUUAGUGUUAUGGCCGAAACCUGUCAUUUUUUUUAAACUCAAGUUAAAUGCUAAUAAACUUGUCCUUGAGUAAAUCUAGAAUAGUGCUUGUGUAUCAUGUGAUUAUCUUGGCUUGAACCCGAGCCCCAAUCGAGUCUAUGCUUACCUCUCUAGUUAGUGCGUCUUAUGUGUUCGAUGAAAAACCAAGAGUAGUGUAUGUUUUAACGCAAGAUCAACUCGUUUUUGUUCGUGCGCUUGCUUAAUCCUUGUUGCUUUGCUUGUAUUCAUUGUAUUUUCGUGUGGUUUAUGCAAAAUAUUUGCAUGUAUUCGAAUAGGCGAAGUCUUUUGCCGCACCGGAGAAUGAGUUAGUGGUCGUUGGUGUAACAUCCCAAGCCCCAUUGUGUAAUAUUGUCCACUUUGGGUCACCCGCCUUGGCGCGGACGAACCGUCAUCCCAGCCACGGUCUUUUCCCUCACGGCUUUAAAAUGCGUUACACAGAUUAGACGGACCCAAGCCUUAUAAACUAACCAAGACCUCCCUCCCUAGGCGAUGUGGGACAAGAGAGGAGGCUGUCACACUCUCCACCUCUUAACAGAGCAGCGUCCUCGCUGUGGCCCCACGGGCGUCAGAACAGCAUUCAAGUCGUGGUCCCACACGCGGUCAGGAGUUGGCUCUGAUACCAUUUGUAACAUUCUAGGCCCCACUAUGUAAUAUUGUCCGCUUUGGGUCACCCGCCCUGGCGCGGACGAACCGCCAUCCCAGCCACGAUCUUUUCCCUCACGGCUUUAAAACGUGUUACAUAGAUUAGAGGGACCCAAGCCUUAUAAGCUAACCAAGACCUCCCUUCCUAGGCGAUGUGGGAUAAGAGAGGAGGCUGUCACACUCUCCACCUCUUAACAGAACAACGUCCUCGCUGUGGCCCCACGGGCAUCAGAACAGCAUUCAAGCUGUGGUCCCACACGCGGUCUAGAGUCGGCUCUGAUACCACUUGUAACAUCCCUGGCCCCAUUGUGUAAUAUUGUCCGCUUUUGGUCACCCGCCCUGGCGCGGACGAAUCGCCAUCCCAGCUACGGUCUUUUCCCUCACGGCUUUAAAACGCGCUACACAGAUUAGAGAGACCCAAGCCUUAUAGGCUAACCAAGACCUCCCUCCCUAGGCGAUAUGCGUCCACGCCAAGGCGGGUGACCAAAAGCGGACAAUAUUACACAGUGGGGCCCAUAAUGUUACAGUUGGAAUAUGUGGCCGGUGGUAGCCAACGUUAGUAGAGGGGGAUGACCGGUGGACGGUGUUGGUUGGUGGUCAACGCCACUUAUUCCGGCUGGCAUUGUGCAUGGUGCAGAAUAAGGAAGCUUCGGGUAGAGAGGAGACAUCAUGAAGAAGACCAGGGAAGAAGACGACCUAAAAAAAAUCUUAAAAGAAAAACAAGAAAAAAAGAAAUGAAAAGAAUAAUGAAAAGAAAUGGAAAAAAAAUAGAAAAGGUGGAAAAGAUGUCGGAGGUAGACGUUCGAUGAAGGCGGUGAGGAUGAGAGGACAUUGCAGGGAAAAAGACAAAACAUAGAAGAAGCCAAAAAAAAGGGAAGAAGGAAAAACAAAAAAAAAAAUGUUUGAAAACGAAAAAAAUCAAUUAAAAAUCUUAAUUUCUUUUCCAUUCCGAUAGGGUCGAAUCUGGUUUUGGGUUGGGUCAAUGGCCGGAUCGGAUCCACCCGGUCCGACCCAUUUUUCCGAAUAAAAUAAUAUUAAAUACUAAAAAUAUAUUAAAAAUUUCAAAAAUAAUAAAAAAUAAUAAAAAAUAAUAAAAAUAAUGAAAAUUCAAAAAAGAUUCCAAAAAUUCAAAAACUCAGAAAAAAUUAAAAAAUUCGACCACCUUUUUAAAAAAUUAAUAAUAAUUAAAAAUUAAUAAAAAAUUAAAAAUUUCGAAAAUCUAAAAAGUGUAGAGUUUGGUUAAGAAUUGUCAUGUGUUGCCUUCUUAGUGUAAUUAGGCAUUUAUUUGCUCAUAUAUUGGUUAUAUCACGUGCUUAAUUCGCAUAUUUUAUCAUGUUUAAUUGCAUGUGUUAAAAUUUACUGCAAUUAGGAUUUUGAUUACAAAUGGUUGCUUUAAUGAGUGCGCACCUGCAUGAUCACAUCGCAUAUUAGUGGAUAUGCAUAAAAUCAAUCAAAAUUGCCUAACAAAUAAUAUUUUCUUUUAAAAUGAACAAGAUUAGGUACCAAAAAGGUACUAAUUGGUUAAUUAGUAUAAUCAAGUCCCCGAUCCUAGAUUCUCUAGUUGCGUAGGAAGUGGGAUAGACUCUCAUAUCUCACUUGGUUUCUAGCCGACUCCGAUAGGUUAGUGGCGACUCCUUAUUGCAAAAAUCUUUGAAGAUACCUUAGUGUCACGCGAGGUAUGGACUUGGGAAAGCCCGCACCUAAUCAUGAGCCUUAGGUCUGUCCUUUAGGCAAUACCCCUAAAUUAUUCCCUCCUCCCGAGAGGUAGGUCGCGACAGCUUGGUGACUCCACUGGAGAUGGUUUUAAACCUUAGAGAACUUAGGCUGAAAUUGAUCUUGUUCAAAAAUAUUAUUGUUUGGUGGUGAAGAUCCGAAGUACAUCCCUAACGAGUCAAUUGUUUAAUGUUCAUGUUGAAUGGGAGGUAUAAGGGGAAGUGAUUGCUAACCAUUAUUUUGUAGGGGGUGUAGGAAUGAAUGAUUUAUUUACACGUGAAAUGCUGAUUGUUUAUAAAUUGUCGUGCAUGCAUCCCCUGCAUUGCACUACACCAUAGCACACACUACUUGCCGUCAGACUUGGGCUGCAUAAGAUCACCUAGGAUGGUGUUGAGGUGGAUACCACUCCAACUACAAUCAUGUAGUAUGAGUCGCCCACCUCAACCCCAAAAUUUCCUUCCUGAUGUCAAAGGUCACCACCAUGAUCUGUAACCACGCGACACGGGUUAGUUCUUUGACGAAGCUGGAGUCAAUGUAACUCGACCUAGCUGCGACCUUGUUGGUUUGGUCCGGUAAUCCUAUGACUCCAUUUGAGUUAUUUAGAGUAGAAAUCGAACCAUCGUCCAUGUGUAUGUCUAUGUCAUUGGCCUUGCUACUCAAUGAGCAAGGUAAGAUUUUCGAAUUCUUUUCUUCGCAAUUUACUUAUUCGCUUUCUUUUUGGUUGGUCCAUGGCAAAUUAGGAUGAUCAUAACUGCAAGUAAUAUACGAUGGGGGUACCCGAGCUUCACAUCAUUGCCGCCCCAAAAGCCGAGCUCUGCAUAUGGUGGGAUAGACUAGACCCGACUGGCCAUGAUUGGGUGCGAUCCCAUGUUAGAUGACUACUUCCCCUCUUGGAAGUAGAAACUCAUUAUGGUGUUGUACGAGCGUUGGCGCAUGUCUCGUGUCCUGAGACUUGCACAUCAAUAUUCGGUAACUACAAGCUCACUCCAACCUUAGAUGAAUAUGGCACUGCCAUUGGGAAGCCCUUAGUGUCGAAGUUAGUUAGCCCGCCAGUAGGGAUUGAACACACAUUGACCUUAUCUGAGUUCCUUAUAGUUAAGGGAGAGGACGUGAGAAAUGUUUUGAAAGCCAAUUGCAAAGCUUGCACAUUUUCAUUCCUAAAUGAGCUUUUUUAGAACGCCCCAUUUUUCCAAAAGAAUAAGAUCUUCCUAUUAGCUUUCUUUGGGUUUGUGAUAUUCCCACAUAGAAGAAAUGCUAUUAACUCCUCCGUGGCAUGGGUAGUUCGUGAGGUAUGUAUGGGAAGGGGUUUUGUUAAUGCCAUCCUAACUGAAACCUUUCUUUUCCUUACAUGCUUUAAGGAAAACAAAAACAAAGUUUUUCAUACCCCUCCUGAACUCUUACAAAUUUGGUUUUUUUCUCACGUUAAGGGACUUGGUAGCUUGAUGACCGUGAACGACAUUUUUGACUCUAGCCACCCUAUCCUGAAGUUUAAAGAUAGGAAAAUGUUUGCCCCCGAUUAUCAUUACUCUUAGUGGUUAGUUUUCAUGACCAACCUUGGACCUGAAGAUUUCCAAUUGCAUGCCAAAUGGCUCCGAGUUCAAGAAGCGCGGUUCGUGUGUGGGCUUACUGGAUCUAUUCAUUUGUUGGGAAUUACUGGACCUAUUCCUUUGCUGAGAUUCCUUUGCUUGGAAUUAUUGGAGUCCUCUUUUCUAUGAUCUUCUUCGGUUGUCCAAAAUGUUCGGGAAGAGCUACCAUCUAUGGACCUGAAAAUGGUUAUCCCACAAUGGAGUGAGACUACAUCUCAUUGAGUUCUAUCCCUAAGACCCGAUUAUGAAGAAAAUACGCCCUAAGGGCUGUCUAAGUACAAUUAGGCAUCGGAGGACUUACCUUAACCUUAGUUCCUUCCUGCAAGUCAAUUCAAUUGAUAAAUUACCCACAAACCAUACCAUCUAAUCAAAUCAGAUCAAAUUAUCGAUCAAUCAAUUUAGUCAAUUAUAUGUCAUCACGACCUUCUCUUGGUCGGCCUAUUUAAUACUAUCUAUGAGUCAAACCAUAAUCUAGGACUGCUCACUCUAGGUGAUAUAUAGAUAGUAGCUUGCCCCAAAAGCUAAUAAAUAGUAUACUGUCCAUUCUCUAAGAUUACAUAUCGGGCCAUCAAGCUAUUAUAGUAUACUAUUUCUUCUCCAGAUCACAUAUAGAGCCAUCGAGCUGUUAUAGCAUAACAUUCUUUCUAAUAAAGUUAGUAUGAACACUUAGAGAGGGUGAAUAGGUGUUAAAGAAGUUUUUGCAAAACUUAACAAUUUAAUUCGACUUAUAAUAAAACAUUAGAUUUAAGAUAUAAAAGAUUUUAAGCUGAUAUAUAAGACUGCGAAUUAAAUAAAGAGAUUAGAGUAAGAGAAUUGAAACGCAAGGUUUAUAGUGGUUUGGCUUAGACCAAGCCUACAUCCACUCUCCCGCACUGAUAGCCCACUGGCUGGAUUCCACUAAGAACCAAAAGAGAUUUUACAGUAUCACGUCCUUGACUCCACAAUGUAGAGACUCUACUACAUUUCUUCAAGGCCUCACAAGUAUUUGAUCUCUCUUUUGAGUACAGUUUAAGCUCGACAAAUUGUAACAGCAAAGAACUAAGAAUUUCAAACUUUGAAAUUUUUCUUUUACGCACACACUCGAAUAACUUGAGUGUCCUCCUUAUUUACUCAUCCAUGCCAUCAUAACCGUUGGCACCUUUUAAAGGAGUUCUUCCAAUCUACCUGUUAGAAUCUCGAGUUAUUUAAGGAAUGUGAUGAUAGCCCACCAAUCCUGCUUGCCCAUACAGUCAGGAUGUAGGUUUCCAUAAGUUGAACUUUUCAAGUAUACUUCGCCAAGCAACGGAUCUAAUUAUUCAAAUUGAUUUCAAUAAGAAUAAUUGAUUAUGAGAUACUAUCUACAACCGUGAGAUAUUCUUCAACCGUACGAAUAAAAUCCUUAAGGAUAUACUUGUAUCUGGAUAAGUUUUCUUCAAUGGAUAAAACUUUUCUUCGUCGGUCUGGAAACUAUCAGUGAGGGGCAGACUUUAAAUCUUGAGUCUAGAGGUCUUCCGACUUUAACGAUAGAGUUUGCAAAUUUUCAGACUAGAUUGAUGGAAACGUUUUGUCAAAACUUCAAAACAGAUAAGGGAGUUUUCUCCAACAAUCUCCCCCCUUUUUAUGAUGACAAAACUUUCCCGCAGAUUUGAAUACUUUGACCUGCAAAACAACACUUAAGCAAACCAAGAUUUCUUAUAAAAGAUAAUUAGAGAUUAGGAUAAGGAUAAUAACGAUUCUGCAACCACAGAGAACAUGUUAGUCCUGUAAAAGCAACUAUUAUUAUCAUAAUUAAUAACAUAGUUUAAGUUACUUGUAAGCAUCGUUAGUCCAAACCAAUUCAAGUCACAACCAAACAAAAGAUAAGUCCAAUAGUAAAAAAUCAAUCAUCAAAUCUGCAGUCAAAUCAUCAAAUAUGUAGUCAAACCUCUCCCCCUUUUUGUCAAUAGCAAAAAAUGGAGAACAAACGAAAAAAGAGUUGGUUGAAAAUAGAGUCAAAAUCAUGGCUGUUUGGGAAGGCGAACAAACUCGAAUUCUCCCAUAAAAUGCAUUGUCUUCUCAAGCCUUUCAAAACUUUGCUUCAGUGAUUGAAAAUCUUCACCCUGUACAGUAGAUUGCACUUGAAUCUUUAGGCAUUCAACUAGUUAUGCAAAGACAUUAAAGUGGCCUUAAAAGCAUUCUUGAGAACCUGCAUCUCAAAUCCCAUAGCAUAUUGUUGUUUUCUAAGGUCCAAUAGAAUUUUCAGCAGUCUUGAAAAGUCUGCUGUUUGAGCUGUUGUGGAACUAGGACUAGCUGAGUCAAUUCCAGGGAUUUUAAGAAUGGAUGGAACUUCAGCAGAUUGUCCACCAUGAUUGUCUUCUGGGUAAUGCGAGGCAUACACAUCCUCUGGAUCUGUUGCAGAACGACUUACAUCACUAGCAAAUAAAGUUGAAGAAAUGCCUUUUGGUCCAACAGCUCCCCCUAUUUUGUUGCCUUUAGAUGGAGUGGGUAAGAUUUCUUCUUGAUCAGCUUUAGCUUCAGAGUGAUGAGCGUCAGCAAUUCUAAUUCUGCCAUCUUAGAAUCACUAAACAGGGAGAGCUAAAGUUCGCUCGAAAGAGUCUUCUUGACCCUGAUCUUGUUCUCCUUCUCUCUCUUCUUCUUCCUCUUCUUCUUCCUCUUCUCUUCUUUCUUCCUCUGUCCUCCUCUGUUCUUCAUCUUCCUUCUCUGUAUAUUCUCUCUCUUUUCCUCUUUCUUCUGGCUCUUCUCUUGUCUCAUGAAAGCUGACAAAACUCUUUAAGUUUCUUAAGGCUAAAAGAGUCAUUUCAUCAUCAUCUUCUUCAUCUUGCAAGAUGAGACUUCUUUUCUUAUUUACUGGAGCAACCAUGGGCUCCUUGCCUUUCCUCUUCGCUACAACAGAGUCUUGUUUUGCUAUGACGGGAGACUUCUCCUUCAUACGCUCCAACAUCUUGUUCAACUCUUUCAAACGCAUCUUUGAGACCAUUUUGAAACCAAUCACCAUUGGAUAGAUGGUUGUCAGGCAUAAUGGUGCAGAAAUGUGAAUUUUAAAGUGUCUAAGAGAGGUGUGAUAAGAACAGAAUAAUGGAGUUGUCCCUUAUUUUUCACACAGUUCAAUACAUGUAAAACAAGAUGGUGUGAGGUAGAGAGAAUUUAAAUCCGGUAUUGAUGGCACACAUCAAUUUUGCUUCUGAUCGAGAGACAUCAGUCUUGGAUGUCGAUUUGGGACGAAUGCAAUUUAUCACAAUCUUGUACAGCAAGAUGUUAGAGGCACUCUUCCUUAAGUAGGAAAUUUUACCUUCAACAUCCCUAUCUUUCACCAACGACAAAAUAACAUGAGCAAUAGACAUGCUAAUUGGAUGGAAAUUCGUUCUUUCCACCCCAAUUAUGUCAGCCAAUGUGUUUGUAUCAAGUAAAAAUACUUAUCCUUCACUGUGAAAGUAAAAUUGUUUGCAUAAAAAAAAAAAGUUCGAGUAAAAGUAUGCAGUAAGCUCUGGAUAAGCAACAGUGGAUUCAGAACAGAAGCGUUCCAAUUGCAGUACAAUAAACUUCUCUCGCAAAUUGACUUUUGUCGAAUCAAGGAAAUCAAAAUCAACACUUCUAGGAUUCAUAACCCCUCUCUUCAUAAGGUUCGAAUAAACCUUCUUGUGAUUCUUCGAUCUAAACAAAUUGGAACCAUCAGCAAUAUUUGCAGCCACUCUCGUUCUAGGUUGAAAAUGAGUAAACAUCUGUUCAUCGUCGUCCAGAAGUUGUGGUUGAUUUGCAGUGCCAUAGAAUGGGUCACUCGGAAAAUUCGCAAAAGUUCUUUUAGCCAUUCCUUUUUCUACAACUCCUAACAUUUCCAACUCCCGCAAGAACAUGUUUUCAUUCUUGUAUCCUCUAUCUCUUAAAAAUUCAUCAAUUAAAGACAUUGACGUUCCUCAUUUCUUCAAAUUAGAGUAAAGUUUGAAAGCAACCUUGAGAGUGAGCAUUCUUACAAGUCCAGCCUCCUCUAUAUCUUUAUUGCCUGGUUGAGUCAGUGGAGAAGGUUGAUGUUGCUAAGAAGGUUGUUGCUGACUUGGAUGUAGUGGUGGAGAAGAAUCUUCUUUCUCAGUCAAGUCAAAAUGCGUAGGACCCUCGGGCAUAUGUCGUGAUUCCCUGCUUGCAAUCCUUGAAGACUUUCUUGAAAACAUUGUUGCUUCAAGGAAGGAAUUCACCAACUUGCUCGAAAAAGGUGAAAACUUUUGGACAGAUCGAGAGUAAAAGUGAAAAAUACCUUUUCAAAAAGAAUAACUUCCCUUUUUGAAAAUAACUGUCUUUUCAAAAUUGAUAACUGCCUUUUUGAAAAAAAAAAUACUUUGAAAGAUAAUUUCAAUCGAUUAGCAUUUAAUAAGUAACCGUACCUUUUAAAGUUCAAAAUACUAUAAUAGAAAUAACUUACAGUCGUUACUCUUGGUCUUCUGAGUUUGAACACCUUCAGACUUUACCUUUGAGUCUUGAGCCCAUCCAGACUUUACUAAGUAAGAGAUAUGAUGUUCAGUCUGGUGCGAAUAGUCUCAAAUAGGUUUUUCUCCAAAGGCUUUGUAAAUAUGUCCGCCAAUUGAUUCUUUGAGUUUAUGAAUUGAAUCAUAACUUCUCCACUUUGAACAUGAUCUCUAAUAAAAUGAUGUCGAAUCUCUAUAUGCUUUGCUCUUGAAUGAAGAAUUGGAUUCUUUGUGAGGUUAAUUGUGCUGGUGUUGUCGCAUUAGAUCUCAAUACAAGAGUCUUUGAUUCCAAAGUUUAUCAGUUGUUGUUUUAUCCAUAAGAUUUGAGAACAGCAACUUCCAAGAGCCACAUACUCUGCUUCUACUGUUGAAAGAGCUACAAUGCUUUGCUUCCUUGAAAACCAAGAUACUAUCUUGUUUCCUAACAAUUGACAUGUACUAGAUGUACUCUUUCUAUCAACUCUGCAACCUGUUAAAUCUGAAUCUGAAUAUCUAAGGAGGGUAAAGUCUCAUUCUUUGGGAUACCACAGACCUAAGCUUGAAGUAGUUGUAAUGUAUUUAAUGAUGCUUUUUGCGGCACUUAGAUGAGACUCUUUUGGAUUAUAUUGAAAUAUAGCACAAAUGCAAACAUUAAACAAAAUGUCAGGUUUACAAACAGUAAGAUAAAUAAGUGAACCAAUAAUACUCCUGUAAAGUUUCUGGUCAACUUUCUUUCCUCCUUCAUUUUUAUCUAGCUUCGAAGAACUAGACAUUGGUAUCUCAGUCAUUUUGCAAUUCUCUAAUCUGAACUUUUUAACAAGUUAUUUCGCAUAUUUUUUUUGGUGAAUGAAAAUUCAUUUCUUCAAUUGUUUUACUUGUAGUCCGAGAAAGAAGGACAGUUCACCUAUCAUGCUCAUUUCAAAUUCAUCAUGCAUAGACUUAGAAAACUUCUUGCACAAGUUUUCGCUAGAAGAUCCAAAUAUAAUAUCAUCAACAUAAAUUUGAACAAGUAGAAAGUUUUUACCUUCUCUCUUAAUAAACAAGAUAGUAUCCAUUUUUCCUUUGACUAAACCAUUUUGCAUUAAAAACUUACUUAACCCGUCAUACCAAGCUUGAUGUGCUUGUUUUACACCAUAAAGAGCAUUUUUCAGUCUGAAAACUGAGUCUGGUCUCUUUGGAUCUUUAAAUCCAAGAGGUUGUUCCACAUAAACUUCUUUUUGGAUAAAUCCAUUUAGGAAUGCACUUUUGACGUCCAUUUGGAAUAACCUGAAACUUUUAUGACAAGCAAAAGUAAGUAAUAAUCUAAUUGCUUCUAACCUGGCUACUGGAGCGUAGGUUUUAUCAUAAUCUAUCCAUUCUUCUCGCGUAUAACCUUUGGCCACAAGUCUUGCUUUGUUCCUGAUCACUUUUCCUUUUUCAUCCAACUUGUUCCUAAAAACCCAUUUAAUUUACCUUUUGGUUUAUGAGUUAUCUCCCAUAUAUCGUUAAUGCUGAACUAUCUAAGUUCUUUUUGCAUUAUUUUAAUCCAGCUUUCAUCAGCUAAAGCUUUUUCUAUGCCUUUGAAUUCUAUUUCAAAAAUAAGUGCCAUGACGCUAGCCUCUUCUUGCCUUUUGGAUCUGGUGCAAAUCCCAUCAUCAAUAUUACCAAUGAUGAGUUAUCUGGGAUGACUAGACUUGUGCUUCAAGUUACAUGUUGGUCUGAUAGUUUGCCGAUCUUCUUCUUCAAUUGAUUUUUUAGCUUCUGUUCGUUGUUAAUUUUCAAAAAUCUGAGCUGCUUUAGGGGAGGUAGACUUUGUAGAGUUUGGAGCAGGUUCACAUUCUUCAAGAUGAGUCUGAAUCAAUUGAUUCUGCAAAGAGUCUUGGAAUUUGACAUUCGUAGAUUCUUCCACAAACUGAGUCUUUUUGUUGAAUACUUUGUAGACUUUGCUAGUGGUUGAAUAUCAAAGGAAUAUUCCUUCGUCCGAUUUCUCUUCAAAUUUACCAACUCGAUCAUUUGCAUUUGUCAAAAUGAAACAUUUGCAACCAAAUACAAGAAAGUAAGAGACAAUUGGCUUUUUUUCUUUGAAUAGCUCAUAAGGAGUUUUCUCCAGAAUAGGCCGUAAAAAGAUUCUAUUAAUAAUAUAACAUGCUGUAGAAACUACUUCAGCCCAAAACUGAGCGAAAAUACUACUUUCUAUUAAAAGAGUUCUUGCCAUCUCCUGCAAAGAUCUAUUAUUUCUUUCCACAACUCCAUUUUGUUUUGGAGUGUAUGGAGAGGAGAAAACAUGCUGAAAACCUGAUUCAUCACAAAAUUUUGCAAAGUCUUGAUUUUCAAACUCACCUCCAUGGUCUGUUCGUAUGCUUGAAAUAGCAUAUCCUUUCUUGUUCUGAACUUUCUUAGGUAACUUUGAAAAGUAGGAAAAUGCUUCAGACUUACUUGCCAAAAGGUAAACCCGGGUGAAUCGUGAAUAGUCAUCAACGAUUACUAGACAAUAUCUCUUUCCACCUAUGCUUCUAGUUCUGGUUGGCCCAAAGAAAUCCAUAUGCAGAAGCUGCAAAAUACGAUUAGUAGAAAUCUGAUUUAAUGGUUUAAAAUAACUUCUAACAUGUUUUCCCAAUACACAUGGUGUGCAUAAGUUGGAUUUUUGAAACUUCAGGUUGGGUAGUCCUCGAACAAGAUUUUUAGAAGAGAUCUUGGCAAUUUGCUUCAUAUUGGCAUGGCCAAGCUUUCGAUGCCAAAGAUUUGCUUCAUCUUGAAUUGAAAUUAGAUAUUGAGACUUCUCUGGUUUUGUAUUCAAAAGAUAGAUGUGCCCAUGUCUUCGUCCAGUAAAAGAUUGUGAAAGAUCUUUACUAGUUCCUGAAUAUAUUUCUUCUUGAAAAUUGAUCUUUAAUCCAGUGUCACAUAAUUGGCUGAUGCUAAGUAAAUUGUAAUUGAGUCAUUCCACUAAGGAAACAUUGUUGAUUGUGAGACUUCUAAUUUUUACAGUUCCACAUCCAACAAUUCUUCAUUUGCUGUUUCCGCCAAAGGAGACUUUUCCACUAUUUAUUUGCAUAAGUUUUAUAAAACAACUUGAAUCUCCACUCAUAUACCUUGAACAAUCAUUAUCCAAAUACCAUUUAACAUUUUUCUUGAUAGUGACCUGCAAUUAAUAAAGAAAUUCAAGUUUUUUUUGGUACCCACAUUUUUUUGGGUCUAGAGGAGUUUGUAUAAUAAGCAGUCUUUGCCCAUUCCUUCUUAACAUGUCUCCAAACCAUAAAACAUUUUUUCUCAAAGUGUUCUAAGCUGUUGCACUUAGAACAUUUGAAAGUACUUCGCCCAAUAGGUUUUACAAAGAUCUUUUGAAAAUGAUUUAUGUAAAAAGUUUUUGUAAGCCUUUGUUUGAUUUUUUUUUUCACUUUUGGAAAAUCAAUUAGAGAAAUAGUUUCAGAAAUCAUUACCAAGUCUGAUUUGUUAAAGUAGAGUUUUUGUACUAAAAGAAUCUUUUCCAAUAUCUCAGAUCCUAUAGAAAACAUUUUUGAAAUAUUUGAAAUGUCAUUUUUCAAGAAUGUUUUUUCUUUUUAAAGAGAGUCUGCAUUUUCUUUUAAAGUAACAAAACUAUUAUCUAAAUUUUCAAAUUUUUCUUUCCGUAAAAUUUAUUGUUGCUUCAGUGUAGAAUUUUCCUUUUUUAGCUCGGAAAUCCUCUUGAGAGAGGUUUUGAGACUAAGAUAAAGUUCAUCAAUGUAUUUCAAGACAUUAGUAGGGAUUUUUAAGUUACUUAUCUCGAUUUCACUAUCUGAGUCUAAGUCUGUAUCUAUUUCGAAGUCUGAGUCUGAUUCUGAUUUUGCCAUUAGACAAACAUUGGCAUAAUUUUUGUCACUUUCUUCACAUUCAGUAUCGUUAAAUGUCUCUGCCUUGAGAGCCUUCCUAUAUUUCUCAACUUUUCCUUUCUUUUUCUUCAACAUGGGACAGUUAGGUCUAAUGUGCCCAUUUUUCUUGCAUUCAAAACAGAUCACAUCCUUAUUGGAUUCAUCAUCCUCAUUUGAUUUGUUUUGAAACUUUUGAGUGCUUUGUUUCUUCCAAUUGAAUCUUCUUCCCUUUUUAUUCAGUUUCCUGAACCUCUUUAUCAUAAGAGCUAACUAUUCAUCAUCCAUAUCAUCUUUAGACUCUGUAACAUCAUAAUCAUCAUUAGAUCUCAAAGCAAUUGACUUCUUACCUUUGGGAUAUUCUUCUUCAUUGAUUUGCUCCACUUCAUAGGACUGAAGUGUGCCAACCAAUUCGUCUACAGAAAGUGGCAUGAUCCUUUAUGUUUCCCUUAUCGAAGUCUUUAUGUGAUUCCAGUUUUUGGAGAGUCCACGCAGCAACUUGUUAACCUUCAUGGGUCCUGAGAUUGGUUGUCCCUGAUACUCUAGACCAUUUACAAUUUCUAUAAAAAUGACUAAAUGUGUCAGUAAUAGAUUCUCCUAGCUUCAUCUUGAAGGCUUCAUACUGUUUGAGUAGAAUAUUGAUUAUUAUUUCUUUCACUCGAUUAAUUCCUUCAUAGGUAAUGUGUAGCCUAUCCUAGACUUCUUUGGCUGUUUCACAAGAAAAUAUUCUAUUAUACUCAGUAUGAGAUAAUGCACAAUAUAAGGAAUAAAUUAUUUUAGCAUCAAGAGCUUGUCUCUUAGUUUUUUUUUUUUUAGUCAUCUCGCCAGCGUCUGCAACUUCUUUUCCCAUUUCUAAACCUAAUGUAGCUUUAGAAAUAAUUUCUUUUUCUACCACAUCCCAUUCUAGAGGGUAUUUCGAUCUUAGGAAUGCCUUCAUUUUGUUUUUCCAUAUGUUGUAUUCAUUUCCAUCGAAAUAAGGUGGUCUGGUGUUCCUUUGGCCUUCAACCAAACCUGGAGCCAACAUACUAGCCAUGGAUCUUUAACUUAGAAGUAAAAACAUUUCAAUUAAUUGAGUACACAUGCUCUGAUACCAAUUGAUAAAGCUAGUAUGGACACUUAGAGGGGGGUGAAUAGAUGUUAAAGAAGUUUUUGCAAGACUUAAAAACUUAAUUUGACUUAUAAUAAAACAGUAGAUUUAAGAUAUAAAAUAUUAUAAGCUGAUAUAUAAGACUGCGAAUUAAAUAAAGAGAUUAGGGAAAGAGAAUUGAAACACAAGGUUUAUAGUGGUUCAACUUAGACUAAGCCUACAUCUACUCUCCCACACUUAUAGUACACUGGCUGGAUUCCACUAAGAACCAAAAGAAAUUUUAUAGUAUCACGUCCUUGAUUCCACAGUGUAGAGACUCUACUACACUUCUUCAAGGUCUUACAAGUAUUUGAUAUCACUUUUGAGUACAGUUUAAGCUCGACAAAUUGUAAUAGCAAAGAACUAAGAAUUUGAAACUUUGAAAUUUUUUUUCAUGCACACACUCGAAUAACUUGAGCGUCCUCCUUAUUUACUCCUCCAUGCCAUCAUAACCGUUGGCACCUUCCAAAUGAGUUCUUCCAAUCUAUCCGUUGGACAGAAUCAAUUAGGAAGAUCUCGAGUUAUUUAAGAAAUGUGAUGAUAGCCCACCAAUCCUACUCGUUCAUAGAAUCAAGAUCUAGGUUUCCAUAAGUUGAACUUUCCAAGUAUACUUCGUCAAUCAACGGAUCUAAUUAUUCAAAUUGAUUUCAAUAAGAAUAAUUGAUCAUGAGAUGUUAUCUCCAGCCGUGAGAUAUUCUUCAACUGUACGAACAAAAUCUUUAAGGAUAUACUUGUAUUUGGAUAAGUUUUCUUCAAUGGAUAAAACUUUUCUUCAUAAGUCUGGAAAUUAUCAGUGAGGGCAGACUUUAAAUCUUGAGUCUAGAGGUCUUUAAACUUUGACGAUAGAGUCUGCAAUUCUUCAGACUAGACUGAUGAAAACGUUUUAUCAACUUCAAAAUAGAUAAUGGAGUUUUCUCCUACACUUUCUCCAAGAUGACAUAGAGAACCAUCAAGCCAUUAUAGCAUACCAUUCUUUCUCUAAGAUGACAUGUAGAGUCAUUGAGCUAUUAUAGUAUAACAUUCUUUAUCUAAUAUGACAUAGAGCCAUCGACCGUUAUAGCAUACCGUUCCGAUCAUACAAUCAAUUUAUCAUUUUUAUCAUACCCAAUAAAAAUACACGUGUGUGGGUACACGGCCGGCUUUAGCCAAAAUACAAGGUUUUCACUUUUGAACCUCUCACUAUUUUCAGCAGUCCCAAAAUAAAUUUUUGACGCUGUAGACCGACGCUCGGUAAUUUUCCCAUUUAAUUACCAAAAUUAUCCAUUUCUAGAAUAAACAUCCACAAACACCAAUUACAACCAAUUUGCACAAUCUGGUACUCAAUUAAAUAAACAGAAAGUACUACUACAAUCAGCAUGAAAUUCCGGUUUAAUUUCCGAAAAUUAAUUAAUAAUACAACUUAGUGGAGUCACCCACGUUUAGUCACACGUCUCAGUCGAACCAACCUAUCUCUAAUCUCUAAUCGAUUUUUAACUAUGCCGUAAUGACCUCUAAAGAUGAGCACGGCCGAGUAGCUGAUUCCUGGUCGAAUUCUCAGGUCUAUUACGUUAAAAUUCCUUAAUGGCUUCCCUAGAUAGUUUAGUUAUCUCAAGAGUGAUCAGCUCUUAGAAUAGCUUUAUAAGUGCAUCAAUGAAAUGCCCGAUUAAUUUAAUUAAAAGCAGAAGGGAAAAAUCCAAGACGUCACACAAUCCAUUUAACUUUGGGUGCUCUCUACAUGCACCUCAGUGGUUAGAGGAAUCAAAAUAAGAUACUAUUUGUACACAAGUGCUUGUUUGGUAAUAUUCAAAGAAUUUUUCCAAUUUUUUUGUCUGGAAGGUGAAGCAAAAGAGAAAGAGAGGUAAUGGGAAAGAAACUUCAAUAAAUUCCAGGAAGACCAAAACUUUGCGGGACACAAAUUAAAGUUUGUUGAUUCACUUUUCACAUCCUGCCCCUUCCAUCCGCAGGUGAACUUCUUUUUUUUUCCGUUAAUCGUAAAACCUUUACACGUUAGGUCUGGAUUAAUCUCAAUUGUUUUUUCUUUCUUCAAAUUUUGCUCAAUUUUACGCAUCCAUAACUUAAAUGGCCAUGUUGUAGUGAUUUUAUUGAUAUGAAUCGCUUACCUAUGCAGAUUGGUGAUGAGGAGAGAAAUGUGUAUGUCAACUUAGACAAUCUUAGCAUCCAAUGUCUCUAUUGAUGUGGCCACAUCUCAAGAUAUUGCAUUAGACUCCAAUAUCGACAUCUAACAGCAUUAGUGUCCUGUCAACAUUUUUUUUCCGCAAUUCUAAUGAAGGUCUCAUGUUGGCCCACAUUUGAAAAUUGAGGUAGUUGAUUGAACGAUAAAAAGUUCUGGUACUUUAUUAUGAAAGGGAUAAUAGUUCAAAUAAUCACGAUGUUAUUGCCCCAAAGAGUUUAUCAUACAAUCAUUGAUCUAGGUUCAAAUCUCGCACAUACUUUUGUUUAUGCUACAUUUGUUCUACAAACUUAUCCUCUCAAUUCUUUGCUUGGUCUCCCUUUAAUAAUUUUCUUUUGUAAGAUUAUUCAUUCUCUCCCGUGACAGAUAAUAGGAGAUAUUUUUGUUAAUUUCACAUGCAAAAAGAUUUUAGGGACUAAAGAGGUUAGAAAGUUUCUUAAUGUCGAUUUUGUUUAGAGUUUCUUUCUUGGAAUCAUUCGAUCAUAUUAAUUCAAGUCUUGCCCUCGAAAUAUUUUAGUGGGUUAUCAAACAAUUUAUUGAAGGUAGACUUUUUAUUUGUCCUUGCUUUUAUUUCUGUUGGAAAUUAUAUUCAUAAUAUUUUCAUUAGAUUUAACCAUAUGGGCACACAUAAUAUAAAACUUUACUAGGAUUUCUUAACCAAUUACCACGAAAUUGCCUAAAUAUCAUUUUUUGUGGAUAAUUUGUUCCAACUCUUUGAAGAUGGAUCAAUAUCGUCUUGAAGGUCAUUUCUGACCCGCAAGAGACAAAAUUAAUACUGCAAGAAACAUAUUGGAUACCAAUACAGAUAAUUAACAACUAAUUAAUACGUUGGCGUCAUUGAUAAUUUUCGUUUGCGAUUUCAACGGAGGUCUCAUGUUGACCCCCAUUAAUAAAUGAGAGGUAAUUGGUUGAAUUGAAAAAAACUUUAGAUACUUGAUUGCCAGCAGAAAGGUAAGAAAUUUCAUCGACCUCAUUAUCUGGUUUUGGUUUUAGUCAAUUUGAAUAUUUUUGGAAGCCACGGAUAUAGAAUGAAAUUGAUGGGGUUCCUCUUAUGGAGUUUUUGCUCCAGCCCUCGCAUGUAAUCAAAUAAUUGCCUCCUCUUGAAUGUCUUUUUCUUUUCCUUAUUCAGCCAGAUCCCAAAUGCUUGAGAUAAGACACAAUCAAAUUGUAUGUUUUUAAUAAGCCAAAAAAUAUUCUCUGAUUUUCCUUGCCAUGUAUUACUACUACCAGGCGAUUAUAAAUGAUAGUUGUAAAGUUAUAUACACAUGUCAAAAGUAUUGAAGUGCUAAUGACGCGUUCUUGGGACCAAAUUAGAUUAGCGCAUUUGACGAUUUUCUUUUUGUUGUGGGGAAAUAUAUUUGGUUCAAGUAUGCCAAGUUGAGUUCUAAGGUUUAAGUAAUAUUUGGAAACAAUCAACCACAGAAAUAGUUCAUUUUAUUCCAAUUCCUAAUUUUUAAUUACAUGUAAUCUGAAAAUAUGUGCGCAGUGUCUUCGUCCGUGCAUAGCACUGUAUGAAUAUUAGUAAUCUAAUAUAAUUUCAUAUCUCAUAAUUAUUUGACCUCAUUAAUUGGGUACAUAUCUAAAUAGAUUUUAGAUUAAAUCUUCUGUUUUUUUUUUAAUUAAUAACUUUUAGGAAAAGGAAUGUAAUAGUUGAUAGGGCUCAUCAAGGAGGACUGAGCAAAUUUAUAUAUAUAAGUUGUGGACGAUUUCAACCGUUGCUCAUGAGUUCCUAAAUUAAAAGAUUCAAUUUAACAAGUAUGUACACACUUGUAAAGUACCCAUGCUACGCACACAACUUAUAAUCAAUGUGUACGUACUUGUUAAAUUAAAUCUUUUAAUUUAGGAACUCAUGAGCAACAGUUGAAAUUGUCGACAACUUAUUGAACUUUUUCUAUCAUUUUGCUUAGUUCUGUCUUAUUUAAAGCAGGAAGAGAGAAAACUAUUUAGCUCAGGAAGACCAAGACAUCCACCUACCAAGAACAUCAAAAAAAGACCAAGACCAAGACCAAAAAUUUUUUUUUUUUGGGCAUCUGUACAUUAUUUACAUUCUUAAUAAUCUUAUAAUUCAAUGUCUUCAUUUGAUGCAUUAUUGGUGAAUAUGCUAUCAAUGUAGGCUUUUAUGUGGCAGUUACCGUGCUAAAGAUUCGCAGCAAGAUGGGUAGUAGUGAUCUACUGAAGGGUGUUGAAGUAGUUGUUGAUGAUCAAAAACCGCAUGAUAGUAGAAUCAUGGUCCUUUCCAUGAUUUUACCGUUCACAAGUGUGAUGCCUAGAGUAUAUCUAGUAGAUUGUUCACUGUUAGUUGGCGAUGCCAGACCCUUUUUCUUGUCUAGUGAUGAAUGAAGCUUACCACAAUCAAUAGGACUGACAAAUAAGCAUAUUUUUGCAACUUGCACCGAUUGAAAUAAAUGUAGACGAUCUACCUAACAAUGGCAUCUUACUUUCUAUUAUAUAUCUAUAACUCAGACCACAAUUAAUAGGACUAACAUAUAAGCAUCUUUUUGCAACUUGCACCGAUUGAAAUAAAUGUAGACGAUCCACCUAACAAUGACAUCUUAAUUUCUAUUAUAUAUUUUUAAGUCAUCAAAGACAACUAACUUUGACUAUUCAAUAAUGAUAAUAGAAACACCUGAUUUGGGUUAAACAAGGAAAAUAGUUGGGUACGCCAAUGAAUCCCUGAAGCAAUUUGCCUAAUUUUACUCUGGAAAUAGUAAACAAUUCAUAUAUCACCAACUAAUCAUCAAGCAAAUGCUUUGGUUAACUUUUUCUUUCCAAAGGACCACAAUUCUCCUAUCAAGUGCGUCACGAUCAUCAACAAUUGCUUCAGCACCCUUCAGCAGAUCAUUGCCACCCAUUUUGUUGCAAAUUUUUAGCGCUAUGGAUACCACGUGAAAGACUAUACUAAAAUAAUAAUAAUAAUAAUAAACCAACAAAACAUUCGUAAGAUAAUUUUUUUAUGAAGAUAUGCCUGCCCUCUAAGGGUGAAUCAUUAGCCGUAGAGUCAAUCAAGGAUUAUGUUGAAGCAAAGUGAUAAUGAGUUAAUGGAGAUAGACAACUUUAAAGUCCCGGAAGACCAAGACUUUCACCUACCAAAGAGUUUAAACAGAGACCAAGACUUUCAAGGGUGCUUUCUGUCCACAAGUACUUUGUUCAUGCAGAGAAACCAUAAACUCAAGAAGGCCAAGACUUUACUGAACAUCAUGUAUUUGUUUGUCUAUAAAGUGAAGCAAAAGCGAAAGAGAGCAAAUAAAAAAGAUAAGAGUUUGCAGGAUGCAAAUUGGCAUUGUUACAUCACUUCUCACAUCCCUCCUCUCUCAUCCCUAUGUGAAUGCCUUUGUUUUUCCAUUACUAGUAGAAUUUCCCCAUGCAUUACAUGCCACGCUUAAAAAUUUAUUGUUACUUUCAGUUUUGUCCUACUCUUUUCUUGCUUAAUCGUACCGUGAUUUUUCAUUCUAUAAUCUCUCUUCUACUUGUCUAAUGAAUAAUGUCUAGAUUUCAUGUAUCUUUUCAAAUUUAAGUUCAAUAAAAGAAAAGAAAAAGCAAAGAGAAAAAUAAAAAGAAAAAACAGCAAGAACUUGAAAAAGGUAAAAAAGAAGAAGAAGCGAGAAUGGGGCGGGAGAGCGCACCACCGUCCCACGGCCACUGCCAAGCCGUUGCCAUCAGCACCGCUCCUUAUAGUCACCUUCAUAGGCAACAUUUCCUUUAGAUGUUUUUCUUAGAGCGGUUUAUUGGUAAGAGGCAUUUAGGUAUUCUCGAAACAUGCAUGUUCAAGUCAAUUAUUGCAUGUAAAAAUGAAACUGCUUUGAUGAUUUUGCUAAUCCUAAAUAGACUUCAUGAUUUUGUUAACGCAGAACUAUAGGGGACCACUGAACACCAGCGACGGUGGCCUGACGGUACAAACUGAUAUUCCACAAACGCGAGGUCACGAUGAUAAUCCAUUAGUGAUGGUAGCGCCUAUAUCUUGCCUUGCCCGUGAUGGGAGCUCUGGCAGCUUGGUAUUAGAUGAAGAGACUUGGCUACCCGAGAUAACUAGGUUGCGAGUGGUAUUGGACGAUGACCUUCUCGCGAUCUGAAAUAUUUCAAGGCAGAUGCGAAACUUUUACAAUUACUCAAAAUGGUAAUAGAGCAUAUUCUCCUUAAUUGCUCCUCUCGGUCUUCCUUUGCGACAAAGAAAAAGAAAAUGUUCUCUGAGAUGGCGUGGGAAGUUAAAUAGAAUAAAGAUGAACUGUUAGCUUCGACAAGGAAGUCAGAUUGAAAUGGAUUGUAAUCUGCCAACUCGAAAACCCCAAUUUUUGCAUCUCUUCAGUCGCUGCUGUUGUUGGGGGUACGAAAGCUGCUUCGUUUGACUUUGAAUGUAGACCUCGAUAAUUGACAUCGUGAUACAGAUAAAUCUUUUAGAGCAUGUCACCAAAAAAAAAGUAUAGAGCAUAUUAGUACGACUACCAAAAUUAGUAGCUUUUUGUUUUUCUUUUGUCAAGUUGCAAAAGAUGAACGUAAGCACAUCAGUUGCCUACCUCAACAAUGUUUGGAUUUGAUCACCGGGAGAGAUUUUGCCAAAUGCAGAAGACAGUGGGAUAUUCUGCAAAGCAAGCACAGUUGAGAGACAUUAGGUCAAUGAGCUAGGGCCGAAGAAAAAGAUAUUUGGAAGAGAACAUACAACAAACGCUGAUAUUGCAGAAAAAUAUCAAUACAAGAGCAACAAUUCUUCAUGAUUCUCACGCAAAGCAUAGUGCAUUUCCAUAAGUGGAAAGAUAAGCAAUUUUUGGGCAUGAAACAAAGUUCAAGAUAUAUCAUCAAUAAAGACAGGCACAUCCAUGCAUCAUAAUUCCUGCAAUGAGAGCAAGUCCAUGUACGUAUUAUUUGUUUUGAGAACAAAGAUUGGACAUUGGAGAGAUAUCUUCUUAUUGAAUCCGAACUCGAUCAAUUACGAUGAGUGGGAUUCUUGGAUGAGGUGCCAACAGUCGCCACAAAGUUUUGAGCACUGAUCUUUCAAAAUCUCUCAUUGAAUUAUGCGGAAUACAUGGAGGGAGGGAUGGAAGCUGUCCUCUGUCAAGUACCUCAACAUCUGGCAACUGUAAAAGAUAUGAUUGUUUGAGAGAGGAGAGAUGCUUGCGAAGCCCACUUGAUAGUCUUUUCAUGUUCCUCAUAUUUUUCAUCCAAGAAGAGGUUAGAGAGGAAGGAAAUAGGAGGCUCCACGCAUCUUAUGUCCUCCGCUAUUGAUGGUUCUUCCACAUUUUUCAUAUUUCUUAUCCAAAAUCCUGGAAGAGGACGAUUAAUUAGUCCUGAAUAAAAAUAAUUCCAUGCAUAAUGAACAACUAUGACAGUAAUCAGAACAACUAUGAGAGUAAUCAGACAAAAGGAAUUAUAUGCAUAACCACCCGACAGCAACAAAAAAUGAACAGAUAAGACAAGAACUAGGAUCCUUCGCUUUCCUUUUCUCAGCAAUUAGUGACCCUUUGAAUGAUUUUGUUUUCGCUGAAUAAUUCUUAUGAUUAUGUUAGCACACACGUAUGGGAGACCACUAAUCACCAGUGAUUAUCGGUUCAAGCUUGAUAUUCUAUGAAUAUGAGGUCAUGAGAUCAAAUUAUUAGUGCAGGCUAAUAACUCUUAAGAAUGAUUGCUGUCACCUGGUGUAACUGGAAAGCUCUGAAUGCAGCAACUUUUAACCAUAAAUCACCAUAUCCUGAGACCAUCAGUAAUACAGAUAAGAAAAACUCUUUUGCAGUGUGUUGCCUGCAAGAAUAUAAGAGAGCUAUGUCAUCAGUGGAUGGAUGAAAGGCAGGGCGUGUAGUAAAACCUAAGCCAGGUUCUGUGAAUAUCAACUGCAAUGGGUCUAACAUUAAAGAAACGAAACAUGCUGUUGCUGGGAUUGUUGGGAAGAUGGAAUUGGACUUUGAGGCAUGAAUACACUGCCUUUAAGAAACAAACUAUUUACUAAAGCACUUUUUCUAUGUUUUACGAACAAACUAACAAUAGGCAUUGUGGCCACAAAUUAGGCAGAGGACAUGGUUAACCGCAGGGGUGUGGUGGUGCAAGUUAGAUUUGCAGAGGAGGCUAAAUUACUUUUUGUUGGAAAGAGCAUUGUAGUGGCAAAAGGGAAGUUGGCCCAAGGUUGUAGUGGAAAUAGAUGCAACUUUCGCAAGCAGUACAAUUAAAGACUUAAGGAAGCUCCUGCUGGGAUUCAAGCAGCUAAAGAUCAAUUUUCAGCUCUAAAUUGUAGUCGUAUUUCGUGAAAAGCAAAUGAUUAUGCCCAUUGGGUAGCUCUGCAUACUAGGAAGAGGACGUGUUGUCAAAAUUGGAAGUAAUGGAUGAGAAAUGAGUUUGUUUGCUAGACAAAAAAAAAGCCCAACGAAUUGUCAUUCGUUGACCUUAGUGGGUUGUUUUUGGAAAUUCAUGGGAAACAUCUUUAUGACAAAAUAUCAAUUUGUACUACGCAUCGAAUAGAGGAGGUAGAAUCAAAAUUGAUGCCUUCAAAACCAAAAACUUACCCUUAAUCCGAGAAAACUGGCCGUGCAUGGAAGAAUCAAUUCAUUGGAUCCGCACCCAAUCUAUCUUGAUGAGAGGGAUUUCUUGGAUUAGGGACCAAUAGUCACCAGUGAGUUUUGAGCAUCUAUCUUUCAGAAUCUCACAUUUCUCUAUGUACAAUUCUUGGAGGGAGGGAGGGAGGCCAUCCUCUGGCAAGUACCUUAGCUUUGGGCAAGAGUCGAUCCAUAAAUGUUUGAGAGAUGGGAGAUGGUUGAGAAGACCGCUUGAUAGUCUUUCAACAUUCCACAUAUUGCAAAUGCGAAGAUACAAUAGAGAGGAAGGAAAGAGAAGACUCCACGCAUCCCUGUCCUCCGAAGGAAACCAUACCUUCUCUCCCUCCCCUCCCAUGCAAAAGUCAAUCAACAUACACCGGAGGGAUGUGAGUAGGUGUAAGCCCCAUUCUCUCAUUGGCUGCUUCAGAUUCUCGCACCCUCUUAUUACAAGGUGAUGCAAAUUUGGAGGCAAACCUCCUUUGGGGAAGCAUUUGAUACUUUGGCAAUCCUCGAUGAAUAGCGUCUUGAGGGAUGUAAGAUGAUGCCACUGAUUUGGUAGAGACUUUAUCUUCGAACAAUUACUAAUUAUAAGACACGACAGGGUGAUGGGAAGGGAAGGGAAUUCCUCUAUCUCCAAUGCUGGACAAUUACUUAUAUCCAAAUGAGCAAGAUGGGAGAGCAUGUGAAGGCACUGUGGUAGGCUUCUUAGAUUUGGAUAGCCAUCAAUUGUCAUUUCUUUGAGUGCUUCUAUGGUGAUCGUUUCCACCGACUCCACUCCCUCGCACUCACAAAUACAAAGUUUCAUCAAAGCAGUAAGUCUAUCGUUUGCAAACAAAAAAGAUAUUAGAGAAUCACAAUUUACAAUCCACAAAUACUCAAGUUGAGAUAUCGGGUUAUUGUUGUUAGGGUCAUCUAGAGGAAUGGUUGGUCCAAGAUUUUUGGACACCUCCUAAUGAUCAAAUGUUUGAAUGUGUGCAUCUUGCUUGGAAGCUUUUCUAAACUUAUGCAAUUACUCAAUUCCAUCCUUUCAAAGUUGCACAGAAGCUCUAUUUCUCCUUCUUCCGCCACAAAAGAUGUGAAUCGAGGGCAGCUUUCAAUGGCUAAUUCUUGAAGGCAAGUAGAGUUAGCAUUAUAUUUUCAUCUUGCCACAAGUAUGUAAGCUUGUCACACCGUCCUAUAUGAAGCUCCUUUAGCUUGACCAAGCACCUCAUAAACACAUGAUCAAAGCAAACAAGCUCGGCAAGAUUUUCAAUUUUGAGAAUGGUCAAAGAAGUUAGGUUGACCAAGCUCUUUAAGAUUUCCUUGUUACAAUCCUCAAGGUAUAACUCACGGAGAGAUGGAAAACAAACCUCAUCCGUUGAAUUAUUCAAAUGCAGACAUGAAUGGAUUUCAAGUUUUAUGAGACAAUCAAGUUGACAAGGUAAUGUCCUAAUCAAUGAAGGACAACUCCGGACAACAAGAUGUUGAAGACAGGAGAAUGAGACUUCUUCUUUCGGGCCCCCAACAUAAGGAGACCAAUCCUUCCAUGACAACAUCUCUUUCAACUUCAAAGUUGUUAAGGAUGAGAAAGGCCUUUUAUCUCCAUAAAAUUCAGAGCCUAUCAUUAUUAUUGCGUGUAGACCUUCAAGAGAUAACUCCUUUAGUGAAGGUAGUUGUCCAAGCGGGGGAAGUGAUAUAACAUUAGGACAGCCCUGCAAGCACAAAGACACUAUCUUAGAAUAGGAUGGACCACCUAACCGUGACGGGAAUUUUGCACCACCAUAGUUCAAAAUAUUGAGAUUUUCAAGAUCAACGUGAGGUUGUAGGAAGUCAAGCACUUGUGCUUCCCGCUCAUGAUUCUGCUCAUGAUUCUGGAGAUUUUCCAAAUUUUCAUCCCAAUGCAAGGAUAAGUUGGUAAGGCCUUGCUUUUGAUGCAAAUUAGCAUCAAUUGCAUCUCUAACUUUUUCCACCUUUUGCAAUUCUGAUAUGAAUAAUUCUCCUUGAAGAUGUGGCAAAUUCUUUAACUCAUUUAACUGUGACCCUUUCUCUGGUUGUACCACAAACUUGGACAAGAUAAUAAGAUUUUUUAAAUUACCGAUACCCAACGGCAUCUCUUUAAGACUCCUCGUAUCUGUAACAUCAAGAAACUGUAAACUGACCAAUUUUGUGAUGCCUUGAGGCAACUUUGAAAGUUUUUGACAACCUCUUAAAAUCAAAACUUGUAAUUUGCACAAGCUGACAAUUGAUUCGGGUAGCCUUUUGAUAUCAGUGUACGAGAAAUUGAGAUAUCUAAGAUGUUUUAGAUCACCAAUGCAAUUUGGUACCUCUACAAUGUCACAAUGACAUAUUGAGAGCACCCUCAAGUACUUCAAUUCCGUUAGCAAGUCAUGUAACACCUUGUUGGAAAUAGAGAAAGUGUCCCCUCUAAAUCCAUUAUGUAGUAGCAUUAAAGUUCUUAGUACCUUCAUUCGGUGAUAUUCUCUUAAGCAUUUUGAUGUAGCAAAAUGCGAUGAGAUGAAUGAUGCAUAACGAAUUUUCCCAAGAGAUGUGUCUUCUUCAUUAGUUACCAAGUGAGACUCCCUAGAGCUAAAGUAUGCACUUCCUGCAAUUGACUUUGCUAGAUCAUUCAAAAGAUCAUGCAUUGAAAACUUAGAUGUGUUGACACUUGAUUGUUGAAGAAAUGAUCUGGAUACUAACUCAUCAAAGUAAUUUCGUCCUAAUCUAAAAUUAUUCCCCUUUACUUUUUGUCUAUCUAAAAAGCCCUCGGCUAUCCAUAAGAGUACCAGCUCAUCUCUCUCAAUUUCGUAAUCCUUGGGAAAUACUGCACAAUAAGCAAAACAUCUCAUUAAAUGGCAAGGAAGAUGGACAUAACUCAAGUUCAAGGCAGGGAGAACCUCAUCAUUCUCUGCCAUCGGAAGAUCCCAUAUUCUGAAAUUUAAGGUAUCUUCCCAUUCACUGGGAUUCCUUUUAUUACGUAGGGCACCGCCUAGCAUCUUCACCGCCAAAGCUAAACCUUUACAUUUUUCAGCUAUUUUCUUACCUAUUGUUUUAAAAUCCGGAUGGCUCUCAAAAUUUGUUGCUCCAAGAGCAUGAAAGGCUAAUAAACUUGUACAAUUAUCAAGCGACAAUUCCUUCAAAUGAUAGGGUGAUGCUCUAGUUAUGGAAACAAUGGCAAGGUUGCGAGUCGUGAUGAUGAUCUUACUCCCCUUAGCCCCCGCUUCAAAUGGCUUUAAGAUGGUAGUCCAUUUUUCAUAUUUCUCAUUCCAUAUAUCAUCUAAAACCACAAGAAACUUCUUCCCAGAUAGAUUGCCCUUCAACUUAACUUGAAGCCCGUUAAGAUCUUCACCCUGGCAUGACAACCCAGUGAUUGACUGCAAAAUAGUUUUUGUUAUGUGAAGAACAUCAAAAACAUCUGACACGCAAACCCAUGCUCUCUUCUUGAAACAACUAUAUACUCUAACAUCAUUAUACAACCGUUGAGCCAAGGCUGUUUUUCCAACACCACCCAUCCCAACUAUAGGGAUCAUGCUCAACAUGGCAUCGGAAUUUUCGACUUCACUAAUCAAUAGUUUGAGUAUUUGUGCUUCUUCCUUUUCUCUACCAUAAAACUGAGGCUCUGGCAAAGAAGUGGUUAGAUCCCUUUUGUUUGUGUAGUUGGAUCUAUCCACAACAUUCUCUCUUAAGCUUAGAUGAGCCUUCCUAGUGACAAUCACUUUCAACCUGCAACUUAUCUCUUGUACCAUGGUUUCAAACAUGAGCAAGCCUAGGUUUGGAUUUGAUCCGGAGGAUUUAUCUUGGCCAAAGAAAGAGAACUUCCAUUUUUCCAUACAUUUGCUUGUGUUGGAUUCUGCCUCCAAAUUAACUUGAGCCACUUUGAUCGCUAACUCAUCAAUCAAGUCUUCCAUAUCAUAGGCCAAGUCCUUAACACAAUCUAGCCACAACUUCACUAGAGGGUUACCACUGAGUUGCUUGUCUUCUGCAUCAGUCAGCACUGCAUUGAUUGUGCCCAGCAUCUCAUUCCACUCCUUGAGGAGAGCGGUGCUAGUUCCUUCAUGUUGUGCAUAGACUAAUGUGAGAGAAGUCAACUUGCUGAAUAAGACCUGAAAGAAGGAACCCAUAAAGGAACCCAAAACGAUCUCUCCCAUUGUCAUGGUUGAUUUAGUCACUGUAGAGAAAAACAAAGGUGUUAUGUUGAAGCGAGGUAAAAAUGAGUCAAUGGAGAGAGAAAACUAUGAAGUCUAGGCAGAUCAACAUUUUCAUUUACCAAAAAGGACAUAAAAAAGACCAAGACUUUCGAGGAAUGCACACCAAAGGUUAGACAAAUAAAAAGAAAAUAGCUUUUGUCCACAGGUGCUUGUUUCGUCAAUUGUUCGUCAAUUGUUCUUCUUUUUCUUCAUAUCGAGACUUUUCUUGUGGGCAUCCAAAACCAAGGAUAAAAUUGGAUUUUCCAUAUACUACCGACUUAGAGCACACGCCUAUGUUUGUCAAAAACUUCAGUGCAUAUUAGUGUUUUGUUGACAUUUUUCGCAUCCACAUGUUGUUAGUAUCCUUGAAAUUUCAAUGCUUUGUAUUUUUUUAUUUUUUUUGCUUUAUUGGUGAGUAUGCGAUCAAUAUAGGCUUUUACAUAAGAUAUAAGAAGAUUACCGAUUCCUCCUUCAAUGAGGAUGACCAUGUGGAGACAUCAAAGAAGUUUGUUAUUUUAUUUUUUAUUUUUUUGGGGGGAUCAAACCGCCAUAUGCUUUAGGUUGCGAAGUUCUAGAUGCAUCAGUUUGGGGACAAAAAAGAGAGCAAAUGGAUAGAAAUUACUUACCUGUUCCGAGUAGACAACCUGGAGCAGACCGAUGAAUGCGAUUAGAUCAAUUACAACAAUCCAACAAGCACGAGCUCUAGGUUUGAACGAGUAGGAGGAGAACACUAUUGAGCACGAGCUCUAGCUUCGAAUGAGCAGGAGGAGAACACUAUUGAGCCAAGAGAUGAGCAUAGGUCAUGGUGAAGCCAAGUGAUAAUGAAUUAAGGGAGAGAGAAAACUAUAAACCAUAAAACUCAAGAAGACCGUGACUUGACUAGACUGUAUGUUAUGACUAGAUAGUGAAGCAAACGCGAAUGAGAGCAAAUGAGAAGGAUAGAGCCUUUGCAAGACGCAAAUUAAUUCUUUUUCACUUCUCACUCCUCCUGGUACAAGCUGAUAUUCCCCCAUCCGAGGUCACUAGGAUAACCCACUAGCAAUGAUAGUGCCUGCAUCUUGCCUUGUCCAUGACAGGAGCUCUAGCAGCUUGGCAAGGUUAUAGUGAUAGGACUUGCAUACCCUAGAUAAAUGGUUUCAAGUGGUACUAGAUGAACGGCCUUCUCACAAUCUUAAAUCGAAAUUCAUUGUGGCAAAAGUGAGGUUUUCAUGAUCACUUAACAAAUCGACAGAGCAUAGUCUACCUGAUUGCUCAUCUGUCUUUCCUUGAUAACAGAGAAAAAGAAAAUGCGCUUUGAGAUGGUGUGGCAAUUUAAAUAGAAGAAGAACAUAAACUAUGAACUUUGACGAGGAAGUCAGGUUUAAAUAAAUUAUAGUCUACAGGGUUCAUUCAAAUUUAGUUGUCACAUUCACCAACUUGAAAACACUUGUUUUAAAUCCUAUUUUGUGCAUCCUUACAGUAGCUGCUGUUGUCAGAAGUAAGAAAGAAUUCUCCUUUGACCAAAAAAACAAGAAAAAAGAAAGAAAGAUUCUCCGUUUGACUUUGAAUUUAGUCCUCGAUCAUUGGCAUCAUGAUAUAGAUGAAUCUUUUGAAGUGUGUCACAAAAAAAAAAUAGUUUUGAGCAUAUCGGUACACCUACCAAAAUAAAUAGCCUUUUGUCUUCUUUUGUCAAGUUGCAGAAGAUAAACAUAAGCACAUCAUUUGCCUACCUCAACAGCAUUUGCAUUUGAUCCUCCUUAGAGACUUUGCCAGAUAAAGAUGACAGUGGGAUAUUCUGCAAAACAAGCACAGUUUAGAGAAUUUAAGUCACGAGGCUAGGGCAUUAAAAAAAAAAAAGAUCUUUGAAAGAGAAAACAUAACAAGCGCUGAAAUUUCAGAAAAGAUCUUUGGUAGUGGGAUAUACUGCAAAACAAGCACAGUUGAGAGAAUUCAAGUCAAUGGGCUAGAGCACUAAAAAAAGAUCUUUGGAAGAGAAAACAUGACAAACACUGAAAUUUUAGAAAUAAAUAUCAAUAUAAGAGCAACAAUUCUUCAUGAUUAUCAUGCAAAGCAUAGUGCAUUUCUAUUAGUGGAUAGAUAACCAAUAGUUGGGUCAAACAAAGUUCAAGAUAUAUCAUCAUCCAGACAGGCACAUGCACGCAUCACAAUUCCAGCACUGUGAGCGAGUCCAUGCAAGUAUUAUUUGUUUUGAGGAAUAGUCACUCAUAUGAAACAAUGGUGGACUUGCUGGACCACAUUGGCAUUAUAACCAUUUCAUUGUGUGCUUCCUUAUCAAACAAAACAAAGCAACCCAGAAGUCUAGCUGGUUUGUGGCAAAUUAUGUGAAGCUUGUCCAUGGACAAAGAUGAACUUCCUAGCAUCGAGUUGAGGAUUCGCAAUAGAAAUGGAUUUUUGAGCAGUGGUAGUAGCAUAACGACAAGUGUGGAAGAGAGAAAGAAGUCCAAACCAUUACCUCAAGAAUAAAAUUUUAUUUAAUGGUUAAUCCAUCAUUAAUUAUGCUAAUCGUGAUUAAUUAAUCUAAUCACGACUAAUUAGGCUAAUCACGACUAAGUAGACCAAUCACGACUAAUUAGGCCAAUCACAAUUAAUUAGGCCAAUCACGAUUAAUUAAACUAAACUCAAUAAUUAGACUAACUAUAAUAAAUAAAAAAUUAAUUGACGUUAAUUAAAAUAAUUACGAUUAAUUAAAUAAAUAACAAUUAAAAUAAAUAAAUUACGAUUAAUUAAACUAAACUCAAUUAAUUAAUCUAACCAUGGUUAAUUAAUCUAAUCGUAAUUACUUAAAUUAACCGUAAUUAAAAUUAAUCUAAACCAUUCUUAAUCGCAAUUAAGAAUAAACUAAAAUAAACUAAUACUAAUCGCCGUUAAUAUUAAACUAAUCAUCCCUAAACGCAAUUAACGCUCUAAUUCAUGAUUAGGAGGUUAACUCACCAAUUUCUGGCAAUGGCGAGCCUACGGUGACGUCGAGAAUGCGAUACUUGUGGCUCAAACGGAGGCUUGACAAUGGCGGCGGCGGCUCUUGAAGCUCACGGCCAGGGGAGGGGGGAGGCUCGGUUCGAGCGGUGGCUCGCAGUGGCUUGAAGCAACGGCGGCACAGACGGCUAAGCAAGCGGCGGCAAGAGGCAAUGAGUGAGUGGCGAUGUCAGGCGAGCGGCGGUGCAACAGCCCUUGAAGCUCAUGGCCAACGGGCCGUGGAUGGGGACGCGGCCCUUGUGGUUCCUGCCAUUGCGCCACGCAAUCCCGUCUGCCGAAGGUGGGGAGGCCAAGAGGUGGUGAUCAUGAUGGUGAGGGGGCGUUGGGCGUGGAGCGGCGAUGGUGCUGGUGGGUGAAGCGGCAGCCAGCAAGAACAGCCAGCAAGAAGAAGAAGAAAGGGGGGUUCAGCCGAGAGAGAGGGAAGGAAAAGAAGAGAGAGGGAGAGAGAGAGAAAGAGAGAGAGAGAAGAAAAGAUAAAAGAAGGGGGCCGCAGGAAACAAUGGUGAAGGGGGGAUGGAUGGGGGGACGGACGGCAGAGAGAGAGGAGAAAUGGAAAGGGGGGACGGACGGCAGAAAAAGAAAUAGUGGGGGAAAGGAAACGAAAGGGAGAGGAGAAGGAGGAGAGAGAAGAAGAGACAAAAGAGAGGGGGAGAAGGGGGAUGUCACAGUGAGCGAAUCCACGUAAGUAUUAUUUAUUUUGAGGAAUAGUCACUCGUAUGAAACAAUGGUGGACUUGCUGGACCCAACCGUUUCAUUGUGUGCUUCCUAUCAAACAAAACCGAGCAACCCAAAAGCUGGUUUGUGGCAAAUUAUAUGAAGCUUGUCCAUGGACAAACAUGAACUUCCUACCAUCGAGUUGAGGAUUCGUAAUAGAAAUUGAUUUGUGAGCAGCAGUAGUAGCAUAACAACAAGUGUGGAAGAGAGAAAAAAGUCCGAAUCAUUACCUUAUUGACACCUAAAUUUUUGCAUAAAUAUUGAGUUAAUUUUUACCCAAAAAAUAAAUAAAUAAAAAUUACACAACAUAUAGUUUAGAAACAUUUAUCUUAUUGGACCGCUGGUGAACGUAAAUUUUUUCACAUAUUCCGCUAAGAUUUUUCACAUAUUUAGGUAAUAUACGCUAAUUGACAUAUUUUGAGUAAAAAAGAAAUUUUCGGAUGGAAUAUUCAAAAAUAUAAAAGAGAAUAUCGCACAAGAUGCAACGAUAUAUUUAGGAGAUUAUGCGCAAGCGAAAUUGGAAACAAAAUGUUCCUUCGAUUUUGAGAGGGAAAGAGAGAAAAGGGAAAAAAAAGAAAGAGGGGGCACCGCAUCGUCUUCUUCGCGGAGACUCCCGACGCGCCGGCCGUGCGUUGCGCCGGCACUGCGAUGCCAGCCACCGCGCCUCUGCACCGCUGCAAAUCCGACGACCCGACGCUCCGCUGCUGCUGUUGUGUCUUCGUUGGAGCCCUCCAUCGUCCACGAGCUCAUAGCUCCGCGUGUCUCCGAAGCCCAGGAGCGACGGUUGCGCCUGACGCCCGACGGCUGCACCUCCACUGCCACUCCGCGCCCCUGCGUCCAUCAUUGCCGCUGCAGCGCCGGUAUCAUCCCUCACCCGCGACCAGCUGCAGCUCGCCACGAGCCAGCGCUCAACGUCCCCCGCUCCAGCCGUGACCCGACGCCGGCAGAUCUGAGUCGAGCUCACCUCCGCUGCAACUCGCAAGAUCUAACGCCUCCCCACCACCGCUGCAACAAUAGUCGCCAUUAAGUUUUGAGCAUUGAUCUUUCAGAAUUUUACAUUGCAUUAUACCAAAUACUUGAAAGAUUUCUGCGAAGACCACUUGAUAAUCUGUUUGAGAGAGGAGAGAUUUCUGCGAAGACCACUUGCAAAGCCAUCCUCUGGCAAGUACAGGUAACUAUAAAAGAUAGCUGUUUGAGAGAGGAGAGAUUUCUGCGAAGACCACUUGAUAAUCUUUCCAUGUCUCUCAUAUUUCUCGUCCAAAUAGAAAUUAGAGACAAAGAAAACAUAAUACUCCAUGCUUCUUACAUCCUCCACCGUUAAUAGUCUUUCCAUUGUCCUCAUAUUUCUCAUCCAAAAGUCUGAAACAGGAUGAGCAAUUAGUCCUAAAUAAAAUGAUCCUUCAUGCAUAAUGAAGAACUGCAAGAGUGAUCGAACAAAAUUAUACACACACCUAAUUGACUGCAAAAAAAAAAAAAAAAAGAAUCGGGAUACCCUGUUGAUGAUUUUUAUUUUUUGAUGACUAGAAAAUUCCUAUGAUUAUGUUAAUUAACAAGUAUGGGAGACACUGGCGAUGGACACUUAUUCAUACGGGCUGGUAUUCUACAAAUGUGAUGUUAGGAGAUCGAAUGGCUUGGUACGGGUUGAUAACACUUCAGAAUGAUUGCCUAAACCUGUUGGUAUAUUUGGAACAGUCAAAAUGCAAUAACGAUUAAACAUAAAUCACUCCAUACUGGAACUGUCACUUCACAGAUUAGAAAAAGCUCUUUUAGACUCUGUUGCCUCUUAAAAAUGUAAGAGAGCUAAGUCAUGAUUGGUGGACGAAAGGUCUGUAGAGUAACCUGAGCUAGGUUUUGUGGAGAUUAACUGUGACAAGAGCUCUGGCAGCUUGGUGGGUAUAUAAUGACAAGACUUGCCUACCUAAGAUAAUUGAAUUGCGAAUGGUAUUGUAUGACGACGUUCUUGCAAUUUUAAAUGAAAGUACUUCAUGGCAGACGUGAGACUUUUAAGAAAAAGAACUUCCUUGUGUUGGAUUCUGCCUCUGACUUGGCCUGAGCGGGGUUCCAUCUCGAACUCAUCGAGCAAGUUUUACAUGUCAUUGGCCAAAUCCCUAAAGUUGUUUAGCCACAGCUUCACCUGACAAUUACCGCUUAGUUGCUUUUCCUCUCCAUUAUCUAGCAUUACUUUGAUUGUGACCAGCAUCCCCUUCCACUCGUCAAGGUGGUGGUGUUGAUUCCUUCUCGAUGCACAUAAUUCAAUGCCAGAGAACUAAACCUAUCAAAAAGGACCUACAAGAAGGAACCCGAAAUGACAUCUCUAAUGGCCAUAUUUGAAUCAAUCACUAUAAAGAAUAACAAAUGUUAUGAUGAAGCAAAGCAAUAAUGAGUUAAUGGAGAGAGAAAACUAUGAAGUUUGGGAAGCUCAAGACUCUUAUCUAUCAAAGGGAAAAAGUACCAAAAAAAUGCUUAAACCUAUUGCAUUGGUAUUAAAUUAGUCCAAAAUAUUUUCAUAUUGGUAUCAAUUUAGUUCAUCCAAACAAUUUUGGAAAUAUUGACGUGGACACCGACCAUUCGACCAACGCUGACGUAAUAAUUUUUUUUUUUAAAUUUUAAAUAAUUUUUUUCUUUUUCCUUUUUUCUUUUCUUUUUGCUCUUCUUCCUCCUUGGAUCCCCAUAGUGGCCGACGAGGCUCUAGUAAGGCCAGAGCAAGGUUGGCCUCACCCGUGGCCCUAGGCAAGGACCAUGACUCUCACUAGUUGUUGUUGACACCUAAAUUUCGUUUUUUUAAUUAGGUUUUUUUACAUUUAUUUGCCUUUUUCGGAUAAUAAACAAAACAAAUAACAAAAACAACAAAAAAAACAAAUAAAAACAAGAAAAGCAAAAAGCAAAAAAAAAAGCAGCAGCCCCCCUUUUUUUUCUUCACGUGGGCUCGUGCGACUUGGCCCCCCCCCCCCCCCUUUUCUCCUUCUUCUUCCCUCUUCUUCUUCCUCACUCCUUCUUUCUCUGCCUCUGUAGUUCACGCGCAGAAGAUGAAGACACGCAAAGGACGGCCUACGGCCGAGGGAAGUAGGCCGACGUCGGCCGGAGAAGAUAAGAUCGCGAGCGCCAUCAAUGCCGAGCAUGCUUCGCUGGAUGAGCUCGGAUGGGACGCCGGUUCAACCGAGGAGAACCGCUCGGCGCACGAAGGGGACCGGCGGUCGAAGCUCCGUCGACCGGAUUCCCUCGCCUAUAAAAGGGCACCACCUUCGUCGAAGAACGGCACGGGCGAGCUCGGAGAUCCUUCACUGAGAGACAUCGGGAAGGAUUGAAGGGCGAGCGCGGGAGAGAACUCGAGUCGCGAGCUCAGCCCACCUUCCACCGAGAGACUUCGGGGAAGGCCGGCCGCAAGCGACUUCGAGAAGGUCAGAUCCGGCCGGUGGAGGCUCGGAUCUAGCCUGAGUGAGAGAAGAUCAAGCCCGAGGGAGGUAGAUCCGAGAUCCUGGAUCUGUGAAAUAAGGGCUGAACGAGGUCAGCCGGAGGAGGGAGGGCCAGAUCUGGGAAGCUGGAAGCUCUCCGCCACCUGCGACCACUACUCUGUCGUUGCUGUUCCCCGCCCCGACGCCGCUACCGCCGCAGACCUUGCCGUGCCGCCGUCCUCACGCCUCGUCGGCGCCGCUUUCCCCAACGUCGUCCAAAUCUGAGUGAACUUCGGAGAGCAGGGUUCCGUCGCCAUCAUUGAGCCGUGCCGUCCCCGUCACACCCCCCAACACCGCUGCUGUGGAAAACCCUGCCGUGCCGCCGAGCGCCUUCGCCGCUACUGCCUUCGAUCUAGCAUUGUUGCCGUCGCCGUCCCCGUUCGAGAGAAGGUAAAAAAAAGAGCGCCGCUGUUAUCAUUGCCGUCACCGUUGUCGCCUUCGUCGUCGCCGCCGUAGUCGCCGUCGCCGCCAAGCACCUCGGUCCCCCCCUCGGCGCCGUGGAUUCGUAAACCCUAGGGUUUGCAAUUUUCCAGGUCGCCGAGUCGGAUCCGGGUUUCGGAACCGGGUAGGGUUUCGCGAGAUUGGGGGGGCGGCGGGAGUCGGGUCGCGAUUCGGAUUCGGGUCGGGUAGGGUUCGUAGGGAGCCGGGUCGCGGAGCAGGUCAAUGGAUCCGGGUCGUUGGGCCGGGCCGGGUGUCCCCAAACGCCCGGCCACGGCGUCGUUUUAAUAAAUAAAUAAAAAAAGAUGAAAAAUCCGAGUCAGGCCCGCAACGCGGGCCCGUCCGCGUUUGGGUCGCCGACCCGGGUCGGACCCAACCCGCGGAUCCGACCCGGGUCGGUUUUAUUUUGUUAUUUUAAUAUAAAAUAAUUCUAAUAAAUAUUUUAUUUUCAAAAGAAAUCAAAAAGUGUUUUAUUUAAAAAAAAAGAUUAAAAAAUGUUUUAAUUUCUAGAAAAUCGAAAAAUAUUUAAAAAAUGUCGAAAAAUGUUUUAUUUUCUAAAAAAUCGAGAAAAAUCAAAAAUAAUUUAUUUUCCAAAAAUAUUUUGAAAAAUAUUAAAAAAAUAUUUUAUUUUCCAAAAAAAAAAUAUGCCAAAAAUAAAAAUAAAAAAGCCAAAAAUUCAUGAAAAAGCCAAAAAAAUUCAGAAAAGCCAAAAAGACUUGUGUUUUUUCCAAAAAAAUCCCAAAAAAUCUCUUUUGCGUCCAAAAAUUAGAAAAUGACUAAAAAAAAAAUGUUUUUCCUCCCAAAGAUGCAUGGAAAAUCUCUCAAACAUCCAAAAAAGCCUUAGGGUUUAAACAAGAUUAGGUACCGAAAGGGCAUUAGUGAUUAACUAGUGUAAUCAAGUCCCCGAUGAUAAUUUCUCUAGUUGCGCAGGAGCGAGUAUUUCUCCCGAUACUUCGCUUGGGUUUUUAAUCGACCCACCCCAAAUUGAUUAGUGGCAACUCCAUUUUAAAAAUUGAUUUACAGGUUAAAAAUUUAAACUAUUAAAGUCGUGAAUUGGUGGACUUGGGAGAGUCCGGGCAUAACUAAUUAAAAUUAGCCGAGCCAUUAGCCUCCUUACGCGAGUACCCGAUUGCGGGCGCCGAAAAAAAAGAGGUCGCGACAGCUUGGCGCCUCCGCUGGGGACUUUGAGGACUUAGGCCAUUUUAUCUUUGUUUAAAUGUCUUGCUAACUUGGUUUUUUUUCUUUUGUGCAGGGUAAUAGCUUAAAGUUUUAUUCUGUUAAAAUAAAAUGUUUUGUGAUUAUAAAUUGCCGUGUAUCCUUAAAUGUUUUAGCAUUACACAUGACACACACAACCCGGCCGCCGGACCUGGGCCGCCAUAGGAUUUCUAGGAUGGUGUUAAGAAAGAUACGACCUUGAACGCGAGACUGCGAUGUAGAGGUUGCCUUUCUUUUCCCCGAAUUUCUUAGCCGAGGUUAAGGGGGUAUGCUGCUAACGCAAGACUGCGACAGGCGAAUACCUGUUUAAUUUCAUCAAGCCUUCUGAGUUAGAAAUCGAGCCGCACGCCCCAUGCACAUGUCUUUGUGCUUGCCAUUUUUCUUUAAAAGCAAAGUGAUUUCUUUACUUUUACUUAGUCUUUUUAUUUUGGCCCAUGGCAAUUUAGGAUAAACUUUUCAAGUCCCAGUUUAUAUGCGAUGGGGAAAGACAAUAUCCAGUUCAUUCCUGCUCCCAAGGCGGAGCUCUUCAGAUGGUGGAGUCAAUUAGAUCAGUUUGCCCAAGAGCGCGUGAAGGCCAAAGUCGGUCAUCUCCUAUCGUUGAUCCAAAUCACUGUUCGUCCUGAAGUCAUACAAGCCAUGGCACAUUUUUGGUGCCCGAAGACGGUUACUUUUAUAUUCGGUAGGUUUGAGCUAACCCCAACCCUGGAAGAAUACAGCAUCAUCACUGGAAUGCCUCUUGAGAAAAAGCUUGUCAAACCAUCAAUAGGCAUCAUCCCGAUACGUGGGUUAGCACGGCUUUUAGGAACUGAAAUCCAUGUCAUGAGGCAAAUUCUUGAAAACAACCAUAAUAUAUGCCCUCUAGAAUUCAUGAAUGCAUGUUUUCAAAACCAGCCUAUGACCCAAAAAAGUGAGAUUUUCCUCCUGGCCUUUUUCGGGCUCAUCGUUUUCCCCCAUCAAAGAAAUGCCAUAAGUCCUAAGAUGGCAUGGAUAGUUGAUGAAAUCUUGAGAUGAGGGAAUUAUGUCAACAUGAUUUUAACUGAAACAUUCUUGUCUUUUAAUCGUUUUAAAGACAACUCGGAAAAAAUCAUGCGAGCAUCUCCUAAAAUUUUACAAGUCUGGUUCUUUUCUCACCUAAGCGAAUUUCGAGACUUCAUGCGAUCAUCUGAAACGAAUGCUUUCGAAAACCCAUUACAAAAAUUUAUGGUUUUAGGACCAUACAUUCCCAAUCAAAGUUGUUUAAAUUGGGUAAGCUUCCUAAGAGACUCGGCUCCUGAGGCAUUCCAAUGGUGUGCUGGUUGGUUCCAUGAAAAGAGAGCUCGCUUCGCUUACAAGCGUUGUCUCUCAAUUCCAUUGCUCGGCCUCACCGGCGCCAUUCUCUAUCACCCUUAUCGAGUGGCACGACAAUAUGGAGCCUUCAGGAGAUCCCACCACCUUUCAUCAGGAAGAUCUCUUCUGUUCUUUUCAACACAAGCAGUGACUACGCAUUCGAAGUUUCUACCGCUCAGGAAACUUGGGACAAGUGCCAUCGCAAAAGGAUCGUGGUACCUGAAGGGCUUGAGGGAGAAGAAAAAGCCCACCACGCCUCCAUGUCCUACAUCCACAACUAUCGCAUCCUGAAAAGAUGGAAGCCAUUAGUCCCUCACUCAAUCAGCGAGAGCAGCCAGCACGAGCAAGCAGAGCUCAUGGAGAGGGAUUUGGGAAUGGACUGGAUGCACACCUCAGAGCCAGUUCAAGGAAGCAGGCGUUCUCGCUAGAACAAGACUCCCCGUCGUAUAUAAAUUGGCAAUCAUGUGCCCCUUAGUAUUAAUAGUGUGAAAGUUUCGUCCCAUUGUUUAGGGACUUUUGUUUAAUUGCCAGUAUUUCAUUCUGUCAUUUCAAUUUCAAGUUUUAAGUGUUAGGAGCUGGCAAUCUACAAAUCCUCUUUUGAUAAAUAAAAAAAAGCAGUUAGACCAUUGCCAUGGGUCAAUCUUUGUUUACUUCCGUGCUCAUUUAUUGUUUUCACAACAAACAGGUAAUUAUGAAUCGCCAGCCACCAAUCACCCGCGAAUGGCCUCAUGUAAUAGGGCCCGAUCAGAAUAAUAUACAAAAUCGUCUUAUUAACAUUGAAGACGGCGUAGGACAGAUGUCCAUUGUCCUUCAACAACUCUCAAGACAAAUGAAAUCCACUUAAGCUGAGCCCAACUCUAUAGUUGCCUCGAACACCAUCAUGACACCUGCAAAUUUGCCAGAAAAUAGUCAGUACCAUAGACAGUUUGAAAAGAUCAUGAAAAAGUUAAGCCAGCUACAAGAGUAAAAUCCCAUGGACCCGUCCAAUUAUGCCGGCAUUGAGAUUCUUGAAGAGCUCAAAGCACCUGAAUGCGAAAGGUAUGCUGAUACCUCCCGCCCAGAGACCUACUUGCAGGCCUACCUGGUCCGAAGGAUGAUUCAAUCGUACCAAUCGACCUUGACCGCCCCUGCCUUGCGAUGGUACAUUGUCAGGAAGAUUAGUCCCCUUAAAACUUGGAGGGAACUAAUUCAUGUUUUUCACCAAGAAUAUGAUAUUGACAUCAGCCCUGAUAUAGCCUUGCCCUAUGAAGAACUGAUGAUCGCGGAGCACAAGGAACCGUUAGUCGCAGAGAUAGGAGAAGAGCAUGUCAAUGAAGCCUUGCAUGAUAAAUGGGCAGCUGAGCAACAUCUUGUUACUGGAAAAUUUCCCACUAGGAAAGGCAAGGAGCCUUUGUACGAGAUCAAAGACACAGAGCAUGUUCAAGAUUGGGGCACGACUAGAUGACUCCCCAAGCUUACUCCAAGAGCUAGGGUCCAAAAAAUACCGACCCCUAUCAACCUGGAAAGCGAAUCAAACAGUGAAACUCUAAUGUCUCUCACUUCCCUUGACAGAAUCGAGCUGGCAAAACGAAGGGCCUUACUCAAAAGAUCUGGACUAAAGGCCAAGAAAAGAAAGCCUAAGCAUAUCAAUACAGCACCUACCGACGAGCCACCGCACCAAGGCUUCGAGCAUUCCCAAGAAUACAGCUUUGAAGGCUACAAUCCCCAAGAGUGCAACCCUGAAGACUUCCCGGCUCCAGUAUACAAUCCCAAGGACUUCCAGCAUUAUUUCGACAAUGAAACUGACGAUUCAUCAUAUAACUGUUUCCUACUCUCAUCCGGGGAUGAAGGCCCGUCAGAAGAGGAAGCAUACGUCUUUAUCUGCUACGAUCCUAAUGAAGUACUAAGCUUGUCCUCUGACCAUGAGGAUAGCUUCAAUACUUUAUCCUCAUUUGGAAAUUUUGACCAAGAAGAAAGCAAUGGGUGUAAUCUCGGUAGAAUCCAACUUCCCUGAAACAGAAAAAUUCACCACUAUAACAAAUAUGCAGUGGGAAAACCAAUGGCCUAACCAAGAUACAUCAAGCCCGUCUUGCGCUCAUAGGAUCAUGACCCCUGGAGAGAUGUGGAUACCUAAUCUCCGCAAGUAUAAUUGCACGACUUGCCCCAUGGCCCACUUGCAGUAUUUCCAUGCUGAAAUGAGUCGGUACUAUGGUGCGAUGUCAUUCACAACUCAGGCCUUCCAAGAAAGUCUUACGGGGUCUGCAUUACAAUGGUUCAUCACAGCAGAUAUCUACCUCAUGAGAGAUUGGAAUGAGCUAUCUUCGGCAUUCCUGCUUCAGUAUCAAAGCCAGAUUGGGACUGAAGUGCCUUGUCAGAACUUGGUUCACUUCAAAAGAAGACCAAUGGAGGAUUUCCGAGCGUAUGCAAGGAGGUGGGAGGCUUUUAUGAUGCAAACUUACCCUCAACUGGCCGAAGAAGAAAUGAUAAAGCUGUUCAUAGGGGCUUUACCUCGCAAGCAUCGUUGUUGGUUGCAUGGGUUGCAUCUCCAUAGCCUCAAUGAAGUGGUCAUUUCAUGUGAAUACUUCGAGUCUAUUGGAGGCGAAGAAUUCAAAGACGCUUAGCUUCAAGACCAGCACUAUCAAAGCGCUCCUUUACACUAGGGUUUUCAUGAGUUUUACUUGUUUUUAUAAUUUCAUGUUUCUUAUCUUGUCUAGUGUGCUACUGUUGUAUUUUCCAUUCUAAGUACUCUAUUGUACAGUUCCAAUAUUUUAUUUUAAGAGCAUGAGGCGGUACUCCAAACCUGCCCGGUGAUGCUAUCCAACCAUGAAAAAAAAUAUAUCAUCCAAGGAGAAUACUGAGGGCUGGGCUUCCUCAUGCUUUUUCUCCCCCGAAUACAUAUUUUGAAAACAAAAAACACUUCAUCACCAAAAUCUUUCAAAAAAGAUGAUAAAUUUAAUCAUGUUUGUCUUUCUGACUCACUCACUUCAUGUCUCAGAAGAUCAUUCCCGUCCCUUUGACUUAGUGUGACAGGGGACAUUUGAAGCAAGCACAUUAUGUGAACUCACCGAAUUCAAUGACACCCUCCCAAGAAAGCAGCGGCAAACAGAAAGGAUCAUCACGUUUCAAAAUGGUAAGUCCUAUUCCCUGAACAUAAUGUCAAAAAUGACAUCCUCUCUCUUCCAUCUAUAGGAAACGAAGGAUGGGAUGUAAUAGGCACAGGCAUAUUAUCAAACUUGAAGCAUGCAUAGCAUGAUAGCUCAAGGCAAGAUGUCCCGAGUUCAUUGACAGGACUUCCAGCUUCAACGAGCCAAGAAGCACAAAGAAGGAUUUGCUUCUCUUCCUUUAAAGUGAUUACUGUCAACAGGGAGAAAAUCUAGAUAGUCAAAGCGAUCUAUAGCCCCACACCCUGGACAAUGAUGUUGGAAUCUAGAAACUUCACUCCAGACGCGUAUUCUUCCGAGGAGUAAUUGCCAUCAGAAAGCUUGAGACUUUUGAUCUCAGAUUCCAUAGAAGCUUGAGGUACAUGACUUUUGCCCAAUGAUGCUAUAGUUAAAGACAAAACAAGAAAUUCCACAAAAGGAAGGCGUUGAAGAUGAAUCAACGACCAACAAUCAUGCAUACAUGGUCACAAAAGAGGAAGGCCAAUUGAAGGAAACAUUAAACUAUGCCAAGAUAAAGAGGCCAUCAUCGACAUUCAAAUAUCUUUAGGAGCUAGCACAUACAAGCUUUGGAGAAGAGUAAUUUGGUAUCGUUUCCAAUACUCCCCCCUCUUUGAAUUCACUUUUGACAUAUUCCCCCUAUUGGCAGGAAGCACCAGGAUUCAAGAGCCAAAUUUGAUGGUUAGGCAAAUCAAUAUUGGCCAAGCUAGUACAUGGAAAUGACCUACAUCAAAUUUACCUGGCUUCGUGUAAAAAGACAUGUCAUCCAGGAGCUAAUUUAGAGAAUAAUUGACCUAACGAAACAAGGGACAUAGGACUUUGUGUCCCCCUUCUCACUUCAGGUUCACCCAAUCAUCUGCAAGCCAAUGAAGGGUAAAGUUGUAUCGAUUCCAGUUAUUCGACUCUUGAAAGAAUUCAUGACUAACACAUUCCCUCUUAUUUGUUGCAGGAUCACCUGACUGUCAAAAGCAAGGAUAACAAAUCAACGAGAAGCAUGUCUUGUUGCAGGAUCACUUGACAAGGAUAAUAAUCAAUGAGAGACAUGACAAACUCUCCUAAAUAAAAUGGCGUCUUGAGUAAUCGCCAAAACAAAUGACAGAAAAUCUUCAGGCCUCAACCCACAUUUAAUUUUGGCCAGACUAAUUGAUCAACUCUUACAUCUUCUCUUCUACAGGGGCAAAAACAGAGAAGCCUGAUCAGAUUCCCAACCCCGGCUGAUCCUUCAUGUGUCAUAUCCUUAACCAAUAGGGACAACUAUCGACACCCAUUUGCGAAUAACCCUUUUGAUGUUCAAAAUCUAACAUAUUUGGAAAUACCAUUAUGUUAGCCCCUAAAGUUGUCAAUAGGGUCUUUUUUGAGUCAAAACCAUUCACUUGUUUUGAAGAGUUCAAACUCCAUCAUAUUCGAAAUGUUGCAUGUCGUUUCCAGAUGAAUUCUGCAUAAUGAUUUUGCCUGUCUAAGUCACUGAUUCCACUGAGGAUUAUUAAAAUAGACAGCUAAGUGAAGAAUACAAGAUUAAUUGAGCAUGCUGGAUGAGGCAUGUAGAAUGAUGAAAGGCAAGCCAUAUCCUACACACAGUCCCCCAUCUAUACACUUGUGAGAUGAGUGCAGAAGAUUCCAUGGUUGCAGGGUAAAGAGUUCUCUCGCGAAUGGUAUGAUAACCAAAAUAGUGAGAGGCAUUCCAUCGCUCACCCCAUUGAGCCCCAUACAUUGGUGAAGCUUCUCUCAUACCCCCGUCAAGAACAACCCUUACACCAGGGCAGAUUAGAAGCGAAGCAGCAUCACAAGGUGAGAAGAGAGAUAGAAAUUUUAUUGCUCGCACUUGCAUCAAUCUUUGGGUGUCUUUAUUGCAUAUGAACACUCACAUUAAUUUAAGUGCCCUAGAAUGACGAAGAGCAAUUAUUUCUCUAUGCACUUGUAUUCAUUGUACAACCCAAGUGAGUCUGUAAUUUUACCCUCACAUUGAGACAAAACAGAAGUUACUACCAUUUAAGCAGCAUAGCCCAGAGCACCUACUGAAGAUGAAGACUCAAGAGUCUAAUAACGGUGCUUCGAUUGAACUUGCCUAGGCCAGUUCCUCCAAUGACAAGAAUGAAAAAACAUGGGCAUAAAAAAGCAGUGUACCCGGUAAAAGCAAGGUCAAUGCCCAUAAAUGAAGAACUGGAAUAAAAAUAAGGACAUGGAAAAAGCAGUGUGCCUGGUAAAAGCAAGGCCAAUGCCCCCCAGUAAAAAAUACAGCCAAGAAAAAGUUGCUGUUGUGGUCCAUAGAACCUCCAUUUGACAGUGAGAAGAAAGACUGGUGACAAAUGCCAAGGCAAUCACCAGCUCUACCUUUUUACACAUGAAUCAAGCCUACAUUGUAUCCCAUUGUAAAAGUCUCUUUAGACUAGGGGCACUUCAAUUAAUGUAGGAUUUCAUAUGUUCAUAAGCAUCGCUCGAAGAAGUACAAGCAAGAUUACUCUAUAUCUUUUCGCAGGAUUCUUAACUUGCAAACCCGGAGAUGAUCGUGUGGCACUUUGUUCAUAAACCUUAACCUCGACAGUCCCAUUUGAUGAGCCGUUGACCAAGUCUUCAUCACAAUUUCAACAAAGACCUCUCACAUUGGUAAAGUCGUACCACUUGCGAGAAUACUCAGACCCCUGUUGACAUGAUGACAGUGAGAUAGUGUGGUCCUUAUGAAUCCUGCAUCAAUGGUCUGGAUAGCCUUUUCCAUGAGAGUGAGUGGAAAGUCCUUUCAAACUGAAAGUCCCUCAUCUGGCAUGCUCAAGACAUCUACAUUCUAAAUGAAUGUUGUCUUUCAAAAUUUUCCCCGGUGGAAAUCAAAAGAUGCAGAACUGACAAAAUUAUCAUGCAUGAAUCUCAUUUGAACUCAUGAAUUUACAGCAUAUACAAUCAUGUGUGCAUAUUGUGCAAAUAGCAGACAUACUCUUAAAAAUCAGAGAUAUUGCCAGGUAAGCAUAUCUCUAUUCCCAUUUGUCUUGAAGUACCUACCAUUGUCCAGGUACUCUCUUAUUGACACUCAACCUAUUUGAGUCGUCCUUUGAGUUUGGGUGCUUACUGCUGUCUAGGUAUCUCCAUUGUCUUGGAGUACCAGCCACCGUUCGGAUACUCCCUUCUCCUGACACUCGACAUGUUCGAGUUGUCCCCAGAGUAUUGAUACUUGUGACUGACUAAGUAUCCCUUUGUCUUAAAGUACCUACCAUUGUCCAGGUGCUCUCUUCUUGACACUCGACUUAUUCAAGUCGUCCCUUGAGUUUGGAUGCUUGUGAUUGUCCAAGUAUCCUCUUGUCUUCAAGUACCAACCAUUGUUCGGAUAACCCCUUUUCAUGACACUCAACCUACCCGAGUUGUCCCCAAAUAAUAUAGCCGUUGUUCAAGCAUCCCAUUGCUUUGCUUGGCACUACCGUCCGGGUAUGCUUUCUAGCACUUGGACCAACUGAGUGGUCCCAGGUUGUAUCAUUAAAUACUUGUGUUCAUCCAAGUAUCCUAGUACUUUGUACACCUGUGGCUAUCCAGGUGUUCUAGCCCUUUUGAGUGCCUGCGGCCAUCCAGGUAAGCCUCGUGCUAAAUUCAAGUUUAUGUUACCAGGAGGUGAGAAUCCUUCACGAAUAUCCAAGGUACGCCCUCGAUAUUCCCAAUUACCAGGAGGUGAGAGACAUUCAUGAAUAUCCAAGGUACGUCCACGAUGUUCCCAAUUACCAGGAUGUGAGAGACCUUCAUGAAUAUCCAAGGUACGUCCUUGAUGUUCCCAAUUACCAGGAGGUGAAAGACCUUCACGAAUAUGCGAGGCACGCCCUCGAUAUUCUCAUUACCAGGAGGUGAGAGACCUUCAUAAAUAUCCCAGGUACGUCCUCGAUAUUCCCAAUUACCAGGAGGUGAGAGACCUUCAUGAAUAUCCAAGGUACGUCCUCGAUGUUUCCAAUUACCAGGAGGUGAGAGACCUUCAUGAAUAUCCAAGGUACGUCCUCGAUGUUCCCAAUUACCAGAAGGUGAGAAACCUUCAUGAAUAUCUCAGGUACGCCCUCGAUAUUCCCAAUUACCAGGAGGUGAGAGACCUUCAUGAAUAUCCAAGGUACGUCCUCGAUAUUCCCACUACCAGGAGGUGAGAAACCUUCACGUAUAUGCAAGACCCAUCCUCGAUAUUUCCACACAAAUAUCUCAGGUAUGCCUUGGUUCUUCCUUCAGAGUUUGUACCUGUGAUCAUCCACGUACCCCUUCAAUACUUGUGAUCAUCCAAGUAUCCCCAAAGAGUUUGUACCUGUGAUCAUCCAGGUACCCUUUCGAUACUUGUGAUCAUCCAGGUAUCCCCAAGAGUUUAUACCUGUAAUCGUCCAGGUACCCCUCCGAUGCUUGUAAUCAUUCAGGUAUCCCCAAGAGUUUGCACCUAUAAUCGUCCAGGUACCCCUUCGAUACUUGUGAUCAUCCAAGUAUCCCCCAAGAGUUUAUACUUGUGAUCAUCCAAGUACUAUCUCCCAACAAGCAGAUGCCCUGAGAAAGGUCGGUGCAUCUCCCGUCAAGGCGACCGAAGAAAGGUUCAGGUCCUAGACAAACAACUUAUUGCUCUAACAGGCGACCAAAGAAAGGUUCGGGUCCUGGAAAAGCAAUUCCCCGUCAAGGCGACCGAAGAAAGGUUCGGGUCCUAGACAAACCAACUUAUUGCUCUAACAGGCAACCGAAGAAAGGUUCGGGUCCUAGGAAGGCAAUUCCCCGUCAAGGCGACCGAAGAAAGGUUCGGGUCCUAGACAAACAACUUAUUGCUCUAACAGGCGACCGAAGAAAGGUUCGGGUCCUGGAAAAGCAAUUCCCUGUCAAGGCAACCGAAGAAAGGUUCGGGUCCUAGACAAACCAACUUAUUGCUCUAACAGGCGACCAAACAAAGGUUCGGGUCCUGGGAAGGCAAUUCCCUGUCAAGGCGACCGAAGAAAGGUUCGGGUCCUAGACAAACAACUUAUUGUUCUAACAGGCGACCGAAGAAAGGUUCGGGUCCUGGAAAAGCAAUUCCCCGUCAAGGCGACCGAAGAAAGGUUCGGGUCCUGGGAAGGCAAUUCCCCGUCAAGGCAACCGAAGAAAGGUUCAAGUCCUAGACAAACAACUUAUUGCUCUAACAGACGACCGAAGAAAGGUUCGAGUCUUGGAAAAGCAAUUCCCCGUCAAGGCGACUGAAGAAAGGUUUGGGUCCUAGACAAACCACUUAUUGCUCUAACAAGCGACCGAAGAAUGGUUUGGGUCCUGGAAAAGCAAUCUCCUCAUGCAACAGGUAAGAUGACGCCUUGAUACUUGCCAAAACUCGGGGUUCACACCCUAUCUCACUCACUCCCGUUAAGUAACUACAUGUAUCUUCUUAUCUAUCUUAGUAUGUGUAAUGUUAUAUUACUCAUUUUCUGCAUAGGACACUAGGUCCCAAAUAAGAUAUAAUCUAUUGCAUAUGUAUAGACAAAAUUUUGGUAUCAGGUUUGUCUUUGAAUGCAACCUCUGCGAACUCACCUUCAAAGAGGGGCAGCUGUUGACACCUAAAUUUCGUUUUUUUAAUUAGGUUUUUUUACAUUUAUUUGCCUUUUUCGGAUAAUAAACAAAACAAAUAACAAAAACAACAAAAAAAAACAAAAAAAAACAAGAAAAGCAAAAAGCCAAAAAAAAAGCAGCAGCCCCCCUUUUUUUUCUUCAAGUGGGCUCGUGCGACUUGGCCCCACCCCCCCUUUCUCCUUCUUCUUCCCUCUUCUUCUUCCUCGCUCCUUCUUUCUCCGCCUCUGUAGUUCACGCGCAGAAGACGACGACGCGCGCAAAGGACGGCCUACGGCCGAGGGUAGUAGGCCAACGUUGGCCGAAGAAGAUAAGAUUGCGAGCGCCAUCAAUGCCGAGCAUGCUUCACUGGAUGAGCUCGGAUGGGACGCCGAUUCAGCCGAGGAGAAUCACUCAGCGCAUGAAGGGGACUGGCGGUCGAAGCUCCGUCGACCGAAUUCCCUCGCCUAUAAAAGGGCACCACCUUCGUCGAAGAACGACACGGGCGAGCUCGGAGAUCCUUCACUGAGAGACAUCGGGAAGGAUUGAAGGGCGAGCGCAGGAGAGAACUCGAGUCGCGAGCUCAGCCCACCUUCCACCGAGAGACUUCGGGGAAGGCCGGCCGCAAGCGACUUCGAGAAGGUCAGAUCUGGCCGGUGGAGGCUCGGAUCUGGCCUGAGUGAGAGAAGAUCGAGCCCGAGGGAGGUAGAUCCGAGAGCCUGGAUCUGUGAAAUAAGGGCUGAACGAGGUCAGCUGGAGGAGGGAGGGCCAAAUCUGGGAAGCCGAAAGCUCUUCACCACCUGCGACCGCUGCUCUGUCAUUGCUGUUCCCCGCCCCGAUGCCGCUACUGCCCCAGACCUUGCUGUGCCACCGUCCUCACGCCUCGCCGCCGCCGCUUUCCCCGACAUCGUCCAAAUCUGAGUGAACUUCGGAGAGCAAGGUUCCAUCACCAUCAUUGAGCCGUGCCGUCCCCGUCACACCCGCCGAAGCCGCUGCUGUGCAAAACCCCGCCGUGCCGCCGAGCGCCUCCGCCGCUGCUACCUUCGAUCUGGCAUUGUUGCCGUCGCCGUCCCCGUUCGAGAGAAGGUAAAAAAAAGAGCGCCGCCGUUAGCGUUGUCGUCGCCGUUGUCGCCUUCGUCGUCGCCGCCGUAGUCGCCGUCGCCGCCAAGCACCUCGGUCCCCCCCUCGGCGCCGCGGAUUCGCAAACCCUAGGGUUUGCGAUUUUCCGGGUCGCCGAGUCGGAUCCGGGUCUCGGAACCGGGUAGGGUUUUGCGAGAUUCGGGGGGCGGUGGGAGUCGAGUCGCGAUUCGGAUCCGGGUUGGGUAGGGUUCGCAGGGAGCCAGGUCGCGGAGCGGGUCAAUGGAUCCGGGUCGUCGGGCCGGGCCGGGCGUCCCCAAAUGCCCGGCCAUGGCGUCGUUUUAAUAAAAAAAAAAAAGAUGAAAAAUCCGAGUCAGGCCCGCAACGCGGGCCCGUCCGCGUUUGGGUCGCCGACCCGGGUCGGACCCAACCCGCGCCGACCCGGGUCGGUUUUAUUUUGUUAUUUUAAUAUAAAAUAAUCCUAAUAAAUAUUUUAUUUUCAAAAGAAAUCAAAAAGUGUUUUAUUUUCAAAAAAAAUAUUAAAAAAUGUUUUAAUUUCCAAAAAAUCGAAAAAUAUUUAAAAAAUGUCGAAAAAUGUUUUAUUUUCUAAAAAAUUGAGAAAAAUAAAAAAUAAUUUAUUUUCCAAAAAUAUUUUGAAAAAUAUUAAAUAAAUAUUUUAUUUUCCAAAAAAAUCAAAAAUAUGCCAAAAAUCCAAAAAAAGCCAAAAAUUCAUGAAAAAGCCAAAAAAAUUCAGAAAAGCCAAAAAGACUUGUGUUUUUCCAAAAAAAAUCCCAAAAAAUCCCUUUUGCGUCCAAAAAUUAGAAAAUGACUCAAAAAAAAUGUUUUUCCUCCGAAAAAUGCAUGGAAAAUCUCUCAAACAUCCAAAAAAGCCUUAGGGUUUAAACAAGAUUAGGUACUGAAAGGGCAUUAGUGAUUAACUAGUGUAAUCAAGUCCCCGAUCAUAAUUUCUCUGGUUGCGCAGGAGCGAGUAUUUCUCCCGAUACUUCGUUUAGGUUUCUAAUCGACCCACCCCAAAUCGAUUAAUGGCGACUCCAUUUUAAAAAUUGAUUUACAGGUUAAAAAUUUAAACUAUUAAAGUCGUGAAUUGGUGGACUUGGGAGAGUCUGGGCAUAACUAAUUAAAAUUAGCCAAGUCAUUAGCCUCCUUAGGCGCUCGUACCCGAUUGCGGGCGCCGAAAAAAAAGAGGUCGCGGCAGUUGCCGACAUAGGCUUUGUGGCCCUUGCCCAAUGGUCAACAAGCCUUGUCAGAGCCUCAUUGGCCACUGCAGGGAUCCAAGGAGGAAGGAGAGGGAAAAAGAAGGAAAAGGAAAAGGAACAAAUUAAUAAAAAAUUUGAAAAAAUAAAAAAAAUAAUUAAAAAAUUACCACGUGAGCAUUGGUUGGAUGGUCAGCGAUCAUAUCAACGUCGACCAGCCAAAAUUGGCUGGAUGGACAAAAUUGAUACCAAUAUGAAAACGGUUUAUGACUUUUUUUGCAUUUUCCCCUUAUCAAAGAGAUCAAACAAAAACUAAGAAUGUAAGAGGUUAGACAAAUGAAAAGAAAAUACUUUUUUUAUCCACAAGUGAUUGUUUUGGACUAUCUAGAGAAUAUCCCAGCGACUUUGAUGGUUUUCCACGGCCAAAGUUUGAAGGAAUUUUGUGUAAUUUUCUCCUUUUUUAAUGAUUUUCUCAGCUAACGCUCACAAAUAAAAUUCGGAUUUAGGUGUUUGGGGACAUCAGUUUUAAAAUUUCUAAUUGGCGGAAUCUAUAUGCCUUUCGGUAGGCAGGCUCUACAUUAAUACAUGUCUUUUCAGAGAAGUUGCAGUUUCCUUUCUGAAAUUUGUGGGCGAUUGUGAUUUCUACCUUACCUAUUAUAAUAUUUGCUAGGAAAAAUUAGUAUUCAUUUCUUAUUGCAAAUUCAUAAUUAAGAUUCACGGUUCACAUUCAGAUUUACAAAAGUUAUGCUUUUCACAACUGGAUUUGCACAGUGAUUGCAAAUGUCCAAUAAAAAAAGAAAAAGAAAUUGGUCUCCUAAACAUUGGCACCAAUAAGUCUCGUAAAUUAAUGGAUUCCUUUUAGCCAGAUGAGCUACUUGCUCACCCCGACUCUCUGCAUACUUCUCCCCACACCUGCUUUAUUUCUUUAAUACAUUGAUGUCAUCACGUUUUCCACGUAAAUUUCCAGGUAGGCACAGUCAAAAUGAUAAAACGUAGAACUAUAAUCAGCCUGAGGGAAAAGCUAGAAUUUAGUUUCCGCGGAUCCAAAUGCAGUUUUUGAAAAUCUUGACAUAAAUUGUAAUUAUGCCAUACUAAGAAAUGCGAAUCAAAGCUUUUCUAUUUCCUUUUGGUACCGGAAAAUAAGGGUGCAUUUAGUAAUAUUUCUAUUCCUGGAAACAAUUUAUUUUCAAAAAUAAUUUUUUUUAUUUAUAUUCUCUGGAAUAAAUUCUAAAUAAAACUAUGUAUUUAGUAACUGUACAAAAUUUCUAUUCUUGGAAUAGAAAAAGAACAAGAAUGUGUUUGGUACAAACCAUAAGUUUUUUUUGUGAUGUAGAAUUUCUUUAAAAUUUUUAGUAACUUUUUUGAGAUUUCUUUUUUCUUUUUUCCUCUCUUCUUCUUCCUCCUCUAGCUAGUCGUCAGGCAACAACGGGCGGUGUGCGAUGAGCUUCGGUGGCAGUGGCAAUGGUGAGUGACAAGUCUCCACCAACCAAUUAGAAGAGAACGAAGAAGAAAAGGAAAAAUGAAAAAGAAAAGAAAGAAAAUGACUUAUUUUUAGAAAUUUAUUCCAAGCACAAGAGAGCAAGAAGCUACUUUUUCUACUUCUUGUUUCGGUUUCAAAUAUAUUCUCAGGCCACUUUUCUAUUCCGAGGAAUAAAAAAAUUAACCGACGUUACCAAGUAGAUUUUUGUUCUUUUUCUAUUUUAGAGAACAAAAUAAUAAUAGAACAGAAAAAUUGGAAUGUUGUCAUGUAGACCUAGCUUGUUGACAGAAAGCCCGAUUAUGAGAAAUCAGACUUGGAUGUUGUCCUCUACUUACUUUUAUUAUUGCCCUAUUUUUCACUUUGAAAGCUAAUUAGUUAUCAAUGUAUUCAGGUCAUAUUUUAUUUGGAAUAAGUGAUCAAUUUUAUUUGUGAACUUGAAUCAAAUGGCCCGCAAUAAUAUUUGGACAUAGAAGAUAUUUGACAUGCUUAAUCCAAAUAAAAAGUAGAAAAAUGAUACAUUGACAAUAUUUUUGGAAACAUGGCUAAUGACAAAAUGCCUCUUCUAAUUUAUAUAUUAUGCUCGAGCAUGGCUUCUAAUUUCUUUUUUAUAUUUUUAAAAAAGAAAAAUUAAUUAUUUGAUGAAAAAUUUAAGCAAAAUCUCAAUAGCAAUCCUACUUCAUGGUUAUUUUUUCAUAGGGAGUUCGAAAUAGGAAUGACUGCAAAAAGAAUAUUAAUACAAAACACUAUACAUAAGAUUUAGACUUAGACAAAUACAUCUCAUUACAAAAUCAAAUCACACAGCACAAAUUCCAUUGUUUGAAAUACAAAUAUAUAAGAUUCAAACCUACAUAAAUACAUCUUAUACAAAAAUUACAUCUUGAAAGAAAAAUGCAAGUCUCAAUGUUACAAGCCGCUCCCUCCUUCAACAUAAGUCGGGCGAGAUGGUGUCAUCCUCCCCCCUUGCCUCAACUUGAGAAUGUUCCUUUGGCAUCAGAAUUUCCAUUAGAUAAGAUCUGCCAACGACAGUCAUCUCUAGUUUCUUGUCGGAUAACUUUGCCUGUUGUCCCCAAUAAUUCUACCAGCCCUAUUGACGGUCACCUCAGAUAUAAUAGUUAAAGCCAGCAGAGAAGAAUAUCGUGAGCCAUUACGGGGAAGAACAGGGUAAUGGGAAGUGCCAGAAUACCAUUUCCCUUAUGUAUCAAAAACAUACAUACACAUACAUGAUGCCUAAUUAAGCCCGCUAGUUGAGCUGAAGUUUUUUGUGCAUGUCGAUGGAAGUGCCAGAAUGUUACUUAUUAUUCCAUCCAGCAAACUUAGUGCUUAGUUUAAUGGCAAAACUGGACAAUGUCUAUCAACCGCUUAGUGUAAAGAAACCACAGGGUUUAAUUUUAUUUUUUUAUUGAAUAACUUUUUGGUAGUGCAUACCUAUGGAAUAGCAAGAAUAUUGCAUAUUGAUUCUUCCAUCUAAAUAUGGUACUUAGCUAAAUUUGGUACUUAGUCAUUUUUUUUAAAGGGGAAAUAAAACCAAAUCCUCCCAAAUUUUGAGGGUAGUAUAGGUUUAUCCUAAACUUUUAGUUGUUACGCAAUACCUCCCCAAACUUUCAUUUUAUUAUAUCUAUUGGCCUACGUUAUUUUCUUCUGUUAGCAUGUGUAACGCAUAUGACUCAUAAGGUGUACAAGUAUAUAUUUCAUCUUAUCUUUUAAGGAAAUAUCUCUUGUACCCACAAUUGUUAUGAAAUAAAUGAAAUAUUAUAUAAAUGGGAGAUAUUAAAUUAAAUACUAGAAAAGUAUAAGUAGUAGUCAUAUUAUUGAACAAAGUUUGAUAAAUAUAGCCACUUUAGUACAACUAAAUAAGAUAUUUAAGAAAAAAAAUACAAACCAUAUAAAAAGGAAAAGGACUUGAUAACAAAAAGAUGAAAUGAUGAAAAUUGGUUACUCAUUACUUAUGUUCAUAGGCAUAAUGUCUUCAACUUUUAAAAGGGCAUGAGCAACUGAAAUCUAUUUUUUUUUAAAUAAAAUUUAUUGAUCUUCAUCUUUUUCAUUAAUUAACAAUUUAGAAAUACAUAAUGAGUACCGAUUUGUUAUUUGCCCUUUUGUCAUUUAGGUCUUUUUCCAACAUUGUGUUUCUUCUUCUUCAAUUUCUUAUUAAUUAUAUAAAUAUUUUCACAAAUUAAUAAUAUUCGUUGAAGUAUUAUUAGUGAUAUUUAAUUUUAUAAUAUUAAUAUUCUAAAUAAUUAAUUUUUCUCCAUUCUUUAUUUUAUAUAAACCAAAAUCAAGGAUAAAAGAAAGAUUUUAAUAAAAAAAAUGAGAUGAAAAGACACAAAUGGAAAAAGAAAAAAAAAAUCUCAAUAAGAAGAUGGUGAAAUAACGAUAAUUGGUUACUCAUUAUGUACAUUUAAAGACUUAAUUAAUUUAAAAAAAUCAAUUAACAGAUAUUUAAAAAGAGUUAUAAAAGGAAAUUAUUGCUUCAACUCAUAAAAGGAAAUGAUUAACUGAAAAGGAAAGUGAUUUUUUCUAUAUUAUCUCUUGAUCAGUAUUUUUUGUAUUAAUUAUUUAUUAAAAGUACGUAAUCAGUAUCCUCCACUUUUUCUUAUUUUCCUUCUUGUUAUCCUGGCCUUUUCAUUUUACUAAAUUGUGUUAUUUUUUCUUAAAAAUAUCUUAUUAUUCCAUUAAUAUUUUCAUCUAUGUUAAUAAUUAUCAUUUCUUUUGAUAAUAAAGUUUCCAUCAAUUUAUUUUCCUAGAUUUUUCAUUUUUUUUAUCGGAAUCAAAGACAAAAGAGAGACUUCUAUAAAUAAAUAAAUAGAAAAGAAGAGAUAAACAUACACAUUUACCCCUUAAACGUUUUUACGAUAGCACAUUGCCAACAAAAAAAAAAUGUAACAGUAGUUAACGGCUAUAAUAAAAUAAAAGCUUAAGGAACAACAUACAACGAUUGAAAGUUUAGGGACAAACACGUAUUAGUCCCAACAUAUAACAAUUGAAAGUUUGGGGAUAAACUUGUAUUAAUCCCAAAGUUCGAAUAAGUUUUAUGUAAUUUUCCCUUUUCUAAUGGUAAUCCAUGCUUGAACUGUAACAACCAACACUAAUAAAGAAAAUGAUUAAUACCCCAAAAACUCUUAAACUGAUAUACCUAUGAUAAAUUUAUCCGAAACUAAUUUUUUGACCACAAAAAACCUCAAAUUGGUAUACCUUUAACAAAUUUACUCCAAAUGAUCAUAAAAAACUCCAAACCGGUAUACUUGUAACAAAUUUAACUCAAAUUAGUUUGUUUGAUUGCUAAAAAUCCUAAAAUGGUACAUUGGUGACAAAUAUACCCUCCAUUAAAGUGAAUUAAUACUAUAAAAAAUUACAAAAAUAAAAUAACUAUGACAAACAGAGAGUAAAUCCCAUGGUGCAUCAAUCAAUUGUUACGUGUUAUUCGAUUCAACAAUUUGAUAGUAAAAUUUAACAUAAAUUAAUAAAAUGUAUAUGUGUUAUAACUGUAUCAGUUUGUGAUAAAUUUGUCAAAAAUGUAUCAAUUUGGAGUUUUUUAUGGUUAAAAAAUUAGUUUUGGAUAAAUUUAUCACAGGUGUACCAGUUUGGGGUUUUUUAGAAUAUUAAUCCUAAAGAAAAUCUACACAAAGAUCUUUGGAGACAUAAAUGUUAAAAUUCCUUUUUGACUACAACUACGCGCCUCUUAGCAAGCUCCAUCUUUAACAUAUUUGCAAAAAUUCUUUCGGUGCUUCGCAAACAAUUCAUAAAAAUAAAAUAAUAAAAAAUUAUUUUAGAAAGGGCCAAAGCCAUCAAAAAAAUCAAAAUAUGCCAACUAUGAUACAUUUAUCCUAAACAAUUUCCUAAGACAAAUUUACCUUCCGCCAAUGUUGUGUCAAUGAGGACCAUUAAAAAUCUAUUUGCAUUGAUCUCGGAAAAGCAUGUUUUUGACAUGACACUCACGUGGUUUAAGUGAAAUAAAAGUGACAUUAGUUUGGAUGAAAAAUUAUCUAACGAAACCUUAAUGGAGAUAAAUAUGUCACAUAGUUACAAGUAUGGGUUUUUUUAUAUCAAAAGAAAUUUUUUAUAGUAAAUAUGUUAUAGUAUGCAUAAUUUUGGAUUUUUGAUUGAAAAAGAAAAGUUCAGAAUAAAUGUGUUACAGUGAGUAUAAUUUUAGACUUUUGGUGACUUUUUCUCUUUUAAAUAUCGCCUUGAGACUUUUGAUUGCCACUUAAUGGACAUCAUCUGAUUUUUAAUAGUCAAAUAGUUGUUUUGAGGACCAUUCCAAAUCCCCAUAUAUCAUCUACCUAUUUUUUUUUUUUCAUCAGAAUUUGAAUCUAUUGUUUGUUUCGAUACACCUCCAUAUCCCAUAUUCAAAGCAUCAACGUUUACAAGCUUAAAGGUGUACAUGAGGUUUUAAGACUUGAAAUAAAAUCUGAAACAUAGUUUAGGCAUCCUAAUAAUAUAUGCAAUUGCAUUUUUGCUUUAAUUUCACCAGGAAAGUUAUUUGCAAACUCUAUAGUUAUUAAUAGGUUCAAUAGUUGUUUGACAUAUAUCAAGUCCUAAAAGCCUUACUUCAGUUUGCAUAUUUCAUAUUUGGUGCUAAAAUUACUAAUCUAUUAUUCCAAAUAAUAAUAAUAAUAAUAAUAAUAAUAAUAAUAAUAAUAAUAAUAAUAAUAAUAAUAAAAUAGUGAAAUACUUAAAAUGCUUCUAUAGAUUUUGCAAAUAUUAAUAUAUCAUCUAUAUAUACUAUUGAAAAAAGUGACAUAGUUUUCAAGUAUAUCAUUAUCAUAUUUGGAAAUUCUAAAGGGGCAUUUUUUUUAAAAAACCACAAGGCAUUACAUUUCAUUCACAUAAUCAAACGGAGUAGUGAAGGCUGUUUCAUAUAUGAAUUAUGAAUCCUGCUUCGAGCUAACUGGGCCUUGGAUUCAAGUGAGGGGGCUGUGUCAGAGCCCAAUCAAACCAGUGGAUCAACAACUGCAAAAGAAGAGGUCAAGAUAGUGUUAUUGUGCACCUCUUGAACUAUCAAAUAAUUGAGAUUUGCGAAAGCUUCUUCUUGGGUAUUUUCAACCACAGCUUUUGUUCCACCAGAAGAAGAUGAAUAUAUCAUUCGUGCGGAUUGGCUUUUGUGGAAAAUGAAAACAUGGACGACCGAAUAAAAGCUGUAGUUGAACUCAAAGUGCAGGGGGAUCUUUUGCGAAAGAGGAGAAGGCACAGGGCCGAGCCUUGGCGUUUUGUGCAUGCUAAAAGCUUUGCCUUGUGAUUUUUGCCUCAAGUUUUGUGCAUGCUAAAAGCUUUGCCUUGUGAUUUUUGCCUCAAGUUUUGUUUCCGACGAGGAAGGAAGAGGUUAAUCACUCGAUGCUCUGUGACGAGAAACAACAAUUCAGCCGCUCACGGUGAUUGGAGGUAAGCAUCAACUGCGAACUGAGACAUCAGUAGUCCAGCCUCCUUCAAUAACUUGGAGGGCCACGUGCGAAUUCUUGCUGUUUUCUUGAAUUCGAUUUGAAAAUGAACCAGUAGGAUUCUCUUUAAGAGGUAUUUAGGGUUUCAUCUCGAAUGAUUGUGCAAUUUAGCCCGUCUCCGAAACUCAAUAAUAUUUAAAUCUUCGUUUGGAAUUAAUAUGUUUUUGCUUUGAUUAUUAGGUUCUCCCUGCAAAUUCAAGGGCAAUGUCGAAGGGACAAAAAAAAGGAAGAGUGAAAAUCAGGAGCAAGAAUCUGUCAGAGAUCAACAAACGACAGAUUCUUAAAUUAUGGAAUUUACAGUUGCUCGGACAGCGAAGCCAAUAUAGCUCUUUAGCCCCCAGGAGGCCCACCUGGGAAAUCUACUGAUGUGGGCGAGCAACUCCUUUUUCCUGAUUGGUCGUUGCUUUUGAUAUUUCGAAACGAAAGCGCAUUGCCGAUUGAUUAUGAACCCGGAAGAGUCAAUGGCGUGCGUUUUUGUAUAUAAUGAAUGACCGUGCGGCCCGGCAAAUCCUUCACUGGAAAAUCGAUCUGCCGACAACCAAUUGAAUUACAACCAUUGAUGUUUAAUGGGACCAUGUCACAUCCAAAGUGUCAUGGGGGAAACUCAUAUGUUCUACCGAUUAAUAUCAAGGUACAUUAUUAACCAUCGUCGAAAUUAUUAUAACGAUAACAACUUAUGAUCCAUAUGAAGAUCGUGAUUCAAUCAAUUUCUCUCUCUUUUUUUUUUUUUUUUUUAAACACAUGACAACAAGUGAUUGGUUUGAUUUGAGGAGAGUAAGGUCACAAUACAUUACUCCUAAAUACAAUCCAUCUCAUAUCUCCUCAAGAUGACUCUUAAAUCCCUUAAAUUGGGAUGAGCACUUGAAAAGAAUCUCAAUAAACGAUCAAAACAUGUUGUCAAAAUUCAACUUAGGAAACGACCCAUUCAUGCACCAAUUCCUCGAGCAUUUCUAUGCAGGCCUAGUUUUAAAGACCACACACAUGCAAUAAUCGACAAGUGAAAGACCGGAUCGAGGCAGUUCAGGUUUAAUGUGACUCUCGUACCCGAACGGACACAUCAUCAAUCGGGCUUAGAAAAUGAAACAAUCUGUACCGGUAACGAAGGACGUUGAUGUCGACACGAUCGGGCAAAUUGGCAUUAGAUAGCCGCUGGUACUGGUCCGCAUUACAUUAUCUGUCGUCGGGACAACCAAAUUUGACUGCAUCAUUUAAUGGGCCUUACGAAAUUGGCACCCUGGCUGGCGCUAAGGUGGGGGGGCCCACCCCCCGUGUGUGUUCUGUUACGUGUACGUUGUUUUACUCGGAAGCAAUAUAUACCAUGAACUCAUCUGUUGCAUUGGAAACCCAUAGUACAUAUACAAAUGGAACAAUUUUUUAUUUUUUUUCGGUUUGAUUUGGUUUGUUUAAACGAUCCAUGAGUUUAUUCUUGAUCCUUAUUUGUGUGAAAAAUGGAUGUAUAACAAGUAAUUUAUUGAUUUUAAUCUUAGAAGUAGAAUAGAGUGUGUAGUUCAAAUUGCUGCAGACUGUAAUGAAUAUCUUGAUACACUGAACGAGACUUUGCGUCAACUCAUUAGGGAUAGCUUUACAGUUCGAGCUAGUAUUGUCAGUGAACAACGAUUAAGAUAGUUAGGUAAAAACUAGUCUUUGAGAUGAGAAGACGAGAUAUGGGCUAGUCCACCAAAUGCUCAACCUUAGAGAUGUGCAUGCUACCAUGGUCACUCGUUUCUAUCGUCAUUCAUGUCAUCUCUUUCACUUUCCCUCAAAUCUCAAUUGUCUCUCGUUCGAACAAACGUUUUUUGCAUUUUUCCGGAGAUUUUCCUGAGAACCCUUACCAAACACAACAGCCCCUUCUAAAGUCUAGCACGCAGAAGCUCCCAAAACACUUGUUUGACUUUCAACAUCGUAGAACCAACCCGGCAAGAAGUUGACCAAGUGGACCCCGAUAGCACAAACUCUACCACGGUAUUAUGACCAGUAACGGCCACUCCACCGUAUUGGCCCAAGCACAGCAUAGCCCAUCCCCUUCCAAGGGCACCCGUGCACGGCCUCUCUGUGUGAGGAGCCGUGCUAGGGAGGGCUAUGACCCAGUUGGGCCUAGGCCAUUCGCUUUGGCCCAAACAGGGAAACGACCCCAAUUUUUUUCAAAGAUCCCGGUUGCAUUUAAAGAAUGAUUAACAUCACAAAAAAUAAAAAAAAAACUGGUAUAUAUGUGAUAAAUCUAUACCAAACUAAUCUUUUUAUUAUCAAUAACUCCAAAUUGGUAUAUUUAUAAUAAAUUUGUGAAAAAAUUAUUUUUUUUAGUUUCCAUUAAAUUGGAUUAAUAUCACAAAAAAUUAUUAAAACCGGUACACCUGUGAUAAAUAGAGGGUAAAACUCUAGACCGAAACACUCAGCAAUUGUCACGUGUCAUCGAACUUAGCAAUUUCACAAUAAAAUUUAAUAGAAACUAACGAGGGUAAAUUUGUUACGGAUGUACCAAUUUUAAAGUUUUUUGUGAUAAAAAAAAUUAGUUUGUUAUAAAUUUGUCACAAGUGCACUAAUUUUGAUAUUUUCGUAACAUUAACCCUUUAAGAAAAACAAAAUAAAUGUGAUAGAAUGUGAUCAUUCGACCACACCGAAAAAAAAAGAACUCCUACAACUUUAAUUCCUCCUUCAUCAUCGCCUCCAUCCAUUUCUCAUUACUUAUCACUCUCUUACAAUUUCUAAAAAAAUCUCGAAUUCUACAUACGACAUUUUAAAUUUUCGAGUACGGAACAGACCCAACUCAGCUACAUUAACCAACUCAAUUCCCAGACCCAGACCUCCGACUACGAAGACUAGCCUACUCCAACCAAUACUGGGUAGUCUUUGUGAUGGAAGGUCCAAGAUUUGGCGAAUGUUCAGCAUCGAGGUCCUCCCCAGUGGCGAGAAGAAGGUCAUUAACAUGGCGUGGGGUGUGAAAUUACCCACAAAAUCUAGUGGUUACGCGGGCCACAUGAAGAGGUGCCAAGAGAAUUAUCUCCCUGAAAUGGCCAAGCCCAAGGGGGAGGUCCACCGUCGUUGCAACAGGCCACGAUUGUAGUCCGUUCAAGUACAACAAUGCUCAGGCUCAAUGCCCAAAUCAACAGUAUAGACUCCAGGCCGAGGUAGCAUUUGGGUGCACCCAAGAUCCAGGGUUCGUUGAGUUCGUCAAGGGGCGUUCGGUCAAAUUACAAAUGCAUUACAAGGACCACGAAUACUGGGAAAUACAAGGGUCUACACAAGGAGAAAUGAGCAAAGUCGGUGCGGCUGCUAUCCAUAGAUAACUUUUGAGUGUCAUUGACUUCAAACUUGGGGACUAACCUGAAGGACUGUGGUUAUUGUUGUGUGCUAGAAAGGACCAUAUUGGUUACUGCAUCACCGAACUUUCACAAAUUACAAAAUAUUUGUGUGGAAAUUAUGAGAUCAGUGAAAGACUUUGGCAUUAGGGAGAAAGCAUUUUCCAUUACUUAGGAUAAAGCCUAUGUAACAAUGUGAUUGCUAGGAACAUGGUCGCCCAGAUGUGGCUAGUUUGCAAUGGCCAAUUCUUCCGUGUAUGCUGCAUAGUGCGGUGUUACCAAUCUUUGCGCACAACAUAGUCUUAGGCUCUUAAAGAUUUUUAUGAUUCUUCUGUAAGUCGUCUAAGCUGGUGGGUUCACUACCUAGGUUCCACCCCCUUUAAGGGUUCAAGAUAUGGAGACGAUGUGCGCGGAAUGCGGAAGGGAGCCCCAAAAAAGCUCCCUCAGAUGUCAAAAUUAGGUGGAAUUCCACCCAUCUGAUGUUGCAGAAGGCCUGCAUUCAGAUGGAUGUCUUGACCUCGUUUUCUUUCCAUUAUUACAGGUUGAUUGGAGGGUUGCCAAACGAUUCAAGCACCUCCUGGAGGUGUUCAACAACGCCACAGUUGUGCACUAAAAAGACAUCAGGCUCUACCAGAAAGUUUAUUUAGUGACUCAUCUAGGGGGCAUAAUGAGGAAUAUAUAUAUGCAUACAUGCAUAUAUAUAUAUAUAUAUAUACAUAUGCAUGUUUAAACGUGUGUACAUAUGUCAUGUAUAAAUCUGGUAUGCCGGGGAAUUGAUCAACAUUAUCCAGCUAUUAUACCCAUUUAUAUUAGAGAUUGAUGGAUGGAUGAUUCCCAAAGGUUCAAUGAUUGGCCAGAGAAUGUUUUGUGGAGCUCUUUCGGCCUUUGGAUUUUACACAUAGGCAGUAUGCCGCCAAAUAGGACAAGUAUAAAUAGCGUGGCAGACUUCAUUUCCAUGUCCCUAAAAGUGAAAAGAAAAGGGGGAAAAAAAGCACAACGGGAAACCCGUUGUCUUAUUGAAACCCACUAAUCGAUGAGUGACCACCAUAAUUGACGAAGCCACAUCCACAUUGCUAAUAAUCAUAUGAAAUGUGAAAGGAGCCAUCCAAUUAAUCUAAUCCACAAGAAUUAGGAAUAAGUUGUUUUAGCACUGUCAUUGCCACAUAUAACAUAAAUUCAGGAAGACCAAGACUUUCCAGGCCGCAAAUUGGUUUUGUUACUUCACUUUUCACAUUUUUUUUGUUUGAAUAAAAUAUUAUUUAAUAAUCAGCAUUAAUUGUUAUUCUCUUGCUCAAAAUCAACAAUAAUGUUUGUCUAACUUUUUUCAUGUUUAAUCAUAUUUUGAUUAUUAAUUCAUUUAUCUCUAUGGUACUUGUCUAUUAGAAUUAUGUCUAGAUUUUCAUGUAUCUUAUCAAAUAUAAGCUUAAUAAAAGCAAAAAGAAAAGCUAAAAAGAAAAAACAGCAAAAAACUGAAAAUAUAUAUAAUAUAUAUAUGAAGGAAUGGGGCAAGAGAGAGCACCACCAUUUCCACGGCCACCGCCAUUCUGUUGGUGUCAGCACCACCGCCAAGGCGACUCAUGCCAAUGUUGUUGCCACUAUCGCAGCCAGUGAAACUAGCCAUAUCAAUUAUCACAUCUAAUGACCUUUAAUUACCUAAUGACUGGUGUAACUUAAUCUAGAGAGGAAUUUACAAUAUAAAGAAUGUAUUUUAGGAUUCACGAUUUCUCAGUUGCAUCGUCAAAAGUUGGGUUCCAUGUGAAGACCACCUGAUCCAAUAGUGGAUAAACCUAUUCUUAGAUGCUCGACUACCUAAUUGAAACUAGUAAGUUCUUAACUUUUUUUUUUUUUUUAAUCUUUAAAGGAUGAACGACCAACUACACCACCAAUAAAACGAGGGCUGAUAUUUUAGAAUCUCAAAGCAUGAAGGGCAAGUUGAGAAGAUGUCAACAUGGUGCAGUGAAGAUUUAGCUCAAGAUACUCAACUUUUUUACCUCAAAGAAAGCAACUUUCAUGCAUGCACUAUUGUCCUAUAUGAGAAAAAAUUGACAGUGACACCCACAUUGACCCAACAGAAAGGGCCAGUAACCACUUCAACAGAACGAAGACUCCACCAGCCACAAAUGCAAGUUUAUCAUUCACUGCACAAAUACAUACAGACAGCGAGCUACUAGGACAACUUAAGCACGCUUUAAGCAUAACAAUGUGACAAUCCAAUAUGAAAUCAUAAUGAAUCCAAAGCGUCACUUUCUUACAUGGAUAUACAUGCUGAGGAGGUCCAAAUACACACAGGUAACACCAGACAACUAAUGGCUUUACUUGACUCAAAUCAGGGCAACACGGAAUGCCAUCAUAUUUUAUAUGUUUCAAGUCUUGAAUUGCCCCAAUUUGAUGGAAAACAAAUGUAACACCAAUGCAGCAUCUCUCUAUAUGUCCACACAACUAGAAUACUACCGAAAUGAGAUUGAAAUACUCACAUUCCCCAUGCGAACAAAAGCGGCCAGCAAAUACCCUUAUUAUAUUCAAGGCUGGAAACGAUGACAAUUUGAUGAGCAAUCAACGUCCAUACAUGCCCAUCUCACUAUGCAUAUUUAUGCACCUCAAGGACUUUGUAUAUAACAUCAUACGUAGAUCAUUCAUACCAGAACUUCUCAUGUCCAGCAGCUAAGAGGAGUAAUACCAUGUACAUCUUCAACAUGAGUUAACACAGCAAAUGCACGCAUGAACAGCGAACAUCAAACACACGUAACCCGCAUUUGACAUACUAAAAGGACACAUAAUCGCAUUUCAAUCAACUUUAUACAAGAAAUGUAGUGAGACACGAGCAGUGCAACUUCAAUGGGAUAACAAAACGUUGGUAAAAGAAUGCAAUAGAAAUUAACUAUCUAUGACUCAGGCAUUCUGUCGAACUGGUAGAACGCCUACUCGUCAAAGAACUAAUAUACGCCAUCUUCAAGCAGCGAUUCACUUACAGUCAUUACUAUCAGCGAUGACCAAGGUCCAGAACAUCGACAGAAACUGAGAAGGAGGAAAGUCCAUGAAGAAGCCGAAAACCAGAGAGAGAGAGAGAGAGAGAGAGAGAGAGAGAGAGAGAGAGAGAGGACUUGGCUUUUGCGAUCGAACGGCGAGGAGCUAAGCAGAAGGGGCUGUUGUAGUCGGAGCAAAGGCUGAGAGACGUCAGAAACUGAGCCGGAGCUCUGCCCAACUCAGCGCUCUCCCUCGUUACAAUUCUUCUUCCAUCAUCUUCUAGUGGCUUUUGUUUUGCACCGAAUCCUUUGACAAAAGUUAUGUCUUUUAAGGGGUUCCAUGGAUGCUGAUAUUCUUUUGGUCGACUCACCUUACGGUCCCAUAAAUUGUUGUCAGGUGAUGACGACGACUCAUCUUUAUCACUCUAGAAUUAGGAAGGAGAGGGAAUAAUAAAGAUUACGAAGCCUAUCAUUAACUAAAGCCAAAGAGAGCCGUUGUAAUAAGUCAUUGUUCUCCAUACUUGACUAUGUGUUUUCGCACAUAAUUAUGCCAUAAUUUUAAGGGAGAAGUACACUAUCAAUGCCAAAAGUUGUGUACGGUGCUCACUUUGAUGCCAAAAGUUUCAGUCAAAUCAUUAAGUGCCAAAAAGUUUGAAAAACACUCAUUUCAGUGCCAACAUCGAUCUGGUUGGCUAGAAUUCCGAUGUGACAAUUUUUUUAUUAAUAUUUAAAGUUGAUGUGGAUCGCCGGAGAGUACAAUCAACAUGCAAAUAACAAAACGAUACAGUUUAGCUUCUUUUCCCCUAAAUAAGAAACCCUAAAUCUCCAAAUUCAACCAAAAUUGGAAGUUGAAAACCCUAAAUCCCCAAUUUGACCAAUUUGAGUGCAUACUUCGAUUUUCUUCCAAAGUUAUUAGCUCGCUCUUGCAAAUGGAGGGUAGAAGCUUCAGCAGCGGCUCACAUUCCUAUAAAAAAAAAGUGAAUUAGAUGGUGAGUGUUACUGUUAUUGUGGGUUACUGAGUCCGAGAAGAGCAUCUUGGACUCAGUUGAAUCCCGAGAGUAGAUCUCAUGGGUGCGGCGGAUAUAGAGAAGGCUCGAAGUGCAAAUAUUUUAAAUGGUUGAUAGAAAAUUCUCUAAUCAAGCAACAUAGGUGAUCUUGGAGUUACUUGAAGGCCGAAAUCAACCUCCACCUAAGUUAAUGGAUGAGUUGGAGGAUUUCGACUCAAUGCAAGCUCAAAUGAAGGGUUUAACAUCUCUAGUUGACCAUUUGAAGAGGGAGGUUUCAAGGCUGAAAAUUGAAAGAAACUUUUAUCGAGCGUUGAUUGUGUUCUUAUUCUCUUGGGUAGUUUAUUCAAAUGUGAAGUGAGUAAUGAGAAUAAGUCUGUAUGUAUAUUAUAGUCGAAGACGUGGAAUAUGCACUUAUAUUGGAUUAUUUAUAAGUAAAAUAUGUUUUUUUUGCUACAAUUUUUGUAUAAAGCAGAAAGUUUUGUUGUAGUCUAUGGUAGAAAUGGAAGGUUGAGUUGGAAUGCAUUAGUUUUGAGCAGUUAAAAGUUUUAUUGUUUAGUUGUGUAUUGUCAAUGUUUGUUUUGGUUAGUUUUUGUUUCAAAUAUAAUGGUUUGCUACAUUUUUUAUUAGGUAAUGGUUUGCUGGUUUGUUGGUUUGCUACAACUGCAAACCAUGGUGAAAUGGAAGGUGCUUUUGGAAUGCAUUAGUUAUGAGUACUUAAAAAUUUUAUUGCUUAGUUGUGUAUUGUCAAUGUUUGUUUUGGUUAGUUUUUGCUUCAAAUAUAAUGGUUUGCUGCAUUUUUUAUUUGGUGAUGGUUUGCUGGUUUACUAGUUUGCUGAUUUGUUGCAACUGCAAACCAUAGUGAAAUUAAGAGAUGGUGGCAAAUUCACAAUUGAUCAUUUCAGUGCUAUAAGUUGUAAAUAGUGAUCACUUGAGUGCCAAGUUUUUAUAAAAGUGAUCAUUUAAGUGCCAGUCGCGAUUACAACGUGAUCACUUGUGUUGCACAAGUUUUUUUUUUAUAAAAAGAACAUGUUAGUUUCCUUAACUUGCACCAGUCGUGAUGCAUCUUGCAUCUUGUUGCACCAGUUGGGUUGCUGGAGCAUUUUCUUGUACCACCCCAUACAAUAGUGUUAAUUCAACAAGAUGCACCAGCACCUAAAAUUGCAUCUUGUUCUUGCACCAGCACAUAUAAUUAGAACCUCACAAAUUCAUUAGCAUCCAUAACUUCAACUAGCUACAGUAUGCAGGCAACAACUACCAUCAACAAAAAAAAUAGACAGCAUAACUGUUAUAACUGUCUUGCUAGCAUUACUAGCCGAAAUAACCAACAAAAGAGAAAAUAACAAAAAUAGCUAUUACCAUUGAUAUUGAUUUAUUGUUUACAAAAGAAAAACAUAUCUAGCUUCACUCCUCAAUCACUGAAGGUUCAGCACCCUCUUGAAAAAAAAGAAACAAUGGCAAUAUGCAGGUAGCAACUAUCAUCAAUGAUAUAAUAUUCAGCACCCUCCUAAAAAAAGAAAACAUGUAGCACCACAUAACAAGAGACCAUGUCUAGCACCCUCCCAUCAGGCAAUAUGGACAACAUCUCGAUCUCCUUUUCCUCUUGGAGGUUUGAACUAAUUCAUAAUCCGAGCACUCUUUCGAACUAGAUGUGCAGGUUCUUUAAUUGGGCUUUCUAUCACUUCCUUUUCCUUGUUCUUGACAGCAGCUAUUUUUGUUCUAGCACGUGUCAUGUGUUGGUCCAUAUCAUUACUAUUGCUCUUAUGAUUAGUUGGUUGAGAUGGAACUGGUGCUGGGUUCUUUUUGGAUGGCUGUUUUGCAGCUAUACCAGCUGUCUUCUUCUUUGGAGCACUCUUCUUUGGUUGCACCAUUGAUUCUUGAGUUGGCCCACCUUGAGAGAGAAGUACUUCCGAAGUUCUCCCAGGUUACAAGAACAUAGCGAUAUUGUCAACCAAAUGAAUUGAAGUACAACAAAUUAAAUGCAUAAGACAUACAUAUCUUACAUUCAAAAUAGUCAUUUUAGUAUGUUCAUCUGUGUAAAUCCCAUAACCAUAUUGCCUUAAUCUUUUUCCAAGAGCCCCUCUUGUUUGUUGUGGUGCAUUAUUUUCAAUAGCAACAAAUGGGGGAGCAACCUCUGCAACUUGUGCAGUUGUGCAUCUUCUCACUUGAGAAACACAACAAAUUUAAAUUUCAGCCCAUAAAAAACAAACACAGCGAUGCACAACUUACAUGAUAUUUUUUUUCUUAUUUGCUCAACAGUGGACUCAGUUGUUGUUACUAUCCUGCCCAUUCCAGUCCCUGUUCCUUCACUUGAGCCUACAACAUGGUCUGUUUCUAGCCCUUUAGUAUGCCUUACAACAAUGUACUAUAUUAGGAUUAUGACCAAUUACAAUGAUUUGAAUAAUUAGACAUCUACUCAUUUUCAUGGUGGGAAACUAGGAGAAAACUUCUCAAAUUACAAGUGCAUGACAGAGGAAAAACAUAAGAGAAGCCAGUACACCUGGUCAACCAUCAAACUCUAUCGAAUAUGAACUGAAAAGUUACUGAGGCAAAGAGAAUACUUACCUUACAGCAGGACUUUCUAUUUGCCCUUUAGUAGGCAUUACAGCAAGGCCUUCUGUCUUCCCUUCAAUAGGCCCAAGAAGAAGCUCUUCAGUAGGUCCUGUCCCUGGCACUAAAUCGGCUUGCUGUUGAUGCUACUUUUUUAGCUUACAACCUUUCUUAUUGUGUCAUUCCUUGCGGCAAUAGGAGCAUUUCAUCUUUGCCCAAGUCUUACUCAUCCUCUGACUUGAUACCUCUUCUUGUUACAUUCUUCGUCUCCUCUUUGGCCUUCCUAUUUGCUUCUUCAAUGACAAAGGUAUAGGGUGGCUCCCAAAAUUUGCUGCUUCUGAUAGGCUGCAUCAUGAAUUGGUAUGAAGCAAGGUAUGAGCCUUUUUUGUACCGAUCAUCUAGGUAAUCAUCUAGGUUUUCUUGCUUCAUUUGAAUAGCACAAAUGGCAUGGGCACAGGGAAUUCCAUUCAGUUGCCAGGCUCGGCAUGAACACUUUCUUCUAUCCAGGUUGACAACAUACUUAUCCUGAUUAUGAAGAAUCUCAUAUCCAUUAUUUCCAUUCCAAACUGGAUUGCAGAACCUACUAGCAGCAAUGUUUGCAUCCAAUCUCUUCACAAUCCUAGGGCCAUAGUCUCUAGUCCAUUUCGUAGCCUCAUCUCUUUGCCUAUGUAGUCUAGUCAUCACCAUAACUCGAAUAUCAUCAAGCAUGCUGAUGAUUGGUUUGCACCUGGCCUCUAAAAUUCUGCCAUUGAAAGCUUCACUGAGGUUGUUAUCAAUGAUAUCACAUUUGAACUCUUCGUUGAAGAAGGCCCAACACUAGUGCUUAGCUUCUAUUUGGAAGAGUGCAUCAAAACCUUCCUUUGUCAGCUGCAACAAUCCUUGUUUGGCUAAUAUGAAAUCAGCCAUGUUGGUACUCUUCACUAUUUGCUAGAGCUACUUCUGCAACCUAUCUCUUUUGAAGUUCCUUGACUAGUUUGCAUAUAUGUGUCUCGCGCACAUUCUAUGCUCAGCAUGGGGCAUCAACUCAGCCAAUGCAGUAAUAAGUCCCUACAAAAAUUCAAACCAAUAAAUACAAUUCAAGACAAAUAUGCAAGUGAUUACUAUUAAAAGGGAAUGAAUUAAUUGAUAAGGAAAUUACAUUCUGUUGGUCUAUCAUGAAUGCCCAUCAUCCCCCAUCGGUUAUCUUAAGGUCAGCCAUUAAAUUUUUUAGGAACCAGGACCAAAUAUCAUUGUUCUCUAUCUUCACCAUCGCCCAAGCUAUCGAAAACAUUUGAUUAUUGGCAUCUCUCCCCACAGCAACCAACAACUCCCCUUUGCAUAAACCCUUUAGAAAGCAUCCAUCCAAUUAUAUAACUCUUCUACAACCAGCCAAGAAGCCCCUUUUGCAUGCAUCAAAAUAGACAUAAAAUCUAUCAAAUUUAGUCCCAAGACCAGGGAGUGGCCUCUUCACAAUCUCUACAUAUACCCUACUAGAUGAGUUUUGAAACAUGCAUUCGGCUGCAUAAUUCCAUACAUGCGCAUAUUUUUCUUUAUACCCACUCAUUAAUAUUUUCAUCACCCUCAUUUUAGCUCUCUUGCAUUGAUUCCUUGACACAUUAACCCCUAAUUGCUCCUUUACUAAUAGCUGAAAUUGAGGACUCUUGAUCUUGGGCAUUGCUUUGAUAGUAUUGAAAAAAUGUUUCGAUAACCACACACUUGUUACCAUUUUAUUGUUAAAGAUAAUUGGACAAGUAUGCUUCUCCUGGAAAGACCUAAUAUGGAAUGACCCAUUCUUACUCAGCACGCCAUAGAGCUUCCAUGGACAAUUUGGUUGUGAGCACUUAGCUUUCACAAAUUCUUUCGUGUUUCUAAUGAAUUGAACGCUCUUCUGUUCAGCAAUGGAGUUCUUCACAACAGCUUCCUUGAACUAUUUGGCAUCGUCAAAUCUCAUGCCCACAGACAAAAUAGGUUUAUCAACAGUCGGAUCAUAGCAAUUGUACUUACUUUUGUUUUUUUUGCCAUGAGCAGGUUCUUCAUCAUCAUUGUCAAGCUCAUUCUCCGAACCAACAACUUUAUCACUAUAACUUUCUUCAUCUUCAUUUCUAUUACCUUCAGCUAGAGUUCCAUCCCUAUUUAUUGGCUCAGGCCUCUUUACUGAAGCUGUAACUUUUUUUCUAAGAAAUUCCUUUUGCUUUUUUCUUGACUGUGUGAGUUCAUCAUCAUCUUCGUUACUUAGGAAACUUACUGAAGCCAAAUAUUCAUCUUCCAAUUCACUGGAUAUAACAAUUUCCCAUUCUAAUCCAAUGAAGUCUUCAUUGCCCACAUCUUCUCCCAAUAUUUCAGGACAUCUCCCUAUAUGUUCUCUAUCAAUAUGACUUCCCUUCCUCUCAUUUUGCCCUUCAUCUAACCUAAACUCAUCCCCAACCUGAUUACUCGCUUGAAUAGGAUCCCUCACUUCUCCUCUUUUAGUGGUGGUCCCCUCAUCCCCAUCUUCAUUAUAAUAUUCAACAUAUACCCUAGCUUCUUCGCCAUGAAGAUAAUGGUAAAUGAUAUCCUUAAUACCAUUAUCGUCAUUAAAAAAUCUCAAGUCAUCCUUCAAUUCCUUCCCAAGAAUACAGUAAUGUGGUUUUUGCACUUUGCAUUGUAAAAAAUACACCACAUCCCUCAGAAAAUUAAUAUAUGAUGGCUUUCGAACAUUGACAUAGAUAAUACCUUCAUUUCCACCACUAUAUUCCCAAUCCUCGGUGCCAAUAACAAACUCUCCACCAUAACAAACAAUGACACCUACCUGAUUCUCGUCCAUGUCCAUGCUACACCCAAUGAAAAAAUAAAAAGUCAUUAGUUUUCAAGACCACAUGAUAGAAUUAGAAACUUCACAUGCAGGUCCUUGUCAUUUUGUUGUCAAGAAACAAAUGCGAGGUCAACCAUUCAAUUUGGUGCUUUUAUAGAAACAAAUGAAACCGAAUUGAAUAAACAAAGUGAGGUCCCCACCACCCAUUUUUCAAUUCAAUCACAUUUGGUUCCCACAGAAGCAGUCCAAUUAAUUAAACAAAGUAAGAAACCACCACCGUUUCCCUCCAAGUUGAGCCCCAUUUUCCCCUCCGCGCCCUAUUUUUCUAUUUGGUCCCCACAAAAGAAAGCGAAUGAACCAUGGAACCCUCAAUUUUUCUUUUCGGUCUCCACAAAAGAAAGCAAACGAACGACGGAACCCUCAAUUUUUCUAUUUGGUCCCCACCACUUUCCCCCACCACUUUCCCUUUGAGCAGAGCCCUCAAUUUACCCUCCGCGCCCUAACUUGCCCGUCGAAACCCUAAAUUUUUCACUAAAUUGACCCGCGUCAAGAACAUGACAAACCUGAGUGAGCAAGAGUUAGGGAUGCAGCCAGUGAACGACCGUGAACGGUGGCGUAAUUACAGUGGUGGCCGAGUGACAGUGGGCGAGCGACGGCGUGCGAGCGAUGGCGGGCGAGCGAACAAUGGUGGGUGAGCGAGCUUCAACCGGCAUCGAGCGAGAAUCGUAUACAAACCCUAGUGAAUCCCUCUUCGAUGACGUCGUUUUUUACCAUAGUGAAUCCACUCUAUUUUACAAAAUGAUGGCCGUUUUCUAAGCGAUUCACGUGGACUGGUAAAACAUCGUCGUUUCUUAAGAAGAAAGGAAAACAACGUCGUUUUAUGCCAUACACCAAGGAUAGUCGAUUUUUUUUUAAAAUAUAAAAGCCACGUAAUCAUUUUGGCCGGAAUCUCUCGCCGUUGGCACCAAAGUGAUCAUUUUUCUCCGAUUUGGCACGUAAGUGAUAUGAUGGAAACUUUUGGCCCUUAAGUGAGUGCCGUACACAACUUUUGGCAAUGAUAGUGUACUUCUCCCUAAUUUCGAGCUCAUGUGAAUAGUAAUCACGUUAACAUCAAGCAUAUUAUCUAUUAUUUUUUUCUUCAGGAAACUAAAUAUUUCAAACGGCUCCCAUUGUAUUCAAAUGCAGAGCAUACUUAUUCAUUUGAGUAGGCUCGAUAGUGAAAAAAGAAUUGCCCAUCGAGUUUGGCUCAGCCUAGCCCAAAUAUAAGGGAAAAUAGCUGUGCAAGCUUGAGGGCAAUGACUCUUCUCUUAGACCUUGGAGCUACCAAGACUUGCCCAACAUGGGUUUACUGUUUGGUGAAUGCAAGACUUGAAUGAGUCUGGGCAAGCACCUUUGUUCUUGGGUGCUUGCCCCGACGCUAUUGUUUUUGGUAAGAAAGUAUAAUUGUUUACAAAAUCAUAGGCCAGGCCAAGCAAGAAUUUUGAUGGCUGAUAUCCGACUUGGUCUGUCUAGGCUCCCCAUUCAAUACUUCUACAAAUAGCGAGUGUUGUCCCAGCUGAACAACUAUUUUUUUUUUUAACCUUAUCACCCGAAUUGUAUGUCAAGUCCAAGUGCAAUCCGAUCCCUUUUGGGAUUAAGGCCCAAGAGUUUGGACCUACCAACGGCGGCCCAUUCACUACCUUUGAAGCAUGGUGUUAGGGCUUAAUCCUAUUACAAUUGUCAAAAUCAGAUUGAAUUCACAUUUAACACUAAAAGCACCUAAAACAUUUCGAAAAUCUAUUUGUAAAAUCUUCCUAUUCUUUUGAAAUUUAAAUUUUUAUUUCAUACUUUCCUAUUCUUUUAAAAUUUGAAUUUUUAUUUCAUACUACAAAAUUUUAAGAAGGGACAUGUUUCAGGGAACUAAUUAAGAUCUUUUUUUUUUCUUGCUUCUCUUUGGUAUUAAACUAGGAACUCUAUUAAGGGAAUGAUAUAAGUUCUAAGGCAUCAAUAUCGCUUCACAUGCAAAAUGUCAAUAUUAUCGAAUUUUUCUUAUUUGUAGCCUGCUUCAAAUAUUAAGAUUUUUUUUUUUCGGGUAAGAAAAUAUUAAGAUCAAUUGAUUGCAAUGGAUUGCUUUUAUGUUGAAGAUUCGCAAAAGCCAUUUUCCAUUUCCCUUUUUUUUUCUUCUAACAAGGGGAAAAUUGCUCAAAAGUUAUUUUAACCUUAGCAAAUGAUAUCCUUGACUAAUGAUUUUGCUUAUAUAAUUGAUUUACAUCUAUAUACUAGUAUAUCACGCAGCGUUGUUGGGAAAAUCAACCAAUCUAAGUCGUUGGCUACAAAUAUGUAAGUAUUCUCGAAACAUUCAUUAUUUAAUUUAGUCAUAUAAAAUAUCAAUAUAUAUUGUAAAGAAAAAAACAAGAAGAUUCAUAACACUUUGUAUAAAGGCAACUAACUUGGGUUGACUAGAAGAUAAGUACAUUGAAGACAUCUAAAAUUCUUACAAAUCGUUGAGAAAGAUUACUUAUUAAAUUACAUAAAAAGCGAAACAAACUAAAAAAUGGAAAGAGUAACAUUUUUUUUUCACAUUAAUUGGACUUCAUCUCUAUCGAAAAAUAGAUCACUAUCAUUGUCAAUAUAUCUUUUUUCUUUACAAGGCUAUAUAUAUAUAAGUACACAUACAAGUAUUGCUAGGGUAACAAUCGCCUAUUAGGUAAACUAUUCGCUUUCUAUAUGCAUUACCCCCACAAAUCAACUCGCACAAAUAUAAAUAUUUUCUUCCUCUACAUAUCACUCCUACAAAUCAGCUCACACCAACACUCCCCCUCAAGUUGGUGCAUAAAUGUCACUAAUGCCCAACUUGUCAAGUGAGCUGUAGAAGGCUCUGGUUGAGAUUGCCUUCAUCAAUAUAUCUGCUAGCUGAUCUUCAGACCUCACAAACGGGAAUUGAACUAUCUUUGCAUCCAAAUUCUACUUAAUAAAAUGACGAUCAACCUCAAUGUGUUUGGUUCAAUCAUGCUGCACAAGAUUAUGUGAUAUGUCAAUAGCUGCCUUGUUAUCACAAAAGAGCUUCAUCUCGAAUCUAUGAGGAAAUCCCAAUUCAGACAUCAGCUUUUUAAGCCACAAAAGCUCACAUAGCCCUUUGGCCAUCCCUCUAAACUCUGCCUUUGCACUCGACAAAGCCACCACUUUCUGUUUCUUACUUCUCCAAGUGACCAGAUUCCCCCCCCACAAAUGUAAAAUACCCUGAAGUUGACCUCCUGUCGUACACACUCCCCGCCCAGUCUGCAUCUGUGUAACCUUCAAUUCCAAGAUGACCAUUCCUCAGGAAUUUUAACCCUCUCCCUGGAGAUGCUUUCAAAUACCAAAUUAUUCUCACCACAGCAUUCAUAUGGUCUUCACUAGGAGCAUGCAUGAAUUGACUUACGAUACUUACCGCAUAUGCAAUGUCUAGACGCGUAUGCGAUAAGUAGAUUAACUUCCCCACUAACCUUUGGUAUCUCUCCUUGUUUGUUGGUACUUGAUUGGGAUACUCUCCAAGUUUAUGAUUCUCCACGAUUGGGGUAUCCGCUGGCUUACAAUCUAGCAUCCCUACUUCUGCCAACAAAUCUAGUACAUAUUUGCUUUGAGAUAGGAAUAUUCCCCCUUUUGAUCUUGAUACCUCUAUUCCCAAAAAAUACCUUAGUUCUCCUAGGUUUUUAAUCUCGAACUCUUCAGAAAGCCUCCUUUGGAGUGAGGUGAUUUCUUUCACGUCAUCCCCUGUAAUGAUUAUAUUGUCAACAUGGAUAAUCAAUGCAGUUAUCUUCCCUUCUUGUCGUUGAAGAAACAAGGAAUUAUCCGACUCACUCUUUUUGUACCCACACUUCUUUGUUGCCAUACUAAACCGACCAAACCAAGCCCUUGGUGAUUGCUUCAAACCAUACAAGGACCUUUUCAAUUUGCAGACCACAAUUGGAUGUGAGGAAGACUUGUAUCCUAGUGGUAUAUCCAUAUAAAUCUCCUCCUCCAAGUCACCAUGGAGGAAUGCGUUCUUCACAUCAAACUGAUGUAGUGGCCAGUCUAAAUUAAUUGCAAGAGACACCAAAACUCGAAUAGUAUUAAGUUUUGCAACAGGAGAGAAAAUCUCUUGGUAGUCAAUUCCAUACGUCUGCGUGUACCCUUUGCUACCAAUCUUGCCUUGUAUCUUUCAAUGGACCCAUCCGCCUUAUAUUUGAUAGAAAACACCCAUUUGCAUCCCAUUGUUUUCUUUCCCUCAGGUAAGUCCAUCAAUUCCCAUGUUCUAUUUUUUUGCAAUGCCUUUAUCUCUUCUUCCAUAGCCUGAACCCACUGUGGAUCCUCCAAAGCUUCUUGUACUCCAUUCGGAAUUUGAACCGAAGAUACAACCAACACGAACUACUUCAAUGGUUUCGGGCGCGCAUGACAACCAUUCUGUUCCAGAAAUAGUUUCUGAAACCGAAAUAGAUUUUUCUAUUUCUAUUUCUGGAUGAGUUUCUGAGCAAAAAAAUCUGUUUGAUAUCGAUACAAAUUUUUUAUUUUAGAAAUAGAAAUUGGUUUGAUAACAGUAUAAAAUUUCUAUUUCUUAAAACAAUUUUUUUCUUUUUUUGGAGCAAAUGAGAUGUCAAUUCUUACAAAUUUCAUAUGCUUAUGAACCCAUUGACCCAAAUACAAAGUAAGAGUUUUUUUUUGGUAAAGUCUCCCUUUUUUGAAAAAAAAAAUACAAAGUAAGAGGUGUUAUAUCAAAUUUUCUAAAUUUUCACACAAAAUUCUUUAGCAUCCACCUAGAUAGGCAAUUACGGUCAAACAAUAUACUUAUCAAUAGUCUCCAUACAAUAGAAAAAGGAGAUACAUAUGCAUUACUCUUGAGCAUGAUAGAAGGUUCCCAAAACUCUAGUAGAAUGACGGUAGGCAACCAUAUUCUAAUCCACUUCAUGCUAGUGUGUCACGUCGAUCGUCGCCACGGUUUACGAUAUCGAGCAAUCAUUUUAGAAAGAAACACAAAGAAGUGUAUUGGGCAAUUUGCGGCAAAUUUUACAAAAUCGGCGAAUUUGGCGAAGUGUAAUAGAGCUUGUCAUAAAGAACCAUUACAAAUAAGGGAAAUCCUCAAGUCGAACAUCACAUUACAAGAAUUGAGAUAGGAAUCAUCAAAUACAAUAUCACAUUACAAAAGCAAAGAUUGGAAAUCCUCAAAUACAAAAUAAUAGAAAUAGAUUACAAAAGUUGAAAACACGAUUUCAUGGAAUGUCCGGCAUAUUAUGAUCCCUUACCAUCUUAUUGGCAAUACUUUUUCUAAGCAUAUUCAUCUCAGUUUUCUCCUCGGUCGAUGUAUCGCCUAUAACCUCAUCUUGUGUAGGUUCAAAUGAGUACUCUAGAUCUCCAUAUAAGGAAAAGUUUCUAUCCCUCCUAUCUUGCUCAUGGAUAUAAUUAGGGAUAACACAACAUGCAAUUACAACAUGUGCUUGCUUUCAAAUUGCAAAUGCAGGCAUGUGUUUCAAAAUAAAGAAGCGAUUCUUUAAUGCUGCAAAUGAUCUCUCAAUGACAUUCCUUAGUAAAGAAUGCCUAUAGUUGAACAACUCUCUUACUGUUCUUGGUCAUCUUGCUCUACUCUUAUAAUCAUUUAGAUGAUACCAUUCACGUCUAAAAGGAGUUAAGAAUCCUAGAAUUGAUGCAUAACCAGAAUCUACAACAUAGUAUUUGCCUAUAACAAAGUACUCAUAUAUUAGUAUUGAUUUGUAAAUACAAUACAAUCUUAUAGAAAAUUGAUAAUUCUAGAACAAGUAAAUACCUAGUGGUGGUCGAGUAAAUUCCAAGCGAGGAGUCUCAUGUGUUGCUGAUAGCACCCGACAAUUGUUGGCAGAUCCUUCCCAAUCAGCAUACACAAAAGUGAAUUUCAUAUCAAACGAACAUACACAUAUCACAUUUUGAGUGGUAAUUCAUUUUCUGCCUCUAAAUGCAAUUUGCUUCGACAUAGGUAUAGAAGCAUGAACAUGAGUACCAUCAAUAGCGCCCACACAAUCCUGUCAUUUUAUCAAAGACUAGUGUUAUAUAAGAUUAGCAACAAAAUGAAACCGAUAUUGUAAAUGAAUGUAUGAAAAUCUUACCUUGAAGUAAAGUUUAUGGUUGGGAUUCAUAAGAAUCUCAUUUGGGACCACAUCAAAGGAAGGUGGUACGAUAAUCUCUUUUGCAAGUUUGAGAACUGCUUUCAACACUAUAAUAAAGUAUUUGCUAAUAGUUUGUCCCAAACGUUAGAAUCUCUUGCAUAAAGUUCUAUUCGAGUUCUUAUGACAAAUCAUAAAUAAGAAUAUCUCAAUUUGUUCAUCUACCUUUAUAAAUCGACUAUCUUCCAGCCAACCUCUUGCCUUCAUCAAAUCAUAAAAGUUGAGAAAGACGUAUCUCUCCAUUCUAAAAGAUUCAUAUAUUCUAUCUGAAUGUCCUUGAAGAACCUCCCUCAUCCAUUCAGGUCCUGAGAAUAUGCUAUCCCUAAUAGGUUCUCUUGAGUGCAUAGACAUAUCCACCACAAUCAUGCUCAACCAUGCUAUCAUAAUAUCAUUAUCAAAAUCAUCAAAGUUUAGUUCAACCGAUUCACCUAUUGCUACUUGAUCACUAUACAUGCUACUUUCAUCCCCCUCCAUAUUACCUAUGCCAUCACAUGAAAAAAGAAGAUAAACACAAUAUAUAAGUAAGGAAUCUAAUAAUAAUCAACAAUAGCCACAAAGUUUUCAUAAAUGCAUCAUAAAAAGACCAAAGUAUCUCAAAUACAUAAGUCAUAGAGUGAAAUUAAAUAAAAUAUAUAAAUCCAUAGCAUACUGCUCAACAUCUAUUUAAAGAGGUUCAAGAAAUCCACGUCUCCUUUCAGGUAGCAUUGUGAUGAAAGCCUCUCUCCAAGUGGCAUUACGACAUGAUUGGUUCACAGCUUUGUUGUAAAUAUUAUGCUCUAAAUCAAGCAUGCCAUUUAGGACGCCAACCAUGGCUGCUGUGGAGUAGGAGUUUACAGUUGAUGGGGCAUCUGAGGUCACAGAGCCACUUGUUGAUUGAGCAGUCCUGAUUUUAAUCAUUUCUUGAAUGGCUUUACAUAUGUCACUAACAUCAUAUCUGUUGCUUUUCCUCCUCUUAGAAUUUGGAGUCCUAUUCUGAUUGUGUUUCUUACGAUUUGAGGUAGUAGUCAUAUCAGGUAUGAAGACUUCCUCAUUAAUAUGUUGUUCAUCAAAUUCCUCUAGAUCACCUACUACAUAACCACUACCACUACCACCAUCGUCAUCACCAAUGUCGUCUCUCUCCGAGGACACUACCACUUCUUCUGCAUUUCCUACUGCAUACUUCCUAGUAUCAUAUGUAUCACCAAACACGAUACACAAAUCAGGAUACUGAGGAAACCCAUCAUUUCUGAAUUUAGCCCAUUCGCUAUUAUUCUAGAAUUUAUACAAUAAUGAUAGAUGUCAACAACAUAAUCAAAGCUUGCAAUACAAUAUGAAGAAAAUGACCCUAAUAAAUUGAUACCUUGAUGUGAGACUCCCACACACUUUGAUCCUCCACAGCAACCUUAUUGUUUAUAUUAUCCUAUCCAAAUCCAGAUUGUGACAAAGUUUCUUGAAGCUACUAUACUAUUUCUUUAGUUUGUUGACCCUGUUCUUCAACUGAACUAUACUAAAGUGGAGUCCCGUCCGUUUAUUGAAUUCGGCAUGUAUGUUAUUCCAUCCUGUUUUGUUUUAGGUAGAAGUGGUGCGAUUUCCCUUUGUUACCUCUAUUACCAACAAACUUACAAACUCAUUGAUCAAAGGCUCAGUCCACUUUGCCAUACAAACCUCUUUUUGGGAAGCCAUUUAACCUUAACUAGUUAAGCAUCAAAUGAGCCAUAUCAAUUGGUGUACCAGUUCAAGCGCAUAGAAUUUGAUGUCGAUAUCACAUCAAUACAAUGUUCUAUGACUAUCAAUAAAACAAAAUGCACAAAGAAAGUUAAAAGAGAAUCAUCCGCAUAUAAAAUUUUACAAGCAACCAUAUAUUGCAAGCAAAAGGAACAUUCCCACCAAUCAAUGCCCCAUCUAUUUGCUCAUAAUAACCAGUAGUGAACAUUUCCACUAAAAAUUAAUUCAUUCACCUAUAUCAUCGGCAUUCUAAAGAGCCAGACUUGAAAUAUGGAGAUGUCAAAUAAUCCAUCACACAAAUAUAACAAAACACAACAGCCACACAAAAAUUUUGUUUAAAAACUCGUACACAGAAGUUUCAAAUAUAUGUUCCUACACUCAUAUAAAACUGCAGCAUUUAAUCUAGUAGGGCCCUUAGAAUUUACAAAUGAGGGAGAGAUGAGGGAGAGGUAGAGCUAACUAGUGGAGGAGACAUAGUAGAGUAGAAGCGGCGUUGCUGAAGUCGUGAGGCGAUGGCAGCUUCUGGUGAGACGGAGCAAAGCAGGAGCGGCUUAGGUGUUGGUGCUCAGGAUCUACUGCAGAGGGCUUUUGGCAUCAGUGCGGUGGAGCAGGGACCGAGUUGCAAAUGCUAGGCGGUCUAGCAUCCUAAGGGAACGAGCGGUGGGGGUGCAGGCGCGAGAUCUGUUGCUGAGGGGUGCUCGGACGACAAGCAGGGACAGUGGGUCAUGGUGAGGGGGCAGAUUUGCGAGCAGACGUCGAUGAGAUGAGGAGAUGUAGAGAGCAUCAAGUGGAGGAGACGAUCUGAGUGUCCAGUGGAGGAGGAGACAAUGUCUCGAGGAGAUUAGGAGAGGCGGAGGAGGAGGAGGAGGAGGCAGAGGCGGAUGAGGAGGAGACGUCGUAGAGGAGACAAGGGAGUCAUCGAAAUUAGGGUUUAGAGAGUUUUGGGGGAGAAAUUAUUUUUGAUUUAUGUUCAAGAAAUAGAGAAGUGGAAAAUUUCUACUUCUGAUUUAUGUUCCAAACUUAUUUUUGGAACAUAAAUCUAUUUCAGAAAUAGAAAAAUGGAAUAGGUUUAUCAAAUGGAUUUCUAUUCCAUAAACAGGUAUAGAAUAGAAAAAUUGUUUAUGGAACAGAAAUAAGCAGUUGUUAUGCAACCUUUAGAUAACCUUCCUGUUGAGACAUAAUUUGCGAUGGAAUAUUUCGAUCUCCUUUCUCCAGCAUCUAGUGAGUAUCGAUUUGGGGGCUUUCCCUAAUUAUGCUUAACAGGUAAUUUAUAUUCCACUGAUAUAUUAGAUUCAUCAAACAAACCAGAAGUAGUAGAGGAGAUUACCUCAGGAAAAUCCUCACGAACUUGGUUAGGUACUGGAGAGGAAGGGGGCUAUUCAACUUGUUCACGUGUGGGUAUUUCUCCCUUUGUUGGAUCCUGCGAGGCUUCUAUAGCUACACCUGUCGUAAAUUCACCAGCACUAGCACCAUCUAUCACCUGCUCAACAAUUCCACCAUUAACACCAGUCAUGCCAGCACCACCCACGGUUGCUCCAACAUCAGUUAGAGCCUGCCUAGCCCCAUUAUCACCAGUGUUGGAGCUAUCAUCGACACUACCACCACCCCCAACAACCGCGUCUCUUCCCUCGAGUAUAACCCCAGCAAUAAUCUCCCACAAAUUCUCCCUUUCUAGCCAAUUCUCCCCCUGAAAGGUAGAAUUGGUACUUGGGUAAGAACUCUCCUUCGACAUAUGUGACAUCCAUAGUCACAUAAGGUUUUUUAGUAGAUAGGUUGUAGCCUCGAUAGCCCUUUUGAUGAGUACCAUACCCUAAGAACACACACCGUAAAGCACAUGGAUCAAGUUUGGUACGUUGGUUCUUCAAAAUGUGAACAAACGCAACACAUCCAAACACACGAGGAGGAAUUGUCAAGACUAAUGGCAAUGGGUAAAUGCAGAGAGUGCUUGUAGAGGCAUACAGAAAUCUAGCACUUUCAAGGGCGUUCGGUUGAGAAGAUGCACCGUUGUGGCAAUAGCAUUAUCCCAAAAAUGGGAAGGAACAUGUCCAUCAAUUAAGAGGGUUCGAGCGAUCUCGAGAAUAUGACGAUUCUUCCUUUCGGCCACUCCAUUCUGUUGUGGAGUUUGUGUACACGAGGUCUCAUGAAUGAGACCAUGUUGCUGAAAGUACUCCUUGAGAUGUCGAUUCACAUACUCUCUACCAUUAUCACUUCGAUGAACUUGUAGCUUAGUGACACGGCCCACGGACAAGCAUGAUCCAAGAUCGUUCGUAAGGGACCGUGUCACGCACAACGGGCUGCCCGGAAGCAGCCCACGAACGACCCAUGAGCAGAACGAGCGAAAGGCCCAUGCACGGCCCUUGGGCGACCCCUGAGCGAUGCUCGAGUAGCCCGUGACGAUUCAGCUGGUCGCGUGUCAGACCGACCUGCAACCCUGAUCUUGCUUCUGACGCACGCCCAUGAUCUGCCCAAGGCCUGACGCGCGCGACCCAUGGACUUCCCAAGGGCCUGCCGGGUGCAGACCAUCGAGUAGCCUUCGAGUAGUCUGUUGUAUAGCUUGUAAUGAUUAUACGGAUUCAAAAUGGACCGUUGGAUCGGAGGGACGAUCCACGGCCGAGAUACGACCCACUCUUGUAUAAAUAGGGAUCCCUCUCCCACAAUGUAAUCAGUUCGUUCACAAGCAAAUACACUCUCUUUGCCCAUUCGGUUCUUGUGUUCGAACGAAGUGUGUGUGUAAGGCUGACUUGGGAUCACCGAUCCUAAGGCCACGCGGUGUUUGAUCGACCGAAAUUGAUCGACCCGUGACAUUAGCAUCAAACUGUGUUUGAACCAUCUUGUGAAAUACUUUAAACACAUUAACCACUUCAUCCUUAGUUUUCAUCAAGUAAAGCCAAGUCAUACACGUGCAAUCAUCAACGAAUAUAACAAACCAUCGACAACCCGAGAUAACAGUAAUAGGAGAAGCACUCCACACAUUAGAGUGAACUAACAAAAAAGGCACGUUAUUCUUACUCAAACUUAUGGGAAAGGAAACACGGUGGCUCUUAGCCAAAAUGCAAGUCUGACAACGGAAAUCCAACUCUUUUAGAUCCAAAAAUUAUUGAAGAAAUAGCUUUUUCAUAUAGCCAAAUGAAGGAUGUCCCAAUCGUUGAUGCCAAAGCCAAAUCUGUUUUUCUUUAUUGCUAGGUGAACCCCAGACUUGAUGCACACUUCCAAACUUGAGAUCAUCCAAGUAAUACAGCCCCCCUCCCCCCCCCCCCCCCGAUUUAGUACCCCAUCCAAUGAUCUCCUUCAUGAGGAUAUCCUGGAAAAAAAAAAAUUGAGGAUACAUUAAAACAAUACAAUUCAAAUCUUUAGUGAGCUGUCCAACAUAAAUUAAUUUCCUGGUAAAUGAAAGGAAAAGUAAGGUGUUAGGGAAUGACAAUUGAGGGGAAACCGCAACCACACCAGCCCCUGUCACUGGGUAUGUAUUCCCAUUUGUAUUUGAGAUACUGCAUCAUCUUGGUUCUGUAAUGCUCACAAAAUCAUCUGGGCUAAAGGUCAUAUGCUCCAUAGCCCCCGAAUUGAUAACCCAUCCAUCACAACUACUGUGAUUAGGGAGAACCAGCGCACAACCACAAUUACCUUGGAUAUUACCUGAAUUGGACGUAGCCGGUUGGUCUUGAAUUUCAACUUUGGGCACCAAAGACAGCUGAGGUUCCAUCUUAGCAAAAAACACUUUCCCUUUUCCACUAUUAGUACCCCCGUCAGCUUGUUUUCGUGCCUUCAAUUCCUUGCACCACUCUAGAUAGCCAUGGAGCUUAAAGCAUGUCUCUCGAGUAUGCUUGGCAUUCCCACAGUGUGAGCAUCCUCCAGAUGAAAUUGAAGUUCGUGAACCGUUAUUCGUCCACCCACCCCCUUGCGUAGCUCCUGAUUUAUUCAUUUGCAGAGUUGGCAUUACCGGUGAUUCUCGGACACCUGUCUUGCUUCCCUGUGCCACCAUGGCAGCAUACCCAAACGUGGAAUCAGUAUGGGUGAGCAUAACUGACUAUCUCGUAUCCUCCCUACGAACAUGUGCAUAUGCUUGCUCGACAGUUGGGAAUGGUUGCAUUUGCAGAACAUCCGCUCUCACUUUGUCUAGACAAUCGUCCAACCCAUCAAGGAAGACAUACACCCAGUGUUUCUGAAUGGCAAGACUGUACCGCUCAAUAUCAGCUAGGCAUGUCAUUGGGUUUGGACGACGGAAGUCGAUCUCCCUCCACAAAUCCUGAAGAUUAUUGUAAUAAGCCUCAAUUGUCUCUCCACCUUGUCUCAUCUGAGUCACCUGCCUCUUCAAGUCAUAAACUUGGGAGGCAUCACUUCCAUCAAAGAAGGUUGUUGCAAUAGAGUCCCAUACCAUCUUCGCAUUUGGGAAGCGAAUAAAAAUUCCUAUUAAUGCAGGAUCCAUCGAGUUGAUUAGCCACCCCUUCACAAUCGCAUCCUCAGUCUUCCACUUUCGAAAUUGAGGAUUGGUAGGUGAGGGCUAAGGGAGAUCACCAUUAAUAUAACCCAACUUGUCUUUAUCGGAGAUGAACAUCUGUGGCAUCUGGAUUUUUGCAAGACCUCGAAUAGGUGAUGUUCCGUGGUAGAUCAACAAAAGUAUUGUCGGACUAUGUCACUGGUACCAUCUAUGGACACCAUUUAGUUAUCAUUAUCAAACCAAGACGUUACGUUUAGAAAUGGUCCGAUCGUCGAAUAAAUUAUAGUCUUGUCGAAAAUCUUUCUUACGUUCUAACGAGACCAAGGUUUAUUCCAAAGGAUGUGUCGACAAGUUACCUAUCAUUUGAACUUUAGCCGUUUCCCAUUGAGUAUGUACCCUAGGCGAAGGAGCCGAGAGACUCCAUUUCACGCCCAUGCAGCCACGUCCAUCUACUCUAUUCCAUUAGGACAUGAAAACAAUUAAUUCCAUGGAUAUGCAUGAGGACCAUGCACGUCUUUCCAUUGUGCGGGUCAACAAACAAAUAGGAAAUUGACCCAUGCAGCCAUGCUGCUCGAAGACCCUUGUUUCCCCGGCCAUGUACACGUGUUGGGAUGGUCAACCGAAGGAGGAGAUUUGUUGACCAAGAGGCACCCAACCGCAGCCACGUCGCCCACCUACACGGCUGCCGCUGAAGCCCGAUGGUGCAAAUUGAGUGCACGUCCUCCCCCAGCCAUCGAUGCCUUUUGCCGCCACUUCCUUAGUUGACUAGGAAAGUCAACAAGUGAAGCCACCAUAGACGCGUGGAAAUGAUGCAGCCAGCGAAGCCGUGGAGCUCAACCGAGCGGAAGCCACGCCCUUCGCAUCUGUCUUCUUCUCGUACAGCCACCGCAACUCUCAUAGAUGGACUAAUUAGUCAAUUAAGUGAGGAAACAAAACGCUCGUAAGUGUGAGCAAGAGAGAGAGAGUCCGAGCGAGAGAGAGAGAUUCGCGAGAGAGUGAACGGCGAGAGGAAAGGAAGGAAGUCGCCCCUCCGCCGUGCGUGUGCGCUGCCGCCAUCGAUGCCGCUCGCAUUUGCCGUCGCCGAGCCGUGUCCGUGACCCAAGUUUCCUGUUUUUACUUGCCGUCGGUGCUUAGGACCUGAGGCAAGUGAAAGUCUACUAACCUAUAUAAUGCAAGGCUAUUAUUGUCUGAGGUAGUGCAAAUAGACUUGAGGAUGUCUGAAUUUGGAUGCUGAAUGCUGGAUUUUUGAGUGAUUGCAGUAGAUUGGGACUAAAGAAUUGAGGAAAUGCUUUGGAUAGCUUUAUGCAUUCUGAUUUUGUUGAACUAUGAUUGGAAGAACAAUCUGUGGUGAAAUUUUUGGAUGUGAGAUAGUCGCGGCAUAGGCAAGGAAUCCUGCUGAAUCCGCACUGUCCAAAUAAGUCAUGUAUAAUCCCAGCAAUUUUGUAGAUUUUAUAGGGACAACUCUAGUGCGAUUUUGGUCCUGAUUCCUUCAUGGAAGUUGUGGGGAAUGGUUUAAACUAGAACAUAUCUUUUUGGUCAGAUUUUUCGGAAUCAAUAUAGUGGUAUAAACUUCUUUUAAUGUGCAAUGCUUUCUGCCGAAAUGUAAAUUCUGUUGAUAAAAGAAAACUGAAACCAAGUUGUGUGAUUUAUUACUCUUUAUACAUGAAUAAUUUGGCCUAGUGUUCUUCAUAAAAUUCUUUCCUUCAGAUCUUAUUUAUAACAUAUCAAAAAUUUAGAAUUUUCUGAGUUUGUUUAUGGGCUAUUCCAAAAUUUUUACUAAAACUGUGCAGUCUGGUUUUUGAGUUGUCUUUAUUCCGAAUUUGCUCAAUUUAUCCCAAAGGUGAAUGCAUCUUGAGUUGUUAUUUGACAUGAUGGUUUUUGGCAUUUGGCAUAUCAUUCAACACUGAAGAUUUCAAUGAAAACUCAUGGGACAUCCGAUGUGAAUGCAUUGAAAAUGUUUUUGAUAUUGAAAUAAUCUGAGAUGUUGAUGAUGCCAUCGCACCUUCGAGUUGACGAUGCCCCGGGAGUCGGGAAGCCCAAAGGAUCGAAUGAGUCGAUGCCUUGUGGAUGCCUAGGGUCUGCAGUACCCCAGAGGUUUUCCCUAGGAGUGUCAGGAUGCCUGGUUGUAUGUUAGUACGUAAUUCCAGAGGGUAAGGGUAACCAUUUUCAUGGCGAGCCUCGGAGAUUCCUCGUGAUGCCAGGUGGGAUGCGAGAUGCCCGAAGGUGUAACGUAACAUGCUCUAGAUGCCCGGUGGCCCAGUGGCAUAAUGCCGGAGGACUUUGCGAUGCCAGGUUGGGUGUGAAUGCUCGGAGGGACGCAAACAUUGGUCCUCCGGGAGGUGAAACCUUUUUAAUAUUAAAAUUAAUGGCUCUACUAAGUGUGUGUGGUCUGGUUAUAGAAUUAAAUUGUAUGGCAUGGAAUGGGAUGUGUCAUAACAGUUCGAUUUUAUAAUCGAGACCCAUGUGAGUGAAAAUGGUGCAUCUUGGUUUCGAAACUACACUUAUCAUUGCAUUAAAGAGCUUUAUGGAUUUGAUGUAUACUCAUUCCUUUGGUUAUAUGUUUUGUUUAUCUUGCAUGAAAUUAGAUUGUGAUGGUUAUGCACGAUAUAGUUUAGUGGAUCUUUUGCUGCUGGGUGGUUGUACUCACCCCUUUUGGGAAUUAACAAUUCAGACUAGAUAAGAUGCCUCUACUGCCUGCACCUCCCGGUACAUUCUAUGGAGUCCCGAUCGACUUACAAUGGGUGUGGUCGGAGUAUCAGGACCCUGAGGUGCGAGGACUGACGUUUGUACGAGUGAGAGUCAUUAUGGUGUUCGAUACCGAUCUUCCCACCGGCCCUGUACUUCAGGAGUACAUCACCAUAUUUGUCCGUCGGCAUGGACGAAUGCUGGGGCCACUACCACCACCACCAACAAAUGGACCAAGGGGCUAGCUGUGACCGUGAGAUGGGGUCAGCAGAGGAAGAAAUUUUUGGACGCCGACACUAAACAAUGGACUUUAUGCUUGUACCUGUGGAAAUGUUGGGUAUCUUUUGAUGUAUGGCCUAGUUCAAAAAACUACGGCAUUUUGAUAUACCGACUAAUGAUUGGCCAUCUAGUUUUAUGUAAAUAAAAGUGUUCGGCUUUUACCUAUAAAAAUGUUUAGUUGGUGUGCAUCAUUUUUUUAAUAUAAGAAAGGGAGUUGUUGGAUACGCUUCCACCAUGUUUUGCACAGGGACCGAUGGAAAAGAUAUAAACCCCCAAGACUCAAGGACCUAUCAAAGAUUCUAUGGUAUUAGAGUAAUAUACCUUCAAGGUAGAUGAAAGGUAUCUGUGGUGACCAUAACGGAUCAAGGGCCGUUCAGGGGGUGCUACAGCGGGUGGUAUCAGAGCAUGGUUUUAUUUGGAGUGAUAAGGUGCCUUAAAUGGAAAUGAGGAUAGAAUGAUGCACAACAUGGGAUACUAACCAAAGGUAGUCGACUAACUAUGAACAACGAGUGAUUGAUUUUCACUUGUAGACUACUGGUAACGAUUGUGAGUUACCUUUGUGUGCAAUAAUGUUACUUGUGUGACUUUAGUAACCCAUUUUUAUUUUAUUAUUUAACCAGUGACAUUGAGUCACUAAUCAUUCCUGAGGCAAAUGCUUGGAAAACUACAGGAAAUCAUGGUGUGAACUAGGAGUUCUCAUCCAUCGAGGGCUGAAGCCUCUGCUUCAAGGGUUGAACCCCGGAUGGAAGAUAUCCUGUGGGCAUUGGCCAAUAUAGGAAAUUUGAUGGAAAGGCAAGCUCAGCAACAACCCGGAGCAGAAUGCUGCACUCAAGGACUGGUGGAACAAUUCCUGAAGUUGAAACCACCUAAGUUUAGUGGAAUGGAAAGUCCUAAGGAGGCGGAACAUUGGAUUGAUGGAAUAUAACAUAUUUUCCAGUUGUUGAACUGUAGUGAUGCUGAAAAGAUAACCUUGGUAGAGUACCACUUGAGACCACAAUCCAUAAUUUGAUCCAUCCAAUUUGACUGAGAUUUGUGCAGUGGAUGGCUCCUGGGAUUGUGUUGAUACUUGUGUCGAACUCUAAGUCAAAAUUGGUGUUAGCUUCAUCGUAAGAUUCUCUAGAAGAGAAGCAGUUGUUGAGUUCUCCCCUUGGUCUUGAUGAGGUACCUCAUCAGUUGGCUUUGUCAUGGUUGCCAAUCACAAUUCCUUCGCAAAGGAAUUUUUGGUCAGGUUAGAUUAGUGCAACAACAGCACAAGUCAAAGCUGCAGUAGCGAUUUGAUUUGGUCGAAAAAGUGGAGAAAACUAAGGUUCCUGCUCUGAUACCAUGUUGAAAAAUAGAUCACUAUCAUUCUCAGUAUAUCUUUUUUCUUUACAAGGCUAUACAUAAAUAUAUACACAUACAAGUACUGCUAGGGUAACAAUCGCCUAUUAGGUAAACUAUUCGUUUUCUAUAUGCAUUACCCCGACAAAUCAACUCACGCAAAUAUAAAUAUUUUCUUCCUAUACAUAUAACUCCUACAAAUCAGCUCAUGCCAACAAUCUCACUAUGGCCUUAGACAUUUUCUUUAAUGCCUCAAUUUUCGCCGAUCACAAUCGUCAUUAUAAUUAUCUCCACUAAAUCACAGUCACUGUAUCGGACUCUUCAAGUUCAACCAAUAGAUAGACAUAUGGCAUGUGAGAUGAAAAAUGGGAACAAAAAAAAAAUGAACUAUGGGAUGAGAAAAUCAAGUAGCCUACAGUAAAAAUUACUUUGUCAUGCGAAAUAAACGAUUAAAAGAGUAAUCAGAAAAACAAAUUAUACAUAUAGUCAACCACGUACUAAAUCGACUGCAACCAAAAAUCAACAAGACAUAACAGGGUACUCCCCAAACCAAGUCCAAAAAAAUGAACUAUAGGGGACUGUUGAUCACUUGAGGCCUAAUGGUACAAGCUGAUAUUCUUCACAUGUGAGGUGGUGAGGAUAACCCACUAACGAUGACAAUGCCACCAACUCGAAACACCUGUUUUAAAUCCUAUUUUUUGCAUCUUUACAAUAGCUGCUGUUGUUGGAAGUAAGAAACUUCUUCAUUUGACUUGGAAUAUGGACCUUGACAAUUGACAUGAUGAUACAGAUUAAUCUUUUGGAGCAGGUCUACAGAAAGGUAGUUUAGAGCAUAUCACUGUAGCUACCAAAAAUAAAUAGCCUUUUCUUUUGUCAAGUUGCAAAAGAUGAACCUAAGCACAUCAUUUGCCUACCCCUACAGUGUUUGCAUUUGAUCCUCCUGAGAGAUUCUGCCAAAUCAAGAUGACAGUGAGGAUAUUCUACAAAACAAGCACAAUUGAGAGUUUCAGGUCACUGAGCUAGGGCAUAAAAAAAAAAUUGGAAGAGAAAACAUAACAAAUGCUGAAAUUGCAGAAAAAUAUCAAUAUAAGAGCAACAAUUCCUCACGGUUCUCAUGCAAAGCAGGGUACAAUUCCAUAGGUGGAAAGAUAAGCAAUAGUUAAGCAUCAAACAAAGUUCAUGACAUCUCAUCAAUCCAGACAGGCACAUCCGCACAUCACAAUUCCGGCACUGUGAGCAAGUCCAUGUAAGUAUAAUUUGUUUUGAGGAAUAGUGACUCAUAUGAAACAAUGGUGAACUAGCUGUACCCCAUUAGCAUUAUAACCAUUUCAUUGUGUGCUCCAUUAUCAAACAAAACAUAGCAACCCAAAUGUCUAGCUGGUUUGUGGCAAAUAAUGAGAAGCUUGUCCAUGGAACAUGAACUUUUUAGCAUCAUGUUGAGGAUUUGUAAUAGAAAUGGAUCCUGGAGCAGCAGCAGUAGCUAAAUGACUGAGUGUGGAAGAAAAAAGUAUGAACCAUUGCCUGAAGAAUUAAAAUUAGACAUUGGAGAGAAAUCUUCUUAUGCAAGUACCGGUAACCUAUAAAGGAUAGCCGUUUCAGAGAGGAGAGAAGGUUGCGAAGACCACUUAAGUUUUCCACAUUCCUCACCUUUCUCAUCCAAAGAGAAAUUAGAGAUGAAGGAAAUAGAAUAUUCCACGCUUCUUAUCCUCCACCGUUGAUGGUCUUUCCACAGUCCUCAUAUUUCUCAUCCAAAAGUUAGAAACAGGAUGAGCAAUUACUCCCGAAUAAAAGUUAUCUUUCAUGCAUAAUGAACAAGUACAAGAGUGAUUAGAACAAAAUUAUACGCACACCUAAUUGACUGCAACAAAAAAUGAACCAGGAUACCAUGUUGAUGAUUUGCUGUAAAACUCUUAUGAUGAUGUUAACUGACAAGUAUGGGAGACCACUAAUUACUGGUGAUGCUGACAUAUUGGUAUUGGCUGAUAUUCUACAAAUGUGAGUCAAGAGAUCAAAUGACUUGAUAUGGGCUGAUAAUGCUUAAGAAUGAUUGGCUACACCUGUUGGUAUAUCUGGAAUGCUUAAUAUGCAGUAAUCUUUAACAACAAAUCACCUGAUCCUGAAAAUGUCAUUUAUACAGAUUAGAAAAAACUCUUUAAGACUGUGUAUCCUGUAAAAAUGUAAGAGAGCUGGGUCAUAAUUGGGUGGAUGAAAGGCAGGGUGUGUAGAGUAAACCUAAGCUAGGUUUUGCGAAGAUUAACUGUUAUGGGUCUUACAUUGAAGGAACUAGACAUGCUGUUGUCAAGAUUAUGGCCCAAAAGGAAAGGUCGGAGAUGAUUGCCUGCACGGGUGUGGUGGUGCCUAGAUUUGCAAAGGAGGCUAAAUUACUUGCUGUUCAAAGAGCAUUGCAGUAGCUAAAGAAAAUGCUAAACCAAGGUAUUAGUGGAGCUGAAUGCAGCCGUGGUAUACAAGGAUAUCAUCAAUUUUUUCAAGCAGCGCAAUUAACGACUAAAGGAUGCUCCUACUGGGAUUCAAGAAGCUAAAGAUCAUUUUAUGGCUCCAAAUUUUAGUUGUAUUUCACAAAAAGCAAAUGCUUGUGCCCGUUAGGUAGUUUUGCCAAAAUUGGGGUCUACAUUCGCAUCACCCAUCCUUCUUAUCACAUAUGCUUAUUUCAACCGUGAAUUGCUGGCCUAAAAAGAAAAAUCCCCAUCGAGGACACACACAACACACUCGAAUGUCAGUCUCUGACCUUUGGUGGCUGGUUUAUGGAAAUUCUUUGAAAAACACAUCCCUGGAAAGAAAUCAGUCCCUAUUAAGCAUUGAACUGAAGAACAUAAUAGAAAUUGAUGCCUUCAAACCCAAAAAUUGACCCCAACCCAGAGAGCUGACUUUAGGUGGAACAACGAAUUGUAGUAGAUGGCAAAUGGAAGCGAAAGAAUGAAAGAAGUCAUAACAAUUACCUGAAGAAGGAAAAGUAGUCAGUGGAGAUAAAUCUUUUGUCAUGGCUCAGGUGUGAUCAAUUUCAAUUCAUUGGAUCCAAACACCACCAAUGUAGAUGAGAGGGAUCUCUUGGAUGAGGGGCCAAUAGUCGCUAGUCAGUUUUGAGCAUUGAUCUUUCAGAAUCUCGCAUAGAGAUAUCUCCAUAAUUCAGAUAAAUCAUAGUCUUCCUUAUUGCUCCUUCCUGCCUUUCCUUGACAACAAAGAAAAAGAAAAUGUGCUCUGAGAUAGUGUGGGAAUUUAAAUUGAAAGAUGAACCAUGAACUUUGACAAGGAAGUCAGAUUUGAAUGGCUUAUAAUUUGCACGUUCAUGCAAAUUUAAUUGUCACAUUUGCCAACUCGAAUACACCCGUUUUAAAUCCUCUUUUUUGCAUCCUUACAGAAGCUGUUGUUUUUGGAAGUAAGGAAGCUUCUUCGUUUGGCUAUGAAUAUAGACCUCAAUAAUUGACAUCGUGAUACAGAUUAAUCUUUGGGAGAAGGUCGCGAAAAAAAAAAAACAGUUUAGAGCAAGUAGUACGCCUACCAAUAAUAAAUAGCCUUUUGUUUUUCUUUUGUUAAGUUGCAAAAGAUGAACAUAAGCACAUCAGUUGCUUCCCUCGGCACUGUUUGCAUUGAUCCUCCUAGGAAAUUUUGCAAAUAAAGAUGACAAUGGGAUAUUAUGCAAAACAAUCACCAUUGAGAGAAGUCAGGUCAUUGAGCUAGUAUAUAAAAAAUUAAAAAAAAAAGAUAAUUGGAAUAGAAAACAUAACAAACGCUGAAGUUGUGGACAAAUAACAAUAUAAGAGCAACAAUUCUUCAUGAUUCUCACGUAAAGCAUAGUGCAUUUCCAUAAGUGGAAAGAUAAGCGUUUUUUGUCCAUCAAACAGUUCAAGAUAUAUCAUCAAUUCGGACAGGCACAUACACACAUCAUAAUUCCAGCACUGUAAACAAGUCCAUGUAAAUAUUUUUUGUUUUGAUGAAUAGUCACUUGUAUGAAGCAAUGGUUGGUUGACUUGCUGUACCACAUCAAAAUCAUAACCAUUUCAUUGCGUGCUUCCUUGUUAAACAACACAAAGCAACCCAAAUGUCAACAUUGGACCUUCAGCCAUUGGUUUAUGGAAAUUUAGGAGAAGCUUGUCCAUGGAAAAACAUGAACCUUUUAGCAUCGAAUUGAGGAUUUGAAAUAGAAAUGGAUCCUGGAGCAGCAGCAGUAGCUAAACCAUAAGUGUGAAAGAAAGAAAGAAGUCCAAAUCAUUACAUGAAGAGCAAAAAUUAGAAAUUGGAUAGAUAUCUUCUUAUUAGAUCUGAAUUUGAUGAACUACGAUGAGUGGGAUUUCUUGGAUGAGGUGCCGAUAGUCACCGCUGAGUUUUGAGCAUCAAUCUUUCAGAAAUUCACAGUGAAUUAUGCCGAAUACUUGGAGGAGGGAAUGAAGCCAUCCUCUGGCAAGUUCCAGAUGGCUUCAUUCUAGUAAACUAUAAAAUGUAGCUGUUCGAGAGUGAAGAGAUGGCUAUGAAGACCACUUGAUAAUCUUUCCAUGUUCCUCCUAGUUCUCAUUCAAAGAGAUGUAGAGAUCAAGGAAACAAAAUACUCCACGCUUGUUACAUCCUCCCUUAUUGAUAGCCUUUCCACAUUCCUCAUAUUUAUUAUCCAAAAAUCUGAGACAGGACAAAAUUAGAUACGUACCCAAUUGACAGCAACGAAAAAUGAACCUGGAUACCCUCUUGAUAACUUUUUUUCCCCUGAAAAAUUCUUGCGAUUAUGUUAAACUUACAAGUACGGGAGACCACCAAUCACGGGUGACGGUGACUAGUUGGCACGGGCUGAUAUUCUACAAAUGUGAGGUCAUGAAAUUGAAUGAUUGGUACUGCUGAUUACACCUAAGAAUGAUUGCCUAGACCUGUUGGUAUAUUUGGAAUGUGUUGCCAAUAAAAAUGUAAGCUGAGUCAUGAUAAGGUGGAUGAAAGGCAGGGUGUGUGGAGUAAACCUGAGCUAGGUUCCGUGAAUAUUAAUUGAGGUAGAAUCUUACAUAACAUGCCGUCGCUAGGAUUGAGACCAGAAAUGAAACGGGUGAGAUGGUCGCCUACAAAGGAUGCUGAAUUACUUACUAGUCAAUAGAGCAUUGCAGUGGCUAAAGAAAAAGACAGGCCCAAGGCAAUAGAUAAGAUGCAGCAGUGGCAUAUGAGGAUAUCAUCAACUUCCUCAAGCAGCGCAAUUGGAGACUAAAGGAAUCUCUUGCUGGGAUUCAGGCAACUAAAUAUCAUUCUUUCAGCCCUGAAUUUUAGUUGUAUUUCACGAUACAACGGUUUCUGGAAAUUCUAUGUGACACUUCUCCAUGGGAAAAAAUUAAUUCUUACAAAGCAUUGGAUUGAGAACAGAAGCGAAAUCGAUGCAUUCAAGACCAAAAAGCUUACUGGACCCUAGAAAACUGAUUGCACAUCGAAGGAUGAAUCGUGGUAGUUAGCAAAUGAAAGUGAAAGCAGAUUGAUUUCGCUUCACCAGAUUUGAAACCAAUCAAGGCGCAUGUCAGGGAUUUCUUGGAUUUUCCCAGAAAUUUAUGUGAGACAUCUACAUGAUCAGUUUGCAUCACACAUCGGAUUGAGGAAGCAGAAUGGGAAAUCGAUGCCUUUGAAACCAUAAACUUACCCGAACACUAGAAAACCUGACCAUACCAAGAUGAAUCAAUUCAUUGAAUCCGAACCCAAUCAAUCUCGAUGUAAGGGAUCUCUUGGAUGAGGGGCCAAUAGUCGCCGGUGUGUUUUGAGCGUCAAACUUUAAGAAUCUCGCAUUUAUCUAUCCAUAAUUCUUGGAGGGAAGGAGGGAGGCCAUCCUCUGGCAAGUCCCUCAACUUCGGGCAAUUUGAAAUCGAUAACACUUGGAGAGAGGAGAGAUGCUUCCAGAGGCCAUCUGAUAGUCUUUCCACAUUCCUCAUAUGGCGAAUCCAAAGAGAGGUAAGAGAGGAAGGAAAGAGAAGACUCCAUGCAUCCUCCUCGUCCUCCCCCUCCGAAGGAAACCACACCUUCUCUCCCCCCCCCCUCCCAUGCUCAAGUCAAUAUCUAGAAAUGUGAGGAAUGUGAGCGGGGUAAGCCCCAUUCUCUCACUGGCACAUUCCUCACUGGCUGCUUCAUAUUCUUGCACUCACAAAUCUAAAACAAUUGCAAAUUGGGAGGCAAACCUCCUUCGGACAAGCAUUGGAUAUUUUGGCAACGAAAAAUUAAUGUGUACUGGAGGGAUGUAAGAUGACGCCACUUUGGUAGAGACUUUAUCUUCAAAUAGUCAGAGAGAAAGACAUGCGAUAGGGUGAUGGGAAGGGGAAGGGAAUCUAUUAUUUCCAAUGCCCUGCACCUAAUUAUAUUCAAAGAGGUGAGAUUGUUACAACUGGUGAUACUGGUGAUAGACUUUAUCUUCAGACAUCUCGAGAGUGUAAGCCUCGAUAGGGUGAGGGGAAGGGGAGAAAGUCCUCGAUCUUAUGACAGUUAAAUAUCCUCAAUUGAGUGAGAUGGGAGAGCGUGUGAAGGAAUUGUGGUAGGCUUCUUAGAUUCCAACAAUUGUAAAUUCCCCUAAAUUUGAGUGAUUCUAUGGUGAUUUAUUCUGGCGAUUCCACUCCCCCGUAGUUUUCAAUAACAAAGUUCUUUAGACUACCAAGUCUACCCUUGGCAGAGGGACAAAAUGUCAAAGAAUCAUAUUUACCUGUACACGAAGAUUGAAGUUGAGACAUAUAGUUGUUGCUGUUGGGGUCAUAUGAAGAAAUGGUUGGUAUUAUGAGUUUUGGACACCGUUCAAUAGACAAAUAAUUGAGUGUGUACAUCUUGCUUGGAAGCUUUUCUAAACUAGUGCAAUUACUCAAUUUCAUCUUUUCAAGGUAGCAUGGCAGCUCUAUUUCUGUUUCUCCUUGAUGGUUUUAAUUGGUGAUGGGCUUAAGGCCCGUCCGCCCAUGCUGGGCUCAAAAGGCCCGGCCCACGGGAAUAGGGCCCGUGGAUGGGGGAAGGUAUAAAAGGGAGGAGAGAGAGAGAGAAGACAAGGUUUUGGAAAUAAAAACGCACGUACAUCUUCUCCUCUCCCGCGCGCUCUCUCUCUCCAAAGGAACAGUAAGCAAACGGCGACACUGUCUUCCCUUCAAGGUGUCAUCGAAUCGAACAAGGCCAGUUUCUCUUCCUCUAUCGGCGUCGGUGUCUAAUCUGUGGCUAACAAGGUACGCUCGAAUCCGUGGUGUGCUUUAGGAUCGGUGAUACGUGUUAUUCCCGGGCUUCGCUUCCGCAUUCGUUUUAGGGGUUCAAUUUAGUGUCGAAUCCGGUUUUCGAGGAUCCGUUAUUCCCAACAUUGGUAUCAGAGCCCUAGUUCAUGUUUUCCCGACCUGUAUGAUGUCUUUUUGAUUGAUUUUUUGCGAAAACUUUUGGCCGUACGGAUCGGGGCAAGAAAUCCCGACACCCGAGCACUGUUCAUCGAUUUUUUCGAGUUUCCGUAAGUCAAAAUCGAAUUAUAAUGGCAUAGGAAGAAAGGCGACGUCGAGGCGAGUCCGGCGACAUGUCGUGCGCCGAUGGGAGACGCUGCACACGCCCACACGCGUGGCCAGAAGCCGCUGUGCAUGGGCGCGACGCGCCCGAAGCGCUGGCAUCGGCCAACGCGUGCGUCCCACGCGCCGGCCGCCGAACCGGCACGUGCGUGACGCCGAUGGCGAACCGGCACGCGCCGAUCGACGGACCGACGCAUGCUGACGUCAGCGAUGACGUCAUCCCAGCGGUUACCGACCGUUGGAUGAUGUCAUGCUGACGUCAAUGCCAACGACGUUGGCCGAGCAGUCACCAGCCGGCGACCUGAACCGCGGACGCCCGGCACGCGCGCGGCACGUUUCGGCUGACGUCUGCGUGACAUCAGCCCGUGCACGCGCGCGGCACGUGCAGUCGGUUCGCCCGAACCGGGCCGACCGGCCGUCCGAUCCGACCGGUCCGACGUCUGACGACCGGCGACCGUUGACCCGUUGACUUUGAUCGAUGACCCAAAAAAAAAAAAAAAAGGAAUUUGUUUCUUUUUCAAUUAUGUCUGUAUGGGUUAGAGGUAAUCCAUUUUUUAUUCUGCAUUUGUUGCAUGAAUCAUGGAAAAUUAUGUAUUUUCCAUUUUGUUUAUUAUGGAUUAAAAGUGAUCCAUUUUAGUUCUGCAUUUGUUGCAAGAACUAUGAUGCGUUAUGCACGGAUACCUGCAAUCCCGAGAACGGACGAAGGAAGAGCUAGACUGAAAAGGCUGAUGAAAGAGUUAGCUAAUUAUCGGUGGCUUGAUGGUGAUUUAGUAUCACACAUGGUCAAGGUCAAUCAGAUGAUACAGGAAAUCAUCUAGAAUGGUUAUCUUAUGCCGGACUUUGAGAAGGUGCUGGCUUUGAUGAACACUCUUCCACCUGAAUGGCAAGCAGUGUUAGAUCGGCUAUGGGAGGUCAACGUGGUCCCGGAUUAUAGGAGGCUAGUGGAAGCUUUUGUAAGAGAGUACUAUAGGAUUGAGUUGGCCAAAACUUCAACCCUUAGAUUAAGCGCCACAUGGCACAGAGCGAAUGCGCCUUGAUGGCGACAUGAGAGCUCUCCAAAAGUUUUUCCAUGGUUGGCAAAUGUGCCUUCAGUUUUCUCAGAUACUUUGACUGAUAGAUUAGAAGGGACUUUCCCUAUUUAUUUCUUAGAUUAGUUUGAGAUGUUUUUUGAGUGUUGAAUAUCUCUUUCUAUGUUGAUAUUUCUUUUUGGAUAUAUUACUUAGUGUAAUGAAUUGUUGUAUUAGUUGAAAGCAUUAUUAUUUUAUUGGAUGUCAUAUUAUCUGCUGCUUUCUGUUAUUGCUGAUUGAUGUGGGUAGUUAGCUGUGGGUAGUUCAUAGAAGCUUUUGUAACUUCACAGAAUUUAUUUUGCAUAAGACAAUUAUAUUAAUAAUAGUUUUAAGUUAGGAUUUUUGGAGAAUGAUUGGAAACGUAGUGACCUUUUGAUUCCGAAACCUUACUUGAAAUUAUUCAUUGAUAUGAUGGGUCUGUGCAAAUUGGAUGCAUAAAUGAUAGGCAUUAAUUAAUGUGUUCAGAUUGAUGGAUUCAGCAACUAAGAACGUAAUUGCUGAUGUGAACGGCAACAAUUGUGAAAUAUUGAAUAUGAAGAUUCAAUAUGUGCUGGAAAAGCAAGAAGCACUAGAAGCUCUUGACCAUGUUAUGGAAGAUCUUGAGGAUGCUGUGCGCCACCUUGAGCUGGUAGAGGACCGCUUGACGGCAUGUGAGCCGAAAAUAGAUAUUUGCAAUGCUGGUUCUAGCUUAGAAAGGGCUUUGAGCUCUAAGUGCAAACGUAUUGAUUCGUUCAAUAUGUGGGAAAGCAAAGGAUCAAGUCCUUAUUACAAGAGAUCAAGAGUUAACCAACACAAGAGAGGAAAAUGUCCUCAAGUUAAGAAAAUGUCAAGGGUGAGGUGUUACAAUUGUGACAAGAAUGGUCACUAUGCUCGCGACUGUCGUGAGCCAAAGAAGGUAUACAUCUCUUGUACAUUUGAGAACUUUGAUUAUGUGUCAAGUUCUGAAUUAUUGGCUGAAUCCAAUCCUUUGUGGACUGUAGAUUCAGGAAAGACAGACCAUGUAGUGAAGGAUAGAGAAUCAUUCGUGGAAUUCCGACGAUACCGACUGGAACUAAGUGGAUCUAUGCGGGAUAUAACUCCAGAAAUGAAGUUAAAGGGAUUGGCACCUGCCAAUUGAACAUGCGUGGUGGACGCAUCUUGUUCCUACAUGACGUUCCAUAUGCUCUAGAGAUUCGUCGAAAUUUAGUAUCUGUUUUGAUGUUGGUUAAGCUUGGUUUUAUGUGUGAACUUCGAUAAUAGCAAUGUAGAUUUGUAUUUGGAUACAAACUACUAUAGAUGUGGUCACUUUCUGGAUGGUUUUAUUGUACUGAAUGUUGACUGUGAUGAUGUCAAUAUGUUAUUCCCUUGUUUCACGACUUUUACUUCAUGUGAUAAUCAUGUGAAUGUGUGGCAUGCUAGACUUGGUCAUAUUGGCCAACAAUGUAUAAAUAGACUAGCCAAAAAGAGCUUGUUGGGCAACAUUGAAAAAGUCGAUUUGCCCAGAUGUUAGCAUUGCCUAGUAGGAAAAACGACAAGGAAACCAUUUGGAAAAGAUAAAGAGCUGAAUUUCCUCUGCAUUUAAUCCAUUAUGAUGUAUGUGGUUCAAUGAAUGAGAGAAGAAGGCAUGGGGCUGUUUAUUUCAUCACUUUUAUAGAUGAUUAUACUCGAUUCAGAUAUGUCUAUUUGAUUUCUCAUAAAUCUGAAGCAUUAUGUUGUUUCAAAAGAUUUAUGAACUUAGUUGAAAAUUAAUUAGACAAGAAAAUAAAAAUAUUGAGAUCCGAUUGAGGUCGAGAAUAUUUAUCUGAUGAGUUCAGAAAAUAAUGUGAUGAAAAUGAAUAGAAAUACAGUUGUCUAUUCCAUAUACUCCUCAACAAAAUGGUGUUGCAGAGAGAAGAAACAGAACCUUACUGGAAAUGGUUAGGUCCAUGAUGGCGCAUGCUAACUUACAUAUCACUUUUUGGAGUGAUGCGUUGUUAACUGCUGGCUAUAUACUUAACCGGAUGCCUUCCAAAUCAGUUAGUUCCACUCCAUAUGAGUCAUGGUGUGACACCCAUUAUUUGAGAUCAACUCACAUGACUUGCUUUAUAAAUUAGGGGGAUAUUAAUUCCAGGAAUAAAAUAAAUUUCAUUCUAAAUUGAGUCAUAAGAAAUUGAAUUGCACUUGACUAUAUUUAUCAAAAACUUUGUUUACGUACAUAUCAGGAGAUAAGGCUAAGGAGGGGGAUUUCUACAAAAAAAAAACAAUAGAAGCCACAAACACUAAAUAUCCCGCCUCCUAUCGAGUAUGUACAUAGAUUGACAAAAACAAAAUUCUCCCACACUUCGAGCACUCCUCAGUCACCUUUUAAUCUGAAGAAAAGACAUAAUAAACAAGGAUGAGUUUUUAAAAUAAAAACUCAGCAAGUGGGCGGUUAGUCCUAACUUGGAUUUGGCUAAUAACAAGACAAAUAGGUUAAAAAGUCACCAAUUUGCUGAAUCCACAUAAAUCUAACUGCAACAAUCACCCAGGGGAAGACGACACUCCGCCCUGAACCCCUCGCACCCAACCUGGCAUCACGAGGUCCACGAUCACCCAGGGGAAGAUGAUACUCCACCCUGUCCCCCUCGCACCCAACCUGGCAUCACGAGGUCCCCUAAGAAGUUAUCCAAUCCUUCUCAAACCUCUGGAGAGAAUACCACUACUCAUCGUCACCCCUCUCCAGGCAUCCCGACACCCGGGGUCUCACCUUGGCUCUUUAGCCAACCACACAUUCACAAUUCAGCCUUAUUGCAGCACCAACAACUUCAGUAUGUGAACAAUCACAAAUAGGUCUAAACAUACAUCAUUAGAUACUUCAAGGUAUAAAGGAACCCCAUUAAAGGCGACACAGCAACUGCUGCACAUUCUCGGAUCAAAGCAGUCUAUAGAAUGAAAUGAGCAGUUUCAAUCACAGACACAGAAAGUAUAUCUAACCUCAUUGGAAUGUUAUGAAAUUUUAGUAUGUUAUAGAAAAGACAUAGAUUAACAUUUUCCGUGAAGAAAACUAAGCCUAAAUCUCAAUGUAUUAAGAGCAGUAAUUUGCUGUCUUCUCCUCAAAAUUCUGCAGCAACUCUCAGAUUUAGUACCUACAGGAGAAAUAUCGUUUCACCACCUUAACCUUGACCAUUUGCUCUCAAAUUUUGAUAUGUCAUUCCUAAGGAUGUGUCCUACAACUUUCAUUAAGAAUUUAAUGUCCAAUUCUUUCUAGAAAAUUACAUAAAAUUCGUGAAAUCACCUAAGGUAUUGCUGUUUUCUAAAGUACAGCUUACUAGUUCAAGGUAAAUGCUCUUACCAGCACAUUUUCUCAUUAACCUUGCUAUAACUAGAUGCCGAACUUGAUCUAAUGAAUGUUCUCUCAAGUAAACUUGUUCUUUUCCUUAUCUACAUCAUCAGAAUUUAAGGCGACACCAAAACAAAAGGCUUUCCAUCUAUAUUUCUCUAAAACAGAAGCAUCUUAUACUGUUUUCUUCUAUUUUUAGUUCAACCAAACUGCAAAUUUCUCUACCAAUCUCUAUUACAACACCUCAAGACUCUUCCACAGCAUCUAAAAUUAAUCACAGUAGGUCUUUACCCACAAGAAACAUUCUACAACUCGGUACAAAGCAAAAUUUCACAACACUCAUGGCCUUCUACCAAGCAAAACAAUAUUUCUCAGCUUUCUUGCAGACUUUCUACUCCCAUGAUGGCCAUUAACCAGACAGACAACUUGCAAACGGCACACCAUAGGUGAGGCCGAACCACAACAGAAUCGGAGGAGAGGAAAAUCCUCUAGAUAACAUGCGAUAGUACCUCAUCCAGCAACCAAUGUCUAGUGCAAAGGAAUAGAACUUCAACUCCCCCAAAUUUUAGCUCCCAAACAGAGCUUUGGUUCCCAAAUUUCUCGCACCCAACUUCAAAAUCUACCCCGAUUCUCAUAUGCACAUCUAGAAACAGCCUUUUUUGUGAACCCGAAACUCUAAACACAGCCCCACUUGCCUGGAUCUUUCACCGGUGGGGAAGGGAGGAGGCGUCGGGCGAGCUAGGGUUCCACGGCCGGCGGCGGAGCUCCGAACAGAAGAUUUCGCUGCUGGAUGGAGGCACCGGUCGUGAGAGGCCGAGAUGAGGUCGGGUUUUUGGUGGAACGAAGCAAGAACAAGGGAGAAAAGAAGUGGGUGUUUCGGUAGAGAGAAGAAGAGAAGACGCGGGUCUGUUGGGGAAAAGGUAUCGAACGUUUCAACGAAGGAGAAUGAUAUAUAUAUAUAUAUAUAUAUAUAUAUGUAUAUAUAUAAUAAGAUGUACAAGUGUUGGCUCCCCCUUCCUUCUCAACUCCACUUGGCUGCAACGUGGGGGAAGAAGAAAACUUUCUUCUUAAAAUAAUCCCUCCCCCUUCCACUCUCUCAUGUACGAAGUAGGUCUUUACCAGAACAAAUUUUAGUUAGCCUCAAACAUGCCCAUUCUAACUAAUGAGUGAAUAGAUUAGAAUUUGGGCGUCACACAUGGACAGGUAGAAAACCAGACUUAAGUUUUCUUAAGCCAUGGGGUUGUGCUGCCUAUACACAUGAGUUCUCUCACAAAUUUGGGAAAUUGGGUCCCAGAGGAAAGAAGAGUAUUUUCAUAAGGUACUCUGAACACUCGAAAGGAUAUGUGUUCAUAGGUGAGCAGGAAAGUGGGAAUAUAACUAAGUUUGAAUGACAAGAUGUCACAUUCUUAGAGGGUGAAUUUCCUAAGAAGGGCGAAAUAGGGGAAGAUUACCCCUAUUUGAAACCUUGGAUUAAGAUAAUGAUAUUAAUGGAGUUCAUCCAAGUGGGAGUAAUAUGACAAGUGAUGAAUCGAAUUCAACUCAUUCUCAAUUACAACCACAUGAUGAGAUGAUAUUGUCAUUAUCUAAUCCGAGUGGGAGCAUGAUGGGGAAUGAUGUGCUAAGUGUACAAUCUCUCAUUUAGCGAACAAGUUGCCAAAGUAUUCCCCGUCGACGUUUUGACAUUAAAGGGGAAACUUUUAUGGUUGCUCCACAAGAUGAGGAUGAGCCAAGAAAUAUUAAUGAGGCUCUGAAUUGCCCUAGUAAGGAAAAAUGGAUUAAUGCAAUGGAAGAGGAAAUGGUGUCAAUUAAAUCAAACCAAGUCUGGGAACUGGUUGAUCUUCCAAAAGGACGCAGAGCUAUUGGGAACAAGUGGGUUCUCAAAAUAAAGUGAAAGGCUGAUGGCUCGAUUGAAAGGCAAAAGGCUCGCCUUGUGGCGAAGGGGUAUAAUCAACAGGAAGAAAUUGAUCAUGAAGAUACGUUUUCUCCUAUAGUGAGAUUUACCUCGAUUCGCAUUAUUCUGGCAAUAGUGGCUAGUCUGGAUCUUGAGUUACAUCAAAUGGAUGUAAAGACUGCUUUCCUUAAUGAAGAAUUAGAGGAAGGAACAUAUAUGGAACAACCUGCUGGUUUCAUAGUGAAAGGCCAAGAAGAAAAGGUAUGUCGACUUUUGAGGUCGAUAUAUGGCCUUAAGCAGUCGUCAAGACAAUGGUAUAUACGAUUUCAUAAUGCCAUAAUGGCAUAUGAUUUUACAAUGAUAGAUGAUGAUCAUUAUGUAUAUAUCAAAAGAUCCAAGGAUCAAUUUGUGAUCAUAUCAUUAUAUGUUGAUGAUAUACUAAUUGCCGGAAGCAAUAUGGAGCUUGUCAAUACUGUCAAAAGUUGGUUGUCUUCCAAUUUUGAAUUGAAGGAUAUGGGAUUGUAAACCCAUUGACACUCCUAUUGCAAACGGUGAAGGAUUGAGCCAUAGACUGUGUCCAAGGACUCCACAAGAGAAGGAACAAAUGAAACAUGUUCCUUAUGCUAGUGCUGUUGGGAGCUUGAUGUACGCUAUGAUGUGUACAAGACCUGACAUAUGUUAUGUAGUUGGAAUGGUGAGUAGAUACCAAUCCAAUCCAAGUCAAGCACGUUGGAAAGCCGUUAAAUGAAUACUAAGGUAUCUAAAGGGGACUGCUGAUUAUACGUUAAGUUAUUAUAGAAAAGAUCUGCAACUCAAAGGCUAUUCUGAUGUUGAUUGGAGAGGAGAUUUAAAUGAAAGAAAAUCUACCUCUGGAUUUGUUUUCUUACCGGAUAAUGGCACCAUAUGUUGGAGCAGUAAGAAACAAAAGUUUAUAGCCUUGUCCACGAUGGAAACUGAGUUCGUGGCAUUAUCAGCAGCAGUAUAAGAAGAUGUUUGGCUUAAGAGAUUAUUAGAUCAUUUAGGUGUUAUUGGAAGUACUGCAGAUUUGUUAUUGGUUAACUGUGAUAGCCAAGCAGCGAAAGCGUACACCAAAGAUCCAAAAUAUCAUGGCAAGACCAAACAUAUAGAUAUCAAGUAUACUUUUGUCAAGGAUAUGAUUGCACGAAAAGAUAUGAACUUAGAGUACAUACUACGCAUAGAAUGGUAGCAGAUCCUAUGACAAAGCCAAUACCUAGAGAUGUGUUUUGUGGCCAUAUGAAAUCUCUAGGAUUGCGUAGAGGAUGAUGUACUGAAUAUUGUAAUUUUCCUAAGAGUUCACAUUUGAUGAAUUUGUGUUUUCAUCAUUAAUGCCUAUGAAUCUUAGUUUGAUUUUUAUGCAUCUUAAUGCUCAGUGCAUUACUUUAAGUUGAGAAAGUAUGUCGAACAGAUAAAAGAUUAGCCCACUCACACGGGUAAUCGCCUCUAUUUACUGUGUGAUAAAUAGAGAUGAGACUGUUUUUAAGCUUAUUAUCUAGGUGAUAAUCGAGAGCUCAAGCUUAAAAUACGUAUGUCGCCUUAACUGAGUGUUAAGAUGAGGACAUAAUACUUACUAUGUCCGAAAGUAAAAUAACCCACAUAUUUUACUUUAUCUAUCUAUAAUGCCAGAUGUGAGUUCUGAUGAAUUUUGUGAAUAAGUAGAUAAGUAAACUCAAGUUAGACAUUGAGUAUGUCUAAACUAUCAUUUGUACGGUAUUGAAAGGUAUAGACAUACACUCCAUGGGAAAGGAGUUAAUACCGUAAUACGUGUUUCAUACUACGUAUACAUGAGACGACCAAUAAGAGAGGCAAGAGUUUGAUCUCAACUUUUAUGUCGUGUGAGGCUCUUGAGGAAAAGAGUUCCUCAAUUUUCAGUCCCCUCAUGACUCUUACUUAUUCUCAAGAUUUCUAUUUAGUGUUUGCUAUCUUAGGAUGUUGCCAAUGGUCAUGAGUUGAUUCGAUCUAAUGGGACAUUUCUAGAAAAGCAAGCUGAACUGAAAUUGAGAGUUUGAAGGAAAGAGGAAGAUCGAAUUUGGAGAAUCACAUUGUAGUUUUUGUAUUCACCGGUUAACCAAUUAUGACUGUCUUUGUGAUAAUCAUAAUUGUGAAUACAAUAUAUAUAUAUAUAUAUAUUAUCGGUUGAAAGAGAUCAAGAGAGAUAUAAAUGUGAUCAAUCGAUCUAGGGUACUGCAUAUUAAAUCUACUCGGAGUGUGACGCCCAUUAUGAGCUGCUAUAUAUUCCUAACAAAUAUAUAGUAACGAGCUCUCAAAGCAUGUUGGUCGCACGGAUUAUUCACCGGUAUAAAUGUUGAAGAGAGGUAAAGAGGAUCAUGUUCAGCCCACCAUGUGCGAGUGGGAGAUGAUGGUUUUAAUUGGUGAUGGGCUUAAGGCCCGUCCGCCCAUGCUGGGCUCAAAAGGCCCAGCCCACGGGAAUAGGGCCCGUGGAUGGGGGAAGGUAUAAAAGGGAGGAGAGAGAGAGAGAGAAGACAAGGUUUUGGAAAUAAAAACGCACGUACGUCUUCUCCUCUCCCGCGCGCUCUCUCUCUCCAAAGGAACAGUAAGCAAACGGCGACACUGUCUUCCCUUCAAGGCGUCAUCGGAUCGAACAGGGCCAGUUUCUCUUCCUCUAUCGGCAUCGGUGUCUAAUCUGUGGCUAACAAGGUACGCUCGAAUCUGUGGUGUGCUUUAGGAUCGGUGAUACGUGUUAUUCCCGGGCUUCGCUUCCGCAUUCGUUUUAGGGGUUCGAUUUAGUGUCGAAUCCGGUUUUCGGGGAUCCGUGAUUCCCAACACUCCUGCUAUGAAUGAUGUGAACUGAGGACAGCUUACGAUGGUUAAUUCCUAGCCGCAAGUAAGAUUUAACAUUUCGUUUCCAUCUUGCCACAAGUAUUUUAACUGGUCACAACCUCCUAUAUGAAGCUUCUUUAACAUGAUCAAGUGGCUCAUAAACCCAUGAUCAAAGCAAACAAACUCUGCAAGAUUCUUAUUGUAAGAAUGGUCAAAGAAGUUAGGUUGAUCAAGCUCUUCAAGAUCUCCUUGUUACAAUCCUCAAGGAACAACUCAUGGAGAGAUGCUACAAACAUCAUUGGUUGAGUUUUUCAAAUGCGGACAUGAAUGAAUUUCAAGUUUUGUGAGACGAUCAAGUUGACAAGGCAAUGUCCCAACCAACAAAGGACAGCCUCGAACAACAAGAUGCUUAAGACAUGAGAAUGAGACUUCUUCUUUUGGGCGUCGAGCAUUAGGAGACCAAUCCUUCCAUGCCAACAUCUCUUCAAACUUCAAAGUGGUUAAGGAUGAAAAAGGCCUUGUACCUCCAUAAAAUUCAAAGCCUAUCAUUCUUAUUGCAUGUAGGCCUUUAAGAGAUAAUUCCUUAAGUGAAGGUAGUUGUCCAAUCAUAAACAGCGACAUAACAUUAGGACAAUCCCACAAGCAUAAAGACACUAUUUUAUAAUAUGAUGUACAAUCUAACCAUGAUGGGAAUAUUGCACCAUGAUAGUUCAAAAUAGCAAGAUUUUCAAGAUUAGUGUGAGGUCGCAGAGAGUCAACCACCUGUGCUUCGCACCCAUGAUUAUGGAGAUCUCCCAAAUGUUCAGCCCAAUGCAAGGAUAAGUUGGUAAGGCCUAGCUUUUGAAGCAAAUUAGCAUCAACAGCAUCUAUAACUUUUUCCACCUUUUGCAGUUCUGAUAUGAAUAAUUCUCCUUCAAGAUGUGGCAAGUUCUUUAACUCUUUCAAAUGCUCUCAAGUCUUACAACAAAUUUGGACAACACAAUAAGAUUCUUUAAAUUACCGAUACUCAAUGGCAUCUCUUUUAGAUUCUCGGUAUCUCUAAUAUCAAGAAAUUGUAAACUGGCUAACUUUGUGAUACCUUGAGGCAACUUUAAAACCUCUUGACAACCUCUUAAAAUCAGAGCUUGUAAUUUGCACAAGGUGUCAAUUGACUCAAGUAGCCUCUCAAUACGGGUGUACGAGAAAUUGAGAUACUGAAGAUAUUUUAAAUCACCAAUACAACUCAGUACCUCUAUGAUGUCACAACAAUAUAACGAGAAUACUCUCAACUACUUCAAGUUUGUUAGCAAGUCAUGUAGCACCUUGUUGGAAAUAAAGAAAGAGCCCCCACAAGAUUCAUCACGCACCAGAAUUAAACUUCUUAGUGCCUUCAUUCCUUGAUAUGGCUUUAGGCAUUUUGAUGUAACAUACCGCGAUGGGAUGAAUGAUGCAUAACGAGUUUUUUCAAGAGAUGAUACAUCAUGUUCAUUACUUGCUACCUGAGACCCCCCUGAGCUAAAGCAAGUCCCACCCAAAAUUGACUUUGCUAGAUCAUUCAAAAGAUCAUGCAUUGAAAAGUUAGAUGCGUCAAUACUUGAUUGUUGAAGAAAUGACCUAGAUACUAACUCAUCAAAGUGCUUCCGUCCCAAUUUCAAGAUAUUCUCAUUUUUCUUUUUUCCCAUCUAAGAGUCCCUCUGCUAUCCAUAAGAGUACCAACUCAUNNNNNNNNNNNNNNNNNNNNNNNNNNNNNNNNNNNNNNNNNNNNNNNNNNNNNNNNNNNNNNNNNNNNNNNNNNNNNNNNNNNNNNNNNNNNNNNNNNNNNNNNNNNNNNNNNNNNNNNNNNNNNNNNNNNNNNNNNNNNNNNNNNNNNNNNNNNNNNNNNNNNNNNNNNNNNNNNNNNNNNNNNNNNNNNNNNNNNNNNNNNNNNGCCGCCAAAGGUAAACCUUUGCAUCUUUCAGCUAUUUUCUUGUCUAUUAUUUUAAAAGCCGGGUGGCUCUCAAAAUUUGUUGCUCCAAGAGCAUGAAAGGCUAAUAAGCUUACACAAUUAUCAAAGGACAAUUCCCUCAAAGGAUAUGGCGAAGCUCUUGUUAUGGAAGCAACAUUAAAGUUGUGAGUCGUGAUGAUGAUCUUGCUUCCCUUAGCCCCCACUUCAAAUGGCUUUAAGAGAGCAGUCCAUUUUUCAUACUUCUCAUUCCAGAUAUUGUCUAAAACCACAAGAAACUUCUUCCCAAAUAGACUAUCCUUCAACUUAACUUGAAGCUCGUUAAGAUCACCCUCGCUGGACAAUCCGGUGAUCGACCGCAAAAUAUUCUUUGUUAUGUCAAAGACAUCAAAAGCAUAUGAGACACAAACCCAUGCUCUCUUCUCGAAAUAGCUAUUCACUUUGGCAUUAUUAUAUAGCCGCUGAGCCAAGGCCAUCUUUCCAACACCGCCCAUCCCAACUGUGGGGACUAUGCUUAGUGUGGCAUCAUAAUUUUUGACCUCACGGAUCAAUAGUUUAAGUAUCUCCAUUUCUUCCUUCUCUCUGUCGAAAAACCAAGGCUCUGGCAGAGAACUAGUGGGAUCCCUUCUGUUGAUGUAGUUGGAUCUGUCCACAACAUUGUCUUUCAAGCUUAGAUAAUCCCUCCUUUUGACGAUUGCUUCCAACCUACCAUUGAUAUAUUGGACCUUAGUGUUAGACACGAGUGAGCCUGGUCGUGUAAAAGAAAAGAACUUCAUUUUCCAUUCACCUCUACUUGUUCUGGAUUCAACCUCUGACUUAACUUGAGUGGCUUUGAUGUCGAACUCAUCGAGCAAGUCUUCUAGGUCAAAGGCCAAGCCCCUAACAUCAUCGAGCCACAGCUUCACUAGACAAUUACCGCUAAGUUGCUUUUCCUUUGCAUCAUCCACCACUGCAUUAAUUGUGACUAGCAUCCUCUUCCUAUCAUCAAGGAUGGUGGUGUCAGUUCCUUCCUGUUGCGCAUAGUCUAAUGCCAAAGAACUCAACUUGUCAAACAAGACCUGAAAGAAGGAACCCAAAAUGAUCUCUCCAAUGGCCAUGGGUAAAUCAAUCGCUGUAGAGAACAACAAAGGUGUUAUGGUGAAGCAAAGUAAAAAUGAGAUAAUGGAAAGAGAAAACUAUGAAUUUUGGGAAGACCAAGACAUCCACUUACCAAAAAGAAUAAAAAAAGGACCAAGACUUUCAAGGGAUGCACACUAAAGUUUAGACAAAUCAAACUAAAAUAGUUUUUUGUCCAAGAGUGCCUAUUUUGUCAAUUGUUCUCCCUUUUCUUCGGAUCCAGGCUUUUCUUGUGGGCAUCCAAAACAGAGGAUAAAUGUGAUUUUUCUUCAUAUGACCAACUUAGAGUUCACACGUAUUUUCAUAAAAAACUUCAUUACUUACGAGUAUUGUGUUGGCUUUUCACGCAUUCAUAUAUUAUUAGAAUCUCUAUGAUUUCAUUGUCCUUGUUUUCUACUUUAUUGUUGAAUAUGCGAUCAAUGUAGGCUUUUACGUGGCAGUUACGGUGCUGAAAAUUUGCAUAUGUUUAAGAUAUGAGAAGAUUAUCGGUUCCUCCUUCAAUGUGAAUGACCAUGUAAAGACAUCAAAGGCAGCUAAUUUUGUCCGUUCAAUAAGGAAAACAAAGCACAUGCUUUGGGCUAAACAAGAAAAAAGGUCAGGUGCACCAACUAAUCCAUUAACCAAGUUGCUUUAGUUUACUUUUGCAAAUAGUGGAGUCAAUAAUCAUUAACUAACAUUUCAUAAUCUACUGAAAAUUAUACUUUAUGCAUUAAACCAUCGUUCUCUUAUCAAGUGAUUCCGAUUAUCAACUAUUAACUUAGCACCCUUCGGCAGAUCAUCGUCGUCAUCUUGCUGCAAAGUUUUAACAUUGUAACUGCCACUUAAAGCCUAUAUUGAUCGCAUAUCCACAAUAUGUGAUCAAUGAGCGGAAUCGUUCGGAGAACACGUGCUUUCCAUCCAGCCUUUCGUCUAUUUAUCUACAUCUGUUUGUGCAGCAAGAAGGCAUCCCCUCUAGAAGCGUUCUUUAAACAUUUUGUAUUCUGAAUCGUGUGAAGUUCACCCAGACAUUACGUGCUCUCCAUCAACCAUGCAUUUCCUAUGUACCUUGGAUUAAAGCAAAUGUCCCUCUUUUCUUUUUGUCUUCUAUUGGUCUACGAUUAAGGGAAAAAAAUGACGAGUUUUCCAUAAUUUGGUAACAUCAUAAUGAAAAAUUCACAAGGAGAUUAGAACCAUAUUAAUAUGUUUAACAAUAUGAUUUUUCAUUUUUGGUAUGAGCAUUUCACUUCUUUCAUGUGUUGACUUUGUAUUUUUUUUCCCUCUCCAUUUUCUCUAUCAUAUCUUUUAUUUUCUGGUAGCGGGAAUGCACGAUUAUAAACAUUUACUUUUCAUUUACACUUUUUUUCAAUGAUUUAUAUCUAAAACAUGUACUAAACCCUUAAUUACCUGGUUACAUGCAUUAUUUGUCCCCUCUCUCUCUCUCUCUCUCAGGCUCAUUGGGAAAAUAUAUCAUAUAUAUUAUAUACAUGUAUAUAAUAGAGAGAGAGAGAGAGAGCUUAAAUCCAUGGAGUGAUGUGUUCUUGGCUUCAUAGUCCCACCAAUGGAUUAUAUAUCAUAACUUAGAGAGAGCUUAAUUCCAUGGAGUGAUGUGCUCUUGGCUUCACAGCCCCACCAAUUGAUUAUAUAUCAUAAGUUUUUUUGACGCCUUCAAAAAUUAAAAUUAAAAUUGACCGACUAAAGAUUCUUUAGCAUCAAUUAGAACUUAAAAGGGGAGUCAACAAAUAUAAGAAAGUUACUCACUUUUAGGAGCGUACAAUAUAAAAUGACAAGUUGGGCUUUUUAGGGUUGAAUAAUAUUCGAAGUCUGUUCAAUACCAGAUUGAUGUGCAUUAUAAAAGAUGAACAAUCCAAAAAAAAAAAAAAUUCCGACAUAAUACCUUUUUCUCUAACAAAACAUUGAGUCAUCGCGUGGUCUUUUUCUAACAAAGCACAAUUUUAAUUUCCAUAAUUCAAUUUUUUUUUUAUCACGAACACCUUCACAUUUUUCUCUAUCUUGAAAGAAAAUACAUGGAUAAGUUUUCCAGCACUAAACUAUCAUUGGUUUUCACACAAUGAAAACAAGUCGUCCACAUGCAACGCCCUUGGGGCUUUAGUAGAAACUAUUUCAUGUGAAGUUUAAUUUGCGAAUUGACUUAACUCAAUUUAUUACAGUGGCACACCUUAAAAGAAUACUAAAUCACAAGCACCUUAUUAAUUCACUUUACACCUUUUGGUUAUGGUAAAUCUACUAUAUCUACAUAACAAGGACUUCUUACUAUAACAGUAAAUAUGUGAAAAGACACAACAAAAGUUAUUUAUUUUGUUUGGCACCACGAAAUUAUAGUAAACGUGAAUUUCCUAUGUAUCUCUUCUAAGAGGAAUGAAGCUAUCCUAUUUAAUGGACUAAAAUUCCAAACUGAUAUGUGAUUGUUUCAUGUAAAAUCCCAAACUUGUACUUAGUAAAAUCAUUCCACGUCAAUGCGUGUUUAAUAAAGAGAUCAAUGAUAGAGAGAUUAAAAAUUAAUCUUAAUGUCCUAAUAUUACUAUCUAAAAAAAAUUGAAGUAAACAAUUCUUUGUUACUGAACUUGACAUCAAGUAUUUGAGAUCAACUUUAAUCAAGAUCAUAGAUAAGCAUCAAAUCGGUUUAAGAACCAAAGUUCUAUUGUUGCUAUAGCCUCUUCUUUGCCUCCAUUAAUAGAAAGAUUUCAGAAAGAACAGGUGGUUGCUCUCGGGUAAUGAACGCCCACCAGAUGCUUUAGAUAGCAAAGUUGCGGUUGGAUCAGUUUGAGAAAAAAUAGAGCAAGAAGAUAGAUGUAUCUACCUUUUCCGAGUAAACUUCCUGGAGCAGACCGGUGAACGGGAUGAGAUCAAUGACAGGACUCCAACAAGCACGACCGCUCAGUUCAGACAAGCGGGAGGAGAACACCGUUGAGCAAGGGGAUUGGCAUGGGUGAUGGUGAAUCUAAGUGAUAAAGAGAUAAGGGAGAGAGAAAACUAUAAAGGCUAGAAAGACCAAGACUUUCACAUGCCAAAAACAAUAAACAAAGACCAAGACUUUCAAGGGUGCACAUCAAUGGUUAGAGGAAUCGAUAUAAAAUACUUUUUGUCCAUAGGUGCUUGUGUCACGGGCCGAUCGAUUGAGAUCAUGACCGUGCGGCGACUCGGGCACUUUAAGAUCGGAUUGGAUCGCCGAAGAACCUAAGCCAAGCCUUGCUCAAUCGAACGCUUACUCGCUCGUAUACCUAGAUCGUAGAGAGAGAAAGAAUCUAGAGAGAAGAGCUCUGGAAAGAAGCUUUGCUUUGUAUUGUGGAAGUAGUGGAUGCUUACAAAUGAAGGUAGACACCCCAUUUUAUAGUUGAGGGCCUCAGAUUACAUCCAUUGAUCUAGAAUUCUAUCAGCGGAUGAGAUCGCACCACCUCAACUACCAACAUAAUGUCAACUACCGACAUAAUGUCAACUACCGUCUACCGACAUAAAUAAUGGAACAGACUCCUAGAACAUGACUCAAUGACGGUUUCGCCCGUCCUUGGAAACUUCAGGGAGAAGGUUUGGUGGGAAUCCGAGUGAGAGCAAGAGGUCCACGGGUGAGUCGCGAUAGUCCUCUAGGAACCUCUUGGGUCGACUCUCAUUAGGCCCAUGACAUUCUCCCCCACUCAAUCAAGCGACGUCCUCGUCGCUCUCAGCUUGGCGGGCAGCCUUGCGAGCUUUGGCACGAGCUUUCUUGUUCUUGUUGCGCUUCACUCGGACGCUCACGAAUGAAGGACCACAACCUUCGAUGAUGAACUCGGACUUGGCACGCGGCUUGGUCUUUGGCUUGGACGGAGCACGCGGCGCGCACUCAACCUUGGGGAAGAGCGCUUGGAUUGGCAUGGCGUGUGUUGGAGUAGGAUCCAACUCUCCCUUCGGCUUCACCUCAGACAGCUUGUUGAUGCGCAUCAUGGCCUUCAAGCUCUUGUCGAGGCGUUAGAUCGACGCGAUGGUCUUGGUGUCAACCACCCCUUGAUCAUGGGGAUCAUCGACAAGCACUUUUGGUCGAGGAUCAUCAUGCACUUGGUCCUCAUGUUGAUCAUGGCUCCCACACUAUGGAAAAAUUGCAUCCCAAGGAUGAGAUCAUAGUCGUCAAGAGGGAUUACCUCGAACGCCAUUUUGCCCUUCCAUCCGCCAAUCUUGAAAUCGACGUCGGGUGUUGCUCCAACGCCAUGGAAGUCGCCUGAAUUGAUGGGCUUGUACGACUUCCCGGAUGGUUCCACGUGAAGUCCCAAGGCCUUCGCAACCUCGGUCGACAUGAACAUGUUGGAUGCGCCGGUGUCGACCAAAGCAUAAAGCAUUCGGCCGCACACUUCGACCUCCACAAAGAACAUGUCCGUGUUUGGAGUGAUUCCUUCUUCUUUGGUCGGCGAUCGAGUUUGGAUCGAGUUGACCAUCCUCACAGCUCCAAUCCGAAUCUGCCUCUUAUCUUCUUUGGGCACCCCCUUCUCUUCUUCGAUGGCAAGGAGGGCGUUGAUACGACCCUCAUCGGGUACUUUUGGGUCCAGUGCGGACCGUUGCAAAUAAAGCAAGGAGAGGGCGGAGGUUGAUCGAAGUUACUCACAUAGUCCGUCUGCGGUCGACCUCUUUGGAAGGACGGCUUGGAAGACCCUUCUCCCCACGUCUUGGCUCAGCCGCCUUGAUCGGGCGUGCUUCGGGGAGUGUUUCUUCCUUCGUUAUUGGGUCAAUCUGACCUCCAAUCUCUUGCUCGGUUGUUCCUCGGCUCAACCUUGGUGAGGUCAACGAGAGACUCGGCCAUGCUCAAUGCUCGCGCAAGACUACUCACGUCCUGCCGCUUCAACUCGAGUUGUGCCCAUGGCUUGAGUCCAUCCAUGAACGCUUCGAAAGCCUCCUCUUCGCUUAGGUUGCAAAUUUGGAGUUUGAGCUCCGUGAACUCCUUCACGUACUCUCAGAUCGCGCCUCUUUGCUCGAGGAGAUGGAGCAAGCUACGAGCUUCUUGUUGAGCGAACUCAGGGAAAAAGUAGUCGCGAAACUCCCUCACGAAGUCGUCCCACGUGUCCACGGGAUCAGCGCCGCGUCGAAUCUCAUCGCACCUAUUGUGCCACCACAGCAUUGCCGUAUCAGUAAGGAACAUGGAUGCGAUUCGUACCUUGAUCGACUCGUCUUGAGUGUUGACAGCACCAAAGUAUUGCUCUAUGCUCCACACGAAGUUGUCCACCUCUUGGGCGGACCGGUUGCCUUUGGACUCCUUGGGUUUUGGUACUUCUAUUUUGGGCACCGCUUGAGUAGGCACCGCACCGUUCGUGACGCUUAGCUUGCAUAGGGUGAGCUCGAUCUUGAGCUCUUGGAUCUCCACCUUCAAGGCCUCGACCUCGUCCCUACAUGGGCUUACCUCCUCGAUUAUUUGGACGCGCUCGUUCAAACCAUCGAUCGAUGCUUCGAGAGCUUCGUCCUUGUUGAAUAAUGGAGCCGUGGCUUGGUUGAUGCUGGUCAUGAAGUCUUCACGGAGCGAGCCCUCAACCUCCAUGAUCCAGUCUCGCACGUCGUCAAGACCUUCCAUGAGUUCGAGUACGGCACUUCGAACCUUCCCGAUCUUCUCAUCGAACAUAGCCGCAACAUCCACCAAGGCAUCUCUUUUCUUUGCUUUGGCGCACGUCUCCUUGACUGGCGCAGCCUCUCCAACCAUAGCCGCUUCUUGGCUUGACAUUCUCUUGAACAGUUGGCGCUCUUCAAUCUCUUGGAAACGAAUCUCUCUUUAGCUCUGAUACCACUUGUCACGGGCCGAUCGAUUGGGAUCAUGACGGCACGGCGACUCGGGCACUUUAAGAUCGGAUUGGAUUGCCAAAGCACCUAAGCCAAGCCUUGCUCGAUCGAACGCUUACUUGCUCGUAUACCCGGAUCGUAGAGAGAGAAAGAAUCUAGAGAGAAGAGCUCUUGAAAGAAGCUUUGUUUUGUAUUGCGGAAGUAGUGUAUGCUUACAAAUGAAGGAAGACACCCCCUUUUAUAGUUGAGGGCCUCAAAUUACAUCCAUUGAUCUAGAAUUCUAUCAGCGAACGAGAUCGCACCGCUUCAACUAACGACAUAAUGUCAACUACCGUCUACCGACAUAAAUAAGGGAACAAACUCCUAGAAUAUGACUCAAUGACUAUUUCACCCGUCCUUGGAAACUUCAGGGAGAAGGUUUGGUGGGAAUCUGAGUGAGAGUAGGAGGUCCACGGGUGAGUCGCAAUAGUCCUCCAGGAACCUCUUGGGUCGACUCUCAUUAGGCAUGUGACACUUGUCUCAUAAUGUUUGGAGAAUGUCCUCAGAUAUUUGUAGUUUCCACAAUCAUAUAUUUUUUUCAUGUAUAUAAAUCAUAAACUUGAGAAAACCAAUACUUUUCGUUAUGCAACUACAAGUCACCGGAGACAGCUAACUUUUUCUGUUCAAUAAGAAAAACAAAAGCACAUGCUUUGAGAUAAACAAGAAAAAGGGUCAAGUACAUGAACCACACUAACCAAUCCAUUAAGCAAGUUGCUAUCCUCUUAGUCCACAACACAUGCAUAUGUGACUAUUCAUUCCACAAAAUUUAUUCAAUCAUUCAAGAAUCACGUAAAUUGACGUUCAUUCAAUUUUGCUACCGUAGAUAGUCAUUAUGUAAAUUCUAUAGUAAACGUACUCUUCACGGUGAAAUAUACAAAAGUUACACGGUUGUUUCUUCUACAUAUGUAUUAUCAGAUUCAAAUAUCUCGAUUAAAAAAAUCUCAUUCUAUAUAGUUUCUCCGAAUUAUAAUAAUAGUUACCUUUUUUCUGUUAAAAAAACAGCUCUCGCGCAUGAUCGAUGAUGGACGGUGGGUGCAUCAUUACAAGACGGACGUCACGCCUGUCUAAUAAUCUCAACCGCUCCCUUCGACGGCUUCCUAUCAGAUUUGAUUUGAUUUGAUUUGAUUAUUUUUGUUCACAUUGGUGCCUUUCUUUUUAUUUCAUUUUAAAAUUGAUUAUAUUCCUGGACCCAUCCUUAUCUACCCUUGUUCAUGAGUCCCAUGACACGUGUCAUGACCUUGAUGCAUCAAUUUUAGGUUGGGGCAAGGUCAAAUGAAUGCUUUCAAUAUUUACUAAAAUCAUUAGGAUUUCAUCAACAUGUCCUAGGAUACUUGUUAAAUAUUUAAAUAAAGAAAUAUUGUUCUUUUUGAUGUACUAUGUCUCCCUCAUAUCUUUUACAAGUAAUGUUUUGAGAACGAGAAUCUUUCUUUAGUAAGUACAAUUGAGAAAUGCUCUCAAAAUAGUUGUUAAUAAAAUUCAAAUUAAAAUUAUAGCAAUGAUUUGCAAUUUAUGCAUCGGGUUCCAGCACAGCAAUAUCCAUGAACCCGCAUAAUGCCUGAUUUUCUCUUGAUACAUAAAUUGUGUCAAGUGUUCUACUCACUGAACCCAUUACUAAGUAGUAAGUACUAACCGUUCUUAAAAUAUUAUCAUUGAAGAAAAUAAUGAUAUUUGUGAUGUUUUGUUGCACUAUGACUUAAUUGGGUAGAUAAGACCUAUCAUUUUGAGAGGAUAUAAAAAUCCUUUUUUUAGACGUAUAAGAUUUAUUGGUCAGCGACAAAGUAGUUGAAAGUAUUACAUCAUAAUUUUUGUUGUGUCAUUUUCUAGGUAGCACGGACACGGCGACACGGACACGCGACACGACACGCGACACGUCAUUUCUCAAAAAGUAGAGAAUUCCGACACGUUCCGACACGUUAAAUAUUAAAUAAAUAUUUUUAUAUAUACAUGAUUAAUUAUUAUGUUUAAAUUAAUUUAUUCAAAUUCAUAAAUAAAUAAAUAAUAAAAAAGCCUAUAAUAAAUCUAUACUAGUAACAUGUAUUAAUAAAGUUAUUCAAUGUACGCAAAGGCAUUCGAUCCGUUUCUCUCAUCGUCUUGAAAAGAAAGAGAGAACUUUUACAGAUUUUGCCAAAAAAAAUAAAGUUAUUUAAUAUUUAAUAUUUCUUUUUAGGGUUAAAUGGUCCCAUCCAUUUAUUUCCCCCACCCCACCCACCGCCUACACACAUCUCUUCCCAAAGUCAGACUGCACUGCACGAGGCUUUCUUUUUUUCCCCCAAGAAGCCAUCGACACAUCCUCUCUCUCCUUGCUCUUCUUCCAAAAAUUGAAAACCCUAGCAAUCGGCGAUCGCCUUCUUUCUCCUCUCCCUCGCUCAGUCUCCACCUCUCUCACCGCUGCCUCGCCUCCGUUCCCCCCUUUGCUGUCGUAGCCUCGCAUCCAGCCCUCCAUUGCAGCCUUUCCGUUUUCCAUCUUGGCGUUGCAGUCGGCGGUCGCAGCCAACCAAGAUGAUCGAGAAAGCUUCUCAGUGUUGCAGUCGGCGGUCGGAGCCCUUGCAGUCGGCGGUCGGAGCCCUCCCUUGUCGUCGCUCGCGGCGUUGCCUCAGCUCCCUCACCCUUGCCUUCACCCUCCAUCACUUUCUUCCCUUCGCACCUGCGGAUCCGCCCACAAACCUCCGGACACGCUCCGAUGCGCGUGUCGGAAAGAGUUGACCAUGUGUUGGAAACUCUGACAUGUGUUGACUGCGUGUCCGAGCAUGUCCGAGCGUGUCCGAGCAUGUCGGACACGUGUCGGGGUGUCCGACACGACACGGAGGCCCUUUGAAUGUGUCUGUGCUACCUAGGUCAUUUUGUCUUUGAUACUUGUCCAGUAAAAGACACAAUCUUUUUUUUUUUUUUUGGGAUAUUGAAAGGGGCAAAACCCAAAAGUUACGCCAAAAACAAGACACGAUCUUAGCUAGCAUCCGGGCAAGGCUAGGCAGCCGUUCCCACCACCUCUCUCUCACUACAUAUUCUCCCUCUAUUUUAUUCUAAAUUUACCAAUGUGGCGCUACAAUGUCAAUUUGACACUACAAGUAAUGGUAGGCACUGAAAGGUUUUAUUGUACAAAAGGACAAUGUUAGAAUAUUACAUUACCACAAAAAAGUAAGAGAGGUAAAUUGUGGCACCCCUCGAACGGCCCCCAAUCCGUUAGGGUUGCCAACAGUUCGCUUACCUUUUACUUGUCCUAAUAACAUGUCACUCUGAUAUUAUUUGAAUUGUAAUGGGUCCAUACAACCUUGGGGUUUAUAUUAUCUUAAUCGGUCCCAACAUAGUUCAUAUAACGGAAGCAUACUUGAUGUCUCCUUAACCCAUACUCAAACUAAAUAAUACAAUGCAAUACACACCAACUAUACCUUAUAUACCUUAUAUAUAUAUAUAUAUAUAUAUAUAUAUGAAUUAGGACAGAAUCACUUUUAUUUACAUAACUAUGAUGAACUUCACAAGUCGGUACAACAAAAGGCCAAGGCUUUAACUAAGCUCGGCUAUACUCAAAAGUACCUGACUCUACAUUAGACAUGUACAUCAAUCCAUCAUCUAGUGUCGGACAUUCCAAAAGUGUCAUCAUCCACCAAUCACACGCUCUAAUCACACCCAGCUCGGUGCAACGGCCGGUGGCGGUGGCAGCAUCCCCAUCAUCAGACCGUCGCAUCGAACAUGUACAAAAAGGAACUCCUGAACUACAGGGCCAUCAGGUAGGCCCACAUCAUACAUGACCAAAACAUGGAUUCGGAUAAACACCAGACCACGAACACCAACACAGGGGUGCUCCGAGCACUCGACCUCAACAUCAGAUGGUAAGCCAUAGAAUGUACCACGUGUGACAGGUGCUAGAGGCAUCUCUCAAUCUGAAAUAUUAGUCCCCAAAAGGGGUGAGUACAACUACUUAGCAGUAAAAAUCCAUCAAACUACACAAUGCAACAAGCAAGACAACCACAAUUUCAUGUGAGAUGCACAUAUCAUCCAUGCUAUCAUACAUAUGUCUCCAUGAGAUCCAUUCAUAACCUUAAUAAUCACAUUCCCCAUGCCAAGCAAUACCAAUUCAGGAAUGAUGGACAAAUAUAUCUCAUGCCAUAUGCACACACCCAUACACAUGAUCCAUGUCAUCCACACAAUCAUGUAUAUAUCCUGAUGAGAUCCAUUCAAUGUCUUCAUGAUCGCAUUCUCAAUGCCAAUUAGUACAAUUCAAUUUCAUAGGCAAUUCGUGCACCAUGCCAUAUGCACACACAUGCAGAUGAUUCAAUUCCCAUUUUCAAUUCUCAAAAGGAUCUCAUUUUCUUCCAGGGACCAGUGUUUGCAUCCCUCAUAUAUCACUCACACCCAACCUGGCGUCAUGAGGAACCUCCGGCACACACCUCCGGGCAUCCGGCACACACACUUCGGGCAUCACACACACUUCGGGCAUCCCGUACCCUAACUGGCAUCACGAGGAACCUCCAGCACACACACUCCGAGCAUCCGGCACACACACUUUGGGCAUCUUGAAACUCCCAAGGACAUCCGGCACACACACUCCGGGCAUCCCGACACUCCCGAGGCAUCGUCGGCUCACACCUCCGACGGUAUCAUCAUCAUCACAAUGUAUAUUCACAUAUAUAUCUCACUUUCAACAUAGCAUUUGAUGCAAUAGUGUCAAAGGUCUAAACCAGCCUUUUGAUGCUAUAUGACAUGCUAAAUGUCACCACAUAUGCAGCAUAGAUAACCACCCAAGACAUCAUAUUUUAUAGAGCAAUUCAUUUAUUCUUGAAAAUACAGCAAAUUUCGAAACAUCACCAUUGUACAGUUUUAUUCAUAAAUUCGGUAUAAACCCUAAAUCAGCUCCGAAAAUUCUGAAAUUUUGAUAUGUUCUAGAAAAAACCUAGAGGUAAAAGUUUUGUGAAGAACUCAAAGUCAGAUUCUUGAUAGAUCAAAAUCUAUGGUCACCUUACUCUUCCUAACCCUCGGUGAUGAUUUUCAGAUCUAACCAUUUCAAAGAAAAAUCAUUUCACCGACCAAUACUUGUCCGUUUUUUCUCAACUUUUAGUAUGUUAUUCCUUGAGAUAUCAUCUACAACUUUUAUCAAGAACAUGAAACCAAAUUCGAACUGGAUACUUGCAAAAAAUUCACAUAAUCACAACAGAUCAACAUAACAGUUUCCAGAUCUAGUAUCUUUGGAGAAAAUGUUUUCACCAACAAAUACUUGUUCUCUUUCUCUAAAAUUUUGAUAUGUUAAUCUUCAAGAAGUCCUCUACAACUUUCAUCAAGAACACAAAGUGAGAUUCCAGCUAGAAAAUUGCAUGCAGCUCACAAAAUCACCAAAGGUCGGACUGUUUUUCCAGAAAACAGAUUACUAGGCUAAGGCACUACUCCCAUAACUUCGAAAAUUCUAACCUCCCCCACAUCCGAAAUUCACCAUUCUUCACACACAAUCACAGCAAGCAAAGUGUAGAUCAAUGGACUCUACUUGCCUUAAAUCCAAUGAAAAUCACAGCAAGCACAACGACGAGGCUAAGCGGGCUUGAUCGACAGCAGCAACUAGGUGCAUGCAUGACGGGCCGGUCUUCUUCUUCCCUUCCUCUCUUGCACGCUCACUUUCUCUCGGUGUUCUCUCUCUCCCUCUCGCAUGACACCUUCUCUCUCUCUUGGUUUCAAUCUCUCGAGCAAUCCGCCCAUCUCUCUCUCUUUUUCUUCCUUCAUGAUUAGCUAGUGUUGGAGAAAUCUUCUUGAAGUGUUUUGAAGUUGACAAAACGUUUCUAUCAGUCUAGUCUGAAGGCUUGCAGACUCUGCUGUUUAAAGUCUGAAGACCUCCGGACAGCCAGACUCAAGACUUAAAGUCUAUCCUCAUUGACAGUCUCUAAUCUGUUGAAGAAAGGUUAUCCAGAACUGGAUGUUUUAUUAAAGAUUUAACUUUAUCAACUGGAGAAGAUCUCGUGGCUAGAGAAGACAUAACGGAGUCCUUUGAUUGAUCGAAGAUUGACUCGAUAAUUGAAGAUCCGAUAAUUGCCUAAAUAUUAUUGGAAGGUUCUGCUUAUGGAAACCGAGAUCCUGAUUGUAUGGGCGAACAGGAUUGAUGGGCUAUCAACACGUUCCUUUAAUAGCUUGAACAAUCUUCCUAAUUGAUUAUGUCCAACGGGUAGAUUGGAGGAAUUCCUUUGGUAAGUGCCAACGGGUAUGAUGGCAUAAAGGAGUAUAUAAGGAAGACGGUCUUAAUUGUUCGAGGUGUGCGCGAUAGAAGAAUUCCAAAGUAUGAAGCUCCUUUUUGUUUAGACAAAUCCUUUGAGCGAAUACUUGUAUACAAAAGAGAGUCUAUAUUUGUGAGAAAUCUUGAGGAGGUGUGGUAGAACAUCCACACUGUGGAAUCAAGGCAAAGCUGUGCUGUAACUUCUCUUUUGUUCAUAGUGGAAUCCAGCCAAUAGGCUGUCAGUGAAGAAGAGUGGACGUAGGCUUGAUAUAAGCCGAACCACUAUAAACCGCGUGUUCAAUUUUCUCUUCUCUCAGUCUUACUUUGAUUAACGUUUCCUUCUACUGUCUAGUAUUGUGCAAUUGUUGAAGAAAAAUCUUUUAUAUACCUAUUCACCCCCCCUCUAGGUACUCAUACUAGUAAUAUCAAUUGGUAUCAGAGCCUGUGUACUUACUUUAUUUGAAGUGCUUUACUUCGUAGUAAAAGAUCCAUGGCUAGUAUGCUAGCACCAAGGCUAAUGGAAGGGCAAAGCAAUACCAGACCACCCUACUUUGAUGGAAAGGAUUACAACAUCUGGAAGAACAAGAUGAAAGCUUUCAUUCGAUCAAAGGAUCCUCUGGAAUGGGACGUUGUAGAAAAAGGAAUUACUCCUACCACUGCAUCAGUCUCUGAAAGAGGAAAAGAAACUGAUGAGACCAGCGGAAUGACUCAGGAAGAGAUAAUCAAGAGACAAGCACUCGAUGCAAAAGCAAUUUAUUCCUUAUAUUGUGCUUUGUCACCAACUGAAUAUAAUAGAAUAUCUUCUUGUGUUACAGCAAAAGAAGUUUGGGACAGAUUGCAUAUCACCUAUGAAGGAACAGAUCGAGUGAAGGAAACAAGAAUCAACAUUCUUCUCGGUCAAUACGAAGCCUUCAGAAUGAAACUAGGAGAAUCUAUAUCUGACAUGUUUAGUCGUUUUACAGAUAUUGUGAAUGGUCUUGAAAAUCAAGGUCAACCAACUUCUGAUCCCAUGAAGGUAAACAAGCUACUGCGUGGACUCUCCAGGGAUUGGAAUCACAUAAAGACUUCGAUAAGAGAGACGCAAAGAAUUAUGCCACUAUCUGUCGACGAGCUAAUUGAAACUCUUCAGUCUUAUGAAGUGGAACGGAUCAAUGAAGAUGAAGAUCCAAAAGGUAAGAAAUCCAUUGCAUUAAAAUCAAAUGAUGAUUCUGAUGAUAUAGAUUCUGAAGAAGAUAUGGACGAUGAGGAGCUUGCUCUCAUGAUAAGAAGAUUCAGAAAACUGAAUAGAAAAGGAAGAAGGUUCAACUCAAAGAAACAAAGCUUUCAAAGACAGCAGACCAAGUCUGUUGAUGAUGAGGAACCAAACAAAGACGUAGUCUACUUUGAAUGUAAGAAAAAGGGACACAUCAGACCCAACUGUCCUCUUCUGAAGAAGAAGAAAGGAAAAGCUGAAAAAUUUCGAAAAGCUCUCAAAGCCGAAACCUGGAGUGAUACAGAGUGUGAAGAAAGUGAUAAUGAAUAUGCCAAUCUAUGUCUGAUGGCACAAUUAGACUCAGACUCUGGAUCAGACUCAGACAGUGAAUUUGAGGUAAGUAAUUUUAAAAUUCCUGUCAAAGUUUCUAAAUACAUUGAUGAACUGUGUUUUAGUCUUAAGACUUCUCUCAAAAGAAUUUCCGAACUGAAAAAGGAAAACUCAGCUCUAAAACAAAAGGAAAAUGUUUUAGUAGAAAGAGUUAAAAGUCUAGACUUGACUGUUUCCACUCUUAAAGAAAAUGAAGAUAAUCUUUUAAAAGAAAAUGCUCUUUUAAAAAUAGACGUAUCAAAUAUUUCAAAGAAAUUUUCAAUAGGGUCUGAAAAACUUGAGAAAAUUCUUUCAGCUCAAAGACCUUACUUCAAUAAGUCCGGUCUAGGUAUGACAGCAGAAACAAUUCCCUUGAUUGAUUUUCCUAAAGUAAAAGAAAGAAUUAAGAAAAGACUCUCGAGAGAGGCUUACAAAAAUCACUUCAAGAAAGUUUUUGUAAAAUCUGUAGGUAGAAAUGCUCUCAGAUGUUCAAAAUGCAACAGUCCGGAUCACUUUGAAAAAGAGUGUCCUAUGGUUUGGAAACCUGUUAAGAAAAUAUGGGCUAAUACUGCUUAUGUUACUAACACCAAAGGACCCAAGAAAGUUUGGGUACCAAAGAAAGCUUGAGACUCUAUUUUAAAUGCAGGUCACCGUCAAGAAAAAGGUAAAGUGGUAUCUUGACAGUGGAUGCUCAAGACACAUGACAGGAGACUCAAAUUGUUUUAUAAAGCUUGCUCAAGCAAAUGGUGGAAAAGUUUCAUUUGGAGGAAACAGCAAAGGAAGUAUUGUGGGAUUUGGAACUGUGAAAAUUGGAAAUCUCACAAUAAGUAAUGUUUCCUUAGUGGAAGGACUCAAUUACAAUCUUCUCAGCAUUAGUCAACUGUGUGAUACUGGUUUCAAGAUCUUCUUUCAAGAAGGAAUAUGUUCUAGAAUCAGUAAAGACUCUACUCAGUCUUUCAUGGGUCGAAGACAUGGAAACAUCUAUCUUCUGGAUGUGAAACCAAAUGAAUCGCAAUGUUUUAUCUCAAUUCAAGACGAAGCAAGCUUAUGGCACACGAGGACUACCCAAAUUACCUUAUCAAAAGACUGAUCCAUGCACUCCAUGUAUUCCGGGAAAGCAGGUAAGAAAUUCAUAUAAGCCAAUAAAUCAUGUCUCUACUAAUCAUGUACUACAGUUGCUGCAUAUGGAUCUCUUCGGACCAACCAGAACACAGAGUAUUGGAGGUAAGAAAUAUUGCCUAGUAAUUGUGGACGAUUACUCCCGUUUUACUUGGGUAUAUUUCCUUGCAAGUAAGUCCAAAACCUUCUCGUAUUUUGAAAAAUUUGCUAAAAAGGUUCAAAAUGAAAAAGGACGUGUCAUCUCAAGUAUAAGAACAGAUCAUGGAGGUGAAUUUGAAAAUCAAGAUUUUAUAAAAUUUUGUGAUGAAUCUGGAUUUAAUCAUGUGUUCUCCUCUCCAUAUACUCCUCAGCAAAAUGGAGUUGUGGAAAGAAAGAACAUAUCUCUUCAAGAAAUGGCUAGAACUCUUUUAAUUGAAAGCAAGAUUUCUUCACGAUUUUGGGCUGAAGCUGUUUCAACAGCAUGCUAUAUAAUCAAUAGAGUCUUCUUAAGACCUAUUCUAGAGAAAACCCCUUAUGAGUUAUUCAAAGAUAAGAAGCCUAUUGUUUCAUACUUUCAUGUAUUCGGUUGCAAAUGUUUUAUAUUGAAAAAUGCAAAAGAUCGAGUUGGUAAGUUUGAAGAAAGAUCAGAUGAAGGUAUCUUCCUUGGAUAUUCUACAUCAAGCAAAGCCUUCAGAGUCUAUAACAAGAAGAGCCAGUCUGUAGAGGAGUCAAUGAAUGUCAAAUUUCAAGACUCAACGCAAGAUGAAUCAAGUCAGACUCAUCAAGAAGAGUCUGAACCUGCUCCAGACCUUCCAAAGCUUACAACUCAAGAAGCAUCUCAGACUCUGGAAAACCAGCAUCAGGAUGUCCAUGAAGAUCCAAACAAAGAGAGAAAUCAUCAACCAGACAAAUCAACAAGUAACUGGAAGCAUAAGUCCAGUCAUCCCAAAGAUCUUAUAAUCGGCGAAAUUAAUGAAGGAAUUCGCACCAGAUCCAAAAGGCGAGAAGAGUCUAGUGCUGUGGCUCUCGUUUCUGAAAUUGAAUCAAAGAGCAUAGAAGAAGCUUUAUCUGAUGAAAGCUGGAUUGAAGCUAUGCAAGAAGAGCUCAGACAGUUCAACAUUAAUGAUGUCUGGGAAUUGACAUCCAAACCAAAAGGUAAAACUGUUAUUGGAGCUAAAUGGGUGUUCAGAAACAAGAUGAAUGAGAAAGGAAAAUUCGUACGAAACAAAGCAAGACUCGUAGCCAAGGGAUAUACGCAAGAAGAAGGAAUAGACUAUGAUGAGACUUACGCUCCAGUAGCAAGGUUAGAAGCUAUUCGACUAUUACUUGCGUUUGCUUGUUAUAAGAAUUUCAGGUUAUUCCAAAUAGAUGUCAAAAGCGCCUUCCUAAAUGGAUUUAUCCAUGAGGAAGUUUAUGUGGAACAACCACCAGGGUUUGAAGACCCAAAGAAGCCAGACUCAAUCUUCAGACUGAAAAAUGCUUUGUAUGGUUUAAAGCAAGCACCUCGAGCUUGGUACGAUAGAUUGAGUAAGUUUUUAAUACAAAAUGGUUUUGUCAAAGGUAAAGUAGAUACGACUUUAUUUAUCAAAAAGGAAAACAAAAGUUUCUUACUUGUUCAAAUAUAUGUGGAUGACAUUAUUUUCGGAUCCUCUAAUGAAAAUCUGUGCAAUAAAUUUUCUAAGUCUAUGCAGGAUGAGUUUGAAAUGAGUAUGAUGGGAGAGUUAACAUUCUUUCUUGGUCUUCAAGUAAAACAAUUGAAGGAAGGAACUUUUAUUUAUCAAGAAAAAUAUGUUAAUGAUCUUGUCAAAAGAUUUGGACUGGAAAAGUGCAAAAAGACCGACAUACCGAUGUCAAGUUCUUUGAAGAUAGACAAAGAUGAAGAAGGGAAGAAAGUUGAUCAAAAGCUGUACAGGAGCAUCAUUGGUUCACUCCUUUAUCUUACUGCUUCUAGACAUGACAUCUUGUUGAGUGUUUGCAUCUGUGCUAGGUUUCAAUCAGAUCCUAGAGAAUCCCAUCUCAGUGCUGCGAAACGCAUCAUUAAAUACGUUGCUUCAUCAUCAAGCAUCGGUCUUUGGUAUCCUAAGAAGGGAGACUUUAAUCUUCUGGGAUAUUCAGACACAGAUCUGGCCGGUUGCAGAGUUGAUAGAAAGAGCACUUCGGGAACUUGCCAGUUGCUUGGAAGCAGGACAGUGUCUUGGUUUUCAAGGAAACAAAGCACUGUGUCUCUUUCAACAACAGAAGCAGAGUAUGUAGCCCUGGGAAGCUGCUGUUCGCAAAUUCUAUGGAUAAAACAACAGCUAAGAGACUUUGAAAUUGAAGACUCAUGCACGGAGAUUAAUUGCGACAACACCAGCGCUAUCAACCUCACCAAAAAUCCAAUUCUCCACUCAAGAGCAAAGCAUAUAGAGAUUCGACAUCACUUUAUUAGAGACCAUGUUCAAAAUGGAGAUGUUUCAAUUCAAUUUGUUGACUCAAAGAAUCAACUGGCGGAUAUAUUCACAAAGCCUUUGGAGAAAAAUCAAUUUGAGUCUAUACGUUCCAGACUCAACAUUUUGAGGUAUGAGGAUAUCAAAGUCUAAAGACUUUCAGACUCAGUCUUACAAGACUUUAUCUGAAAGAUAGUCUUGGUACGACCGUCAGAUUGUAAGUCUUUCUCUCUUGAAUCUCAUCUUGAAAAGGUACGAUCGUCAGACUAUGUUUAAAUUGUUGCUAUAUUUAAUUGACGUAAAUAUUGCAUCGUUUCAUUUUCAAAAAGGAAGUUAUUUUUGAAAUGGCUAUUUUUGCGGAAAAAGACAGUUAUUUUGAAAAGGCAUUUUUUUUAUUUCCUUUGUGACGGUUCGUUUAUCCCUCUUUUUAACCGAUCGUGCACUGUCGAUUCCUCUUCACUUUUCUCUCAAAAACCCUAGAAAGCAUCGAUCCUCCAUUCCCGUUUGUCUUCUUCGUUUAAUCCUCAAAAAGUUGUCAUCUUUCCUGGGAAAGUCAAGCAAGGAAUCUUCCAAAAACUGAGAAAGAUGUCAUCUUCAAGAAAGUCUUUGAGAAUUGCAAGCAGGGGACCACGGCGAAUGAGUGAGGGGCCUAUGCACUUCGAUCUUACUGAAGUAGAAGUGACUCCAGAACAGCAAGCGAGCCCACAACAUUCUCAACAGCGUCAUUCUCCUCCAUCUAGUCCUCAAGGCGUUGAUCAUCAACAACAGGAAGAAAUCAUCGAGGAUGCAGACCCUGUAAGAGUUCAAAAGCCCGCUUAUAUUUACCAGUUAUAUCGUGCCUUAAAAGGAAUUCGUACUCCUUUGAACUACAUUGAUGAUUUUCUUAAAGACAAAGGACAUGGGAACGAAUAUAUAUUUCUGCGAAAAAUGGAAAGUUUGGGAAUUGCUCGAAAAGGGGUGGCUGAGGAAACCCUUGCAAAUAUCCCAAGUGAUCCUCGUGACUGGGGGCCGAAUCCUGUAGAUGGGAAUGAUGAUGAUAAAUUAUACAGUCAAUUUCAACCGAAAAUGGGUGUUGCGGUUGAAAAUCAAGGAAAAAUGGGAGAUUUGUUCAGAUCAAAGGAGCAAAAGGAUCUGUACUCGAAAUUGCUGAAGCGUGGGGUAAUAAACCCUAGGAGUGUGGAUUUUGAUUUUCUGGAUGCUGUGAAUGUGAACUUGAGGGAAAAGUUUAGUUAUCUUCAACUUGAAAAGUUCUGCUCUGACUCUACAGAGGCCUAUGCUGAAUUAACUGCAUAUUUCUAUUCAAAUCUAAGCUUUUUGGAUGCGAAUAGAUUCUCCUUCAGCGUUAAAGACCAAGACUAUGUUGUGGAUAUGAAUAUGUUGGCAGAUGUGUUAGAAGUCGAAAGAGGAAGAUAUCAACCAAUCAAAAUUUCCAUUGCUCGGGCCACACUUGAACUGGUGAAGGACAGGAGAACAGAUGAAAAGAUCACCUACUUAAGGAUGGGUGCAUUCAACAUCUUGCUUCACAAGAUUGUGAUUAAUUGCCUCCGACCGAAAUCAACUUCCAAGACUGAUGUUUCAAGUUCAGAGGCCAAGCUGAUGUAUGCCAUUCUCUUUGGAAAAAGGCUUUCUCUCCCUCACACUGUGAUGUUUCACAUGUAUAGAGCAAUGAUGAAGGACAGAGGUCAACUCCCUUACCCAAGCCUUGUUACGAAGUUAUUCAGACAUCUGAAUAUUCAGCCUCCACAAAUCUUUUGUGUUCGACCAUGCGAUCAUAUGGUGGUAGGACUGAAAAUGGUGACCAAAAUGCAUCUGAAGGAACUGAGCAAGGAGUUGGAGAAAUUCAAGGAGAAGACUCCUGCAAAAUCUCAUCAAAUCUCUUCUGCAGCUAAAAGAAAAGGGAAUGAGCCCAUGGUUGCUCCAUCCAAGAGAAGAAGAGCUCUCCUCGUUGAGGAUGAAGAUGAUGAGGAAGACAUCACCAUCUCUGCAUUGGCUUUGAAGAAUUUAAGUCGUCCUGUUCCACAGAAAGAAUCGGAACAAAUGACGAAAGAAGUAGAGGAGAAGGAAGAAGAAGAAAUAAAAGCUGAAAAAGAAACAUAGGAGGAAAGACCUGAAGAAGAAAGAAGAGAAGAAGGAGAACCUAAAGAACACUCUUCUCCACCUGUAGGCAUGGAAACAGGGGGAGAUCAGGAGAAAGGAGUGAAGUCUUCAUUUCCUGAUGCAAGUGAAGGAGCCAGUCGCUCACCAGCAGACCCAGAGGAUGUUUAUGCAUCUCGGUUUCCAGAGGAAGGUCAUGAAGUUUCAUCGCCAAACCUGCGAGAUUAUGCUGAUCUACCAUCGUCUGCAUUUACUCCAUCAGAUCGAGCCGAAGCAAAUACUCAGACUGAUAAUGGAGCAGAUUUUCGCAGAAUCAUGGAUAUUCUCUUGGAGAUGCGAGGUCAAAUUUAUGCCUUGGGAUGCGAAGUUCAAAGCUUGAAGAAUGAAGGUCAAGCUUCUUCAUGUUCAUUGAAUGAUAAAAUGCAAGCCCUCUCUGUUCAGAAUCAGGCCAAUGCCAAGAGUGAGGAGAUUGCACAACUAAAGGAAGACUUUAAAAGGCUGGAAGGCCUCGUUCAGUCUAUGGAAGAUUUCCAGCUUGUCCGCGUUCCCAAGCAAUCUUGACUUCAUCUCAUCCUUUUUAAUGAUGACAAAAAGGGGGAGAGAUGCAAGAUUUGAACAAAAACUUUUCAUUCAUUAAACUUUUAAUUGUUUGUUGGAUUGUUUUGUGGUUUGAACUCUGUUUGACUUUGUUUUGUGUCUGGAUGAGAACUGAACUAGACUUGGACUUGACUGCUUCUAUUAACUAAUAUUGAUAUCUUAUGGAUGGCUUCAUCAUAUACUGGACUAACCUAUUUUCUGUGGUUGCAGAUUCUAGUGUUAUUCUGUUAGCCAUUUAUCUCUAUAAGAUAUGCAUAUGUGUUUGAGAAAUGUUUUGCAGGUCAAAGAUAUCCAAAUCUGCAGGAAAGUUUUGUCACCAUAAAAAAGGGGGAGAUUGUUGGAGAAAUCUUCUUGAAGUGUUUUGAAGUUGACAAAACGUUUCUAUCAGUCUAGUCUGAAGGCUUGCAGACUCUGUUGUUUAAAGUCUGAAGACCUCCGGACAGCCAGACUCAAGACUCAAAGUCUAUCCUCAUUGACAGUCUCUAAUCCGUUGAAGAAAGGUUAUCCAUAACUGGAUGUUUUGUUAAAGAUUUAACUUUAUCAACUGGAGAAGAUCUCGUGGCUGGAGAAGACAUAACGGAGUCCUUUGAUUGAUCAAAGAUUGACUCGAUAAUUGAAGAUCCGGUGAUUGCCUAAAUAUUAUUGGAAGGUUCUGCUUAUGGAAACCGAGAUCCUGAUUGUAUGGGCGAACAUGAUUGAUGGGCUAUCAACACGUUCCUUUAAUAGCUUGAACAAUCUUCCUAAUUAAUUCUGUCCAACGAGUAGAUUGGAGGAAUUCCUUUAGUAAGUGCCAACGGGUAUGAUGGCAUAAAGGAGUAUAUAAGAAAGACGGUCUUAGUUGUUCAAGGUGUGCGCGAUAGAAGAAUUCCAAAGUCUGAAGCUCCUUUUUGUUUAGACAAAUCCUUUGAGCGAAUACUUGUAUACAAAAGAGAGUCUAUAUUUGUGAGAAAUCUUGAGGAGGUGUGGUAGAACAUCCACACUGUGGAAUCAAGGCAAAGCUGUGCUGUAACUUCUCUUUUGUUCAUAGUGGAAUCCAGCCAAUAGGCUGUCAGUGAAGAAGAGUGGACGUAGGCUUGAUAUAAGCCGAACCACUAUAAACCGCGUGUUCAAUUUUCUCUUCUCUCAGUCUUACUUUGAUUAACGUUUCCUUCUACUGUCUAGUAUUGUGCAAUUGUUGAAGAAAAAUCUUUUAUAUACCUAUUCACCCCCCUCUAGGUACUCAUACUAGUAAUAUCAGCUAGGUAAUCAUUUGAUUUGCAUGGCAUUAGACACUUGGUGAGUUCCUCUCACCACUUGUCAUUUUCCUCAUGCAGGUUGAUGGGCCUCCCUUGGGCUAGGCUUCUCCCUCCUUCGGUCAACUACUUCAUGGGCUCCUUGGGCCAAGCUUGGUCGGCUGAAUGGUGGGUAAUUGUGGGCCUCCUUUGGGCUGUCUUGGGCCUUAACUAAAUCAACCCACAUUUGCUCCUUAAUCCACCUUAAUUCCCCACUUAAUUUCAUAAUCUCAAAUACUCACUUGGUUAUAUAAAAUUGCAACAUUCAUCAAAUGACAAUCCAACUUAUAAAGUAUACGGCCAAGAACAAAAAUUUUCCUUAUCAAUUUAUUCAUUAAAUGCUCGGCCUUGAUUAUUUGUAAUCCAUUGGUCUAAUGCCUAUAAUAUAACCCAAUGGUGCUUCCAUCACCUAUUCAUGGUUUAUGUAUAUCCAGGGGUUGUCACGAAAUUUUAGGAUGCCACGUAAAUUGCCUGAACGUCAAUUUUAAAAGAACCAAAACUGUAUUUGGGCAAUUUGGUUAAUCUCCUGAGGUAAGUAUCUUCCCACAAUCAUGUUCAUUUCAAGUGUUCAAAAAACCAUUUAACUACAAAUUGACAAGGAUGAUACAGGGAAGCAAAAAUGAUUUUCAAGCACCAUCCUUCCUUCAAAUCAAUAACUAAAACACUCCAACGACGAUAAUAAUAGUCAUAUCAAGGCUUUGUAUUGUGGAAUUGUAUAUCAAAUUGAAUUCGAGACACGAUACCUUGUCCAAUGGGUCAGUCAAGCACUAAUACCAUGCACCCAUCCUGAAAACAUAAAUAAACGAACAAUUUCCAAUGCUAAUUCGAGUUAAUCAUCAGGAAAUGACCUCUCUCAUCAUAUUGACAAGUAAGGUAAUGACAUAAAAUAAAGAUGCAAAUUUGAGCGAGAUCAGAAUACCCAAGAUUUAUUCAAGAUUCGACUAGUAUUUUGCUAUGACAAAGUCAACCACUUCCCAAAUUUUCCUUUUUUUCUCUGGUUGAAAGACAUUCAUUCAUACAAAGAAACGAACCCUACUAGGGUUAGACAAUUGAGUUUUUGAACAUAAAAUAUUCCCUAGGAAAGAUGGGGUAAAGAAUUGAGAGGGAGAGUCUUGUUUCGGUGGGCCUUGGCGACAUAAUCAAUGGCUUGACUAGUCUCUUAGAGGCAGUGGGUGAUUAAGAAAACACAGUCCUCAAAUUUGAUGUGUGACCAAUCUAAAGUUCUUCAAACUUUCCAAUUCCAAUAAAUCCCAUGAACAUUCUUGUACACUCAAAUGAGCGGAUGGUACCCCACUUAUGUCUCGUGAAUUUCCACCACUUAUGGCUCGUGAAUUUCCACCCCCUCAUCCAUAUCCCACCAAAUCAAGAGCUUCAUUUUUAAUGUCAACCCAAAAAAAGGAAAUAUAUAAAAAAGAAGAAGCAAUAGACACUGACUUCACCAAAUAAAUGUGGAAUAAUAGCAUUAUACUCACAUUGUCAGUCCAUUACAAGCAUGUAAUGGACAGUAUGAUGUAGCAUACACCGUGGAAAAAUUGGAUCCAAACAACAAGAAGCAAAGUUCUUGGUAAACGAUGAAAGUUAGAAGUUGAAUUUUAGAGCUUUGGUCGGCCGUAGAGUGUCCUUUGUAUUUACGGUUUUGAUUUAGAUGAUAAAAUGUGUGGAAUAAGGAGUAAAGAUCGAAAAUCUUCUUGACAAUAUAAUUUAUUGUCAGAUUUUCAGAAUCUAACAUAUAUGUUCUAAAGGAUUAGCAUUGUCCUAUGGUGGCCUAGUGUUGCUUUGCCCUUCCAUAAGUCCUAGUGCCAAGAUACUAGCCAUAGAAGAUAUUUAGCUCAAAAGUAAAAACACUUUUAUAAACCAAGCACUUGGCUCUAAUACCAAUUGAAAAUGCUAGUAUGAACACCUAGAGGGGGUGAAUAGGUAUAAAAACAGAUUCUGCAAAAUGCAGUGAAAACCUUUACUUUUAACCCGAGUCUGAAUAAUAACAAACUUUUGAAACUGAGUCUGAAGAACAACAGACUUUUGAGCGAAUUCAGACUUUAGCAGUUAAAUAGAACUACGAACAAAAUAAAGAAAUUUAGGAAAGAAAAUAAGAACACAAGGUUUAUAGUGGUUCGGUUUAGAUCAAGCCUAUGUCCACUCUCCCACGCUAACAGUCUUCUAGCUAGAUUCCACUAUGUAAUCAACAAGAGAAUACAACUUUGAGUGCAAAUACUUAGUAGUAGAUCGCACUAUCUCACUAAGCCACUCUUUUGGUAUUUCUCUCACGAUCACAAACGUUUAAGCUCACCAAAGACAAGUGUAUGCUCGAAAAUUGCUCAGACUUUGGAAUUAUAAAUUCUACGCUCCGUCUCUUAUUUGCUCAUCGGUCCUUCAUCUCCUUAAAUACUCCUCCACUUCCAAACUAGCCGUUGGACAAUAUCUUGAGGAUCGUCUUCCAAUCUACCCGUUGGACAAAUCUGUAUCUAGAAAAUUUGGUAGCCGUUGAGUGACAAAAAUAGAAUCCCAAAUUGAUUCCGAUCGCCCAUACAAAUAGAACAUUGGUUUUCAUAAGUAGAGCUUCUCUGUAUAGAAAGUUUUUUUUUUUUUUUUGUGAAAGGUAAGAAUAUAAAGUUUUUGUCUUCAAGAUCUAAUUGUCAAUCAAUUAGAUUGAGUCAAUCAAAUCAAUCUUAAUGUAGAAUCUAAACCAGAUCACUAGCCGUUAUACAUUUAGAGCUUGUGUUACAUUUUGUCGAAUCUGGAUAUAAAAUCUAAGAGCAAUAAACUUUACAAUUUGGACAUCAAUAUGAACAUAUUCUGCUUCUGAACAGAUUUAGCUUUAAGGUCUGAACACAGUCUGUUAGGUUCUGCUUUAGCAUAGAGUCUGUCUUCUGGUUUUUCAUUCAUGUUCAGUCUGAAAUUUGUCAAAGUGGACAAACUUCUGAUGUAGAAUAGACUUUGACACUAAAGUCUGACAAUCUUCGGACUUUGACACAGAAAUCUAGAAAUCUUCAUAAUAGACUUUGGACAUGUGUUACAUUCAGUCUUCUGGUUCUUCCAAAUAUAGACUUUGAUAAUAUCAUUUACAUGUUCUAUCAUCUGCAUAGUCUAUUACUCAACAAUUAAACACGUUUGUAGACUUUGAUUUAUUUUGUCAUUUUCAAAACAUCAUAAGGGAUUUCCCUAACAAUCUCCCCAUUUUUGAUGAUGACAAAACAAUUUCUGAAUAUGUAGAUUUGUAAACACGUUUUUAAAAAUAUUAAUUUAAAUCAAAGGAUAUCAGAAUAUAGUAAAUAGAUUGAGCAUAACAAUAUAUAGAAAAAUAAUCACAGCUCAAUAUUAUGCAAUAAAUGAUAUCAACCAAUCAACACAUAUGCAUAUUCAUAUAUUCUCCCCAUUUUUGUCAUAAUCAAAAAGUGAUAACAAGUAUCACGUAGACGAUAUAAAAUGAUAACAAAUAUGUCUUGCAUGAAACAUAAUUUCCAAAAAUCGGCUUUUAUAAAAUAAUUCGAAUAUUAAAGAUAUGCAAUAUAUCUCACUUCAAUCAUAUAUAACAUAAAAUAUCCAAUAAAAAUCAUGGAUGCGUUAUAAAAUUCACUUGACCCAUUUUGUCAUAAUAAAAUGAUAAUAUCAAUAAGAGAUUUGUUGAUGACAAAGGGUAAUAAAAAGUGCACUUACCGGAUUUUGUAGAACUUAAAUUCUUACACAUUUACCUUUUCCUUCAUUCCAUAACAAAAUCAUGAAGAAUCCAAAAAGAUUUUUCCAUAAAUGAUCAAAGCUCCCCCUCAAUUUGUUGUCUUUUUGAGAUGAUUACGAUUCUUUCCUUUCGAUUCGCUUUCUCCCCAUUCCAUACGACACAUAAGGGAUUUCCUUAAGCAAAAAUUUUACACAAGGAAUAGAAUUUUUGAACCUCCAAAAGAUAGUAUAGAAUCUCCAUGAUUUUCUAAUCGAGCUUUCCAAAAUCCAUAUGGAAGAUUCUUUUUCAACCUGCAAAUUCUUGUAUAAUAGAUUACAACUAUUGCAGAAAAAUAUCAUGUAAUAUUUUCCUUUCAUUUGCAGAUCAAACUUGCUAGAUAUAAGACAUCUUUUGAGAAUACAGCAAGAAUAUCCAUGAAUAUGCAAUAAUAUAUUUCGAGAUCAAAGGGAUUUCCUUAAGCAUAAAUCUCAAAAAUAUAUUAUUAAUGCAUUUCGCAAAAAGAAAGUUGAGAUUGCUAUCACAUGCCAAAAAAUGCAAUGCCUUAUAUUUAUGACAAAAGAUAUUUACAAUAUAAUAAACAAUCAUCCAAAAUUAUGAUAAAUGCACGUAGAAAUUUGUAAGUUGGGAUGAUAAAAAAUAUUCUCUUAGCCAUGGUGUAUGUUUGAAAUAUACCAUUAAAAAUCAUUACCAAUCUUCAUAGGAGAUAUUUUUUUGAUUGCACCAAAAUUUACGUAGAUUCGCAAUCAUUAUUGCCUUGUUGAAUUUCUUGCAAUCAACUCAUUUCCAUUUUUGGUAUCCAUCAAUUUGGAUCCUUCCUUGAUGUUAGAGCAAAAUAGAAAAUCUCCAUAGAUAAUCAAAUAUUCUUUCUAAAUUCAUCAUGACAUAUUAUUUAAAGAAAGAACAUUAUGCACAAUAAAAUCCUUGAAUAUUUAAGAAAGAAUAUUUUGCAUAAUAAAUUAAUAUCACGUAAAACAGAUUUUCUCUUUGCAAAAUAUGACAAAAUCUGAGAGCAUAACAUUAAUCCAAAUAAAUUCAAUGUCUUUAAGUAAUAUAUCAAAAAUAAUCACACAUAUUAUAUCAAAUCUCAACUCAUGAAUCACAAAAAUAAAUCACACGAUUCUUUCUUCAAAUCAUAGAAUAUGGUCAUAAUAAAAUCUAAAUCAACCAAGGAUAUAUCGAAUAUCAAUUAUAAUGAGAAUUAUUGCACAAAUCAAAUUGAGAAAAAAAUAUAUACAUUUCUUACCAAAUUCUUUUUCUUCUUUCCUCUUUAUAUCCUGCAAAAACAACUCAAAUUUUCUUUGGUACCCAUUUUUUCUUGGGUCCAUGAGAGUUAGUAGAGUAUGAUGUUUUUACCCAAUCUAUCUUAAUAGGUCUCCAAACUUUAGGACAUUCUUUCUCAAAGUGUUUCAAAUCUCCAUAAUUUGAACAUUUGAGGGCUUUUCGACCAACAUAUUUUGUAAAGAUUCUUUGAAAAUGUUUCUUGUACACAAGUCUAGGAGGUUUUUGUCUAAGUCUCUCCUUGACUUUAGAAAAAUCAAUUAGAGAAUCACUUUCUUUUAAAACCAAGUCCCGACUUAUUAUAGUAAGGUACUUGUAUGGAAAGAAUAUGCUUUAAUGUUUUUGAUCCAUUUGAAAAUCUUGUCGAAAUAUUUGAAAAUUCUUUCUUUAAAGAAUCAUUUUCUUUGACAAGUAAAUCUUGACUUUCUUUUGUUUGUAGAAAUUCUUUUUGGAAAAUUUCAAACUUUUCUUUUUGAGAAAGAUCAUGUUGCCUAAGCCAAGAAUUCUCCUUUUUAAGUUCGGAGAUCCUUUUAAGAAAAGAUUUGAGAUUUAAACAAAGCUCAUUUAUAUACUUUGAAACAUUGAUAGAAAUUUUUUAAUGGCUUACCUCGAUUUCUUCAUCGGAUUUUGAGUCUAUGUCUGAGUCAGACUUUGAUUCUGAGUCUGUGUUUAAGUCAAACUCAGAUUCUGAAUGUGCCAUCAAACAUAAUUUUCAUUGCUCAUCAUCUUCUUUCGUUGUUCUUUUCUGCCCAUUCUGCUCGUAUUGUCUUCUUCCAUCGAAUUUCCUUUCUUUUCUACUUAGCUUUUUGAAUUUCUUGUUCAUAAAAGCAAGUUCUUCGCCAUCCAUGUUAUUUUCUGAGUCUGUAUUAUCAUAAUCAGCAUUAGAUAUUAAAGCAACGGACUUCUUACCUUCGGGAUCUUCAUCAUUGAUUUGUUGAGUGCCAAUCAAUUCAUCAACGGAGAGUGGCAUAAUCCUCUAAGUCUCUUCGAUUGAUGUCUUGACAUGGUUCCAAUCUUUUUAGAGACCUCGUAGAAGUUUGUUGACCUUCAUUGGUGCAGAAAUUGGUUGACCUUGAUAUGCUAAACCAUUUACAAUUUCUAUAAAACAGUUGAACAUAUCUCCAAUUGACUCUCCUUGCUUCAUCUUGAAGGAUUCAUAUUUGCCGAGCAGGAAGUUUACUUUUGUCUCUUUUACAUGAUCGGUCCCUUCAUAUGUAACAUGAAGUUUAUCCCAAAUUUCUUUUGUUGUUUCACAUGAAGAGAUUCUGUUAUAUUCAGUAGGAGAUAAAGCGCACUAUAAAGAAUAAAUUGCUUUCGCAUCAAGAGCUUCUCUUUUUGACAUCUCUGUCCGAGACAUAGGAGCGGGGGGUUUGGUUUCUUUUUCUUUGUCAUUCUUAUUUGAUUGUGAUGCAACAGUAGGAUUGAUUCAUUUUUCCACAACAUCCCAUUGCAAGAGAUCUCUAGAUCUUAGGAAUGCCUUCAUUCUAUUUUUCCAAACGUUGUUUUCAUUUCCAUCAAAAUAUGGUGACCUGGUGUUGCUUUGCCCUUCCAUAAGUCCUGGUGCCAAGAUACUAGCCAUAGAAGAUCUUUAGCUCAAAAGUAAAAACACUUUUAUAAACUGAGCACUUGGCUCUGAUACCAAUUGAAAGUGCUAAUAUGAACACCUAGAGAGGGGUGAAUAGGUAUAAAAAUAGAUUAUGCAAAAUGCAGUGAAAACCUUUACUUUUAACCUGAGUCUGAAUAAUAACGGACUUUUGAAACUGAGUCUAAAGAACAACAGACUUUUGAGCGAGUUCAGACUUUAGUAGUUAAAUAGAAUUACGAACAAAAUAAAGGAGUUCAGGGAAGAGAAUAAGAACACAAGGUUUAUAGUGAUUCGGCUUAGAUCAAGCCUACGUCCACUCUCCCACGCUAACAGCCUUCUAGCUGGAUUUCACUAAGUAAUCAACAAGAGAAUACAACUUUGUGCAAACACUUAGUAGUAUAUCACACUAUCUCACUAAGUCACUCUUUUGGUAUUUCUCUCACGAUCACAAACGUUUAAGCUCACCAAAGACAAGUGUAUGCUCGAAGAUCGCUCAAAUUUUGGAAUUAUAAAUUCUACGCUCCGUCUCUUACUUGCUCAUCAAUCCUUCAUCUCCUUAAAUACUCCUCCACUUCCAAACUAGCCAUUGGACAGUAUCUUGAAGAUCAUCUUCCAAUCUACCCGUUGGACAGAUCUGUAUCUAGAAGGUUUGGUAGCAGUUGAGUGACAAAAGUAGAAUCCCAAAUUGAUUUCAAUCGCCCAUACAAACAGAAUCUUGGUUUCCAUAAGUAGAGCUUCUCCAUAUAAAAAAUUCUUGUCUUCAAGAUCUAAUUGUCAAUCAAUUAGAUUGAGUCAAUCAAAUCAAUCUUGAUGUAGAAUCUAAACCAGAUCACUAGCCGUUAUACAUUUAGAGCUUGUGUUACGUUCUGUCGAAUCUGGAUAUAAAGUCUGAGAGCAAUAGACUUUACAAUCUGAGUCUAAGUGCAAUAGACUUUACAAUCUGAACAUCAGUCUGAACAUAUUCUGCUUCUGAACAGAUUUAGCUUUAAGGUCUGAAGACAGUCUGUUACGUUCUGCUUUAGCAUAGAGUCUGUUUUCUAGUUCUUCAUUCAUGUUCAGUCUAGAAUUUGUUAGAGUGGACAGACUUCUGAUGUAGAAUAGACUUUGACAGUUUUCGGACUUUGACACAGAAGUCUGGAAAUCUUCAUAAUAGACUUUGGACAUGUGUUACGUUCAGUCUUCUGGUUCUUCCAAGUAUAGACUUUGAUAAUAUCAUUUACAUAUUCUAUCAUCUGCAUAGUCUAUUACUCAACAAUUAAACUCGUUAGUAGCCUUUGAUUUAUUUUGUUAUCUUCAAAACAUCAUAAGGGAUUUCCCUAACAUCCUCAACACUUUUCAACAAAUCAUUGCCACCCAUCUUACUGCGAAUUUUUAGCAUUGUCAUUUCCAUACAACAUAAACUCAGGGAGAUAGAGACUUUCCAUGACGCAAAUUGGCUUUGUUACUUCAUUUUUCACAUUUUUUUUGCAUUUUGAUUGAAUGAAAUAUUAUUUAAUGAUCAGCAUUGAUUGUUGUUCUCUGGCUCAAAAUCAACGAUAAUGUUCAUCUCUCUGUUUUCACAUUUAAUCAUAUUUUAAUUAUUCAUUCAUUUAUCUCUAUGGUACUUGCCUAUUAGAAUUAUGUCUAGAUUUUCAUGUAUCUUAUCAAAUAUAAUCUUAAUAGAAGCAAAAAGAAAAGCUAAGAGAGAAAAAAAAAGCAAAAAACUGAAAAAAGAAAUAAAAAAUGAAGUAAUGGGGCAAGAGAGAGCACUGCCAUUCCCACGGCCACCGCCAUGCUGUUGGUGUCACGCCCCGAUCCUCGAGCGCGUGCCCAUCCCUCAGUGGUUGAUAAAAUUUUAUGACUUCCCAAGACGAGUCACCGACCUUUUCAUUUUAUUGCACAUGCAGAAGCGAAAAAAAAUCCCCUGACAAUAUCCAUCUCAGGAUAGAAAACAGGACAUUAGAUUCAAAAACAAAAUAUGCUUUUAAAUGCACAUCAAGUCAAAUACAAAAGUCUACCAUCACAAGACUUCAAAAGACCGACUCUCAAAAGGAAAUUGUUCUAUCUGACCUACACUUUGGAUCACCUCAGCUCGGCUCCAGAUUUUCCACUCUACGGUCCUGAAAAAUUUAAGCCCAAAACGGGGUGAGAUAUAAAUCUCAGCGAGUUCACGCUCUAAACCCCAAUUAUGAGGGUAAUACGCCUAAGACGUCUUAAUCACACAAUCAUACAAUCAUAGAGACUUACCUUAUCUUAGAUCCUCCUUGUAGGUCAGCACAGUUCUUAUCACAACCGUGUAUAUAUAGCAAAUUCACACACCAAUUUGGAACAUCCAAACCAAUCAUUACUUACACGAGCAAGAAUUGCAAUUUAAUCACUGCUCACACAAGUAAGAACUACCGAUACACAUCAAAGCAAGAAUUAUAAUUAAAUCAUUGCUCACAUGAGCAAGAACUAUCAAUACACAUCAAAGCAAGAAUUACCGAUACACGCCAAUCCAUCAAUUCAACUCACAUGCGUUCCAAUUAAUUAACUAUUAAUUACUACCUACACGAGCAGUUUUAUCUGACACACGCUGGGAAGAAUAAUAACUACCGACACAUGUCGAGGAAUGGUAAAAUCCACUGACACAUGUCGGGGAAGAGUAAUAACUACCGACACGUGCCAAGAAUUGAUACACGCCGAGAAAGAAUAAUAACUACCAACACACGCCAGGAAAGAAUAAUAACUACCCACACAAGCCGAGAAAGAGUAAAAUCCACUGACACACGCUCGGGAAGAAUAAAAUCCAUCGACACAUGCCGGGAAAGAAUAAUAACUACUAACGUCCACCAACACAUGUUGGGGACGGAUUCUCUUAACUAUUAACAUCCACCAACACUCGUUGGAGACGGAUUCUCUCAACUAUUAAUGUCCACCAACACACGCUAGGGAUGGAUUCUCUUAACUUUCACAUGAUCAUCAAGUAUAAACUCUAGGCAUAUCACAAACUAACCACAUAUUAUCAAAUAUGCACAAACCAGCAAGUAUUGCACCAGUAACACCAUAACCAUGGCAUAACCACUUGUGCCUCAUCACGCAUAAUCCUCCAGGCAUAACAUAGAGCAACCACAGCACAAAAUGUGCAAUUUCCAGCAAGCAAAGCCUCAAGAACCAUCACAAACUCAUAAUUGACCCUAACCGGCAGAAUAGGCCCACUCGCACGUCUCCAAGUUUAAAUCUAGAAAUAUAAUUGAACAAGUUCGGAAAAUUCCCAAAUUUGAAUAUGUUGUAAUAGACACAUAAAAAACAUUUUUUUAUGAAAACACCUUAACCCAAAUCUUUCUAGAUUCAGCCCAGUAAAUCGCUCAAUCUAAUACAAAAAUUGUGUUUGUUUUCCAGAAAAUCUAUUUUCAGAAAUCAGUUUGGUUCGAGGUCCAAAACAUGUUCGUUUGUUCUUAAAUUUGAAUAUGUUAAACUAGAAGAUGUGAUGAAUAAAUUUGUGAAGAAACCAUUUUGAAAUUCAAAUACUAAGAGUUGAUAGAAACCCCUAAAAUCCUGAAAGGUCACUAGUUCCAACAAAAACUGAGAUUCAGUUUGUAAAUGACGGAGCUAAUAUCCCCUUCUUUUAAAUCCCUAAAAAUCUUAAGAAAAAUAUAUGUUGUAUCUGAGAAUGUAUAAAACAUUUCUCAAGAAGGAAUCAACAUCAAAUUCUCAACCCAUUUCAAUCUACAAAAAUGGCAAAUAGCGAGGCUCUAGAAAUUUGAACUAUAGGAAUUUCACUAGAUUCGACUAAUCCAUCAUCAAUGGGGCAAAUCUCACUAAUCAAAUUAACACUAAUCUAUUCUAAGGCUAAUCUAACCAUCCUAGAUUAUCACUAAUCCAUACUUAAGCUAAUCUAAACAGCCCUUAAGCAUAAUUAACCUACUAAGUAAGGUUUAGUGAGCAAACUCACUUGUUCAACGAUCCGCUUAGAUCAAAAUGACAGAGAUGCGGCGAGGAGCGACAAACUCCAAAGCGGGCAAGUCUUUUAGGGUUGGGAAAGCCUUGAAAGCAAGCCAACAGCGAUUGGAAAAACCCACAGCUUCAGCUUUUGCUCGGUGGCCAAAAAGGCUGGAUGGUGGUUGCUGUUUGCUUGGAAACAGUGAGGGAAGGCUACAGCGAUUCAAGCGGGCUGAGGCAAAGCUCCAUGGUGAUCGAAGGCGGCUGAACAGGCUCUGACUGAGCUUCACAUGGGCUGAGGGACCUGGAUGACCUUGGACAACAACAGACAAGGCUCAGGAUGUGGUGGAGGCGAAGGGGCGCGCAUAGGCGAGUGACGGUGUCACGGCUACUUGUGGCGGCUCCGGUGGGGCUGCUCGAUGGCUUGGGGCUGCUGGCUGCUCUUUUUUGCAAUUCUGGGUUUUGUUGAACUUCAAACAGCAAAGGAAGGAGGAGAGGAAGGUGGUGGUCGACGGUGCAAAGGGGGAGGGGAGAAUGGAGGAGGCAAGGGGGACCACUUGGCUUCUAUCUCAUCUUCUUGUCCCCUCCUUUGGUCCCCACCACCAACUGGCUUCCACAGCUGUUUUCCAGCAACAAAACACUUCUAGAAGCCAUUUGAAAUGGUCCAAAAGGUUGGGUCCAAGGGGGCACACAAAUUUUGAUGGAGAUUGGUUCAAUUUGGACUUGAAUGGCUCUUGAAUCAACCCAAUUUGGCCUCUAUAAAUUCCAACCAACAUAACAACAACCAAAUUGGCAUUUUUCCUCGUCAAUGGAUCCCACUUGCAUCUCAAUUUCACAAUCGAAAAUGGUUCUCCUCGACUUUUUCCCAAAAAGUCUCGGUUUGUAGAAAAAUCUUCUGAGACUAAGUCAACGUUUCUAAAAUGACUUGUGACUUGAUAGAACUUUUAAAUUUUUGAAAUUGGAUUCAAAUUCGCAGUUAAUUUCAAUCUGGCGCAAUUUUAGCAUGACCUAGGCUAUUGGGUAGCUUUUAGAAAUUUUAAGUGCAAAUGACCUGCGAUCAAUUUAAUUAAGCUACAAUGAACCCCUUCAACACAUUGGCAACUCUCCGUGGUCGUGACAAUCUCGAGGUUUCAAAUACAAACACAAGAUACCAAAACGAUAGAAAAAUCUACAAAUGAAAACGGUCCUCGGACUUUUAUGAACAAAAACGAUCCUACCUCGACUUUUUUCCAAAAAGUCUCAAUUUAAAGAAAAAUUUUCUGAGAUUGAGUCAACGUUCCUAAAAUGACUUGUGACUUGACAGAACUUUAAAUUUCUGAAAUCAGAUUCAAAUUCGAGGUUAAUUUCAAUCCAGCGUAAUUUUAGCGUGACCUAGGCUACCGGGUAUCUUUUAGAAACUUUUAGUGCAAAUGACCCAUGGUCGAUUUUCUCCGAGCCAUAAUGAAUCCCUUCAACACAUUGGCGAAUCUCGAUGGUCGUGACAAUCUCCAGGUUUCAAGUACAAACACAAGGUACUAAAACGAUAGAAAAAUCAAUCUAGUGCCGAUCGACGAGAAUUUUGCAAUUUAGUGGGAUCACUCACGUUUAACCACAUAUCUUAAUCGAACUGACCUAUCUCUGAUUUCCAAUCGAUCUUACUAUGUCGAAAUAAUCUCUGCAUAUGAGCACGGUCAAGUAGUUGAUUCAUGAUCGAAUCCUCAAGUCUAUUGCAUUAAAAUCUCUUAAUGACUUCCCAAGAUAGUCUAGUUGUCUCAAGAGUGGUCAUCUCAAAAAAAAAAAAAAACACUAUAGGCACGUCAAUGAAAGGCCCAACUUAUCCAAUCAAAAUCAGGAUGUCAUAGUUGGCAUCAGCACCAUCGCCAAGGCAACUCAUUCUAAUGUUACUGCCACUAUUGCAGCCAGCGAAACUAGCCAAAUCAACCAUCACAUCCAAUUACCUUUAAUUAUCUAUUGACUGGUGUAACUUGAUCUAGAGGGGAAUUCACAACAUAAAGAAUGAAUUCUAGUAUUCAUGAUUUCUCACUUGUAUCAUCAAAAGUUGGGUUUCAUGUGAAGUCCACCUCAUCCAAUGAUGGAUGCACUAUUUUUAAAGGCUCAAUUACCUAACCGAAACUAAAAAACAUAAAAUGAUUGGGAGGGGAGCUUGGGAAAACUCCAAAUAGUAGGCAAGGUCAAUUUUGGAUUGUUAAGGUAUCUUCCAUCACUUGUUUAUUCAAUUUAUACGCUCUUAUUCUUUUAUAUAUAUAUAUAUAUAUAUAUAAUUUCCCUCUAUUUAUUAGCUUAAUAUUUUGAAUUUGAAUUUCUAAUAUGGUAUAUGAACCAAGUUCUACCCAAUUUUUUUUCAACUUUCAUGUGAGAGGGGAUGUUAAAAUAUCACUAGGGAGUAUUGAAGCAUCCCAUAUCGGUCUUUCUUCACUUAUUUGCUCAAUGUUUGGUUUUUAGCAAAUACAAUGUGAUUGAUCAAAGAUAAAUUAAAAUCGAACUUUAAAGCAUAUAACCUGACUUUCAGGUUCAAUAUAGUUUGGUGAUUUUCUUGCCCUUUUUUUAAAUUUUUUAUAGGAGGGUGGUUAUUUGUUUUGCACGGUGGUGGGGAAAUUGUCCAAAAAUUCAUAAGCAUAUUUUACUUUUACUAAUUCAGUCCUAAACCUUUUCACUUCUUACUAAUUCAGUCAAUCUGGCCAAUUUUAGCCAAAAAUUAUUAACGUGAACGACCGACACCGACAUGUUAAUUUUUAAAUAAUAUAUCAACAGUAUUUUUUUUAAUGUUUUUUUCUUUUUUAAAAUUUUUUGGCUUUUUUUUGGGGGGGGGGGGCUUGUCGGCCAUGGGAGAGGACUAGCCAGCCCUCGUCGGCUCUAGUCGAGGACGUCGUACCCCUCGCCGGUGAAGAUGAGGGCACACGAGCUCUUGCCUAAAAGGGCUGUGAUGCCAUCGCCAAGUCUAGCUAGGCGAGGGUUCUGGCAAGGGCGUCACGGCCCUCGCUCGCCCAGAUCCAAAACCCCUAAAAAAAAGUAAAAAGAAAAGUUUAAAAAGAAGAAAAAAAGUCAUAAAAAAAUUUAAAAUAUGAUUUAAAAAGCGCAACAUUAGCGUCGACCAUCCAUGUCAUCAAUUUCCAUCCAAAAUUAGCUGGAUGGACUAAAUUACCAAGAAAUGACAAGGUUUAGGACUGAAUUAACAAAAUUAAAAAGUUUAGGAUUGAAUUGGCAAAAAUAUAAUAGAUUUAAGACUUUAUGGAUAAUUUUCCCCAUGGUGUGUGUUGCUGGAUGGCUUUUGUUUCACAUUGAAUCCUUUGACAAAAGUGCCGAGGAUCAAGUUUUGUCUUCUGAGGGAGAAAAUUUCUCCUUUUGAGGUUUUCCAUGGAUGCUGACAUUCUUUUGGUCGACUCACCAUACAAUUCCAAUUAAAUUGUUGUUAGGUGAUGACAAUGGCUCAUCUUAAUACGCUAGAAUAAGGUAGGAGAGGGAAUUACAAAGAUUACAAGCCUCUCAUUAACUAAAUCUAGAGAGAGCCAUUGCAAUAAACCAUUCUUCUCCAUAUUUGAUUGUGUGUUUUCACCCAUAGUUAGGCCUUAGAUUUCGAGUUCAUGUGAAAAGUACCCACAUCGAUAUCAAGCAUGUUAUAUAUAUCAUUUUUUUCUUGGGAUAAAACCAGAUAUUUUGACUUGCUUACACUGAAUUCAAGUGUGAAACAUAUUCAUUCAUUUGAGUAGGCUAAGAGCGAAAGAAGAAUUUCCCAUUGAGCUCGGCUAAACCUAGCCAAAAUGUGACAUCCCAGAUUUUCAACCGUGUUUUCUACUGAAUAAAGCGGGCAUUUCAAUGACACGCCUAUAGGGCUAUUCCCAGAGCUGAUCACUCUCGAGAUAACUAAACUAUAUGGGGAAAUCAUUAAGGAUUUUAAGGCAAAUAGACUUGAGAAUUUGACUAGGAAUCGGCUGCUAGACUGUGUUCAUCUACUAAAAUCAUUACGGCAUAGAUGUAAAUUGAUUAGAAAUUGGAGAUAGGUCAGUUCGACAGAGAUGUGUGGCUAAUCAUGGGUGACAUCACUAAAUAGGAAAAUUCUCGUCGACUGGCACUAAACUGAUUUUUAUAUCGUUUUGGAACUCUGUGUCUAUAUUUGGAUCCUCGAGAUUUUCACGACAACUGAGAGUUGCCAAUGAGUCGAGUGGGUUCAUUGUGGCUCGAAAAAAAUCGACCACGGGUCAUUUGCACAAAAAAUGCCUGGAAGUUACCUAGUAGCCGAGGUCACGCUAAAAACGCGCCAAAUGAAAAUUAACAGUGAAUUCAAGUCCAAUUUAAGAAAUUGUAGAUUUUGUCAUGUCACAAAAAAUUCUAGGAGCAUCGACUCGGUCUCAGAAUAUUUUUCUGACACGCGACAUUUUUCUGACACGCGACACGCUAGUGUUUUUGUGCAGAAAAAGCUAGUGAUUAUUUUUUAUAGCGAAAUUGGGAAGCAAGAUGGAUAUACGGGUGAGGAAAAAUGUGAUUUUAUGGAGGCCAAUUGAGAUGGAAUUGAAGUGGAUCAAGCCACCAAUUGAAGCCAAUUCUUGUAAAAUUUGUAACUCUCCCUUCCCCCUAGCCAAAUGGACCAAAAGAGAAGUCAUGAGAGGUGUUGGUGUGGAUCAUUGGAGGCCAAGGGAUUUCGCUUGGCCUAGGUUGAUUCUUGGAGAUAUUUUGUGGAAAAUAUCAAGCCAAUGGCCCACCCUCUCUCUUAUCUCUUCCCUCAUCUCUAUCAUUUCCAUCUCUCUCACCUCUCUAUCAUCCAAGACCCUCUCCUCUUCAUUUUCGAAACCCUCAAGCCAGCAAGAAGACCAGCAGAAGCAGCUAUAGCGGUCGCACGCCUCCACCCGCGCCACCACCGGUUUCUGCUCCAACUGACCUUUUUCCAAAUAUCCGAGUAAAAAGUAAACUUCCCGGAUGAACCAUCGAACGAGCCACCUAUCACCGUGACAAGGACAUCCAGACUAAUCCAACGAGACCAACGUCGCUCCGAAAGGAGCCGCUAGCUGUCCCGUACGACUGACGCAAGCCACCAGUCGCCAGUCUAUUGAUCCCCUGCCCGCUUGCACAGUUUCACAAUUUUCUUCGUUUUUCUUCCGUUCCAACCAUUCCUUUGGCCAUUCCAUCCACCUGCAAGACCCUCUUAACCCUCGAGAGCCAUUGGUUGCCGACCACCCACUCAUGAGUGCUCCAAUCGGCCUGUUUUUGCUAUUGAAGCCGCUGGUUUCCUCUCUGUAGCCCACAGGCCAAGCCCGUGGUUCAACCAUUCAGCCAAAGUCAGCCUAGUCUUGAGGCCCGCGAAAUAGCCCAAGCCCAUCUUCAAGCAAGCCCAGCUUGCAUUUGUUCAGCCCAACUUCAACUUUGGAUCAGGCCCAUUCGAAGCCCAAGUUUCAGCCCAUCUCCAAAGUUCAGCCCACAAGUUCAGCAAGCCCAGUUCCAAGCCUAAGCCCGCAAAGCAAGUCGGCCCAAGUUCGGUGCAAGCCCAGCUUUUUCUAUGGGCCUGCAAGGGUUGUAGGCCCAGCCCAAGUGUCUGCCGAUGCCGCCGAAAGUUUGGAUUUCGGCCGUUGUCACGUCGCCAUUGCGGUGAUCUGGUCUUCGCUUUGCUUAAGUGAGUUUUGCUCACUAAUUCCUUCUUAGUUUGCUAAUGAUGCUUAAGGGUUGAUUAGAUUUAAUUAAGUGCAAUUAGGUGGUUAGAUUGGUUUAGAACGAUUAGAUUAGUGACUUAAUGAUGCAUGUCAAGUGAUUGAUUAGUGUAAUUAACAAGUAGAGACGUACUUCUAAUUAUUGAAUGCAUCUCGGGAUUUUUCCCGACCCAUUAUUGUGUCCAAUCAGGCAUUAUGGGCCUAAAUUGGAUUUUUUAGUAUUUAAUCAUUUAUUUUCAUAAUUUAUUUAUUUAUUUAUUUAUUUUUCAGAAAUAAGGCUGGGAUAGUCGACGACCGAAAUUUCAUGCUGAUUGUCGUGGUGCAAUCCGUUUAUUUAUUUGAGGUCUACAUUAUGUGGAAUUGAAUUAAUUGUGAUAUUUUAGGAAUGUAUCCUAAAUUGAUUGAUAUUGAGUUGAAUUUAAAUAAUUGAUUGGUAGAUGGCCUAGUAUAAUUAUUUAGCGCCAAUAAUACUUUGAUGGGCUAAAGUAGAGAGAAUUGUGAGAGUGAGAUGGAAAUACUCAAGGCUAAGACCAAUCCGGUACGAUGUUAAGGGCAUAUGUGGUUCGGUGAUACGGAUAUCACUGGCGAAAACGGUGCCUUAAAGAAUGCACGUAACUGUUUAUUCCAUACAUCUUUAUAGGCAUACGUGGUUCGGUGAUAAGGAUAUCACUGGCGAAAACGGCACUUUAAAGAACACACGUAGUUGUCUACUUAUUACAUCAUUCUGGACCUACGUGGUUCGGUGAUUAAGAACAUCACUGGCAAAAAUGGCGCCUUAAAGAACGCACGUAACGGUCUAUUAUAUACAUGAUUUAUGGGCAUACGUGGUUCGGUGAUUAGAACAUCACUGGUGAAAAUGGCGCCUUAAAGAACGCAUGUACCUGUCUAUAAUAUACAUCACAUUGGCAAAAACGACGCUAGAGAGAGAGAAUGUAUGCGAUUCAUGGACAUACGUAGUUCGAAGAUUGGGAACAUUACUGGCGAAAACAACGCCUUAAAGAACGCAUGUAACUGUCUAUUACAUACGUCAUCUUGGCAAAAAUGAUGCCUGCGAGCAUUACUGUAGCUCUGUGACUUAGUGUAUAAUUGGAGGUUAUAUAGUGAGAAGUGAAAUGACCUAGUAAUGGUCCGACUGACUAAUCGACUAGGUCGAUUGAUCAUUACUUUGAUCUAAUGUUGUGAAUUGAUUGAUGGAAUUAAAAUGACUAGGGAAAGGUCAUGUUGGCAUGUAAUCGACUAGGUUGAUUGAUCGAGAUAUCGAUCUAUGACGUGGUUGCUUGGAUGCCUAUUGAACUAUGCUAAUAUACAGGUAGAAUCUGAGGCCAAGGUAAGUCCUCUGACCUAUGUGUGCAUAGGUAGCCCAAAUAACGUAUUGAUUUACUAAUCAGGUCUUAGGGGGUGGAACUUGCUAGACGUAGUCUCAUCCCGGUUGUGGGACAACAUUUCAGGACCCUAAUGAGGAGCCUGAGGAGAAAGAACCCAAAGAGGAGUACCUGGAGGAGAACUCCGAUGAUGAUCCCGAAUACGACCCGAAUGAGGACUGAGAUCCCAUCCUCAUUUGUGAAGCCUAGUUAUAAGUGGUUGAGAGUGAGACUAGACCUUUGUUAAUAGUAUGAUAAAAUACUUUGAGGUUUGGUUGUACAAAAGUUUGGUUGUCAAUUUCAAUAUGAAAAAUACGGCCCUACUUUUCUAUCCCAUUGCUUUAUUGUCUAGGGAUUAUAAUUGCUUCUGCAUGUGCAUAUUAAAAUGAAAAGGGUCGGCAAUACGUUCUGGGACAUCGCUAUUUAAUCGAUCAGAUAAAUGAUGGGUGCGUGCUUGAGGAUUGGGGCAUGACAUCCCGUUUAAGUGGUAUCAGAGCGAAGUUCAAGUUUUAAGUGAUAAGGAGCAAUGGUUCAUGGGAUAGUAGCAAGAAGACCUUUAAAUACAUGCUGGUGCAUGUUUGUGAUAGCUGCUUGAUAGAAUUGUGUGUUGUGUUAAUUGCUCAGUUUCUAAUUCAGUAUGGAAUUGGAAGCAGGUUUCAAUAAAGAAGACUAAACCAUGAGUGAUCAGGAGUUGAUGACUCCUAGCUAGAGUGCAGUAGCCUCUGUAACUCGGGGUAAAGCACCGACAAAAGUUGGUACCUGAGGUGGUUGUGGCAGAGCGUUGGCUCUAGCCAGCUCGAGUGUAAGAGUACCACCACAGGACGAUACUAGUGUAGCAGCACUGAACAAUCCUAGGUUUAACGGAAUCAUUCGAGGGCUAGUGUUCCUCGGGAACUGGAUGAGCUAGCGAGCUCAAGAGCAAGUUGUUGUUGUUGCCACCUUUGCUGAGGUUCAAUCGGAAAGGGUGAUCAGAGAAUGGAUUUCAGUAUCUAAGUCGAGAUACAGCUCAAGCAGAAAUAGAAGUUGGUCAGGGAAAAGACCGAUGUCGAGAGAAGAGUAUUCUAUUCCACCCAAUAGGAAGGGUGAAAUAGUCAAGUCAGCCUGAGACAAAAUAGAACAUGUUAUUGCCAUGGAAAAUGAUAUGAAUCAGUCUCGUGUCUUUUGAGAACAAGGAAUGGUGACAGGUGUCGCUAGUAUGGACAAUGAUUUAUGGGUUGUCCGCAUAAGUAGAUGAAAUCUCGACAACGAUUACUGUUGUCAUCGUCAAUAGGACAGAGCAGAAGAAGUAAGCCAUAGAACGCAUCGUGUAGUGUUUAGAACAAGCCUUCGAUACCAAAAAGAGUGCAUGUUGUCACCUAACAGGAGAUAAAAGACUCAUCAUAUGGGUGUUGGAAUUGUGAAAGGAAACAUGGAUAAAUCCAAUGUCCAGGUAUGGCUAGAGCGUGCUGAGAUUGUGACCAAUACGGCCAUCAGGCGAGGAACAGUUAGUGAAAGUCCAAGGAAGGAUAGAUGCUGUUACCAUAAUUAGGACGCCACUAGGAUGGCGAAAAGGACAGGAAUUGAAUCGACCCUGCACCAAUCAGAGGAAUAAUGUCCUCAAGGAGAUUUUAUCAGAGUAGCGCAGCAGGGCUUUUAUUAAGCUCGAAGAACUCUAGCUAGUUGGAAUAAAGUGCGAGAAAGGAGAAUCACUAGCUAUACUCGUGCUUGACUAGUUGCUGAGGUGUAACUUUGUCGCCACAUGAAUAGAGUGAGCUCAUGGAGUAUUUGUGGUAUCGAAUUAUGGUCAUGGAGCAAUUCAACUUAGUCCAGUAGCAUAUGAAAGUGUCGAGUUUAUUGGGAGUCGAAAUGAAUCUUCGAUUUCUUUAGUCUCGUCGAUGGAAGACAACCCACUUGUUAGGUGGAGAUUGCCAAGGUUACUUGAUGAUGGUCAUAAUUAAGACGGAUUGGAGAAUUGGAGAUGGAAGACAUCUCAGUGGUCUAAGAAUUUCUAGAUGUGUUGUCAUAAGAAUUGUCAGAUCGUUGCUAGAGAAAGAGAUAGAAAUUGCGAUCGAGCUAGCACCAGAAUAGAGCCACUCUCGAAGGCUUCUUACUAGUUAUUGUUGUUUGAAUUAAUAGAACCGAAGAUGCGGAGGUGAAGAGAGAGAAAAGGAGAUGGUUCGUUGUAAUCAUGAAUCAACCAUCGUCAACUCAAUUAGGUGACAAUCAAGGAGAAGUGUUCAUUGCCGAAGAGCUGUUGGACCUAGCGAACACUCCAACUACUGUCAUGGAUUUAGCAAACCGAGUGUUCGAAGAAUAUCUAGAUCAAUUGUGAUCGUGUCUUUCCAUGAUAUACUGUGUAAUAUAGGAAUGCUAAGGAGCACGAGAGACAUCUGAGAAUGAUGAAGGAAUUUUUGUGGACUCGAUCAAGAUCGAGUCAAUUAUCAAUGGACCAAGACCAACAAUAGUAUCAGAGAUCAGAAGCCGCAUGAGUUGGACAAGUCACUACAAAAAGUUCAUGGAAAGAGUCUUAACAUUAGUGUUGCUAUUGACUCGACUCUUGAAGAAAAGAGAGAAAUUCGUACAGACAGACAAGUGUAAGGAUAAUUUCCAAGAGCUGAAACAAGAACUAGCUACCACACUUAUGCUAAUCUCUCCAUAUGGUUGUGGAGAAGACGAGAUCUAUAGUUAUGCAUCAUUUAAAGGAUUGGGUUGUGUAUUGAUGCAACAUAGUAGGAUUGUUGCACACGCGUUCCAUUAAUUGUGAUCUCGCGAAUUGAACAUGAGACGGUGUCAUAAAUCAAAACCUUGGCAAGACUAGAAUGGUGCUAUCUAGUAUCACCUUGGAGGAAAGAAAGAAGUCACUGAUGCGUUGAGUUGAAAGUCUUCAAUUGUGCACAGGCUGGCUAAAGUAUAGACUUUACUUUAAAAUGGUUCGAAAUUCAGUUUUUUAAUUUGAGGUAGGCUACCUUUUGAAUUUGUACAGCCACCCUCAAAAAAAUUGAACUAGUUAUACAAGCAAGAAUCAAAUGCUUUAGUUGACAAACUAGAAUGUUUAGAAAAUCCUACAAGAGAAUACCGGUAAGGGAAAAGUUGACGUUCAAAUUUCGAAAGAUGGGAUGUUGAAGUAUUGUGGGUGAUGAUAGAUGUCAGAUAGUACGGAACUUGAGGAGAAGACCUUGUUAGGUAAUUCACUUUAGUAUUGCAGUAUUUGACCAGACGAUACAAAGUAAGUCUGAAUCGACGGUAGUUCGAUUGGUAGACCGCUAUAAAGAUAGAUGUUGCCAAACGGUUACAUGUGUCAGAUGUGUUAGUAAAUGGAAGUUCAAUAAUGCGAAUCAAGAAGACUUUUACAACCUCUCGAGAUUCCUUAGUGGGAAUGGGUGUACGUCACAUUAGAUUUUGUGACAGGCUUACCGAUGGGUAAGAAAGGUAAUAAUUCCAUUGGGGUAGUGGUCAACAGGUUAACAAAGUCAACUCACUUCACCGCUAUGUGAAAAGGUCUUGUCUGAAUGGUAUACAAAAGUGUAUGUAUGUCAGAUAAUUCAUCUACAUGAAGUGCCAGUGAUGAAUUUAUACCAGAUAUGGACCAAAGGUCCCUAGUUACAGCAGAGCAAUUAGAUCUCCUUUGAAGCAAUGCAUAGCAGAGUGCACAGAAUUUCAGUUUGUGGGAAGGAAGUUAAACGCUGAAAGAGCGCAAGCCCAGAGUCAGCUCAGUAAUCAGUGAUUGCAGUUGCCAUGAUCAAUGCUAGAGUACAGACCGCUCAAAGCUACCUGAAUAUUUGAAUCAUCGAGCAUUGAAGGCUCUUAGAGUUCAAAGCCGCCUGAAUAUUUGAAUCAUUGAGCAUUGAAGACCCUUAGAGUUCUGAAUUGGUGAUUGCAUCUUUUUGAAGGUGUCACCAAUAAGGAAUACCUUGCACUUCAGCAAGGAGGGAAAGCUGAAACCGAGGUACGUAUGUUCCUUUGAGAUUGUUAAAAGAAUCGGGACCUUAACGUAUCAUCUUGUGUUGUCUCCAAGGUAGGCACAAGUGUAUGACGUCUUUCGCGUGUCGAGGUUGAGGACGUAUGAACUUGACUCGACCCACGUACUAAAUCUUGAAGAAUUAGACGUGGACGACAGAGUGUUGUACGUGGAAAACCCGGUUCAGAUCAUGAAUCAGAAAUAUCGGAUUCGUUGAACCAAGAUAGUUCCUUGGUAAAAGUGGUAUGACAAUGCCACAGGACUGAAGAAGCAACUGGGGAAAAGUGAGACUCAUUGAGACAACGACACCCCCACCUUUUUGUUUAAGGAUUGGUAAAGAUUUAAAUUUCGAGGACGAAAUUUUUAUAAAAAUGGAAGAGUUGUGACAUCCCAGAUUUGCAACUGUGUUUUCUACUAAAUAAAGCAUGCAUUUUCAUUGAUGUGCCUAUAUGGCUAUUCUCAGAGCUGAUCACUCUCAAGAUAACUAAACUAUAUGGGGAAACCAUUAAGGAUUUUAAGGCAAAUAGACUUGAGAAUUCGAUUAGGAAUCGGCUGCUCGAUCGUGUUCAUCUACUAAGAUCAUUACAGCACAGACGUAAAUUGAUUAGAAAUUGGAGAUAGGUCAGUUCAAUAGAGAUGUGUGGCUAAUUGUGGGUGACACCAUUAAAUUGAAAAAUUCUCGUCAGCCGGCACUAAACUGAUUUUUAUAUUGUUUUGGUACCCUGUGUCCAUAUUUGGAUAUUUGAGAUUUUCAUGACAACCAAGAUUCGCCAAUGAGUCGAGUGAGUUCAUUGUGGCUCGAAGAAAAUCGACCACAGGUCAUUUGCACUAAAAAUGCCUGGAACUUACCCAGUAGCUUAGGUUAUGCUAAAAACGUGCCAAAUGGAAAUUAACUGUGAAUUCAAGUCCGAUUUUAGAAAUUGAAUAUUCUAUCAUGUCACAACAAAUUCUAGGAGCGUCGACUCGAUCUUAGAAUAUUUUUCUGUGCAAAAAAAGCUAGUGAUUAUUUUUGAUAGAAAAAUUGGGAAGCAAGAUGGAUAUACGGGUGAGGAAAAAUGUCGAGAUAGUCGACGGAUGACCGAUUGAUUUUAUGGAGGCCAAUUGAGAUGGAAUUGAAGUCGAUCAAGCCAGCAAUUGAAGGCAAUUCUUGUAAAAUUUGAAACUCUCCCUUCUCCCUAGCCAAAUGGACAAAAGAGAAGUCAUGAGAGGUGUUGUUGUGGAGGCCAAGGGAUUUUUCUUGGCCUAAUUUCAUUCUUGGAGAUAUUUUGUGGAAAAUAUCGAGCCAAUGGCCCACCCUCUCUCUUAUCUCUUCCCUCAUCUCUAUCAUUUGCAUCUCUCUCAUCUCUCCACCGUCCAAGACCCUCUCCUCUUCAUUUUCGAAACCCUCAAGCCAGCAAGAAGACCGGUAGAAGUAGCUAUAGCGGUCGCACGCCUCCACCCGCGCCACCGCUGGUUUCUGCUCUAGCUCACCUUUUUCCAAAGAUCCAAGUAAAAAGUAAACUUCCUGGAUGAACCAGCGAACAAGCCACCUAUCAUUGUGACGAGGACAUCCAAACCAUUCCAACGAGCCUAAUCUCGCCUCGAACGGAGCCGCCGGCUAUCCCGUACGACCGACGUAAGCCGCUGGUUGCUGGUCCGUCGGUCCCCUGCCUGCUUGCACUAUUUCGCGAUUUUCUUCAUUUUUCUUCCGUUCUGACCAUUCCUUUGGCCAUUCCAUCCACUUGCAAGACCCUCUUGACCCUCGAGAGCCAUUGGUUGCCGACCACCCAUUCGCAAGUGCUCCAAUCGGCCUGUUUUCGCCAUUGAAGCCGCUGGUUUCCUCUCUGUAGCCCACAGGCCAAGCCCAUGGUUCAACCCAUUGGGGUUCGGCACAACUGCGGCCCAAGAAUUCAGCCAAAGUCAGCCUAGUCUUGAGGCCUGCGAAGCAGCCCAAGCCCAUCUUCAAGCAAGCCCAGCUUGCAUUUGUUCAGCCCAACUUCAGUUUUGGAUCGGGCCCAUUUGAAGCCCAAGUUUCAGCUCAUCUCCAAAGUUCAACCCACAGGUUCAGCAAGCCCAGUUCCGAGCCCAAGCUCGCAAAGCAAGUCGGCCCAAGUUCGGCCUAAGCCCAGCUUUUUUGUGGGCCUGCAAGGCUUGGAGGCCUAGCCCGAGUGUCCGCUGACGCCGCUGAAAGUUUGGAUUUCGGCCGCCGUCGCAUCACCGUUGCAGUGAUUCGGUCUUCGCUUUGCUCAAGUGAGUUUUGCUCACUAAUGCCUUCUUAGUUUGCUAAUGAUACUUAAGGGUUGAUUAGAUUUAAUUAAGUGCAAUUAGGUGGUUAGAUUGGUUUAGAAUGAUUAGAUUAGUGACUUAAUGAUGCUUGUCAGGUGAUUGAUUAGUGUAAUUAGCAAGUAGAGACGUACUUCUAAUUAUUGAAUGCAUCUCGGGAUUUUUCCCGACCCGUUCUAGCGUCCAAUCAGGCAUUACAGCCCUAAAUUGGAUUUUUUAGUAUUUAAUCAUUUUUUUUCGUAAUUAAUUUAAUUAAUUAUCUAUUUUUCGAAAAUAAGGCUAGGAUAGCCGAUGACCAAAAUUUCAUGCUGAUUGUCGUGGUGCAAUCCAUUUAUUUAUUUGAGCUAUACGUUGCGUGGAUUGAAUUAAUUGUGAUAUUUUAUGAAUUUAUCCUAAAUUGAUUGAUAUUGAGUUGAAUUUAAAUAAUUGAUUGGUAGAUGGCCUAGUAUAAUUAUUUAGCUCCAAUAAUGCUUUGAUGGGCUAAAGUAGAGAGAAUUGUGAGAGUGAGAUGGAAAUACUCAUGGCUAAGACCAAUUUGGUACGAUGUUAUGGGCAUACGUGGUUUGGUGAUAAGGAUAUCACUGGCGAAAAUGGUGCCUUAAAGAUUGCAUGUAACUAUCUAUUCCAUACAUCUUUGUAGGCAUACGUGGUUUGGUGAUAAAGAUAUCACUGGCAAAAACGGCACCUUAAAGAACACACAUAGCUGUCUACUUAUUACAUCAUUAUGGACCUACGUGAUUCGGUGAUUAAGAACAUCACUGGCGAAAACGGCGCCUUAAAGAACGCACGUAACAGUCUAUUAUAUACAUGAAUUAUGGGCAUACGUGGUUCGGUGAUUAGUGUUAGGGAAAUCCCUUAUGAUGUUUUGAAGAUGACAAAAUAAAUCAAAGGCUACUAACAUGUUUAAUGGUUAAGUAAUAGACCAUGCAGAUGAUAGAACAUGUAAAGGAUAUUGUCAACGUGUGAAGACGACCAGAAGACUGAACGUAACAUAUGUCCAGAGUAUAUUUUGAAGAUUUACAGACUUCUGUAUCAAAGUCUGAAUACUGCCAGACUCAAGACUCAAAGUCUGAAGAUUGCCAGACUUCUGUAUCAAAGUCUGAAGACUGCCAGACUUUAGUGUCAAAGUAUGUUCUACAUCAGAAGUCUGCUCACUCUGACUAAUUCCAGACUGAACGUGAAUGAUGAACCAGAAGACAAACUCUAUGCUGAAGCUGAACCAGAAAACAGACUCUAUGCUGAAGCUGAACUGGGUACAGACCUUAAAGCUAAAUCUGUUCAGAAGCAGAUAUGUUCAGACCCAGAUUAUAAAGUCUACAGACUCAGAUUGUAAAGUCUAUUGCUCUCAGACUUUACAUCCAGAUUCGAUGAAACGUAACUCAAGCCCAAUCAUAUAACGGCUAGUGAUCUGGUUUGCAUUCCACAUCAAGAUUGAUUUAAUUGAUUCAAUCUAAUUGAUUGACGAUUGGAUCUUGAAGACAAGAACUUUCUAUAUGAAGAAGCUUUACUUAUGGAAACCAAGAUUUCGUUUGUAUGGACGAUCGGAAUCAAUUUGGGAUUCUACCUUUGUCACUCAACGGCUACCAAAUCUUCUAGAUACAGAGCUGUCCAAUGGGUAUAUUGGAAGACGAUUCUCCGGGAUACUGUCCAACGGGUAGUUUGGAAGUGGAGGAGUAUUUAAGGAGAUCAUGGACCGAUGAGCAAGUAAGACACGGAGCGUAGAAUUUAUAAUUCCAAAGUCCCAGCGAUCUUCGAUCAUAUACUUGUCUCUUGUGAGCUUAAACGUUUGUGAUCGUGAGAGAAAUACCAAAAGAGUGACUUAGUGAGAUAGUGUGAUCUACUACUAAGUGUUUGCACUCGAAGUUGUAAUCUCUUGUUGAUUGCAUAGUGGAAUCCAGGCAAGAAGGCUGUUAACGUGGGAGAGUGGACGUAGGCUUGGAUUAAGCCGAACCAUUAUAAAUCUUGUGUUCUUAUUCUCUUCCUUAACUCCUUUUGUUUGAAGUUUAUUUUAUUCCGCAUAUAUUUGCCAAGGUUUAUUUUAUACACCUAUUCACCCCCUCUAGGUGUUCAUACUAGCACUCUCAAUUGGUAUCAGAGCCUGUGUACUCACUUUGUUUGAAAUAUUUUACUUCAGAAUUAAAGAUCCAUGGCUAGUAUGUUGGCUCCAAGGCUGGUAGAAGGGCAAAGUAACACGAGACCACCUUACUUUGAUGGAAAAGACUACAACAUAUGGAAAAACAAAAUGAAAGCAUUCCUAAGAUCCAGAGAUCUCUUACAAUGGGAUGUUGUGGAAAGAGGAAUCAACCCCAUUGCUGCGUCUACAUCAAAUAAGAAUGGCAAAGACAAAGAAACCAAACCCCCCGCUCUUAUGUCUCGGACAGAGUUGUCCAAAAGAGAAGCGCUUGAUGCAAAAGCUAUUUAUUCUUUAUAUUGUGCCUUGUCUCUUGCUGAAUAUAAUAGAAUAUCUUCAUGUGAAACAGCAAAAGAAGUUUGGGAUAGACUUCAUGUUACAUAUGAAGGGACCGAUCGUGUAAAAGAGACAAAAGUAAACUUCUUGCUUGGCCAAUAUGAAUCAUUCAAGAUGAAGCAAGGAGAGUCAAUUGGAGAUAUGUUUAGCCGUUUUACAGAAAUUAUAAAUGGUUUAGCAUAUCAAGGUCAGCAAAUUUCUGCCCCGAUGAAGGUCAACAAACUCUUGCGAGGUCUCUCAAAAGAUUGGAACCAUGUCAAGACUUCAAUCCGGGAAACUCAAAGGAUUAUGCCACUCUCCGUUGAUGAAUUGAUCGGCGCUCUUCAAUCCUAUGAAGUGGAACAAAUCAACGAUGAAGAUCCCGAAGGUAAGAAGUCCAUUGCUUUAAUAUCUAAUGAUGUUUUUGAUGAAACAGACUCAGAAAAUGACAUGGAUGACGAAGAACUUGCUUUUAUGAUCGAGAAAUUCAAAAAGCUGAGUAGAAAAGGAAGGAUGUUUAGUGAAAGAAGACAAUUCAAGCAGAAUGGCCAGAAAAGAACAAUGAAAGAAGAUGAUGAGUUAGGAAAUUUAUGCUUGAUGGCACAUUCAGAAUCAGAGUCUGACUCAGACACAGACUCAGAAUCAGAGUCUGACUCAGACACAGACUCAGAAUCCGAUGAGGAAAUCGAGGUAAGUCCAGAAUCCGAUGAGGAAAUCGAGGUAAGUCAUUCAAAAAUUUCUCUCAAAGUUGCAAAGUAUAUAAAAAAGCUUUGCUCAAAUCUUAAAUCUUCUCUUAAAAGGAUUUUCGAACUUAAAAAGGAGAAUUCUCGACUUAGGCAACAAGAUCUUUCUCAAAAAGAAAAUUUUGAAAUUGUGCAAAAAUAUUUUCUACAAACAAAAGAAAAUCGAGAUUUGCUUGUUAAAGAAAAUGAUUCUUUGAAGAAAGAAUUUUCAAAUAUUUCGACAAGAUUUUCAAAUGGAUCAAAAACAUUAGAGCAUAUUCUUUCUAAACAAGUUCCUUACUAUAAUAAGUCAGGACUUGGUUUUAACAAGGAAAAUAAUUCUUUAAUUGAUUUUCCUAAAGUAAAAGAGAGACUUAAACAAAGACCUUCAAAGGUAUUUUACAAAAAUCAUUUUCAAAAAGUGUUUGUAAAACCUGUUGGUCAAAAUGCCCUCAAGUGUUUAAAUUAUGGAGAUUCGGUACACUUUGAAAAAUAUUGUCCUAAAGUCUGGAGACCUAUCAAGAAAAAUUGGAUAAAAACAACAUAUUCUACUAACUCUCAUGGACCCAAGAAAAAAUGGGUACUAAAGAAAAGAUGAGUUAUUUUUGCAGGAUAUAAAGAAGAAAGAAGAAAGAGAGUUUGGUAAGAAAUGUAUAUAUUUUUAUUCUCAAUUUGGUUUGAGUACACAAUUUAAAAUUUCUCAUUAUGCUUGAUAUUCAAUAUAUCCUUGGUUGAUUGAGAUUUUAUAAUAAUCAUAUUCCUUUAUUUGUUUUAUUGAAGAAAGAAUCGCAUGAUAUGUAUUUGUGAGUUGAGAUUUGAUUUAGUACUUGUGAUUAUUUGAGAUAAUUCAGAUUAUUUUUUCUUCAGAUUUAAUCAUAUAUUUGCAAAGUGAAAAUCUAUUUUACGUGAUAAUGCAAGAUAUUCUUAGAUAUUCAAAGAUUUUAUUCUCCCUGUUUUUAUCAUACUAUGACUAAGUGAGAAUUUCUUUUUCAAGAUAUUAUUGUGCAUAAUAUUCUUUCUUUGAAUACUUUGUUACGUUGAAUUAAGAAAGAAUAUUUGAUUAUGGAGAUUUUCUAUUUUACUCUAACAAAAUGGAAGGAUCCAAAUUGAUGGAUACCAAAAAGGGAAAUGAGUUGAUUACAGGAAAUUCUUUAAGGGAAGGAUGAUUGCGAAUCUACGCAAAUUUUGGUGCAAUCAGAAAAUAUCUCCUGCGACAAUUGGUAAUGAUUUUUUUUAAUCAAUGGUAUAUUUGAAAUAAAUACCUGGGUAAGAGAAUUUUUAUUUUCAUCCCGCCUUACAAAUUUCUACGUGCAUUUAUCAUGAUUUUGGAUGAUUAUUUAUAUUGCGAAUAUCUUUAGGUAUUGGAAUUUUGGCAAGUGACAUAAAUAUUUAUUUUCCUUUUGCAAAAUGCAUAUUUGAAAUUUAUGCUCAAGGAAAUCGCUUUUAUCUUGAAAGAUAUUACUACAUAUUCAUGGAUAUUCUUGCUAUAUUCUUAGAAGAUUUAUUAUAUCUAGAAAGUUUGAUCCGCAAAUCAAAGGAAGAUAUUUCGUGACAUUUUUGCAAAGAUUAUUAUCUGUUAUAUAAGAAUUUGCAGAUCACAAAAGAAUCUUCCAUAUGGAUUUUGGAAAACUCGAUCAGAAAACCAUGAAGAUUUUAUUCUAUCUUCUGGAGGUUCAAAGAUUCCAUUCCUUAUGCAAAAAUUUUGCAAAUUAUUGAGGAAAUCCCUUAUGUGUCAUACGGAAGUUUGUUAAGUUGAUGCAGGUUGAAUUCGAGAAGAGCUUGAUUGAAGAAAAUAAAUUUUUGCCUCGAAUUUCAAAAUGCAAAUGAUCGUUGCAGAUAUUGUUGCUACAAAGGAAAUAAUGGAAAAAUAUUCUGCUCAACGUGCACAGGCAACAAUUCUAUCUGCAAAUAUUGUCAUAAUCACAGGGGGAGAAAGCAAAUCCAAAAGAAAAGGAAAAGAAUCUUGAUCAUCUCAAAAAGGCAACAAAUUGAGGGGGAGCUUUGAUCAAUUAUGGAAAAAUCUUUUUGGAUUGAUCGUGAUCUUAUUAUGGAUGGAAGGAAAGGUAAAUGUGUCAGAAUCUGUUAUAAAAAAUCUGGUUAGUGCAUCUCUUAUUACCUUUUGUCAUUAACAAAUCUCUUAUUGAUAUUAUUAUUAUGACAAAAAAGGUACGUGCAUUUUAUGAUGCAUCCGUGAUUUUUAUUGGAUAUUUGCUGAUAUAUAUCAUCGAAGUGAGCUAUAUUGCAUAUCUUUAAUAUUCGACUUGCUUUAUAAAAGCUGAUUUUUGGAAAUUGUGAUUCAUGCGAGAUAUUUGUUAUAAUUCUCUACGUUAUACUUUAUCGCUUUUUGAUUAUGACAAAAAGGGGGGAGAAGAUAUGAAUAUGCAUAUGUGUUGAUUGGUUGAUAUUAUCUAUGCCAUAAUAUUGAGCUGUGAUUAUUUUUAUACUCAAUCUAUUUGCUAUCUUCUGAUAUCCUUUGAUUUAAAUUAAUAUUUUUAAAAAACGUGUUUACAAAUCUGCAUAUUCAGAGAUUGUUUUGUCAUCAUCAAAAAGGGGGAGAUUGUUAGGGAAAUCCCUUAUGAUGUUUUAAAGAUGACAAAAUAAAUCAAAAGCUACUAACAUGUUUAAUGGUUAAGUAAUAGACCAUGCGGAUGAUAGAACAUGUAAAGGAUAUUGUCAAAGUGUGAAGACGACCAGAAGACUGAACGUAACAUACGUCCAGAGUAUAUUUUGAAGAUUUCCAUACUUCUGUAUCAAAGUCUGAAUACUGCCAGACUCAAGACUCAAAGUCUGAAGAUUGCCAGACUUCUGUAUCAAAGUCUGAAGACUGCCAGACUUUAGUGUCAAAGUAUGUUCUACAUCAGAAGUCUGCUCACUCUGACUAAUUCCAGACUGAACGUGAAUGAUGAACCAGAAGACAAACUCUAUGCUGAAGCUGAACCAGAAAACAGACUCUAUGCUGAAGCUGAACUGGGUACAGACCUUAAAGCUAAAUCUGUUCAGAAGCAGAUAUGUUCAGACCCAGAUUAUAAAGUCUACAGACUCAGAUUGUAAAGUCUAUUGCUCUCAGACUUUACAUCCAGAUUCGAUGAAACGUAACUCAAGCCCAAUCAUAUAACGGCUAGUGAUCUGGUUUGAAUUCCACAUCAAGAUUGAUUUAAUUGAUUCAAUCUAAUUGAUUGACGAUUGGAUCUUGAAGACAAGAACUUUCUAUAUGAAGAAGCUUUACUUAUGGAAACCAAGAUUUCGUUUGUAUGGGCGAUCGGAAUCAAUUUGGGAUUCUACCUUUGUCACUCAACGGCUACCAAAUCUUCUAGAUACAGAGCUGUCCAAUGGGUAUAUUGGAAGACGAUUCUCCGGGAUACUGUCCAACGGGUAGUUUGGAAGUGGAGGAGUAUUUAAGGAGAUCAUGGACCGAUGAGCAAGUAAGAGACGGAGCGUAGAAUUUAUAAUUCCAAAGUCCCAGCGAUCUUCGAUCAUAUACUUGUCUCUUGUGAGCUUAAACGUUUGUGAUCGUGAGAGAAAUACCAAAAGAGUGACUUAGUGAGAUAGUGUGAUCUACUACUAAGUGUUUGCACUCGAAGUUGUAAUCUCUUAUUGAUUGCAUAGUGGAAUCCAGGCAAGAAGGCUGUUAGCGUGGGAGAGUGGACGUAGGCUUGGAUUAAGCCGAACCACUAUAAAUCUUGUGUUCUUAUUCUCUUCCUUAACUCCUUUGUUUGAAGUUUAUUUUAUUCCGCAUAUAUUUGCCAAGGUUUAUUUUAUACACCUAUUCACCCCCCUCUAGGUGUUCAUACUAGCACUCUCAAUUAGAACAUCACUGGUGAAAACGGCGCCUUAAAAAACGCAUGUACCUGUCUAUAAUAUACAUCACGUUGGCGAAAACGGCACUAGAAAGAGAAAAUGUACGCUGUUGACACCUAAAUUUUGGCGAUCUGGUCAUUUAUUUAUUGCAUAGAAAAUUAGGGGUUAAUUUUAUCUCUAAAAAAAUAUUAAUGGCAUAGCACAUAGAUUUAGGUACAUUUAUCUUUUAAUUUGUAUUUUUUUUUUCAUUUGUUUAUUGGACUGGUGGCGGAUGGGUUCAAAUUAAUGGUUAUGAGCUUUAAUUUGGCAAGCUGAACUAAGCUUAUGAAACGAGCAAAUUGGCCCGAGCCCGUUUUAUUUUUAAUAACAAAAAUUAUCUAAAUGGAGAUUUGAUGUGAUAUUAUGGUGGUUUUUGGAAUUUGAGAAAAUCACAUUGCAAUCUUAUCUUUAGCAACAGAUGAUGAAAUCAUGGGAGAAUAUUCAUGAGAUAAGGAUUUUUUGUGAUCGGGAGAUUAUAAGCAAUCUUCGUGAGAUGAAAUAUUCACAAAAGGAUCACAUUUUGUUUUGCAUAUAAAAGGGCGUGUACGGAGAUCAAAAGGGGGGGCUUCUCUUGGUUUGAAAGAAAAAAAAUGAAAGGUUUUCCAUGGCUUUUCCGUUCGUGCCUUUGAGGAAAACCUACUGAGGGAAAAGUAAUAAGAAGUGUGCAGAGAGAGAUAGAGGGAGGAGACGUGAAAGCGACAUGAGAGAGAGAGGUGAGAGCAUAAAAGAAAAAAAGAAAAAGAGGAAAAAGCAAAAAGAUGGACAACUAUUCAUCUUCCUCGUGAGUACCCGUUCGACGUCCCUGCUACCCGCUUCCUCCGCACCGCCAAGCUACCGUAGCCGCUCCGCCUCACCACGCGACCACCGCUGUCCACUUCGCCUCACGCGUCACUUCACCCCCAGCCGCGACAAAGCUUCUGUUUCUACAACGCUCUUGCAAAUCCCAAGUCCCCUUAUGCCAAGCGACGCCCAAAACAACACUCCGCCGGUUUUUGCCGCAACUUGCAACAGCCCGAACCUCUUCCGCCACAUUUUGUCUACAGCACGACGCCUCUGUAGUAGCUGCAACUAGUCCCAAUCAUCUCCAAGCAUCACCGCUUAGCCGCACCGGAACACCAAUCUGUCCGCAACGACGCUACUGCCCUUGCUCUAUUCGCAAUCUGCCUGCAACCUGCGCUGGUCCAAGAAAUGCCGUCCUACCCCACUGCACCUCCUCCGUGAGCAACUUGCGACGCCAGCCCAGUCGUCCGCGACUUCCCUUACCGACGCCGUUCCUGCCUUGCUCUGCCACUCGCCCGCGAUUGCCCAACAGAUCUCACCUUCGCUUGCCGUCCGUGAAGCCCAACGCCAACAAAUCUGAGACCCUCUCAGUAGCCGCGACCCAAACGCCCUUGCUUCACUUUGUCGUCGCCGAUCUGCAGCACCAGAAGUCCUAGCAUCCCUGCUUGCCUCUACUAGACGCUCAGCCACUACUGUGCCGCUGUCCCUGCCACGUCCCGACGCCGCUGGAGCCCACACCAUCGCUGCUCACAUCUCCCCAGUGCUCGACAGCAAGCUUCAUGCCCCCACGACGCCCCCUCACCGGAGCUCCAACGCUGGCCACCGUCCGCCCGGUGCCAACCAACUUGUUGCUCCCUUUUCCUUAGGUUGUUUGCUUUUAUUUUUAUUUUUAUCUUUCAUUUAUUUUAUGUUAUUUUUUUAAGUUUUGCUACUAUUGUACCAUUUAGAACAUUGGGAAUUGAUUUUCGUUUUAUUGCAGUCAUUAUCUGCAAGGUGUUGUCCAAAAUUAUUGUAAUUAUUAAUUUGAUCCGUAAGACGUCGGAUCAUUUUUUUUAAUUAUAUUAAUCUUUGGGCAUUUUGAUAGUAUUUUAAUUGUUAGAUCAUUAUAAUUAUUGAUUCGUGUGACAUCCUAAAUUUCGACCCCAUUCCGAAUAUAUGAAAUGGGCACCUCGUCGACGUGCCGAUGGUGCUUUUUCUCUGAGCUGAUCACUCACGAGUUAACCAAUCUAUUGGGCGAAGCCAUUAAGGGAUAUAACCACGGUAAAAUUCCUAAAAGCUACCCGGUAGGUCGGAUCGGACUAAAAUCGCGUUCGGUCAAUUUUAACCACGAAAUUGAAUUCGGUUUAAGGAAUCAGACGUUCGAGCAUGUCACGGUUCAUUUGUAGGACGUCGUCUUGUCUUUUGGAGAGAUUCCGUCGAGUUUGGGAUUUUUACGGAAAAUCAUUUCAGACGUCACGAAAAAUAGCGGAAAUUCGGAUGGCCUCAAUUGAAGAAAAUUUGGACUUCUAAGCUGAGCUACUGGGUGGUGGGAAUUUGUGGAAAUGUUUGGGAUUUUUCUUCGUCAAAAUUGGACUUCGAAUUGGUGAAGUUGAGGAUGAAAUCGAAGCCAAAAGACAGCAAUUUUUGGACUUCAAGAUUUGGAUUAUUGAUGAAUUUUAUGCAAGAAAGUAAUAAGAAACAUUGAGAUAAGUUGAGGGCUAGUUGGGGGACAAAGCCUUCAAUUUAGUGGAUAAGUGUGAUGACUUUCUUUAUUUUCUUUGAGCUUCUUCAGCAAGUCUCGCCGGUCUCUCUCUCUUCCCCAUCCACUCGCGCACGCGGAAUCCCCCUGACCGACAACCUCUGCAGGAUUAUCUUCUUGGGCUUUAUUUCAUUGACUAGAGUCAAUGUUUAUCCCUCAUUCGGCCGACAUCCCUUAGCAGCUCUUCGUUUCUCUUCUUGCGGACACACCCGCCAAACAGCCCCUGCAACUCUUGGCCACACGUCCGCUGCCCAGCCAUCUUCGGUCAAUCUUCAGCAAGCGAGACCCCUGCUCUUGACUCCAUCAUUUCAUCGACUCAUCCACCUCUUCACUUCCGCCCGCUAGCUGCUCCAAGUUCAUCGGUUUUCUCUCAACCGAAGCUAUUCCAGCUUCGACUCUGCCACGCCCGUGACGCCACGCUGCAGCUCUCUUCGUCCGCGCAUCUUCAGUUCAUCCAGUGAAGCUUGGCCCAGCGAAGCGUGUUCUUCAAGACCCAGCAGAACGCCUCAACGUUGACCGAAGCAGCUGAGCGUUCCAUCCCCUUCAUUCGCGAGCUACACCCCACGAAGAAGCAAAGCCCACGAAGCUAUCGAGUUGCUAUUCCCUUCGGUCUUCACGCCUGCAGCUCGUUGAUCCAUGCAUCUCCUCAGUCAACCGAAGACCAUCAGCCCCUUCGUGUCUUCAUUUUGCCGGUCAUCCAUCCAGCAACGAAGAGCCCAAGCUACCAGGCGUCCUCCUCCACUUUCACGUUUCAUUUCCCUGCAACACUCUCGGUCAACAAGUCAGUUCAUGCGGCCAUCGAAGUUGACUCCAUCACCCACUCUCCACCGAAGCUUGUCGUCCACCCACGAAGCAAGCCGUGAUUUUCUGUAGUCUACGGCCCGCGUGUCUUCAGCAGCAACUUCGGCCCGUGAAUUUCAGCAAAGCCGAAGUAGCCCAGCAGUUUCUUCUUGGCUCGGGCCCAGCAGCCCACUUCAAAUUUCAGUCCAACAACUUCGGCCCAAAGAUUUAGUAAAUCAGCUCAGCAAUAGCCCACAUAAAUUCCAACUCAGCCCAGAGAAAUUUUUAGUCCAGUGAGCCCGCAAGGCCAGUCCAGUUUUGAAGCUGUCUCCAAGGUUUAGCCCAUCUUGGGCCCGUGAAGCAAGUCGGCCCAAGUUCGGCCGAUGUCGCGGUUUUCGAUCUUCGCUUUGUCAAAUGAGUUUUACUCACUAAUGCUUUCUUAGUUUGCUAAUUAUGCUUAGGGUUGACUAGAUUUAAUUAAGUGCAAUUAGGUGGUUAGAUUAAUUUAGAAUAAUUUAAUUAAUGACUUAAUGAUGCAUGUUAGGUGAUUGAUUAGCGUAAUUAGCAAGUAGAGACGUACUUCUAUUUAUUGAAUGCAUCUCGGGAUUUUUCUUGAUCCGUUAUGACAUCCAAUCAGGCAUUACGGGCCUAAAUUGGAUUUUUAGUAUUUAUUCAUUAAUUUUCGAAAUUAUUUAAUUAUUCAUUUAUUUUCCGGAAAUUGGGUAAGGAUGGCCGACAACCGGAAUUUUAUGCUGAUUGUCAUGGUGUAGUCCAUUUAUUUAAUUGAGCUUUAUUUCAUGCUAAAUUGAAUUAUUUGUAAAAGUGGGAAUUAUUCUUUAAUUGGAUAAUCAUUGAUUAUUAAUUGAAAAAUAACCAAACGUCGGUUGAUAAUGCCAAAAAUAUUUGAGUGGACUACAGAAAAUGUGGGAGUUAUGGAAAGGAAAAUAUUAUAUUUUGGCUAAGGCCGACCGUAUCCCCACACACGGCUAUUUUAUCGAGAAGGAUAAAAGAUGGAAUGGAUUGAAUGGUCGGAUAGUAUACUAUAUCAUCCUACGAGCUCUGAUAUGUCAGCUUAGCGAUAGUAGUAUACUAGUGUACUAUAUCAGCCUACGGGCGAUAUGUCAGCUUAGCAUGAGCAAUACACUUUAUCAGUUUAGAGUGAGCAUCAGGGGUAUAUUAUACAGCCUUCGGCAAUAUGUCAGCUUUGGGUAAGUAGUAUAUCGGUAUACUAUAUCGACCUACGGGCGAUAUGUCAGCUUUCGGUGAGCAGUAUACUUUAUUAUCAACUUUUGGUGAGCAUAUAUAGUAUACUAAAUUAGUCUGGGGGCCUUACUUUAUCAGCUUUGGGCGAGCAUAUACAUAGUAUACUAUAUUACCAGCUUUGGGCGAGCUAUACUAUCUAUUUAUUAGCUUAGAGUGAGCAGUCCUGGACCAUGGUCGGACUUAUAGAUAGUAUUGAAUGUGCCGACCAAACAUAGGUCAUGAUGACAUGUAAUCGACUAGGUCGAUUGAUCAAUGAUUUGAUCUGGCGUGGUGAAUUGAUUGAUUGAAUGGAAAUGACUGGUGAAUGGUUCGAUUGAGAUGAAAUCAGCUAGGUCGAUUUGAUCGAUGUUUCGAUCAGUGAUGUGAUUGCUUAGGUGCCUAUUUGAUAUGUGCUAAUAUGCAGGUGGAAUCUGAGGUCAAGGUAAGUCCUCUGACUCAUAUUGUGCAUAGGCAGCCCUGAGAUGUAUUAGUUUACUAAUCGGGUCUUAGGGGGUAGAACUUGCUAAGACAUUGUCUCAUUGGUUAUUGAAUAACCAUUUCAGGUCCCUAAAUGCAAUAGACUUGGAUUUUGAAGAUCUCGAAAGUCCGGUGCAGUCUGUUGAAGGCUCCAGUUGGAGUGUGGAGGAUGAUGAAGAGGAGGAUGGGGACUCGUAGCUUGUAGAACCUCACUUCUGCUUAUAGACCUUGUUUUUAAACUGGCCUUUUGUGAAUUGAACUUAAUAGUUCACCUUGUAUAUAUAUGUGCACUGGUUUGCAAUGUAUAAAAGGAUGAAUUUUUUUAAAGGUUUGAAAUUUAGUCAAACCGUUCUAUCCCAAUGUUUUAUUGUUUGGAGAUUUUUAAUUGCUUCCGCAUGUGCAUGUGAAAAUGAAAAGGUCGGCAAUACGUCUUGGGAUAUCGCAAAGUUUUAAUCGACCAAGGUGAGGGAUGGGCGCGUGCCCGAGGAUCGGGGCGUGACGUCCCCUUUUGUGGUAUCAAAGCGAAGUUAAAGAAUUUGAGUGAUAAGGUGCGAUGACCUAUGGGAUAGUAGUAGGAUGGCCUUUAAAUUCAUGCUGGUGCAUGUCUUUGAUAGCUAAUUGGUAGAAUUGUUUGUCACAACCCUCAAGGUACAACUCAUGGAGAGAUGGAAGACAAACAUCAUUGAUUGAGUUAUUCAAAUGCUGACGUGAUUGAAUUUCAAGCUUUAUGAGAUGAUCAAGUUGACAAGGUAAUGUCCCGACCAACAAAGGACAACCCCAGACAACAAGAUGCCGAAGACAAGAGAACGAAACUUUUUCUUCGGGGCCCUCGACAUAAGGAGACCAAUCAUUCCAUGCCAACACCUCUUGGAACUUUAAAGUGGUUAACGAUGAAAAGGCCUUCUACCUCCAUAAAAGUCAAAGCCUAUCGUUCUUAUUGCAUGUAGACCUUUAAGAGAUAAUUCCUUAAGCGAAGGUAGUUGUCCAAGUAUGGAUAGUGAUAUAACAUUAGGACAGUCCCACAAGCACAAAGACACUAUUUUAGAAUAAGACGUACGAUCUAACCAUAAUGGGAAUCUUGCACCACGAUAGUUCAAAAUAGUGAGAUUUUCAAGAUUAGUGUGAGGUUGCAGAAAGUCAAGCACUUGUGCUCUAUGCUCAUGAUUAUGCAGAUUUCCCACAUGUUCGUCCCAGUGCAAGGAUAAGUUGGAAAGCUCUAGCUUUUGAUGCAAUUAGCAUCGACUGCAUCUAUAACUUUUUACACCUUUUGCAAUUUUGCUAUGAAUAAUUCUCCUUCAAGAUGUGGCAAGUUAUUUGACUGUGACAGCCUAAAUUUUCAGCUCUUGUUUUUUAUUAAAUAAAUCGGGUCUUUCAUUGACACGCUUAUAGUGCUAUUCUCUGAGCUGAUCACUCACGAGAUAACUAGACUAUCAGGAGAAGCUACUAAGGGAUUUUAACGCAAUGGACUUGAGAAUUCGACUAGGAAUCGACUACUCAACCGUGUUGAUCUGCAAUGGUCAUUAUAUCACCGUCAAAAAUUGAUCAGAGACUGAAGAUAGGUCGAUUCGAUAAAGAUAUGUGAUUAGUAUAUGGGUGAUUCUACCUAAUUGCAAAAUUCUCGUCAAACAGCACUAGACGAUUUUUCUGUCAUUUUUGUACCCGGUGUCUAUAUUUGAAAUCUCGAGAUUUUCACGACAACUGAGAGUCGCCAAUGUAUCGAAAAUGUACAAUGUGGCUUGAAAAUAAUCGACCAAGGGUUAAUUGCACCAAAAAUUCCUAAAAGUUACUCGGUAGGUUAGAUCACGCUAAAAUCGCGUCGGAUUGAAAUUAACCCCAAAUUUGAAUCUAAUUUCAGAAAUUGAAAGUUCUAUCAUGUCACAAAUCAUUUUAGGAAAGAAUUUUCAGUGAGCCCGAGAUGUUUACAGAAAAUAGUUUCGAACGAUUAAGAAAUUAACGGAAAUUCGGAUGGGCCAAAUCAAAAGAAUUUUUGGCCUCCUUACCGAGCUAUUUGGUGAUGAGGACUUGCGAAAAUUUUAUGGGCUUUCUUCUUCAACGAAAUUGGACGUCGAUUUGGGGAUUGAAGCUUAUUUUUGUUAAAUUCGGAGCUGGAUUUUGGGGCAGUAAUUUUUUACUUCAAUUGGUUUAUUUUGUGGAUUAUAAUUCAAGAAAGUAUUAGGGGCGAGCUUUUAAAUUUAGGUGAAUAAUGUUACUUGACUUUUGCUCCCCAUCCGUAGCUUCUCCGGCACGCCUGACCAGCUGGCCUUACCAACUCCAUCUCCAUCGGUUUCUCCUUUACUUUUCAUUUCUCCUUCAUUUUCAACCAUCGAAGCAAGCUGCCUCUCUCCACUGAAUUUCUCUCUCCCUGCACGCGUGUUCUUUUCCCCCAAAUUAGCUGCCUUCUCUGCCGAGUUUGCAUCUCCACCGAAGCUGCUCGUCCAACGCCGUCCCCACUGAUCCUUCUUCAGCUGCCACGUCCAAGUCUUCAUUUGGCUCAGUCAGCGCUGCAAUGCCACCAUUGAUUGUCUCAUCCACCGAACAAGCCAACGUCCUCGUGUCAUCUCCUCACCGAAGCUGACUGCUGGUUUUGUUGACCGAAGCAGCUGCCAGCGCCAUCAGCCUUCAUCCUCCUUCGCUGCUUCCUCGUCCAGCAUCAAUCGACCGAAGCAGCACACGCCAGCUCGCCGACCCACCGAGGUCAACACCAGCGAACUCUUCUCCUUGAAGUUGACUCUCCUUCGUCCGUUUCCUCCUGUCGCCAGCAAAGUCCACGAGUCCAGCUCAGCCCAUAAACCAACAGACAAGCCCACUUGAAGCCAAGCUUCAGCCCACGUAAUUUUUCGGGCCCAGCAGCCAGCAGUAGCCCAACCCCAGCAGCAACCCACGCCAUUUGAAGCCCACCUUUGGUUGGAUUCACUCCUGCAGCAGGCCCAUUCAGUUCAGCCCACCGAAGCACGCCACUUGAACCCUGCAGCAGUUUGGCCCAAGCCCAGCCCGUGAGCAAGUAGCCCAUUCGAAGCCAGCUCAGUCCAGUCCAGCAAGUUUCGCAAGCCCAGCCCAAUUUUGGUCAAGCCCAAAUCAAGAACAAAUCUCAACUUGGGCUGAGAUUUGUUGGGCCGAUUUUAGGCCCAGUUUGAGCUCCUUCAGCGCAGCCACAAUCUCAAUUUCGGCUGCCGUCGCGCCGCCAUUGCGGUGAUCAAGUUUUUGCAUUAAACCGGUGAGUUUAUACACUAAACUCUACUUAGUAGGCUAAUGACGUUUAAGAUGUGUUUAGUUUAAAUUAAUUAGGGAUUAGGUGGUUAGUUAAAUUAGAUUAGUGAUUUAAUUAGUUAAAUAUGCAUGUUAGGUGGUUAGAUUAAAUUAAAUAAAGCCUAGAUAGGAUGUGCUAUUUAUCUAGACAGGUUUGGAAAUUUUUCCGGUCCGUUUAGGCGGUUAAUUUAGCAAUUUCGGCCUAGGUUAGUAUUAAUGGUAAUUAAUUACAAUUAUUUAAUUAAUUUUGGUAAUUAAUUAUUAACUAUGUUGACACCUAAAUUUUGACUAAUCAUUUAGUAAUUAAUUGCAUAAAAAUUUAGGGAUUAAUCUUUAACCCCCAAGAAAAAUUUGUAAAAUUGCAUUUCAUGUAAUUGCAUUUGCAUCGGUACCAAAAGGCAACAAGACACAGCGGCUCGUGGUCAAUAAUACUCACAAAAGGACGGUCUCUUUCUUGCUCGUCUGAAAACACACAAUGAAAGUCAAAGAAAGAAGAAAGAAGAGGUCCUCGCACGUCCAUUUUCUCUCCUUCAUUAAAUGCAUGCACAUGCACGCACGAAAUGGAGCGGACGUGAGGCCGCAAGCGUGAAGAAAGCAAAGAAAGAAUCCUCCAUUGCACACGCGUCCUUUGAAAGAAGGAACCAAACGUGAAUAGCAAGGAAAAGUUACGGCUGCCUCCUGUUCACCUGUUCACCCUAAAGUUGGUGGUUGCCUAUAAAUAACCAAGGAUCCUCGGUCGGGGGGAGGGCAGAAUGAAAAAAAUCACUGGAGAGGUUUGUGAGAAAAAAAAGCUAUUAAAAAAGAGCCCGUAGAGAGACGCACGAAAAGAAAAGAAAAUGAAGAGAGAUAGAGAGUCUGACAGAGAGAAACCCAAAAGGUGAAGUAAGAGGAAAAAGGGUUCACUGACAAGUACAGAGAGAGACAGACAGACAGACGUGGGGGAGACGUGAGGAGAGAGGGAAAAAAAAAAGGAAGAACAGAACUUCUGCUCGUCUUCUCCACGCGAAGCCUCCACCGCUGCUGCUCGUCCCCACCGCAACAGCACCACUGCCGUACCUCCACUUGCGGAACCCGCGAGCGCCGCCAGCGGUCUGAUCCUCCGCCGAUCUCUGCCGCCCGAGCUGCCGCCCACCGCCGCACCUCCAUCAGCCAUCGUCGCGCCGACCUUCGAACAGCACUGGAGCUCCGCCUCACCGCGCGACCUCUGCCGUCCACUGCACCCGCGUAGCCACUUCUGCUCCGCUUCCCUGCGACGGCCAACUCUGCUUCCGCUCCGGUCCCCUGCUACGACGGCCAGCUCUGUUUCUGCUCCACCCCCUGUGCGAGCACCACACACGAGUUCGUGCCGCCGUUCGUCGCCUCUGCUGUGGUCGCGACAACCCGCGACGAAGCUUCUGCUCCUACGCCGCUCAACCCCAGCAGCGAAACCACUUCUGCCGGCAACCCAGCCGCACCACCAGUCACCGCCACUCCGCCGGUCGUCCACGAUCGCCUAGCAGAUCCAGCGACCCAACGUCCCUUCAGCUCGAAGCUCCAAGCGCCGUCGCAGCAACCCGCGUCCGAGCCCGACGCCGGCAACCCGCACCACCUUCGCCCGCCGGUCGCAGCGCAUCUCCGCCUGUCUUCGCAACCACCCGCUGCUGCUCGUCUUCCCGCCCGUUGACGCCAGCAACCUGACGCCACGAGCACCCACCUCUACGCCUGCAGCCUGCGCCUCCGACGCCGCGCCACCGUCCCUACCGUUGCCGCUCAUCACCCCUGCUCGCUCGUCACCGCGCCUGCACCUCCGCCUGACGCCGCGCCACCGCCCAGACUCCCGCAAGCUGCAGCACCCGUCGCUGUGCCCUACCCGUCGCCGCAGCUCCGCUCGCACGUUGCUUGCUGUACCUCCGUGAUCGAGAAGCCCAAAGCCGCUGUUAUCCCGCUUCUGUCCGUGCGCUGUUGCUUCUUCCCUGCAGGUGCACCAGCGACGACGAGCAAUGCGAAGCACCACCAGCCACAAAGCCCGCGACGAGCUUGGCCAGAAGCUGCUGUUGCGUUCCACCACCACAGCUCGGCCCCGACGCGAAUUGCCGUUCGUGAAUCUUUGGCGCCGAUCCAAAUAAGGUAGUUUUCUUUAACUAAAUUUCUUCUCGAUAUUAUUGCAUAACUUGGAAUGUUUGAUGUUAAUUGAGGCUUUAAGCAGUACCUAGUAGGAUAUUAUUGGUAAAAAUCACUAUAAUUACUAAUUUGGUCCGUAAGAUUUCGACCAUUUUUUAAUUAUAUUGAUUUUGAUGAUAUUUUGGCUUUAAAAUCAUUAUAAUUAUUAAGUUGAUCUGAGAGACUUCGGAUCAAUUUUUUAAUUAUGUUGAUUUUCUUGACAGUUAUUAUGUUUAGGUUAAAAUAAUCAUUAAUUUAAUCCGUGAGACGACGGAUUAUUUUUUCAAUUAUUUUAACCCUUCAUUUGAUGAAUAUCCUGAGUGAGUUGGGUACAAUGCUUAUUUGGUAAUUGCUUGUUUUGGAAAACACUAAAAAAAAAAAAAAAAUCAAUCAAAUCUUGCAUCGGAAUGUGAUGGCUUCAUAAAUUAGGAUUGCAUUUUGCACGUCAUGAUAUAUUUAGGGCUUCAUGAUAGUAUUAUUUAGUUUGAAUAUGAUUGCAUGUUUAGAUAAUUUUGGAAUAGAUUAGGAGAGGAUCUAAAUAACAUUUUUGUAGAUAGGGUUUUGGAUAAUGUUUGCAUAUUUUAAUAAUCUCAUUUAAAUAUAUAUAUAUAUAUAUAAUUUUCUUAAAUAGGAUAGGGUCACAUGUUUAUAAUUUAUCUAGUUAGAUUUUUUAAUAUUAGAUUGCAUGUUAAGGCUACUUUUAAGAUGAGCUUCCGAAUUAAAAUGGGAUUUAUCUAAAUUAUUUCCUAGCUUGAGUAGGAUAACUUGUCAACUUUUGUAGUCAAUUUUCAGUAAUUAUUUCGAAUUUCAAUAAAAAAAUACAAAAAAAAUAUCAUGUACAUGUUAUCUAGGUAAGUUUUCAUUUUAAAACAAGAGAAAACCCAAAAAAAAUAGUUGCUUGCCUUAUUGUGUUUAAUUCCACAAUGUUUUUUUUUUCUUUGAAUGUUAUCUUUAAUGUGUGUGCACCCGUAUGAUCACUUUAGUGGUUUAGGCUAAAAUCAAUUCAACCUGCCUGCAAAACUUUUUUUUUUUUUUGAAAUAAAAGAGAAAAGGUACCGAAAGGGCGUUAGAGAAAUCUAGCGUAACCAAGUCCCCGAACUCAUUUAAUCUCUGGUUUGUAGGAGUGAUGGGAGAAUUACUUGGGUUUCUAAUCGACCCACCUAUAAUAGAUUAGUGGCGACUCCAUGAUAAAAAUCAUUUGCAUAUUAAGAACUUAAACCCUAAGUUGCGAAUUGGUAUGGGCUUGGGAGAGCUCGAGCUAAAUCUAGGCUUAGCAAUCCAUUAGUCGAACCCUUAGGUGGUCCAACCCGCUCCGGGGAGGUCACGACAAAAUAUUUUCUGGAAAUUAGACCGGGAUAGCUAGUAACCGGAAUUUUGUGCGGAUUGCAAUGGUGUAGUUAAUUUCUGCAAUUGAGUGUUAAAUUGCGAAAAUUAAGUGUUGAUUGGAAUCUUGAGUAUUUAAUUCCAAAAUUUGUGAAUUUUGAUAUUUAUUUAGAAAAUCCUUUGUCUCGGAUUUUAACAUCGAAAAUGGUUUCAUAUACUAUAUAAAUCAGUGGGAUUUUUAAAAAUAAGGUUAUGAAUUUUUCGGGUUCAAUUGAACCGUGUACCCACACACGACUAUUUUCACCGGGUAUUUUUAAUACGAAGAAAAUAGGUCAGGCUCAUCAUUUUGAUUGAGGUAUUUGAGUGCAAUGCACGGUGUCCUGGGCCGAGAUUGAAUUGUCGUGUGUUGGUUAAGAGAACCCGUCCCAAGCAUUUAUGCUGGACGUUACCCUAUAUGGGAUUUGGGUCGCAGUAGAGUCUGGACCUAUACUCCUUCGAGAAAGCCGUCUUUGAGAGACGUAACCAUGCUCAAUGGGGGUGAGACAAUGCCUGGCUACGCCAGUAGACCGCCGAACUUCAAGUAGGCCGUACCCUAGAGUGGGCGUAAUUAUCAAUUAGAACGCAUGUUGAGUGAAAUAGAUGCGCCGGAUUAUGAGACAAAACUGUGUGACAUGGUAUGUGACGUGUCAUAACAGUUUGGCCUUAUAAUCUGGACCCCUGUGAUUUGUAGAGUUGAGUAAGGCGUUUCAAUUGUUGCGUGCAUCGAUUUUAUACAUGAUGUAUAUGAACUGUGCUAACCUGCAGGGUAGAUCUGAGACGAGGUAAGUUUCCGUGAUUGUAUGAUUGUGUGGUUAUGAUGCCUCUAGGCGUAUUACCCUCCUAAUCUAGGUUUAGAGCGUGAAUUCGCUGAGAUUUAUAUCUCACCCCGUCGUGGGCUCAAUUUUCAAGACCAUAGAGCAGAGUAACCGGAGCCGAGCUGAAGGGAUCCGAGGAGUAAGUCAGUUAGGACAACUUCUUUUUGGAGAACCUUCUUUUGUAGACUUUUGGUUGCUGAGCUUUGUAUAUAACUCAGUUGGUUUAUAAAAGUAUGUUUGUUUAUGAAAUUGUUAUCCUACUUUUCUAUCCCGAGAUGGUUACUGUUAGGGGGUUUAUUAUUCGCUUCCGCAUAUGCAAUAAAAUGAAAGGAUUGGCGACUCGUCUUGGGAAGUUGCAAAAUUUUAUCAAUCACAAAGGGAUGGGCACGUGCUCGAGGGGCGUGACAUUAACUCUUUCAAAUGAGGCCCUUUCUCUUGUCCUACCACAAAUUUGGACAAGAUAAUAAGAUUCUUUAAAUUACCGAUACCCAACGGCAUCUCUUUUAGACUCUUUGUAUCUCUAAUAUCAAGAAAUUGUAAGCUGACUAACUUUGUGAUACCUCGAGGCAACUUUGAAAGCUUUCGACAACCUCUUAAAAUCAGAGCUUGUAAUUUGCACAAAGUGCCAAUUGACUCAGGUAGUGCUAUUCUGAGAUCUAAUUACUCUUGAGAUAAUUAGACUAUCCGGGGAGUCAUUAAGAGAUUUUAAGGCAAUAGACUUGAGGAUUCGACCAGGAAUCGGCUACUCGACCGUGUUUAUCUGCCGAGAUCAUUACAACACAGUAUGAUUGAUUAAAAAUCAGAGAUAGGUCGGUUCGACUGAGAUAUGUGGUUAAACGUGGGUGAUUCCAUUAAAUUGCAAAAUUCUCGUCGAUCGGCACUAGAUUGAUUUUUCUAUCAUUUUGGUACCCUGUGUCUCUAAUUGAAACCUCGAGAUUUUCACGACCACUGAGAGUCGCCAAUGUGUCGAAGAGGUUCAUUGUGGCUCGAAGAAAAUUGGCCACGAGUCAUUUGUACUAAAAAUUUCUGAAAGCUACCAUGUAGGUUAGGUCACAUUAAAAUCGUGCCUAAUUGAAAUUAACCGCGAAUUUGAACCCGAUUUCAGAAAUUGAAAGUUCUGUCAUGUCACAGGUCAUUUUAGGAACGUCGACUCAUCCUUCGAGGAAUUUUCGGUGAGUUCGAGAUUUUUACAAAAAAUCGUUUCGAACGAUUCGAAAAACAAACGGAAUUCAGAUUGGCCAAAUGGAAGAGAUUUUUGGCCUCCGGUGUGAGUUACUUGGUGAAUGGAAGUUGUGUGGGCUUUUUCUUCAUCAAAAUUGGACCUCAAUCGGAGAAGUUUGUUUAGAAAAUCGGAUUCCAAGAAAGAAUGAAUUAGAAGUCAGAAUUGAAGGAAAUUGCCAUUUUUGUUGCCCAAGACUUGUUGUUUGAGAGAAAUUUGGUGCAAGAAAGCAAGUGAGGAUCAAGUACUUUAGCAUAGGGAUUUUUGGGGACCAAAUUAGAUUAAACAAGAGCAAGUGAAACCAAGAUUUUUGAAUUAUAGGAUUUUCUCUUUAAUUUUUCUAUUUCCUUUCCCUUCGGCCGCCCACGUUCCCUCUUCUCUCUCUCUCUCUCUCUCUCUCUCUCUCUCUCUCUCUCGUGAAUCCCCCCCCCCCAAACCGAUGUCCCCUCUCUCUCUACCGUGGCUCACUUCUCUCCCAUUAUCUUUGACAUUUUAGUCAUCUUUAUCUUCUCCCCCACGUUGCCGACGCCACCCUCUCUCCUUUCCCUCUUUCUUUCUUUCUUUUAUCAUUUGCUACACAUUCAUCCCCUUUUAGCCGACACACAAGCCCUCCAUCUCUCUCUCUUUUGUUCAACCACCCCUCUCAACCAAUUCGGCAGCUUCCUGCUGUUGCUGCCUCACGUCUACGAAGGGACCUCCACCAGUCAACCCUCACAUUUCCAGCAAUUCAGUUCAGGCCCAACAGCCGUGGAAAUCCAGCAACACCAUGAGGCUUUGCGGGCCAAUUUUCGAGCUCAAUCUAUGCCCCGUUGGCGUCGCCGCUUUAGAGCUUUUCGUUCCUCGUAGCGUCCUCGUCGUUUUGAUUUGAGUUGAUCGUUAAUCAGGUGAGUUUAACUCACUAAUCCUCACUUAGUAAGUUAAUGACGUUUAAGGGUUGAUUAGUUUUGAAGAAGCUUGGUUUAGUGGAUAAUUAGAACGGUUUAGUAAAUUAGUUAAUUAUCGAUGCAUGUUAGGUGGUUAGAGUAGUAUAGUUAGAGCCUAGACAAGCUCUAGAAUUUAUCUUGAGUAGUUUGGAAAUUUUCCGGGCUCGUCUCGGCUUCCAAUUAGGCUUUUUCGGGCCUAAGUAACAUUUUUAGUAUUUACUAAUUAAUUAUUUAUUUAUUUUCCGGAAAUUAGACCGGGAUAGCGAGUGACCAGAAUUUUAUGCUGAUUGUAGUAGUGUGAUUUGUUUAUUUAAUUAAGUUAUAAUUUGUGCUGAUUGUGUAUGAUUUGUAUUUUAGGAAUUUAUUCCUAAAAUUAUUUAAUUUCAGUAAUUAAUUAGAAAAUCAUCGGGCGUCAGUUUACAGCGCCAAAAAUGAAUUUGUGGACUGUUGAAAUUAAUGAGAUUUUCAAAGGUGAAAAUAUUGUAUUUUUGGCUAAAAUCGAUCGUGUACCCACACACGAAUAUUUUUAUCGGGAAUGAUAAAAAUGGUGAUUUGAUUAAAUUACAAUCUUCAGCAUACUAUGGGAGUAUGGCUGGCAGCUUCUAGCGAGCAUAUACAAUUUCCAGCAUACUAUGAGAGUAUGGCUAGCAACUUCUUAUGAGCAUUAUUAUUAUCAGUAAACUACAACAGUAUAGCUGGCAGCUUCUAGUGAGCAUUGUUAUUUUCAGCAUACUAUGAGAGUAUGUCUAGCAGCUUCUAGCGAGCAUAUAUACUAUAUCAGUAUUUGAGGUAGCUUCUGGCGAGCAUAUGUAUAGUAUAUUAUCUUAGUAUUUGAGGUAGCUUCUAGCGAGCUAUACUGAUAACUCUAUAAAAAAUAGAGUUAUUUUACCUAUUUUAGGCAGUAAUUAAUGCAUUAUCUAUGAGAAAAUAUUUGGAUUUCCUUCUGAUUAUUUGAAUUUUCCUUAUUUAUGCAGAAUAAUGAGAUAUGGAGAGGAUAAUGAAAAGAAUGGCAACUAUCAGGAAUUCAAAUAAAAGCAGCAGUGGAAGAUGGAUAUCAAAUCAGGAAAUUUUUUAUUUGUUCCCUAAUGUUAUCUGCAAGCGUUGGGAGAUAGAUAUCUUGGAUAUAUCCUAUAAAUAGAGACAGAGAGAGCAACUAGGGUUUGGAGUUAGAUCGUUUUUUCAUUCUUCUGAGAGUUUUUUAAGUAUUUUGAAGAGAAGACAAAAGUUGUGACAGAAUUCUUGUCAUUUGAUUCAAGAUGCUGGGUUUGAUCUAUAUUUUUAUUUUUUCUUCUACUAUGUUCUAAUUUUCUUUUGCUAGGGCUACGAUGUAGCCUAACCAUGAUGAUGUGAAUUUCAUGAUUUUUAUGUUUUACAAUUGAUUUCAUUCAUGUGAGUUAUAUAUUAUUGUGUUUAAUGCUUUUGAGUGACUGGCCACCACUUGAAUGAUUUGAUGUGCAUGUUGGAGACUGAGAAGUGAUAAUAUGCAAUUGCUCAUUAUAAUGUAUAACCAUGAAUUAAACGUUGAGGCGUUAUUUGUGUAGCUUUCAGUGAUAAAGUGAUCCAAAAGACUCAUUGUAAGCCAGGAAUAUUCAUAGUUUUUAAUGCACUUAUGCUUAUUUUAAUUCACAUAGAGAUAUAGUGGAUUAAUAAGCUGAGUAGGUUUGCUAUACCUAGAGAUAGGAUAGUAAAUAAAUUAGGAAAUUCCGCUAUCACAUGUUUGAUAUCGUUCUUGUAUUCAUAAUAAUUUGAAAUUCAUAUCUAGUGGUUAUGGUGAAAUCGGAUGCUGUAACGUAUUUAUCUUAUCGAUUUAUUGCAUUUAGUCUACAAAUUUCGUUUUUUAAUUUAUUCUUAAUUAUAUUUUGAUCUGUUAGAUAAAUUUUAGAAUUAGUCUAUUUUAGUAUUUAAUUAGUUUAUUAAUCAUUGAUCUCCGUGGGACGAUACUUUUUCUCAUCAUUACAUUAUUUGUUCGACACGUACACUUGCGUUUAGAAUUUUACGAACAUAUACUAUCUAUUAUCGACUUAGAGUAAGCUGUCCGCAAGGUGGUCGAACUUUAUAGAUAGUAUUGAUUGAGAUGACCGGGGUAUGGUCUUGCUGACAUGUAAUCGACUGAUUCAAUUGAUCGAUGAAUCGAUCUGUCUUGAUGUGUUGAAAUGAUUGGUUGAAAAUGUCAAUUAUACUGACUUGUAGGAAGGAACAAAGGCAAAGGUAAGACCUUCGACUUGUGAUUGUGUUUAGGCAGCCCUUUAGGCGUAUUUUCUUCCUAGUCAGGUCUUAGGGGGUUGAACUUGCUGAGACGUCGUCUCACCCCAUUGCGAGAUAACAUUUUCAAGUCCCUAGUUGACAGCAGUGGAGGACUCAAGGCCUGAAGUUUAGAAGUUCUUCUCGAUCUUGUCUGACUAGUUAGUUAUAGGACAAUUCUCUUUUGGUUGAUAGUCGAUUCCUUUUUGUAGGCUUCUGUGUAUAAACCUGUGUGUUUAUAAAAAGUUAUUUUGAGAAAAACGGGCCUUACUUUUCUAUCUCAUCUUAUUGUUGUAUGGAGAUUUAUUAAUCGCUUCCGCAUGCGCAUUAAAAUGAAUAAGUCGGCGAUGCAUCCUAGGACAUUGCUAUUUUAUCGACCAAGCAGAGAUGGGCACAUGCUCGGAGGAUCGGGAUGUGACAAUUUUUUUUCCUUUUCAUUUCUUUUUUUCUUUGCUUUUUAAAAAAAAAAAAUUAUUCUUCCUUCUUCCAUUUCCUUCGCCAAUGGCUAGCCAAACGAGCUCGAGCUUGUUGAUCAGGUGAGGCCAAGACCUCCUUGAUGAUUGGCAAGGCUCAACCCUCAUUGAUUCUACGAGAAUCGAGCUUGUUGGGCUUUGGCGAGCUCUGGCAAGCUCAAGCUCGCUGAGGAUUGGCGAGGCUCGAGCCUCAUCGAUUCGACAAGACUCGAGCUUAUUGUGCUCAGGCAAGCUCUAGUGAGCUUGAACUCGCCGAUCUAGCGAGGCCGAGACCUCACUGAGGAUUGGUGAGGCUCAAGCCUCUUUGAUCUAGUGAGACUUGAGCUCAUCGGCCUCUGGCUAGCUCAACCUCGCCGGACUAGCGAGAUGGAGCCUCGCUUAAGGCUAGUGAGGUUUGGCUCAUCCACCAUCAUUGUGGCCGACGACUGGCGAACGAAAAGGAAAAAUAAAAAAAUAAAAAAUAAUAAUUGAAAAUUCUAUUUUUAAAAAAUAAAAAUUCGAUUUAAAAAAAAUUAAUUAGAAAUUAUAUUUUAAAAAAUAAAUAAUAUUAGAAGGAAUGCAAUCAAAUUUUUCAAUUUUUUAAUUUAUUUUCAAAUUUCAAGUAAAUAUAAAAAAAUAUUUUUAUUUUUCAAUAAAAUGACUUUAUAAAAAUAUUUUUCAAGAUAAAAAGAGAGCCUCAAUUUAAAUAUAUAUAUAUAUAUAAAUUUCCCAUUAAAUUUGUAUUUAAUAAAAGAGUUUUAACAAUAUCAUUUAAAAAAAAUCAUAAGAAAUAAGCUUUCAUAUAUUUGGAAGUAUUUAUCAAUAUAAUCUUUAAAAGAAGUCACAAGAAUUAUUUUUCCUAAAUUUGGUUAAAUAUGGAAGUGUUUUACUAACAUGGUUUAGGUCGGGUAUGGAUCGGGUAUGAGUUGGGUUAGGUAUGGGUCAAAAAAUUUAUAUUGCAUGAAAAUGGAUUAAAACAGGUUAAAUAGGUCAAUAUGGGUUGGACUAUUUUCGACUUGACCUAAACCCGACCUCACCCACCCAUUUAAUGGCUCUAGUCAAUAGUAUUGAAGUACAUUAUGCCUUCUUGGGACAAGGCUAUAACACUCCGGUGUCCAUUUAAUUUUGGUGCUUUUCACUGGCUUUAUGGUAAGUCUUAAAUUUAAAAAAAAAAAAAACUUUCGAUAGUCAAUUAAAAUCGGCAUUGCUUGCAGUUGAGGCCUCUCCAGACCAAAUUAGAUUAGUGCAUUUGACGAUUUUCAUUUUGUUGUAGGUAAUUAUACUUGGUUCAAGUAUGCCGAGUUCUAAAGUUUGAGUAAUAUUUGGAAACAAUCAACCACAUGAACAGUUCAUUUUGUUAUAAUUCCUAUUUUUUAAUUACAUGUAAUAUGAAAAUAUGUGCGCAAUAAUUAGGGGUGUCAACGGUUCGGUCUGCUCUAACUCGAUUAGAUCCUAAUAAUUGCUGCACCUCACAAGUCACAUUAAUUUCUUGACCGACAGUAUCUCCAUCUUUAACUACCACAGCGUUAUACAUUUUAGGCUUCCUGCCCGGGGGACAGGCUACGUCGAGUACCGGACCNNNNNNNNNNNNNNNNNNNNNNNNNNNNNNNNNNNNNNNNNNNNNNNNNNNNNNNNNNNNNNNNNNNNNNNNNNNNNNNNNNNNNNNNNNNNNNNNNNNNCGGGUGUCAACGGUUCGGUUCGGUUCGGUUUUUUUGAAAAACCGAACCGAACCGAACCGAACCGUUAGAAAAAUCUUCCGAACCGAACCGAACCGAAUACGAACCGAACCGAAACUUCGGUUCGGUUCGGUUCGGUUUGGUUUGGUUUUUUGGUUUUUCGGUUUUUAGCUUUUGGUUUUCGGUUUUCGGUUUUUUUUUUUUUUUUUUGGGGUGGGGACGGCUUACCUUCUGUAUAUGCUCCUUAAAAAAAUAUUAGAUUAAACAAGAGCUUUGUCUUCUCUCAAAGUCUGCGUACAAUCACCAAGGAAAUAGUUAGCUGUAGCUGAGCAAAUGUUGCUGAAGCUCAUCACUGCUACAAUGUUAAACGAGGAUGAACUACACUGAACAUGAAAGAGGACCUAAAAAUUCCCACCAAGAAAACCAGAAAACAACCCUUCUGCAUCGGCCCAGAAUUUCCAUCAGAAAUCCCACAUACAACAACUGAAUCGGCAAGUACCGACCUUUUCAGUUUCUAUCAUCUCAGAAGGUGAUUAAAACCAGAAACUCCACGUAGAUUCAUCACAUUCCAAUACAGAAAUUAGGGGGGAAACAAUCAAUAGCUGUAAACAGAGAUACAGUCAAUGAUAACCCUUUGACAUCAGCACCCAUGUAUGAGAAGCAAACACAAAAAGUAAAACCUCCUAAUAAGAAUGUUCAGCAGGCGUUUUAAUCAACCAUGGCCAUCUAAAGGAGCCAAGAAAGUCAACAAUGGAGCCGAGCAUUUAACGAAAUAUUUCUUCAUUUUCUCAUCAAUUUUGCAUAUCAGCCAAACAACAUAGGACAGAAGUAGAAGCUUAAAUCGACAUUCCAGCUGCAACAACAUCCCCCUCCUCCAAUGUUCCAGCUUAAGCAACACGUAAAUCACUUCACUUCCACAGAUUGGCAAACUAAACAGAUAAUCAUGCCUAAAUAAAAACCUGAACUUUGUUGGAAACAAGAACUCAACCUGAAGAUUGAACAUCUGGCUAAAUCUAUUUUCAAUAUUUCCCCCAAAAAACAGAUAAAGCAUCCAUCUUCAUUGUGUACCACUCAGCACAACAACAAAAUUAACACUCGUCACACCAAUGGAAGCGAAACAACAAUGAGGAUCUCACCUAAAUCCACAGAAAAUCCUUCUGUACAGGAAAAAAGAAGAGCCGAAGCAGAAAAACAAAAACCCGCAAAAAAGAAAAUAGCAAAAAUGGUAGACGGACAGAGUGUUCCUCGGAACCAACGCAGCAGCACAAAUCAGAGUUCGCGUCGCAACAGAAAAACAAAACCUUCGCCUCAACACCCACCAAGAAAAAGUCUCAAAGAACAGAACAAAUGGAGCAAAGCAAGAAAAAAGGAAAAAAACCCAGAUACCCUCUGCAUGCGACCCAGCGACAGCACUGAGAAAAAGAGCAAAAGAGAUCUUUGUAGAAGAAGAUGUAGACAGAGCGAUCAAAGGAGAAUCUUACCGAUUUGAACUAGCCCAGUUCACUGAGCAAGCAAGAGGCGUCGCAGAUCUAAAGCCACUGGCAGCCCCUCAGUCCAGAGCAGAGUGCGCGCAAGACAUGCUCGGCCCCUCAGUCGCCGUCGCCGUCACAGAAGGAAGAGGGACGAAGGAGAGAUUUGCAGAAGAAAGGGACCCUGUCCCUCAAUCGGUGGCUGUCGCCGUCGUAGUCGCCAUCGCCGUCGCCGUUGGGAGAACUCAGACGGGAACCGAUAAAAACCAAGACGAGACACGACGAGAGGACUCAGAGACGGGAGUCGGGAGAGAACCGAUAAAAAAAAUUUCGGUUUUCGGUUCGUGCCUUUGUGGUUUGGUUUUCUGUUCGGUUAACCGAUAAAAACCAAACCGAUAAAUUUUUUUUCGGUUUUUGAUGAAAACCGAACCGAAAAUCGAACCGAACCGAAAAAACCGAUUUUUUCGGUUCGGUUCGGUUCGGUUUUCGGUUCGGGUCUUGACACCCCUAGCAAUAAUCACAUGUCUACGUCUGCGCGUUGCCCGUGCAUGAACAUUGGUAAUCUAAUAUAAUUUCAUAUUUCAUAAUUGAUUGACCUCAUUAAUUGGGUUCAAAUCUAAACAAAUUUUAAAUUUAACCAUCUAUUUUUUAUAUAUUAUUUUAACUAAUAACUAUUAGGAAAAGGACACACACUAGUAGAGUAUCCAUGCCGCGCUUCGGCUCAUAAUUAAGGUGUAUGUAUUCCUUUAAUUGAAUCUUAAUUUAGGAUCUCAUGAGCAAAAGUUGAAAUUGUCCAAAAGUUAUUUAAUUUUUCCUAUCCUUUUGCUUAGUUCUAUCUUAUUUAAAGCAGAAGUGAGCUAAUGGAGAGAGAAAACUAUUUAGUCCAAGAAGACCAAGACAUUCACCUAUCUAAAACAUUAAACAAAGAAAAAAAAAACAUUAAACAAAGACCAACACCAAGGCUUUUUUUAAAAUAAAAAAAAUUGCAGCCAUACAUUCUCAGUAACCUUAUGAUCGAGAACCACUUGAUAGGAGAAUUGUGGUCCUUUGCACGAUUUUCCUAUUCAUAGGUGUUAUGCCUAGAGUAUAAUUUCUAGUAGAUUGUACAUUGUUAGUUGGCGAUGCCUGACCUUCUUUCUUGUCUAGCGAUGAAUGAAAUUGACCAUAAUUAAUAGGACUAACAAACGAGCAUCUUUGUACAACCUGCACCAACUGAAAUAAAUGUUGAUGAUCCACCUAGCAAUGGCAUCUUACUUUCUAUCGCACAUCUACAAGUCAUCAAAGACAACUAACUUAGACUGUUUGAGAAGGAGAAUGGAAACACGUGCUUUACACUAACAAGAAAAAGAAUUAGGUACACCAUGAAUCCAUGAAGCAAGUUGCCUAAUUUUACUUUGGAAAAAGUAAACGAUUCAAAAAUCAGCAACUAAUUCAUUAAGCAAGUUGCUUUGGGCUAACUUUUUCUGUUCAAAUGACCACGAUUCUCCUAUCAAACGAUUCACAAUCAUGAACAACUAUUUCAACACCCUUCAGCAGAUCAUUGCCGUCCAUCUUGCUGCAAAUUUUUAGCACUACAGUUGCCAUGUAAAAGCCUAUACUUAAAAAAGAAAAAAACCAACAAAACAUUUGUUACUUAUAAAUUUUUUAUGAAGAUAUGUAUACCUUCUAAGUUGGUCAUGUGAAGAAAUAUCACCUCUUAUCCUCUGCUUUGGAUGGCCACAAGAAAAGGUCCUUUCUUUCAAACGACAGCCAAAAAGUCUUGAUCUGGAGAAAAAAGGAGAACAAUUUAUUUAUAUAACUCAAGGAUACAAUGUGCAUCAAAACAUAAGCUCUUUGGUCUAACUCAAAUUGCUUGUCAUGAUAGAAUACUCAUAAAAUACUUUUCACUGUUCACAAAAAAAAUUUAAACAUAAAUUGUCAUCAACAGUAAAAACAUUUUUUUAUCAACUAAUUAUUUUAAUUAAAAAAACAAUCAUCUAUAAAAAAAUAUUUUCUAAAUCAUUUAUUUUUUGCGGAACAAAUGGAACCUUAACGUAUAUAUAAGCCUAAGAAUCUUCUUUUCCCCUCGGUUGAAAUAUUUUAGUGGAUUAUCAAACAUUUGAUCUAAUAUAAAAUCUUUCUAUGUACUUGAUUUUCUGUCAGUUGGACAUUCUGUUAAUAAAUAAUAUUAUUAUCACAUGUAACCGUUCAGGCACACAUAAUUUAAAACUUUACCAUGAUUUCUUUUAUUCAAUUGAAGACACUAGCACAUUUAUAUGUCCUUUAUUUAUCUGUCUGGUCUACCAAUUACAACUAACUUGCCUAAAUAGUUUUUUUUUUUUUUUGUAGACAAUAGUUUGUAUAUUUUUUGAGCCAAAAAAUAUUACCUGAUUUUCUUCAUCAUGGAUUGCUACAAGUUGAUCAUUAAUAACAGUUGUAACGUUAAGGUAUAAUUGUCCAAAAUUUCUAAACCUAUUGCAUGGCGAUCAAUUCAAUCUUAAAUUUUCAAUUUGGCCAAUUUAGUUUUAAAGUUUUUUAACAAUUUGUCAAUGUAGUCAUUCUGGCUAAUUUGCUGGAAAUCACUAAUGUGGAUGCCAGCCAUCUAACAUGACAUAACUAUCAAUUUAGCAAUUUCCAAUUAAAUUGUUUAAAGGUUUAUAACUAAGUUAGUCAAAUUGAAAAGAAAAAUACUAUUAAAUUAGCCACCGUAUAAUAGAUUUAUAGACUUUUUGGGUUUUUGGGUAAUGAUUCGUAAAGUCAUAUACAUAUAUCAAAAGUAUUGAAGUAGUAAUGAUGCUUUCUUGGGACAAGGCUAUAGCACUUUGUAAUCCAUUUAAAUUUGGGUGCUCUCUACAUACACCUCAGUGGUUAGAGGAAUCAAAAUAAGAUACUAUUUGUACACAAGUGCUUGUUUGGUAAUAUUCAGAGAAUUUCCCCAAUUUUUUUGUCUGGAAAGUGAAGCAAAAGAGAAAAAGAGGUAAUGGGAAAGAAACUUCAAUAAAUUCCAGGAAGACCAAAACUUUGCGGGACGCAAAUUAAAUUUUGUUGAUUCACUUUUCACAUCCUGCCCCUUCCAUCCGCAGGUGAACUUCUUUUUUUCCGUUAAUCGUAAAACCUUUACACGUUAGGUCUGGAUUAAUCUCAAUUGUUUUUUCUUUCUUCGAAUUUUGCUCAAUUUUAGGCAUCUGUAACUUAAAUGGCCAUGUCGUAGUGAUUUUAUUGAUAUGAAUCGCUUACUUAUGCAGAUUGGUGAUGAGGAGAGAAAUGCGUGUGUCAGCUUAGACAAUCUUAGCAUCCAAUGUCUCUAUUGAUGUGGCCACAUCUCAAGAUAUCGCAUUAGACUCCAAUAUGGAAAUCUAAUAGCAUUAGUGUCCUGCCAACAUUUUUUUCCGCAAUUCUAAUGAAGGUCUCAUGUUGGCCCACAUUUGAAAAAUUGAGGUAGUUGAUUGAACGAUAAAAAGUUCAGGUACUUUAUUAUGAAAGGGAUAAUAGUUCAAAUAAUCACGAUGUCAUUGCCCCCAAAGAGUUUAUCAUACAAUCAUUGGUCUAGGUUCAAAUCUCGCUCAUACUUUUGUUUAUGCUAUAUUUGUUCCACAAACUUAUCCUCUCAAUUCUUUGCUUGGUCUCCCUUUAAUAAUUUUCUUUUGUAAGAUUAUUCAUUCUCUCCUGUGAAAGAUAAUAGUAGAUAUUUUCGUUAAUUUCACAUGCCAAAAUAUUUUAGGGACUCAAGAGGUUAGAAAGUUUCUCAAUGUCAAUUUUGUUUAGAGUUUCUUUCUUGGAAUCAUUCGAUCAUAAAAAUUCAAACCUUACCCUCGAAAUAUUUUAGUGGGUUAUCAAACAUUUUAUUGAAGAUAGACUUUUUAUUUGUCCUUGCUUUUAUUUAUGUUGGAAAUUAUAUUCAUAAUAUGUUCAUCAGAUUUAACCAUAUGGGCACACGUAAUAUAAAACUUUACUAGGAUUUCUUAACCAAUUACCACGAAAUUGCCUAAAUAACAUUUUUUGUGGAUAAUUUGUUCCAACUCUUUGAAGAUGGAUCAAUAUCGUCUUGAAGGUCAUUUCUGACCCGCAAGAGACAAAAUUAAUACUGCAAGAAACAUAUUGGAUAUCAAUACAGAUAAUUAACGACUAAUUAAUACGUUGGUGUCAAUAUUGAUAUUUUUCGUUUGCGAUUUCAACGGAGGUCUCAUGUUGACCCCCAUUAAUAAAUGAGAGUUAAUUGGUUGAAUUGAAAAAAAAACUUUAGAUACUUGAUUGCCAGCAGAAAGGUAAGAAAUUUCAUCGACCUCAUUAUCUGGUUUUGUUUUUAGUCAAUUUGAAUAUUUUUGGAAGCCAUGGAUAUAGAAUGAAAUCGAUGGGGUUCCUAUUAUGGAGUUUUUGCUCCAACCCCUCGCAUGUAAAAUCGAAUAAUUGCCUCCUCUUGAAUGUCUUUUUAUUUUCCUUAUUCAGCCAGAUCCCAAAUUCUUGAGAUAAGACACAAUCAAAUUGUAUGUUUUUUAUAAGCCAAAAAAUAUUCUCUGAUUUUCCUUGUCAUGUAUUACUACUACUAGGUGAUUAUAAAUGUUAGUUGUAAAGUUAUAUACACAUGUCAAAAGUAUUGAAGUGAUGACGCGUUCUUGGGACCAAAUUAGAUUAGCGCAUUUGAUGAUUUUCUUUUUGUUGUGGGGAAAUAUAUUUGGUUCAAGUAUGACAAGUUGAGUUCUAAGGUUUAAGUAGUAUCUGGAAACAAUCAACCACAGAAAUAGUUCAUUUUAUUCCAAUUCCUAAUUUUUAAUUACAUGUAAUCUGAAAAUAUGUGCGCAGUGUCUUCGUCCGUGCGUAGCACGUUUUUGAAUAUUAGUAAUCUAAUAUAAUUUCAUAUCUCAUAAUUAAUUGACCUCAUUAAUUGGGUUCAUAUCUAAAUAGAUUUUAGAUUAAAUCUUCUGUUUUUUUUUUAAUUAAUAACUUUUAGGAAAGGGAAAGUAAUAAUUGAUAGGGCUCAUUAAGUUGUGGACGAUUUCAACUAUUGCUCAUGAGUUCCUAAAUUAAAAGAUUCAAUUUAAGAAGUACGUACACAUUGAUUAUAUGUUGUUUAUGUACUUGUUAAAUUGAAUCUUUUUAUUUAGGAACUCAUGAGCAACAGUUGAAAUUAUCGACAACUUAUUGAACUUUUUCUAUCAUUUUGCUUAGUUCUGUCUUAUUUAAAGCAGGAAGAGAGAAAAUUAUUUAGCUCAGGAAGACCAAGACAUCCACCUACCAAAAACAUCAAAAAAAGACCAAGACCAAGAUUUUUUUUUUUUUUUUGGCAUCUCUACAUUCUUAAUAAUCUUAUAAUUCAAUGUCUUCAUUUGAUGCAUUAUUGGUGAACAUGCUAUCAAUGUAGGCUUUUACAUGGCAAUUACCAUGCUAAAGAUUCGUAGCAAGAUGAGUAGCAAUGAUCUACUGAAGGGUGCUGAAGUGGUAGUUGAUGAUCGAAAACCGCAUGAUAGUAGAAUCAUGGUCCUUUCAUGAUUUUACCAUUCACAAGUGUGAUGCCUAGAGUAUAUCUAGUAGAUUGUACACUGUUAGUUGUCGAUGCCAGACCCUUUUUCUUGUCUAGUGAUGAAUGAAGUUGACCACAAUUAAUAGGACUGACAAAUAAGCAUCUUUCUGCAACUUGCACCGAUUGAAAUAAAUGUAGAUGAUCCACCUAACAAUGGCAUCUUACUUUCUAUUAUAUAUCUAUAACUCAUACCACAAUUAAUAGGACUGACAUAUAAGCAUCUUUGUGCAACUUGCACCAAUUGAAAUAAAUGUAGACGAUCCACCUAACAACGGCAUCUUACUAUCUAUUAUAUAUCUGUAAGUCAUCAAAGACAACUGACUUUGAUUGUUCGAUAAUGAGAAUAGAAACACAUGAUUUGGGUUAAACAAGGAAAAUAGUCGGGUACACCAAUGAAUCCAUGAAGCAAUUUGCUUAAUUUUACUCUAGAAAUAGUAAACAAUUCAUACAUCACCAACUAAUCAUCAAGCAAAUGCUUUGGUUAACUUUUUCUUUUCAAAGGACCACAAUUCUCCUAUCAAGUGCUUCACGAUCAUCAACAAUUGCUUCAGCACCCUUCAAGAGAUCAUUGCCGCCCAUUUUGUUGCAAAUUUUUAGCGCUAUGGAUACCACAUGAAAGACUAUACUAAAAAAAAAAAACAAAAAAGAAAAAACCAACAAAACAUUCGUAAAAUAAAUUUUUUAUGAAGAUAUGCCUGCCCUCUAAGGGUGAAUCAAUAACCGUAGAGUCAAUCAAGGGUUAUGUUGAAGCAAAGUGAUAAUAAGUUCAUGGAGAUAGACAACUUUAAAGUCCCGGAAGACCAAGACUUUCACCUACCAAAGAGUUUAAACAGAGACCAAGACUUUCAAGGAUGCUUUCUGUCCACAAGUACUUUGUUCAUGCAGAUAAACCAUAAACUCAAGAAGGCCAAGACUUUAUUGGACAUCAUGUAUUUGUUUGUCUAUAAAGUGAAGCAGAAGCGAAAGAGAGCAAAUGAAAAAGAUAGAGUUUGCAGGAUGCAAAUCGGCAUUGUUACAUCACUUCUUACAUCCCUCCUCUUUCAUCCCUAUGUGAAUGCCUUUUUUUUUUUCCAUUACUAGUAGAAUUUCCCCAUGCAUUACAUGCCACACUUAAAAAUUUACUGUUACUAUAAUUUUUGUCCUACUCUUUUCUUGCUUAAUCGUACCGUGAUUUUUCAUUCAAUAAUCUCUAUUGUACUUGUCUAAUGAAUAAUGUCUAGAUUUCAUGUAUCUUUCCAAAUUUAAGUUCAAUAAAAGAAAAAAACAAGCAAAGAGAAAAAUAAAAAGAAAAAACAGCAAGAACUUGAAAAAGGAAAAAAAGAAGAAGAAGCAAGAAUGGGGCGGGAGAGCGCACCACCGUCCCACGGCCACUGCCCAGUCGUUGCCAUCAGCACCGCUCUUUAUAGUCACCUUCAUAGGCACAUUUCCUUCAGAUGUUUGUCUUAGAGCGGUUUAUUGGUAAGAGGCAGUUAGGUAUUCUCGAAACAUGCAUGUUCAAGUCAAUUAUUGCAUGUGAAAAUGAAACUGUUUUGAUGAUUUUGCUAAUCCUAAAUAGACUUCAUGAUUUUGUUAACGCAGAACUAUAGGGGACCACUGAACACCAGCGACGGUGGCCUGACGGUACGAACUGAUAUUCCACAAACGCGAGGUCACGAUGAUAAUCCAUUAGUCAUGGUAGUGCCUAUAUCUUGCCUUGCCCGUGAUGGGAGCUCUGGCAGCUUGGUAUUGGAUGAAGAGACUUGGCUACCCGAGAUAACUAGGUUGCGAGUGGUAUUGGACGAUGACCUUCUCACGAUCUGAAAUAUUUCAAGGCAGACGUGAAACUUUUACAAUUACUCAAAAUGGUAACAGAGCAUAGUCUCCUUGAUUGCUCCUCUCGGUCUUUCCUUUGCGACAAAGAAAAAGAAAAUGUUCCCUGAGAUGGCGUGGGAAGUUAAAUAGAAUAAAGAUGAACUGUUAACUUCGACAAGGAAGUCAGAUUGAAAUGGAUUGUAAUCUGCCACUCGAAAACCCCAAUUUUUGCAUCUCUUCAGUCGCUGCUGUUGUUGGAGGUACGAAAGCUGCUUCGUUUGACUUUGAGUGUAGACCUCGAUAAUUGACAUCGUGAUACAGAUAAAUCUUUUAGAGCAUGUCACCAAAAAAAAAAAAAGUAUAGAGCAUAUUAGUACAACUACCAAAAUUAGUAGCUUUUUGUUUUUCUUUUGUCAAGUUGCAAAAGAUGAACGUAAGCACAUCAAUUGCCUACCUCAACAAUGUUUGCAUUUGAUCACCGGGAGAGAUUUUGCCAAAUGCAGAAGACAGUGGGAUAUUCUGCAAAGCAAGCACAGUUGAGAGACAUCAGGUCAAUGAGCUAGGGCCUAAGAAAAAGAUAUUUGGAAGAGAAAAUACAACAAACGCUGAUAUUGCAGAAAAAUAUCAAUACAAGAGCAACAAUUCUUCAUGAUUCUCACACAAAGCAUAGUGCAUUUCCAUAAGUGGAAAGAUAAGCAAUUUUUGGGCAUGAAACAAAGUUUAAGAUAUAUCAUCAAUAAAGACAGGCACAUCCAUGCAUCAUAAUUCCUACACUGAGAGCAAGUCCAUGUACGUAUUAUUUGUUUUGAGAACAAAGAUUAGACAUUGGAGAGAUAUCUUCUUAUUGAAUCUGAACUCGAUCAAUUACGAUGAGUGGGAUUUCUUGGAUGAGGUGCCAGCAGUUGCCACAGAGUUUUGAGCACCGAUCUUUCAGAAUCUCUCAUUGAAUUAUGCGAAAUACAUGGAGGGAGGGAUGGAAGCUGUCCUCUGUCAAGUACCUCAACACCCGGCAACUGUAAAAUAUAUGACUAUUUGAGAGAGGAGAGAUGCCUGCGAAGCCCACUUGAUAGUCUUUUCACGUUCCUCAUAUUUUUCAUCCAUGGAGAGGUUAGAGAGGAAGGAAAUAGGAGGCCCACGCAUCUUAUGUCCUCUGCUAUUGAUGGUUCUUCCACAUUUUUCAUAUUUCUUAUCCAAAAUCCUGGAAGAGGACGAUUAAUUAGUCCUGAAUAAAAAUACUUCCAUGCAUAAUGAACAACUAUGAGAGUAAUCAGACAAAAAAGAAUUAUAUGCAUACCCACCCGACAGCAACAAAAAAAUGAACAGAUAAGACAAGAACCAGGAUCCUUUGCUUUCCUUUUCUCAGCAAUUAGUGACCCUUUGGAUGAUUUUGUUUUCGCUAAAUAAUUCUUAUGAUUAUGUUAGCACUCACGUAUGGGAGACCACGAAUCACCAGUGAUGGUGACUUAUCGGUUCAAGCUUGAUAUUCUACGAAUAUGAGGUCAUGAGAUCAAAUGAUUAGUGCAGGCUGAUAACUCUUAAGAAUGAUUGCUGUCACCUGGUGUAACUGGAAAGCUCCGAAUGCAGCAACUUUUAACCAUAAAUCACCAGAUCCUGAGACCAUCAGUAAUACAGAUAAGAAAAACUCUUUUGCAGUGUGUUGCCUGCAAGAAUAUAAGAGAGCUAUGUCAUCAUUGGGUGGCUAAAAGGCAGGGCGUGUAGUAAAACCUAAGCUAGGCUCUGUGAAUAUCAACUGCGAUGGGUCUGACAUUAAAGAAACAAAACAUGCUAUUGUUGGGAUUGUUGGGAAGAUGGAAUUGGACUUUAAGGCAUGAAUACACUGUCUUUAAGAAACAAACUAUUUACUAAAGCACUUUUCCUAUGUUUCACGAACAAACUAACAACAGGCAUUGUGGCCACAAAUUAGGCAGGGGACAUGGUUACUCGCAGGGGUGUGGUGGUGCAAGUUCAAUUUGCAGAGGAGGCUGAAUUACUUUUUGUUGGAAAGAGCAUUGCAGUGGCAAAAGAGAAGCUGGCCCAAGGUUGUAGUGGAGAUAGAUGCUGCUGUGGUAUCCAAGGAUAUUAUCAACUUUCGCAAGCAAUACAACUAAAGACUAAAGGAAGCUCCUGCUGGGAUUCAAGCAGCUAAAGAUCAAUUUUCAGCUCUGAAUUUUAGUUGUAUUUUGUGAAAAGCAAAUGUUUAUGCCCAUUGGGUAGCUUUGCAUACUAGGAAGAGGACAUGUAGUCAAAAUUGGAAGUAAUGGAUGAGUACUGAGUUUGUUUGCUGGACAAAAAGAACCCCAAUGAAUUGUCAUUCGUUGACCUUAGUGGGUUGUUUUUGGAAAUUCAUGGGAAAUAUCUCCAUGACAAAUAUCAAUUUGUAUUACGCAUCGAAUAGAGGAGGCAGAAUCAAAAUUGAUGCCUUCAAAACCAAAAACUUACCCUUAAUCCGAGAAAACUGGCGGUGCAUGAAAGAAUCAAUUCAUUGGAUCCGCACCCAAUCUAUCUCAAUGAGAGGGAUUUCUUGGAUUAGGGGCCAAUAGUCACCAGUGAGUUUUGAGCAUCUAUCUUUCAGAAUCUCACAUUUCUCUAUGUACAAUUCUUGGAGGGAGGGAGGGAAGCCAUCCUCUGGCAAGUACCUCAGCUUCGGGCAAGAGUCGAUCCAUAAAUGUUUGAGAGAGGAGAGAUGGUUGAGAAGACCGCUUGAUAGUCUUUCAACAUUCCACAUAUUGCAAAUGCGAAGAUACAUUAGAGAGGAAGGAAAGAUAAGACUCCACGCAUUCCUGUCCUCUGAAGGAAACCAUACCUUCUCUCCCUCCCCUCCCAUGCAAAAGUCAAUUAACAUACAUCGGAGGGAUGUGAGUAGGUGUAAGCCCCAUUCUCUCACUGGCUGCUUCAGAUUCUCGCACCCUCUUAUUAAAAGGUGAUGCAAAUUGGGAGGCAAACCUCCUUUGGGGAAGCAUUUGAUAUUUUGGCAAUCCUCGAUGAAUAGCAUCUCGAGGGAUGUAAGAUGAUGCCACUGAUUUGGUAGAGACUUUAUCUUCGGACAAUUACUAAUUAUAAGACAUGACAGGGUGAUGGGAAGGGAAGGGAAUUCAUCUAUCUCCAAUGCUGGACAAUUACUUAUAUCCAAAUGAGCAAGAUGGGAGAGUGUGUGAAGGCACUGUGGUAGGCUUCCUAGAUUUGGACAGCCAUCAAUUGUCAUUUCUUUGAGUGAUUCUAUGGUGAUCCUUUCCACCGACUCCACUCCCUUGCACUCACAAAUACAAAGUUUCUUCAAAGCGGUAAGUCUAUCGUUGGCAAACAAAGACGAUAUUAGAGAAUCACAAUUUACAAUCCGUAGAUACUCAAGUUGAGAUAUCGGGUUAUUAUUGUUAGGGUCAUCUAGAGGAAUGGUUGGUCCCAAGAUUUUUGGACACCUCCUAAUGAUCAACUGUUUGAAUGUGUGCAUCUUGCUUGGAAGCUUUUCUAAACUUAUGCAAUUACUCAAUUCCAUCCUUUCAAAGUUGCAUGGCAACUCUAUUUCUCCUUCUCCUGCCACAAAAGAUGUGAAUCGAGGGCAACUUUCAAUGGCUAAUUCUUGAAGGCAAGUAAGAUUUAGCAUUAUAUUUUCAUCUUGCCACAAGUAUAUAAGCUUGUCACACCGUCCUAUAUGAAGAUCCUUUAGCUUGACCAAGCACCUCAUAAACACAUGAUCAAAGCAAACAAGCUCGGCAAGAUUUUCAAUUUUGAGAAUGGUCAAAGAAGUUAGGUUGACCAAGCUCUUUAAGAUUUCCUUGUUACAAUCCUCAAGGUAUAACUCACGGAGAGAUGGAAAACAAACCUCAUUCGUUGAAUUAUUCAAAAGCGGACAUGAAUGGAUUUCAAGUUUUAUGAGACAAUCAAGUUGACGAGGUAAUGUCCUAAUCAAUGAAGGACAGCUCCGGACAACAAGAUGUUGAAGACAAGAGAAUGCGACUUCUUCUUUUGGGCCCCCAACAUAAGGAGACCAAUUCUUCCAUGACAACAUCUCUUUCAACUUCAAAGUUGUUAAGGAUGAGAAAGGCCUUUUAUCUCCAUAAAAUUCAGAGCCUAUCAUUCUUACUGUGUGUAGACCUUCAAGAGAUAAUUCUUUCAAUGAAGGUAGUUGUCCAAGCGCAGGAAGUGAUAUAACAUUAGGACAGCCCCACAAGCAUAAAAACACUAUCUUAGAAUAGGAUGGACCACCUAACCAUGACGAGAAUUUUGCACCACCAUAGUUUAAAAUAUUAAGAUUUUCAAGAUCAAUGUGAGGUCGUAGGAAGUCAAGCACUUGUGCUUCCCGCUCAUGAUUCUGGAGAUUUUCCAAAUUUUCGUCCCAAUGCAAGGAUAAGUUGGUAAGGCCUUGCUUUUGAUGCAAAUUAGCAUCAAUUGCAUCUCUAACUUUUUCCACCUUUUGCAAUUCUGAUAUGAAUAAUUCUCCUUGAAGAUGUGGCAAAUUCUUUAACUCCUCUAACUGUGACCCUUUCUCUGGUCGUACCACAAACUUAGACAAGAUAAUAAGAUUUUUUAAAUUACCAAUACCCAACGGCAUCUCUUUAAGACUCCUUGUAUCUCUAACAUCAAGAAUCUGUAAACUGACCAAUUUUGUGAUGCCUUGAGGCAACUUUGAAAGUUUUUGACAACCUCUUAAGAUCAAAACUUGUAAUUUGCACAAGUUGACAAUUGAUUCAGGUAGCCUUUUGAUAUCAGUGUACGAGAAAUUGAGAUAUCUAAGAUGUUUUAGAUUACCAAUGCAAUUUGGUACCUCUAUGAUGUCACAAUGACAUAUUGAGAGCACCCUCAAGUACUUCAAUUCCGUUAGCAAGUCAUGUAGCACCUUGUUGGAAAUAGAGAAAGUGUCCCCUCUAAAUCCAUUAUGCAGUAGCAUUAAAGUUCUUAGUACCUUCAUUCGGUGAUAUUCUCUUAUGCAUUUUGAUGUAGCAAAAUGCGAUGAGAUGAAUGAUGCAUAACGAAUUUUCCCAAGAGAUGUGUCUUCUUCAUUAGCUACCAAGUGAGACUCCCCAGAGCUAAAGUAUGCACUUCCUGCAAUUGACUUUGCUAGAUCAUUCAAAAGAUCAUGCAUUGAAAACUUAGAUGCGUCGACACUUGAUUGUUGAAGAAAUGAUCUGGAUACUAACUCAUCAAAGUAAUUUCGUCCUAAUUUGAAAUUAUCCCCCUUUACUUUUUGUGUAUCUAAAAAGCCCUCGGUUAUCCAUAAGAGUACCAGCUCAUCUCUCUCAAUUUCGUAAUCCUUGGGAAAUACUGCACAAUAAGCAAAACAUCUCUUCAAAUGGCAAGGAAGAUGGACAUAACUCAAGUUCAAGACAGGGAGAACUUCAUCAUUCUCUGCCAUCGGAAGAUCCCAUAUUCUGCUAUUUAAGGUAUCUUCCCAUUCACUAGGAUUCCUUUUAUUACGUAGGGCACCGCCUAGCAUCUUCGCCACCAAAGGUAAACCUUUACAUCUUUCAGCUAUUUUCUUACCUAUUGUUUUAAAAUCCGGAUGGCUCUCAAAAUUUGUUGCUCCAAGAGCAUGAAAGGCUAAUAAGCUUGUACAAUUGUCAAGGGACAAUUCCUUCAAAUGAUAGGGUGAUGCUCUAGUUAUGGAAGCAACAGCAAGGUUGCGAGUCGUGAUGAUGAUCUUACUCCCCUUAGCCCCCGCUUCAAAGGGCUUUAAGAGGGCAGUCCAUUUUUCAUAUUUCUCAUUCCAUAUAUCAUCUAAAACCACAAGAAACUUCUUCCCAAAUAGAUUUCCCCUCAACUUAACUUGAAGCCCGUUAAGAUCUUCACCCUGGCAUGACAACCCAGUGAUUGACUGCAAAAUAGCUUUUGUUAUGUGAAGAACAUCAAAAACAUCUGACACACAAACCCAUGCUCUCUUCUCAAAACAGCUAUAUACUUUGACAUCAUUAUACAACCGUUGAGCCAAGGCCGUUUUUCCAACACCACCCAUCCCAACUAUGGGGAUCAUGCUCAACACGGCAUCGGAAUUUUCAACUUCACUAAUCAAUAGUUUGAGUAUUUGUGCUUCUUCCUUCUCUCUACCAUAAAACCGAGGCUCUGGCAAAGAAGUGGUUAGAUCCCUUUUGUUUGUGUAGUUGGAUUUGUCCACAACAUUCUCUCUUAAGCUUAAAGGAGCCUUCCUAGUGACAAUCACUUUCAACCUACCACUAAUCUCCUGUACCUUGGUUUCAAACAUGAGUGAGCCAAGGUUUGGAUUCAAUCCGAAGGAUUUAUCUCGGCCAAAGAAAGAGAACUUCCAUUUUUCCAGACCUUUGCUUGUGUUGGAUUCUGCCUCCAACUUAACCUGAGUGACUUUGAUCACUAACUCAUCAAUCAAGUCUUCCAUAUCAUAGGCCAAGUCCCUAACAUCAUCUAGCCACAGCUUCACUAGAGGGUUACCGCUGAGUUGCUUGUCUUCUGCAUCGGUCAGCACUGCAUUGAUUGUGCCCAGCAUCUCAUUCCACUCCUUGAGGAGAGAAGUGUUAAUUCCUUCAUGUUGUGCAUAGACUAAUGUGAGAGAAGUCAACUUGUGGAAUAGGACUGAAAAGAAGGAACCCAUAAAGGAACCCAAAAUGAUCUCUCCAAUUGCCAUGGUUGAAUUAGUCACUGUAGAGAACAACAAAGGUGUUAUGUUGGAGCGAGGUAAAAAUGAGUCAAUGGAGAGAGAAAACUAUGAAGUCGAGGAAGAUCAACACCUUCAUUUACCAAAAAGAAUAUAAAAAAGACCAAGACUUUCGAGAAAUGCACACCAAAGGUUAGACAAAUCAAAAUAAAAUAGCUUUUGUCCACAGGUGCUUGUUUCGUCAAUUGUUCAUCAAUUGUCCUUCUUUUUCUUCAUAUCGAGACUUUUCUUGUGGGCAUCCAAAAUAGAGGAUAAAAUUUGAAUUUUCUAUAUACGACCAACUUAGAGCACACGCCUAUGUUUGUCAAAAACUUCAAUGCAUAUUAGUGUUUUGUUGACAUUUUUCGCAUCCAUAUGUUGUUAGUAUCCUUGAAAUUUCAAUGCUUUUUUUUUUUUUUUUGCUUUAUUGGUGAGUAUGCGAUCAAUAUAGGCUUUUACAUAAGAUAUAAGAAGAUUACCAAUUCCUCCUUCAAUGAGGAUAACCAUGUGGAGACAUCAAAGACGUUUGUUUUUAUUUUUAUUUUUAUUUUUGGGGGGGGGAUCAAACCACCAUAUGCUUUAGGUUGGGAAGUUCUAGAUGCAUCGGUUUGGGGAUGAAAAAGAGAGCAAAAAGAUAGAUAUUACUUACCUGUUCCGAGUAGACUUCCUGGAGCAGAUCAGUGAAUGUGAUUAUAUCAAUUACAACAAUCCAACAAGCACGAUCUCUAGGUUCGAAUGAGUAGGAGGAGAACGCUAUUGAGCACGAGCUCUAGCUUCGAAUGAGCAGGAGGAGAACACUAUUGAGCCGAGAGGUGAGCAUAGGUCAUGGUGAAGCUAAGUGAUAAUGAAUUAACAGAGAGAGAAAACUAUAGACCAUAAAACUCAAGAAGACCGUGGGCUUCACCUACCAAAAAGUUUCAAUAAAGGAGAAGACUUUCAAUGAUGCUUUCUAUCCACAAGUGCUUUGUUCAUGUAAAUAAACCAUAAAACUCAAGAAGACCGUGACUUGACUGGACUGUAUGUUAUGACUAGAUAGUGAAGCAAAAGCGAAAGAGAGCAAAUGAAAAGGACAAGGCCUUUUCGGGACGCAAAUUAAUUCUUUUCACUUCUCACUCCUCCUAGUACAAGCUGAUAUUCCCCCAUCCGAGGUCACUGGGAUAACCCACUAGCAAUAAUAGUGCCUGCAUCUUGCCUUGUCCAUGACAGGAGCUCUGAUGCAGCCCGCAUUGAAGACCAACUCUCUCGACCAAGAAGAUUGGCCCGCAUUCAAGCUCGACGAAACCGAGAAGCCGUAUUGAUAUCUUGAGUCCAUCCCGGAAUUUUGAAAGAAGACACCUUGGGAGCCGUGAAGACUUUAUGCUUUUACUAGUUUCUAGUUCCUAGGCUCUUUAUUAUUUUUCUAGUUUCUAGUUUCUAGUUCCUAAGCUCUUUAAUGCUUUCAAGUUUCUAUGCUCUCUCUUUAUUUCUUUGACGAUAUAAGCCAUCCAAUUCUUUGUAGAAGACAGACGACUUUUGAUAAAUGAAAAACUUUGCUUUGAAGCAAGUAUCGUGAACCUUGUAGAGUUCAUAUCCUUGAAAACCUAGAAGAGUUUUCACUCCAUCCUUGAAGAGUCGGAGCUUUUCGAAACCUGCAUCCUUGAAGAGUUGCAGUCGUUGAUCUAGAAGAAUCGGUGCCCCCUCAACUUCCUUGGAGGCCUAGAAGAGCAACCAACGAAGUUUCUAUCUUUUCCUAUUCUGUUCGUUAAUUCCAACCCAGAUUCGACCAUCCUACACUGCUUAUUUCAGAAAACCUAAUACAGAUAAAUUGUAGAUCCAGAAGUCUUUGUUCAUUUGGCUUUGGAAUCAGGUCGAUCCGAUCUGUAUCGACAAAGACACGACUGUUCUCCUGAGCUUGCGCAGUGCUGAAAUUUCUGUCGGUCCUGUUUCCCGUGCGCGAGUCACUCUCCCGAUCCUACUGUUUGAGAAAGCCUACCCUUGGCUUGCAUCAAGCUCUAGCAGCUUGGCGAGGUUAUAGUGAUAGGACUUGCCUACCCUAGAUAAAUGGUUUCAAGUGGUACUAGAUGAACGGCCUUCUCACAAUCUUAAAUCGAAAUUCAUUAUGGCAAAAGUGAGGCUUUCAUGAUCACUUAACAGACCGACAGAGCAUAGUCUACCCGAUUGCUCAUCUCUGUCUAUCCUUGAUAACAGAACAAGAAAAUGCGCUUUGAGAUGGUGUGGCAAUUUAAAUUGAAUAAGAAGAUAAACUAUGAACUUUGACUAGGAAGUCAUGUUUAAAUAAAUUAUAGUCUGCAGGGUUCAUUCAAAUUUAGUUGUCACAUUCACCAACUUGAAAACACUUGUUUUAAAUCCUAUUGUGUACAUCUUUACAGUAGCUGCUGUUGUUGGAAGUAAGAAAGAUUCUCCUCCGACCAAAAAAAGAAAAAAAAGAAAGAAAGAUUCUCUGUUUGACUUUGAAUAUAGACCUCGAUGAUUGACAUCAUGAUAUAGAUGAAUCUUUUGAAGUGUGUCACCAAAAAAAAGAAAAACAAGAAAUAGUUUUGAGCAUAUCGGUACACCUACCAAAAUAAAUAGCCUUUUGUCUUCUUAUGUCAAGUUGCAGAAGAUAUACAUAAGCACAUCAUUUGCCUACCUCAACAGCAUUUGCAUUUGAUCCCCCUUAGAGAUUUUGCCAAAUAAAGAUGACAGUGGGAUAUUCUGCAAAACAAGCACAAUUGAGAGAAUUUAAGUCACGAGGCUAGGACAUUAAAAAAAAAAAAAAAGAUCUUUGAAAGAGAAAACAUAACAAGCGCUGAAACUUCAGAAAAGAUCAUUGACAGUGGGAUAUUCUACAAAACAAGCACAGUUGAGAGAAUUCAAGUCAAUGGGCUAGGGCACUAAAAUAAAGAUCUUUGGAAGAGAAAACACGACAAACACUGAAAUUUCAGAAAAAAAUAUCAAUAUAAGAGCAACAAUUCUUCAUGAUUCUCAUGCAAAGCAUAGUGCAUUUCCAUUAGUGGAUAGAUAAGCAAUAGUUGGGUAACAAAGUUCAAGAUAUAUCAUCAUCCAGAAAGCUACAUCCACGCAUCACAAUUCCAGCACUGUGAGCGAGUACAUGCAAGUAUUAUUUGUUUUGAGGAAUAAUCACUCGUAUGAAACAAUGGUGGACUUGCCGGACCACAUUGGCAUUAUAACUGUUUCAUUGUGUGCUUCCUUAUCAAACAAAACAGAGCAACCCAAAAGUCUAGUUGGUUUGUGGCAAAUUAUGUGAAGCUUGUCCAUGGACAAACAUGAACUUCCUAGCAUCGAGUUGAGGAUUCGUAAUAGAAAUGGAUUUUUGAGCAGCAGUAGUAGCAUAACAACAAGUGUGGAAGAAAGAAAGUAAGUCCGAACCAUUACCUGAAGAAUAAAAAUUAGACAUUGGAGAGAAAUCUUCUUAUUGAAUCCGAACUCAAUCAAUUACAAUGAGCGAGAUUUCUUGGAUGAGGUGCCAAUAGUCGCCGUUGAGUUUUGAGCAUUGAUCUUUUAGAAUUUUUACAUUGCAUUAUACCAAAUACUUGAAAGAGGAAGCAAAGCCAUCCUCUGGCAAGUACCGGUAACUAUAAAAGAUAACUGUUUGAGAGAGGAGAGAUUUCUACGAAGACCACUCAAUAAUCUUUCCAUGUCCCUCAUAUUUCUUGUAAUAGUCUUACAUCCUCCACUGUUAAUAGUCUUUCCACCGCCCUCAUAUUUCUCAUCCAAAAGUCUGAAACAAGAUGAGCAAUUAGUCCUAAAUAAAAUGAUCCUUCAUGCAUAAUGAAGAAUUGCAAGAGUGAUCGAACCGGGAUACACACACCUAAUUGAUUGCAACAAAAAAUGAACCGGGAUACCCUGUUGAUGAUUUUUAUUUUUUGAUGACUAGAAAAUUCCUAUGAUUAUGUUAAUUAACAAGUAUGGGAGACACUGGCGAUGGACACUUAUUCGUACGGGCUGGUAUUCUACAAAUGUGAUGUUAGGAGAUCGAAUGACUUGGUACAGGUUGAUAACGCUUGAGAAUGAUUGCCUACACCUGUUGGUAUAUCUGGAACACUCGAAAUGCAAUAACCAUUAAACAUAAAUCACUCCAUACUAGAACUGUCACUACACAAAUUAGAAAUAGCUCUUUUAGACUUUGCUGCCUUUUAAAAAUGUAAGAGAGCUAAGUCAUGAUUGGUGGACGAAAGGCAGGGUCUGUAGAGUAACCUAAGCUAGGUUUUGUGAAGAUUAACUGUGACAGGAGCUCUGGCAGCUUGGUGGGGAUAUAAUGACAAGACUUGCCUACCUAAGAUAAUUGGAUUGCGAAUGGUAUUGUAUGACGAUGUUCUUGCAAUUUUAAAUGAAAGUACUUCAUGGCAGACGUGAGACUUUUAAGAAAAAGAACUUCCUUGUGCUGGAUUCUGCCUCUAACUUGGCCUGAGCGGGUUCCAUCUCGAACUCAUCGAGCAAGUCUUACAUGUCAUUGGCCAAAUCCCUAAAGUUGUUUAGCCACAGCUUCACCUGACAAUUACCGCUCAGUUGCUUUUCCUCUCCAUUAUCUAGCAUUACUUUGAUUGUGACCAGCAUCCCCUUCCACUCAUCAAGGAGGGUGGUGCUAAUUCCUUCUCGAUGCACAUAAUUCAAUGCCAGAGAACUAAACCUAUCAAAAAGGACCUACAAGAAGGAACCCGAAAUAACAUCUCUAAUGGCCAUAUUUGAAUCAGUCACCGUAAAGAAUAACAAAUGUUAUGAUGAAGCAAAGCAAUAAUGAGUUAAUGGAGAGAGAAAACUAUGAAGUUGGGGAAGCUCAAGACUCUUACCUAUCAAAGGGAAAAAGUACCAAAAAAAUGCUUAAACCAAUUGCAUUGGUAUCAAAUCAAUCCUAAAUAUUUUCACAUUGGUAUCAGUUCAGUUCAUCCAGCCAAUUUUGGAAGUAUUGACGUGGACACUGGCCAUUCGACCAACGCUGACAUAACAAUUUUUUUAUUUUUUUAUUUUUUCAACAUUUUUAAAUAAUUCUUUUAUUUUUAUUUUUCCUUUUUCUUUUCUUUUUGCUCUUCUUCCUCCUUGGAUCCCCACAGUGGCGAACAAGGCUCUAGUAAGGCCAAAGUAAGGUUGGCCUCACCCGUGGCCCUAGGCAAGGACCACAACCCUCGCUAGUUGCCGGCAUAGGCUUCGUGGCCCUUGCCCAAUGGUCAACAAGCCUUGUUGGAGCCUCAUUGGCCACUGCAGGGAUCCAAGAAGGAACGAGAGGGAAAAAGAAGGAAAAGGAAAAGGAACAAAUUAAUAAAAAUUUUGAAAAAAAUAAAAAUUUAUUAAAAAAUUACCACGUGAGCGUUGGUCGGAUGGUCAAUGUUCAUAUCAGCGUCGACCAGCCAAAAUUGGCUAGAUGGACAAAAUUAAUAUCAAUAUGAAAAGGUUUAGGACUGAAUUGGUAUCAAUAUAGUAGAUUUAUGACUUUUUUUGCAUUUUCCCUUAUCAAAGAGAUCAAACAAACCACCCACCUAGGUGGCACUGCUGGCGGCGAGCUUCUCCCCCUAACGCAAGGGGAGGAGUUCGAUUCCCGGGCGUUGCAGGGUGACUUACCCGGUGGCACGUGUGUGGUGGUUAGCACGUGUCGCCCCCAGGGUUUACCCCCGCUACCCCGGGCCUUUCGGGCUAUCCGUGUUGGUACGGUGUGUAGGUUCCCUGGGUCACCAAAAAAAAAAAAAAGAGAUCAAACAAAAACCACCGCCCGCAGCGGCGUAGUUGGCUUGGACUCUCUCCCAGAAGCGUCGUUAGGGAUUCUUACCUGAAGUACUGUGGUGGUGAGUCCUACAAUCACUCCCCCAGGAUUUGCCCGCCGGCUGUCGGCAGGGAUUCUUACCUGAAGUACUGUGGUGGUGAGUCCUACAAUCACUCCCCCAGGAUUUGCCCGCCGGCUGUCGGCUUACAGGGUUCCCUGGGUUACCAAAAAAAAAAAAGAGAUCAAAUAAAAACUAAGACUUUCGAGGAUGUAAGAGGUUAGACAAAUGAAAAGAAAAUACUUUUUUAUCCACAAGUGCUUGUUUUGUACUAUCUAGAGAAUAUCCCAGCGACUUUGAUGGUUUUCCACGGCCAAAGUUUGAAGGAAUUUUGUGUAAUUUUCUCCUUUUUUAAUGAUUUUCUCCAGCUAACGCUCACAAUUCAAAUUCGGAUUUAGGUGUUUGGGGACAUCAGUUUUAAAAGUUCUAAUUGGCGGAAUCUAUGUGCCUUUCGGUAGGCAGGCUCUACAGUAAUACAUGUCUUUUCAGAGAAGUUGCAGUUUCCUUUCUGAAAUUUGUGGGCAAUUGUGAUUUCUACCUUACCUAUUAUAAUAUUUGCUAGGAAAAAUUAGUAUUCAUUUCUUAUUGCAAAUUCAUAAUUAAGAUUCACGGUUCACAUUCAGAUUUACAAAAGUUAUGCUUUUCACAACUGGAUUUGCACAGUGAUUGCAAAUGUCCAAUAAAAAAAGAAAAAAGAAAUUGGUAUCCUAAACAUUGGCACCAAUAAGUCUCGUAAUUUAAUGGAUUCCUUUUAGCCAAAUGAGCUACUUGCUCACCCCGACUCUCUGCAUACUUCUCUCCACACCUGCUUUAUUUCUUUAAUACAUUGAUGUCAUCACGUUUUCCCCGUAAAUUUCCAGGUAGGCACAGUCAAAAUGAUAAAACGUAGAACGAUAAUCAGCCUAAGGGAAAAGCAAGAAUUUAGUUUCCGCGGAUCCAAAUGCAGUUUUUGAAAAUCCUGACGUAAAUUGUAAUUAUGCCAUACUAAGGGAUGCAAAUCGAAACUCUUCUAUUUCCUUUGGCACCGUAAAAUAAGGGUGCGUUUAGUAAUAUUUCUAUUCUCGGGAACAAUUUCUUUUCAGAAAUAAUUCUUUUUUAUUUAUAUUCCCUGGAAUAAUUUCUUAAUAAAACUAUACAUUUAGUAACUAUACAAAAUUUCUAUUUUCGGAAUAGAAAAAUAACAUGAAUGUGUUUGGUACGACUCACAAAUUUUUUUGUGAUGUAGAAUUUCCUUAAAAUUUUUAGUAAUUGUUUUUGAGAUUUUUCUUUUCUUCUUUUUUUUUUCUUUUUUCCUCUCUUCUUCUUCCUCCUCUGGCCGAUUGUUGAGCAACAAUGAGUGGUGUGCGACAAGCUUCGAUGGUAGUGGCGACGGUGGGUGAUGAGUCUCCACCGACCGAUUAGAAGAGAACGAAGAAGAAAAGGAAAAAAAAAAGACUUAUUUUUAGAAAUUGUUUCCGAGCACAAGUAGCAAGAAGCUACUUUUUCUACUUCUUGUUUCAGUUUCAAAUCUAUUCACAGGCCACUUUUCUAUUUUGAGGAAUAGAAAAAUUAACUGACAUUACCAAACGGAUUUUUGUUCUUUUUCUAUUUCAAAGAACAAAGGAAUAAUAUAACAGAAAAAUUGGAAUGUUGUCAUGUAGACCAGCUUGUUGACAGAAAACCUGAUUAUGAGAAAUCAGAAUUGGAUGUUGUCCUCUACUUACUUUUAUUAUUGCCCUAUUUUUCACUUUGAAAGCUAAUUAGUUAACAAUGUAUUCAGGUCAUAUUUUAUUCAGAAUAAGUGAUCAAUUUUAUUUGUGAACUUGAAUCGAAUGGCCCGCAAGAAUAUUUGGACAUAGGAGAUAUUUGACAUGCUUAAUCCAAAUAAAAAGUAGAAAAAUGAUACGUUGACAAUAUUUUUGGAAACAUGGCUAAUGACAAAAUGCCUCUUCUGAUUUAUAUAUUAUGCUCGAGAUGGUGUCAUCCUCCCCCCUUGCCUCAACUUGAGAACGUUCCUUUGGCGUCAGAAUUUCCAUUAGAUAGGAUCUGCCAACGAGAGUCAUCUCCAGUUUCUUGUCGGAUAACUUUGCCUGUUGUCCCCAAUAAUUCUACCAGCCCUACUGACGGUCACCUCAGAUAUAAUAGUUAAAGCCAGCAGAGAAGAAUAUCCUGAGCCAUUACGGGGAAAAACAGGGUAAUGGGAAGUGCCAGCAUACCAUUUCCCUUAUGUAUCAGAAACAUACAUAUACAUUCACGAUGCCUAAUUAAGCCCGCUAGUUGAGCCUGAAGUUUUUUGUGCAUGUCGAUGGAAGUGCCAGAAUGAUACGUAUUAUUCCAUCCGGCAAACUUUAGUGCCUAGUUUAAUGACAAAACUGGACAAUGUCUAUCAACUGCUUAGUGUAAAGAAACCACAGGGUUUAAUUUAUUUAUUUAUUAUUAUUGAAUAACUUUUUUGUAGUGCAUACCUAUGGAAUAGCAAGAAUAUUGCAUAUUGAUUCUUCCAUCCAGCUAAAUAUGGUACUUAGCUAAAUUUGGUACUUAGUCAUUUUUUUAAGGGGAAAUAAAACCAAACCUCCCGAAUUUUGAGGGUAGUACAGGUUUAUUCUAAACUUUCAGUUGUUACACAAUACCUCCCCGAACUUUCAUUUUAUUAUAUCUAUUAGCCUGACGUUAUUUUCUUCCGGUAGCAUGUGUAACACAUAUGACUUGUAAGGUGUACAAGUAUAUAUUUCAUCUUAUCUUUUAAGGAAAUAUCUCUUGUACCCACAAUUGUUAUGAAAUAAAUGAAAUAUCAUAUGAAUGGGAGAAAUUAAAUUAAAUACUAGAAAAGUAUAAGUAGUAGUAAUAUUAUUGAACAAAGUUUGAUAAAGAUAGCCACUUUAGUACAACUAAAUAAGAUAUUUAAGAAAAAAAAUACAAACCAUAUAAAAAGGAAAAGGACUUGAUAACAAAAAUAUGAAAUGAUAAAAAAAAUUGGUUACUCAUUACUUAUAUUCAUAGGCUCAAUGUCUUCAACUUUUAAAAGGGAAUGAGCAACUGAAAUCUAAAUCUUUUUAAAUAAAUGUAUUUUUUUUUUUGGUAACUGUUAUAAAUGUAUUGAUCUUCAUCUUUUUCAUUAAUUAACAAUUUAGAAAUACAUAAUGAGUACCGAUUUGUUAUUUGCCCUUUUGUCAUUUAGGUCUUUUUACAACAUUGUGUUUCUUGUUCUUCAAUUUCUUAUUAAUUAUAUAAAUAUUUUUACAAAUUAAUAAUAUUCGUUGAAGUAUUAUUAGUGAUAUUUAAUUUUAUAAUAUUAAUAUUCUAAAUAAUUAAUUUUUCUCCAUUCUUUAUACUAAAUUUUUUAAACCAAAAUCAAGGAUAAAAGAAAGAUUUUAAUAAAAAAAAAUGAGAUGAAAGGACACAAAUGGAAAAAGAAAAAGAAAAUCUCAAUAAGAAGAUGGUGAAAUAACAAUAAUUGGUUACUCAUUAUGUACAUUUAAAGGCUUAGUUAAUUUAAAAAAAAAUCAAUUAACAAGAUAUUUAAAAAGAGUUAUGAAAGGAAAUUAUUGCUUCAGCUCAUAAAAGGAAAUGAUUAACUGAAAAGUAAAGUGAUUUUUCUAUAUUAUCUCUUGAUCAGUCUUUUUUGUAUUAAUUAUUUAUUAAAAGUACGUAAUCAGUAUCCUCCACUUUUUGUUAUUUUCCUUCUUGUUAUUCUGGCCUUUUUCCUUUUACUAAAUUGUGUUAUUUUUUCUUAAAAAUAUCUUGUUAUUCCAUUAAUAUUUUCAUCCAUGUUAAUAAUUAACAUUUCUUUUGAUAAUAAAGUUUCCAUCAAUUUAUUUUCCUAGAUUUUUCGUUUUUUUAUCGGAAUGAAAAACAAAAGAGAGACUUCUAUCAAAAAAUGAGAUAAACAUACACAUUUACCCCUUAAAUGUUUUUACUAUAGCACAUUGCCAACAAAAAAAUGUAACAGUAGUUAACGGCUAUAAUAAAAUAAAAGCUCAAGGAAUAACAUACAACGAUUGAAAGUUUAGGGACAAACACGUAUUAAUCCCAACAUAUAACAAUUGAAAGUUUGGGGAUAAACUUGUAUUAAUCCCAAAGUUCAGAUAAGUUUUAUGUAAUUUUCCUUUUUCUAAUGGUAAUCCAUGUUUGAACUGUAAUAACCAACACUAAUAAAGAAAAUGAUUAAUACCCCAAAAAAUCUCAAACCGAUAUACCUAUGAUAAAUUUAUCUCAAACUAAUUUUUUGAUCACGAAAAACCUCAAAUUGGUAUACCUCUAAUAAAUUUACUCCAAAUGACCAUAAAGAACCCCAAACCGGUACACUUAUGAUAAAUUAAACCAAAUUAAUUUAUUCGAUUGCUAAAAAUCCCAAACCGGUAUGUUGGUGACAAAUAUACCCUCCAUUAAAGUGAAUUAAUACUAUAAAAAUUAUACAAUAAUAUAACUAUGACAAAUAGAGAGUAAAUCCUAUAGUGCACCAAUCAACUGUUACAUGUCAUCUAAUUCAAUAAUUUGAUAGUAAAAUUUAACGGAAAUUAAUAAAAUGUAUAUGUGUCAUAACUGUAUCAGUUUGGGGUAAAUUUGUCAAAAAUGUAUCAGUUUAGAUUUUUGAUUGUUAAAAAAUUAGUUUUUGGUAAAUUUGUCACGGGCAUACUAGUUUGGGAUUUUUUAGGAUAUUAAUCCUAAAGAAAAUCUGCACAAAGAUCUUUGGAGACAUAGAUUUUAAAAUUCCUUUUUGACUACACCUAAUGCGCCUCUUAGCAGGCUCCAUCUUUAACAUAUUUGCAAAACUUCUUUUGGUGCUUUGCAAUCAAUUCAUAAAAAUAAAAUAAAAAAUUAUUUUAAAAGGGCAAAAUCCAUCAAACAAUCAAAAUAUGCGAACUAUGAUACAUUUAUCCUAAACAAUUUCCUAAGACAAAUUUACCUUCCGCCAAUGUUGUGUCAAUGAGGAACAUUAAAAAUCUACUUGCAUUGAUCUCGGAAAAGCAAAUGUUGUUGACAUGACGUUCACGUGGUUUAAGUGAAAUAAAAAUGACAUUAGUUUGGAUGAAAAAUUAUCUAACAAAACCUUGAUGGAGGUAAAUAUGUCACAUAGUUACAAGUUUGGGGGUUUUUUUAUAUCAAAAGAAAUUUUUUUAUAGUAAAUACGUUAUAGUAUGCAUAAUUUCGGAUUUUUGAUGUAAAAAAAAUAUCAGGAUAAAUGUAUUACAGUGAGUAUAAUUUUAGACUUUUUGUGACUUUUUCUCUUUUAAAUAUCACCUUGAGACUUUUGAUCGCCACAAUUAAUGGACAUCAUCUGAUUUUUAAUAGUCGAAUAGUUGUUUUGAGGACCAUUCCAAAUUCCCAUAUAUCAUCUACCCAUUUUAUUCGUCAGAAUUUGAAUCUAUUGUUUGUUUCGAUACACCUCCAUAUCUCAUAUUCAAAGCAUCAACGUUUACAAGCAUAAAGGUGUACAUAAGGUUUUAAGACUUGAAAUAAAAUCUGAAACAUAGUUUAAGCAUCCUAAUAAUAUAUGCAAUUGCAUUUUUGCUUUAAUUUCACCAGGAAAGUUAUUUGCAAAUUCUAUAGUUAUUAAUAGGUUCAAUAGUUGUUUGACAUAUAUUUUAAUUCCUGAAAGCCUUACUUUAGUUUGCAUAUUUCUUAUUUGGUGCUAAAAAUACUAACCUAUUAUUCCAAAUAAUGAUAAUAAUAUAAAAUAGUGAAAUCUUAACAUGCUUCUAUAGAUUUUGCAAAUAUUAAUAUAUCAUCUAUAUAUACUAUUGAAAAAAGUGACAUAGUUUUCAAGUAUAUGAUUAUCAUAUUUGGAAAUUCUAAAGAGGCAUUUUUUUUAAACCAUCAGGCAUUACAUUUCAUUCACAUAACCAAACGGAGUAGUGAAGGGUGUUUCAUAUAUGAAUUCUGAAUCCUGCUUCGAUCUAACUGGGCCUUGGAUUCAAGUGAGGGGGGCUGUGUCAGAGCCCAAUCAAACCAGUGGAUCAACAACUGCAAAAGAAGAGGUCAAGAUAGUGUUAUUGUGCAGCUCUUGAACUAUCAAAUAAUUGAGAUUUGCGAAAGCUUCUUCUUGGGUAUUUUCAGCCACAGCUUUUGUUCCACCGGAAGAAGAUGAACAUAUCAUUCGUGCGGAUUGGCUUUUGUGGAAAAUGAAAACAUGGACGACCGAAUAAAAGCUGUAGUUGAACUCAAAGUGCAGGGGGGCCGAGCCUUGGCGUUUUGUGCAUGCUAAAAGCUUCGCCUUGUGAUUUUCGCCUCAAGUUUUGUUUCCGACGAGGAAGGAAGAGGUUAAUCACUUGAAGCUAUGUAACAAGAAACAACAAUUCAACCGCUCACAGUGAUUGGAGGUAAGCAUCAACUGCGAACUUAGACAUCAAUAGUCCAGCCUCCUUCGAUAACUUGGAGGACUGCGUGCGAAUUCUUGCUGUUUUAUUGAGGUCGUUUCCUGAAAAUGAACUCUCUAUCUUUAAUCAUGUCCACUGCGUGUGUUCUGUUACGUGAACGUUGUUUUACUCGGAAGCAUUAUGUACGAUGACCUUGUCUGUUGCAUUGGAAACCCAUAGUAAAAGUACAAAUGGAACAUUUUUCUUUUUGCUUUUCGGUUUGAUUUAGUUUGGUUAAACGAUCCAUGAGUUUAUUCUUGAUCCUUAUUUGUGUGAAAAAUGGAUGUAUAACAAGUAGUUUAUUGAUUUUAAUCUUAGAAGUAGAGUAGAGUAUGUAGUUCAAAUUGCUGCAGACUGUAACAAAUAUCUUGAUACACUGGACGAGACUUUGCGUCAACUCAUUAGAAAUAGCUCUACAGUACGAGCCAACAUUAUCGGUGAAUGGCAAUCAAGAUAGUUAGGUAAAAACUAGUUUUCAAGAUGAGAAGACGAGAUAUGGGCUAGUCCACCGAAUGCUCAGCCUUAGAGAUGUACAUGCUACCAUGAUCGCUCGUUUCCAAUGUCAUUCAUGUCAUCUCUAUCACUCUCCCUCAAAUCUCAAUUGUCUCUCAUUCGAACAAACGUUUUUUGCAUUUUCCCCAAAAUCCUUGCCAAACACAACCACCCCCUUCUAAAGUCUAGCACGCAGGAGCUACCAAAACAUUCGUUUGACUUUCAACAUUGUAGAACCAACCCGGCAAGAAGUUGACCAAGUGGACCCCGAUAGCACAAACUCUACUACGGUAUUAUGACCUAUGUAGCACGGACACGGCGACACGGACACGCGAUACGACACAACACGACAUGUGACACGUCAUUUCUCAAAAAGUAGAGAAUUUCGACACGUUCCGACACGUUAAAUAUUAAAUAAAUUUUUUUUUAUUUUUAAUUAAUUUAAUUCAAAUUCACAAAUAAAUAAAUAAAGAGUUUACAAUGAAUUUAUACUAAUAAUAUUAAUAAAUCUUACACUUUUUUUUAUUUCAUUAUCCCAAAUUUAUAUUUAUUUUUCGAAAUCCCCCCUCCCCCAAAUUUACUUUUAUUUUUUAAUCUCAUUUAUUUAUUUUUCUGAUUAAAAAAAAUUCCCCCACUCUCUUCUUUUCCUUAUCCAUUUCCCCCCCACUCCCAAAUUUAUUUUCCUUUCCCUCCCCAGUCCCCACCAUCGUCCGUUCCCCCCACCCAAUUUUUUUUUUUCCUUUCCCUCCCACAAUCGUCCAUUCCCCCCCCCUAUCUGUCUGUCACUUUCCCUCCCCCCAAAAUAGGUACCCAUAGACUCCCAUUUUUUUUAAUUACUUUUGAGUUUCUCAUAAACCCUAGCUCCUUUAUUCCUCCUCCUCGGCGCUCGCGACCCUUCCUCUUCUCCUCCUCCCUCCUUGCCGCUCGCCGCACGACCUCCUUCCUCGCUGGCCGCCGCUCCUCACCGCACGCACGACCCCCUUCCUCGCUGCUCGCCGCUCGCCGCACGACCGCCUUCCUCUCCUCUUCCUCUCACCUUUGGUCCUUUCUCCCUCGCAACUGCAGCCUCGUCGGAUCCAUCGCAGCAUCACAGGGCUGGCCCUCGCCUCAGUCUAAGCUCGGCCGUCUCUCGCUGUCGCUCGCGGUUUGCUCCCUCCCGGACACGCGUGUCGAAACGUGUCGGGAAAAGGUUGACCGCGUGUCGAAAAAUCCGACACGCGUUGACCGCGUGUCCGAGCGUGUCGAGGUGUCCGACACACUCCGACACGUGUCGGACACGAUACGCAAGCACGGACAGCGUGUCCGUGCUUCAUAGAUUAUGACCAGUAAUGGCCAUUCCACCGUAUUGGCCCAAGCACCGCAUAGCCCAUCCCCUUCCAAGGGCACCCGUGCACGGCCUCUCUGUGUGAGGAGCCGUGCUAGGGAGGGCUAUGACCCAGUUGGGCCUAGGCCAUUCCCUUGGGCCCAAACAGGGAAACGACCCCUAUUUUUUUCAAAGCUCCCAGUCGCAUUUAAAGAAUGAUUAACAUCACGAAAAAUUUAAAAUUGGUAUACAUGCGAUAAAUAUAUACCAAACUAAUUUUUUUAUUAUCAAUAACUGGUACACAUGUGAUAAAUAGAAUGUAAAAAUCUAGACCAAAACACUUAGCAAUUGUCACGCGUCAUCCGACUCAACAAUUUCAUAAUAAAAUUUAAUAGAAACUAACGAAGAUAAAUUUGUCACUGGUGUACCAAUUUUAAAGUUUUUGGUAAUAAAAAAAUAUUUCUUUUAUAAAAAAAAUAGUUUGUUAUAAAUUUGUCACGAGUGCACUAAUUUUCAUAUUUUUUCGUAACAUUAACCCUUUAAGAAAAACAAAAUGAAUGUGGCAGAAUGUGAUCGUUCGACCCCACCAAAAAAACAGCUCCUACAACUUUAAUUCCUCCUUCAUCAUUGCCUCCAUCCAUUUCUCAUUACUUAUCACUCUCUUACAAUUCCUAAAAAAAUCUCGAAUUCUACAUACAACAUUUCAAAUUUCCGAGUACACAACAGACCCAACUCAGCUACAUUAACCAACUCAAUUCCCCAGACCCAGACCUCCGACUACGAAGAGUAGCCUACUCCAACCAAUACUGGGUAGUCUUUGUGUUGGAAGGUCCAAGAUUUGGCGAAUGUUCAACAUCGAGGUCCUCCCCAGUGGCGAGAAGAAGGCUAUUUACAUGGCGUGGGGCGUGAAAUUACCUGCAAAAUUUAGUAAUAUCUCGCUGAAAUGGCUAAGCCCAAGGGGAGGUCCGCCGCCGCUGCAACAGGCCACGAUAGUAGUCCGUUCAAGUACAACAAUUCUCAGGCUCAAUGCCCAAAUGAACAGUAUAGACUCCAGGCCGAGGUACCAUUUGGGCGCACCCAAGAUCCGGGGUUCGAUGAGCUCGUCCGGGUGGCGUUCAGUCAAAUUACAGAGGCGUUACAAGGACCACAACUACUAGGAAAUACAAGGGUCAAUACAAGGAGAAAUGAGCAGAAUCGGUGCAACUGCUAUCCAUGGAUAACAUUGGAGUGUCAUUGACUUCAAAUUUGGGGACUAACCUGAAGGACUGUGGCUAUUGUUGUGUGCUAGAAAGGACCAUAUUGGUUACUACAUCACCGAACUCUGUUGUUUAAGCAUCUACAUCGCCACGAAUCACAAAAUAUUUGUGUGGAAAUCAUGAGAUCGGUGAAAGACUUUGGCAUUAGCGAGAAAGCAUUUUCCAAUACUUUGGAUAAAGCCUCUGUAACAAUGUGAUUUCUAGGAACAUGGAUGCUCAGAUGUGGCUCGCUUGCAAUGGCCAGUUCUUCCGUGCAUGUUGCAUAGUGUGGUGUUACCAAUCUUUGCACACAACAUGGUCUUAGACUCUUAGAGAUUUUUAUGAUUCUUCUGUAAGUCGUGUAAGCUGGUGGGUUCGCUGCCUAGGUUCCGCCCCCUUUAAGGGUUCAAGAUAUGGAGACGAUGUUCACGGAAUGCGGAAGGGAGCCCCAUAAAGCUCCCUCAGAUGUCAAAAUUAGGUGGAAUUCCACCUAUCUGGUGUUGCAGAAGGCCUACGAUUAGAUGGAUGUGUUGACCUCGUUUUCCUUCCAUUAUUACAGGUUGAUUGAAGGGUUGCCAAACUGUUCAAGCACUUCCUGGAGGUGUUCAACGACGCCACAGAGGUGAGCGACUAUCCAUCGACCAAUUGAGUUUUGUCUUUCCUCUUCUCGAUUUCGUUGGAAUGAGUAGCUAAAGAACGUGAUGCCUUUUUGGGUCCCGUCAUUAUUGUCAUUAAGAGAAACUGCUCAAGUACUUUGAGGAAAUUCACCCUCUUUUGUAUGGCAUCUACGCGUUCGGAUCCGAGAUUCAAGAUAGAGGGGCUGGUAAUUCGGGACUCGUAAUUCCAUCAAUGUUCAAGAAAUAAUGGCCAUGGUGUGAAGCUGGCUGGACAAUCACUACUUGCACGAUAUAACGAGAAUUCGGGACUCGUAAUUCCAUCGAUGUUCAAGAAUACUGGCCAUGGUGUGAAGCUGGCGGGACAAUCACUAGGGAUAUGUUGUAAGCAAUUCGGCCCCACGGACUGAGAUACCAUCCUCAUCGAGCAAAAAAGAGCCCCCCCUUCCCCCAAACAAAAAAAAAUUAAAAAUAAAAUGGUUUGGAAUCUUAUACAGAAAAGAGAGCGGUUCAAAUGAGUUUCUCUGGCUUUUCUCCGUCCAUGAUGGAUAAUGAUGACUUGGGCAACAUUGAGAAAGUUAGCCACGAGAACGUUGAUGCGCUAAUCGAAUCAUUGGGGCCAACAAUCAAGGUUGUCCGACAAGAAUUUGGAGAUGACCGCCGUAGGCAAAUCUUAGUUGAUGGAAAUUGUGAAGCCAGAGAAGAGUACUGAGUUGGAGGCAAUGGAAGAGGACAACAAUAUCUCAUUCAAUUUAUGGUGAUAGAGAGAGCAGUCCGUGGCAUUUAAAUUUGUAUUUCUCUUCUCAUAAUGUAAUAUUAUAUAAAAUGUAUUUCUCUAAGUAAGAACCUUAUGUAAUUUUAUUAUAACCGGUGCAAUUUGUGUGGUGUAAUUCGAUUUUUAAUGAGAUGAUUUUGUCUAAGUCAGAGUCUUACCUAUUGCAUUUUGCCUCCUAUUAUUGUUAUUGUUGUUAUUGCUGGUGCUGCCAUGCUGGUGCUGCUAUAUUUUUCCUACAAUAAUCCCUACUCCCCAUAAAACAUAAUCAUGAAGUUAAUUUUUGAUGAUUCGACUUCCAUGCUUUGUAAAGAGGCAAAGAGUAAAAGUCUUAAAGAUAAGAGUUAUAGUAUACAGACAAAAAAAAAAUGCAUUGGUUAACUAAAUGUAUUUUUAAUUAUUUUUAAAAAAAAUUAAAAAUUAAAUUAAAAACCAGGCCCUAGCAUAAUAUGCCCUAGCUUGGCAUGAGGGUUGGCAUGGCCCGUCAUUGCCAUGGGCGGUGCCGGCUCGGACACAGGAAUUCCUUUGAUGUACUAGGGACACAUAAAAAUGUCGGGCCUCCCGGCAAGGCCCAUAGUCAUUGCUAAUCAUGACUCUUAUAAAGCAAGACAUUUUCUUUAAAUUUUUCGGUGGGUGCAAUGAAAAGUGGGGCACUCAAUUAGAUUCGACCAAACAUGCCUUAAAGGAUGCUGAGAUCCUGCGUGUCUUCAACUCGUGAAGGUUGGUUCAUAGGAAGGGAAGAUUCAAGGCAUAGAAUACAUGUUUGAUUGGAAGGGCAGAUGCUGAGAAUUUGUGGCGUUGCGGUUCUUUCUUCAACAACAACAGCGUCAAUAGCAUCAGUGGAUCUAAUUCUCGUUCGACCCAAAAAGGUAGUGACAGAGAAACACCGUACCUAGUCGCCUCAUGACGUGGCUUCACAAGGACCACAAAGAGACAUUUCUUAUGUUGGGUAAAUGCAAGGUUGUUUAGUAAAUUAUGCUUUGAAAAGUAAUCUUGAGAGAAAUGUUGUUUAGUAAAAAACACAUUUGAAAAGUUCUUUGGGUGAAUAAUAUUAGUUUUAUUAGUUUUUAUUUGUUUAAAAUUAAAAAAAAUGAAUGCAACCUUUUAAAUAUAAAAUUUGAAAAAUAAUGCUAAAAAAUCAAAUGCAUUAUAUAAUUUUAAAAAAAAAAACCAAAACCUUCGUCGGAAUUUUUUUAAUUCUUAUUUGUUUAAAAUUGAAAAAAAAUACUAAUUGCAACUUUUUAAAUAUAAAUUUUAACAAUAGUGCAAAAAAAUCAAAUAAAUAUAUCUAAUUUAUUUAUAAAAAAAAAAAGACCAAACUCUUAGUUAGAAUUUUUUAAUUUUUAUUUGUUUAAAAUUGAAAAAAAAAAUAUGCAACUUUUUAAAUAUAAAUUUUGACAAUAGUGCUAAAAAAAUCAAUAUAUAUAAAUGCUAAAAACAAUCAAAUACAUAUAAUUUCUUAUUUAAGAAAUUAUAUGUAUUUGAUUGUUUUUAGCAUUAUUUUAGCAUUUAAAAAUAUAAUAAUGAGGGAAAAAUCGAAAAUUUGAAAAAUGAAUGAGGAUAGUUUUGGAAGAAAAAAAUGAGUUUCAGCAUUUAGCUAAAUGCUGAAAGCCCAAUGUUAGUCCCUACUAGCAUUGGGCUUUCAGCCUUUCUGAUGUUGACUUUCACUUGAAAGUUACUUCAAAAUGAUUGUCAAACGGUCAAGUAUUUCUUCAAAGGGCUUUGGAAGCUUAAAACUCUUUGGGAAUGUUGAACCAAAUGCAUCAUAAAUCAUUUUAUCUCUAAAAGUGAAAAGAAAAGGGGGAAAAAAGCACAACGGGUGAUGCGCCUUCCCGUUAUCUUAUUGAAACCCACUAAUCGAUGAGUGACCACCAUAAUUGAUGAACCACAUCCACAUUGUUAAUUAUAAUAUGAAAUGUGAAAGGAGCCAUCAAAUUAAUCUGAUCCACAAGAUUUAGGAAUAAGUUGUUUUAGCACUGUCAUUGCCACAUAUAACAUAAACUUAGGAAGACUUUCCAAGAUGCAAAUUGGCUUUGUUACUUCACUUUUCACAUUUUUACUUUUCAUUUGAUUGAAAUAUUAUUUAAUAAUUAGCAUUAAUUGUUGCUCUCUUGCUCAAAAUCAACAAUAAUGUUUGUCUAACUUUUUUCAUGUUUAAUCAUAUUUUAAUUAUUCAUUCAUUUAUCUCUAUGGUACUUGUCUAUUAGAUUUAUGUCUAGAUUUUCAUGUAUCUUAUCAAAUAUAAGCUUGAUAAAAGCAAAAAGAAAAGCUAAAAAGAAAAAAAAAAGCAAAAAACUGAAAAUAAAAAUAAAAAUGAAGGAAUGGGGCAAGAGAGAGCACCACCAUUCCCACGGCCACCACCAUGCCGUGAUAGUAGGUAAGGUCAAUUCUAAGUUGUUAAGGUAUCUUACAUUAUUUGUUUAUUUGGUUUAUAUGCUUUCUAUGUACACAUGUCUUCCUCCAUUUAUUAUUUUAAGUUUUUGAAUUGGAUUUUCUAAUAUAUUAUAGAAGCCACGUUCUAUCCACUUUAUUUUUAACUUGCACAUGAGAGAGUGUAUUAAAGUAUCACGAGGGAUUAUUGAAGUAUCCUAUGUUAGAUGUAUGCCCUAAAGCUGUUAUAUAAUAGUUACAUAUUAGGGAUUUUAGUUGUACUUUCAUUAUUAUUAUUUAUUUAAUGGCAAUGACGUAUUCAUUCAUUUGUCCAAUUAUUUUAUAUUGAUGAAUGAUUCCAUAAGAUCAGUUGCAACUAGACCUAUUCUUGAGACAUCAAGAAUAUAUGCGACGGGUUCAUAGUUAGACUGAAUCUUUAAAUCGUUCAUAGUCGAUGGAUUAUUGAGUGGAUAUUAAUAAUCCUGUUGAGACCGGUGUGUUCUUAACUUCGCCAUUAAGUAUUGGAUACUUAAGGCAAUGAUGAAUCACAUGUCAUUGGGUAUUAUGAUGCCUAAGUUAGAACACAAGUGUUUGUAUUAAACAAAUUCACUGAACGUGAUGCAUAUGGAAUGAUUAGCAACAUGGAAGCAUUUAGCGUGGUCAAUGUCUAAUUGUUCAUACUUUGGUCUUGUGUAAAUAAUCUUUAGACCUGAGGCACAGUGUUAACUUGUGUAUUGAACAACUAUGGUUCACAGGUGCACAUAAUGCCGGGUCGUUGAUCCAUCUUUAUACCCGAUGGUCAUAGUUUGUUCAUAUAUGAAGUUACACGUGUGCGCAAUAUGGAAUUUGUCUCCUUGUUAUAUGCAAGGUAUGAUAAUGAUGUCCUAUGCGAUUUAAUUGUGACACUGCAUUGAAAUUCUCGGUCGGGGUUGUAACCGAGAAUAAAUUAUUUAUGUCUCGAAUAAAAUGCAUGUCAAUUAGAUUUGUGCAUAUGAUCAAAUUAAUGACUUGACUAAUAUUCCAUGGUCUUUGUUUGAUCGGGACAUAGUAAGACAGAUGGAUUGAAUUACACUGUCGCCAAAGUUGACAGGUUCAUUAUGUUCUUAAAAUAUUCACACUAUCUGGGUAGCCAUGACAUAUUGCUAGAUGUCAAUCUGGCUUGUAAGUCCCAAAGAUUAAUCGGGACAAUUAAUUCUUGUGGGAGUACUAAUGUGUUAGUACAAGUCUUACUACCAGCUUAGUGAUGAAUCUAGGGAUGUGACACACCAUAAACAAUUAGGAUAACGUGGAACAAGAGAGAAAUAUAAUUGCAAAUGUGUUUGCAAUUACUACAAUCGAAUUGAGUUGAUUUGAAAUUAAAUUAAAUGAGAUUUAAUUUAAUUUGUAUUAUAGUCACGAGCCUACUUGCAUAUGAUGCACACGCAUGUCCGAAUUGGAUAUAUGUUAACGUACCCCAAUUGUACAUAUAAGAAUUAUGUUAUUUUUUUUAUUUUUUUAAGGGAAUUGAUUAAUCAUUAAUUAAUUAAUUGAUUAAUUAAAGUGGAAAUGGUCAGCAAUUUUUGCUGACCACUUCACACGAAUACGUGCACAUGCACGCACGAAUUCGUGCAUGAUGGUCAGCAAUCGCUGACCAUCAUACACGCAUUUUGUUCGUGCAUGGACCAUCAUGCACGAAAUCGUGCAUAAACGGUUAGUGGUUGUUGACCGUUCCGUUCGUGCAUGAGAAUGAGGAUCGGCAACGGUUGCUGAUCCCACGAUCGGCAACCGUUGCUGAUUUGUGUAUAAAUAUUAAAAAGAAAGGCUGCAAAAAAGUUGCAACGUAGAGAAAUUUUCUGUGGGCGUGCGUCUUGCGUUUUCAGAGACAUACGAGUGAUGCUUUGCUGAAAACAGAGAGCAAAUUGUGUGCGUGUUCUUGUGUCUUUGAGACGCAAGAAAGAAGAGCGUUAUCUCAUUUGGGCUGUGACUAUUAUACAUCAAGAAUACGACGGAUUGUUUCCACGUGAUUGCUAGCACGAUCAUCUUGGUGAAUAUCCGAAAGUUCUCUCUUCUGUUCGACGUUCGUUGUUGGUGUGUCUGAACUAGAGGUUCGAUGCUUGUGGGACUCGAACUGUAGAACAUCCAAACCGACUUGUUUCAAAGCGCGCUUCGAGAGGUAAUUCGUUUAACUCCCUUUUAUAUUCAGAUUUUUUAUUAAAACGCAUGAACAACGCCUUAGGAGUCAUGUAUAAAAUAUAUCUUUGUAUCAAUUGCGUUCUUUAUGUUAAUUUUACCUAUACAUGAUUCAUGAAACCCCAACAUCCCAUACCGGUCUCUCUCCACCUAUUAGCUAAAUGUUUGGGUUGGACUUUUUAAUAUUAACAACACAAUGUGAUUGAGUAUAAAUGAAUUAUCAUCGGAUUUUUCUUUUGUCAUAAGAAUACUCUAAAGCCUCGAACUUGGCUUUUCUGUUUGAGUAUAGUUGGUGAUUUUCUUGCCUUUUUAUAAAAAAUUUAUGGGAGGGUGGUUAUUUGUUUUGCAUGGUGGUGUGCUGCUCGACGGCAAUUUUUUCACACUAAAUCCUUUGACGAAAAUACCGAGAAUUAAGUUUUGUCUUUUGAGGAUUUCCUUGGAUGCUGAUAUUCUUUUGGUCGACUCACCGUACAGUUCCAAUUAAAUUGUUGUUAGGCGAUGAUGAUUACUCAUCUUAUUACGCUAGAAUAAGGAAGGAGAGGGGAUUACAAAGAUUGCAAGCCUGUCAUUAACUAAAUCUAAAGAAAGCAAUUGUUAUAAAUCAUUGUUCUCCAUAUUUGAUUGUGUGUUUCUGCACAUAGUUAGGCCCUAAGUUUGGAGCUCACGUGAAAAGUAGCCACAUCAAUGUCAAGUAUAUUAUCGAUCAUAUAUUUUCUCUUGGGAUGGAAUUAGAUAUUUCAAAUAGCACACACUAUAUUUGAAUGCGAAACAUAUUCAUUCAUUUGAGCAGGCUUGAGAGUGAAAAAAGAAUUGCCCAUCAAGCUCGGCUCAACCUAACCUAAAUAUAAGGAAAAAAAGCUAUUCGAGCUUGAGGGCAAUGACUCAUCUCUUAGACCUUGGAGCUACCAAGACUUGCCCAACGCAGUUUUAUUGUUUGGCGAAUGCCAAGCCUAAAUGAGUUUGGGCAAGCACAUUUCUUCUUGGGCUCUGGCUCGCCCCGACACUGUCAUCUAUACUAAGAAAGUAUAAUAGUUUACAAAAUCAUAGGCCGAGCCAGGUAAGAAUUUUGAUGGUCGAUAUUUGACUUGGUCCGUCUAGACUCCCCAUUCAAUAGUUCUACAAAUAGUGAGUGUUGUCCUAGCCGAACAACUUUUUUUUCACCUUAUUACCCAUAUUGUAUGUCAAGUCCAAGUGCAAUCUGAUCCUUUUCGGAUUAAGGCCCAAGAGUUUGGGCUGUUACCUUUUGAGGCCCACCAUGCCAACGGCAGCCCAUUCAAUGCCUUUGAAGCAUGAUGUUAGUUUCUCCAAAAAAAAGCAUGGUGUUAGGGCUUAAUCCUACUACAGUUGUCAAAAUCAGUUUGAAUUUGCAUUUAACACUGAGUGCACCUAAAACAUUUUGAAAAUCUACGCGUAAAAUCUUCCUAUUCUUUUAAAAUUUGAAUUUUUAUUUCAUACGACAAAAUUUGAAGAAGCUCAUUUAGACUGUGUUGCCGGUAAUGCAAGAGAGAUAAGUCAUGAUUGGGUAGGCAAAGGCAGGGCGCGUAGAGUAAACCUGAGCUAGGUUUUGCGAAAAUUCACCAUGAUGGGUCUUAUAGAAGGAACAAAACAUGGCUGUUGUUAGGAUAGUGGCGAGAGAUGAAACGGGGGAGAUGAUUACCUGCAGGGGCGUCGCAGUGCAAACUAGACCUGCAAAGAAAACUGAAUUACUUGCUGUUCGAAAGAGCAAUGAAGUAGUUAAAGAAAAAGCUGAACCAAGGCAGUAGGGGAGCUGAAUGCAACUGAGGUAUACAAGGAUAUCAUCAAUUUUCCCAAGUUGUGCAAUUAAAGACUAAAGGACGCUCCUGCCGGGAUUCAAGAAGCUAAAGAUCAUUUUGCAGCUCUAAAUUUUAGUUGUAUUUCACAAAAGGCAAAUGCUUGUGCCCAUUAGGUAGCUAUGCCAAGAUUGGGAUCUACAUCUGCAUCCCCCAUCCUUCUUAUCACAUUUUCUUAUAUCAACAGCGAGUUACUAGAGUAAAAAGAAAAAGCCCCAUCGAGGACACACACGACACACCCAAAUGUCAGUCUCUGACCUCUAGUGGCUGGUUUAUGGAAAUUCUAUGAGAAACAUCUCCUCGGGAAAAAUCAAUCCGUAUUAAGUAUCGAAUUGAAUUGAUGCCUUCCAACCCAAAAAUUGACCCUAAUCCCAGAAAGCUGACUUUAGGUGGAACAACGAAUUGCGGCAAACCUGAAGAAGGCAAAGAAGUCAACAGAGAUAAAUCCUUUGUCAGGGCUCGGGUAUGAUCAAUUUCAGUUCACUGGAUCCGAACACCAAUGUAGAUGAGAGGGAUCUCGUGGAUGAGGGGCUGAUAGUUGCCAGUGAGUUUUGAGCAUCGAUCUUUCAGAAUCUCGCAUAGAAAUAUCUCCAGAAUUUGGACAGAUCAUAGUCUUCCUUAUUACUCCUUUCCCCCUUUCCCUGACAACAAAGAAAAAGAAAAUGUGCUUUGAGAUAGUGUGGGAAUUUGAAUAGAAGAAAGAGGAACCAUGAACUUUAAAAAGAACUCGGAUAUAAAUGGCUUAUGCUGCAGGCCUCAUUCAAAUUUAGUUGUCAUAUUCGCCAACUUGAAAACACCUGUUUUAAAUCUUAUUUUUUUGUGUCUUUACUGUAGCUGCUACUUUGGAAGUAAGAAAGCCUCUUUGAUCGACUAUUAAUAUAGACCUCGAUUAUUGACAUAAUAAUACAGAUUAAUCUUUUAGAGCAUGUCGCCCAAAAGAAAAAGCAGUUUAAAGCAUAUUAGUACUCCUACCAAUAAAAAAAUAGCCUUAUGUUUUUCUUUUGUCAAGUUGCAACGGGUGAACAUAAGCACAUCAGUUGCUUACCUCGGCACUGGUUGCAUUUGAUCCUCCUGAGAAAUUUUGCCAAAUAAAGAUAACAGUGGAAUAUUAUGCAAAAGAAUCACAGUCGAGACAAUUUAGGUCACUGAGCUAGGAUAUAGAAAAUUAAAAAAGGAUAUUUGGAAGAGAAAACAUAACAAACACCUAAGUUGUGGAAAAAUAACAAUAUAAGAGCAACAAUUCUUCGUGAUUCUCACGCAAAGCAUAGUGUAUUUCCAUAAGUGGAAAGAUAAGCAAUUUUUGGUCAUCAAUCAGUUCAAGAUAUAUCAUCAAUACAGACAGGCACAUAUAUGCAUCAUAAUUCCAGCACUGUUAACAAGUCAUGUAAGUAUUAUUUGUUUUGAGGAAUAGUCACUUGUAUCAAGCAAUGGUUGGUUGGCUUGCUGUACCACAUUAGAAUUAUAACCAUGUCAUUGCUUGCCUCCUUGUCAAACAAAACAGAGCAACCCAAAUGUCAACAUUGGACCAUCAGCAGCGGUUUGUGGAAAUUUAGGUGAAGCUUGUCCACAUGAACCUUUUAGCAUCAAAUUGAGGAUUCAUAAUAGAAAUGGAUCUUGGAGCAGCAACAGUAGCUAAAAAAGAAGCGUGCAAGAAAGAAAGACGUCCAAAUCAUUACCUGAAGAGAAAAAUUAGAAAUUGGAUAGAUAUCUUCUUAUUGGAUCUGAACUUGAUCAACUAUGAUGAGUGGGAUUUCUCGGAUGAGGUGCCCAUAGUUGCCACUGAGUUUUAAGCAUUAAUCUUUCAGAAUUUGAAAUUGAAUUAUGUUGGAUACUUGGAGGAGAGAAAGAAGCCAUCCUCUGGCAUGGUCUGAUAACCUAUAAAAUGUAGCUGUUCGAGAGUGGAGAGAUGGAUCUUUCCACGUUCCUCAUAGUUCUCAUCCAAAGAGAUGUAGAGAUGAGGGAAACAGAAUACUCCAUGCUUCUUACAUCCUCCACUGUUGAUACUCUUUCCACAUUCCUCGUAUUUCUCACCCAAAAAUCUGAAAGAGGACUAUCAAUUAGUUCUGAAUAAAAAUUACCUUUCAUGCUUAGAGUGAUCAGAACAAGAUUAUAGGCAUACUCAAUUGACAGCAAUGAAAAAUGAACAGGGAUACCCUCUUGAUGAUUUUCUUUAUGUUUUUUUCACUGAAAAAUUCUUGCGAUUAUGUUAGCUCACAAGUAUGGGAGACCACUAAUCACCGGCGAUGGUGACUUAUUUGUAUGCUGUGAUAACUCCUAAGAAUGAUUGCCUACACCUGUUGGCAAAUCUGGAAUGCUCAAAAUGCAAUCACUUUUACCCAUAAAUCACCAGAUGUUGAAACUGUCACUUGUACAGGUUAGAAAAGCUAUUUUGCAGUGUGUUUCCAGUAAAAAUGUAAGCUAAGUCAUGAUUGGGCUGAUGCAAGGCACGGUGCAUGGAGUAAACCUGACCUGGGUUUUGUUAAGAUUAACUAAGACGAGUCUUACAUAACAUGCCGUCAUUGGGAUUGAGGCUAGAAAUGAAACAGGGGAGAUGGUCGCCGGCAGAGGAGGCUGAAUUACUUGCUGGUCGAAAGAGCAUUGCAAUGGCUAAAGAAAAAAGUAGGCCAAGGCAGUAGAACAGAUGGAUGCAGCAGUGGCAUACGAGGAUAUCAUAAACUUCCUCAAGUAGCGCAAUUGGAGACUAAAGGAAGCUCUUGCUGGGAUUCAGGCAACUAAAUAUCAUUCUUUCACCCCUGAAUUUUUUUACUUGAAUUUCACGAUACGGCGGUUUCUGGAAAUCCUAUGUGACACUUCUCCAUGGGAAAAAAUUAAUUCGCACAAAGCAUCGAAUUGAAGAACAUAAGCGAAAUUGAUGCAUCCAAGACCAAAAAGCUUACCUGGACCCUAGAAAACUGACUACACAUCGAAGGAUGCAUCGUGGCAGUUAGCAAAUGAAAGUGAAAGUGGAUCAAUUUUGCUUCACCAAAUUUGAAACUAAUCAAUGCGCAUGCCAGGGAUUUCUUGGAUUUUCCCAAAAAUUUAUGUGAGACAUCUACAUGAAGGGAAAAUCAGUUUGCAUCGAAUUGAGGAAGCAAAAUGGGAAAUCGAUGCCUUCAAAACCAUAAACUUACCUAAACCUUAAAAAACCUUACUGUACCAGGACGAAUCAAUUCAUUGAAUUUGAACCCAAUCAAUCUCGAUGUCAGGGAUCUCUUGGAUGAGGGGCCAAUAGUCGCCAGUGUGUUUUGAGCAUUGAUCUUUCAUAAUCUCGCAUCCUUCUAUCCACAAUUCUUGGAGGGAGGGAGGGAGGCCAUCCUUUGGCAAGUCCCUCAACUUCGGGCAAUUUGAAAUCCCUAAACACUGGAGAGAGGAGAGAUGCUUGCGAAAGCCAUCCGAUUGUCUUUCCACGUUCUUCAUAUGGCCAAUCCAAAGAGAGGUAAGAGAGGAAGGAAAGGGAAGACUCGAGGCAUCAUCCUCGUCCUCCUCCUCCUCAGGAAACUGCACCUUCUCUCCCUCCCCUCCCAUGUUUGUUCCAAUAAUAUCUAGAAACGUGAGGGAUGUGAGCAGGGGUAAGCCCCAUUCUCUCACUGGUUGUUUCAUAUUCUCGCACUCACAAUGAAACGCUUGCAAAUUGGGAGGCAAACCUCCUUCGGGCAACCAUUGGAUAUUUUGGCAAUGCCUAAUGGAUAUGUUUCGGAGGGAUGUAAGAUGACACCACUUUGGUAGAGACUUUAUCUUCGGGCAGUUAGAGAGAGAGACAUGUGACAGGGUGAUGAGAAGGGGAAGGGAAUCUAUUAUUUCCAAUGCCCCGCACCCAAUUAUAUCCAAAGAAGUGAGAUUGUUACAACUUGUGAUACCGGUGAUAGACUUUAUCUUCGGACAUCUCUCAAGUGUAAGGCUUGAUAGAGUGAGGGGAAGGGGAGGAAAGUCCUCUAUCUGACAACAGUCACAUAUACUCAAUCCAGUGAGAUGGGAGAGCGUGUGAAGGAAUUGUGGUAGGCUUCCAGUGAGAUGGGAGAGCGUGUGAAGGAAUUGUGGUAGGCUUCUUAGAUUCCAACAAUUGCGAAUUCCCAUAAAUUCGAGUGAUUCUAUGGUGAUUCUUCUAGUGAUUCCACUCCCUCGCAGUAUUUAAUAUAAAAUGUCUUUAGAGUAGCAAGUCUAUCCUUGGUAGAGGGACAAAAUGUCAGAAAAUCACAUUUACUUGUACAUGAAGAUUGAAGUUGAGACAUCAGGUUGUUGUUGUUGGGGUCAUAUGAAGAAAUGGUUGGCAUUAUGAGUUUUGGACACUGUUCAAUAGACAAAUAAUUGAGUGCAUACAUCUUGCUUGGAAGCUUUUCUAAACUGGUGCAAUUACUCAAUUUCAUCUUUUCAAGGUUGCAUGGCAGCUCUAUUUCUAUUUCUCCUGCCACGACUGAUGUGAAUUGAGGACAGCUUACAAUGGUUAAUUCUUGGAGGCAAGUAAGAUUUAGCAUUUCAUUUCCAUCUUGCCACAAAUAUUUUAACCGGUCGCACCCUCCUCUAUGAAGCUCCUUUAGCUUGAUCAAGUGGCUCAUAAACCCAAACAAAGCAAACAAACUCUGCAAGAUUCUUAAUUGUAAGAAUGGUCAAAGAAGUUAGGUUCAUCAAGCUCUUCAAGAUCUCUUUAUUACAAUCCUUGCGGAACAACUCAUGGAGAGAUGGAAGACAAACAUCAUUGGUUGAGUUUUUCAAAUGUGGACAUGAAUGAAUUUCAAGCUUUGUGAGACGAUCAAGUUGACAAGGCAAUGUCCUGACGAACGAAGGAGAGCCCCGAACAACAAGAUGCUUAAGACAGGAGAAUGAGACUUCUUUUGGGCCAGCAUAAGGAGACCAAUCCUUCCAUGCCAACAUCUCUUCGAACUUCAAAGUGGUUAAGGAUGAAAAAGGCCUUGUACCUCCGUAAAAUUCAAAGCCUAUCAUUCUUAUUGCAUGUAGACCUUUAAGAAAUAAUUCCUUAAGUGAAGGUAGUUGUCCAAUCAUAGAUAGCGACAUAACAUUAGGAUAGUCCCACAAGCAUAAAGACACUAUUUUAUAAUAGGAUGUACAAUCUAACCAUGAUGGGAAUACUACACCACGAUAGUUCAAAAUAGCAAGAUUUUCAAGAUUAGUGUGAGGUUGCAGAGAGUCAAGCACCUGUGCUUCACGCUCAUGAUUAUAAAGAUCUCCCAAAUGUUCACCCCAAUGCAAGGAUAAGUUUGUAAGGCCUAGCUUUCGAAGCAAAUUAGCAUCAACUGCAUCUAUAACUUUUUCCACCUUUUGCAAUUCUGAUAUGAAUAAUUCUCCUUCAAGAUGUGGCAAGUUCUUUAACUCUUUCAACUGCGACCCUUUCUCAAGUCCUACCACAAAUUUGGACAACAUAAUAAGAUUCUUUAAAUUACUGAUACUCAACGGCAUCUCUUUUAGACUAUUUGUAUCUCUAAUAUCAAGAAACUGUAAGCUGACUAACUUUGUGAUAACUUGAGGCAACUUUGAAAGCUUUUGACAACCUCUUAAAAUCAAAGCUUGUAAUUUGCACAAGGCGCCAAUUGACUCAGGUAGCCUCUCAAUAUGAGUGUACGAGAAAUUGAGGUAUCGAAGAUGUUUUAAAUCACCAACACAAUUCGGUACCUCUACGAUGUUACAACGACAUAACGAGAAUACUCUCAAGCACUUCAAGUUUGUUAGCAAGUCAUGUAGCACCUUGUUGGAAAUAAAGAAAGAUCUUCCACAAGAUCCAUCACGCACCAGAAUUAAACUUCUUAGUGCCUUCAUUCCUUGAUAUGGUUUCAGGCAUUUUGAUGUAACAUACCACGAUGGGAUGAAUGAUGCAUAACGAGUUUUUUCAAGAGAUGAUAAAUCAUGUUCAUUACUUGCUACCCGAGACCCCCCUAAGCUAAAGCAAGUCACACCCAAAAUUGACUUUGCUAGAUCAUUCAAAAGAUCAUGCAUUGAAAACUUAGAUGCAUCGAUACUUGAUUGUUGAAGAAAUGACUUGGAUACUAACUCAUCAAAGUGCUUCCGUCCCAAUUUCAAGAUAUUCUCAUUUGCUUUUUGCCCAUCUAAAAGUCCCUCUGCAAUCCAUAAGAGUACCAACUCAUCCCUCUCAAUUUCGUAAUCCUUGGGAAAUACCGCACAAUAAGCAAAACAUCUCUUUAAAUAGGAAGGAAGAUGGACAUAGCUCAAUUUUAAAAUAGGGAGAACCUCAUCAUUCUUUGCCGUCAAAAGAUCCCACAUUUUGUUAUUUAAGGUAUCUUCCCACUCAUCAGGAUUACUUUUAGUACGUAGGACACCGCCCAACAUCUUUGCCGCCAAAGGUAAACCUUUACAUCUUUCAGCUAUUUUCUUGCCUAUUAUUUUAAAAGCCGGGUGGCUCUCAAAAUUUGUUACUCCAAGAGCAUGAAAUGCCAAUAAGCUUAUACAAUUAUCAAAGGACAAUUCCCUCAAAUGUUAUGGUGAAGCUCUUGUUAUGGAAGCAACAUUAAGGUUGCGAGUCGUGAUGAUGAUCUUGCUUCCGCUAGCCCCCGCUUCUAAUGGCUUUAAGAGGGCGGUCCAUUUUUCAUACUUCUCAUUCCAUAUAUCAUCUAAAACCACACGAAACUUCUUCCCAGCUAGAUUAUCCUUCAACUUAACUUGAAGCUUGUUAAGAUCUUUGUCGUCAUCGGAUGACCUAGUGAUCAACUGCAAAAUAGUUUUUGUUAUGUCAAGGACAUCGAAAACAUCUGACACACAAACCCAUGCUUUCUUCUCGAAACAACUAUUCACUUUGGCAUCAUUAUAUAGCCGCUGAGCCAAGGCCGUCUUUCCAACACUGCCCAUCCCAACUAUGGGGACUAUGCUUAGUGUGGCAUCAGAAUUUUUGACCUCACGGAUCAAUAGUUGGAGUAUCUCCAUUUUUUCCUUCUCCCUACCGACAAACCGAGGCUCCGGCAGAGAACUAGUGGGAUCCCUUUUGUUGCUAUAGUUGGAUCUAUCCACAACAUUGUCUCUCAAGCUUAGAUAAUCCCUCCUUUUGACAAUCGCUUCAAACCUACCUUUGAUAUCUUGGACCUUAGUGUCAGACACGAGUGAGCCUAGUCGUGUAAAAGAAAAUAACUUCCUUUUCCAUCGACCUCUACUUGUUUUGGAUUCUACCUCCUACUUAACUUGAGUGGCUUUGAUGUCUAACUCAUCGAGCAAGUCUUCUAUGUCAAAGGCCAAGUCCCUAACAUCAUCGAGCCACAGCUUCACUAGACAAUUCCCGCUAAGUUGCUUUUCCUCUGCAUCAUCCACCACUGCAUUGAUUGUGACUAGCAUCCUCUUCUAGUCAUCAAGGAUGGUGGUGUCAAUUCCUUCCCGUUGCGCAUAGUCUGAUGCCAAAGAACUCAACUUGUCAAACAAGGUUUGAAAGAAGGAACCCAAAACGAUCUCCCCAAUGGCCAUGGGUGAAUCAAUCACUGUUGAGAACAACAAAGUGUUAUGGUGAAGUAAAGUAAAAUGAGCUAAUGGAAAGAGAAAACUAUGAAUUCCAGGAAGACCAAGAUGUCCACUUACCAAAAAGAAUAAAAAAAGGACCAAGACUUUCAAGGGAUGCACACCAAAGUUUAGACAAAUCAAACUAAAAUAGUUUUUUGUCCAAGAGUGCUUGUUUUGUCAAUUGUUCUCCCUUUUCUUCGGAUCUAGACUUUUCUUGUGGGCAUCCAAAACAGAGGAUAAAUGUGAUUUUUCUUCAUAUGACCAACUUAGAGCUCACAUGUAUUUUCGUCAAAAACUUCAAUACUUACGAGUGUUGUGUUGGCUUUUCACACAUUCAUAUAUUAUUAGAAUCUCUAUGAUUUCAUUGUCCUUGUUUUUUUGCUUUAUUGUUGAAUAUGCGAUCAAUAUAGGCUUUUACGCGGCGGUUACAUUGCUGAAAAUUUGCUUAUGUUUAAGAUAUGAGAAGAUUAUUGGUUCCUCCUUCAAUGUGAAUGACCAUGUAAAGACAUCAAAGGCGACUAAUUUGUCCGUUCAAUAAGGAAAACAAAGCACAUGCUUUGGGCUAAACAAGAAAAAAGGUCAGGUGCACCAACUAAUCCAUUAACCAAGUUGCUUUAGUUUACUUUUCAAAUAGUGAAGGAGUCAAUAAUCAUUAAUUAACAGUACAUAAUCUACUAAAAAUUAUACUUUAUGCAUCAAACCAUCGUUCUCUUAUCAAGCAAUUCUGAUUAUCAACUAUUACCUUAGCACCCUUCGGCAGAUCAUCAUCGUCAUCUUGCUGCGAAGUUUUGCCAUUGUAACUGCCACUUAAAGCCUAUAUUGAUCGCAUAUCCAAAGUAUGCGAUCAAUGAGCGGAAUCGUUCGGAGAGCACGUGCUUUCCAUCCAGCCUUUCGUCUGUUUAUCUACAUCUUUUUGUGCAGCAAGAAGGCAUCCCCUCUAGAAGCGUUCUUUAAACAUUUUGUAUUCUGAAUCGUUUGAAGUUCACCCAGACAUUACGUGCUCUCCAUCAACAAUGUAUUUCCUAUUUACCUUGAAUUAAAGCAAAUGUCCCUCUUUUCUUUUUGUCUUCUAUUGGUCUACAAUUAAGAAAAAAAAAUGACAAGUCUUCCACAAUUUGGUAACAUUAUAAUGAAAAAUUCACAAGGAGAUUAGAACCAUAUUAAUUUGUUUAACAAUAUGAUUUUUCUUUUUUGGUAUGAGCAUUUCACUUCUUUCGGGCGGUGACUUUUUAUUUUUUCCCCCUCCCUUUUCUCUAUCAUAUCCUUUAUUUUCUGGUAGCGGGAAUGCACGACUAUAAACAUUUACUUUUCAUUUACACUUUUUUUUCAAUGAAUUAUAUAUAAAACAUGUACUAAACCCUUAAUUUGACAUCCGAAUUUUGCUGGACCUCGAAUAUGUAACUGUCCAUGAUGGGUCGACGAAUUUGUCGUCGGACUACGUCGUUGGCGCCACUUUUGGUCGUCGUUUCGUCACCACUCUCACCGUAUCGAAAUGUUACAUUUCGUCACAUUCUCGCGAUAGCAUCUCAUUGGGAAUCUUUUCACAUAAGGCCACCUGUGAUACCCAUCUCUGCCGCAUUUGCACCUUAUUAAAGCGAGUUUUCAAGCACAUGGAGACGUCGACUCCCAAAGUUGCGGCCCCAUCAAGGUACCCCUCCUUCACGCGAUCGAGGAACUCGCCCAUGCAUAGCCAUGCAUACGUCCAUUUGGGGGUCAACAAAGGAGGAUAUUUGACCACCUAAUAGCCCUAAAUAAAUUGCCUUUCCCCCAUGCACGUACAGAACCAUGCAGCCCCUUCUCUCUCGCAGUUCAACCGGUCAACAAAAAGGGAAGAUUUUGACCGAAGGAGCAGCCACGUCCAGCAUGCAUGCAAGGUUGACCGUGCAGCCAAGAUUUCUUCAACUGGACAUCUAUUUGAAGACUUUGACUCCUUGAAGCCCACGUCCUGCUGCCACGCCCCUCUCCUUCUUCGACCAGCGUACCGAGUGCAGGAGCAAGGAGUCGGACACGUCUCUUGCAUGGACAUGCAAGACGUCCUUCGACCGCCACCGGAUUUCCUCUCCUGUUGACUGCCACGAAGGCCCGCUUAGUUGACCCAUGCAGUCAACAAAAGGGAAGACACGUCUACGCAUGGGAAGGGACAGAUGGCGACUAAAAUUCUUCAAGGACAGCCACGCUCUGCUCGAGAUGUCCUCGCCUCUUCGCUGUCACCGCACGCGUGACUCAAGGAGUCAAUGGCCAAGAGGGAUUGAUUUCCUCUUGCAUCCGGUGAAGCCGAGUUUCUUUCCCCCCAUUUUCUCGAAUUCUCCACCCCUUUGAUGACGGCAGCGAACUCUCAGUCGAAGGUCUUCCAUAGCUCGGGCAUCGUCACCAGCUAUGUAGCAUCGAUAUGGACACGCGACACAUGACACGACACGACAUGACACGCCGACACGAUAUUUCUCAAAAAAUAGAAAUUUUCGACACGUUUUAACACGUUAUAUAUUAAAUAUAUAUUUUUAUAUAUAAAUACAAAAAUAAAUAAUAAAAAGAGCAUAGAAUUAAUUUAUACUAAAAAUAUUAAUUCAACAUUUGUUAAUAUCAUUCAUUAUUUUAAUUUGACAGAGAUUGAAUAAGAAAUUUAAAAAUUGCAAAUACAAAAGAGUAAAUUUGAAUGAACAUGUCAUGUUUUCUUACAAUCGUCGGAAAUUGGUGAGAUUUCUUAUAGUUCCAGAUAGAGUUCAGAGUUCAUGAUAUAGACUGGUUUGGAGCUCCUCUGCAAAACAAGGUUCGAGAAAAAUGAAAAUCUAGGACAAAAACUCUCAAAGUACAACGAAAAGAAAAGAAAUAACUAAAUUCGCCAUGGAAAAUGUAAGAGAUAACUCACAAGCUAAUGACAUAGAACAAAAGAGAUAACUCAUAGGCGACGCCUGCAAUAGGCAAAAAGAGGAAAAAAGAAGCAAAAAAGAAAAAAAAAAUCACAACUUUAAGUCUGCGAAGGCGGCGGAGCAACACCGGCAAGAUGAGGGGCGUUUCAUCGUCACUCACGAGAAUGUCAAAACUUAUAAGUAAGAACUUGAGAGUGAGAAUUUUCUUUGGUCUCUUUUAUUUUUGUUACUUUCAUUAUUUUUAUAUAUUUAUAUUUUAACCCCUCAAGUAUUGAAAUUUUUUAAAAUUGACCCUAUGCGUGUCAAAAUUGCGUGUCGAAAUUUUGGACUCGCGUGUCGGAGCGUGUUGGGAAGAAUUGACCACGUGUCGGAUUUCUCAACACUCGUUGAUCGCGUGUCGGACACGAGUCAGAGUGUCGGACACGACACGAAGGCUUCCGGAGAGUGUCUGUGCUUCUUAGGCCACCGGUAGGCAACCACCCACACCACACCGCUGUAUCCCACGCCAUCGGCCUCCUCACCAUCCCGUACCUAGCUACUAGCCGCACCACCACACCGCUCUGUCACUGACCCCAUCAUCGUUGUUGAGUUGCCCACAGACCGCCAAGCCGACCACCUCAGGAAGUCUCAUCGCUUCGCCUUCGGUUUGUUGCCGACUACCGCCUGCCACCAGCGUCGCAGCUCGAAAUCUGUCGCCACCCCUCUGCCGCAGCAAGACCCAAGAGGCCUCGGCUCACGCUUCACCGCAUGCCAUUUUUGCUUCUCUUCACCUCAACCGUAGCUAGUAGCUAGCGUUCCGCUCGCCGUCAAUGCCAUCGGACCUAAGGCAAGUUGGAGUCUACUAACCUAUAUAGUGUAGUGCUGUUGUUGACUGAGGAAGUGCAUUGUUAGGUUGGAUUGUUUGAAUUUGGUGUUGAAUGGUGAUAUAUAGGAUGACCGAAAUUGUGUGGGGCUAGAUGAUUGAGGAAGCUUUAUAGUUUUUAUGAAUACAUGUGAUUUCGGACUUCAAAUAUGCAUCAAUUUUAGCGUUUGUAAAGCUUUGAGAAUUCCGCUUAUAAACUGUUUUGGAAAACCUCCCGAUUUGUGUUGAAAUUUUUAUGUACCGAGGUGCUGCUCACAAAUGUUUUAAAAAGAAAUGAAAAAUGUUUGGUGUCCUCGAAAUCUCAAAAUUUUACAUGAACCGUUUUAAAAACCUUGAAGUCGGGAGUGAGGUUUGGAAUUGCCGAUAUGCCGAUUUCAAAUUACUUACGGUUUUGAUCAACCUUUUCAAUUCGGGCCGUGAGGCGCAAGUGCGGCUUGAGGAUUUAUAAGUGAAUUUCGAAACCUAUUAGAGGGUUAACCGUGGAAGUGAAUCUUAUGGAUUUGGUAUCGUGCUUUUGAUUUCAUUGAUAUGGGAUUGACAUAUGUUUUAAAGACUAUUGUUGUGGUAUUGAUGUGCCUUUGAAAACGUUUUGGCAUUGAUUUGAUUUAAAUGACUACACCAUGGUUGAUAUAUUACUGCUACGGUCAGACCCUCGGGAUGACAAAGUCUCGGGAGACAGGAUGCCUAGAGGUGAGAUAUGACAUGCUCUGGAUGCUUGUUGGACACCAUUGUUGUGGUGAGCCCAAAGGUUCCCUGGGUGUCAGGAUGCCCAGACAUAUGACGAUACACAUUCUAGAGGGUAUGGGACACUAGUAACAUAGUGAGCCCUGGCGAUUCCUCAUGAUGCUAGGUUAGGUGCGAGAUAUCUAGAAGUGAGACAUGACACACUCCGGAUGCCCGGUGAGGCUUUCGUGAUGCCAGGUUGGGUGUGAAUGCCUGGAGGGAUGCAAACACUGGUCCUCCAGGAGUAGGUGAUAGUGAAUUACGAAUCUGUUGAGUUUUAAAGUUGAUUGUUCUGUUGAGUUACGCCAUUUUGAUAGUUGCGCCUAAUUAUGGAACAAAAUUGUGUGGCACGGUAUGGAACGUGUCACAACGGUUUGGCCUUAUAAUCGGGACCCACGUGAUUGAAAUGAUGUGUUCUGGUUAUUAAACUGCGCUUGCCAUUUCGUUGAAAAGCUUUAUUGACUUAAUGCGCAUCUAUUCUUUUAUUGAUGUGUUUUGUGGAUUUUGCACAUAUGACAAUGAUUCUACAUAAUAUAGUUUAGUAGAUCUUUAGCUGCUGAGUGGUUGUACUCACCCUUGUGGGGACUAACAUAUUUCAGAGUAAGGAAGAUGUCUUUGCUGCCCACACCUCUUGGUACUUUCUAUGGGAUCCCUAUCGAUUUAUAAUGGAACAAACAGAGCAUCAGGAUCUUGACGGUUGGGACUGACUUUCAUUCGAGUGAGGGUGAUAGUGAUGUUCGACACUGGCCUACCCUCGGGUUCCGUACAUCAAGAGUUCGUCAUCUUAUAUGUCCGAAGGAAUGAACGUACUCUGUGGCCGCUGCCACCUCCGCUAGAGGACGAUGACAGGGGAUCGAGCGAAGUAGAGUGAUCGAGGACAUGAGGUCAACAACGAAAUUUUGGACACCGACACUUGCUGAUAGACGACUUGUGAAUAGCUAAUGGAAAAUGUUGGUCUAGUUUUUGAUAUAGCCAAGUAUAGGAAACUUCGGCUUUUGUUGUACCGACAAAAGACAUCUAUCAAGUUUACGUUAAUAAAAAAAAAAAGUGCUUGGUCGAUAUAUGUGUGUAUCUAGCGUGCAUCAUUUCAGUGUUUAGGAAGGGAGUUGUUGGAUCCACUUCCGCCAUAUACAUUGCGUAGGGACCAAAUAAGUGUGUAAUAAGACCCCCAUAUGGAUUCUCCGAAGUCCAUUGAUAUAAGAAAGAAGGAUAUCCAGGACGAGGGAAGAAGUGUGGUGACCCUAACGGAUUGGGGUGUCACGCCCCGAUCCUCAGGCAUGCGCACAUCCCUUACUUUUGGUGGAUUUUAAAAUGCGAUAUCCCCAGGACUACAUAUUGCCGACCCUUUCCUUCUUAAUAGCACAUGCGGAAGCAGUUAUAAAAAUCCCCAGACAAUAAAGCAAUGGGAUAUACAAGUAGGACUAGAAACCUGAACCUGAAAACCACACCCUUAUGUACAUAUCUACAACUCAGUCAUACAUGUACAUAUAUCAGCCAUGCUAAAAAGGUUGGUUUCUACUCAAACAGAUUCUACGACAAAGGUCAUCAAAUAGAAGUGGAGUCUCAAUCCUCAUCAGGAUCCUACUCUGGAUCAUCCUCGGGGUUCUCCUUCUGGUACUCCUCUUCGGGUUCUUUCUCCUCAGGUUCUUCAUCAAGGUCCUGAAAUGUUUUCCUCAAACCGGGAUGAGACUACGUCUCAGCAAGUUCUACCCCCUAAGACCCGAUUAGUAAACUAAUACACCUUAGGGCUGCCUAUGCACAACAUGAGUUAGAGGACUUGCCUUGGCCUCAAAUUCCACCUGCAUAUUAGCACAGAUCAAAUAGGCACCCAAGCAAUCACAUCACAAAUCGAAGCAUCGAUCUAAUCGACUUAGUCGAUUUCAUAUCAUUCGGACCAUUUCUAGGUCAUUCAUCCCACACCAAGCAAUUCCUUAGAUUUAGUGGCUUUACGGUCCCACCCGACCCUCUCAAUAUCUAGUGGCUUUACGGUCCCACCCGACCCUCUCAAGAUCUAGUGGUUUUACGGUCCCACCCGACCUUUUCAAGAUUUAGUGGCUUUAUGGUCCCACCCAACCCUCUCAUGAUCUAGUGGCUUUACGGUCCCACCCGACCUUUCCAAGAUUUAGUGGCUUUAUGGUCCCACCCGAUCCUCUCAUGAUCUAGUGGCUUUACGGUCCCACCCGACCUUUCCAAGAUUUAGUGGCUUUAUGGUCCCACCCGACCUUUUCUACGAAGCCAUACUCUAUCACCGAGCCACGUGCAUUUUCCAGGAAGACAUACCGAGUCUUCGAGCCACGUGCAUUCUCUAAGGCUACCUUUUCGCCAAGAUGACAUAUAUAAUCACCGAGCCACGUGUCUUUCCCAAGUGACAUUCCAAUUCACUGGGCCACGUGCAUUCUCCAGGUGAUUUACGAACUCACUUUCAAUACUGACAACCGAUACCUGACCAAUUCUCAAUCAUAAGGCCAAAAUUUCCUUAUUUAAGAAUAUAACUUAAAAAUGCAUCAUUAAAUCAAUUUCGACACGAAUUAAAGCUCAAAUAAAUAAACGGACUGCUCCAUGACAAUCAGCAUGAAAUUCCGGUCACCGACCAUCCCGGUUGAAUUUCCGGAAAAUAAAUAAUUAAAUAAAUAAUUUAGAAAAUUAAAUAAAUAAACACAAUAAUUCCAAUUUAGCACAAUAUGAAGCUCAAUUAAAUAAACGGACUACGCCACGAUCAUCAGCAUAAAAUCCCGGUCACUGGCCAUCCUAGUUGAAUUUUCGGAAAAUAAAUAAUUAAAUAAUUAAUUUUGGAAAUUAAUAUUUAAUUCCUAAAAAUACCAUUUACGCCCGAAUUGCCUAAUUAACACCCGAUAAGGAUCGGGAAAAAUCCCAAGAAGCAUCCAAUAAAUACUAUAGGCAAUUCUCUAUCUAAGUACACUAACCAAACAACUAAUAUGCAAUGCAAUUAACUAAUAAUCGCUAAUCAAUUCUAAUCUAACCACCUAAUUACACUUAACUAACACUAAUCAACCUUUAAAUAUAAUUAGCAAACUAAGAAGGUAUUAGUGAGUAAAACUCACUUGAUUAAAGAUUUGCUCGAAUCAAAUCGACGAGCACGCAACAAAGCUCGGUUCUCUUCAAAGCGGUUCUGCCAACCGGAAUUGGGAUGGCUCAAAAACGGGCCACGGGACCUUCCAACCCUUGCUGUAAAAUAGCUGCUGAUCAAGAGUUCUAGGGCUGUCACGGGGGCUAAACUGACUUCGCGGGUUGCUCGAAGUGGUGCCGAGAUGGACUGAAAACACAGGCUGAGGACAAGGCUUCGAGCAAGGCAGAGGACGGCUGUUGCUUCCGUGGAGAUGGGGGCGGUCUUGCGGACGAAGGAGGAGGCGAUCGCGGCUGGCUUCUUCGGCGGAGUCGCUGGAGUUGAUGCAACAGUCAACAAACCGACUGAGGGGAGGCGAGGUGGCGGUCAAAGACGGGGCAGAGAGACGGACAGCUCGCGGCAAGGAGAUGGGCUGCUUCGCGGUUUCGUUGGCGUGGGGAAAAGAGAACGUGGGGCGGCUGUGUCGCGGAGAUGCAGACACGGUCAGCAACUUAAGAGAUCUCCGUGGAGUGUUGACCGAGUAGGAGUCCUACACGGACGUGUGGCAGCUUGGAGAUGAGGGGAAAAAUUGGAGCUCCGGUGGAUGCUCCGUUCGGUGGAGGUGGCCGCAAGAGAGAAAUGAAGAAGCUGCUUCGUCCGUUGAACCAGCGAAAAGUAGAGAAAAUAAAGAAAAGGGAAGACAGCUAGGGAUGUCGGCUGAAUGAGGGGAUAAACAUUGACUCAAGUCAAUGAAAUAAAGCCAAAGAAAAUUAAUCCUGCAGAGGCUGUCGGCUGGAGAAAGAAAAACGCACGAGAGAGAAAAGGAGAGGCACGGAUGUGAGGGUGGUUCGUGCGUGCGUCUUCGACGAAGAGAGAGAGAAAAGGAAUUUGUGUGGCCGAGAGAGAGGGGAUGUGCGUGUGUUGAGAAGGUGGGUCCAAGGAAAUAAAAUAAAACCUUAGUUAAAAAUCUGCUCAACUUCAACAUGAAAAAUAAUUGGUCACCCAAGGCCAAUCUCGACCUCGGUUUGCACAAUUGAAGUGCAGGAUAAGACAAUCCUUCUAACCCACAAAUUUCUCUCAAAUCCGAAUUCUAUUUCACUUUUAUCGGUAUCCGAUUUUCCAAACAAAUAAAUUUGGUUUAGGUCCAAUUUAAAAUCAGAAAAAGCCCAAACAACUUCCAUUCACCGAUUCACUUACACCAGAUAUCAAAAGUCUCUUCAAAUCGACCAAUCUGAAUUUCCGUUCAUUUUCCGAAUCAUCCGCAACGAUUUUCCGUAAAAAUCCCAAACUCACUGAAAAUUCUUCAAAAGGUGAGUCGACAUUCCUAAAAUUUAUUAUGACAUGACAGAAUCUUCAAUUUUUGAAAUCGGACUCAGAUUAGCGGUUAAUUUCACUCGGACACGCUUUUAGUGUGACCUAGGCUACCAGGUAGUUUUCAUAACUUUUUAGGAUAAAUGACCCGUGGUCGAUUUUCUUCGAGCCACGAUGAACCCACUCGACACAUUUGCGACUCUCGAUUGUCAUGAAAAUCUCAAGGAUUCAAAUACGGACACAGGGUACCAAAAUGACAGUAAAAUCAAAUUAGUGCCAGUCGACAAGAAUUUUCCAAUUUAGUGGAGUCACCCACGAUCGGUCAUUCAUCUUAGUCGAAUCGACCUAUCUUUGAUCUUAAUUCGAUUUUUAACUGUGCCGUAAUGAUUUCUAAAGAUGACACGGUCGAGAAAUCGAUUCAUGGUCGAAUUCUCAGUCUAUCUGCCUUAAAUUCCUUAAUAGCCUACCCAGCUAAUCUAGUUAUCUCGUGAGUGGCCAACUCAGAGAAAAACACUGUAGUCACGUCGAUGAAACGCCUAAUUUAACCAAUCAAAAUCAGAGUAUGAAAAUCAGGAUGUCACAUGGGGGAUGUCGGGGGGUGUCACACUUAAUUACCCGGUUACAAGCAUUAUUGGUCCCCCCCCCCCCCCCUCUCUCUCGGCUUCGCAGCCCCACCAACUGAUUAAAUAUCAUAAGUUUUUUUGACGCCUUCAAAAAUUAAAACUGAUCGACUAAAGAUUCUUUAGCAUAAAUUAGAACUCAAAAGGGGGAGUCAACAAAUAUGAGAAAGUUACUCACUUUUAGGAGCGUACAAUAUAAAAUGACAAAUUGGGCUUUUUAGGGUUGAAUAAUAUGCGAAGUCUGUUUAAUACCAGAUUAAUGCGCAUUAUAAAAUAUGAACAAUCUCAAAAAAAUUUCCGACAUAGAAUACUUUUUUCUCUAACAAAAUACUGAGUCAUCGUGUGGUCUUUUUCUAACGAAGCACAAUUUUAAUUUCCAUAAUUCAAAAUUUUAUUUUUUUUAUCACGACCACCUUCACAUUUUUCUCUAUCUUGAAAGAAAAUACAUGGAUAAGUUUUCCAGUACUAAACUAUCAUUGGUUUUCACACGAUGAAAACAAGUCGUCCACAUGCAACACCCUUGGGGCUUCCGUAGAAACUACUUCAUGUGAAGUUUAAUUUGCGAAUUGACUUAACUCGAUUGAUUACACUAGUGCACCUUAAAAGAAUACUAAAUCACAAGCACCUUAUUAAUUCACCUUACCCCUUUCGGUUGAUGGUAAAUCUACCAUAUCUAUAUAACAAGGACUUCUUAUUAUAAUAGUAAAUAUUUGAAAAGACACAACAAAAGUUAUUUAUUUUGUUUGGCACCACGAAAUUGUAGUAAACGUGAAUGAAUCUCUUCUAAGAGGAAUGAAGCUAUCCUCUUACGAUAUUUAUUGUUGUUUACCCAAUUUAAUGGACUAAAAUUCCAAACAUAUAUGUGAUUAUUUCAUGUAAAAUCCCAAACUUGUACUAAGUAGAAUCAUUCCACGUCAGUGUGUGUUUAGUAAGGGGUGCAUGACAACCAGUAAUUUCUAUUCCGGAAACAAUUUUUCUAUUCCAGACUUGUUUCUGGAAUAGAAAUCCGUUUGAUAAACUUAUUCCGUUUUUUAUUUAUUUAUUUAUGAAAUAGAUUUAUAUUCCAGAAAUAGGUUUGGAAUAGAAAUCAGAAGUAGAAAUUUUUUACUUCUUUAUUUCUGGAAUAGAAAUGAGAAAUAAAUUUUUUUCUCAUCAUUCGUCAACCGGCUCUUCAUCCGUUGCCACCGACCACCGUCCAUUGAUCGCCCGCCGCCCGCCGGCCCCUGCCGCCGUCGUCCGAAAGGAAGAAAUUUUGUGUCGUUAUCAAAUGAAUUUCUAUUUUUAGAGUAGAAAUUUUGUGUCGUUAUCAAAUGGUUAUUUUUGCCUAGAAACUCUUCUAGAAAUAGAAAUAGAAAAAUCUAUUUCUAUUUCUGUUCCAGAAACUAUUUCUGGAACAUAAUGGUUGUCAUGUAUGCCCUAAAGAGAUCAAUGAUAAGGAGAUUAAAAAUUAAUCUUAAUGUCCUAAUAUUACUAUCUAACAAAAAUUGACUUGACAUCAACUUUAAUUAGGAUCAUAGAUAGGCAUGAAAUUGGUUUAAGAACCAAACUUCUGUUGCUCAGUUGCCCCUUCUUUGCCUCCAUAAUAGAAAGAUUUCAGAAAGAAUAGGUGGUUGCUAUCGGGUAAUAAAUGCUCACCAGAUGCUUUAGAUAGCAAAGUUGCGACUGCAUCAGUUUGAGGGAAAAAUAGAGCAAGAAGAUAGAUGUCUCUUACCUUUUCCGAGUAGUCCUAGAGCAGACUGGUGAACGGGAUGAGAUCAAUGCAACAAUCUAGCAAGCACGAGCGCUAGGUUCAAACAAGUAGGAGGAGAACACUAUUGAGCAGGAGGAUGGGCAUGGGUGUGGUGAAUCUAAGUGAUAAAGAGAUAAGGGAGAGAGAAAACUAUAAAAGCUAGGAAGACCAAGACUUUCACCUACCAAAAUACAAUAAACAAAGACCAAGACUUUCAAGAAUGCACGUCAGUGGUUAGAAGAAUCGAUAGAAAAUACUUUGCGUCCACAAGUGCUUGUCCUGUAAUGGUUGGACAAUAUCCUCAGAUAUUUGUAGUUUCCACAAUCAUAUAUUUGUUCAUGUACAUAAAUCAUAAACUUAAGAAGACCAAGACUUUUCGUAGACAACUACAAGUCAUCAGAGAUGGCUAACUUUCUCUGUUAAAAAAGGAAAACAAAAGCACGUGCUUUGAGCUAAACAAGAAAACGGGUCAGGCACAACAACCACACCAAACAAUCCAUUAAGCAAGUUGCUUUGUUUCACUCUGGCAAUGGUAAAGGAGUCACAAAUAACCAUCUAAUAGUAUGAUCUACUGGAAAUUAUGGUCUAUGCAUAAAACUCAUGAACAGGAAAAUCGUGUUCAAAAGGACUAGCAUUCUCCUAUUAAGCGGCUCCCUAUCAUUGACUACUAUCUCAGCACCCUUCAGCAGAUCAUUUCCACCCAUCUUGCUGCGAAUUUUUAGCACUAUCAUUGCUGCAUAUAACAAAAACUCAAGAAGUCCAAGACUUUCCAGGACACAAAUUGGCUUUGUUACUUGACUUUUCACAUGGUUUUUUUUUCCUCGUUUGAAUAAAAUAUUAUUUAAUAAUCGGCAUUGAUUGUUGUUCUCUUGCUCAAAAUCAACAAUAAUGUUCGUCUAUGGUACUUGUCUAUUAGAAUUAUGUCUAGAUUUUUAUGUAUCUUAUCAAAUAUAAGCUUAAUAAAAGCAAAAAGAAAAGCUAAAAAGAAAAAAAAAACAGCAAAAAACUGAAAAAGAAAAAAAAGAAGGAAUGGGGCGAGGGAGAGCACCGCCGUUCCCACAGCCACAGCCAUGCCGUUGGCGUCAGCACCACUACCAAGGCGACUCAUUCCAAUGCUGUCGCCACUAUCGCAACCAACGAAACUAGCCAGAUCAACCAUCACAUCCAAUUACCUUUAAUUACCUAAUGACUGGUGUAACUUGAUCUAAAGGGGAAUUCAAAACAUAAAGGAUGAAUUCUAGGAUUCAUGAUUUCUCACUUGCAUUGUCAAAAGUUGGGUUUCAUGUAAAGUCCACCUCAUCCAACAGUGGAUAAACCAAUUCUUAAAGGCUCGACUACCUAAUUGAAACUAGUAAGUUCUUAGCAUUUUUUAAUUCUUUAAUUUAAAGGAUGAACGACCAACUACACCACCAACAAAACUGAGGGCUGAUAUUUUACAAUCUCAAAGCAUGAAGGGCAAGCUGAGAAGAUGUCAACAUGGUGCAGUGAAGAUUUAGCUCAAUAUACUCAACUUCUUUACCUCAAAGAAAGCAACUUUCAUCCAUGCACUAUUGUCCUAUAUGAGAAAAAAAUUGACAGCGACACCCACACUGACCCAACAGAAAGAGCCAAUACCACUUCAACUGAACGAAGACCCCACCAGUCACAAAUGCAAGUUUAUCAUUCCCUGCACAAAUACAUAUGGAAAACAAGGAUAACAUAAGCACGCUUCGAGCAUAACAAUGUGAUAAUCCAAUAUGAAAUCAUAAUGAAUUCAAAGCGUCACUUUCUUACAUGGAUAUUCAUGCCGAGGAGGUCCAAGUAUGCACAAGUGACGCCCGACAACUAAUGGCUUUUGCUGACUCGAAUCAGGGCAACGCGGAAUAUUAUCAUUUCUUAUAUGUUUCAAGCCUUGAAUUGCCCGAAUUUGAUGGAAAACAAAUGUAACAUUAAUACGACAUCUCUCUAUAUAUUCACACAACUAGAACACUACCGAAAUGACAUUGAAAUCCUCACAUUCCCCAUGUGAACAAAGUGGCCGGCAAACACCCUUAUUAUAUUCAAGGCUGGAAACGAUGACAAUUUGAUGAGCAAUCCAUAUCCAUACAUGCCCAUCUCACCAUUCAUAUUUAUGCACCUCAAGGACUAUAUAACAUUAGACUCAGGUCAUUCAUACCAGAAUUUCUCAUGUCCAGCAGCUUAGAGGACUGAUAUUAUGUACAUCUUCAAUGUUAGUUAACAUAGCAAAUGCACGCAUGAACAGCGAACAUCAAAUGCACGUGACCCGCAUUUGACCCACUAAGAGCACACAUAAUCGCAUUCUAAUAAACUUUAUACGGGAAAUGCAGUAAGACACGAGCAGUGCAACUUCAAUGGGACAUCAAAACGUUGGUAAACAGAAUGCAAUAGGAAUUAAAUAUCUAUGACUGAGUCAGGCAUUCUGUCGAACUGGCAAAACGCCUCCCUGUUAAAGAACUAAUAUACGCCAUCUUCAAGCAGCGAUUCACUUUAGUCAUUACUAACAGCAACAACCAAGGUCCAGAACAUCAACGGAAACUGAGAAGGAGGAGAGUCGAUGAAGAAGCCUCUCCUCUGGAAAUUCAAGAAAAAACAGAGAGCUCAGCUCGAUUCAUUGAACAGAAAGCCGAAAACCAUAGAAAGAGAGAGAGAGAGGACUUGGCUUUAGCGAUCGAACGGUGAGGAGCCGAGCAGGAGUAGCCGUUGUUGUUGGAGCAAAGGCCGAGAGACGUCGGAAACUGAGCUGGAGCUCUGCCGAACUCAGUGCUCUCUCCCUUGCUAAGUUUCUCCUUCCAUCAUCUUCUCACAGCUUCUGCGAGGGAGAAAUGUGAGGGCGAGGCCGAGCUUCCCGUCUUUUUCCUGGGCUUUCAUGGUUUCUAUUCUCAUGGACUCGGGCAUAACGGGUGAGUCGGGUCGAAUCUGGGGUAAGUCGAAAAUAACUAAUACCCGUCCCGAUCGAUAUUAUUAAAACACUUCGAUAUUUAAUUCACUUUACGAAAAAUCAUGGCCAAAUAGAGAUUAGAAUACAAAGUGAGCAAUCGAGCGCAAGAUCAAGUGGAGACGAUAAAGAAUGAAGAGAAUGUCAUAGAGGUGAAUUGGAUUUAAAUAAGUUAUAAACUUAUUUAUGAGUCAUUCAAAAAAAAUCUAUAUUAUGUUUAAAUCCAUUUACUUAAUAUACUAAUCCAUUUAUAAGAUCAAAGUCAGAGAUUCAAUUAAAAUUAUUUCCUUUUUCUUUCUUUUAUCCACCAUCUAUUUUUUUGUUUAUUACUUCCAUCUUUUUUGGUCUUUGUUUUUAAAUUUUUUUAUCCAAAAUGCUUGCUUCAUUUGUCAACAAAAAUUUAGAUGUCAACAAUUUCUUUCUAGGUUUGUGCUUCCCUUAUUGUUUUACUUUCUUGUGGUGGGCUUUGCAUGAUGAAAAAAAAUAUUAACCCUUCAUUCAAGCAUUUUUUUUUAAUAAAUCAUUUCUAAAACAUGGACUAAAUCCUGAAUUCGCUUUUGGUGAUUACAUUGGUCACCCCUUAGAGCAAAUGGUCAAUCUAGUGAUGCGUUCUUGGCUUCACAGCACCAUUAAUAAAUUGUGUAUGAUAAAAAUAUUUUUGGGCGCCUGCAAAAAGUAAAAAUUGAAAAUCGAACCCUCUAAAGAUUCUUUAUUGCGAAUUAGAGCUCAGAAGGGGGAGUCAACAAAUAUAAUAGAGUCACUCACUUUUAGGAGUAUAGAACAUGAAAUGACGACCUGGGCUUUUUAGGGUUUAGCAACCCAAAGUGUGGAUUUUUUUUCCUCUUUUGUAAAAAAGAAUCUAAAGGAUGAGUCCUUACAUGUAAUAUUUGCCUCGUGCUCGAAGUUUAAUGUUGUAAAAUCAAAGGCUAGGAAAUAAGGAAAAAAAAUGGGAUUAAAUGGCAAAAUAUGAAAUGAUGGCAGUAAUUUUUCCAAGUGCAAUUUUAAAAGAAAAAAAAAAAGCCAAAGGAGGUAAACCCAUGUCUCAUCUUACCUAGAAUUAUGAACUUUUAGGAGGCAAUUGAGGAGACGUAAAAAAAAAAUUAAUUGCGUACUUUAAAUACAUUUAUACACAUUUUAGAUUGGUCAAUGCUACCCUCUCAAUCCGCAAGCAUCAUCCCACGAAACUAAUUUAUACAUUUAGACGUAAAUUGACAUUCGUUCAAUCUUAUUAUCGUAAAUAGUUAUUUUGUAAAUUUUACGAGUAAGCUCGUGUGCUCUUCAUAAUGAAUUACACAAAAAUUACACGGUUUUCUCUUCUAUAUAUUUAUUAUUCGAUUUAAAUAUCUUGAUUAAAAAAACCUCAUUCUAAAUAGUUUCUCCGAAUUAUAAUAAUAAUUAUUGUUAUUUUUUCUGUUAAAGUGGGUUAUUCUGUUCGAAGCUUCCUCACGGUAAAAGCGCGCACGUGUUCUCGAAGGCCGAAUUAUCUGGUAGGCUUCAGGUGCACGCUACUUGCUAUGGAUCCGCACUAUGAUUGCCUUAUCCACCGUUGAAAAGCAGCUCUCUCGCAUGAUCGAUGAUGGACAGUGGGUGCAUCAUUGCGAGACAGACCUCAUGCCUGUCUAAUAAUCGCAGCCGCUCCCUUUGACGGCUUCCUAUCGGAUUUUUUUUUUUUUUUAACACACUUAUCGGAUUUGAUUUGAUUAUUUGUGUUCACAUUGGAGCCUCUUCUUUUUAUUUCAUUUUCAAAUUUAUUAUAUUCAUGGGACCUGCUCUUAUCUACAAAAAUAGUGUCGAGUGUUCUACUCAUCAAACCCAUUGCUACAUAGUAAGUACUAACCGUUCUUAAGAUAUUAUCAUUGAAGAAAAUAAUGAUAUUGGUGAUGUUUUGUUUCAUUGUAACAUAAUUAGGUAGAUAAACGACCCAUUAUUUUGAGAAGACAUAAAAAUCUUUUUUUCAAACGUAUAAGAUUCAUCGGUUAGGUAGAGUAGUUUAAGGUAUUUCAACAUAAUUUUUAUUGUGUCCUUUUGUCUUUGAUACUUGUCCAGUUCAGGACACAAUAUCUCUUUUUUAUUUGGGUAUUGAAAGGGGCGAAACCCAAAAGUUACGUCAAAAACAAAACACGAUCUUAGCUAGCAUCCCGGCUACAUAUUCUCCCUCUAUUUUAUUCUAAAUUUGCCAAUGCAGCGCCACAUUAUCAAUUUGACACUGUAAGUAAUGGUAGCUACGGAAAGGUUUCAUUGUACAAACUGAUAAUGUUAAAGCAUUCCAUUGCUACAAAAAAGUAAGAGAGUUAAAUUGCAUGAACAUCAAUUUUAAAAGAACUGAAACUAUAUUUAGCCAAUUCGGUUUAUGACCUUGCGUAAGUAUCUUCCCACAAUUGUGUUCAUUUCAGUGUUCAAAAAACCAUUUCUUUUGAGAAAAGAUCAUCAAAACUUGACAGCGAAACUACAAUUAACAAGGAUGAUACAUGGAGGCAAAAGUGAUUUUUAAGCACCAUCCUUUCCUCACAUCAAUAACUAAAGCACUCCAAUGAUGAGGAAGUCAUAUCAAGGCUUUGUAUUAUGACAUUGUAUAUCAAAUUGAAUUCCAGGCAUGAUAUCUUGUCCCAUGUGCCAAUCGAGCAUCGAUACUAUUCACCCAUCUUUGACAACAUAUAUAAACGAACCAUUUUCAAUGCUAAUUCACGUUUAUAAUAAGAAAAUAACCUCUUUCAUCAAAGUAGCAAGUGAGGCGAUGACAAAGAAGAAAUAUGAAAAUCUAAGUGGGGAUCCAAAUGCUCAAAAUUUAUUCAAGAAUCGAUGAAUAUUUUGAGACGAUAAAAGUCAGUCAACUCCCAAUAUACGAAUUAACUUUUGAAGAUUAAGUGAACACGGUCCUCGAACUUGAUGAGUGAUCCAAUCUAGAGCUCUUCACAUUUUCCAAUUCCAAUUUAUCUUAGGAACAUUCUCGUACGCACUAAAGAGCAGCUGAUAUCCCCACUUACAUCACACGAAUUUCCACCCCCUCAUUUAUAUCCUACCAAAUCAAGAGCUCCAUUUCAAUGUUAACCCAUAAAAAGAAGGGAAAAUGUCACAAAUGGUCCAUGAAUUUUCAUCUAAUGUUCAAUUUCAUUCCUGAGUUUUUGAUUUGCUCAAUUUAGUCCCUGAACUACCACUUAAUGUGCAAUCUCGUCCCUAGACUUUUAAUUUGUUCAAUUUGGUCCCUGAAUUAUCGAUAAAUGUCCGAUCUAGUCCCUGACUAUUUGAAAAUUGACCAAUUUCCGUUAGUUAAAGUUAAUGAAAUUGGCUUCCAUGGCUUUUAGUCUCUUAAAUAUAAAAUAAAAAAGGGUAUGUGGAAUAUCCACAUAGAAAUUACCUUUAAAACAGGUUAAAUUGUGGCCACCAUCCAAAAAAAAGAUACAAAACCACUUCUUAUCUCUAUUUUUGUGAUCGGUGCUCUCAUCUCUAGCUGACCCCUAAUUUGUUUUCCUUUUUUAAGAUAUACAUUGACUCAUAAGUCUAGUAAUUCAACUUAGUUCCAUGUCAUCAAUUAAUGCUCAACGUCAUCACUUAACGGUUUGAACAAAUGGAAGGACUAGAUGGAACAUUUGUUAAUAUUUCGGGGACCAAAUUGAGCAAAUCGAAAGCUCGGGGACGAAAUUGGUCAAAUUUCAAAUAGUCAGGGACUAGAUUGGACAUUUAUUGAUAAUUCAAGGACCAAAUUGAACAAAUUAAAAAUCUAAGGAUGAGAUUGCACAUUAAGUGGAAGUUUAGGGACUGUUUGUGACAUUUUCCCUAAAAAGAAAAAUAUAAAAGGAAGAAGAAGAAAUAGACAAAGUCAGUCCAAGCAUGUAAUGGACACUAUGAUGUCUCAUGAACCUCUCUCUUUCUCUCUUUCUCUCUCUCUCUUUCAUAAAAUGACAAAUUGGAUCCAAACAACAAGAAGCAGAGUCCUUGGUAAACACAGUUUGAUAAAAGUUAGAAGUCGAAGCUUUAGAGCUUUGGUCAGGCAUGUAGCGUCCUUUGUCUUUAGGGCUUUGAUUUCGAUGAUAAAAUGUAUGAAAUAAGGAGCAAAGGUCGAAAGUCUUCUUGACAAUAUACGCGAUUGUCAGAUUUUCAGAAUCAACAUAGUUGCUCUUGCAAGAAGUAAAACGUAAACUACAGAAGAAUAUAAUAAAAUGGUGGGGAGAGGAGCUUGGAAAAAUCCAUAUAGAGCAGGUGAGGAUCAAAUUUUGCCUCUUUGUGGUUUCCAUGGAUGCUGAUUCUUUUAAUCGACAAUCAUACAAUUUCAAUUGAAUCAUUGUUAGGUGAUGACCACGACUCAUCUUAUUACACAACAAGGAAGGGGAGGGAAUUUGAAAGAUUACAAGCUUGUCAUUAAUUAAAUAUUGUGAUCAAUCAUUGUUCUCAAUAUUUGAUUGAGGGUUUUCAACUAUAGUUAGGCCCUAUAUGUUGAGGUUGCAUGAUAUGUACCCACAUUAAUAUCGUUUAGCACAUAUUUUCUCUCAAUCUGAAUUCGAAUAUUUCAAAUAGCCUGCAAAUGCGAAACUUACUUAUUCAUAUGAAUAGACUUGAGAGAAAAAAAAUAAAAGAAAAUUAAGUGCCCAUCGAGCCUAGCUUGACCUAGUCCAAUUGUAAGAAAUAUACGGGCAAGCUUGGACCAAUGAUCGUACAUUUAGAGCUUGGAGCUACCAAGACUUGCCUAUGAUUUUAUUUUUUAGCAAAAUGAAAAUCUGAACGAGCCUCGGCAAGUAAUUAUCGUUUUGGGCUCAGGCUCACUCGAGAGCUAUUAUUCACGCGAAUAAAGCAUAAUGUUUUCCAAAAUCAUAGUUUAGGGUCGGUAGGAAUUUUAAUGCUUAUAACUGACUAGGUCUGUCUAGUCUUGCCUAUCGAAUGGUUCUUUAAUUAAUUAAAGUGAAGUCCCAGCCAAAUGACUUUCUUGAACUUAUUACCUGAAUUUUAUUACCUGAAUUGUAUGUCAAGUCUAAUUGCAAUGCCAUCCAUUGGGAUUAAGGCCCAAGAGUUGGGCUAUCUAUGUUUUGAGGCCGAACCAUCACGGCCCACUCAAUGCCUACGAAAGUAUGAUGUUAGGAUGUGGCACUUUUGCAUGGAAUCCACAUUCAACUUUGAUUUUGUCAUGCGGAAUAAACAAUUACAAGAGUAAUCAAACGAACAAAAUAUAUACAUACUCGCCCCGAGGCAGCCAAAAACAAUGAGAAAUUACUAGAGUACUUCCUUUUGACGAUUUUGUUUUUCCUGAUUGGCCCUUAUGAUUAUGUUAAUGCAGAACUAUGGGGGAAGCGUUGACCACUUGUAAUGGUGGCGUAAUUGUACAAAGCUGAUAUUCCACAGAUGCGAGGUCAUGAGGAUAAUCCACGUGCGACGGUAGUGCCCGUAUCUUUACUAGCUCGUGACAGGAGCUCUGGCAGCUUGGUGGGGUUAUAGUGACGAGUAGUGACGAGACCUGCCUACCCAAGAAAAGUGGGUUGCGAGAGGUACUGGAAGACGACCUUCUGACAGUUUUAGAUCGUAAUACUUCGUGGCAGACAUGAGGCUUUCAUGAUGACUCAACAGAGCAACAGAGCAACAGAGCAUAGUCUCCCUGGUCGCUCCUCUCCACCUUUCCUUUACAACAAAGAAAAAGAAAAGUCCUCUGAGAUGGUGUGAGAAUUUAAAUAGAAGAAAGAUGAAUUGUGAACUUUAACAAGAAAGUCAGGUUUAAAAAGAUUCUGAUCUGCAGGGUGCAUUGAAACUCAGUUGUCAUAUUUGCCAACUCGAAAAAUAGUUUUACACCCUACUUUUGCAUCUUUACAAUAGUUGUUAUUGAAAGUAAGAAAGCUUCUUAAUUUGAUUUUGAUUAUAGACCAGGGUAACUGACAUCAAGAUACAGAUUAAUCUUAUUUAGAGCAUGUCACCCUAAAAAAAAAAAAAAAUUAGAGCAUGUCGGUGCACCUACCAAAAUUAAUAGCUUUUUCUUUUUCUGCUUUUGUCAAGUUGCAAAAGAUGAAAACAACUACAUCAAUUGCCUACCUUAACGGUGUUUGCAUUUGAUCCUCCCAAGAGAUUUUCCCAAAUACAGAUAACAGUGGGAUAUUCUGCAAAACAAGCACAGUCGAGAGAAUUCAGGUCAAUGAGCUAGGACAUAAGAAAUAGAUAUUUGGUAGAGAAAAUACAGCAAACGAUUAAAUUUCGGAACAAUAUUUGUUUAAGAGCAACAAUUUUUCAUGAUUCUCACGCAAAGCAUAGUGCAUUUCCAUUUGCAAAUUCUUUCUGUCAUCCAAGUGCAAAGAUAAGCAACUUUUGGCCAUCACACAAAAUUCCAGAUAUAUAAUCUAUAUAGACAGGCACAUUUGGCGCAUCAUAAUUCCAGCACUACAAGCAAGUCCACGUAGGUAUGGUUGUUCGAGGAAUAGUCACUGGCUGUACCACGUUAGCAUUAUAACCAUUUUAUUGUGUACUUCCUUGGUAAACAAAACAGAGCAACACAUAUGUUAACAUCAGACCUUCAGCAGCUGGUUUGUAGACAUUCACGUGAAUCAUGUCCAUGGGAAAGCAUUAACUUUUAAGCAUUGAGUUGAGUAAAUGGAAUUGAAAUGGAUCCUGGAGCAGCAGCAGUAGCUAAAUGACGAGUGUAAAAGAAAGAAAGAAGUCUGAAUCAUUACCUGAAGAAUGAAACUUGGACAGUGGAGCGAAAUCUUCUUGUUGGAUCCGAACUAGAUCAAUCACAAUGAGUGGGAUUUCAUGGAUAAGGUGCUAGUAGUUGCUAGCAAGAGAGGAUCCAUCCUUUGGAAUCUCACAUUGAAUUAUGUGGAAUACUUUGAGGGAGGGAGGGAAGCUAUCCUCUGGCAAGUACCCGAAUUUCGAGCAACUUAGAAAAUGUAACUGUUCAAGAGAGGGGGAUGGCCAUGAAGACCACUUGAUAGUCUUUCUACUCAUAGUUCUCAUCCAAAAAGAGGUUAAACAGGAAAGAAACAGAAGACUCUGUGCAUCAUACAUCCUCCACCGUUGAUAGUCUUUCCACAUUCCCCAUAGCUCUCAUCCAAAAAUCUGGAAAGGGACAAUCAAUUAGUUCUGAAUAAGAAUUACCUUUCAUGAGCAACGAAUAACUAUAAGAGUGAUCGACAAAAAGGAACAACCAAGACAAGAACAGGGAUACUUCGCUUUAUUAUUGUCAGGAAUUAGUGACCCUUUUGAUGGUUUUUCCUUUUGCUAAAUAAAAUUAUCUUUCAUGCAUAAUGUGUGACACCCCAAACCCUUCGCAGGUCGUCACCAGCGCCGGUGUUACAUCUUUUGCCAUCUCUAUCUCUUGGCUAAAUUAAGCCUUGCCAGAUUACAGGCAUUUUUUUUUUUUUAAAGCGGUCCCAUGCGCAACUCAUAGCGGAAGCAAAAUUCACAUCGUCAUCUAUCUCCCUUCUAACCCAUGAUACAAAUACACACCAGCUAAACAUCGAGAUUUUUAUAAACAAACGUCGACACAUUAUUUACAUAUAUUUUCAAGAUGGGACUACUCUCGGGUCGGUACAUAACAAGGAAAAGCUAGAACUCAGCCAUGUCCAGCCUAAAACCUCAAAAAGAGACCUCGACCCUCAACAUCAUGCGAGCACAAAAACCCCCCCAUCGAAAGUGUUGACUAUCUACAUAAAAAGAAACGGCUCCUACUCAUCGCGCGCAGGUCUCACACCCAACCCGGUGCAUCAGGUGGUGGCGGCGGCAGCAUCCCUCGCAUAGCUCCAUCCCGUCGAACGUGCACAGACAGGAACUCUUGUAUGACAGGGCCCCCAGCCAGGCCGAUAUCAUACAUAACUAAGCAUCGCACUCGGAUAAACGUCAAUCCGGGCACAGAGGGACAAUCUAUCUCCGUACACUCCACCUCAACAUCAGACGGUAGACCGUAAAAUACCCCACGCGAAACAGCAGGUAGCGGCAUAGUGCUAAUCUGAAAUGUUAUCCCCAAAAGGGAUGAAUACAACUACUCAGCAGAUAGGGAAAUCCAAUAACAUUCCAAUGCAUCAUGCAUAUCAUCACACGUUGCAAGCAUCACCUACCUUGUAAUCAUGCGUAUCAUGCAUCAUCACAUCAUAUAUAUCACCAUCAUCAUGGCAUACCACAUUAUCAUUAACCAUGCAUCACCAUGCAUAUCACAUCAUCAUUAGCCAUGCAUCACCAUGCAUAUCACAUCAUCACUAGCCAUGCAUCACCAUGCAUAUCACAUCAUACCAUCAUUAGCCAUGCAUCACCAUGCAUAUCAUAUCAUUAUUAGCCAUGCAUCACCAUGCAUAUCACAUCAUCACUAGCCAUGCAUCACCAUGCAUAUCACAUCAUACCAUCAUUAGCCAUGCAUCACCAUGCAUAUCAUAUCAUUAUUAGCCAUGCAUCACCAUGCAUAUCACAUCAUCACUAGCCAUGCAUCACCAUGCAUAUCACAUCAUACCAUCAUUAGCCAUGCAUCACCAUGCAUAUCAUAUCAUUAUUAGCCAUGCAUCACCAUGCAUAUCACAUCAUCACUAGCCAUGCAUCACCAUGCAUAUCAAAUCAUACCAUCAUUGGCCAUGCAUCACCAUGCAUAUCAUAUCAUCAUUAGCCAUGCAUCACCAUGCAUAUCAUAUCAUAGAUCAAUUUCCACUUUUACUUAUCAAUUGAUCCCCACAUUAUCUUUUCUCAAAUCAUCAAAUUCACCAUCAUCACCAUCCCUUCGGGCAGAAACCUCCAACAGGGAUCCCAGCAUUCCAGCCAUCUCAUGGCCACUGGGCUUCCGGCCCCCCACAUUCCGGGCAUCUCGCAUCUCAACUAGCAUCACGAGGCAUUCCCUUCGGGCAGAAACCUCCGACAGGGCUUCCGGCCUUUACCCUUCUAACCGGGGAUCUCGCACCCUAAUCCUGGCAUCGCGAGUCACUCCCUUCGGGCAGAAACCUCCGACAGGGCUUCCGGCCCCCCACAUUCCGGGCAUCCUGAAACUCCCAGGGAAUCUCUGGAAUUACGCCACCAGGCCACCAGACAACAUCCUCCGCCACAACCUCUUACUCACAUACCACUUUCCAUUUUUUAUCAUCCUUUUCAUCUUAUUAUUUCAUGGCAUAUGAAUCACACACACGCAUCAUGAUUCAUAAUCAUACAUGCAUCAAUGUCAUAUAGCAAUGCAUCAUAAUUCAUGAUCAUUCAUACAUCAGUGCCAUAUAACAAUACAUUAUAACUCAAUAAAACUCUUGGCCAAUAAAAUAAUCCACUUUUUAUUUUAUUAUUAUUUUAUUAUUAUAUUUAUUUAUUUUCAUAAAUAAAUAUUAUAUUUAAUAUUUAUGAUUUUCCAAAAAUCAUAAUAUUCAAACAAUCAUUAAAAAAACAAUUAAAAUCACAAUUUCACACAAAUUCAUGGUCAAAUUUGCAUUUCACAUAAUUUCCCAAAUUUCCACAAAAUACACACAAUAUUCGGAUAAUGGCCAGAUUACACAGUUUUCGAAUUAAUUCAAUUAAAAUACUCAUAUGACCUCCGAAAAUUCCCAAAUUUUACAGGAUGAUAGCCAACACAUUUUCGUGCAUUUGUCAUGGAUAACUCUAAGCCAAAUUAUUUAUAUAUUAAUUUAUAUUACUCCACGAAGCUUCUGGAACCUCUACCGUUUCGUCCAGAACGUACAUCACCGAAAAACUUAGGUUCGACCCAUCAAAUCUCUUUCGUUUCUCCUGAAAUUCGAGUAUGUUAUAUAUCAAUGUGUCCUUUACAAGUUUCAUGUAGAGAUCUAGGUUAAAUAACCAAAGCAUGAUCCUCUUUUAAGUCCUUGAAGUCUCGGGUGUCUCGGUUCACUUCAACAGAACCAUCCGUCUCAAAGAUCUAGCUGGUUAACUAGGCUAUACUCAUUUUUUUCUCCUCAAAUUUUAGUAUGUUAUAUUUUAGGAUGUUAUCUACAACAUUCAUGAAGACAACAAAGUGAGAUCUCCAACAGAAAUCAACAUGCAACCAAGAAAUCACCAAAAGGUCAGUAGGAAAUUCGCAGAUCUAAAGCCUCCGUGAAAUAGAACUUUUGACCCCUCAUAUCACCAUAGUUUUCCAUGAAAUUCGAGUAUGUCAUACUACAAGAUGUUANNNNNNNNNNNNNNNNNNNNNNNNNNNNNNNNNNNNNNNNNNNNNNNNNNNNNNNNNNNNNNNNNNNNNNNNNNNNNNNNNNNNNNNNNNNNNNNNNNNNNNNNNNNNNNNNNNNNNNNNNNNNNNNNNNNNNNNNNNNNNNNNAAUUACACCUAAAACCGAACAUGCAACCAACAAAACAGACAUGCAAGAGAAGUUAAGGACUCCACUUGCCUCCAAGAUGAACACACAGCAACACACGGCGGCGUACGGUGGUCGGACUAGGCGGCGACGGCGAGACACGGCGGCGGCAACUCUCGGCUCCACCUCCUCUCUCUCGGGCUCUCUCUUCCGCUCAAGCUCUCUCUCUCGUACACCUCUCUCUUUGGACGGAAAUGAAGCAAGUAACUGGCCAUUUCUCUCUCCUAAUCCCUUUUUAUACUCCCCCUAGGCUCAUCAUAGGUAAUGAUUGAUCCACCACACCUAUGGCCAAUGCAUGAGGACUUGUCUUGCCACUUGUCAUUUCUAUUUUUGAAAUUUGAUUUGGGUUAAUGGGCUUGGGCUUAGGCCCAACCGGCCACUCCUUCUUGGGCUGGUCGAACUCCCCUCUUGGGCCCAAUGGGCCGACUAGCUUGGCCCACCAAGCUCUAGGCUAAUGGGUCCAAGGCCCAUUUCGAAGAUAACCCUAUUUUCUCUUCUUUUUUUUUUUGAAUUCCUUUUUAUAAAUAUUUCUAAAUUCAAAUUUCAUCUUGGCCAAAGUCUUGGGAUAUUUCAAUUAUUGAAAUUUAAAUCAUAUGGCCAAGCAUUAACUAAUUAAAUUUAAAUUUCCACAACACAAGCAAAAUUCAUCAAAUUAAAAGACAAAUUGGCUAAAGCAUAGGCCAUAAAAUUCUAUCACCUAAUUAAAGACAUUUAACACACCUUAAGGCUUGGCUUUGAAUUUCCGGGAUGCCACAUAAUGAACAACUAUAAGAUUGAUCAGAACAAAAUUAUAUGCAUCCCCAAUUGAAUGAUCAGAACAAAAUUAUAUGCAUCUCCAAUUGACAGCAACGAAAAGUAAACCGCAAUGCCUUUUUGAUGAUUUUUCCUUCUUUUUUUUUCGUUUUUUUUUUUUUGGCUGAAAAAUUCUGGUGAUUAUGUUAACUCACAAGUAUGGGAGAAUGCCAGUCACCAGUGAUGGUGACUUGUGGGUACAGGCUGAUAUUCUACAAAUGUGAGGUCACGAGAUUAAAUGAUUGGUCCCGGCCGAUAACUCCUAAGAAAGAUCGCCUACACCUGUUGGUAUGUCUGGAAAGCUUGAAAUGCAGUAACUUUCAUCCAUAAAUCACCAGAUACUGAAAACUGCCACUUGCACAAGUUAGAAAAGCUCUUUUGGAGUGUGUUGCCGGUAACAAUGUAAGCUAAUUCAUGAUUGGGUGGAUGAAAGGCAUGGGGUGUGGAGUAAACUUGAGCUAGGUUUCAUGAAAAUUAACUGUGACAGAUUUUACAUAACAUGCCAUUGUUGGUAUUGAGGCCAGAAAUGAAACAGGGGAUAUGGUUGCCUGUAGAGGGGGCUGAAUUAUUUGUUGCUCGAAAGAGCAUUGCAGUGGCUAAAGAAAAAAGCUGGCCCAAGGCAGGAGAAUAGAUGGAUGCAGCUAUGGCAUACAAGAAUAUCACCAACCUUCACAAGCAGUGCGAUUGGAGACUAAGGGCAGCUCUUGUUGGGAUUCAAGCAACUAUAUAUCAUUCUUUCAGCAAGUGUUUGUGCCCAUUGGGUAACUUUGCAUAUGUGCGAUUGAAAUUGGGGUGACCCCCCCCCCCCCCCCCCCCCGCUCCCAUGGGGAAAGAAUUAAUUCUGUAUUAAGCAUCGCAUCGAAGAAAAAGAAGUGAAAUUGAUGCCUUCAAGACCAAAAACUCACCUGAACCGUAAUAAAACUGACUGCACAUCGAAGGAUGAAUUGUAGCAGUUAGCAAAUGAAAGCGAAAGUGGAUCAAUUUCACUUCAUUGGAUCCAAACCCAAUCAAUGCGUAUGUCAGGGAUUUCUUGGAUUUUCCAGAAAGUAACGUGAAACAUCUACAUGGGAAAGUAUCAAUUUGCAUUCAGCAUCAAAUUGAGGAAGCAGAAUGGAUAUAGAUGCCUUCAAAACCAAAAACUUACCUGAACCCUAAGAAAACUCACUGUACAUGGACAAAUCAAUUCAUUGGAUUUGAAAGCCCUUGAUGCGGAUGAGAGGGAUCUCUUGGAUGAGGGGCCAAUAGUCACGUCUGUAAAAUAUCAACCACCUACUCAACCAACUGCAACCAAAAAUGAACAAGAAGACAUGACAGGGUACUUCCCAUUCCAAGUCUAAAAAAUGUGAUCGUUAUGGUUAUUUUGUUUUUUCUAAAUGGCCCUUGAGAUUCUGCUAACACAGAACUAUGGGGGACUACUGAUCACCAGUGAUUAUGGCCUAAUGCUACAAGUUGAUAUUCUACAGACAUGAGGAUAACCCACUAACGAUGACAGUGCCUGUAUCUUGCCUUGUCCGUGACGGGAGCUCUGGCAGCUUGGUGGGGUUAUAGUGACAAGACUUGCCUACCCAAAAUAAUUGGUUGCGAAUGGUCUUGGAAGGCCAUCUUCUCACAAGCUUAAAUCAAAAUACAUUGUGGCAAACGCAAGGCUUUAAUGAUGACUUAACAGAGUGGCAAAGCAUAGUCUCCCUGAUUGCUCCUCUCUGCCUUUCCUUGACAACAAAGAAGAAGAAAAUUUGCUCUGAACUGGUGCAGGAAUUUGAAUAGAAGAAAGAUGAACUAUGAACUUUGACAAGGAAGUCAUAUUUAAAUGGAUUAUAAUCUGCAGGUUCAUUCAAUUUGAUUUUCCAUAUUCACCAACUUGAAAACACUUGUUUUAAAUCCUAUUUUUUUGCAUCUUUACAAAUAGCUGAUGUUGCUGGAAGUAAGAAACCUUCUUCAUUUGACUUUGAAUAUGGACCUUAAUAAUUGACAUAAUGAUACAGAUUAAUCUUUUGGAACAGGUCUCCAGAAAAAUAGUUUAGAGAAUAUCACUACAUCUAUUAAAAUAAAUAGCCUUUUCUUGUCAAGUUGCAGAAGAUGAACAUAAGCACAUCAUUUGCCUACCUCAACAGUGUUUGCAUUUGAUCCUCCUGAGAGAAUUUGCCAAAUAAAGAUGACAGUGGGGAAAUUCUGCAAAACAAGCACAAUUGAGAGAAUUCAGGUCACUGAGCUAGGGCAUAAAAAAAAAAAAAAUUGGAAGAGAAAACAUAACAAAUGCUGAAAUUGCAGAAAAAUAUUAAUAUAAGAGCAACAAUUCUUCACGGUUCUCAUGCGAAGCAUGGUGCAUUUCCAUAAGUGGAAAGAUAAGCAAUAGUUGGGCAUCAAACAAAGUUCAAGAUAUAUCAUCAAUCCAGACAGGCACAUCCAUGCAUCACAAUUCCAGCACCAUGAGCAAGUCCAUGUAAGUAUCAUUUUUCUUGAGGAAUAGUCACUCGUAUGAAACUAUGGUGGACAAGCUGUACCCUAUUAGCAUUAUAACCAUUUCAUUGUGUGUUUCCUUAUCAAACAAAACAGAGCAACCCAAAUGUCUAGCUGGUUUGUGGCAAAUAAUGUGAAGCUUGGCCAUGGAAAAACACGAACUUUUUAGCAUCGAGUUGAGGAUUCGUAAUAUAUGGAGCAGAAGCAGUAGCUAAACGACGAGUGCGGAAGAAAGAGGUAUGAACCAUCACCUGAAGAAUAAAAAUUAGACAUUGGAGAGAUAUCUUCUUAUACAAGUACCGGUAACCUAUAAAGGAUAGCUGUUUGAGAGAGGAGAGAUAGCUGCAAAGACUUAAUCUUUCCACAUUCCUCAUAUUUCUCAUCCAAAGAGAAAUUAGAGAUGAAGGAAACAGAAUGUGAGGUCAGGAGGUCAAAUGACUUGAUACGAGCUGAUAACGCUAAAGAAUGAUUGGCUACACCUAUUGUUAUAUCUGGAAUGCUUGAAAUGUAGUAAACUUUAACAAUAAAUCACCUGAUCCUGAAACUGUCACUUUCACAUUUUAGAAAAGCUCUUUAGACUGUAUAGCUUUUAAAAUGCAAGAGCACUAAGUCAUGAUUGGGUGAAUGAAGGCAGGGUGUGGAGAGUAAACCUGAGUUAGGCUUUGUGAAGAUUAACUAUUAUGGGUCUUCUAUUGAAGGAACCAAACAUGCUGUUGUUAGGAUUGUGGCGUGAGAUGAAACAGGGGAGAUGAUUGCCUGCAAGGGUGUUGUGGUGCAAGCUAGAUCUGCAAAGGAGGCUGAAACACUUGCUGCUCAAAAAGCAUUGCAGUAGCCAAAUAAAAAGCUGAACCAAGGUAGUAGUGGACUAGAUGGAGCUUUGGUAUACAAGGAUAUCAUCAAUUUUCCCAAGCAGUGCAAUUAAAGACUAAAGGAUGCUCGUACUAGGAUUCAAGAAGCUAUAGAUCAUUUUGCAGCGCCGAAUUUUAGUUGUAUUUCACGAAAAGCAAAUGCUUGUGCCCAUUAGGUGGCUUUGCCAAAAUUGAGAUCUACAUCUGCAUCUCCCACCCUUCUUAUCACAUAUGCUUAUUUCAACCGUGAGCGGCUGGCCUAGAAAGAAAAAACCCCAUCAAGGACACACACAACCCGCCCGAAUGUCAGUCUCUGACCUUCAGUCGCUGGUUUUUGGAAAUUCUACGAGAAACAUCUCCACAGGAAAAAUCAAUCCGUAUUAGGCAUCAAACUGAAGAACAUAAUAUAAAUUGAUGCCUUCAAAAACAAAAACUGACCCCAACCCCAGAAAGUUGCCUUUAGGUGGAACAACGAAUUGCGGCGGAUAGCAAAUGGAAGGGAAAGAAUGAAAGAACUUAUAAGAAUUACCUAAAGAAGGAAAAGUAGUCAGCGGAGAUAAAUCUUUUGUCAUGCCUCUGGUGUGAUCAAUUUCAAUUCAUAGGAUCCAAACACCAACAAUGUAGAUGAGAGGGAUCUCUUGGAUGAGGGGCCAAUAGUCGCCAGUGAGUUUUGAGCAUCAAUCUUUUGGAAUCUCACAUAUAGAUAUCUCCAGAAUUUGGACAAAUCAUAGUCUUCCUUAUUGCUCCUUUCUACCUUUCCUUGAUAACAAAGAAAAAGAAAAAUAUGCUCUAAUAUGGCGUGGGAAUAUGAAUAGAAAGAUGAACCGUGAACUUUGACAAGGAAAGCAAAUUUCAAUGGCUUAUAAUCUACAAGGUUCAUUCAAAUUUAGUUGUCACAUUUGCCAACUCGAUCACACCUGUUUAAAAUCCUAUUUUUUGCAUCUUUAUAGAAGCAGCUGUUGUUGGAAGUAAGAAAGCUUCUUCGUUUGACUAUGAAUAUAGACCUCGGUAAUUGACAUUGUGAUAUAGAUUAAUCUUUGAGAGCAUGUCGCCAAAAGAAAAAAACAGUUUAGAGCAUAGUAGUACUCCUACCAAUAAUAAAUAGCAUUUUGUUCUUCUUUUGUCAAGUUGCAACAAAUGAACAUAAGCACAUCAUUUGCCUAACUCAGCACUGUUUGCAUUUGAUCCUCCUGAGAAAUUUUGCCAAAUAAAGAUGAUAGUGGGAUAUUCUGCAAAACAAUCAUAGUCGAGAGAAUUCAAGUCAGUGAGCUAGGAUAUAAAAAAUUAAAAAGAAAAAGAUAAUUGGAAGAGAAAACAUAACAAACACUGAAGUUGUGGGAAAAAUAACAAUAUAAGAGCAACAAUUCUUCACAAUUCUCACGUAAAGCAUAGUGCAUUUCCAUAAGUGGAAAGAUAAGCAAUUUUUGGCCAUCAAACAGUUUAAGAUAUAUCAUAAAUACGGACAAGCACAUACACACAUCAUUAUUCUUGCACUGUAAACAAGUCCAUGUAUGUAUUUUUUGUUUUGAUGAAUAGUCACUUGUAAGAAGCAAUGGUUGGUUGACUUGCUGUACCACAUUAGAAUUAUAACCAUUUCAUUGCGUGCUUCCUUGUCAAACAAAACAGAGCAACCCAAAUGUCAACAUUGGACCUUCAGCAGCAGGUUUGUGGAAAUUUAGGUGAAGUUUGUCCAUGGAAAAAUAUGAACUUUUUAGCAUUGAAUUGAGGAUUUGAAAUAGAAAUGGAUCCUGAAGCAGCAGCAGUAGCUAAACAAUAAGUGUGCAAGAAAGAAAGAAGUCCAAAUCAUUACCUGAAAAGCAAAGUUUAGAAAUUGGAUAGAUAUCUUCUUAUUGGAUCUGAACUCAACCAACUACGAUGAGCAGGAUUUCUCGGAUGAGGUGCCAAUAGUUGCCACUGAGUUUUGAGCAUCAUUCUUUCAUAAUUUUACGGUGAAUUAUGCUGAAUACUUGGAGGAGGGAAUGAAGCCAUCCUCUGGCAAGUUCCAUUAAACUAUAAAAUGUAGCUGUUCGAAAGUGGAGAGAUGACUGCGAAGACCACUUGAUAAUCUUUCCAUGUUCCUCAUAUUUCUCAUCCAAAGAGAGGUAGAGAUCAAGGAAACAGAAUACUCUGCACUUCUUACAUCCUGCACUAUUGAUAUUCUUUCCACAUUCCUCAUGUUUAUCAUCCAAACAUCUGAAACAGGACUAUCAAUUAGUCCUGAAUAAAAAUAAAGUUUCCUGCUUAGAGUGAUCAGAACAGAAUUAUAUGCAUACCCAAUUGACAACAACAAAAAAUGAACCGGGAUACCCUCUUGAUAACUUUUUUUUUUUCGCUGAAAAAUUCUUGUGAUUUUGUUAACUUACAAGUACAGGAGGCCACCAAUCACGAGUGACGGUGACUUGUUGGCACGGGCUGAUAUUCUACAAAUGUGAGGUCAUGAAAUUGAAUGAUUGGUACAGGCUGAUAACUCCUAAGAAUGAUUGCCUAGACUUGUUGGUAUAUUUGGAGUGUGUUGCCGAUAAAAAUGUAAGCUGAGUCAUGAUAAGGUGGAUGAAAGGCAAGGUGUGUGGAGUAAACCUGAGCUAGGUUUCAUGAAGAUUAACUGAGGCGGGGUCUUACAUAACAUGCCAUCACUGGGAUUGAGGCUAGAAAUGAAACAGGGGAGACGGUCGCCUACAAAGGAUGUUGAAUUACUUACUAGUCCAAAGAGCAUUGCAAUGGCUAAAGAAAAAGACAAGCCCAAGGCAAUAGAUAAGAUGGAUGCAGUAGUGGCAUACGAGGAUAUCAUCAACUUUUGCAAGCAGUGCAAAUGGAGACUAAAGGAAGCUCUUGCUGGGAUUCAGGCAACUAAAUAUCAUUCUUUUAGCCUUGAAUUUUAGUUGUAUAUCACGAUACGGCGAUUUCUGGAAAUCCUAUGCGACACUUCUCCAUGGGAAAAAAUUAAUUCGCACAAAGCAUCGAAUUGAAGAAUAGAAGCGAAAUUGAUGCAUUCAAGGCCAAAAAGCUUACCUGGACCCUAGAAAACUGACCGCACCUCGAAGGAUGAAUCACGGUAGUUAGCAAAUGAAAGCGAAAGCGGAUCAAUUCCACUUCACCAGAUUUGGAACCAAUCAAUGCGCAUGUCAGGGAUUUCUUGGAUUUUCCCAGGAAUUUAUGUGAAACAUCUACAUGAAGGGAAAAUCAGUUUGCAUCACAAAUCGAAUUGAGGAAGCAGAAUGGGAAAUCGAUGCCUUCAAAACCAUAAACUUACCCGAACCCUAGAAAACCUGACCGUACCAGGACGAAUCAAUUCAUUGAAUCCGAAGGUGAUCAAUCAAGAUGAGAGAGAUCUCUUGGAUGAGGGGCCAAUAGUUGCCGGUGUGUUUUGAGCAUUGAUCUUUCAGAUUCUCGCAUUCAUAUAUUUGCAAUACUAGGAGGGAGGGAGGGAGGCCAUCCUUUGGCAAGUCCCUCAACUUCGGGCAAUUUGAAAUGAUUAACACUUGGAGAGAGGAGAGAUGGUUGCGAAGGCCAUUUGAUAGUCUUUCCACGUUCCUCAUAUGGUCAAUUCGAAGAAAGGUAAGAGAGGAAGGAAAGAGAAAACUCCAAGCAUCCUCCUCGUCCUCGUCCUCCUCCGAAGGAAACCGCACCUUCUCUCCCUCCCCUCCCAUACUUCUUUUGUCAAUAUCUAGAUGGUCGAGGGAUGUGAGAAGGGGUAAGCCCCAUUCUCUCAUUGGCCGUUUCAUAUUCUCACACUCACUUAUGUGAAACCAUUGCACAUUGGGGGGCAAACCUCCUUCGGGCAAGCAUUGGAUAUUUUGGCAACGCCCAAUGAAUAUGUACCAAAGGGAUGUAAGAUGACGUCACUUUAGUAGAGACUUUAUCUUUGGACAGUAAUAGAGAGAGACCCGCGAUAGGGUGAUGGGAAGGGGAAGGGAAUCUAUUAUUUCCAAUGCCCUACACUCACUUAUAUGCAAAGAAGUGAGAUUGUUACAACUGGUGAUACUGGUGAUAGACUUUAUGUUCGGACAUCCCCCAAGUCUAAGACUCGAUAGGGUGAGGGGAAGGGGAGGAAAGUCCUCUAUCUGACAGUCACUUAUACUCAAUUCAGUGAGAUGGGAGAACGUGUGAAGGAAUUGUGGUAGGCUUCUUUGAUUCGGACAAUGGUAAAUUUGCAUAAAUUUGAGUGAUUCUAUGGUGAUUUCUCCUAGCGAUUCCACUCCCUCGCAGUCUUGAAUAACAAAUUUCUUCAAAGUAGCAAGUUUACCCUUGGCAGAGGGACAAAAUGUCAGGGAAUCACAUUGACCUAUACAUGAAGAUUGAAGUUGAGAGAUCGGGUUGUUGCUGAUGGGGUCAUAUGAAGAAAUGGUUGGUCUUAUGAGUUUUGGACACUGUCCAAUAGAGAGAUCACUGAGUGUGUACAUCUUGCUUGGAAGCUUUUCUAAACUGGUGCAACUACUCAAUUCCAUCUUUUCAAGGUUGCAUGGCAACUCUAUUUCUAUUUCUCCUGCCACGAAUGAUGUGAACUGAGGACAGCUUGCUAUUUUUAAUUCCUCGAGGCAAGUAAGAUUUAGCAUUUCAUUUUCAUCUUGCCACAAGUAUUUUAACUGGUCACACCCUCCUAUAUGAAGCUCCUUAGCUUGAUCAAGUGGCUCAUAAACCCAUGAUCAAAGCAUACAAGCUCUGCAAGAUUCUUAAUUGUAAGAAUGGUCAAAGAAGUUUGGUUGAUCAAGCUCUUCAAGAUCUCCUUGUUACAAUCCUCAAGGGACAACUCAUGGAGAGAUGGAAGACAAACAUCAUUGGUUGAGUUUUUCAAAUGCGGACAUGAAAGAAUUUCAAGCUUUGUGAGACGAUCAAGUUGACAAGGCAAUGUCCCGACCAACGAAGGACAACCCUGAACAACAAGAUGCUUAAGACAGGAUAAUGAAACCUCUUCUUUUGGGCCCCCAGCAUAAGGACACCAAUCCUUCCAUGCUAACAUCUCUUUGAACCCUAAAGUUGUUAAGGAUGAAAAAGGCCUCCUGCCUCCGUAAAAUUCAGAGCCUAUCAUUCUUAUUGCAUGUAGACCUUUAAGAGAUAAUUCCUUAAGUGAAGGUAGUUGUCCAAGCAUAGGCAACGAUAUAACAUUAGUACAAUCCCACAAGCAUAAAGACACUAUUUUAGAAUAGGAUGUGCAAUCUAACCAUGAUGGGAAUACUGCACCACGAUAGUUCAAAAUAGUGAGAUUUUCAAGAUUAGUGUGAGGUUGCAAAGAGUCAAGCACCUGUGCUUCGUACUCAUGAUUAUGGAGAUCUCCCAAGUGUUCACCCCAAUGCAAGGAUAAGUUGGUAAGGCCUAGCUUUCGAAGCAAAUUAGCAUCAAUUGCAUCUAUAACUUUUUCCACAUUUUGCAAUUCUUAUAUGAAUAAUUUUCCUUCAAGAUGUGGCAAGUUCUUUAACUCUUUCAACUACGACCCUUUCUCUAGUCCCACCACAAAUUUGGACAAGAUAAUAAGAUUCUUUAAAUUACCGAUACCCAAUGGCAUCUCUUUUAGACUCUCAGUAUCUCUAAUAUCAAGAAACUGUAAGCUGACUAACUUUGUGAUACCUUGAGGCAACUUUGAAAGCUUUUGACAACCUCUUAAAAUCAGAGCUUGUAAUUUGCACAAGGCGCCGAUUGACUUAGGUAGCCUCUCGAUAUUAGUGUACGAGAAAUUGAGAUAUCGAAGGUAUUUUAAAUCACCAACACAAUUUGGUACCUCUAUGAGGUCACAACAACAUAACAAGAAUACUCUCAAGUACUUCAAGUUUGUUAGCAAGUCACAUAGCACCUUGUUGGAAAUAGAGAAAGAGUCCCCACUAGAUCCAUCACGCACCAGAAUUAAGCUUCUUAGUGCCUUCAUCCCUUGAUAUGGUUUCAAGCAUUUUGAUGUAACAAACCAUGAUGGGAUGAAUGAUGCAUAACGAGUUUUUUCAAGAGAUGAUACAUCAUGUUCAUUACUUGCCACUUGAUACUCCCCUGAGCUAAAGCAAGUCCCACCCAAAAUUGACUUUGCUAGAUCAUUCAAAAGAUCAUGCAUUGAAAACUUAGAUGCGUUGAUACUUGAUUGUUGAAGAAAUGACCUGGAUACUAACUCAUCAAAGUGCUUCCAUCCCAAUUUCAAGAUAUUCUCAUUUGCUUUUUGCCCAUCUAAAAGUCCCUCUGCUAUCCAUAAGAGUACCAACUCAUCCCUCUCAAUUUCGUAAUCCUUGGGAAAUACCGCACAAUAAGCAAAACAUCUCUUCAAAUAGGAAGGAAGAUGGACAUAGCUCAAUUUUAAAACUGGGAGAACCUCAUCAUUCUCGACCGUCGGAAGAUCCCAUAUUUUGUUAUUUAAGGUAUCUUCCCAUUCAUUAGGAUUACUUUUAGUACGUAGGACACCGCCCAACAUCUUUGCUGCCAAAGGUAAACCUUUGCACCUUUCAGCUAUUUUCUUCCCUAUUAUUUCAAAGGUCGGGUGGCUCUCAAAAUUUGUUACUCCAAGAGCAUGAAAUGCCAAUAAGCUUAUACAAUUAUCAAAGGACAAUUCCCUCAAAUGAUACGGUGAAGCUCUUGUUAUGGAAGCAACAUUAUGGUUGCGAGUCGUGAUGAUGAUCUUGCUUCCGCUAGCCCCCGCUUCUAAUGGCUUUAAGAGGGCAGUCCAUUUUUCAUACUUCUCAUUCCAUAUAUCAUCUAAAACCACAAGAAACUUCUUCCUGGCUAGACUAUCCUUCAACUUAACUUGAAGCUUGUCAAGAUCUUUGUCAUCAUCGGACGACCUGGUGAUCGACUGCAAAAUAGUUUUUGUUAUGUCAAGGACAUGGAAAACAUCUGACACACAAACCCAUGCUUUCUUCUCGAAACAACUAUUCACUUUGGCAUCAUUAUAUACUCGUUGAGCCAAGGCUGUCUUUCCAACGCCGCCCAUCCCAACUAUGGGGACUAUGCUUAGCAUGGCAUUGGAAUUUUCUACCUCACUUAUCAAUAGUUCGAGUAUUUGUGCUUCUUCUUUUUCCCUACGAAAAAAUUGAGGCUCCAACAAAGAAGUGGUGGGAUCCCUUUUGUUGGUAUAGUUGGAUUUGUCUGCAACAUUCUCUCUCAAGCUUAGAUGAGCCUUCCUGGUGACAAUCACUUUCAACCUGCCAUUGACCUCUUGUACCUUGGUUUCUGACACAAGCGAGUGCAAGUUUGGAUUCAAUCUGGAGGAUUUAUCUUGGCCAAAGAAAGAGGACUUCCAUUUCACCAAACCUCUACUUGUGCUGGAUUUUGCCUCCGACUCAACUUGAGUGAUUUUGAUCACCAAUUCAUCAAUCAAGUCUUCCAUGUCAUAGCUCAAGUCCCUAACAUCGUCCAACCAUAGCUUCACUAGAGGGUUAUUGCUGAGUUGAUUGUCCUCUGCGUCAACCAGCACUGCAUUGAUUGUCAACAACAUUCCCUUCCACUCCUUAAGCAAGGCAGUGUUGAAUCCUUCUUGUUGCGUAUAGCCCAAUGUGAGAGAAGACAACUUGUCGAAUAGAACUUGAAAGAAGGAAGCCAAGAAGGAACCCAAAACGAUCUCUCCAACGGCCAUGGGUGAAUGGGUCACUGCCGAGACAUCAAAGGUGUUUCGUGAAGCAUAGUAACAACGAACUAUGGGAGAGAGAAAACAAUGAAGUCUAGGAAUACCAAGACGUUCACUUGCCAAAAAGAUUUUAUAAAAAAGAUCAAGUCUCUCAAGGGAUGCACACCAAAGGUUAGACAAAUCAAAGUAAAAUAGUUUUGUCCACUAGAGUGCUUGUUUCGUCAAUUGUUCUCCUUUUUCUUUUGAUCAAGACUUUUCUUGUGAGCAUUCAAACAAAGGAUAAAAGGUGAUUUUUCUCAAUGAACUUAGAGCGCGUGCAUAUUUUCGUAAAAAAUUCCAAUGCUUGAGUGUUUUGUUGGCUUUUUUCACAUCCGUAUAUUACUAGUAUCCUUAUGAUUUUAAUAUCUUUGUUUUAUGCUUUAUUGGUGAAUAUAAGAUCAAUGUAGGUUUUUAGAUGGCGAUUGCAGUGCUAAAAACUCACAUGUGUUUAAGAUAUAAGAUGGUUAUAAAUUUCUCCUUCAAUGUGGAUGACCAUGUAAAGACAUCAAAAGCGGCUAACUUUGUUUGUUCAAUAAAUAAGGAAAUGCAUUCCACUUCUUUUUUGUGUUUUGAGCAUUUCACUUCUUUUAGGUGGUGACACUGUAUUCUUUUCCCCAUUCCGUUCUCUCUAUCAUAUCUUUUACUUUUUCGUUGGGGGCAUGCACAAUGACAUUUACUUCUCAUUCAUCUUUUUUCACGUUAUAAAAGAUGAACAAUCUCAAAAACUUUUCUGACGUAGAAAUACCUAGUUUUCAAACAAAACAUGAGUCCAUGCGUGAUCUUUUUCUAACAAAGCACAAUUUUGAUUUUUCAUUAUUCAAAAUAAAAAAAUUUAUCAUGAACAAUUGCACAUUUUUCUCUGUCUUGAAAGAAAAUACAUGAAUUAGUCUUCUUGCAUUGAAUUAUCAUCGAUUUCUGCACGAUGAAAAUUAGUUGUCCACACAAAACACCCCUGGGGCUUCGGCAGAAACUACUUCACGUGAAGUUCAAAUUGCAACCGUAUUGACUUUACUUGAAUGAUUACACUGGCACACCUCAAAAGAAUACUAAAUCUCAAAUACCUUAUUAAUUCAUCUUACCCCUUCCAAUUGAUGGUAAAUUCACUAAAUCUAUAUAAUAACGAUUUUUUGUUGUGAGAGCAAAUAUAUGAAAAGACACAACAAAAGUUAUUUAUUUUGUUUGGCACCCGAAAUUAUGACAAACGUAGCUUUCCCAUUAAUCUCUACUGAAGAGGAAUGAAGCUAUCCUCUUAUGAUAUUGAUUCUUGCUUACCCAAUUUCAUGGACUAAAAUUCCAAAACAUUAAUGCCGUAAAAUAAUUACUUUGCGAGCAGGAUAAAAGUUCCAAUUCAAUUAUAAAUGAAUACUUUGAUCUCAAUGCUGCUAAUCGUGUAAAAUCAUUUCACAUCAAUGUGUGUUCAGUAAAAAGAACAGUAAUAGAGAGAUAAAAAAAUUAAUCUUAAUGUCCUAAUCUUACUUUUUAACAAAAAUUAUAAUGACAUUUCUUUUGUUAAUGAACUCGACAUCAACUUUAAUCAGGAUAAUAGAUAGGCAGGAAAUCGGCUUAAGAACCAAAAUAUUGCUGCUGCUGCUGCUCUUCUUUUGCUCAAAAUAAUACUUUUGCCUCCAUUAAUAAAAAGAUUUUGGAAAGAAUAGAUGGUUGCUCUUGCGAAAUAAAUGCCCACUAGAUGCUUUCGGUAGUGAAGUUCCGGGUGCAUUAAUCCGAGGGAAAAAUAGAGCAAGUAGAUAGAUGUCUCUUACCUGUUUCGAGCAGACUUCCUGGAGCAGAUCGAUGAAUGGGAUUAGCUCAAUGACAGAAAUCCAACAAGCACGAGCGCUAGGUUUAGACGAGCAGGAGGAGAAUACUAUUUAAGCAAGGGGACUAAUGGUGAAGCCGAGUGAUAAUGAUCAAAUGGAGAGAGAACUAUAAAGUCCAAGAAGACCAAGACUUUCACCUACCAAAAAGUGUAUGCAAAGACCAAGACUUUCAAGAAUGCUUUCUGUCCACAAGUUCUCUUAUCAUGUGAAUAAACCAUAACCUCAGGAAGACCAAGACUUUCAAGAAUGCUUUCUUUCUGUCCACAAGUGCUCUUAUCAUGUGAAUAAACCAUAAACUCAGGAAGACCAAGACUUUACUGAACUUCGUGUACUUUUUUGUCUAGAAAGUGAAGCAGAGGCGAAAGAGAGCAAAUGGAAAAGAUAGAGACUUUGCACGAUACAAAUUGGCAUUGCUGCUUCACUUCUCACAUCCCUCCUCUUCCAUCUCUAUGUGAAUGCCUAUGUUUUUGCAUUACUAGUAGAAUUUCCCCACACGUUACAUGCCAUGCUUAAAAUUGAAUAUUACUAUAAUUUUUGUCCACUUCUUUUCAUGCUCAAUUGUACUGUGAUUUUUCAUUCAAUAAUCUCUCUUGCACUUGUCUAUUAGAAUUAUGUCUAGGAUUUCAUGUAUCUUUUCAAAUUUAAGUUCAAAAAAAGGAAAUAAAAAAAAAAAGCAAAGAAAAAACAGCAAGAACUAUUAAAAAAAAAAGAAAUAAGAAGAAGCAAGAACGGGCCAGAGAGAGCACCAUUGUCCUAUGGCCACGGACAUGCCGUUGCCAUCAGCACUGCUGCUUAUAGUCAUCUUCAUAGACAACAUUUCCUCAAGAUUUUAUUCUUAGAUCGGUUUAAGAGUUAAGAAUAAUGACAUUGCAAGCACCUAAGCUUUUGUUCAAUUUACAAUCGAGGGCCUGAAUUUUUCUUUUUCAAUCAAGAAUCUCAAUUUGAGGCAUCGGCUAAAUAACUUGUCAUGUUAUGUGAUUUUACUGAUGUGACUUAUUUACUUAGCAAAAGUUAAACAACAUAGUAGCUGAUGUCACUCCUUAUCACACAUAUUGAGUGAUGAGGAGAGAAAAAGUAUGCUGACUUAGAUGGUCCUAGCAUCUAAUAAAUAUAAGCUGACCUAGCAGCAUCUCAAGGUACCAUAUUAGAUGUUCAUAUGGACAGUUAGGGACUAUCUGACAGUGUUCGCAUCAUAUCAACAUUUUUGGACCACGGUUUAAAUGGAAGCCUUGACCUGUAUUUGAAAUGUUGAGGUAAUUGACUGAAAGCAAAAAAAAAAAAAAAAUUGAGGAUACUUGAUUAAAAAAAGGUAAUAAUUCAGAUACUUGUGCGUCGUUGUCGCUAUCCAAAAAUUUAUCAUGCGAUGAUUGGUAUAGAUUCAAAUCUCAAACGUACUUUUGUUUAUGCGUUAUUUAAUCAAUAAACUCAUCCUCUUGUUUCGUUGCUUGGUCUCACUUUAAUAAUUUCUUUUUUAAGAUUUUUCAUUUCAUGUGAAAAAUUUAUUAAAUAGUUUGUUAAUUUCAAGCUGUUGCAAAACGAUUUCAGUGGCCAAAUAUCAAGCACAUUCGAUAAAAAAGGGGAUAAGUACACUAAUGGUGCCAAAAGUUGUGUACGGCGCUCACUUUGGUGCCAAAAGUUUCUGUCGGAUCACUUAAGUGCCAAAUCGGAGGAAAAACGCUCACUUUGGUGCCACCGGCGAAAGAUUCCGGCCUCCGGCGAAAGAUUCCGGCCAAAAUGAUUUUAAAAAAAAAAAAAAUUGAUAAGCCUUUAAAUGACGUCGUUUUCGGUCCUCCUUAAAAAAACGACGUCGUUUUGCCGUCCUACGUGGAUGGCUUCAUGGAAACGACGCCGUUUAGCUCACAUGGGGAAGAAAUUAGGGUUUCGGCGAGGUCGAAGCCGUGGCCAUCGUCGGGGUUGAAGCUACGGCCGCCGAGUGGCCAUCAUCGAGGUUGGGGUCGAGGUCGGGGUCGAAGCUACGGCCGUCGAGUGGCCAUCGUCGGGGUCGGGGUUGAGGUUUGAGCCGCGGCCAUCGAGUGGCCAUCGUCGCGAUCGGGGUCGAGGUCAAGGUCGGAGCUACUGCCGCCGAGUGGCCAUCGUCGGGGUCGGGGUCGGGGUCGAGGUCGAAGCCGCUGCCGUUGAGUGGCCAUCGUCGCGGUGGGGUCGAGGUCAGGGUUGAAGCCGUGGCCGCCGAGCGCAAGGACCGUCGAGGACGGCGACGGCCCGGAGAUUAGGGUUUUGAAUUGGGGGAGACACCAAACGGCGUCGUUUUGGUGUUUGGAUGCUGACUCAGCUCUCCGACGAGCCACGUCGGCGUCAAAAAUUAAUAAAAAAAGGCCACGUCGGAUUUCCGGCCAAUUUCGUCGGAGUUGACACCAAAGUGAGCGUUUUUCAAAUUUUUUGGCACUUAAGUGAUCCAACGGAAACUUUUGGCACCAAAGUGAGCGCCGUACACAACUUUUGGCACCAUUAGUGUACUUAUCCCGAUAAAAAAGUAUUGCUCUACCCCCUACUUUUUGGCCAAUUCCAUUGCUUUUCCUUUGAUCUUCUCACCCAAAACUGAAAAAAGUAUGUGCAAUCAAGAAAACAUGUUCUAUCUAUAAUCAUUUGCUCAUGACAUCAUCACCGGUUCACGGCGGUCCAACUACUUGGACCACAAACUGGCAACCUGACCGGUUCUCUGAUCGGCCCAAGUUUGAAAACAUUGGUGCAAAGCUCCAAUCCCUAUUUAAAACAAGUAGAUAUGAUUAUCUUAUAUGAAUUGAGUUGUAAUGCAUACAAUACUUUUACCACGUGAUCGAAUUUGAUAGCAAGUGGUUACACCUGAUAGAGGUUUGGGUAUUAGUAUUACUGUCGUGGGUGCUCCUCUCUCUAUCCUUGAGCAUAUGAGAUGCGGUAAAACCUUCGUAAUGCUCCAAAUGAGGUUGAUGCUCAACUCCAUGUCCAUGGUACAUUACUCCCGUCGCAUUGCUCUAGUUGGAGCUCCAAGUGCUUCAAUUUAUCCACAUCAGAGAUGUAAAUUUUUGGUCGCGAAUUAGAACUUAGAAGGGGGAGUCAACGAAUACGAGAGAGUUGACUCACUUUUAGGUGCGACCUAAGUGUCCAUUUUUAUUUUUUAUUUUUGUGAAAAAGAAUCUAAAUCAUACAUUGGUUGACUUGGAAUUAUGAACUUAGGAGGCUAUUGAGGAGACAUAUAAAAAUUUUAUUUAAUUUCUUACUUUAAAGGGGUAAUACCUUGAAAAACUCCAAACUGGUAUACAUGUGACAAAUUUACUCCAAACUAUUUUUUUGACCAUGAAAAACCCCAAACUAGUAUACUUGUGACAAAUUUACCCUAACCGACCAUAAAAAAACCCUAAACUGGUAUAUUUAUGACAAAUUUAUCCCAAACUAAUUUAUUCGACCCCCAAAAAUCCCAAACUCAUACAUUUGUAACAAAUAUACCCCAUGUUAAAUUGGAUUAAUACCACAAAAAUUGUAAACUGUGACAAACGGGGAGUAAAAUCAUAAAUUGGUAUAAUAGUCAACUGUCACGUGUUAUUUAACUUAAUAAUUUGACAAUAAAAUUUAACGGAAAUUAAUAGAGGGCAAAUUUGUCAUAAGUGUACCGGUUUGAGGUAAAUUUGUUAAAGGUGUACCAGUUUAGGGUUUUUGAUUGUCAAAAAAUUAAUUUGAGAUAAAUUUGUUACAGGUGUAUCGGUUUGGGGUUUUUCGGAGUAUUAACCCUACUUUAAAUAACAAGUUAACACUACCCUCUCGGUCCACAAUGCAUGUAUACUUUAUUGUAUAUCCACAAAAUUAAUAUAAUCAUUUGGACAUCUUGUGAAUGAGUGUUUGUUCAAUUUUGCUACUAUAUAUAGUCAUUUUGUAAAUUUCUAUGAAUAGGCUCGCGUACUCCUCAUCAUAAAAUACAUAGAAAUUACACUGUUCUCUUUUCUGCAUAUUUCUUAUCCGAUUUAAAUAUCUUGAUUAAAAAGAAUCACAUUCUAUAUUGUUUCUUGGUAUUGUAAUUAUUUUUCUCAUGUUAAAAUGUGCCAUUGGGUUGGAAGCUGCCUCGCUGUAAAAGCGUGCACCCCUCCAGAUCCACCCCUCCACCGGCCCAGCAUGCUGUCUCUCUUUCACUUAUGUUCUCAAGGGCUGAGUUAUCCGGUAGGCCUCAGGUCCACGCUACUAGCCAUAGAUCCGCGCUAUGAUGGGCUAUCCACCGUUGAAAAGCAGCAACUCGCGCACGAUCGAUGAUGGGCGGUGCAUGAUUAGGCGAUGGACCUCAGGCAUAUGGAAUAAUCUUUAACUGUUCCCUUUGACCGCUUCCUCAGGAUUUGGAUUUGAUUAGUACUGUUGUUCCCUAAGAAUCAGGGGCCAAGAAAACUUGCCCACCCAACGCUAGAAGACAUGAUAGGGUUCGUUUUUUUUUUUUUUUUCAUUUAAAAGUACUAUAGUUCUUGAGACCCAACCUAUCUUCCCUUAUUACCGAUCAAAAAGAAAAAAAAAAUCCUAUCUUCCCUAAUUCAUGGGUCUAUUGACACGUGUCAUGAAGUUUGAUGUAUAAAUUUCAGGUUUGGGGCAAGCAUAAAUGGAUGCGCUUGAUAUUUACUUAAAUGAUUAGGAUUUCUUUAACAUGUCCUAGGAUACUAGUUAAAUAUUUAAAUAAAAACAUAUUUGUAACGUAUUGUCUCCUUGGUAUUACAAAUUUGUAAUGCAUUGAAAACGGCAAUUAGUUUUUUGCUUGAAGCACUAAUUAACAAGACCCAAAGGAUUACAUCCAUGAUUUGCAAUUUAUAAAUUAGGCUCUGAAUAAAAGAUUUUAACCUUUCCCAGCACAACAAUAUCCGUGAACGGUCAUGGUGCUUGUUUUUCUUUUCUAGUGCAAAUAGUGCCCAGUGUUCUACUCGCCAAACCAAUCACCGAGUACUAAAUGUUCUUGAAGAAAACAAUGAAGUUAGUGAUACUCUUGUCAUGUUGUGAUCGAUUGCGUCAAAAGAUGACCUAAAAUUUUUUUGGUCGUUACUGACCUAACAUUUUAAGCGGACAUAAAAAUCUCUCCUUUUAGACAUGUAAGAUUUAUUGGUCAUAGAAAAAGUAGCUGAGUGUAUUUCACUCUGUUUUAUUCUACAUUUGUCAAUGUGGCACCACAUUUAUGGCUCAUGUGGAAUUUGGCCACUUAAUCAAUUUUGAUGGUGCUUGUAAUGGUAGGUGUGGAAGAGGAUUGUAUUGUACAAACUCACAAAGUUAUAACAUUACAUUGCUGAUAAUGGGAAUAGUUAAAAAAAUCUGGAACACGAAAAUCAGAUAGCCCCAGUAAAAUUAUUACGGAGAGUAAUUAGACAAACAAAUUCUGUUCAUGCUCACCCUACUGGAACAAAAACCGAACAAGACAUAUCAGGGUACUUUCCAUUCCAAACCUAAAAAAGGAUAGACUUAAUGAUUUUGUUAAUGUAGGAGAAUGGGGUACCAUUGAUCACCGGUGAUGGCGGCCUAAUGGUACAAACUGAUAUUCCACAAACGGGAGGUCACAAUGAUAAUCCAUUAGCGAUGGAAGUGCCUGUAUCUUACCUAGUUUGUGACGGGAGUUUUGGCAACUUGGAGGGCUUUGGGUGACGAGACUUGCCUACCCGAGAUAAUUGGGUCACGAGUGGUCUUGGAUAACGUUCUCGCAAUCUCAUGUCAAAAUUCAUGGCAGACGUGGAACUUUUGCAAUCACUCAAUAGAGUAACAGAGCAGAGUCUCCUUGAUUGCUCAUCUCCACCUUCCCUUUACAACAAAGAAAUAGAAAAUGUUACAUGAGAUGGCGUGGGAUUCUUUUUUUUCUUUUUUUUGUGGGUGUAAGAUGUUGUGGAAAUUUAAAUAGAAGAAAGAUGAACUGUGAACUCUGACACGGAAGUCACAUUUAAAUGGAUGUAAAUCGAAGGGUUGAUUCAAAAUUAGUUGUCAUAUUCUCCAACUCGAAAACCACUGUUUUAAAUCCUAUUUUUGCGUCUUUAAAGUAGCUGCUAUUGUUAGAAGUAAGAAAGCUUCUUAAUUUGACUUUGAAUGUAGACCUCGUGAUACAAAUUAACCUUCAGAGCAUGUCUCAAAAAAAGUACGAGCAUCUUAGUACACCUACCUGAAUUUAUAGCUUUUUGUUUUUCUUUUGCCCAGUGGCAAAAGAUGAACAAAAGCACAUGCCGCCUACCUCAACAGUAUUUGCAUUUGCUCCUCCCGAGAGACUUUGCCAAAUACAGAUGUUAGCGGGAUACUCUGCAAAACAAGCACAGUUGAGCAUACAGGUCACUCAUCUGGGGAAUAAGAAAAAGAAGUUAGGAAGAGAACGUACAAGAAGCACUGAAAUUGGAGAAAAAAAAAUCAAUAUAAGAGCAACUACUCUUCACGAUCCUCACAAAGCAGAGAGCAUUUCCGUAAGUGGAAAGAUGAGCAACUUUUGGGCAUCAAACAGAGUUCAAGAUAUAUCAUCAAUAAAGACAGGCACAUCCAUGCAUCGUAAUUCCAGCACUGUAAGCUAGUCCAUGUAAGCAUUAUUUGUUUUGAGGAAUAGUCACUUGUAUGAAACAAUGGUUGACUUGUUGUACCACGUUAGCAUUUUAACCAUUUUAUUGCAUACUUCCUUGUCAAACAAAACAGAGCAACCCAAUUGUCAACGUUGGACAUUCAAGAGUUGGUCUGUGGAAGUUUUGGUGAAGCUUGUCCAUGGAAAAACAUGAACUUUUUACCAUCGGAUUGAGGAUUCGGAAUAGAAAUGGAUCCUGGAGCAGCAGCAAUAGCGAAACAACAAGUGUGCAAGAAAGAAAUAAGUCUGAAAGAAAUCUGAAUCAUUACCUGAAGAACAAAAUUAGACAUUGGAGAGAAAUCUUCUUAUUGAAUUCGAACUCAAUCAAUUACUAGGAGUGGGAUUGCUUGGAUGAGGUGCCAAUAGUCACCACAGAGUUUUGAGCACCGAUCUUUCGGAAUCUCACAUCGAGUUAUGUUGAAUACAUGGAGGGAGGGAGGGAGGGAAGAAAUCCUCUGUCAAUUCCCUCAACUUCCGGCAACAUAUAGAAUAUAACAGUUUAAAUAAAUGAGGAGAGAUGCCUACGAAGAUUACUUUAUUGUCUUUCCACCUUCUUUAUAUUUCUCAUCUAAAGAAAGAUUAGAGAGGAAGAAAAUAGGAGACUCCACGCAUCUUAUGUCCUCCACCGUUGAUGGUCCUUCCACAUGUUUCAUAUGUCUUAUCCAAAAUCCUGGAACAGGACGAUUAAUUAGUCCUGAACAAAAAUUACUUUCUUGCAUAAGAAACAAACAAUGAGAGUGAUUAGACAAAAAGAAUUAUUUGCAUACCCACCCGACAGCGACAGAAAAAAAAAUGAAUAAACAAGACAAGAAACUGGACCCUUCACUUUCCUAUUCUCAGAAAUAAGUGACCCUCUGGAUGAAUUUGUUUUCGCCGAAUAAUUCUUAUGAUUAUGUUAGCCCACCCGUAUGGGAGACCACUAAUCACUGGCGAUGGUGGCUUAUUGGUUCGGGCUUGAUAUUCUACAAAUGUGAGGUCAUGAGAUCAAAUGAUUGGUACAGGCUGGUAACUCUUAAGAAUGAACAUCAACUUCACCACCAAUAUACGAGGGCUGAUAUUUUUACAAUCUCAAAGCAUGAAGGGCAAGCUGAGAAGAUGUCAACAUGGUGCACUGAAGAUUUAGCUCAGAAUACUCAAAUUCUUUACCUCAAAGAAAGCAACAUUCAUCCAUGCACUAUUGUCCUAUAUGAGAAAAAAAUUAACAGCGACACCCACAUUGACCCAACCGAAAGUGCUAAUAACCACUUCAACAAAGCGAAGACCCCACCAGCCACAAAUACAAGUAUAUCAUUCACUGCACAAAUACAUACGGACAGCAAGCUACUAGGACAAAUUAAGCACGCCUCAAGCAUAAGAAUGUGAUAAUCCAAUAUAAAAUCAUAAUGAAUCCAAAGCGUCACCUACAUGGAGGAUAUACAUGCUGAGGAGGUCCUAGAACGCUUAAGUAACACCAGACAACUAAUGGCUUUACUUGACUCGAAUCUGCGCAAUAUGGAAUACUAUCAAUUUUAUGUGUUUCAAGCCUUGAAUCGCCCCCAUCAAAUUGAUGGAAGAAGAUGUAACAUCCAUGUGGCAUCUUUCUAUAUGUUCACAUGACGAAAACACUACCGAAAUGAGAUUGAAAUCCUCACGUUCCCCAUGUGAACAAAAGCGACUAGAAAACACCCUUAUUAUGUUCAAGGCUGGAAACGAUGGCAAUUUGAUGAGAAAUCAAUAUCCAUAAAACACUGUACAUGGCCACCUCACUCACUGUGCUUAUUUUUGCUCCUCAAGAACUUAUAUAUAACAUCAUACGUACGUCAUCCGUACCAGAAACCGUGUAUAUCUUCAACGUCAGUUGAAACAGCAAAUGCACGCAUAAACAGCGAACAUCAAAUGCACGUGACCAGCAUUUGACAUACUAAAAGCACACACAAUCGCAUUUCAAUCAACUUUAUACGGGAAAUGCAGUAAGACACGAGCAGUGCAACUUCAAUGGGACAUCAAAACGUUGGUAAACGGAAUGCAAUAGGAAUUAACUAUCUAUGACUGAGUCAGGCAUUCUGUCGAACUGGUAGAGCGCCUACCCGUCAAAUAACUAAUGUACGCCAUCUUCAAGCAGCGAUUCACUUACAGUCAUUACUAUCAGCAACGACCAAGGUCCAGAACAUCGAGAGAAAUGAGAAGGAGGAAAGUCCACGAAGAAGCCUCUCCUCUGGAAAUUCAAGAAAAAACAGAGAGCUCAGCUCGAUUCAUUGAACCCAAAGCCGAAAACCACAGAGAGAGAGAAAGAGAGAGAGAGAGAAGAAGAACUUGGCUUUAAAGAUCGAACGGCGAGGAGCCGAACAGGAGGAGCCGUUGUAGUCGGAGCAAAGGCUGAGAGACGUCAGAAACUGAGCCGGAGCUCUGCCGAGCUCAGCGCUCUCCCUCGCUACAAUUCUUCUUCCAUCAUCUUCUAGCGGCUUUUGUUUUGCACUGAAUCCUUUGACAAAAGUUUUGUCUUUUAAGGGUUUCCAUGGAUGCUGAUAUUCUUUUGGUCGACUCACCGUACGGUCCCAUAAAUUGUUGUCAGGUGAUGAUGACGACUCAUCUUUAUCACUCUAGAAUUAGCAAGGAGAGGGAAUUAUAAAGAUUACAAAACCUGUCAUUAACUAAAGCUAGAAAGAGCAGUUGCAAUAAAUCAUUGUUCUCCAUAUCUAACUAUGUGUUUUCGCACAUAAUUAGGCCUUAAAUUUCGAGCUCACGCGAAAAGUAACCACAUUAAUAUCAAACAUAUUAUCUAUUAUUUUUUUCCUUCAGAUGAAACUAAAUAUUUCGAUUAGCUCACAUUAUAUUCGAAUGCGAAGCAUAUUUAUUCAUUUGAGUUGGCUCAAGAGAGAAAAAAGAAUUGCCCAUGGAGCUUGGCUCAACCUAGCCCAAAUAUAAGGGAAAACAACUGUGCAAGAUUGAGGGCAAUGACUCUUCUCUUAGACCUUGGAGCUACCAAGACUUGACCAACGUGGUUUUACUGUUUGGCAAAUGCAAGACUUGAAUGAGUCUGGUUCUUGGGUGCUUGCCCUGACGCUGUCGUUUAUGGUAAGAAAGUCUAAUAGUUUACAAAAUCAUAGGCCGGGCCAAGUAAGAAUUUUGAUGGUCGAUAUCUGACUUAGUCCGUCUAGGCUCCCGAUUCAAUAGUUCUACAAAUAGCGAGUGUUGUCUCAACUGAACAAUUUUUUUUUUUUUUUUACCUUAUCACCCGAAUUGUAUGUCAAGUCCAAGUGCAAUCUAAUCCAUUUUGGGAUUAAGGCCCAAGAGUUUGGACCUGCCAACGGCGACCCAUUCACUGCCUUUGAAGCAUGGUGUUAAGGCUUAAUCAUAUUAUAAUUGUCAAAUUCAGGUUGAAUUCGCAUUUCUUAUUGAGAGCACCUAAAACAUUUCGAAAAUCUAUUUGUAAAAUCUUCCUAUUCUUUUAAAAUUUGAAUUUUUAUUUCAUACUACAAAAUUUUAAGAAGGGACGUAUUUCGGGCAACUAACUAAGAACUCUUUUUUUUUCUUGCUUCUCUUUGGUAUUAAACUAGGAACUCUAUUAAGGGAAUGAUAUAAGUUCUGAGGCAUCAAUAUCACUUCACAUGCAAAAUGUCGAUAUUAUCGAAUUUUUCUUAUUUGUAGCUUGCUUCAAAUAUUAAGUUUUUUUUUGGGUAAAAAAAUAUUAAGAUUAGUUGAUUGCAAUGGAUUGCUUUUAUGUUGAAGUUUCGUAAAAGCCAUUUUUCAUUUUCCUUUUUUUUUUCUUCUGACAAGGGAAAAAUUGCUCAAAAGUUAUUUUAACCUUAGCAAAUGAUAUCCUUGACUUAUGAUUUUGUUUAUAUAAUUGAUUUACAUCCAUAUAUUAGUAUAUCACACAGUGUUGUUGGGAAAAUCAACCAAUCUAAAUCAUUGGCCACAAAUAUGUAAGUAUUCCCAAAACAUUCAUUAUUUAACUUAGUCAUAUAAAAUAUCAAUAUAUAUUGUAAAGAAAAAAACAAGAAUAUUUAUAACACUUCGUAUAAAGGCAACUAACUUGGGUUGACUAGAAGAUAAGUACUUUGAAGACAUCUAAAAUUCUUACAAAUAGUUGAGAAAGAUUGCUUAUUAAUUACAUAAAAAAGCAAAAAUGGUUUAAAAAAUGGAAAGAGUAACACUUUUUUUCACAUUAAUUGGACUUCAUCUCACUAUGGCCUUAGACAUUUUCUUUAAUGCCUCAAUUUUCGCCGAUUGCAAUCGUCAUUAUAAUUAUCUCAAUUGAAUCACAGUCACUACAUCGGACUCUUCAAGUUGAAGAGAUAGAUAUAUGGCAUGUGAGAUGAAAAAUGGGAACGAAAAAAUAAAUUAUGGGAUAAGAAAAUUAAGUAGCUCACAGUAAAAAUUACUUUGUCAUGCGAAAUAAACAAUUACAAGAGUAAUCAGACAAACAAAUUAUACACAUAGUCAACCACAUACUCAACCGACUGCAACCAAAAAUCAACAAGACAGAACAUGGUACUUCCCAAACCAAGUCUAAAAAAUGUGAUUGAUUGUUAUGGUUAGUUUGUAUUUUCCGAAUGGCCCUUGUUAUUCCGCUAAUAUAGAACUAUGGGGGACAGCUAAUCACUGGUGAUUGUAGCCUAAUGGUACAAGCUGAUACUCUACACGAGGUCGUGAGGAUAACCCACUAACGAUGACAGUGCCUGCAUCAUGCCUUGUCCGCGACCGGAGCUCUGGCAGCUUGGUGCGGUUAUAGUGACAAGACUUGCCCACCCGAGAUAAUUGGGUUGCGAAUGGUCUUGGAUGGCCAUCUUCUCGCAAGCUUAAAUCAAAAUACAUCAUGGCAAACACAAGGCUUUCAUAUUGAAUUAACAGAGCGCCUAAAGCAUAGUCUCCCUGAUUGCUCCUCUCCACCUUUCCUUGACAACAAAGAAGAAGAAAAUGUGCUCUAAGCUGGUGUGGGAAUUUGAAUAGAAGAAAGAUGAACUAUGAACUUCGACAAGGAAAUCGGAUUUAAAUGGAUGAUAAUCAGUAGAUUCAUUCAAUUUAAUUACCAUAUUCACAACUCGAAAAUUCCUGUUUUAAAUCCUAAUUUUUUGCAUCGUUACAAUAGUUGCUGUUGUUGGAAGUAAGAAACCUCCAUCAUCUGACUUGGAAUAUAGACCUCAAUAAUUGACAUAAUGAUACAGAUUAAUCUUUUGGAGCAGGUCUCCAAAAAAACAGUUUAGAGCAUAUCACUAAACCUCCCAAAAUAAAUUGUCAAGUUGCAAAAGAUGAACAUAAGAACAUCAUUUGCCUACCUCUACAUUGUUUGCCUUUGAUCCUCCUAAGAGAUUUUGCCAAAUAAAGAUGACAGUGGGGAAAUUAUGCAAAACAAGCACAAUUAAGGGAAUUCAGGUCACUGAGCUACGGCAUAAAAAAAAGAAAUUUGGAAGAGAAAACAUAACAAAUGCUGAAAUUGCAGAAAAAUAUUAAUAUAAGAGCAACAAUUCUUCUUGGUUCUCAUGCAAAGCAUAGGGCAUUUCCAUAAGUGGAAAGAUAAGCAAUAGUUGGGCAUCAAACAAAGUUCAAGAUAUAUCAUCAAUCCAGACAGGCACAUCCAUGCAUCACAAUUCUAGCACCGUGAGCAAGUCCAUGUAAGUAUCAUUUUUUUUAGGAAUAGUCACUCGUAUGGUGGACAAGAUGUACCCUAUUAGCAUUAUAACCAUUUCAUUGUGUGCUUCCUUAUCAAACUAAACAAAGCAACCCAAACGUCUAGCUGGUUUGUGGCAAAUUACGCGAAGCUUGUGCAUGGAAAAACAUGAACCUUUUAGCAUUGAGUUGAGGAUUCGUGAUAGAAAUGGAUCCUGGAGUAGCAGCAGUAGAUAAACGACGAGUGCGGAAGAAAGAAGUAGGAACCAUUACCUGAAGAAUAAAAAUUAGACAUUGGAGAGAAAUCUUCUUAUGCAAGUACCGAUAACCUAUAAAAGAUAGCUGCUUGAGAGAGGAGAGAUGGCUGUGAAGACUUAAUCUUUCCACAUUCCUCAUAUUUCUCAUCCAAAGAGAAAUUAGAGAUGAAGGAAAUAGAAUGUGAGGUCAGGAGGUCGAAUGACUUGGUACGAGCGGAUAACGCUAAAGAAUUAUUGGCUACACUUGUUGUUAUAUCUGGAAUGCUUGAAAUGUAGUAAACUUUAACAAUAAAUCACCUGAUCCUGAAACUCACUUUUACAUUUUAGAAAAGCUCUUUAGACUGUAUAGCUUGUAAAAAUGCUAGAAAGCUAAGCCAUGAUUGGGUGAACGAAGGCAGGGUGUGGAGAGUAAACCUGAGUUAGGCUUUGUGAAGAUUAACUGUUAUGGGUCUUAUAUUGAGGGAACCAAACAUGCUGUAGUUAGGAUUGUGGCCAAAGAUGAAACAGGGGAGAUGAUUGCUUGCAGGGGUGUUGUGGUGCAAGCUAGAUCUGCAAAGGAGGCUGAAACACUUGCUGCUCAAAAAGCUUUGCAGUAGCCAAACAAAAAGCUGAACCAAGGUAGUAGUGGAGCUAAAUGGAGCUGUGGUAUACAAGGAUAUCAUCAAUUUCCCCAAGCAGUGCAGUUAGAGACUAAAGGAUGCUCGUACUGGGAUUCAAGAAGCUAUAGAUCAUUUUGAAUCGCCGAAUUUUAGUUGUAUUUCAUGAAAAGCAAAUGCUUGUGCCCAUUAGGUGGCUUUGCCAAAUUUGGGAUCUACAUCUGCAUCCCCCACCCUUGUUAUCACAUAUGCUUAUUUCAACCGUGAGCUGCUGGCCUAGAAAGAAAAAACCCCAUCGAGGACACACACAACAUACCCGAAUGCCAGUCUCUGACCUUCAGUGGCUGGUUUUUGAGCAUUGAUCUUUCGGAAUCUUGCCUAUAGAUAUCUCCAGAAUUUGGACAGAUCAUAGUCUUCCUUAUUGCUCCUUUCCACCUUUCCUUGACAACAAAGAAAAAGAAAAUGUGCUCUGAUAUGACGUGGGAGUAUGAAUAGAAAGAUGAACCGUGAACUUUGACAAGGAAGUUAGAUUUCAAAGGCUUAUAAUCUGCAGGGUUCAUUCAAAUUUAGUUGUCACAUUUGCCAGCUCGAUCACACCUGUUUUAAAUCCUAUUUUUUUGCAUCUUUACAGAAGCUGUUGUUGUUGGAAGUAAGAAAGCUUCUUCCUUUGACUAUGAAUAUAGACCUCGGUAAUUGACAUCGUGAUACAUUUAAUCUUUGAGAGCACAUCGCCAAAAGAAAAAACAGUUUAGAGCAUAGUAGUACUCCUACCAAUAAUAAAUAGCCUUUUGUUCUUCUUUUGUCAAGUUGCAAUAGAUGAACAUAAGCACAUCAGUUGCCUACCUCAGCACUGUUUGCAUUUGAUCCUCCUGAGAAAUUUUGCCAAAUAAAGAUGACAGUGGGAUAUUCAGCAAAACAAUCACAGUCGAGAGAAUUCAGGUUAGUGAGCUAGGAUAUAAAAAAUUAAAAAGAAGAUAAUUGGAAGAGAAAACAUAACAAAUACUGAAGUUGUGGACAAAUAACAAUAUAAGAGCAACAAUUCUUCAUGAUUCUCACGUGAAGCAUAGUGCAUCUCCAUAAGUGGAAAGAUAAGCAAUUUUUAGUCAUCAAACAGUUCAAGAUAUAUCAUCAAUACAGAGAGGCACAUACACGAAUCAUAAUUCCAGCAGUAUGAACAAGUCCAUAUAAGGACGCGCGGACCCUGGAGUGCCUUAACUUUGGCCAAAGGGACACUUAAGUGCCAUAACUAUGCUGUACCACAUUAGAAUUAUAACCAUUUCAUUGUGUGUUUCCUUGUCAAACAAAAUAGAGCAACCCAAAUGUCAACAUUGGACCUUCAGCAGCUGGUUUGUGGAAAUUUAGGUGAAUUUUGUCCAUGGAAAAAUAUUAACUCUUUAGCAUCGAAUUGAGGAUUCAGAAUAUAAAUGGAUCCUGAAGUAGCAACAGUAGCUAAAAGACACGUGUGCAAGAAAGAAAGAAGNNNNNNNNNNNNNNNNNNNNNNNNNNNNNNNNNNNNNNNNNNNNNNNNNNNNNNNNNNNNNNNNNNNNNNNNNNNNNNNNNNNNNNNNNNNNNNNNNNNNNNNNNNNNNNNNNNNNNNNNNNNNNNNNNNNNNNNNNNNNNNNNNNNNNNNNNNNNNNNNNNNNNNNNNNNNNNNNNNNNNNNNNNNNNNNNNNNNNNNNNNNNNNNNNNNNNNNNNNNNNNNNNNNNNNNNNNNNNNNNNNNNNNNNNNNNNNNNNNNNNNNNNNNNNNNNNNNNNNNNNNNNNNNNNNNNNNNNNNNNNNNNNNNNNNNNNNNNNNNNNNNNNNNNNNNNNNNNNNNNNNNNNNNNNNNNNNNNNNNNNNNNNNNNNNNNNNNNNNNNNNNNNNNNNNNNNNNNNNNNNNNNNNNNNNNNNNNNNNNNNNNNNNNNNNNNNNNNNNNNNNNNNNNNNNNNNNNNNNNNNNNNNNNNNNNNNNNNNNNNNNNNNNNNNNNNNNNNNNNNNNNNNNNNNNNNNNNNNNNNNNNNNNNNNNNNNNNNNNNNNNNNNNNNNNNNNNNNNNNNNNNNNNNNNNNNNNNNNNNNNNNNNNNNNNNNNNNNNNNNNNNNNNNNNNNNNNNNNNNNNNNNNNNNNNNNNNNNNNNNNNNNNNNNNNNNNNNNNNNNNGAUUGAUAUGGGCUGAUAACUCCUAAGAAUGAUUGCCUAGACCUAUUGGUAUAUUUGGAAAGCUCGAAAUGCAGUAACUUUUACCCAUAAAUAACCAGAUGCUAAAAAGUAUCACUUGCAUUGGUCAGAAAAGCACUUUUGGAGUUUGCUGCCAGUAAAAAUGCUAAGUCAAGAAUGGGUGGAUUAAAGGCAAGGUAUGUGGAGUAAACCUGAGACGAGGUCUUACUUAACUUGCUAUAGUUGGGACUAAGGCUAGAAAUGAAACAGGGGAGAUGGUUGCCUGCAGAGAGGAGGCUGAAUUACUUGCUGGUCGAAAGAGCUUUGCAGUGGCUAAACAAAAAAGCAGUGCAAUUGGAGACUAAAGGAAACUCUUGAUGGGAUUCAAGCAACUAAAAAUCAUUCUUUCAGCCCUGAAUUUUAGUUGUCUUUCACGAUACGGCGGUUUUUGGAAAUUCUAUGCGAAAUAACCAAAUGUUAGUCUCUGACCUUCAAUUGGUGGUUUCUGGAAAUUCUAUUCGACACUUCUCCAUGGGAAAACAAUUAAUUCCUAUAAAGCAUCGAAUUGAAGAACAUAAGCGAAAUUGAUGCAUUCAAGACCAAAAAGCUUACCCAAAUCCUAAGAAAACUGACUGCACAUCGAAGGAUGAAUCACGGCAGUUAGCAAAUUUUCACUUCAUUGGAUCCGAACCCAAUAAACGCACAUGUCAGGGAUUUCUUGGACUUCCAGAAGGUUACGUGAGACCUCUACAUGGGGAAAGUAUCGAUUUUUAGUAAGCAUCAAAUUGAGGAAGUAGAAUGAAAAUUGAUGCCUUCAAACCAAAACUUACUCNNNNNNNNNNNNNNNNNNNNNNNNNNNNNNNNNNNNNNNNNNNNNNNNNNNNNNNNNNNNNNNNNNNNNNNNNNNNNNNNNNNNNNNNNNNNNNNNNNNNNNNNNNNNNNNNNNNNNNNNNNNNNNNNNNNNNNNNNNNNNNNNNNNNNNNNNNNNNNNNNNNNNNNNNNNNNNNNNNNNNNNNNNNNNNNNNNNNNNNNNNNNNNNNNNNNNNNNNNNNGGAGAGAUGGUUGCAAAAGCCUUCCCACGUUCCUCUUAUGGUCAAUCCAAAGAGAGGUAAGAGAGGAAGGAAAGAGAAGACUCGAGGCAUCCUCCUCGUCCUCCUCCUCCUCCGAAGGAAACCGCACCUUCUCUCCCUCCCCUCCCAUGCUUCUUCCGUCAAUAUUUAAAAACGUGAGGGAUGUGAGCAAGGGUAAGCAAAAUGGGAAAUUGAUGCCUUCGAAACCAUAAACUUAGCCGAACCCUAGAAAACCUAACCGUACCUUGACCGUACCAAGACGAAUCAAUUCAUUGGAUCUGAUCGCCAUCAAUGUCGAUGAGAGGGAUCUCUUGGAUGAGGGGCCAAUAGUCGCCAACGUGUUUUGAGGCAUCAAUCUAGUAGAAUAUCGCAUCCACUUAUGUGCAAUCGGUAGAGGGAGGGAGGGAGGCCAACCUCUGAUAAUUCCUUCAACUUCGGGCAAUCUUCUAUCCAUAACUCUUGGAGAGAGGGGAGAUUGAUUGCGAAGGUCAUCUGAUAAUCUUUCCAUGUUCCUCAUAUUGUCAAUCCAAAAAGAGGGUAAGACAGGAAGGAAAGAGAAGAAUUCGAGGGAUCCUUCUCCUCCUCCUCUGAAGGAAACCUCACCUUCUCUCCCUCCCUCCCAUGCUUCUUCAAUCAAUAUUUAGAAACAUGAGGGAUGUGAGCAGGGGUAAGCAGAAUAGGAAAUUGAUGCCUUAGAAAUCAUAAAUUUACCCGAACCCUAGAAAACCUGACUGUACCAGGAUGAAUCAAUUCAAUGAAUCCGAUCGCAAUCAAUGUCGAUGAGAGGGAUCUCUUGGAUGAGGGGCCAAUAGUCACCGGUGUGUUUUGAGCAUCGAUCUUGUAGAAUCUUGCAUCCACUUAUGUGCAAUCGUUGGAGGGAGGGAGGGAGGCCAACCUCUGGCAAGUCCCUCAACUUGGGGCAAUCUUCAAUCCAUAACUCUUGGAGAGAGGGGAGAUGGUUGCGACGGCCAUUUGAUAGUCUUUCCACGUUCCUCAUAUGGUCAAUCCAAAGAGAGGUAAGAGACGAAGGAAAGAGAAGACUCGAGACAUAUUCCUCGUCCUCGUCCUCCUCGGAAGGAAACCGCACCUUCUCUCCCUCCCUUCCCAUGCUUCUUCCGUCAAUAUUUAGAAACGUGAAGGGUGUGAGCAGGGGUAAGCAGAAUGAGAAAUCAAUGCCUUCGAAACCAUAAACUUACCCGAACCCUAGAAAACCUGACUGUACCAUGAAGAAUCAAUUCAUUGAAUCCGAUCGCCAUCAAUGUCGAUGAGAGGGAUCUCUUGGAUUAGGGGCCAAUAGUUGCUAGUGUCUUUUCAGCAUCGAUCUUGUAGAAUCUCACAUUCACUUAUGUGCAAUCGUUGGAGGGAGGGAGGGAGGCCAUCCUCCGACAAGUGCCUCAACUUCGGGCAAUUGAGAAUCCAUAACUCUUGGAGAGACAAGAGAUGGUUGUGAAGGCCAUCUUAUAGUCUUUCCAUGUUCCUCAUAUGGUCAACCCAAAGAGAGGUAAGAGUGGAAGGAAAGAGAAGACUUGAGGCAUCCUCCUCGUCCUCCUCCUCCUCCAAAGGAAACCGCACCUUCUCUCCCUCCCCUUCAAUGCUUCUUCCAUCAAUAUUUAGAAACGUGAGGGAUGUGAGCAAGGGUAAGCAGAAUGGGAAAUCGAUGCCUUCGAAACCAUAAACUUACCCGAACCCUAGAAAACCAGACCAUACUAGGACGAAUCAAUUCGUUGGAUCUGAUCGCCAUCAAUGUUGAUGAGAGGCAUCUCUUAGAUGAGGGACCAAUAGUCGUCGGUGUGUUUUGAGCAUAGAUCUUGUAGAAUCUUGCAUCCAGUUAUGUGCAAUCAUCGGAGGGAGGGAGGGAGGCCAUGCUCUGGCAAGUGCCUCAACUUUGGGCAAUUGAGAAUCCAUAACUUUUCGAGAGAGGAGAGAUGGUUGCAAAUGCCAUAUGAUAGUCAUUCCACAUUCCUCAUAUGGUCAAUCCAAAGAGAGGUGAGAGAGGAAGGAUAGAGAGGACUCCAAGCACCCUCCUCGUCCUCCUCUUCCGAAGGAAACCGCACCUUCUCUCCCUCCCCUUCCAUGCUUUUUCCGUCAAUAUUUAGAAACAUGAGGGAUGUGAGCAGGGGUACGCAGAAUGGGAAAUUGAUGGCUUUGGAACUAUAAACUUACCCAAACCCUAGAAAACCUGACCAUAACAAGACAAAUCAAUUCAUUGGAUCUAAUCGCCAUCAAUGUCGAUGAGAGGGAUUUUUUGGAUGAGGGGUCAAUAACCGCCAGUGUAUCUUGAGCAUUGAUCUGGUAGAAUCUCGCAUCCACUUAUGUGCAAUCGUUAGAGGGAGGGAGGGAGGCCAUCCUCUAACAAGUCCCUCAACUUCGAGCAAUUGAGAAUCCAUAACUCUUGGAGAGAGGAGAGAUGGUUGCGAAGGCCAUAUGAUAGUCUUUCCACGUUCCUCAUAUGGUCAAUCCAAAGAGAGGCAAGAGGAGAAUGAAAGAAAAGACUUGAGGCAUCCUCCUUGUCCUCCUCAUUCGAAGGAAACCGCACCUUCUCUCCCUCCCCUCCCAUGCUUCUUCCAUCAAUAUUUAGAAACGUGAGAGAUGUGAGCAAGGGUAAGCAAAAUGGGAAAUUGAUGCCUUUGAAACCGUAAACUUACCCGAACCCUAGAAAACCUUACUGUACCAAGACAAAUCAAUUCAUUGGAUCCGAUCGCCAUCAAUGUCGAUGAGAGGGAUCUCUUGGAUGAGGGGUCAAUAGUCGCCAGUGUGUUUUGAGCAUUGAUAUUGUAGAAUCUCGCAUCCACUUAUGUGCAAUUGUUGGAGGGAGGGAGGGAGGCCAUCCUCUGGCAAGUGCCUCAACUUCAGGCAAUUGAGAAUCCAUAACUCUUGGAGAGAGGAGAAAUGGUUGAGAAGGCCAUCUGAUAGUCUUUCCACAUUCCUCAUAUGGUCAAUCCAAAGAGAGGUAAGAGAGGAAGGAAAUAGAAGACUCCAAGCAUUCUCCUCAUCCUCCUCCUCCUCCAAAGGAUACCACACCUUUUCUCUCUCCCCUCCCAUGCUUUUUAUGUUAAUAUUUAGAAAUGUGAGGGAUGUGAGCAGGGGUAAGCAAAAUGGGAAAUUGAUGGCUUCAAAACCAUAAACUUACCCGAAUCCUAGAAAACCUGACCUUCCCAAGACGAAUCGAUUCAUUGGAUCUGAUCGCCAUCAAUGUCGAUGAGAGGGAUCUUUUGGAUGAGGGGUCAAUAGUCGCCAAUGUCUUUUCAGCAUCGAUCUUGUAGAAUCUCGCAUCCACUUAUGUGCAAUUGUUGGAGGGAGGGAGGGACCUCAACUUCGGGCAAUAGAGAAUCCAUAACUCUUAGAGAGAGGAGAGAUGGUUGUGAAGGCCAUCUGAUAGUCUUUCCACGUUCCUCAUAUGGUCAAUCCAAAGAGAGGUAAGAGAGGAAGGAAAGAGAAGACUCGAGGCAUCCUCCUCGUCCUCCUCCUCGUCCGAUGGAAACCGCACCUUCUCUCCCUCCCCUCCCAUGGUUCUUCCGUCAAUAUUUAGAAACAUGAGGAUGUGAGUAGGGGUAAGCAGAAUGGGAAAUCGAUGCCUUUGAAACCGUAAACUUACCCAAACCCUAAAAAACUUGACCGUACCAGGACAAAUCAAUUCAUUGGAUCCAACCGCCAUCAAUGUCGAUGAGAGGGAUCUCUUGGAUGAGGGGCCAAUAGUUGCCGGUGUGUUUUGAGCAUCGAUCUUGUAGAAUCUCACAUCCACUUAUGUGCAAUCAUUUGAGGGGGGGGGGGAGGUAGGCCAUCCUCUAGCAAGUCCCUCAACUUCGGGUAAUCUUCAAUCCAUAACUCUUGGAGAGAAAAGAGAUGGUUGCAAAGGCCAUUUGAUAGUCUUUCCACGUUCCUCAUAUGGUUAAUCCGAAAAAAGGUAAGAGAGGAUGGAAAGAGAUGACUCGAAGCAUCCUCCUUGUCCUCCUCCUCCUCCGAAGGAAACCGCACCUUCUCUCCCUCCCCUCCCGUGCUUUUUUUGUUAAUAUUUAGAAACAUGAGGGAUGUGAGCAAGGGUAAGCAGAAUGGAAAAUCGAUGUCUUCGAAACCAUAAACUUACCCAAACCCUAGAAAACCUAACUGUACCAGGAUGAAUCAAUUCAUUGGAUCCGAUUGCCAUCAAUGUCGAUGAGAGGGAUCUCUUGGAUGAGGGGCCAAUAGUCGCCAGUGUGUUUUGAACAUCGAUCUUGUAGAAUCUCGCAUCCACUUAUGUGCAAUCGUUGGAGGGAGGGAGGGAGGGAGGCCAUCCUCUGGCAAGUGCCUCAACUUGGGGCAAUUGAGAAUCCAUAACUCUUGGAGAGAGGAGAUGGUUGAGGAGGCCAUAUGAUAGUCUUUCGACGUUCUUCAUAUGGUCAAUCCAAAGAGAGGUAAGAGAGAAAGGAAGAAGACUUUAGGCAUCCACCUCAUCCUCCUCCUUUGAAGGAAACCGCAUCUUGUCUCCCUCCCAUCCCAUGCUUCUUCAAUCAAUAUUUAGAAACAUGAGGGAUGUGAGCAGGGGUAAGCAGGAUGGGAAAUCGAUGCCUUAGAAACCAUAAACUUACCCGAACCCUAGAAAACCUGACCGUACCAAGACGAAUCAAUUCAAUGAAUCUGAUCGCAAUCCAUGUCGAUGAGAGGGAUCUCUUGGAUGAGGGGCCAAUAGUCGCCGGUGUGUUUUGAGCAUUGAUCAUGUAGAAUCUUACAUCCACUUAUGUGCAAUCGUUGGAGGGAGGGAGGGAGGCCAACCUCUGGCAAGUCCCUCAACUUCGAGCAAUCUUCAAUCCAUAACUCUUGGAGAGAGGAGAGAUGGUUGUGAACGCCAUCUUAUAGUCUUUCCAUGUUCCUCAUACGGUUAAUCCAAAGGGAGGUAAGAGUGGAAGGAAAGAAAAGACUCCAUGCAUCCUCCUUGUCCUCCUCCUCCUUCGAAGGAAACCGCACCUUCUCUCCCUCCCCCUCCCAUACUUCUUUCGUCAAUAUUUAGAAACGUGACAGAUAUGAGCAGGGGUGAGCCCCAUUCUCUCACUUGCUACUCUAGAUUCUCGCGCCCAGUAAUUACGAGGGUCUCUAAAUUGGGAGGCAAACCUCCUUCAAGCAAGCAUUUGAAAUUUUGGCAAAGUACAAUAUGUAGGUACUCGAGGGAUGUAAGAUGAUGCCACUGAUUUGACAAAGACUUUAUCUUUGGACAAUCAUUAAGUUCAAGAGACGACAAGGAGAUGGGAAGGGGAGGGAAAUUCUUUAUCUCCAAUGAUGGACACUCGCUAAUAUUCAAAAUAGAGAGAUUGCUAAAUCUGGCAAUAGAUUUUAUCUUUGAACAUCUCUCAAGCAUGAGAACUGAUAGGGUGAGGGGAAGGGCAGGAAAGUCCUUUAUCUCCAGUGCUGGGCAAUCACUUAUAUACAAGUGAGUGAGAUGGGAGAGCAUGUGAAGGCAUUGCGGUAGGCUUCUUAGAUUCUCACAACUGUCAAUACUCAAAUAUUCAAGCAAUUCUAUGGUGAUCUCUUCCAAUGACUCCACUCCCUUGCACUCUUGAAUAGAAAAUUUCUUCAAAGUAGGAAGUCUACCUUUGGCUAAGGGAAAAGAUGUUUGAAAAUCACAUUUACUUGUACAUGAAGAUUGAAGUUGAGACUUAGGGUUGUUGCUGUUAGGGUCAUAUGAAGAAAUGGUUGGUCUUAUGAGUUUUGGACACCAACGAAUAGACAAAUAACUGAGUGUGUACAUCUUGCUUGGAAGCUUUUCUAACUGGUGCAAUUACUCAAUUCCAUCUUUUCAAGGUUGCAUGGUAGCUCUAUUUCUCUUUCUCCCGCCACUAAUGAUGUGAACUGAGGACAACAUACGAUGGUUAAUUCCUAGAGACAAGUGAGAUUUAGCAUUUCAUUUCCAUCUUGCCACAAGUAUUUUAAUUGGUCAUACCCUCCUAUAUGAAGCUCCUUUAGCUUGGUCAAGUAGCUCAUAAAACCAUGAUCAAAGCAAACAAGCUCUACAAUAUUCUUAAUUGUAAGAAUGGUCAAAGAAGUUAGGUUGACCAAGCUCUUCAAGAUCUCCUUGUUACAAUCCUCAAGGAACAACUCACGGAGAGAUGGAAGACAAACAUUGGUUAAGUUUUCCAAAUGCAGACAUGAAUGAAUUUCAGGCUUUAUAAGACGACCAAGUCGAUCAGGCAAUGUCCUGACCAACGAAGGAUAAAGUCGGACAACAAGAUGUUGAAGACAAAAGAAUAAUACUUCUUCUUCUAAUCCCUCUGCAUAACAAGACCAAUCCUUCCAUGUCAACAUCUCUUCAAACUUCAAAGUUGUUAAGGAUGAAAAAUGCCUCUUGCCUCCAUAGAAUUUAGAGCCUAACCUUCCUAUUGCAUAGAGACCUUUAAGAGAAAAUUCCUUAAGUGAAGGUAGUUGCCCAAUCAUAGGCAGCGACACAAUAUUAGGAUAGUCCCACAAGCAUAAAGACAUUAUUUUAGAAUAUGUACAAUCUAACCAUGAUGGAAAUCUUGCACCACCAUAGUUCAAAAUAGUGAGAUUUUCAAGAUUAGUGUGAGGUUGCGGAAAGUCAAGCACUUGUGCUUCAUGCUCAUGAUUAUGGAGAUUUCCCAAAUGUUUAUCUCAAUGCAAGGAUAAGUUGGCAAGGUCUAACUUUCGAAGCAAAAUAGCAUCGAUUGUAUUGAUAACUUUUUCCACCUUUUGCAAUUCUAAUAUGAAUAAUUCUCCUUCAAGAUGUGGCAAGUUUUUUUUUAACUCUUUCAACUGCGGCCCUUUCUCUCGUCCUACCACAAAUUUGGACAAGAUAAUAAAAUUAUUUAAAUUACCGAUACCCAAUGGCAUUUCUUCUAGACUCACUAUAUCUCUAAUAUCAAGAAAUUGUAAGUUGACUAACUUUGUGGUACCUUGAGGCAACUUUGAAAGACUAUUACAACCUCUUAAGAUCAGAGCUUGUAAUUUGCACAGGCCGACAAUUGACUCAGGUAGCCUCUUGAUAAAAGUGUACGAGAAAUUGAGAUAUCGAAGAUUUUUUAGAUGACCAACACAAUUUGGUACCUCUAUGAUGUCAUAAUGACAUGGCGAGAAUACUCUCAAGUACUUCAAGUUUGUUAGCAAGUCAUUUAGCGCCACGUUGGAAAUAGACAAAAAGUCCCCACUAGAUCCAUCACGCACUAGAAUUAAACUUCUUAGAGCCUUCAUUCCUUGAUAUGGUUUCAGGCAUUUUGAUUUUGAUGUAACAUGCCACGAUGGGAUGAAUGAUGCAUAACGAGUUUUUAUAUUACUUUCCACCUGAGACCCCCCUAAGCUAAAGCAAGUCCCUCUUGCAAUUGACUUUGCUAGAUCAUUCAAAAGAUCAUGCAUUGAAAACUUAGAUGUGUCGAUACUUGAUUGUUGAAGAAAUGACCUAGAUACUAACUCAUCAAAGUGCCUCUGUCCCAAUUUCAAGAUAUUCUUAUUUGUGCUAUCCACAAGAGUACCAACCCGUCCCUCUCAAUUUCAUAAUCCUUAGGAAAUACCGCACAAUAAGCAAAAUACCUCUUCAAAUAGGAAGGAAGAUGGACAUAGCUCAAUUUUAAAACUGGGAGAACCUCAUCAUUCUUUGCCAUUGGAAGAUCCCAUAUUUUGUUAUUUAAGGUAUCUUGCAAUUCCUCAAUAGUUAUUUUAGUACGUAGGACACCGCCGAACAUCUUCGCUGUUGAAGGUAAAACCUUUACAUCUUUCAGCUAUUUUCUGACCUAUUAUUUCAAAGGCCAGGUUGCUCUAAAAAUUUGUUGCUCCAAGAGCAUGAAAGGCCAAUAAGCUUUUACAAUUAUCAAAGGACAAUUCCCUCAAAUGAUACGACAAAGCUCCCGUUAUGGAAGCAACUUCAAGGUUGCGAGUCGUGAUCAUGAUCUUGCUUCCCCUAGCCCCCGCUUCAAAUGGCUUUAAGAGAGCAGUCCAUUUUUUGUACUUCUCAUUCCAGAUGUCGUCUAAAACCACAAGAAACUUCUUCAUGGAUAGACUUUUAUUCAACUUAACUUGAACCUCGUUAAGAUCUUUGCCCUCAUUGGACAACCCGAUGAUCGAACGCAAAAUAGUCUUUGUUAUGUCAAGGACAUAAAAAAAUCUAACACACAAACCCAUGCUUUCUUCUCAAAACAACUAUUCACUUUGGCAUCAUUAUAUAGCCAUUGAGCCAAGGCUGUCUUUCCAACGCCACCCAUCCCCACUAUGGGGACUAUGCCUAGUCUGGCAUCAGAAUUUUUGACCUCAUGGAUCAAUAGUUUGAGUAUCUCCAUCUCUUCCUUCUCCCUACCCAAAAAUUGAGGCUCCGGCAAAGAACUAGUGGGAUCCCUUCUGUUGAUGUAGUUGGAUUUGUCCAUAACAUUCUCUCUCAAGCUUAGACCGGCCCUCUUGUUGACAAGCGCUUCCAACCUACCAUUGAUCUCUUGGAGCUUGGUGUCAGACACGAGCGAGCUCAGUUGUGUAAAAGCAAGGAACUUCCUUUUCCAUUGACCUCUACUUGUGCUGGAUUCUACCUCCAACUUAGCUUGAGUGUCUUUGAUCUUGAACUCCUCGAGCAAGUCUUCUAUGUCAAAGGCCAAGUUCCUAACAUCGUCCAACCAUAGCUUCACUUGAUCAUUAUCGCUAAGUUGCUUUUCCUCUACAUCAUCCAGCACUUCAUUGAUUGUGACUAGCAUCCUCUUCCACUCAUCAAAGAUGGUGGUGCCAGUUCCAUCCCGUUGCACAAAGUCUGAUGCAAAGAACUCAACUUAUCGAACAAGACUUGAAAGAAGGAACCCAAAAUGAUUUCUCCAAUGGCAUGGUUGAAUUAGUCACUAUAGAAAACAACAAAAGUUAUGGUGAAGCAAAGUGAUAAUGGAGCUAAUGGAGAGAGAAAACUAGUGAUAAUGAGCUAAUGGAGGGAGAAAACUAUGAAGUUUGGGAAGAUCAAGACUAGGGGUGUGCAAGGUCUGGGCAGACGCUUCCCGACCUAGAACCAGAAACCGCCCGCUAAGGACCGGUUCCGAAAAAUUGGAACCGGGAUCCACCUGUUUGUUGCAUAGAUCCACUCGAGAACCAAACAGCCGAUUUGGUCCGGUUCCCGGGUGGAUCCAUGGAACCGAUCUUGACGCGAAGGUGAGCUGUGGCAUCGUGGUGACGGGCGAGUGGGCAAAGGGCACUCACGACUGCUAGCACGGUGGUUGGCGCGGAGGCGAGCUGUGUUGUUGUGGGUCACUAGGGUUUUGACGUCGGGCGGUGGACGAGCUCGAUAGAUCGGGCUACGUCCGUCCGCCUCGCGCAACUCCGAGCCGAGAUCCUUGGGAAACCGACCCCAUAUCGGAAAAGUCGAGAACAAAAGGGGAUGAAAUCUUCCGUGAUUUUGACGCGAAAGAGAAGUUGGGGUGGGUCGUCAGCUACGGUUCAAGCAUGGUGGUCGAUGGGGGCUCUCUCCCUCACACUCUACCCUUACUUGCAACUCUCAGAUCUCACUUGAUCUCCCCCUCUCUUUUCAACGUCUCACAGAUCUCUCUCUCUCUCUCUCUCUUUCUCUCUCUCACACAUCAUCUCUACUUGACCUCCCUUCAUCGAGCUCCAGGAGGCCCUAUUUAUAGGCUGGAGGGUCCAAUCGACAGAGGCAUUUCCGUUGCUGGUCCUGGGCAUGCCGACCGGCCUCCCUCUUGGCCGAACCGGUGUCUCAGCCUAUCUUCUUCGCGUAGGCCUGCUCGGCAUCGAAGGCGUCCGCCAAGACGUCCCCUCCGUCUCGGUUUCUCGCCGGAUCUCGCGCUGCUCCAUUCGGCGGCAUUGAUGACUCCUGCGAGGCAUCCCCUCCGUCGCUGGUCUACCCUCCUCUCUCUCUGCCCUAGGUCAUCUUGCAUGCCUUUAGUCUUCACCGAGCGUGGUGUCCACUGUUUAGCACGAGGAAGGAAGGAGGAAGAAGAAGAGGAGAGGGCCAAACCGCGAAAAAGAUGAAAAAUGGAUUGGGCGCAACCCGCGUGAGGGAAAAUGGAUCGGUUUCGCUAGGGUUUGUUUUAGUAUUUUUUUAAUAUGAAAUAUUAAUCAGUCCGGUCUGGGUAGGCGGGCGGGCGAAUCCGCUCAUGGAACUGGGAACCGGACCGGUACCCACUGGUUCCCAUAAAUUGGUACCGGGAACUGGACCAGUUCCCUCAAGAACCGCCGGUUCCGGGAGGUCCGGGCGGUUCCCGGGUAUUUUGCACACCCCUAAUCAAGACUUUCACCUACCAAAGACUUUAAAUAAAAACCAAGACUUCCAAGGUUGUGUAUAGAGCUGCCAAAAUGGGUCAUAAACCCAUAUUAUGACCCAUUUUUAGUUAAAUGAGUCAUAUAUGGGUCAAGUAAAAGUUAAAUAUGGGUCAGAAAUGGGUCUGAGAAAGUAAAGCAUAAAAAGAAAUGAGUCUAGAUGAGUUAUCAGGAAACCCAUUUUCAACCCAUGGCCUUCUUUAACUUUAUAAAAUGUUUUUUUAAUAAAAAAUCGAAAUUUCAAUUUUUUUUUUCAUAUUUCAACUUUUUUUUCUUUUCUUUUUUCUUUCUUUUUCUUCCUUCCUUCCCCGCUCGACGCCAGCGAGCUUGAUCUUGCCUAUGGCCGGUCGUUGGUCGUCCUUGUGGCCAACGGCCGGCCGAAGAAGAAGACAAAAUAAAGAGAAAAGAGAAAAAGAAAAAAAUAAUUAUUAAAAUUAGAAUAUAUUUUAAAAAAUAUUUAAAAAUUAUAUCUCAAAAAAUAAAAAUAAAAGUCAUUUUUUUAAUAUUUUAAAAAGAAUUAUAAAAAAUUUCCAUUAAAUUUGUAUUGCAUAAAAAUUGUUAAAAAUUUGGUAUUGCAUAAAAAUGUUUUAACAAUACUUUUUUUUUUAUAAAAAAAUCAUAAAAAUGAGCUUUUUUAAGUUUAGUUAAAAAAAUUUCAUGUUAUAGCUUUUAGUUAUUCAAUGGUAUGUUCACUUCAAAUAAGAGAAGCAUGUGCAUAGUCUAAUUCUUUAGAAAUAUUUCAAUUUAUAGGUUUUUUUAAAAAAAAAAUUAAAUUUUAUUUACUUUUUUAAUUUAAUUUGAAGUUUUAAUCCAAUUAGCAUAUAGUAGAAGUGGGUUUUCCUAAAAUAUUAAUAGGUUUUAGCAAUACGGGUCAGGUCGGGUAUGGGUCGGGUCUGGUAUAGGUUAUUUGAUUUAUACUACAUGAAUAUGAGUCAAAACAGGUUAAAUUGAUCAAAUAUGGGUCGAUCCAUUUUCGACUCGACCCAAACCAGACCUAAUCUAUCCAUUUGACGGGUCUAGUUGUGCAUAAGAGGUUAGACAAAUCUGAAGAAAAUACUUUUUGUCCACAAGUGCUUGUUUCAUAAUAUAUAAAGAAUAUUCCCUCAUACUUUAUUAGAUAUCAUGUGCUUUUUUGUUUGGAAAGUGAAGCGAAAGUGAAAAAGCGCUAAAGGGAAAGAAACUUAAGAGAUUUCGGGAAGACCAAUAAUUUGCGGCACGCAAAUUGGAGUUUGUUGUUUCACUUUUCACAUGUCUCUACUUCCAUAUGUGAACAUCUUUUUUUCCUAUUAAUUGUUGAAUUUCCAUGCGUUACAUUAGAUCUAAUUUUUAUUUUGUUUGAAAGAAAUAUUAUGCCAAUAAUCAUCCAUUGCUACUUUCUUACUUAAAAUUAAAAGUACUAUAAUUUUCGUCCAACUCUUUUCACGUUGAAUCUAUGUGAUUUUACAUUCAUUUUGUCUCUAUUUUCCUUCUAUGUUAAAAUUAUGUAUAGAUUUUCAUGUAUCUUUUGAAUUUUAUUAAAAUAAUAAAAAAUAAAAAAUGAAAAGCUAAAAAGAUUAUAAAAAAAAAAUGCAGGAAUGGGGGGCAAGAGCGAGUGCCACUGAUCUUACAGCUACUACCACACCAUUGUUGUUAGCACCACUGCUGGGACUACUCAUUCCAACGCUACCACCACCGUCGCAGCUGGCACAACUAGUCACACCAACCAUCAGAGUCAAUUACCUUUAUUUACUUAAUAACCGACCUAACUUGAUAUUUACACCAUAAAGAAUGAAUUUUUAGGAUUCACAAUUUCUCACAAGCACCGUCAAAAGUUGGAUUUCAUAUGGAGUCUACCUCCCAAUAGUGGAUGUGAGCUGAACUCACACACUUCGAGUUCAUUUAACAAUCUUUCCCUCGUCCAAUGUUUAAGAUUAUUCUUGUAGCUCCUACGACUCCAUCAUAGCCUCGAUUGUCGUCUCUAGCGAAGUCAUCAUUGGCCACUGUGCUCCAGUGCCAUCAUCGACGGAGUUCAUCUGUCCUCGACAGCGAGGGCAAGGAGGUGGAGAAAAGCGGAUGAAGGAGAGAGGUGAUCGUCUGAGAGUGAGACAGCUGAGAUUUAAGGCAGAGGCAUAGGGAUGACGUGAAUGACGAUGGUGGCGAGCGACCGUGGUAGCGUGCAAAAUCUCUUAAGGUCUGAGCAUUCGGUGGACAACGAGCACGUAUCGAACAGUUAAAGGGAUAAAGACAGGAGAUGGGCACUCGACGCGAUGACAGAAAAGACGAACUUGCUUAGAGAAGUGCUCUUAUCUUGGACCCACCCGUCCUUAUCAUUUCAAUGUUUUUAUUUUCGACGAUGGCUAUUCGCAUGAAUGAUAUAUUAAUCUCCUUCUGGUGGAACAAAAGCUGCUGUUGAAAAUAUCCGAACAAAAGCUUUCACAAAUUUCAAAUAUUUGCUAGUACCAGAGGUGCAAAAUAAUUAUCUUCACCUCUUCUUUUGCAGUCGUUGACAAACAGGUGUGAUUGGGCUGUGAAACAGUCCCCCACGCUUGAAUCCAAGGCCCGGUAAGCUCCAAGCUCCAAAUCUCCUGCAAGUUAAAUCAGGAUUCACCAACCGAAAAAAAGAAAAAAAGAAAAAAAGAUCAGGAUUCAAAAAUUCAUGCAGACGAUAAAUAAGAGACAGCCUUCGCUGUGUUUUUUUGCCGCGAACGGCAUGUUAAUGAUAUAUUUGAGAAUAGUGUCCCUUUUUCAAUAGUAUAUAUAGAUGAUAUAUAUAUAUAUAUAUAUAUAUAUAUAUUCAAACAUAUAGAAGCAUUUUAAGCAUUUCAAAUUUUUUUUAUUAAGUAUGAUAGAUUAGUAUUUUUAGCACCAAGUAUGAAAUUAUUGUAAACUAAAGCAAGAUUUUUAGGACUCGAUAUAUGUCAAAACACUAUUAAACCUAUUAAUAAAGCUAUAGACUUUGCAAAUAACUUUCCUGGUGAUAUUGAAAAGCAAAAAAUUCUAUUGCAGAGAUUCUUAGGAUGUUUCAGAGUCUUAAAACCUUAUGUACACCUUUAUGCUUGUAAACACCGAUGCUUCGAAUAUGGGAUAUGGAGGUGUAUUGAAACAAACGAUGGAUUCAAAUUCUAACGAAAAAUGUAGGUAGAUUAUAUCCCGGAGUUUGGAAUAGGCCUCAAAAUAACUCUUCUAUUAUUAAAAGAAAGAUAAUGUCCAUUAAUUGUUGCGUUAAAAAUUUCAAGGUCAUUUUUAAACAAGUUUUUUUUUUCCUAAUGAAUUGAUUGCAAAGCACCAAAAGAAGUUUUGCCAAUAUGUUAACGAUGGAGCCUGCCAGAGGGGCACAGGAUUAGUCAAAAAGAAAUUUUAAAAUUGAUGUCUCAAANNNNNNNNNNNNNNNNNNNNNNNNNNNNNNNNNNNNNNNNNNNNNNNNNNNNNNNNNNNNNNNNNNNNNNNNNNNNNNNNNNNNNNNNNNNNNNNNNNNNNNNNNNNNNNNNNNNNNNNAAAAGAAAACAUUAAACCAGCUGUAAAGUAUAUACACAUGUCAAAGUAUGAAGUGCUAAUGACGCGUUCUGGGACCAAAUUAGAUUAGCGCAUUUGACGAUUUUCUUUUUGUUGUGGGGAAAUACAUUGGUUCAAGUAUGCCAAGUUGAGUUCUAAGGUUUAAGUAAUAUUUGGAAACAAUCAACCACAGAAAUAGUUCAUUUUAUUCCAAUUCCUAAUUUUUUUUUUUGAUACCCAGGGAACCCCGUCAGCCGUUCGUCGCUCCAAUUCCUAAUUUUAAUUUACAUGUAAUCUGAAAAUAUGUGCGCAGUGUCUUCAUCCGUGCGUAGCACGUGUAUGAAUAUUAGUAAUCUAAUAUAAUUUAAUAUCUCAUAAUUAAUUGACCUCAUUAAUUGGGUUCAUAUCUAAAUAGAUUUUAGAUUAAAUCUUCUGUUUUUUUAAUUAAUAACUUUUAGGAAAGGGAAAGUAAUAAUUGAUAGGGCUCAUAAAGGAGGACUGACCAACGAUUUCAACUAUUGCUCGUGUUUGUACUUGUUAAAUUGAGUCUUUUAAUUUAGGAACUCAUGAGCAACAGUUGAAAUUGUCGACAACUUAUUGAACUUUUUUUUAUCAUUUUGCUUAGUUCUGUCUUAUUUAAAGCAGGAAGAGAGAACUAUUUAGCUCAGGAAGACCAAGACAUCCACCUACCAAAAACAUCAAAAAAAGACCAAGACCAAGACCAAGAUUUUUUUUUUCUUUUUUGGCAUCUGUACAUUCUUAAUAAUCUUAUAAUUCAAUGUCUUCAUUUGAUGCAUUAUUGGUGAAUAUGCUAUCAAUGUAGGCUUUUACGUGGCAGUUACCGUGCUAAAGAUUGUAGCAAGAUGGGUAGCAAUGAUCUACUGAAGGGUGCUGAAGUAGUAGUUGAUGAUCGAAAACCGCAUGAUAGUAGAAUCAUGGUCCUUUCCAUGAUUUUACCAUUCACAAGUGUGAUGCCUAGAGUAUAUCUAGUAGAUUGUACACUGUUAGUUGGCGAUGCCAGACCCUUGUUCUUGUCUAGUGAUGAAUGAAGUUGACCACAAUUAAUAGGACUAACAUAUAAGCAUCUUUGUGCAACUUGCACCAAUUGAAGUAAAUAUAAACAAUCCACCUAACAAUGGCAUCUUACAUUCAAUUAUAUAUCUGUAAGUCAUCAAAGACAACUAACUUUGACCGUUCGAUAAUGAGAGUAGAAACACAUGAUUUGGGUUAAACCAUGAAAAUAGUCGGGUACACCAAUGAAUCCAUGAAGCAAUUUGCUUAAUUUUACUUUGGAAAUAGUAAACAAUUCAUUUAUCACCAACUAAUCAUCAAGCAAAUGAUUUGGUUAACUUUUUCUUUUCAAAGGACCACAAUUCUCCUAUCAAGCGCUCCACGAUCAUCAACAAUUGCUUCAGUACCCUUCAACAGAUCAUUCCUACCCAUUUUGUUGCAAAUUUUUAGCGCUAUGGAUACCAUGUGAAAGAUAUACUCAAAAAAAAAAAAAAAACCAACAAAACAUUGGUAAGAUAAAAAAAUUUAUGAAGAUAUGCUUGCCAUCUAAGGGUGAAUCAAUAACCGUAGAGUCAAUCAAGGGUUAUGUUGAAGCAAAGUGAUAAUGAGUUGAUGGAGAUAGACAACUUUAAAGUCCCGGAAGACCAAGACUUUCACCUACCAAAGAGUUUAAACAGAGACCAAGACUUUCAAGGAUGCUUUCUGUCCACAAGUACUUUGUUCAUGCAGAUAAACCAUAAACUCAAGAAGGCCAAGACUAUAUUGGACAUCAUGUACCUGUUUGUCUAUAAAGUGAAGCAGAAGCGAAAGAGAGCAAAUGAAAAGAUAGAGUUUGCAGGAUGCAAAUUGACAUCGUUACAUCACUUCUCACAUCCUUCCUCUUUCAUCCCUAUGUGAAUGCCUUUGUUUUGCCAUUACUAGUAGAAUUUCCCCAUGCAUUACAUGCCAUGCUUAAAAAUUUACUGUUACUAUUAUUUUUGUCCUACUCUUUUCUUGCUUAAUCGUACCGUGAUUUUUUAUCAAUAAUCUCUCUAGUACUUGUCUAAUGAAUAAUGUCUAGAUUUCAUGUAUCUUUCCAAAUUUAAGUUCAAUAAAAGAAAAAAAAGCAAAGACAAAAAUAAAAAUAAAAAACAGCAAGAACUUGAAAAGGGAAAAAAAAGAAGAAGAAGCGAGAAUGGGGCGGGAGAGCGCAUCACCGUCCCACGGCCACUGCCCACUCGUUGCCAUCAGCACCGCUCUUUAUAGUCACCUCCAUAGGCAACAUUUCCUUCAGAUGUUUUUCUUAGAGCGGUUUAUUGGUAAGAGGCAUUUAGGUAUUCUCGAAACAUGCAUGUUCAAGUCAAUUAUUGCAUGUAAAAAUGAAACUGUUUUGAUGAUUUUGCUAAUCCUAAAUAGACUUCAUGAUUUUGUUAACGCAGAACUAUAGGGGACCACUGAACACCAGCGAUGGUGGCCUGACGGUACGAACUGAUAUUCCACAAACGCGAGGUCACGAUGUCAAUCCAUCAGUGCCUAUAUCUUGCCUUCCCGUGAUGGGAGCUCUGGCAGCUUGGUGUUGGAUGAAGAGACUUGGCUACCCGAGAUAACUAGGUUGCGAGUGGUAUUGGACGAUGACCUUCUCGCGAUCUGAAAUAUUUCAAGGCAGACGUGAAACUUUUACAAUUACUCAAAAUGGUAACAGAGCAUAGUCUCCUUGAUUGCUCCUCUCGGUCUUUCCUUUGCGACAAAGAAAAAGAAAAUGUUCUCUGAGAUGGCGUGGGAAGUUAAAUAGAAUAAAGAUGAACUGUUAACUUCAACAAGGAAAUCAGAUUGAAAUGGAUUGUAAUCUGCCAACUCGAAAACCCCAAUUUCUGCAUCUCUUCAGUCGCUGCUGUUGUUGGAGGUACGAAAGCUGCUUCGUUUGACUUUGAAUGUAGACCUCGAUAAUUGACAUCGUGAUACAGAUAAAUCUUUUAGAGCAUGUCACCAAAAAAAAAGUAUAGAGCAUAUUAGUACAACUACCAAAAUUAGUAGCUUUUUGUUUUUCUUUUGUCAAGUUGCAAAAGAUGAACGUAAGCACAUCAGUUGCCUACCUCAACAAUGUUUGCAUUUGAUCACCGGGAGAGAUUUUGCCAAAUGCAGAAGACGGUGGGAUAUUCUACAAAGCAAGCAUAGUUGAGAGACAUCAGGUCAAUGAGCUAGGGCCUAAGAAAAAGAUAUUUGGAAGAGAAAAUACAACAAACGCCGAUAUUGCAGAAAAAUAUCAAUACAAGAGCAACAAUUCAUGAUUCUCACGCAAAGCAUAGUGCAUUUCCAUAAGUGGAAAGAUAAGCAAUUUUUGGGCAUGAAACAAAGUUCAAGAUAUAUCAUCAAUAAAGAUAGGCACAUCCAUGCAUCACAAUUCCUGCACUGAAAGCAAGUCCAUGUACGUAUUAUUUGUUUUGAGAACAAAGAUUAGACAUUGGAGAGACAUCUUCUUAUUGAAUCCGAACUCAAUCAAUUACGAUGAGUGGGAUUUCUUGGAUGAGGUGCCAACAGUCGCCGCAGAGUUUUGAGCACCGAUCUUUCAGAAUCUCUCAUUGAAUUAUGCGGAAUACAUGGAGGGAGGGAUGGAAGCUGUCCUCUGUCAAGUACCUCAACAUCCAGCAACUAUAAAAUAUAUGACCGUUUGAGGGAGGAGAGAUGCCUGCGAAGCCCACUUGAUAGUCUCUUCACGUUCCUCAUAUUUUUCAUCCAAGGAGAGGUUAGAGAGGAAGGAAAUAGGAGGCUCCACGCAUCUUAUGUCCUCCGCUAUUGAUGGUUCUUCCACAUUUUUCAUAUUUCUUAUCCAAAAUCCUAGAAGAGGACAAUUAAUUAGUCCUGAAUAAAAAUUACUUCCAUGCAUAAUGAACAACUUUGAGAGUGAUCAGACAAAAAGAAUUAUAUGCAUAUCCACCCGACAGCAACAAAAAAAGAACAGACAAGAUAAGAACCAGGAUCCUUCGCUUUCCUUUUCUCAGCAAUUAGUGACCCUUUGGAUGAUUUUUUUUUUCGCUGAAUAAUUCUUACAAUUAUGUUAGCACACACGUAUGGGAGACACUAAUCACCAGUGAUGGUGACUUAUCAGUUCAGGCAUGAUAUUCUACGAAUGUGAGGUCAUGAGAUCAAAUGAUUAGUGCAGGUUGAUAACUCUUAAGAAUGAUUGCCGUCACCUGGCGUAACUAGAAAGCUCCGAAUGCAGCAACUUUUAACCAUAAAUCACCAGAUCCUGAGACCAUCAGUAAUACAGAUAAGAAAAACAAUUUUGCAGUGUGUUGCCUGCAAGAAUAUAAGAGAGCUAUGUCAUCAGUGGAUGAAAGGCAAGGCGUGUAGUAAAACCUAAGCUAGGUUCUGUGAAUAUCAACUGCGAUGGGUCUGACAUUAAAGAAACGAAACAUGCUGUUGCUGGGAUUGUUGGGAAGAUGGAAUUGGAAUUUGAGGCAUGAAUACACUGUCUUUAAGAAACAAACUAUUUACUAAAGCACUUUUUCUAUGUUUUAUGAACAAACUAACAACAGGCAUUGUGGCCACAAAUUAGGCAGGGGACAUGGUUACCCGCAGGGAUGUGGUGGUGCUAGUUAGAUUUGCAGAGGAGGCUGAAUUACUUUUUGUUGGAAAGAGCAUUGCAGUGGCAAAAGAGAAGCUGGCCCAAGGUUGUAGUGGAGAUAGAUGCAGCUGUGGUAUCCAAGGAUAUUAUCAACUUUCGCAAGCAGUACAACUAAAGACUAAAGGAAGCUCCUGCUGGAAUUCAAGCAGCUAAAGAUCAAUUUUCAGCUCUAAAUUGUAGUCGUAUUUCGUGAAAAGCAAAUGUUUAUGCCCAUUGGGUAGCUUUGCAUACUAGGAAGAGGACGUGUUGUCAAAAUUGGAAGUAAUGGAUGAGUACUGAGUUUGUUUGCUAGACCAAAAAAAAACCCAACGAAUUGUCAUUCGUUGACCUUAGAGGGUUGUUUUUGGAAAUUCAUGGGAAUUAUCUUUAUGACAAAAUAUCAAUUUGUAUUACGCAUCGAAUAGAGGAGGCAGAAUCAAAAUUUAUGCCUUCAAAACCAAAAACUUACCCUUAAUCCGAGAAAACUGGCGGUGCAUGGAAGAAUCAAUUCAUUGGAUCCACACCCAAUCUAUCUCGAUGAGAGGGAUUUCUUGGAUGAGGGGCCAAUAGUCACCAGUGAGUUUUGAGCAUCUAUCUUUCAGAAUCUCACAUUUCUCUAUGUACAAUUCUUGGAGGGAGGGAGGGAGGCCAUCCUCUAGCAAGUACCUCAGCUUUGGGCAAGAGUCGAUCCAUAAAUGUUUGAGAGAGGAUAGAUGGUUGAGAAGACUGCUUGAUAGUCUUUCAACAUUCCACAUAUUGCAAAUGUGAAGAUACAAUAGAGAGGAAGGAAAGAGAAGACUCCAUGCAUCCCUGUCCUCCGAAGGAAACCAUACCUUCUCUCCCUCCCCUCCCAUGCAAAAGUCAAUUAACAUACACCAGAGGGAUGUGAGUAGGUGUAAGCCCCAUUCUCUCAUUGGCUGCUUUAGAUUCUCGCACCCUCUUAUUAAAAGGCGAUGCAAAUUGGGAGGCAAACCUCCUUUGGGGAAGCAUUUGAUAUUUUGGCAAUCCUCAAUGAAUAGCGUCUCGAGGGAUGUAAGAUGAUGCCACUGAUUUGGUAGAGACUUUAUCUUCGGACAAUUACUAAUUAUAAGACACGACAGGGUGAUGGGAAGGGAAGGGAAUUCAUCUAUCUCCAGUGCUGAACAAUUACUUAUAUCCAAAUGAGCAAGAUGGGAGAGCGUGUGAAGGCACUGUGGUAGGCUUCCUAGAUUUGGACAGCCAUCAAUUAUCAUUUCUUUGAGUGAUUCUAUGAUGAUCGUUUCCACCGACUCCACUCCCUUGCACUCACAAAUACAAAGUUUCUUCAAAGCAGUAAGUCUAUCAUUGGCAAACAAAGACGAUAUUAGAGAAUCACAAUUUACAAUCCGCAGAUACUCAAGUUGAGAUAUCGGGUUAUUGUUGUUAGGGUCAUCUAGAGGAAUGGUUGGUCCCAAGAUUUUUGGACACCUCCUAAUGAUCAAAUGUUUGAAUGUGUGCAUCUUGCUUGGAAGCUUUUCUAAACUUAUGCAAUUACUCAAUUCCAUCCUUUCAAAGUUGCACGACAACUCUAUUUCUCCUUCUCCUGCCACAAAAGAUGUGAAUCGAGGGCAGCUUUCAAUGGCUAAUUCUUGAAGGCAAGUAAGAUUUAGCAUUAUAUUUUCAUCUUGCCACAAGUAUAUAAGCUUGUCACACCGUUCUAUAUGAAGAUCCUUUAGCUUGACCAAGCACCUCAUAAACACAUGAUCAAAGCAAACAAGCUCGGCAAGAUUUUCAAUUUUGAGAAUGGUCAAAGAAGUUAGGUUGACCAAGCUCUUUAAGAUUUCCUUGUUACAAUCCUCAAGGUAUAACUCACGGAGAGACGGAAAACAAACCUCAUUCGUUGAAUUAUUCAAAUGCGGACAUGAAUGGAUUUCAAGUUUUAUGAGACAAUCAAGUUGACGAGGUAAUGUCCUAAUCAAUGAAGGACAACUCCGGACAACAAGAUGUUGAAGACAGGAGAAUGAGACUUCUUCUUUUGGGCCCCCAACAUAAGGAGACCAAUUCUUCCAUGACAACAUCUCUUUCAACUUCAAAGUUGUUAAGGAUGAGAAAGGCCUUUUAUCUCCUUAAAAUUUAGAGCCUAUCAUUCUUAUUGUGUGUAGACCUUCGAGAGAUAAUUCCUUUAGUGAAGGUAGUUGUCCAAGCGGGGGAAGUGAUAUAACAUUAGGACAGCCCCGCAAGCACAAAGACACUAUCUUAGAAUAGGAUGGACCACCUAACCAUGACGGGAAUUUUGCACCACCAUAGUUCAAAAUAUUGAGAUUUUCAAGAUCAAUGCGAGGUCGUAGGAAGUCAAGCACUUGUGCUUCCUGCUCAUGAUUCUAGAGAUUUUCCAAAUUUUCAUCCCAAUGCAAGGAUAAGUUGGUAAGGCCUUGCUUUUGAUGCAAAUUAGCAUCAAUUGCAUCUCUAACUUUUUCCACCUUUUGCAAUUCUGAUAUGAAUAAUUCUCCUUAAAGAUGUGGCAAAUUCUUUAACUCCUCUAACCGUGAUCCUUUCUCUGGUCGUACCACAAACUUGGACAAGAUAAUAAGAUCUUUUAAAUUACCGAUACCCAACGGCAUCUCUUUAAGACUCCUCAUAUCUCUAACAUCAAGAAACUGUAAAUUGACCAAUUUUGUGAUGCCUUGAGGCAACUUUGAAAGUUUUUGACAACCUCUUAAAAUCAAAACUUGUAAUUUGCACGAGUUGACAAUUGAUUCAGGUAGCCUUUUGAUAUCAGUGUACGAGAAAUUGAGAUAUUGAAGAUGUUUUAAAUCACCAACACAAUUCGGUACCUCUACAAUGUCACAACGACUUAAUGGGAAUACUCUCAAGUACUUCAAGUUUGUUAGCAAGUCAUGUAGCACCUUAUUGGAAAUAGAGAAAGAGCCCCCACUAGAUCCAUCACGGACUAGAAUUAAACUUCUUAGUGUCUUCAUUCCUUGAUAUUGUUUCAGGCAUUUUGAUGUAACAUAUUGCGAUGGGAUGAAUGAUGCAUAACAAGUUUUUUCAAGAGAUGAUACAUCAUGUUCAUUACUUGCCAUCUGAGACCCCCACGAGCUAAAGCAAGUCCCACCCAAAAUUGACUUUGCCAGAUCAUUCAAAAGAUCAUGCAUUGAAAACUUAGAUGCGUCGAUACUUGAUUGUUGAAGAAAUGACAUGGAUACUAACUCAUCAAAGUGCUUUCGUCCCAAUUUCAAGAUAUUCUCAUUUCCUUUUUGCCCAUCUAAAAGUCCCUCUGCUAUCCAUAAGAGUACCAACUCAUCCCUCUCAAUUUCGUAAUCCUUGGGAAAUACCGCACAAUAAGCAAAACAUCUCUUCAAAUAGGAAGGAAGAUGGACAUAACUCAAUUUUAAAACUGGGAGAACCUCAUCAUUCUGUGCAGUCAGAAGAUCCCAUAUUUUGUUAUUUAAGGUAUCUUCCCAUUCAUUAAGAUUACUUUUAGUACGUAGGACACCGCCCAACAUCUUUGCCGCCAAAGGUAAACCUUUACAUCUUUCAGCUAUUUUCUUCCCUAUUAUUUUAAAAGCCCAGUGGCUCUCAAAAUUUGUUGCUCCAAGAGCAUGAAAGGCUAAUAAGCUUACACAAUUAUCAAAGGACAAUUCCCUCAAAGGAUAAGGCGAAGCUCUUGUUAUGGAAGCAACAUUAAGGUUGCGAGUCGUGAUGAUGAUCUUGCUUCCCUUAGUCCCCACUUCAAAUGGCUUUAAGAGAGCAGUCCAUUUUUCGUAUUUCUCAUUCCAAAUAUCGUCUAAAACCACAAGAAACUUCUUCCCAGAUAGACUAUCCUUCAACUUAACUUGAAGCUCAUUAAGAUUACCCUCGCUGGACAAUCCGGUGAUCAACCGCAAAAUAGUCUUUGUUAUGUCAAAGACAUCAAAAACAUCUGAGACACAAACCCAUGCUCUCUUCUCGAAAUAGCUAUUCACUUUGGCAUUAUUAUAUAGCCACUGAGUCAAGGCCGUCUUUCCAAUACCACCCAUCCCAACUAUGGGGACUAUGCUUAGUGUGGCAUCAUAAUUUUUGACCUCACGGAUCAAUAGUUCGAGUAUCUCCAUUUCUUCCUUCUCCCUACCGAAAAACCGAGGCUCUGGUAGAGAACUAGUGGGAUCCCUUCUGCUGAUGUAGUUGGAUCUGUCCACAACAUUGUCUCUCAAGCUUAGAUAAUCCCUCCUUUUGACAAUCACUUCGAACCUACCAUUGAUAUCUUGGACCUUAGUGUCAGACACAAGUGAGCCUGGUUGUGUAAAAGAAAAGAACUUCCUUUUCCAUUGCCCUCUACUUGUUCUGGAUUCCACCUCCGACUUAACUUGAUUGGCUUUGAUGUCAAACUCAUCGAGCAAGUCUUCUAUGUCAAAAGCCAAGUCCCUAACAUCAUCGAGCCAUAGCUUCGCUAGACAAUUACCGCUAAGUUGCUUUUCCUCUGCAUCAUCCACCACUGCAUUGAUUGUGACUAGCAUCCUCUUACAGUCAUCAAGGAUGGUGGUGUCAGUUCCUUCCCGUUGUGCAUAGUCGGAUGCCAAAGAACUCAACUUGUCAAACAAGACCUGAAAGAAGAAACCCAAAAUGAUCUCUCCAAUGGCCAUGGGUAAAUCAAUCACUAUAGAGAACAACAAAGGUGUUAUGGUAAAGCAAAGUAAAAAUGAAUGAAUGGAAAGAAAAAGCUAUGAAUUCCAGGAAGACCAAGACGUCCACUUACCAGAAAGAAUAAAAAAAAAGGACCAAGACUUUCAAAAGAUGCACACUAAAGUUUAGACAAAUCAAACUAAAAUAGUUUUUUGUCCAAGAGUGCCUGUUUUGUCAAUUGUUCUCCCUUUUCUUCGGAUCUAGACUUUUCUUGUGGGCAUCCAAAACAAAGGAUAAAUGUGAUUUUUCUUCAUAUAACCAACUUAGAGCUCACACGUAUUUUCGUCAAAAACUUCAUUACUUACGAGUGUUGUGUUGGCUUUUCACGCAUUCAUAUAUUAUUAAAAUCUCUAUGAUUUCAUGGUCCUUGUUUUCUGCUUUAUUGUUGAAUAUGCGAUCAAUGUAGGCUUUUACGUGGUGGUUACAGUGCUGAAAAUUUGCAUAUGUUUAAGAUAUGAGAAGAUUAUCGGUUCCUCCUUCAAUGUGAAUGACCAUGUAAAGACAUCAAAGGUGGCUAAUUUUAUCCGUUCAAUAAGAAAAACAAAGUACAUGCUUUGGGCUAAACAAGAAAAAAGGUCAGGUGCACCAACUAAUCCAUUAACUAAGUUGCUUUAGUUUACUUUGCAAAUAGUGAAGGAGUCAAUAAUCAUUAACUGACAUUACAUAAUCUAAUGAAAAUUAUACUUUAUGCAUCAAAUCAUCGUUCUCUUAUCAAGCGAUUCCGAUUAUCAACUAUUACCUUAGCACCCUUCGGUAGAUCGUAGUCGUCAUCUUGCUGCGAAGUUUUAACAUUGUAACUGCCACUUAAAGCCUAUAUUGAUCACAUAUCCACAAUAUGCGAUCAAUGAGCGGAAUCGUUCGGAGAGCACGUGCUUUCCAUCCAGCCUUUCGUCUGUUUAUCUAAAUCUUUUUGUGCAGCAAGAAGGCAUCCCAUCUAGAAGCGUUCUUUAAACAUUUUGUAUUCUGAAUCGUGUGAAGUUCACCCAGACAUUACGUGCUCUCCAUCAACAAUGUAUUUCCUAUUUACCUUGAAUUAAAGCAAAUGUCCCUCUUUUCUUUUUGUCUUCUAUUGGUCUACGAUUAAGGAAAAAAAAUGAAGAGUUUUCCAUAAUUUGGUAACAUCAUAAUAAAAAUUCCACAAGGAGAUUAGAAUCAUAUUAAUCUGUUUAACAAUAUGAUUUUUCUUUUUUGGUACGAGCAUUUCACUUCUUUCAGGUGGUGACUUUGUAUUUUUUUCCCUCUCCCUUUUCUCUAUCAUAUCUUUUAUUUUCUGGUAGCGGGAAUGCACGAUUAUAAACAUUUGCUUUUCAUUUACACUUUUUUUCAAUGAAUUAUAUCUAAAACAUGUACUAAACCCUUAAUUACCCGGUAACAUGCAUUAUUGGUGCCCUCUCUCUCUCCCUCUCUCCUGGGCCCAUAGGGAAAAGUAUCAUUGGUUUUCACACGAUGAAAACAAAUCGUCCACAUGCAACACCCUUGGGGCUUCAGUAGAAACUACUUCAUGUGAAGUUUAAUUUGCGAAUUGACUUAACUCGAUUAAUUAUAGUGGCACACCUUAAAAGAAUACUAAAUCACAAGCACCUUAUUAAUUCACCUUAUCCCUUUCGGUUGAUGGUAAAUCUACUAUAUCUAUAUAACAAGGACUUCUUACUGUAACAGUAAAUAAGUGAAAAGACACAACAAAAGUUAUUUAUUUUGUUUGGCGCCGUGAAAUUAUAGUAAACGUGAAUUUCCUGUGAAUCUGUUCUAAGAGGAAUGAAGCUAUCCUAUACGAUAUUUAUUGUUGUUUACCCAAUUUAAUGAACUAAAAUUCCAAACAGAUAUGUGAUUGUUCCAUGUAAAAUCCCAAACUUGUACUUAGUAAAAUCAUUCCAUGUCAGUGCAUGUUUAGUAAAGAGAUCAAUGAUAGAGAGAUUAAAAAUUAAUCUUGAUGUCCUAAUAUUACUAUCUAAAAAAAAUUGAAGAAACAAUUCUUUGUUAUUAAAAUUGGCAUCAAGUAUUUGAGAUCAACUUUAAUCAAGAUCAUAUAUAAGCAUCAAAUCGGUUUAAGAACCAAAGUUCUGUUGCUGUUGUAGCCUCUUCUUUGCCUCCAUUAAUAGAAAGAUUUCGUAAAGAACAGGUGGUUGCUCUUGGGAAAUAAAUGCCCACCAGAUGCUUUAGAUAGCACAGCUGCGGUUGCAUCAGUUUGAGGAGAAAAUAGAGCAAGAAGAUAAAUGUAACUACCUUUUCCGAGCAAACUUCCUAGAGCAGACCGGUGAAUGGGAUGAGAUCAAUGACAGGACUCCAACAAGCACGACCGCUAAGUUCAUACGAGCGGGAGGAGAACACCAUUGAUCAGGGGGACGGGCAUGGGUGUGGUGAAUCUAAGUGAUAAAGAGAUAAGGGAGAGAGAAAACUAUAAAAGCUAGGAAGACCAAGACUUUCACCUACCAAAAAAAUAAAAAUAAACAAAGACCAAGACUUUCAAGAAUACACAUCAGUGGUCAGAGGAAUCAUUAGAAAAUACUGUGUCCACAAGUGCUUGUCUUGUAAUGGUUGGACAAUAUCCUCAGAUAUUUGUAGUUUCCACAAUCAUAUAUUUGUUCAUGUACAUAAACCAUAAACUUAAGAAGACCAAGACAUUUCGUAGACAACUACAAGUCAUCAGAGAUGGCUAACUUUCUCUAUUCAAAAAGGAAAACAAAAGCACGUGCUUUGAGCUAAAAAGGAAAAAGGGUCAGGCACAACAACCACACCAAACAAUCCAUUAAGCAAGUUGCUUUGUUUCACUCUGGCAAUGGUAAAGGAGUGACAAAUAACCAUCUAACAGUAUGAUCUACUGGAAAUUAUGGUCUAUGCAUAAAACUCAUGAACAGGAAAAUCGUGUUCAAAAGGACUAGCAUUCUCCUAUCAAGCGGCUCCCUAUCAUUGACUACUACCUCAGCACCCUUCAGCAGAUCAUUGCCACCCAUCUUGCUGCGAAUUUUUAGCACUGUCAUUGCCGCAUAUAACAAAAACUCAAGAAGUCCAAGACUUUCCAGGACGCAAAUUGGCUCUGUUACUUCACUUUUCAAAUGGUUUUUUUUUUUUCCCUCGUUUGAAUAAAAUAUUAUUUAAUAAUCGGCAUUGACUGUUGUUCUCUUGCUCAAAAUCAACAAUAAUGUUCGUGUAACUUUUUUCAUGUUUAAUCAUAUUUUAAUUAUUUAUUUAUUUAUCUCUAUGGUACUUGUCUAUUAGAAUUAUGUCUAGAUUUUUAUGUAUCUUAUCAAAUAUAAGCUUAAUAAAAGAAAAAAGAAAAGCUAAAAAGAAAAAAAAACAGCAAAAAGCUGAAAAAGAAAAAAAAAAGGAAUGGGGCAAGGGAGAGCACCGCCAUUCCCACAGCCACUGCCAUGCCAUUGGCAUCAGCACCACUGCCAAGGUGACUCAUUCCAAUGCUGUUGCCACCAUUGCAGCCGGCGAAACUAGCCAGAUCAACCAUCACAUCCAAUUACCUUUAAUUACCUAAUGACUGGUGUAACUUGAUCUAGAGGGGAAUUCACAACAUAAAGAAUAAAUUCUAGGGUUCACAAUUUCUCACUUGCGUCGUCAAAAGUUGGGUUCCAUGUGAAGUCCACCUCAUCCAACAAUGAAUAAACCUAUUCUUAAAGGUUUGACUACCUAACUGAAACUAGUAAGUUCUUAGCAUUUCUUUUUUAUUUUUUAAUCUUUAAAGGAUGAACAACCAACUACUCCACCAAUAAAACGAGGGCUGAUAUUUUACAAUCUCAAAGCAUGAUGGGCAAGCUGAGAAGAAGUCAACAUAUUGCAGUGAAGAUUUAGCUCAAUAGACGCAACUUCUUUACCUCAAAGAAAGCAACUUUCAUCCAUGCACUAUUGUCCUAUAUGAGAAAAAAUUGACAGCGGCACCCCCAUUGGCCCAACAGAUAGCGCCAAUAACCACUUCAACCGAACGAAGACCCCACCAGCCACAAAUGCAAGUUUAUCAUUCACUGCACAAAUACAUACGGACAGCAAGCUACUAGGACAACUUAAGCACGCUUCAAGCAUAACAAUGUGACAAUCCAAUAUGAAAUCAUAAUGAAUCCAAAGCGUCACUUUCUUACAUGGAUAUACAUACCGAGGAGGUCCAAUUAUGCACAAGUAACACCAGACAACUAAUGGCUUUACUUGACUCAAAUCAGGGCAACAUGUAAUACCAUCAUUUUUUAUAUGUUUCAAGCCUUGAAUUGCCCCAAUUUGAUGGAAAACAAAUGUAACAUCAAUGCGGCAUCUCUCAAUAUGUUCACACAACUAGAACACUACCGAAAUGAUAUUGAAAUCCUCACAUUCCCCAUGUGAACAAAAGCGGCCAGAAAACACCCACACAUGCCCAUCUCACCAUGCAUAUUUAUGCACCUCAAGGAAUACCCACACAUGCCCAUCUCACCAUGCAUAUUUAUGCACCUCAAGGACUAUGUAUAUAACGUCAUACGUAGGUCAUCCGUACCAAAAAUUCUCACGUCCAGUAGCUUAGAGGAGUAAUACCAUGUACAUCUGCAACGUCAGUUAACACAGCAAAUGCACGCAUGAACAGCGAACAUCAAACGCACAUGACCCGCACUUGACAUACUAAAAGCACACAUAAUUGCAUUUCUAUAAACUUUAUACGGAAAAUGCAGUAAGAGACGAGCAGUGCAACUUCAAUGGGACAUCAAAACGUUGGUAAGCAGAAUGCAAUAGGAAUUAACUAUCUAUGACUGAGUCAUGCAUUCUGUCGAACAGGUAAAACGCCUCGCUGUUAAAGAACUAAUAUACGCCAGCUUCAAGCAGCGAUUCACUUUAGUCAUUACUAACAGCAACAACCAAGGUCCAGAACAUCAACGGAAAUUGAGAAGGGGGAAAGUCGAUGAAGAAGCCUCUCCUCUGAAAAUUCAAGAAAAAACAGAGAGCUCAGCUCGAUUCAUUGAACCGAAAGCCGAAAACCAUAGAAAGAGAGAGCGAGAGGACUAAGCUUUAGCGAUCGAACGGCGAGGAGCCGAGUAGAAGGAGCCGUCGUCGUCGGAGCAAAGGCCGAGAGACGUCAGAAACUGAGCUGGAGCUCUGCCGAACUCAGUGCUCUCCCUCGCUAAAAAUUAUUCUUCCACCAUCUUCUGGCGGCUUUUGUUUUGCACUGAAUCCUUUGACAGAAGUUGUCCUUUGGUCGACUCACCGUGUGGUCCCAUAAAUUGUUGUUAGGUGAUGAUGAUGACUCAUCGUUAUCACGCUAGAAUUUGGAAGGAGAGGGAAUUAUAAAGAUUACGAAGCCUGUCAUUAACUAAAUCUAAAGAGAGCCAUUGUAAUAACCCAUCGUUCUCCAUACCUGAUUGUGUGUUUUCGCACAUAAUUAGGCCAUAAGUUUCGAGCUCAUGUGAGUCCACGUAUCUAUCAUUUUUUUUUUCUCAAGAUGAAACGAGAUAUUUCGAGUAGCCCUCACUGUAUUCGAAUGCAAAACAUACUUGUUCAUUUGAGCAUACUUGAGAGCAAAAAAAAGAAUUGCCCAUCGGGCUUAGCUCAACCUAGCCCAAAAAAGGAAAAACAAUUGAGCAAGCUUGGGGCCAUGACUCUUCUCUUAGAGCUUGGAGCUACCAAGACUUGCCCGACAUGGUUUUAUUGUAACUUUCUUUAUGGGCACUGGCUUGCCCCAAUGCUGUUAUUUAUAAGAAGAAAGUAUAAUAAUUUCGAAAAUCUUAGGGCGGAAUGGGUAAGAAUUUUGAUGGUUGAUGUCUGACUUGGUCCGUCUAGGCUCGCCCAUUCAAUAGUUCUACAAUUAGUGAGUGUUGUCCUAGCCGAACAACCUUCUUUACCUUGUUAUCCAAAUUGUACAUCAAGUCCCAGUAAAAUCGGAUCCAUUUUUGGAUCAAGGCCCAAGAGUUGGGGCUAUCUAUCUUUCUAGGCCCAACAUACCAACGACAACCCAUUCAAUGCCUUUGCAGCAUGGUGUUAGGGCUUAAUACUAUUGCAAUUGUUAAAUUCAAGUUGAUCCGCAUGUAGCACUUGAGCAUCGGAAACAUUUCAAAAAUAUAUGUAUAAAAUCUUCCUUUUUUCUAUUAAAUUUUAACUUUUAUUUCACACUGCAGAAUUUGAAGAAAGGGCUUGUUUCGGGGAACUAACUAGGAAUUCUUUUUUUAUUUUUUUUGCUUCUCUUUGGUAUUAAACUAGGCAUUCUAUAAAGGGAAAUAUAUAAACUCUGAGGUGUCAAUAUCACGCUUUACGUGCGAAAUGUCAUAUUACUAGCUUUUUCUUAUUUGGAGUCUACUUUAAAUAUUAAGAACAAUCGACUAUGAUGGAUCCCUCUUAUGCUAUAUCGAUAAUGUCAUAUUAUCGAUAAUGAAAAGUUGACUUGACAUUAUUUUUUGGCAUCCACAACAAUGUCAUACUAUGGAUAAUGAAAAGUUGACUUGACAUUAUUUUUUGGCAUCCACAAAUUUUGAAGUUUCGAAAAAGCCUUUUAUUUUAUUUUCUUUUUUGACAAGGGGAAAUUUUUCAAAAGUUAUUUUAACCUUAACAAAUGAUAUUACCGACUUAUAUACAUGCUUAUAUCAUUGAUUUACAUCUACAAAUUAGUAUAUCACACAGUGUUGUUCAAAAAAUCAAUAAAUCUAAUUCAUCAGAGACAAAUAUUUAGGUAUUCUUGAAAGAUUCCCUAUUCAACUCAAUCAUGUGAACUAUUAACUUAUAUCGUAAACAAAAAACAAGAAGAUUUGUAACACUUCGUAUAAAGGCAUCUAACUCGGGUUGACCAGAUGAAGAUAAGUGUUUUGAAGACGUCUUAAAUUCUUAUAAAUAGUUGAGAAAAAAUUGCUUUUUAAUUGCAUAAAAAGUUAAACGGAUAAAAAAACAAAAGGAACAAUUUUUUUUUUUACGUUAAUCGGAGUUCACCUCACUAAGGCCCUUGACAUUUCUUUAAUGCCCUAACUUUCGUUGAUUGCAAUCGUCAAUAUAAUUAUCUCGAUUGAAUCACAAUCACUGUAUUGUACUCUUCAAGUUCGACUAAAAGAUUAAUAUAUGGCGUGUGAGAUGAAAAUGGGAACAAAAAAGAAAAUCAUGGGAUGAGAAAAUCAAGUAGCCCACAGUAAAAAUUACUUUGUCGUGUGAAAUAAACAAUUACAAGAGUAAUCAGACAUACACAUUAUACACAUACUCACCCAACUUCAACCAAAAAUCUACAAGACAUACCAGGGUACUUCCCAUUGCAAGACUAAAAAAUGUGAUUGUUUUGAUGAUUUUGUUUUUCCUGAAUGACCCUAAUGAUAAUGCUAAUGCAAAACUAUGGCGGAUCGCUGAUCACCAGUGAUUGUGGCCUAUUGGCACAAGCUGAUAUUUCACGAACGCGAUGACACAAGGAUAACCCCCUAGCGAUGAUGGCGCAUGAAUCUUGUCUUAUCCGUGACGGGAGCUCUGGCAACUUGGUAGGGUCAUAGCAACGAAACUUGCCUACCAUAUAUAAAUGGUUGUGAGUAGUAUUGGAUAACGGCCCUCUCACAAUCUUCUAUCAAAAUACAUCAUGGCAAACGUGAGACUUUCAUGAUGACGUAACAAAGUGACAAAGCAUAAUCUCCCUGAUUGCUCUUCUUUCCCUUUCCUUGAAAACAAAGAAAAAAGAAAAUGUGCUCUGAGCUGGUGCGGGAAUUUGAAUAGAAGAAAGAUGAAAUUUGAACGUUGACAAGGAAGUCAGAUUUAUAUGGAUUAUAAUCUGCAGGAUUCAUUCAAAUUUAAUUGUCAUAUUCACCAACUUGAAAACACCUGUUUUAAAUCCUAUUUUUUGCAUCUUUACAAUAGCUGCUGCUGCUGUUGGAAGUAAGAAAGCUUCUUCAUUUGACUUUGAAUGUAGACCUCGAUAAUUGACAUCAUGAUACAGAUUAAUCUUUUUAAGCAUGUCACAAAAAAAAAAAAAAAACAGUUUAAAGCAUAUCAUUACACCUACCAAAAUAAAUGGCCUUUUAUUUUUCUUUUGUCAAGUUGCAAAAGAUGAAUAUAAGCACAUCAUUUGCCUACCUCAACAGUGUUUGCAUUUGAUCCUUCUAGAGAGUUUGCCAAAUAAAGAAGACGGCGAGAUAUUCUGCAAAACAAGCACAGUUGAGAGGAUUUAGGCCACUGAGUUAGGGCAUAAAAAGAAGAAGAAGAUAUUUGGAAGAGAAAACACAACAAAUGCUGAAAUGGCAGAAAAAUAUUGGUAUAAGAGCAACAAUUCUUCGUGAUUCUCACACAAAGCAUAGUGCAUUUCCAUAAGUGGAAAGAUGAGCCAUAUUUGGGCACCAAACAAAGUUCAAGAAAUAUCAUCAAUCUAGAUAGGCACAUCCACACAUCACAAUUCCAGCACUGUGAGCAAGUCCAUAUGAGUAUUAUUUGUUCUGAGGAAUAGUCACUGUAACCAUUCCAUUGUGCGCUUCCUAAUCAAACAAAACAAAGCAACCCAAAUGUCUAGCUGCUUUGUGGCAAAUUAUGUGAAGCUUGUGCAUGGAAAAACGUGAACAUUUUAGCAUCAAGUUGAGGAUUUGUAAUAGAAGUGGUUCCUGGAACAGAAGCAGUAGCUAAAUGACGAGUGCGGAAAAAGAAAGAAGUCCGAAGCAUCAACUGAAGAAUAAAAAAUAGACAUUGCAGAGAAAUCUUCUUAUUGAAUCCAAACUCAAUCAACUACAACGAGUGGGAUUUCUUGGAUGGGGUGCCAACAAUCACCACUAUUGAGUUUUGAGCAUCGAUCUUUCAUAAUUUCACAUCACAUUAUGCCAAAUACUUGGAGUAGGGAGUGAAGCCAUCCUCUGGCAAGUACCAAUAAAACCUACAAAAGAUAGCUGUUUGAGAGAGGAGAGGUAGACCACUUGAUAAUCUUUCCAUGUUCCUCAUGUUUCUCAUCCAAGGAGAAAUUA